rnacentral:lncRNA from 1 species
UUGCGUGUGGGGCCAAUAUAUAAUUGCGGCUGGUAUGCUUAUGAAAGCACGGAGCGCUCCGUGUUUCCACUUUAUUUUCGAUGUUCGGACUUUCGAAUCGACUAUCGGCUCCGUUAGAUUUGAUCUAAAGUAUUUGAAGUAUCUAGAAAAUAAAUUUUGCGAUUUUUUGAUAUCAUUUGUCUAGUGAUCGAAGUGGCUCAAAAUCAACGGUUGAAAAUAAAAAUCUUACAAAAUAUGAUGAUAUGAUAUUAAAAUUUUAUAUCAAAGUUAUUGAUCUUGUUUUAUAUGGUAUAAAGAAUUUUCUAUCAAAAUUUCAUGCGAUUUGGAUAUUUCUACACCGUUAAACUUGCAACCGGCUCACCACGGCCAUUAAAAUUAUUAAUUUUGAGCCCCUUCGAUCACUAGGCAAAUGAUAUCGAAAAAUCACAAAAUUUAUUUUCUAGGUACUUCAAAUACUCUAGAUCAACUCUAAUGGAGCCGAUCGUCGAUUCGAAAGUCCGAACAUCGAAAACAAAGUGGAAGCACGAAGGGCUCCGUGCUUCUAUAAGCAUACCAGCCUACUAUAUAUAUAUAUAUAUAAUUGAGCUCCUAUGCUUUUAAAAGUACCAAGUUAUUGGUGCUUGUAAAUUUUUAGCCCUUGGAUUAAGGAAUGUGUGGUUAAGAUGAUAUGGGCCCCUUAGGGUUAAGUGGAUGGUUGGUUGAAUAGUAUAAUCUAACGGGGUGAAAAUGAUUAAAGGCGUAGAUCUAACAGUAAAAAAUUUACAAGUACUAAAUACUUGGUACUUUUACAAGUACCAUAGCCAGACUCUAUAUAUAUAUAUAUAUAUAUAUAUAUAUAUAUAAAAUAUUUUAUAUGUAUGUUUGCAAUCAUGCAUAGAUAAGUAUCCCUUUGGCGUGUGGAACAUGAGGCCAAAUACCGAGUCCCCCAACUCGAUUUUAAUCCGAUAUGUCCGUAUAGUUUUACUGUGGGACGACUAGGACGGUUGUACCAAAACUACUUAAUGAAAGUGUUAUGGAUUCAUCGAGUCAGUACCUAGCGCAAUUAAUUAGCUAGUUGAUGACUAGUAUUGGCAUUUUUAAGUUUGAAAUCUAGCUUGUUGAGUUUAUUUUUAAAAUAUAUAAAAAGAUUAAACGAGGUGGCUUGCUACAACAGAUCCUAAUAGCUAGUUGGAUUCUGGCCCGAGCUCAAAUCCGAAUCCAAUAAGUUUUUUAUAAGCGAACUAAAUAAAUAAAAGCUUCUUUAAUAAAAGUAAAUUAUUUUGGCACGCGUAACUCGUUGACUCAAAACUUCGCACCAUGUUCUUCUUCCUAGCUAAAGUACUGUUGAGUACUGUCGAAUAAUAUAUUGUGCCAUUUAGAAGUUGUCACGCAUGGAUCCAACACUCACAUCAACUAUGUGCAUAUAUACAUCAAAAUACUAUUGCAUUUUUGAAAGGAUUAAUUAUCGCGGACCCUCGAGCUUUACUAUAACCAAAGUAGCCAUUGCUUUCGCCAUGUCGCCAUAUCGGUACCUACGAGUAGAAACAUACAUACACCGCGUAGAACGUCUCAACGAAGAAAAUUUCACGAAUUUGGUCCUUUUUCUUUUCUAAUCGAAGAAAAUCUUCACUCGCUUACGGCUAUUUUAUGUACGCAUGACAAGCAUCGAUAAAAAUAUAAAAAUGUUUUCAAAAUAUCAUUAUAAUUUCUCGUUUUGAGACAAAAAUAAUAUGUCAUCCGUUUUGUUCGUUUCUAAAGUCGUCGUUGCUUUCGCCAUGUCGGUACAUAUGAAUAGGAACAUCGACAGGUUAAAAGUCGCAACAAAGAGAACUAUGUCAAUUCAGUCCUUUUCCUUUCAUAGUCAGAGAUCAUCUUUUUCCUUUCAUAUUAAUGGAAGAAAAUCUUCCUUCUUUUAUAAUUAGAGAAAAUCUUUUCCAGCGCAAAUAUUUUUUGUAUAAAUAACAAUAAUUAAUAAAAAAAAAUUUAUACUGCCCUGAAAUAUAGAGAUAUAAUAAUAAUUUUAAAAUAUUAUUUUAAUAUAAAAUUAUAAUAUUGUCCGUAAUAAAAUACUCCGGUAUUUUAUAUGACACAAUAGAAUUGAUUUGAAUAUAUAUUUACUAUGUGGUAGCCGGGUAGACCUAUGAAAUGAACAAUUUUUAUAUUUUUAUAGUUAUUUCAUGCGGAAAUAACAAAAUCGAAGUGUGCAUACAAGUAUAAGACAUAAUAAAAUUUUUAAAAUAUUAUUUCAAUAUAAAAUUAUAUUAUUGUUGAAUCUUAAUAUCUUACACCAUACAAUGGAAUAUAGUUAUUUCAUGCGGAAAUAACAAAAUCCAAGUAGAAGUCUCUGUAUAUCUUGCAUACAAAGUAUAAGACAUAAUAAUUUUUUUAAAAGUAUUAUUUCGAUAUAAAAUUAUACUAUUGUUGAAUCUUGUUAUCUUAUACCAAAUCCUGUGCCACUUGCUCUAGGGACGGCCGGUACCAUACGAUGGAAUUGGCUCCAAAUGCAUCUUAUAUGGUAUAAUUGUUAAAAGGAAGUCUUUUUUAUUGACAAUUAGGUGAUAUUUGAUUGCAUGUAAAAGAGGUCAGCUGAAAAUAUUUUUCGAUCUAAAAAUUAUUUUUUAAAAACAUUUUUAUUGAAAAAAGUAGUUUAUAUGUUUUUUAGAAGCAUUCUCUCGAUUUUUCAAUAUAUAGAGAAUAAAUCAAGGAGCGAAAUUAAUCUCUCCCCUACUCUCUUUAAUUACUACGACUCUUCCAGCAAACUAAAUGUGCAUGCUUCAAAAACUUUUUUGGUUUCUGCUGAACCAAUAAACCAACAAAUAAUUUCUUUAAUUCUAAGAAGUUUUUUUUUUUAAAAAAAAAAUCUAAAAAUUAUUGAGCAUAUUCCAUGAUAGGCUUUGUGGCAUAAUUAGAUCUUAAUCAUACACAGAAAAAUAAAAGUUUAAACACCACAAAUAUUUUAGCUUGAUAUAUAUUUGAUCAAAGCCCACACUUCGUAACCAAGUUUGUAUAAAUUAAAUAUAAUUUUUUGAAAAUCUAGUUCAAUUCAUUAAAAUUGAAUUGAAAUAUUAAUUCCAAAUAUAAAUGGGGUGUACGUUUAGAUUGAUGUAACUAUAGUUUGGCUGAAAAUCAAGUUUGACUUCCGAACAUAACGCUGGAAAGUUGUAGGCAAGAUUUUGAGUCCUUCUGUGAAAGAUUGACUUCCGAGUACUUCAAAAAUUUAAUUCCACACCGACCUGCUACAUUUUUUUGGUACCAUAAUAAUGGAUGAUAAAACUAAUAUUUGUACUCUCAUUAACUUAAUUUACACUCGAAUUGCAACUUCACUAUCCCAUUGCUCCUUAAACCUAACCUACUGUUUGCAAUCCACUUUUCUUCUGUACGAAUUCCACAGAUAUUGCGCGUGCCAUAGGAGAAAUGCUACUUGUAUUGCUCAUUCAUAUAUAAAGUUCUUCUUUAAUUAUUUCAAACUUUUGUCGUACCACAUAUAUAUAUUUGCAUAGAUGAUUCGAACCUUUCAUUUUCUCUCCAUUUUAAUGGAAGAAAGAACUGCACCACGUGCGUGAGUGGUUUGAGUUGCACUAAUAAUAAGCGUACGUAUUCACCACUAGUUUCACGAAAGAAAUGAAAAGAGAAAAACUAAACCAUAUCAAAUUGCUUUUGUUGAUUGAUCUCACGAUGAUCUUUGAUUAGAUUCCAUGAAAUUGCCAAUACAUUGGGGAAAGAUUUUCUACUCACUUCUACUUAAUUGAUCUCUCAAAGCUCCUUUUUACAAACUACUCAAAAGUGCUUCUGAAUUAUUAUCCUGGAAUGCACCCGACAACUUUUUUGAGGGUCACAAAGUUGCCACUCAAAAAACAUGAAGGUUCCAAGAGCCCCGCUGUAGUUGUUGUUUGCUUGCUGAGUGUUAAAUGUGGAUUCCACGAUUAAUUCCUAAGACAUUCUCCCACGUAUCCUUCGCACCUUUUUGUUUUCCUUUUUUUCGUGGAUACUUCCCUACUAGCAAAGAGUUAGUCCCUAUAAAGUUUAAUUUUUUUAUAUUAUUUUUAUAAAAGUCUAGCUUCAUAUUUGUUCCUCUGAUUUGUUAUCGUUAGAUAACUAUUUAUUUUUAACAGCAGUAAGUGAAAUGUCUAUUUUUAUCAUCACAAAUAUAUUUUUCUGAAAGCUCCAGCUACUAUAAUCGUGUAGAAAGGUUUUCCCAAAAAAAUUUCAAUUGCCACCUUCUUCCUCUUUAAAACCUGACUUAAUUCGCCAUUGUUGCAACAUCUUCUCUCAUUCUUUUUCUCCUAAUUUUUUUCUUUUGAGCAAAAUAAGAAAAAAUUAUAGAAAAAAUUGAAUGAAAACACAACACGGAUUGGACAUUGGCGAAGCAACAAAUAUAAUGAGGAUGGAUAAAUUCUAGUUACGGAUUCGAAACUAGCAUGAAUUAAGGAGAGAGAGAAAGAGGAAGAAGAAGAAAAGCUCUUAUUGCUAGUGCUUUGAUUGAGAGAAGAUAUAAUAUAAGAGGUGUGAAAAUAUCAAUUUACCUCAUUAACUAACUAGAAUUAAAUAUUCAUCUAUUUUUAACUAAAUUUUUCUAAUAGAUUCUAAUGUUAGAAGCAUAUUGAAAAAUAUUAGGGCUUUUAUAGAAAUAACAUAAAAAUUUUGAACUUUGUAGGAAAAUAUAUUUACAAUUUGUUAUAUUAAAGGGAGCUGUAUGCAAUUAAACAAUAAAAAUAUUGCUCUACAAUUUAGCAGCAUUCGAAUUGUUUUUUUAUAUCAGAAUGUAUUUUAUCAUUGUCUCAAAUAAAUUCAAAAUUUUAAAUAUGUAAUUGGUAAUAUUUGAUUGCAAAAUUUUACUAAAAUGAGUUGGCAUAUAUAUAUAUAUAUAUAUAUAGAGUGAGGCUAUUAUGCUAUCGGAAGCACGGAGCCUUCCGUGCUUCCACCUCAUUUUCGAUGUUGCGAUUUUCGAAUCGUCGAUCGGCUCCGUUAAACUUGAUCUAGAGUAUUUGAAGUAUCUUAGAAAAUAAAUUUUAUGAUUUUACGAAUCAUUUGCCUAGUGAACGAAGGAGUGCUCUAAAAUCAAACGGCUGAAAAUAAAAUCUUACAAAUGUGUAAUAUACAUUUAAAUUUUAAAUCUAAGAUAUUGAUCUUGUUUUAUAUAGUAUAAAGAAUUUUCUAAUCAAAAUUUCACGUGAUUUGGAUAUUUCUACACCGUUAAACUUUGCAACGGCUCAUUACGACCAUUGAAAUUGUUGAUUUUGAACCCAUUCGAUCACUAGGCAAAUAAUAUCGAAAAAAUAAUAAAAUUUAUUUUCUAGGUACUUCAAACAACUUGAUCAAGUUUAUACUAAAGACCAUCGCGAUUCGGAAAGUCCAACAUCCGAAACGAGUGAGAGCACGGAAGCUCGUGCUUGCUUCUGAAAGCAUAGUUACCUCCUCUAUAUAGUAUAUAUAUAUAUAUUAUAUAACAGAUCUACGAGAUAGAGAGAGAGAGAGAGAAGAGAGAGAGAGAUCUGAGCUUUCGGGAUUGACGGAAGGGGGGGAGAGAGAAGUUGAGAGAUUCUUGGAUUGUGGACUACUAUUAGUAGCAAAUUUAUUGUUAAAAAAAAAAAAUAAAAAGUAAUAAUUUAUAAAGACCUUGGAUCAACCUCUUUUGUAUUAUUUCUAACAUUGGAUUAAAUACUAUAUCCGAGUGGGACCACUCAACACUAGGGGAGACACUCAACUUCUAACGACUAAUAUCAUCAUGGACCCUAAUUUUCAUCAAGGUUUUUUAAAACUUGAUAGCAAAAGAUGGUUUUUACCCUAUUAAUUAGUAUUCAGCCUUAUAUUAUAUAUAUAUAUAUAUUAUUAUAUUAUAAUUUAUAUAUUAUAGAGAGAGAGAAGAAGAGAGUGAGAGAGGCCGACACCAAGACAGGAUAUGCAAUUAUCGUGCGAGAGAGACGGGAGGAGAGAGAGAGAGAGAGUUGUUGCUGUAUGCUUAUGUAUAAGCACGGAACGCCUCGUGCUUUCAAGUCGUUUUUCGAUGUUCGGACUUUCGAAUCGACGAUCUGACCGUUAGAGUUGAUUCUAGAGUAUUUGAAGUACCUAGAAAUAAAUUUUGCGAUUUUUCGAUAUAUUUGCCUAGUGAUCGAAGGGGUCAAAUCAAUAAUUUUAACGGCCGUGGUGAGCCGGUUGCAAGUUUAACGGUAUAGAAAUAUCAAAAUCUAUGAAAAUUUGAUAGAAAAAUUCUUUAUACAUAUAAAACAAGAUCAAUAACUUUGAUCUAAAAUUUUAAUGUCGUAUCAUCAUAUUUGUAAGAUUUUAUUUUCAGCCGUUGAUAUUUUGAGCCACUUCGAUCACUAGGCAAAAUGAUAUCAGAAAAAUCGCAAAAUUUAUUUUCUAGAUACUUCAAAUCACUCUAGAUCAAGUCUAACGGAGCGAUCGUCGAUUCGACAAGCCGAACAUCGAAAACAAAAUGGAAGAUGGAGCCCUCGGUGCUUCCAUAGGCAUCCUAGCCGCACUCUAUAUAUUGAUAUAUAUAUAUACUAUAUAUAUAAUUAUAUAUAUAUAUAGAGAGAGAGACGAGAGAGAGAAGGGACGAGAGUACGGAGGACGGAUGACGGAGAGUGGAGAAGAGAGAGAGAGUUGAGGCUAGAAUAUCUCAAUAGUACGCAAGAGAGGAGUUGUGCUUUUGAUUUUUAGCCAUGGAUGGAGAGAUGUAGGAUUGAGAUAAUGUAUAGGUGACGAAUAUGAUAGAAUAGUGUUUGACUCCAAAGUUCUAUUUAAUUAUGAAGAGUAGAUCCAAGAACUAGAAACCUAGAAGCCCAGUCAAAGGGUUGAUGCUAUCUAAAAGUAUAUACUGCUCAAUUAUAUAUUAUAUAUUAUAUAUAUAUUAUAUAUUAAUAUUAUUAUAUAUAUAUAUAUAUAUAUAUAUAUAUAUGAGCUAGGCUGGUAUACUAUCAGUAGCACGAAGGCCUCCGUGCUACCAAAUUGUUUUCAAUAAUGCAGCUUCCAAAUCGACGAUCUGCUCCGUUAGACUUGAUCUACACUAUUAAAAUAUUUGGAAACUAAAUUUCAUAACUUUUCAACAUCAUUUGGCUAGUGAUCAAAAUGUCUCAAAAUUGGCAAUUUUAAUGAUAUAUGUGAUGUAUUUGUAAAUUUAACGGUGUAAAACAAUCCAAAUCAGAUAAAAUUUUUAUAGAAAAUUCUUUUUACUAUUUAGAGUAAGAUCAGUACCUUUGAUUUUAAAUUCAAGUCGUCCAUCAUCAUUUUUUAUGAAAUUUUUAUUUUCAACCGUUCAUUUUUAGACUACUCGUUUGAUAGGUAAAUAAUAUCGAAAAAUUAUGAAAUUUAGUUUCCAAAUACUUUCAAUAGUGUAGAUCAAGUCUACGGAGCCGAUCGUNGCCCUAUUUGUUUUUUUUUUAGACUUUGAAAAAUUCUGAUAUAUUCAUUAACGGGGUUUUAUAUAUAUAUAUAUAUUGCCAACAAGGAUUGUCAAAUAAUUAUCUUAUAUUGAAAUCCUCAUAUAACUCUUUUUAAAUCUUACAAUUUGUACAUUAAAAUAUAAUCGUAAGAUUCGCCCUAUUUGUUUUUUUUUUUAGACUUUGAAAAAUUCUGAUGUAUACGUCAACGGGGUUAUAUAUAUAUAUAUAUAUAUAUAUAUCUCAAUCCGACCAUAUGAUAGCCAUCGUGCCUCCGAAAGCACGAUGGUUCAACAAAAGUUACUACGCUUAGAAUGCUAAUAUAAAAUUACAUGUUUAACAUUCUAAAUUUUUUUCAAUAUACUCCUAAAGUUAUAUUCUAUUAAUAAACUGUUAGGAACAACCGUUAUAUAUAUAUAUAUAUUUUGGGGCAAUUACUUAUAUAGUCUUAAAAAGUUUCAGAUUUUUUUUUUGUUUAUCCCGCUUAGAAUGCUAAUAUAAAAUUACAUGUUUAACAUUCUAAAUUUUUCUCAAUAUACUCCUAAAGUUAUAUUCUAUUAAUAAACUGUUAGGAACAACCGUUAUAUAUAUAAAAUCACUAAUUUGUACUUUUAAAUAUACCAUUUUAUCGUCAUUAUUUUUUUUAUUUAUUCUUAAGUUAGGGACAAAAGAGUUAUUUUUACUUUUUUUUUUUAACUUUGGUAGUAAUUUAAUCCUAAUUUAACUUGAGAUGAUUUAACAGGUACUAAGCGAGAUUUUUUUGAAUAAUAGAGAAAUAGAUGAGAGGUAUAUUUAAAAUAAAAAAAGGAGUAUAUAAGAUACUUAAGAAGUUAAUUUUGAAGGGUUUAUAGGUAACUAUCCCUAUAAUAUUAUUGUACAUCUUAAUAUUAGUAUCAUUUGCAACUUAAAAAAUAAAUAAAACAUUAGAUUAAAAAACCUCCAACUUUAGUACGUACGUAGUACUAUAAAAAUUAAUAAUUUUAUUCAAUUUUUAUGGUUGUAAUGUGUUGAAUUUAAUAAGCUUCAACAGCAAACUUAUGUCAGCAAAAUUUUAUAACUGAAUUUAAUAAUUAUUUAGUUUUUUUAAUAUAUUUGACUCAAGGACAAAGAAUACAAUAGAAUUAAUUAAUACAAUUUUUAAUUAGAAAAAACAACAGAGACAAAGACUAACAUACAUCUAUGCCUUUUGUAAUAUAUUUAGCCUAGAAUCUUACAUUCUUUUAGUUUUUCUGCAAUUGCACGUAUGAUUAAAACCGGACGAUCUCAUAUUUCCAAAGGAGUUGGUGCGUAGUUCAGAGAAACUCAAACAAUUGUUCCCGCAACAACCAAGCAAAGCCUAGUUUGAUUAUAUAGUAAAAUUUGUUUUAAUCUUUUCUUUCUAUAAGCCAUAAAUUACAGUCGCAAAUGCAGUUAAAAUAUAUUUCUUUCGUGGUAAUUAUAUCCGUAAUUUUAAAAUAUUGAAGGAGAAAAAAAAAUGUAACUAUUUCACUGCAUUAUCAAACUAGGCCUAAGACUAAAAUUAGAAAUGCUAAGGUGAAUGGCAAGUUAAUAAAAUAAAGAUCGAAGACUUAAUUUGAACUAACAGAUUAUUUAUUUUAUUUGCAUUAUAGUUGGAUACUUUUUUCACUGAUUUCUGUCGUGGUUGGCUACUCUACUCUUGUCAUAUGAGAAAUGGCAUAAGAGUGAAGUUGAAUUUUUAAAUUUAUGUAAAAAAUGUAUAAAAUUUAUCUGAAUUCUGGAUAAUUUUCAUUUGAUUAUUUAAUGUUUUAUAAUUUUAAUUUUACUAUCUAAUCUUUUAAUUUGUUUGAUUCAAGUCGGUCAAUAAAAUUUUAACUUUAAAUUUUGAAUGGAUCGUUUAUAUUUGCCGGUUUAAUUAGUUUAUUACGUAUAAUUCUCGCAACUAUAAAUUUAUUAAAAAUAAAUAAUUAGUUUAAAUUUUAAAUUAAAAUGUCGUUAACUAACUUAAAUCAACCAAAUUGAAACGUUGGAUAGUAAAAUUAAAUUUUAAAAGAUUUGAUAAAUCAAAAUGUUCCAUAAUUUAAUUAAGUUUCGUAUAUUUUUAUCUAAAAUAUAUUUUGCUAGUACUCCUUUCACCGUCGCUAGAUUUUGAAACUUAAUUUGAUCUCCUUCUUAAUUAGAAAAUAUAAUAUUCUUGAUAAACAUUAGGAACUUCCUAACCUUUCAGUAAGAAAAGAGAUUAUAACAACAUUAUAUUAAGAUUUCGUUAAAAAUUACGAAGAGAUUGUAUUUCAUACAGCACAAACAAUAUGACAAAAAAUUAAUAUAUUUAUUAUUGUACAUAAUAUCAUAUUCUAAUAAUGAGUUGGCUAUAAUUAUUUUCUACGAUCCUAUAAGAAAAUAAAAAAAAAAAAUCUCUGUACGCUUUUAUUCCAACCCUCUUUAGCCUAACAAUAUUUAGAGGGCAUUUGAAUUAAUGAAUCUGUAGAUUCAACGUAACUCAAGUGCAGUAGUACUUGAGUUUUUCUGAAGUAUGAUUAUUUUUAUGUUGUUUAUUUUGACGUAAUCCGUACAGUUUGAAAGUUAAAUUCAAUUACUUCUUAUGUUUGUUUUGAUGUAACUUGGUGCUGGUGAAAUUAAUUUUUUGAGUUUCAUUUUUAGUUUCGAUGUAAGUAAGUGAAUUUUAUUAUUUUUUAAAUAUAGUGGUAAAUUUAUCACUAUAAAAUUUAACCUAUUAUAUAAUUAUUUUUUUUAUUAUUUAAAGGUAAUCAUAAUUUAUUAUAAAUAAGGUAAUUUUAACUUAUUAUAAAGGAAGUAGAGUUUAGAUUUUACUAUUUAAUAAAUUUUUUAGAGGAGGUUUAGUGUGACAGAAGUCGAGUUCGACACUUUAGAGGAGAAAGUCGAGAAUGAGCAAAAUAGGAGUCUAACGUAACUUAAAUUAUAUUAUAUUUUUAAUUUAUAUUAAAAUAAAUAAUAAAAGUGAUGAAACUUAAGUUCCAUCACUCCACUUACGUGGAAACAAGCCGACCGCAGGUGAACCACAAUAAAACAUUUUUAAUUGUAGGAGAAAGUUCUAAACAUCCCACUAUAUUAUACCUACUAAAGCAUCGACAUAGUUAUUUUCUAAUCCAUUUAGUAUAUCUUAUGCUAUAACCUCCACCAUACAAAACUUAUUCUGCAGCAACUUUAUUGGCAACAAGUCAACGAAAUCAAAAUUUCAAAAGAUACAUUCUAAUUUAAACUUUAGCGUUUUUAGGCACAAAAUUGAGUGAAUCAGAAAACUACCAUUCCCGCCCUAUAAAACGCCCCGUUGGUCCCCCGUUCCAUUCAAACACAACCCCCCCUACCCCCACGGGCACACACCCUUCUCCUCUCCAUCCAACUCGAUCCUUUCUCUUCAUUAACUCCGCCCCUCUCCUCUGCUCUGCUCCCAUUUAGUACUUCACCAAACACUUUUUAACCUCUCCACACAAGCGAAAGAGGAAGGAGAGACCCGACAACAAUGGCCCCUCUCCCCGAGACCAACGGCGGCGGCGGCGGCGGUGGCGAGACCCUCUCCGACGCCUGGGACUACAAGGGCCGUCCCGCCGCGCGGUCCCGCACCGGCGGUUGGACCUGCGCCGCCACGAUUCUAGGUUCGGUAGAGCACUUGAUUUUUUCAAUUCAACACGCUUACUGUUGUAGCUGCUAACGAAAACCGGCCAUGAGAAGGUGUCGAGCUCUGCGAGAGGCUGACGACGCUGGGCAUCGCGGUGAACCUCGUGACUUACCUCACCGGGACUAUGCACCUCGGAAACGCCGUCUCGGCCAACGCCGUCACCAACUUCCUCGGGACCUCCUUCAUGCUCUGCCUCCUCGGCGGCUUCGUCGCCGACACCUACCUCGGCCGUUACCUCACCAUCGCCAUCUUCACCGCCGUCCAGGCGUCAGUAAGUAUCCUUUCUCAGGAAAAAAAAAAAAAAAAAACUAUCUCCGCAUCAAUUUUUAUCAUUAUAACCGAUCGUCUCUAAAGCAAGAGGCAAAAAGUUUGAUGAUUGGUAUUCAAGAUUUUAAGUUCGAAUUCUAGUUGAUUCACAUUUUCAACUAAAUUUAUUUCUAAAAUAAAAUAAAUCGAAACAGAUAGCGUGCUAUCUAUCUCUCAAUAAAAAAAUAAAAAUAAAAAUAAAAAUUAUCAUUAUACACAGGGAUUGAAAUAGUCCCCGGAUCCUCUCAAUUUCCACUAUUUGAUUGAUCGACGGUCGAAUUUUAAUAUUAAAAUCGUUCUUUUCGGUUUUAGCUGGGUUUGAUUUCUGACGCGCAGGGUGUUGAAUUGUUUGGUCUGAAUAUUUAAGGGGGUGACGAUACUGACGAUAUCGACGGCGGCGUCCGGGCUGCGGCCGCCGCGGUGCGCGGACCCGUCGGGCGCCUCGGCGGCCUGCGUGCGCGCGGACGGGGCGCAGCUCGGGGUGCUGUACCUGGGGCUGUACCUGACGGCGCUGGGCACCGGCGGGCUCAAGUCGAGCGUGUCGGGGUUCGGGUCGGACCAGUUCGACGAGGGCGACGGCGGCGAGAAGCGGCGGAUGAUGACGUUCUUCAGCUGGUUCUUCUUCUUCAUCAGCCUCGGCUCGCUGCUCGCCGUCACCGUGCUCGUCUACAUUCAAGACAACCUGGGCCGCCAGUGGGGUUACGGGAUCUGCGCCGUCGCAAUUCUCAUCGGCUUAGCCGUGUUCUUGUCGGGGACCCGGCGGUACCGGUUUAAGAAGCUGGUCGGGAGCCCGCUGACGCAGAUCGCCGCCGUGGUGGCGGCGGCGUGGCAUAAGAGGGGCCUGGAGUUGCCGUCCGAUCCGUCGAUGCUUUACGACGUAAACGAUGCGGCCGAGGCCGGAGAGAAGGCCAAGGCCAAGCAGAAGCAGCCCCACACCAAGCAAUACCGGUAAGCGCUUCCCACAUCCUCCCUCCUCCUCCUGCUGCUGCUAUUUUGAUAGUUUGUUAAAAUUUUUAGUAUUAAACAAAAUAUAUAAUAAAAAUAAAAUUACAAAUUUUUUAAAUUUAUUUUUGAGUGCACAGAUAGCAUAUUUUUUUUUUAACAAGUAUCUGGAUGCAUUAUUAUUAGUGUUAUUCUAGAAUGUUCCUGGUUGGGUCUAAUUAAGUAGUUUGUAGGUAUAUGCAGUAAAUAUGGUUUGGGAAGUUGAUGAUUGUUAGUUGCACCAAGCUUAAUUUGAUUUAUUCCAUACUUUCCUAUUAAAUGGGGAUAGAGUUUUACCCUUCCUGGAGCGCUGCUCGGAGCGCUCUAGAAUGUCAACAGCCCUAUAGCCUUGGAAAACCCUUGAGUGCGGAGCUCUCCCACGGCACCCGUGGGGAGCUCUAAUCCGUGAUCCGUCGUCACGUGUCACUUUUAUCUUUAUAUAAUAAUUAUAUUUUUUUUUUCAGUAUUUAAUUCUUUUUGUAGAUUUUGAUGUUAAAAAAAUCUAAAAGUCUAUUGAAUAGAGACAAAACUAAUACGCGACAGCAGUUUAAGGGUUCUUCAACGAGACGUUGUCGGAAAUCUUUCUGCUCAAGUUCUAUUCCAUAGGCUUGAGUUUGUAGUUACUAUGCGUGGAAUUGAAAAGUUAUGAAUUCGUGUCUCGGAGAGGGAAAAAAUUAAUAUGAAUAGAAUUGUACAAACCGGACAGGCUUUCGAUUAGGAAUGCGAAUGGAUCUGAAUUGGUAGAGCUCAUGUUUCGAUCCGUCCUAAAUAGAGUGAUAAGUAGAUGUCAACAUCAGAGAAAAUUAAGAAUAAUCCGUCCAUACUUUUCACACUAGCGUAGAGACAUCGAAUAGAAAUUUCCUUUGUAUUAUUCUACUCAGACUCCCUCACCGUACGCAUCUCACCAUUUCUUUUCCGAACUGGGACAAACAAGCUAGAGUAAAGCUCUAAAACGCUUUCAAAAUCUCGAAGUGACAAUUGCAUCUCUGCUCAACGCAAAAAAAAAGAAAAAAAAGAAAAAAAAAAAAGGGGGCUAUUGCAGGGGAUGCUUAGCUUGUUCAGACUAAGACCUUAUAAAUUACAAUCAUAUGAGACGCACACAAGCUGGAAAAUCAAUAUUGUCCCAAAAAUAGGAUACUCGUGGUCCCAGUAAAUAGGAUAAUACUCAAGUUGGAUAUUCUAAAAUCAUUAACUAGAACAAUUCUCUACAACGAAGCAACCAACUAUCCUUAAAUAAUUGCACUAAAUGCAUACAGAUAUAUAUAUAUAUAUAUAUAUAUAGAUAUGUACAUAGUCAAAAUUAAUUAUUAGCAUGGGUCGUAUAAAGUUGCCCUUUUCCUGUGACUGGUUAGCAGAAUCAGACGAAGAAAUUAUACUCGCAGGCCCCACACACAGCGUGUAUGUGUUGUACCCCGUGAGGGAUCAAUUAUGCAGGAAGGGUUGAUUUCAACCCACUCUAAUCCUUAUACUUAGAAAGUGAUGUUUUUUUAUUUUUUGAGAGAGACAGGUUUGCUAUCCGCUUCUUUUAUUUCAUUCAAAAAUAAAUUUAAUUAAUUAAGUUUAAAAUUUUAAAUAUCAACUAUCAAAUUUUUUAUCAUGACGAUCAAACUAAUUAAUUAGAAGUGAGAUUCUCAUAAGCUUUUCUGGAGGAUACUCGAUCUCCACUACCUUUUAACGUUGAAUUAACUCCUACCAAUUACCUUCCAUUGACUCUUGAUUAGAUGGCUUGACUUAGUUUUAGAAAUAUUAUCUGUUGAAAUGAUUGAAAAUUUUUUUUUUAUUUUCCUCUUAUUAUGCUUGCUUAGAAAUUGCGUGCUUUUUUUUACUCUUUUUUCUUUUCCUUUUCUUUUAAGAAAUUAACUUAUAGAUAUCGAUAACAUCUUUGGUGCGAUCUGAAUUUAGAAUUUGGAGUCCGAAAUAAAAUCCAUGAACCAAUAACAUUAGUUACUUAGGAAAAAAAAAAUUUGGACUGAAGCUGCAUGCAGCAUUGUGUCUUGUGAAUCACCAUGAGUUCACGUAGCGCAUAGAUAUCGCAGUCUCUGACAGUUUUUAGUUUAAGACCGAGAUUUUAUAGAAUUUUAGUUUGAGAAGAACAGUCAUGAAAGGAGCAUAACUUAAUGAUAUUCCCUGUACUCAGCUACAUUCAAAAGUAAACUUGGUGUAAAAAUUAUCUUAGCAGAACACUAAUUAUUCUUGGUUCAAGUUGAAGCUCAUAAUAAUAUAUUUAUCCUGGUGGGCGCCUCAUAGGUUUGUCAUGCGUGUACGAAAUUCGAUAUAAUUAAGCUCCACAUGGUUGUGAGUGAGAAGGUCUCCUCGUUAUUUAAUUUCCUCCUUCACCACUUUCAAAGCAAAUAUUAUUAUAUACUUUGCAUAGAUUCUCUGUUUAAGUGAUGAGGCUGGGUUCAAUGUGAACUGGGUACGAGCUGGUCACUUAUUAGAUAGUUGAUACCUCCCCAAAUAGAUUUUCCCCCCACCCCCCAAAAAGAGAAAAGGAAAAAAAAAAAGAUGUUGGUACAGAAAAUAAUAGUAAGUAAUGGUAUUUAAAGGUAUGGUUACCACCUAAAGAUGUUGGUACAGAAAAUAUUAAUUAUAGUAAUUGGUGGUAUUUAAAGGGGCGGGGGGGGUGUUAACAACAAAAUGUUUCCAUCACGUGAGGUGGGCGAUGGAGAAAACGCAUCACCAUAUGUACCUCAUUGAAAGGACAAGUAUUAUAUAUUGUUAGCCUUUUCUUUUUAAAAUAAAAUAUAUAUAAUCAGAUGCGGCUGCAAAAAGCAACGAUUCCAUUACUUAUCUUCUGAGAUUCGAACGCAAUGAUAUCACAUAGUAAGAAAUAACGAGUCUAAAACUGAUGUGGCUAUUAAUAAAAGUUAGGAAUAUAUAGUUUCGUAAAGUUUUCCGCAAACCUAUCAAAUAGCAAAUAUAUUAUUAUAAAAUUUAAUUUUUUAUAUUUAUUUUUUAAAAAAUUCAGUAAUAUUUAUAUUUGUCAUCUUGAUUUGUUAUCGUUAGAUUACUAUUUAUUUUUAAUAAAAAAUAAGUGAAAUGAUAUUCUUAUCAUCACAAAUAUAUAUGCAUGUCCAAAAACCCCAACAGUUAGGAUUAUAAAAAAAUAUUUUCUCAUAAAUUCCUAAUGGUUAUCUUCUUCCUUUAUUACUGAAAUGUUUAUAAUAUACGAGAAAUAAAAAUAUCAAUUUAUCUUAUUUGCCAAUCAUAAUUAAGUAUUUUAUCUAUAGUUAACUAUAUAUUUCUAACGGAUUCUAACAAUAGCGGUAUAUUUAAAAAUGUUAGGAUUUUUGUAGGAAUAAAUAUAAAAAAUUAAAAUUUGCAAGAAUAUAUUUACUAUUUGAUAUGUUUACAGUAGUUGUAUGCAAUUAUUUAUAAAAGUUAAUAGUUUUAUUUGCUCGUCUUACGUAAUCAAACUUGGUUAUUAUCUCAAAUUUUACGUACCUAUUUCUUACUUUAAAUUUAUAUAUAUAUUUUAAGCCUAGUUAGAUUAUUGAAUAAAAGGAGCGAGAAAAGUGAUUGCUAUAGUCAGGUUCUCGUUUUUGAUAAUUAGGAAAAUAGGGCGAGAAAAGUCUUCUCUAGAUAAUAGACAAUUAAACAAACUCGCAUAAAAAAAAUCACGAAAUAUAUAUAAAUAUAUAUUCUCUGUUUUUCACUAUCUUCUUAAUUUACUCAAUCAAAAUAGCCAAUGCCAUACGACAUUACGUAAUUGAUAAUUAAUCUGUGAUAAUGGUGUUUUGUAAAAGAGUUUUCUUUGGAGUAUAGAGCGUGAGAAAACGAGAGAAAAUUAUAUUUUGAAAUAAAGGUUUCAUUUGAGGAUGACUUAAAAGAGUAUCACAAGACUCGCACCACAAGAGUCUCGCCGAAUUUCUACACAGGGAGUCUAGAUCAAAACCUAACUGCGACCAUUUUCACCACCGAUACAAGUCAUUCAUAUUCUAUGAUUGUUUGAAAUAAUUGGUUUGAACGAUGCGCUAUCCAAUCAUUCUUGAAAAAUUAUUAAGAACAAAUACAAGGGAUCGACAAGUUGCAGCUUGUCUCUUAUCUUGCCUACCAGUACUAGCUAUCUUGGCUUUCACUUGUGUGGUCUCCACCGUGCAUGGUCCAUGAAACAGCUCGAAAAUUUUGUUUAUUUUCGGCGAAAGCACUGUCGUAACAGUUCUAAGAUUGUUCUUACUACUAGUAAUGUUACACUUACCGCACUACAAAUCCCGAAUUUUUGAAUUUGAUGAUGAUUCAAAACUUUUUGAAUUAUCGCUCUUUUCGUUUUACAUCAUUUUAGUAAGUAACAGGGUACAAUUUCCUGCGUUCGUCAUUUAUCCAUAGCUUUCGCGCAAAGAUCAUAUCUGAAUUUUAUGCCUAGCUAGGUUCUAGUAAUAACAGAAGACCUUCUCAACAACAUUUGAUCCGUGACUAGUGCUACAGUUCCUUGCUGAUCGUUUGUGCUGCACCAUAUAUACUUGCAGUUUCCUAGACCGGGCCGCGAUCAUCGAAGAUGACGCCUCGGCAGCCAAGACUCUGCCGGCCAACUGGCGGCUCUCGACCCUCACAGAUGUCGAAGAAGUAAAGCAAGUGGUCCGGAUGCUCCCUACAUGGGCCACCACCAUCAUGUUCUGGACCGUCUACGCCCAGAUGACCACGUUCUCCGUGUCACAGGCCACCACCAUGGACCGCCACAUCGGCCCGUCCUUUGAAAUCCCCGCGGGCUCCCUCACCGUAUUCUUCGUUGGCUCCAUCCUCCUAACGGUCCCCGUUUACGACCGCCUUGUCGUCCCGACCGUCCGCCGCUUGACCCACAAUCCCCACGGCCUCACCCCUCUCCAGCGCAUCUUCGUCGGUCUCGUCGUCUCCAUCAUCGCCAUGGUCGCUGCCGCCCUCACCGAGCGCAAGCGCCUCCAUGCCGUCCACGAAGGUACCUACGGACAUUACGUAACGAUUCAAACCGAUGCCUCUUUUUAUAGGAACGGUGUUUUAAUCAUUUAUAUUCAACAGGCGCCCCGACCUUGAGUGUGUUCUGGCUGGUCCCGCAAUUCUUUCUGGUGGGCGCCGGCGAGGCGUUCACUUACAUCGGCCAACUGGACUUCUUCCUAAGAGAGUGCCCGAAAGGGAUGAAGACGAUGAGCACGGGGCUGUUCCUCAGCACGCUAUCGCUCGGCUUCUUCCUCAGCUCGGCCCUGGUGAGCAUAGUUCACGCCGUGACUGGCGAGAGCGGUAAAGGCGCGUGGCUCGCCGAUAACCUCGACGACGGCAAGCUCUACAACUUCUAUUGGCUUCUCGCCGUCCUGAGCGUAAUAAAUCUCGGUUUCUUCUUGCUGUCGGCCAAGGGGUACAUCUACAAGGAGAAGCUGAUUGGGGCCGACGGCGCGGAAUUGGAGGAAGAUGCCUUUUGUCAUGCAUAAAUGUAAUCUUUAUCUUUAUGUGUGUCUUUCUCUACGUAAUUUUAACUAAUCAAGAGUAAUUCUAGCUGUAACGUAUCAUUGCCUUGUAGAAGUAGUUUGUGGUGUGAUCCGCUGUAAUCCGUUCAUAAAGUUAAAAUUUUGGGCGCGCAUGUUUUUUUCUUUUUUUUUGGUUUAUUAUUAUUUUCGUUGAUUGUUGAUCAAAAGAUGUGCCUUUUGGUUCAAUAACCGUGAAGGACAGUUACAAGUUACAACACACGCAAGAGUGUCAAAAUUGGGAACCGUCCCCCACCCACAUUUUGCAACUUUACAACCUUUUAACUAACUCCACUUCAAAUCCAACCAACAAUUGAAGGGGAUUAGCCAUGGAACGGCCUUUCACAGUGCUCGAGAAGAAAUUGGCCGAAUUGGAAUCUCAACUCACCGAACUACUCGUCGGCUCGGCCGACGACGAGAGCCCCGACGGGACGGCCUGCUGCCGGCAAAGUGCCUUCAAGGAGGCGCGCCCGCGAAUUGAGUUUCUCAAAACACUUCUUGCCGCCGAGAAGGAAUGCCAUCCUUGCGAGGGGCCGGUGCACCUCGCACACAUAGAGGAGAGGCUGGCGGCCGUUGAUGGCGCCUUUCGCAAGUGGGUCGAUUGCGUCGUCACCCCGGAAGUCGACUUCCGCGAGCUCUUGGUGUGUUCCUGCACCGAUGCUUGCUUUAGCGAGGAAGGGAUGGAAGAAGACGAUAGCGUGAGAGAGGAAGCCGAGUGUUUCGUUCCGCCGAUGAGCAAGGAUGUCGAGAUUUUAGAAUUAGGAGGAGGUGAGAGGGACGAGAGAGAAAGCGAAAAAGAAGAGAGGAAGCAUUGGGGGUUUUACUGCAGGCAUUUGGGUUUUCUCAGCAUUGCAGCAGCAGCAGCGGCGGCGGCGAUCGGUCAUAUAGCCAUGAAGUUUGGUAGUGUAGAAGAGGAUGUUUUUCUUGUCCCAACCUGAGAUAGUUUCCCUGAGUAGUUUUGAAUUCUAUUAAUCUUCGGAGUUAUUAUUUUGACUAAGGUAUCUGAAACUUUGUUACAGUGUAAAUCGUUUCUAUUCUCAGCGAAUGAAGUAACAAUGAAGAGAGUUGAUCUACAUCAGGUUUGGACUAUGCACCACACUUCCUAUUUUUCUUCUGAAAAACUUAGGAACCUUCUAAUCAGGAUAUUGAACAAAGAAAAUAACAGGAUUUUCAUCAGCAUCGUCUAGCAGGAAUAUGGAUAUUGCUGUAACUGAACGUAGAACAAUAGGAAGGAUUUAAAUUCUAUGCACUGCGGAUCAUUCAAAAGAAUUUCAUACACAAAAAAUCUGGAAAAAAAAAAAACUAGCAAUACACACAAACAAUCCUUUAAUUUGACAGCAAGAUUAAGCACAAAACCUAUUACUUUUCUGUUACUUUUUUCUAUUACUUCUUAUCUCUUCACUUCCUUCUCAAUAGAGGAGGAACAAUCUGGCUUCACAAAGAAAAGAAAAGAAAAAAAACAAAUGGGGGUAUACUUCCAGUGUAAUCUGUGUGUGUAAAUGCUGCUACAUUUUCUUUAUCAAGUACCCAAAGAGGAUGCCUAGCAUCAGCACAAUCACCACGAACGUGACAGAGUAACCUCGACGAACUCUUGCUCUUUCUUUUCUCAGCAGUCCCUGUAACAGAAGUUCACAAAAAUCCAAUGUUCAUGAAUUGUUAAAAAAUAAUAAUAAUACAAAAAAAAACAGAGGUUGAGGGGGAAAAAAGAAAAAAGGAACCAAAACAAAACAAAACAAAACAAAACAAGAGCUCUGUGACCGCCAACCCUAGUUUAUUAGAGCGCAAUCGUAGUAUAUCAAGAACAGUAAAAACAACGAAACAUGGAACUCCAAUAAAUUCUACUCAUUCUGGCAAUCAUUGGACUUUAAAUGUCUCCUGAAACAAAAACUUCGAAAAAAUGACAAUUUCAACCUACAUAAAAUUUCAAUCACUUAAUAGCACAGUGAUAUUAUAGCUACAAUAAAGGGCCAUUUUUUUCCACAUCGGGGACUCACAAGAGAAUAUACACAUAUGUAUUUAUUCUUAAUAUGAAAAGCCCAAUAAAAAAAGAACAAGCCAUCCAGAAAGUCUAAAAUCACAAAAUGAGAUUAUACUAAAUUUAUUAACAACCUUUCAUUUUGUAUCUGAAGAUAACUCUAGGAGAACGAAGGAUGAAAGAAGUUAAUCAUAGAAAAGUGAAUCAUACCAGCUGUUGCCGCAGUUUCUGAUUUUGCUCAAUGGCAUCUGCUUUCUCUUGUGUCAGCUUUGCUAUAAGCGGUAGUGCCUAGAGAAUCGAAAAGUUGGAAAAAUGUUAUUGCCAGGUAUAUCGACAUAUUUGUACCUAUACCCACAUGGAUAUUUUCGUGUGCAUUUAACACCAAACCUUCAGUAUAUUAGACAUCAAAGUUCUGUAAGAUAUAGCGGCAUGUCAUACAAAUCCUGUAGACUCCUAGUUUGGAUUAGAGAAGCAUCAUAUCAUGUAACUCCAUAGCUUACAACAGAUAUUUACUCAAUCAUUUGACAAGUUCGUCACGAAUAUUCACCUACUCAACUUAAAAUUCAUAAGGAGAAAAACAUCUCAGCAUCUAAUCUGUAGUACUCAACAGGUAUAUCUCCAAAUCUUGAUACAUCAGGUGAAACUCCUGACAUUAUUCAAUGGCUAUCAGUGGUUAAAGAUGCCUUCACAUAAUAUGCAUCCAUCACAUAUACUGAUCAUGCUAUCCGUAAAUGCAUUGAAAUAAUAAUAAUGGCUAUUAGAUUUACUGGAAUGGCAUGUAGCUAUUUACUCGAAAGUUGUCUUCCUAUGUUCCACUUUUAAUAACCCGUGACAGAUAAACAAAUGCUACAAUAAAGAUUGUGUGCGGCGGUACUAGAGAGGGUGGGUACUGUGGCGGUACCAUACUGAAAUCUUCCAAGCUGAAUCUUGCCAUAAUUCACAAAUAGGCAGCCACUAAAUGUCAUGACAAAGGUCUAAUGCUAACAUCAUUAUGUGAAUCAAACUAGCAUAAGCAAAACUGACACAAAGACAUUGCUUUACCUAAUCUAUAUUAUUUCUUAUGUUGUACAAUAAGUUUUGUAGAUGUAUGAGACCGCUAUGUUUCGCCUCCAACUGACAAAUUUAUUACUAUAAUAAAACCAAAAGCAUCGUAGAUGCAUGUAAGAAUUUCUUAAAAGGUACAACAAAUAUAAGAUCAAAUAUUCACCUCUGAAGUCUUUUCCACGGAGGCUCCUUCCUGGAACUUUACAGCCUGAAAUUAAAUAAAUAGACUUGAGUAUGCAUCCCAAGAACAAACAAAGAAGAAAGAAAAAGGAACUAACAAGUAUUACUGAAACUUUGUUCAGAAAACAAAUAUGAGAGAAAUAAGGUGGAAGCAGAACACAACAAAAACUACAUACACUAUCAAACAUGGAUGAACUUUGUGCCUCGUCUAACAUAGAUGAUGUCGGAGAAGAUUCUUCUUCCACUUCCUCCGGGACUGGCGACGGAGGAUUAGCAGGAAUAUAAACUACUCGCAGCUUAAACUCCUCGACAACCUUACCCGGUGCUUUAUUGAACUUAGGGGGAAAAAAAAAAAACAGAAAUGUUACACUGAAAAUACAUCAAAAUAAUGCAAAUCACUAUGAAGAGUAAAAUUACAGAAUAUAUAUCAAACCUACCAUCUCGGAGACGACCUCCCUGUUUGUUGCACCAUCCUCAGCCACAGCACUCUGCACAAGGAAUUUAUCUUUGCAAUGGUAGUCGGGCGGAAUUUCCUUCUGUGCUUGCAUUGUAACUGUCACGAAGAAAACAAGAAUCGAGAUCCAGCGAACAUACGUACGUAACUAAUCAAUGACCGUGCAAAACUUGAUCAAAUUGGAGAAUUGCGCUUUUAUAGUAUUAAAAAGAAUCUCACUGGUGACAUUGCAUGUAGUUCCGGGCGAAAUAAUUCCAUUGUUCGGGCGCACAGAAUACUUCUUUGGGUUAGUUGUUUUAAUCUGAAAAGAUAGCAUAUCGGCAUAUACGAAAUCGACAAUGAAAGAACAAAUUUAAGAAAUAUAGUUGUAAUUCUAAAGAGAGAAAGCUUACAGGAUAUUAAAUAGGAACCCCAAAAAAUAAAAAAAUCACCUUGAAAGCUACACACUGAUCGGUCUUGUUGGUCAGCUGCAUGCAACAAGAACUCUGCCUUCUGAGCUCAACUUCUCACGACGAACAGUUGGUGAUCAUAAUACACAAAUUUAUCAUCAGUAAAACUAGUUCAAGAUAUUCUAUAUAUAUAAUAUAAAACAAAAAAAACAAUUAGAGUUAAGGUGUAGGUAAUUUCCAAUUGAUUAAACAUGCCAUCUAAUAUCAUCUACAACAGAUCACAGCUCACAGAUCGAUUGGAUAACCAAUACCCAACAGAGAAAAGCAUCUAAAAUCUCUGAACCAACACCAAUCUCACCACUCCCACGAAUCCCCAAAUCCCAAAACCCGCCACAGCGCAUCAAAAUUUGAUCUUUUACCGAUUUCUAGAACUCAAUCCGCGACAUCAUGGCGAAAAAACAGAUGGGACAUCGACAAAUGCAUCAAAAAGGAAGACCUUUUUCACGACAACUUCAGGAAAAGGGGUGGGGGGGUGUGGGGGAGAAAUCGACUCACAAGGGAUCUUGAGCUCCGAGGGUUGGACUUUGAGAAGAGUAUUGCUCAUGAUCGCGAGACCGAAUUGCUUCUUUUAAUCGCGCAUAAACGGGGAAAGAAGCCGAAGAUCGACGCGACGACGAAGACGACGGGGAGAAAUGAUUCUUUCCUCUCUCUCAAUGUUUCGUGCUCGGUUGAGCAAAGAAUUAACUAAUAAUAAAUUAAUUAAUAAUCCGAUGGGGUGGGUGAUCAGCAAUCACACGACACACGGAGACGAGAGAAGGAGAGGGGCAGGAAAGGUACGAUGACUUCGCCUUUUCGCUUUCUUUUACUCUCUCCGUACUCGGAAUUCGCCGUUACGUGAUCAAAUUAUUCUUUUAUUAUAUAUAUUUGGAUAUAAGCUGUUCAUGGUUUGUUAAGCUUUUGCAGUAAAUAAAAACUCGAAUUACCGAUAGUAAAGAUAUUUGUUAAUGAUUAGUAUGGAAGAUCUCAAAUUUAUAAAGUCGGUUCUUACUUAAAAAAAAAAAAAAAAAAAAAAAAAAAAAACUCCAAUUAGGCCUCGGGCCAAAAAUAGAGCCCAAGGGGCCGAAAGUUACUAUUUUCCAUGGCCUUUGGGCGGGCCACAGUACAAUAUGUCUGAUAAUGGAAAAAAUUUGCACCUAAUAAAUUAAUAUUGUAACAUAAUAUAAUAAUAAUAAUAUAUUUGUGCAACAGAAGAAUUCAUGAUUGAAUCAUAAUCAAUUUUAUUUUAUGUUCUAAAACCAACUAUCCACGCCACAAGAUACACAAUUGCUGUUAGUAUUUUGGUAGCCUAACACUGCAAUUCCCUCAGCAGCUUUUUUUACUGUUGGUGGAACCUUUCUGGAUGAGAGAAUGGUUAGGCAGCCAGCCAGUCAUAAUCUAUAGUUCUAUACGGGAAAGACAUGAACUUUGUCAAUUCCGAGGAGAAUAAGCAAAAAUCACAAGCAACAACAGGUAUUAAACAAACAUUGGAGUAUGAAAUUAAGGAAGUUAUCAGAGGUGAUAUGCACCACAAUCUCAGGAAGAAAGUAUCUAAGUUAUCACCUUAUAUUUCCAUAGUAACGCCCUCUUUUUGCACAAACCAAUUUCGAUUUUGUUAUAUCCUUGACCAGAAGGAAAGUGUAGCAUCUAAACAAGGAACUACUCCCAGAAUGUCGCAAACGAUUAAUGGACCAACUACUGCAUGUAACACAUUGCUCAUGAACAAGAGUGACUAGGUAAAGUUGUAUAGCUUUGUGAAAUUAAUAAUGAGAGAGAGAGAGAGAGAGAGAGAGAGAGAGAGAGAGAGAGUACCAUCUGUAGCCUUAGCCUUUGAUACAAAUGCAGUUUCUAACCAUUGGUUUUCUCAUAUUCCAGUCUUUUACCAUUCAUUACAUUUACAAAUCGGUAGUAGUCCGGCAAUUGUCUUUCAAAACCUACUGCAGAUUUGUGCCAAAAUGUUACAAAAUUUUGCGCUUGAGGUUGUGGCGAGGCCACUAUUUUGAUCCUUAACCCUUGACAAGGGCAUGCCAUGGGCGUUGGAUGCUCGCAAACCAAAUACAAGAUUGGCCAUGAAACAAUUGCACUGAAAUAUGACACGCAGAAAUAAAGGAAACAUGAAAGGCAGGUUAUACCAGUGAGUGACGAAGAAUGAUAAAAGAACAACAAGCGAGAAAAAGGACGGCAAGAAAUCGAGACGGUUUUAUCAUCUAAACUCCAAUGUUAUCCUAAUAGGUUUCACUUCCCCUCCAAAUAAACAACAAAAUCACCCCGCACGGAAAAAAAUACUCUAAAGAGCAACAUGUCUACCAUACUAUGUGCAUCAGUCAAAGAAACCAAAAUACUAUCCUAGAAAAAAAAAAAAAUUAAAACUCCAAAAGUAAACUGAACUUUGGGCUCUUAGAAUUAUACCGGUGGAACAUGACACAGCUUAUAGGGGAAACUUUUGUAUGCUGACUAAAGAUUGAGUAAUGACCAAUGCAAGAAGUGUACAAUGGGCACAAGGCAUGAUGCUUAUAUUCAACUGAUGGUACCUUAUAACAUAAUUCCCCGAUAAAAAUGCGGUUAAUGCUGGACAAAAUAGAGCAAGAUUUUUCAACAUAAAGUUAUUCAAACCUUGGUUUUCUUUCGCCCUCGAAACCUGCAAAGGGAACUAGAGAACAACGCCGAAAAUUCUCCUACAUAGUUCUUCAUGUAACCGACAAUGAGAAAAAUAAAACUUCAUUCCAAGUAUCAGGUCAAGUACAAUGUUACAUUCAUAGGUCUCACUUUCCAUAUGUAGUACCUGCAAAAGCCUUUCGUCGACAAUUACAAGUAAAUUUAGUUGCUGAAAUCAAAAUACUCUAGAUUGAUUAUAUAACACUUGAAAUCCACAUUAGUCGUAUCUACAAGUUCAACUUAUCUUGAUUCUUAAAACUUACAAAAUUGACUUGAGCUUGAGAUUGCAUUGAGUUCAAAAGUCGGACUUCAACAUCAAAAUUAUGGCAAGCAUCCAAUAUCAAAAUUCUUCAAACCAAAAAAGUUUUCCCGACUUUCAGUUGUUAUUGAUUAAAGCAUCAAAUUAAGAUCCUUAAGAAGAAAGAGAAAGCAAUCGUCUUUCCCUAAUACUCGUAAUAAUCAAACACAUUGUUGCGAUUCUGAAAUUUGAAUAACAAAUUCAAAUUUCUGAUAAAGAAACAGAGUUAGAUUAAAUCAAUCGAAGUUACAAAGAAUUAUAAGACAAUUCUGGUAUUACGAUGUGUUUAUAUAUAAAUUUACCAGAAGAAAAUCUGAACCCAACAAUAAGGAGAGCUAGUAAAAACAAGUAAUUCCUCGAUCAAAGGAAGGAUCUAGAAAACCUCAUGGAACGGAAGGUGAUGAGAGCCUCUACGACGCCGAGGCACGCUCCGGCGAGGACGUCGAAGACGAAGUGCCUCCCUAGGAGGACCCGCGACGCCGACGUGGCCGCCGACCACAGGAAAACUAGCCGCACCACAAGCUCCGCCCCAUCGCCGGCGCCGCCGCCGCCGCGGAUCCAGCGGCGGAGGGAGGCGGAGGAGAGGUGGAGGAAGGAGGCGAUGAAGAAGACGCGGGAGGAGUGGCCGCUGGGGAAGGACCAGUGGUCGAGGGCGAAGGCGAGGGACAUGCCCUUGUUGUAGACGGGGCGGGGGCGGCGAACGAGGUGCUUGAGGAGGCCGACGAGGAGGAGGUCGAGGAGGGAGCCGAGGAGGAGGCCGAGGAGGAGGGAGAAGGCGACGGAGGAGGAGAGGGGGAGGAGGGCGAGCACGACCGGGAACCAGAAGCGGCCGUCGCCGGAGACCUCUAGGGCUUUGAGGAGGGAGCGGGGGACGGGGAGGAAGAGGGAGUGGACGCGGAGGGAGAGGGCGGUGUCGACCGCGACGAGGCGCCGGAGAAGGGAGGAGGAGGGCGACGCCGCUUCGGCGGCGGCGGCCAUGGAGGUGAGAGAUUUGGUGGUCAUCGCGUAUCUUUUCCGAGUUUCGCCCGUAGAACAAAAAAAAAAAAAAAAAAAUUAUAANNNNNNNAGAAAAAAAAAAAAAAAAAAAGGAGAUGGGGGAGACGAUACCUGGACUCUUGAGGGAAUCUCUCAGCCCGUGGGCCUCUUCUUCGGCCUAACUACGAGGAUGGGCCUCCUUCAAUUGAAAGCGUGGAUGGCAGUAACACAGAAUCAGUGAACUGAAUAUUCCUCUCUCGGGUUUUGCGCCGCACACGGUGUUUUUGAAUAUUCGUUCUUUCGCACCACCCUCUCUCUCUCUUAUCGUCCCAAAAAUCCCAAAAUUGUGAUCUUUUCUUUUUGGCUUUGUUCCCCGUUACCGUGCCGACGUGGCAAACUCCUUUACCUUUUACUUAAAUGUUGCAUUUUCUCAAUAUUAGUAUUCAUUGCAUUUUCGGUUGUUGUAUAUUUUACUACGAAAAGUGGGCAUCACUGCAAAAUUUUCUGCUAAAUAGACAACAUAUAUAUUGAAAUAGAAAAUAGUAGUAAGAUAAGAUAGGCAUUAAAUCAACUUUGUUAACAAUAUUGCAAAAAUAUGAGAUCCUUGACGCAGAUCAAUUAAUUUAUUAUUCCAGCUUUGUGACUAACUACCGAUCGAAAUAUUGGGCGCAGUGUCAAUUGAGGCUUCUUUGGUUUUAAUUCAAUGGAAUAUUUAUUUUGAUUUAAGAAGAGGCCAUUACUAAAUAGAACCAUCUUAUCCACCUUUAAUGGGUCGACCAUUCGUAAAGUUUUGAUAGAGAAAGAUAUAUUUCUUUCGUCCAUUUGGUUCAAGCGAAGGCCCUCCCAUGUUUAAGAUUAAUUAAGACUAGUAUGUAUCUUUAAUUAUUUUUAUGAUGUCACAUGCAUGUGAACUAUCAAGUAAAACGUUCUAUGAGUCAUUACAGUACUAUUUCAUCAAAUCAAAUGAGAACAAGCUAGCUUAUGGAAUUGCGACGUUAGUGUUUUGCUUCAACGCAAUUGUAGUCUUGUACUUGUUAGUUCACCUUUUGGACAAAAAGAAUUUAUUGUUUCAAAUCCUCAGUGGUCUCUACUCUGAAUCGAUGUUCCUGUAGCUGACAUAUGCAACUGCGGACAACAUGCAGGUUCCACUGUGAGAGGCGUUCUCGUUUAAUUAAGCUGAUGUAUCAUAUAUAAAUAUAAACAGUAAAAAAAAAUAAUAAAUUUUAUUUGAAUUUUUUUUUUAAUUUAAAAAUAAUUUAAACCUACACCCGACGCAGAGAAAGGACCACCACCUACUUCUAUUCCCUGAUCAGGAAACAGAUUCUUUAAAUCAAAUAUAUAAAUAUACGCAAAAAUAACACAACACGCGCACGCAAAAAUAACCCUACAAACAAACCCCUCUCUCCUUCCUCUCCUUGGAGCGUCCAUCCUCCUUUUGAGCUCUGCGCCACUAACGCCGUCAACCGCCGUUUCGCCGUGAAUGGCGAACGGUUGGGUCCGCUCCCUCCACUGCAAAUCUAACGCCGAACACGACGUCGUCGACCCCGCGUCGACCCCUUCGAAGAAGCAGCCCCUCCUCCCUUCGCUAUCGUGCGCCGCCUCCUCCCUCGCCAUAAAAGACGUCGUCCUCUUCUUCCCAAAAUACCCCUCCUCCAAGCCCCAAUCCGAGCCCAAGCCCAAGCCCAAGCCCAAGCCGACGCCGACGCCGACGCCGAGCCCGAGCUCGCCAAUGGCGGCGGGGGCGGGGGCGAUGGUGGAGCUCCCGGUGGGGCACUCGUCGCGGCGCGUGGUGGAGAUCAUAUUCGGGUCGACGUGGUCGACCGCCGCGGACCGGGCCGGGUUCUUGUUCCCGGGCGAGAUCGAGGCGGUGCUCCGGGUGCACAACCCGGCCCGGGCCGUGGCGCGGUUCGAGGAGUACCGGUCGGCGGUGCGGGCCAGCGCGGCCCGGUCCGGGGAGCCGCGGUGCGCGGCGGAUGGGAACGAGAUGAUGCGGUUCCACUGCGCCCCCUCGUGCGGCGGCGCUCCGGCGUACGGCGCCGCCGUGGCGGUGGCGGCGGCGGCGGGGAAGGGGAAGGGGAAGGGGAAGGGGAUACGGACGUUCGUAGGGAGCGGGGCGGCGCACGAUAGCGCGGGGGGAGGCCGGGGUCGGAGGGCGAUGGUGGUGAGCCGGGUCGUAGCGGGGCGGGUCCGGUCCGAGUCCGAGCCCGAGUCGGAGGGCGAGUCGGUGCGCGUCGGGAAAUGUGGCUUGGUCGUGUUCGACCCUCCCGCUAUUCUCCCUUGCUUCCUCAUCAUCUAUAAGAUCUAGUGUACAACCCUUCUAAUUCUGCACGUUAAAUUGAAAUUUAUUUUCUCUCUCUCUCUCUCUUUAAGCUAAAAAGGUAUAAAACUUAUCUAAACUAUAAACUAUUUUAAUUAGCUACUUAAUAUUUUAAAAUUUUAAAUUUAUUAUCAAAAUUUUUAAUUUAUUUGAUUUGAAUUAGUUAGCGGUAUUUUAAUUUCAAAAUUUGAUUGCGUUGUUUAUUUUUACAGAUUUUAUUAGUUAUAAGCUGUUGUUAAUACAUAUUUCCAGUUGUGUUUCCUACUAAGUUGAGUUUUUAUAUAAUAUAAUACAAAAGUCAAUUCUAAAUCCUUCAUUUUAUGAGGUUGUGGNGUAUAGAAGUAUUCAAAUCAGAUGACAUUUUGAUACAAAAUUCUUUAUACUAUCUACAACAAGAUUAAUAUUUCUGAUCGAAAAUUUUAGUACUAUAUCACCACUUUUUAUAGGAUUUUUAUUUUCAGCCGUUAAAAAUUGAUUGCUAGGUAAAUGAUAUCGAAAAAUCACAAAAAUUAUUUUCUAGAAACUUCAAAUACGCUAGAUCAAGUUUAACGGAGCCGAUCGUCGAUUCGGAAAUUCCAUCAUCGAAAAUGGCUCAGGAUCACGGAGGCCUCAGUGCUCCUGAGAGCACAUACUAUAUAUAUAUAUAUAUAUAUAUAUAUAUAUAUAAUUGAGCUAGAAUACUUUUACAAGUAUUACCCCCAUGAUGCUAUUAGGUUUUUAGCCAUUGGAUUUACUCUUUGAUUACUAAUAGCCCUUAGAUCAAACACUAUUCCACCUACCACCAUCUACCACCAUCAUCUCAACCUCACAUCUUUCCAUCCAAUGGCUAAAACCUCAAAAGCACCACUCACAUAAUACUUUUACAAGUAUUCUAGUUCAACUCAUAUAUAUAUAUAUACACACGUAACAGCAGCAUUUUGCCAUGACUAUGCAUGACACAUAUUUUGAAACGCUAUCAAAUCAAAAUGCUACAUUAUACUAGACUCAGUUUAUUUUUUGUUGGUAAAUACAUUCUCCAAGAUCUGUGUUGUUCUCUUCUUUAUUUCUUUCAUCGGAAAAUUUGUCUUAUUUCACUUAAGAUCAAAUUUUAACCUAAGUGAGGAAGACAAAUUAGGAGGACCCGAGCAGUGGCAUGCACUUGAGGACAGAUUUACAAGUUAUUUAGAUUUCAAUGCCCAUAUAUAUCACUCGAUAACAACAGCUCGAAAAUAUUCCACCAUGAGUUCAUACAAAGAUUUGUCCUAUUAUCUGAAAAUCUGUAGGCUUGCAAAAUGGUGCUAUAACUUAACCAUUUUAAACAUGUAACUUGGUGCAUCUUCCAAUUUGCCUUAUUACCAGCUCCGGGGGUUUGCAUGUGAUUUUGACAUGUUGGUUUUUUCGUCACGUGCAUCCUUUUAUAGCAUAUAAUAAGCACGAAGAAGCAUGCAAAAGAAUGCAGCAGUUUCUACUGGUCUUGUAUCACAAUGAAUAGCUGCAAAUUUGGUUCGUGGCCUCUCAUGGCCUCAUGGGGUCAUGGCUUUUAAAUUGGGUUUAUUAAACCUGCUGAUGAUGAUCAGAACAAUUCCCCGAAACAUGAGAGAGCAAUUCUACAACUCCACAAAUCAAGUUUUGUGUGUGUCGUCGUGUGCGUUAAUUAAGAUUCAGCCUUUUUGACUUGGCAUCUCAGUUUACAACUCACAACUUCUUCUCUCCUUUAUCAUUCAAACAAAUCAAAGAGCUCACCAUAAAGUAGAAUCACUUAUAGUAGCUUUAAGCUACCAUUAUAAGUGAUUCUUCUACUUAAAUUUAAGCAGGAAAAGAAAGAAAGGUGAAAAAGUGUACUGAACAAAAGGCUCCACCUUUUGAUAGCAGUAACACUUUAUUAACGUGCCGAUUAUUCCAUCAAAAGACCCAAUCAGUUCUACAUAUCUCUUAAAUAAUCAAUUGAUCCGAAACAAUUCGAAUUUUCACCAAGGAUUUCAAAUCCAAAUUUGGGCUUCUACCUGUGGCAGCAAUAAUUAAAUGGAAUGGUCCCUCAGCUGGGCAUGCACCCUCAUCGCAGAAUGGUCCACAUGGUUUCCCAUUCACAGAUGCUCCCGACCAUUGGACAAAGGGAUAAAUACGGAUUGAAUUGGAGAUCAUUAAGUAAUUAAGGACCCCUCUUUUAAAAAAGGCUAUUAAAGUAUAUGUGAUGAUUCAAAUGGAAUAGCAUUACUCAUAAGAAGAGAUGAUUAGGAAAAGCUCUUUGUGUUUUGAUAAAAAAUCUUUUUGUGUUCUGAUGUAAAAUCUCUUUUAGACGAGCAAUUACUUUUCGCUCAGAGAAAACAUUUAAGAGAGAAUAUUUUCCUUACAAGAAAAGCUACCAUGUGAGAAUACAAAGGCAUCCCCAUUAAUGUUUUCAGUAAGUACAAGCAACAAACUUAUUUACAUCCUAAUUAUGAAAAUGUUUUUCUUUUCUUGUUUGUGAGGCAAAAAAAAAAAAAAUCCUAAAAUGCUUUACCUCUGCAUUUAUUUCCUGGUGCAACUGUUUCCAAAACAUUUGCACCAAAGAUCGACAGCCACUUUUGGCAAUACUAGUAAAAAAAAAUGUUUUUUUGCAGCAUUUUAAGCUGCAUAGCUCACCAAUUAAAGCUUCGUAGACUCAUUUAACUGAUGGAACAGCAGAGCAUCAUUAGACAAAGCCAUUAGGAACACUGCAGAAUCCAAGAACAUUUACUCAUAUUUGCACAUUUGCACAGAAAAUGGUAAUAAAGCAGGUGCACAUGAGUAGCCUUUAUUUAAUACAAGGGAGGGGGGGAGCUGGGCUGGCUACCAAGCAAGAAUUUAUAGCACAGCCAAUAUGCAUGUUCUCAAAAGUUUCAAUAGAAACAUAAAUGAUUAAUAUUAAAAACCAAACAUUUUGCUGCAUAUUUGCUUUGUCGGACAUGAAUGCGUCGCAAUAUACAAUGAAAUGUCUAUAGAUUGCUCAGAAUAUUCAAGAAUUUAAUGGACAGUAGGACAUUGCCAAUAAUUUCUGAAAUAUAAAGGAAGCUACGACAACUACAUAAGAAAUACCACUCGUUACAUAACGUGAUCACUUAUUCUACGCUUAGACACUUCUUUUUGAAUUCAUCGAAUUUUGAUGAAUCCAAAUUUCUCGAUCAUGCUUAAUUUUAUCCUGUUGUGCUUGUCACUUUUAUGGUUACUAGAAGAAUUGCUUUUCAUGUCAUGUACUACUUUUACCUUCAGUUGUAAUAAAUACUACCUCAUGAUUUCUAUCCUCUAAUUGAUUUAAGGUGGCAACUGAACCUACCUUCACUUCUAAGGCACAUGGUCUACAGUAGAGCUAAGAUAUGCCCUAUACCUCCUACAAAGUAUUGGGUAACCUGAAUAGCCUUGUCCUCUCUCUUUCUUUAAAUAACAAGUGCCUGACACCACAUAGAAACAAUUGAAUGCCCAGUUACCUGCUAUCAAACUUACACCCAAUAGGGAUGAUAAUUGAUAUCCUGAGCUGGUGGAUCAGAAUGUGCUCCACUCACUUGCAAAAUGAAGGUCCCCCACUCUGUUACCAGCUACAUGAAGCACAAGGUUGGUUCUAUGUUUGGAACCAGUAUUUUUAAGACAUGCAAAAAAAACAUAAGACUGGAAAAUGUUCUAAUUCUGCAUUUGUACUCAAUAAGAUAUUCGGAAACAAAAUAACUACGAUAAGCAGAAGCAGGUUUGUUCCCACUAGUCAGCCAAAAUGAAACAACCUUAUUCUCCGAAAGAAAGUUGACAGAGACGACGAGAAUUGUAUAUUUUCAAAAAGAAUAGGCUGAUUUGGGACAAUCCACAACUUACUGCGCUUUCCGGCGAAAAGGGAUAGAAGCAGUUGUAGCUCACAUUUCUGCUCUCCUUCCAACGUAGGACAGCAUCAAAACAGUGUUUUCCUUUGUAAGAUUUUCAAACACCACUCCCGUAAGAUUCUUCUGCUGCUACAGCAUGUGUUUAUGAAGUCAGUUUUAUAAACUCUGCCGGCAAUAUAAUUAUCAAUCUAAUUCAAUAUACCAUACUCUGCAUUUAUUCAGUCAGAAACACUGUUCGGCAGACGCCAAAUCUAUGUGAAUGUUUUGGAUACAGUUCCUGCUGCUUGGCAAAAACAAAGAUUCAUUUUUCGUAUUAUAACAGCAAAUAUGCUAGUAUUCAUUACAACAAUUUAAUAUCACAUAACUCCAUACUACAACAUCGUAAUGAGCAUUACUUCCAUUUGUUAUGUUGGGAAAAAGAUAUUAAACAACCAACAGCUCGCGAAUAUGCAACCUUGAUUCCGCAAAAAUUAUGUUUAAAUACCACAUUACCAAGACCAGUUCAAAUGAAUGAUACGAGAGCAUCAGUCGGUUCUGUGAAUGGAUCGACUUACUGAGGGAAUAAAUAAGUAAAAUAGUACUCGUUCUUCAAAUCUUGCUUCCCGAUAUUGAUGAAAAGAAGAAUAGAAUAAAAAUGGCGAACAUAAUUAAUUGUCAGAAUAAGAAAUAACUAUCUCAUUGGAAUCCAAAAUAGAGCAUAGAUAUGUAGUUAAAGGAUAAAAAUGAAAACCCGAUGGCAGCAAAAUGAGAAGCUUUACUGCAACUAGAAAUAAUAGAUGCCGGUUUUGACUGCAACAUUGAACACGACCCUCUAAUGUACAAAUCGUACACUUGCGAACUCCUGCUCAGGUUCUCACCUGAAGAGGUUGUAGAUGGCCACCAUCAGCGGGACUCCACGAGUAUAUAUAAUGGCUUUCCAUUUAACCUUUCACGACCCUGCAAUAUUGUUGAAGAAGAAAUUGCAACAAAUAAAUACAAACAUUAUUCAGUAAUAAGAAAACCUAGGAAGGUAGAUGAAAAGGAGAAAUGUUGAAGUGUCAAGUCUUGUCGGUUGUUGUUAGUUUAGAACAUAAAACAAAUAAACACAAUAUUAUAUCAAACCAAAAUGAUCAAAUACUAGAAAAUAAUGUUUAAAUAGUUCCCUUUUUUUCAACCAAUAGAACGAAAAAAGUAACACAACUGUUGUAAAAAACAAGAAAGGAAUUAUCAUAUACAGUAAACACAAUAUAAUGAAAUUCAUAAGAUAUAUGAUAAAAGGACCACUACAGAUAUUAUUGCAAUUUGAAAGCGACAUCGUAAAACAAUAAAUGAGAAUACAUAAAUUAAAUUAGUUAAUAUUAUGUAACGAAAAAAAUUUGUUCCAUUCACAUUUAAUUCAAUAAUCAGUAGGAAAACCUGUUCCAGGUUUGUUCCAAGUCAGGUAAGGUAGGGUCUAAAUACAUCAAAGACGGGUCCAGACACAAAAUUUCACUGGAUCUGGUCAUUUGACACACACCAGGUAUUCAGAAUCAAAUAGUAACUUGUAUACACUGGCAUUUGCUGACCAGCUUGUUUGACGGCCCUCAAAACGCUCGGAAAUGAGUGCUCAGACCUUUUGCUGUAAAAUUCUAAGGCAGUAAGUCUGGAGGGAUCCUACUGUUUUUAAUCUUAUUCAAUCAAGUUGCUGAAAACAUUCAGCUGGCAAUAUUUUGCUUCAGGGAAAUAUAAUCAUAAUACACUACAAAAGACCAAUUCUGAUGAUGCUCUAUUUAACAGAAUAAGACAACAUCAUAGAAGUCCAUGGACAGGUAGAAAAAUAAUGGCAAAAAUGAAACCUAAUUUUUUUUUCUGGUCAUAUCUGGUCAUAUACAACAAUAUAAUGUAGAAGAUAUAGUGAAAAAAAAUAUGGAGGGAAACAGAAUUCAGUAACAUUCCAACUAGAUUCAGAAUGAUUUCAUUUCAAGAAAAAGGAGUAUAUAGUUGGUUGACAUAGAUAAAAGGAUGCUGACACUCGGUGGUAUUCUGAAUAUGAUUAUGUCAAUAAUUAACAAUGGCAAAGUAGAUUCACAAAAACAUCAAAAGACAAUUCACAGAAAAUCUCAACAGAAAGAAGAGGAUUAAAUAGACAAGUACAUGCUUGUGUGCCCCCAAAAAUAAUCAAUGAAAAUCAAAUAAUUAAACUGAAAAAGAAAUAAAUAAGUAAAAUUUGAAAUGCUAAGGGAAAUUUCAGGACAGCAUUGAAUAGAAGGGUCAGAUUAAAUAGAAAUAGGAUGUCAGACACACCUUCAGUUCUGGAAGUUCAAUAACGCAUGCACACUCAACCACUUCAGCCCCAGCACGCUCUGCAAGUAGAAAAUACAUGGGUUAAUUGUUUCACAAAGCAAAAUUAGCUAAAUGACAUUUCUCGAAAAAAAUCCAAAAAAAGAAAAGAAACGAAAAAGAACAUUAGUUAAAUGAUUUAAAAGGAAGCAAAAUGAUCAAGAAAAAACUAUGAUACUGAAUUAUAAUUCUUGUAUAAUAUCUAGUCCAAUUAGGACACGAUCCAAGAUCUUACAAUUCUUGUAUAACACUAAUUUCACAAUUUGAUUGCCGAGAUCUAUAACUAGUUCAGUUUAUCAGCUAGCUGAGAAACUUCGCAGUGUCAUUACCAAGUUUCUAAUUUUGACCAUAAGAAUUUUCAGGACAAAUACAACAUACCUAGUAAAUUUAUGGCAGCACAUAGAGUUCCUCCAGUUGCAACCAAGUCAUCAACAACCAAGGCACGUUCACCAGGUUUAACAGCACCGACAUGCAUUUCAAGACAAUCAGUUCCAUAUUCUAGAACAUACUCUUCGGAAAUUACUUCACCUGCAUUCACCAUAAUUAGUUGAUUCAACCUCUCUGAGAGCAGCAAGUUUUCAACUUCAUUAUAAAAUAGAAAUAAAAACUUAGUUCACACACAAGUAUUUUUUUUUUUUUUUAAAGAAAGAAUAAAAAAACACAUGCAAUACAAUAACUGCAGACAAACAUGUAGAUAUAUGUAAAAUCAGUCAUAUAUUCAAAUGCGAUCAAUCCAAAAUAUUGGUAGCCUGUGCAGGUAUACACAUUAAUGGAUGAGCUGAAGUGAAAAACAGAUAAUAAGCUAGUACUCAUUUGCCUGUUUUGGUAGAGAAAAUUUUAUCACAAAAAAGAAAACAAAUAAUGUUAAUUCUAGUCUUAUUACAGCUCAUCAAUAUCAUUAUAUUUACAUGUGGAUACUGAGAACUUGUAUGUCAUUUCAUUAAACUAGAUAAUAAUAGUUCAGUGUAUAAGGAAUCUACGGUACCUGGCAACUUUCUUGGCUUUCUUAAUGGGAUGAACUUCGCACCGAUAGCUAAUGCAAUAGGAGGACCAAAAAUGAAGCCCCUAGCCUCAAUUCCUAUCGGUUAAAAAGAAGAAAGAAAUAUCACGCAAUUGCUAUCUGAAAGUACACAAAAACAGGCAUUAAAACACAUCAAUCAACACCAAACUACACUAUAGGACAAUGAACAUACGAAGUUGGUCUAAUAGCUACAUUUUGAAGCAAUGAGAAAAAUAAUAAAUCUCAAAUCUGAAAUGUUUAUGUAGUACAAGUAACAUGAAUAUAAUCUACAUGACAAAGAAAUGCUCAAUAUCAUGGCCCAAAUAUCAAACUUCUUGUAUUUGUCUAACUACUACAAAGGAAUGUCCCAUGCUUUAGUUUGAGUUCCCCUUUGCCAUCUUUAACUUAAAAGUCCAUAUAUACUAAAAGAAAAUGCAAGGUGAGUUUCAAUAUGCAAGAAUGAAAUAAAAUUUCAAAUCAAUACUUUGAUCAUCUAAAUUAUUCACCAAACGAACAAUGACAAAAUUCACCUAGAACCUUUCAAAUAAAAUACAUUGUAUAUCUUCUAGAAUUCUUUGCUUGCAAGUGCACCCAAUAUAUGCACCCAAUAUAUAUAUAUAUAUAUAUAUANNNNNNNNNNNNNNNNNNNNNNNNNAAUGAUAUCGAAAAAUUAUAAAAAUUGUUUUAGAAAUUUUAAAUACUCUAAAUAAUGUUUAACGGUCGGAUCGUCGAUUUGAAAGCUCUAUCAUUGAAAAAUACUUAUGAGUACGAAUGCGAUGAUACUUCUAUGAUUACGAUCGUCUUCGACUCAUAAGUCGUUUCGAUGAUAGAGCUUCCGAAUCAUGUUCGUACGUUACACUUAUCUUAGAUAUUUAAACUCUAUAUGCAUUAAUAAUAUUUUUAUAUGAUUAUAUAUUGGCUAAAUUACAGAAAACUCCAGAAUAACCGCCUUUUUUACUGUCCCCCCUGACAUUAUAAAAACCUACACUUUGCCUCCUUGUAAAAUGAAAAAUAUGCACUUCACCCCCUACCGUUAGGCUCCGUAUAAAAUAUUUUUAUGCCGAAAAUACCUUCCGCUUCUCUUGUUGCUUCACCUCCUCCGCCUCGCCGCCUCCCGUCCUCCAUUGCCUUCGCUUCGCCCCAUAUCCCCUCGCCCUCCUCGCCGCCUCGCCUUCGCUCUGUUGCCUUUGCCUAACCUCUCAUCAACAUCCACCUCGAUUUUCUCCUACUAUCGUCGAAAUCGAGGCGGGGAGUGCAGGAGGGAGAAAGGAGCAUGUGGAGAAGGAAAUGAAGAGAAAUCUCGCGAAUUGAGUGGAAUCACGCGCCGAUUGAAGGGGCUGAGAAGAUGAGGAAAGAAACAAAAUGGCGAGGGCAAAAUGGUUAUUUACACAUCGUAAUUCUCUUGAAUAUUUUUUAUUUACAAAGGGCAAAGUGUAUAUUUUAAAUAUCAGAGAAAAAGUAAAAAAGCGGAUUAUUACGUAGAAGUUUUUAAUUUAACCUCAUAUUUAAAAUAGGGCAAUUCUGGAUGACGUGUGAUCCGUAUUUCUCCAAACGCCGGUCUAAGUUUUGUUUAUUUAUUAAUAUUUUCUGAAAAAAGGCCACGGGUUAAUUACUUAGUCCUCGAGGUGACUCCUCCCCCGCUACUAAUUUUUCCCUCCUCGCUUUUCUAACUCGCUUUCCUUUCUCGUGCAGAGCGCCUCCUUCUCCUCUCCCUCCCCUCUCCCUCUCCUCUCUCUCUCUCUCUCUAUAUAUAUUAUAUAUAUAAAAUAUAUCCUCUCCCCCCACUCCUCUCCGCUCGCUCGCUCUCGCGCUCGCUCUUGAGUCACGUUCGUUCUUGUUAGGUGAGAGUGAGAGAGAGAGGGGGGGAGAGUGGCCCAAUGGCGACAAGCGAGGACGAGAAGCAAGAGGCGAAAGAAGGACCCCGCCAUUGAAGGAUCGCACGCCUCCCAUCCGCGUCUCCCAAUUUCCCCAAACCAGUACUCACCAAAUUCCCCUUCCUCGAUCCCACGCACUCGCUCUCUCCUCGUCGACUUUGGUUUAUCUUUUCCUUCUCCUCCUGUAGAAAUAUGCUUCUUGUUUGUUUCUCUCGUAAAGUUCGAAUCCUGGUCUCGAUUUUUUUUUAUAAAUUUCUUUGAUGUUUUGGAUCAAACGAACCCUAGGGAUAUGUUCCAAGACAUCACCACCUUGCCCUCGAUCCGAAGCGUUCACGAAGCACGGUGGAUUUGUUCUGGAGCGCUACACUGGGAAGGACAUCUCCCGUCGUCGCGGGUAAAACCUCAUAAACCCUAAUUCGAUCUCUUCCAAUCAUUCUACCUGAAAAUUUCCCCUUUUCUUGAUUCAAUUUGUGUCGAUAUGAUGCGCGGCCGAUCGGGAAAAAGAAGCCCCACCAUUUUUUUUUUUUUUUUUGGGGUCUCCAGGCUCAUCAUUUCGAAAAUCGAGAAGCAGGGAACCCCUUUCUUUUUUUCGCUGUGGUUGGUUCUCCUUGUUGACUCCGUAGACCGCCUCAGUGGUUCGUAAUCAAUGACCAGCUGUGGCUUCUAUUAGGAUUCUGUUUGUUGUGGAGGUGGUGGCCUCGAACACUGGACAUUACUCGUUGUGCCCCCACUUUGAUGUAAAAUUCGUGAAAGCUUCGUUGCUGUUUGAUGACCUUUUAUUCUAUUUUUGUUCAUGUUCUUUUCCUCACCGUGUUUAGAUUUGGUAUACGUGACUGCGAUUCGGGUGUCGAAAAUCGCAAUUUAAUCGACCCUUGCUUCAAUCGUGGCAACUAACAAAAUGGGUCUAUGAAUUAUUAUCAAAUGGAUACAAUAUGGUGACAGCUAAUAUCAUUAUUCGUUUACCCAUCAGAAAAGCAGGAGAAAGACAGAUUCUUGAUUCAUAUUUUCUUAGAAAAAGAAGAGGGACCAAAGUUGCAUUUUAUGCGUGUUCGUGUUGUUUGUCUUUCCUGUUUUUGUUUUUAUUUACCUGGAAUUCUGUUGGACUGCUUGUCAGGAAAAGGGAAAAAGAUGGAUCUUUUUUUUUUUUUAACAUCUUAUAAUAGAAAAAUAGAGUGACAGAAAUUGCAACUUAAGCGUGUACUGCAUCGUUUAUCUUUCGUUGUUUAAUUUCUUGAUUUAAUUCGCUUACUUAUCUGGAAAUUGGGAAAAAUAUAUAUCUUUUUUAUACAUAAUUUGUUAAGAAAAUUAGAGUGACGAGAGAUGCAAUUUAGGCUGUGUUUUGCGUUGUUUAUCUUUUGUUGUUUUUGUUUCCCUCUAGUUCUAUAUGAUUGAAAGGUGUUUACUUAUGAAGAACCCACAAGAUUUGGAAAUUCGAUGUCUGCUUUCCUAUAUACAUAUAUCGAGAACAUAUAUUGUAUAAAAAUGUGAGGUCAGGUGUGGCUUAGAUGCUUUGACAAAGGAAGCGAUAGACUUUCUAUUUUGUUAUUGAUUUAUUAGUUUGCACGCACUGUUUUCACUUGAAAAAAAAAUGUUGUUACAUUCUAGCUGAUUGACAUUCCAUUUGUCCUGUCUUUGGUGCUUUUUGUGGCAUACUUUUAGCAUAUCUUGCUAUCACUAGCUUAUAACUAUAUGUUCAUCAUCAUGGUGUUUGAUAUCAUCAUCACUUAUAAGCCUUUGAUACUGUAUCUUUCUUGCUUUUUGGUGUUGAUUGCUUUUUGGAUUUCUUGGAAUGAACAUCACAUACUCAAAAGUCCUUGAAGUGCCUUUGCACACAAUUACAUUUAGCUGUAAUGAAGAUAUUAGGAAGUUAUUAUAAUGACAAAAUGCUCGUGGUUUUGACACCGAUUGCUUAUGUCAUACGCAGUGACAAUUAAAAUUGCAAUGAUUGCUAUAUUUUAUUUUAUCAUUCAUGUGACCUUUGAAAAUAUGUGAGACCUUGCUGUUACCCGUGAUUCAUGCUGAAGUUUCUAUGAAUAUAAGAUUGAGAUGGUCUACUUCGUUAAACAUAAAAGAACCUGUAGUGUAUAACUGCCUUUUCUGUCUGACUAACUUGACGAUGGCGAUAAGUCUCCGCUGCUGGUGACUGCUUGAAGCUGAUUCCCAUGAUUUUGUUUUUGUGUGUGCAUUAUUCAGUCCUUUUGACCUAAUUAAGUCUACACGUGUUGCCUACUAUUUUCAUUCUCAUUGUUGUGCAAGUUGAUUUUAAUUAGGACAGAUUACUGUCGAUUGCAGUUUCUUUCAGUUCUUCUGUAACUUUGAGAUCUUGUUGAAUUCUUGAUAUUGAGUAUUAAACAUAGUAGAGGUCCUUAUGGGUGUACAUAAACAUUUCAGUGGAAUGGAUCCGCAGUUUUAUGCAUUGCAGGUCUUAGGAGAUAGGAGAAGUUAAAUGCAAAUUAGAGGGAUGCUUUUGUUAUAUGAUUUCCUCCUGCACGCAUAUUUUGGGUAAUAUGGUUGAAUACCCUAAUUCAAGAAGUUGUGACCCUGGAUAUGCAGAAAAUGGUAAUUAUAGAGAUUUGUUAGGUUCAAUCCGGGAUAAUUGGAGGCAGGGUGAUUUUUCUGUGUUCAAAAUAUCAGAAUUAAAGUAGGCUAAGUUAACUGACUCUGAUGCAUGAGAGAUAGCAAGUGGAUAUGAGCAAAAAUAAUGGUCUUUGAACCAAAAAUACUGCCAUGUGCAUAUGGGAAAGAAAAAUUUAAUUAGGCCUUGUGGAGAGACUCAAAUACAUUUUCAAUAUCAAAUAACAAUGCUUUUCAGGAAAUUUUGUUUCCUAUUCAAUUGUUAUUAUAUAUAUAUAUAUAUAUAUAUAUAUAUAUAUUAUAUAUAUAUGCUGGAAUACUAUCAUAGCAUCAAGCUAUUGGUGCUAUUGAUUUUUUAGCCCUUGGAUUGAAGAAAUGGUGGUUAGGAUAUAGUGGACCUCCUAGGGUUAAGUGAUGGUUGGUUUGAAUAGUAGAAUCUAACGGGUAAAAAUAAUCAAAGAUUAAAUCUAACAGUAAAAACUCGAUAGCCCAAAUCCUUGUGUGCUAUUGAUAGUACCGCCAGCCGGACUAUAAUAUAUAAUAUAAUAUAUAUAUAUAUAUAAUAUAUAUAGGGUCCGCUACUAUACUAUUAUAGUACGAUCGCCCUCGUACUCAUAAGUUAUAUUUCGAUGAUAGAAGUUCUGAAUCGAUGAUCCACACCGUUAAACGUUAUUUACAGCAUUUAAAACUUUAGAAAAUCAAAUUUUAUAAUUUUCGACAUCAUUUAACCUUACAAUCAAGAGGUCCACAAAUUUUGACAAUUUUUAACGGCCGGUAUGGAUACUUGCUAAAUUUAACGGUGUAAAAGAAUCGAAAUUUCUAAAUUUUUUUAUAGAAAAUUCUAUCACUACAUAGAUAAAGAUCAAUAACUCGAGUCUUGAUUAAAGGAUCCGAUCAUCCUUUUUAGGACGUCGUUCGAUUUGACCGUUCAUUUAUGCCCACUUGAUGACUUUAUUAUAAUUUCGAAAUUUAUGAAAUUAUUUCUUAGAAGUUUCAAAUACUCUAGAUCAUAUUUAACGGAGUGACUCGUCGAUUCGGAAGCCCAUCAUUGAAACAACAUUUAUGAGUACAAGGACUCCAAUACUCAUAAAGUUAUAAGUAGCCACGGCCUAUAUAUAUAUUAUAUAAUAUAAUAUAUCUAUAUAAUAUAUUAUAAUAGAAUAUGCUACUAUACUAUCAAUAGUACCAACCUUGGUACUAUUGAGUUUUCGCCGUUGGAUGAAAGAAUGUGCGUUAGGAUGAUAGUGGUCCUCCAAGUUAAAUUGAUAUGGCCCUUAGGUUUGAGUGGGUGUUUGUGGUUUAAUAGUAAAUCUAACGGUGUGAAAUGAUCAAAAGGUAGAUCUAACGGUAGAAAAACUCAAUAGUACCAGGCUUUAAUACUAUCGAUAGUAUAGUAGCGGACUCUAUAUAUUAUAUAUAUAUAUUAUAGAAUUAGGCUACUAUAUAUCUACAGACACCGAGCUCCGGUACUAUAGUCUUGUUUUCGAUCUUAAGGGUGUUUCAAUUUAAUGAUCCACACUGUUAAAUAUGAUCUAGGGUAUAUGAAGUUCUUAGAAAUGAAAUUUAUUUUUUUCGACAUCGUUUACUUACUAAAUAAAUUAUGUCAAAAAUGGAUGGUGAAAUAGAAUAAUCUUUAAAAUUUGAGCAUAGGACUUUUAAAUUCAAGAUAAAGAAUGUUAACUUUGAUCUAGAUAGUUUAAGUAUUUUCUAUCAAAAUUUGAAGAAUUUAGAUUCUUCUACACCGUUAAACUCCAAACUCGCCAUAGUAUGGCCAUUGAAAAUGACAAUUUGAAAUGGUUUGAUCAUAAAGUAAACUAUGUCGAAAAAAUAUAAAGUUUUAUUUCUAAAAUUUUUAAAUACCCUAGAUCAGUUUGAAUGUGUUGGACGUUGAUUUGAACACCCUAAAUCGAAAACGAACUAUAGUACCGGAGCCCGGGCUUUAUAUAGUAUAGGAACUAGCUCUCUCUCUCUCUAUAUAUAUAUAUAUAUAGAUAUACGUAUACGUAUAUAAGUAUACUACGUAUACGUAUACGUAUAUAAGUAUAUACGUACAUAUACACGUACAUUAUGUAUAUAUAAUAUAUAUAACCAUAAUAUAUAUACUAUAUAUAUAUAAUAUUAUAUAUAUAUAUAUAUAAUAUAUAAUAUAUAUAUAUAUAUACUCUUACAUAAAUACAGUUUUUUCGGAACAUAUCGUUAUCUUUAUUAGAUGUUUGGGCCAAUUCAUGAGAGGUAGGUGUACAAAAUAAGUUGUUAUUGCAAGAUCAGGUGUUUCUAAAAGUACGUGUAUAUAUAUAUAUAUACACAUGUACGUGUAUAUGUACGUAUAUACUUAUAUACGUAUACGUAUACGUAUAUACUUAUAUACGUAUACGUAUAUCUAUAUAUAUAUAUAUAGAGAGAGAGAGAGCUAGUCUCCUAUACUAUAUAAAGCACCGGGGCUCCGGUACUAUAGUCUCGUUUUCGAUCUUAGGGUGUUCAAAUCAACGAUCCACACCAUUCAAACUGAUCUAGGGUAUUUAAAAUUUUUAGAAAUAAAACUUUAUAUUUUUUCGACAUAGUUUACUUUAUGAUCAAACCAUUUCAAAAUUGUCAAUUUUCAAUGGCUACUAUGGCGAGUUUGGAGUUUAACGGUGUAGAAGAAUCUAAAUUUCUUCAAAUUUUGAUAGAAAAUACUUUAAACUAUAUAGAUCAAAGUUAACAUUCUUGAUCUUGAAUUUAAAAGUCCUAUGCUCAAAUUUUAAAGAUUAUUCUAUUUCCACCAUCCAUUUUGACAUAAUUUAUUUAGUAAGUAAACGAUGUCGAAAAAAACUAAAAUUUCAUUUCUAAGAACUUCAUAUACCCUAGAUCAUAUUUAACAGUGUGGAUCAUUAAUUUGAACACCCUAAGAUCGAAAACAAGACUAUAGUACCGGAGCUCCGGUGCUGUAGAUAGUAUAGUAGCCUAAUUCUAUAUAUAUAUAUAUAUAUAUAUAGAGUCCGGCUACUAUACUAUCGAUAGUAUUAAGCCCUUGGUACUAUUGAGUUUUCUACCGUUAGAUCUACCCUUUGAUCAUUUCCACCCGUUAGAUUAUACUAUUAAACCAAACCACCCACUCAACCCUAAGGGGCCACUAUCAAUUUAACUGGAGACCACUAUCAUCCUAACCGCACAUUCUUUCAUCCAACGGCCGAAAACUCAAUAGUACCAAGGGCUUGGUACUAUUGAUAGUAUAGUAGCAUAAUUCUAUAUAUAUAUAUAUAACAAACAUGAUUCAGAUUGAAUAUUCAUGGUCUGGUUUGUUAGUAACUCUUUUAUUUUAUCUGACUUCUAGUUUUCCCCUACUAAAGAGAUUUUCUAGCUCUGCCCCUGUAUAUGUGAAACAAUAAAAAUAGGAGUAUUGUAGUGACAAUUUGAUCACCGGAAUAAAUCAAAGCCUUAGUGCCCGUUUGGUCUCGCUCCUGGAUAAUUUCUCACUCCAGUAUGCAGAAGCUUCCAAAAAGUAGUAGGCUAAAUACAAGUAUAAAGCUUUUGAGGUGAUGGAAAACUUAAAUUAAAGCUCCCUUUUGAAGCUUUUGUUUUUAUAGCAGAGAGAGUUGUUGAGGAGAUUUUGCUGGAAAAGCUAUUACGGUUUCUUUGAAUAGUUCUAAUCNUCUACUUGUCAUUCUUAACUGUCGGGAGAAUUAUCCCUUUAGCAAAGAAGGUGUCAAGAAAGACUUAUGAGUCUAUCAUAACGCCGCGAUAUCGACCGGGUUGUCACCUUUGUGUCGAGGGUGAAGGAUCUAAUCCCAACCCUCUUCCAUCGGAAAGUCCCUUCUAUCCAGUCCAUACCCCUGGAACAGGGUAUGACCUGGGAACCUACCUGCCGGCUGGGGUACUAUCGAUAGCACCAAGGAUUUGGUGCUAUAUCGAGUUUUUCACCGUUAGAUUUAACCCUUUGAUUAUUUUUACCCGUUAGAUUCUACUAUUCAACCAACCACUCACUUAACCUUAGGGGGUCCACAUCAUCCUAACCACCCAUUUCUCAAUCCAAGGGCUAAAAAAUCAAUAGCACCAAUAGCUUGGUGCUAUUGAUAAUAUUCCAGCCUAUAUAUAUAUAUAUAUAUAAACAAAUUGAAUAGGAAACAAAAUUUCCUGAAAAGCAUUGUAUUUGAUAUUUGGAAAAUGUAUUUGAGUCUCUCCCACAAGGCCUAAUUAAAUUUUUCUUUCCCAUAUGCACAUGGCAGUAUUUUUGGUUCAAAGAACCUUAUUUUUGCUCAUUCCCACUUGCUUUCUCUCAUGCAUCAGAGUCAGUUAACUUACCUACUUUAAAUUCUGAUAAUUUUGAACACAGAAAAAUCAACCCCUGCCCUCCCAAUUAUCCCGGAUCUGAACUAACAAAAUCUCUAUAACUUACCAUUUUCUGCAUAUCCAGGGUCACAACUUUCUUGAAUUAGGGUAUGUCAAGCCAUAAUUACCCUAAAAUAAUGCGUGCAGGAGAAAAUCAUAUAACAAAAGCAUCCCCUCUAAUUUGCAAUUUAACUUCUGCCCUAUCUCCUAAGACCUGCAAUGAUAAAACUGCGGAUCCCAAUUCCCACUGAAAUGUUCAUGUACACCCAUAAGGACCUCUACUAUGUUUAAGCUACUCAAUAUCAAGAAUUCAACAAGAUCUCAAAGUUACCAGAGAACUGAAAGAAACUGCAACUCGACAGGAAUCUGUCAUAAUUAAAAUCAACUUGCACAACAAUGAGAAUGAAAAUAGUAGGCAACACGUGUAGACUUAAUUAGGUCAAAAGGACUGAUUAAUGCACACACAAAAACAAAAUCAUGGGAAUCAGCUCCAAAGCAGUCACCAGCAGCGGAGACUUACUCGCCAUCGUCAAGUUAGUCAGGACAGAAAAGGCAGUUAUACACUACAGGUUCUUUUAUGUUUAAACCGAAGUAGACCAUCUCAAUCUUAUAUUCAUAGAAACUUCAGGCAUGAAUCACGGUAACAGCAAAGGUCUCACAUAUUUUCCAAGGUCACAUGAACAUGAUAAAAAUAAAUAUAGCAAUUCAUUGCAAUUUUAAUUGUCACUGCGUAUGACAUAAGCAUUCGGUUCAAAACCACCGAGCAUUUUGUCAUAUAUAAUACUUCCUAAUAUCUCAUUACAGCUAAAAUGUAAUUGUGCAAAGGCAUUCAAAGGACUUUUGAGUAUGUGAUGUUCAUUGCCAAGAAAGUCCAAACAAGCAAUCCAACACCAAAAAAGCAAGAAAGAUACAGUAUCAAAGGCUUAUAAGUGAUGAUGAUAUCAACACCCAUGAUGAUGACACAUUACUAGUUAUAAGCUAGUGAUAGCAAAUAUGCUAAAAAGUAUGCCACAAAAAGCACCAAAGCACAGGACAAAAUGAAAUGUCAAUCAGCUAAGAAAUGUAACAACAUUUUUUUUUCCCAAGUGAAAACAGUGCGUGCAAACUAAUAAACAAUAACAAAAUAAGAAAGUCUAUCCGCUUCCUCUUGUCACAAGCAUCUAAGCCACACCUGACCAUCACAUUUUUUAUACAAUAUAUGGUUCUGAUAUAUGUAUAUAGGAAAGCGACAUCGAAAUUCCAAACUCUUGUUGGGUUCUUCCAUAAGUAAACACCUUCAAUCAUAUAGAACUAGAGGGAAACAAAAACAACAAAAGAUAAACAACGCAAAACACGGCCUAAAUUGCAUCUCUCGUCACUCUAAUUUUCUAACAAAUUAUGUAUAAAAAAGAUCAUAUAUUUUUCCCAAUUUCCAGAUAAGUAAGCGAAUAUGAAACUCAAGGAAAAUUAAAACAACGAAAGAUAAACGAUGCAGUACACGCCUUAAGUUGCAAUUUCUGUCACUCCUAUUUUUCUAUUAUAAGAUGUUAAAAAAAAAAAAAAGAUCCCAUCUUUUUCCCCUUUUCCUGACAAGCAGUCCAACAGGAAUUCCAGGUAAAUAAAAACAAAAACAGGGAAAGACAAACAACACCGAACACGCCAUAAAAUGCAACUUUGGUCCCUCUUCUUUUUCUAAGAAAAUAUGAAUCCAAAGAUCCUGUCUUUUCUCCUGCUUUUCUGAUGGGUAAACGAAUAAUGAUCAUUAGCUGGUCACCACUAUUGUAUCCAUUUGAUAAUAAUUCAUAGCCCAUUUUGUUAGUUGCCACAGAUGAAGCCAAGGGUCGAUUAAAUGCGAUUUUCGACACCCGAAUCGCAGUCGUACCUACCAAAUCUAAACAGGUGAGGAAAAGAACAUGCAACAGAAAAAUAGAAUAAAAAGGUCCAUCAAACAGCAACGAAGCUUUCACGAAUUUUACAUCAAAGUGGGGGGACCAACGAGUAAUGUCAGUGUCGAGGCCACCACCUCCACACAAACAGAAUCCCUAAUAGAAGCCACAGCUGGUCCAUGAUUACGACCCCACUGAGGCGGUCUACGGAGUCAAACCAGGAGAACCAACCACAGCGAAAAAAAAGAAAGGGGGUUCCCCUGCUUCUCCGAUCGAAAUGAUGAGACUGGAGAACCCCAAAAAAAAAAAAAAAAAAAAUGGUGGGCUUCUUUUUCCCGAUCGGCCGCGCAAUCAUAUCGACACAAAUUGAAUCAAGAAAAGGGGAAAUUUUCAGGUAGAAUGAUUGGAAGAGAUCGAAUUUAGGGUUUUAUGAGGGUUUUACCCGCGACGACGGAGAUGUCCUUCCCAGUGUAGCGCUCCACGAACAAAUCCACCGUGUUCUUGAACGCCUUCGGAUCGAGGAGCAAGGUGGUGAUGUCUUGGAACAUGAUCCCUAGGGUUCGUUGAUCCAAAAACAUCAAAGAAUUAUUAAAAAAAAAAAAAUCGAGACCAGGAUUCGAAACUUUACGAGGAAACACCAAACAAGAAGCAAUUUCUACAGGAGGAGAAGGAAAAGAUAAACCAAACGUCGACGAGGAGAGAGCGAGUGCGUGGGAUCGAGGAGGGGGAAUUGGGUGCAGUACCUGGUUUGGGGAAAUUGGGGACGACGCGGAUGGAGGCGGCGAUCCCUUCAAUGCGGGGGUCCUUCUUCGCCUCUUGCUUCUCGUCCUCGCUUGUCGCCAUUGGAGCCACUCUCCCCCCCCUCUCUCUCUCACCUCUCACCCUAACAAGAACGAACGUCGACUCAAGAGCGAGCGAGCGAGCGAGCGAGCGAGAGAGGAGUGGGGGGGAGAGGGAUAUAUUUAUAUAUAUAUAUAUAUAUAGAGAGAGAGAGAGAGAGGAGAGGGAGAGGGAGAGGGAGAGGAGGAAGGAGGCGCUCUGCACGAGAAAAGGAAAGCGAGUUAGAAAAGCGAGGGAGGGAAAAAUUAAGUAGCGGGGGAGGAGUCACCUCGAGGACUAAGUAAUUAACCCCGUGGCUUUUUUCAGAAAAUAUUAAUUAAAUAAACAAAAACUUAGACCCGGCGUUUGGAGAAAUACGGAUCACCACGUCAUCCAAGAAUUGGCCCUAUUUUAAAUAUAUGAGGUUAAAUUACAAAAAACUUCUACGUAAUAAUCCGCUUUUUUACUUUUUCCCUCUGAUAUUUAAAAAUAUACACUUUGCCCCUUUGUAAAAUAAAAAAUAUUCACAGGAGAAUUACGAUGUGUAAAAUAACCAUUUUGCCCCUCGCCAUUUUCGUCUUCUUCCUCAUCUUCCUCAGCCGCCCCUUCAAUCGGCCGCGAUUUCCACCUCAAUUCGCCGAGAUUUCUCUUCAUUUCCUUCUCCACAUGCUCCCUUUCUCCUCCUGCACCCUCGCCGCCCUCGAUUUCGACGAUAGUAGGGAGAAAAUCGAGGUGGAUGUUGAUGGAGAGGUAGGCAAAGGCAACGAGAGAGAAGGCGAGGCGGCGGAGGAGGGCGAAGGGGAUAUGGGCGAGGGCGAGGCAAUGGAGGACGGCGAGGCGGCGAGGCGGAGGGAGGUGAAGCAACAAGGAAGAAGGCGAAAGGUAUUUUCGGCAUAAAAAAUAUUUUAUAACGGAGCCCUAACGGUAGGGGGUGAAGUGCAUAUUUUUCAUUUUACAAGGAGGCAAAGUGUAGGUUUUUAAAUGUCAGGGGGGGAAAGUAAAAAAGCGGGUUAUUACAUGGGAGUUUUCUGUAAUUUAGCCAAUAUAUAAUCAUAAAAAAUAUUAUUAAUGCACUAUAGAAGUUUUAAAUACUCUAGAUAAUGUGUAACAGUACGAACCAUUGAUUCGGAAGCUCUAUCAUCGAAAACGACUUAUGAGUACGAAGACGAUCGUACUCAUAAGAGUAUCAUCGCAUUCGUACUCAUAAGUAUUUUUCAAUGAUAGAGCUUUCAAAUCGACGAUCCAGACCGUUAAACAUUAUUUAGAGUAUUUAAAAUUUCUAAAAAUCAAAUUUUAUAAUUUUUCGAUAUCAUUUACCCUACGAUCAAUAACUCACAAAAUUGAUAAUUUUUAACAGCAGAUAUGUAAUACUUGCUAGUUUAACGGUGUAAAAGAAUCGAAAUAGCUUGAAUUUUUGAUAGAAAAUUCUAUUCAUUAUCUAGAUAAAUAUCAAUAAUCCCGAUCUUAAAUUGAAGGAUCUGAUCAACCAUUUUUAUAGGACAUCGUUUGAUUUUGACCGUUCAUUUUAUAUCCGCUUGAUAGACUUUAUAAUGAUUUCGAAAAAUUACGAAAUUUAUUUUUUAUAGAAGUUUCAAAUACUGUAGAUUAUGUUUAACAGUGUAAAUCAUCGAUUCGGAAGCCUCAAUAUUGAAAAUAAUUUAUGAGUACGAAGGAUUCUAUACUCAUAAGAGUAUAAUAGCCUACUAUAUAUAUAUAUAUAUAUAUAUAUAUAUAUAUAGAGAGAGAGAGAGAGAGAGAGAGAGAGAGAGAAUGGGUGGGGUAGAGAAUGGACAACGGUUCAGGGAAAAUUCCGCACCCUAUCCGUGAACAAGAAGUGUCACGGGGAUUCACUCGCCUGUACACGGCCUAAACACGGUUAUUAGCGGUCCAACUUUUUUUCAAAACCGGUCCAACUUUUUCCAAAAAUAGUAGUAGUAGUAGUGGGAGGAGGAGGAGCAGCAGUAGCAGCAGUGCUACUUUUAAUUUAUAAAAUUAAAUGGGCACUGACCGGUUUAGGUGUUGGACCGGACCAAGAUUUGAUCCGAGCCACAUCGAGCUCUGUGUCGCGUACAUCGUCGAUUGCCCGUGUGAGACCGAGUAGGUUCGGUUCCAUUGUCAACAUUAAUUGCUUUAUUUGAUUUAGAAAUUUCGAGCUCUCUUAUUAGUUUCAUGGUUUUCUAUUUUUGGUUUUGUUUUCAAAAAUAAAAAAAUGGUGUGGUGGGAUGAAUAUUGCAGUAACAAAAGAAAAUUAAACAUGUUUUCAAAACUAUAUAUUUUUAUAUAUUAAAAUAGUACCGUUGCUUUAUUCUAGUACUAAUUCUACCUGCUUAAACAAUUUAUACAAUCUUUGUUGGUAGCUAAUCUAAAAAUGUUUAAUCCGUACUAUAAAUUUAAUGUACCCCUUCUAACGAUAGAUUUAAUUUAAUUAAGUACAAUUUAGUCAUGUAGUUACACAGGCUAGUUGCCCAUCCGGUAAUAACACGUGACAGACGCGAAAAUUAAACUGUAGAUCGUGAAAAAGCUAGUUAUUACCGGCCAAGCCCAGCAGUUGAUAUUUUUGGAUCUUUAUUUUCAGAGCCGGAGUUCGAUUUUUACUAGUAAUUUCACGAAAAGAAUUCACCUAGCUAUAUGAGUAUUGAAAUAAUAUUUGUAUUAAAGUUCCAGAAAAAAGAUUUAUGAAGAAAAAAUAAAUAUAAAAGAAUAAAAAGAAAGAAAUUUAACUACAAACAUAAAGACUUGUUGAAAAGUAAAAAAAAAAAAAAAAGGUGCUCAUAAAAGAAUAUGAAAAAAAAAAAAUUUUUUUUUAGAGAUAGAUUGCAUAGAUUGCACGCUACCCGUUUCGUUUAUUUUAUUUAGAAAUACAUAUAACUAGAAAUGUGAAUCAACUAGGAUUCGAAUUUGGGUCUCGGAUGCCAACCACUAAACUCUUUGCCACUUGCUUUAGGAAUGGUCAGUAUAUGAAAAAAAAGGUUAAUUGAUAAAUUGCACAAGCCUUGAUCAAUUUUGACUCCAACUGAAAAAUGAAUUAUUUCUUAAAGCCUUUCUAUAGCCAAAUACAAAAUUUUAUUAUCACAGGCUAAAUUAUAAAACACGGAAAGAAAUUUCUAGAAUUAGCACACUUAGCCACAUUCUUUACAUUUCUAGUCGCAAUUGAAUCCAAUUUGAUCUAUGUUACUACCAUUGAUUUUAGAUUCGACAUGGGUCCAACCGAAUAAUACUACUAAGACUAAAAUUCAAAUCUCCGCCACUUUUCAAACAAUACUAGCAGCAAAAAAAAAAAAACUAAAAAUAAGAUAAUUGUAUUCAUCAUAAAAUAAAAAUUACAACACAAAUAGAAUAAAUAAUUAAAUAUUGUUAUCAUUACUUUGCUGCUGUGCUGUUUUAUUUUCGUCCAAAAAAUAUACAAAUAUAUAUAUAUAUAUAUAUAUUUUAAAAAAAUCUAGUCCUAUCAAAUGGAGGACCAGUGAGGUCACAAUGAGGACUGAGGAGUUAAAAAGAAAAAGCGGGUGUGUUCAGAAAUUCGAAAAGGUCAGGGGGGCCACCACAAAAAAAGCGCCUUGUCUUUUUCCCAAACGCUGGUGGAGUACGACCUCAAAGAUCCUCUGCUGACGCUACUCUCGGGCGGGAACAGGACCGAAUCCUCCAAUCCACAGAGCCUGAUCCGCUUCGGACGCCCCCACAAUUUAUGGGGUCGCAGUUUUCCCGGGCCCCGAUCCCACAGGAAAAUCUCACGCGCACGCUACGAUCCCGCCGAUGGAUAUAUAACUUAUUAUCAAUAAGCAGCAAAAUCAUGCUGGCACGCAACGUAUAAACAUAAGUCAUUCUCGAUAAACAGCGAAAUUUUUUCGCAUGCAAACAAAAUAGUCUUAAUACAAUUAUACAUUGCAUCAGAUGGUGCUCAUUGUUCAUUAAUUUCUUAAUUAGAUUUGCAGCUGAAAUGAACAGAUUAUUUAGUUGCUUUGUCUACCUGUAUACAAUUCUCUCAAUCCGAGAGCUGACGAAUAAUAAAGUUGAAGAUCUUAAGAUUUUAUUUGUUACUGUAUUUUUUUUCUUAUCUAAACUGAUAGCAUUCCUUUUAGCAUAGCAAAUUUUCAUUAAGAAAAAAAAAUUACUUUUUAGCAUUUGGUCAGAACUUAUUGCCGGUUAGUCAAUAAUAACGGAAGUGAAGAGGUUCUUUCGUCAAAAACAUCAAAUCAUACGUUACUUUUGGUUAUAAAAACCAAAAAAAAAAAAAAAAAAAAAAAAAAACCUCAAACAGAGCCUUAGAAAAAAAAAUAUAUUUCCCCUAAAAUUAUGUUUUUAUUAAUAUAUUAGAACGGUCCAUUGAGGACCAGGUCCAAACAAUAAUUUGGCUAGAAAGUGAGUGGGCCCACAAACGGAGCCCAUGAGCCAAUCGUGCAUUCUCUAGAUUUUAUCCUGAUCCUGGCGGGCCCACGUGCGGGGCCUGCUCACCCUACAAGCACCCACAUUACACGACCCGCGAUCCAUUCCCGGGAAAACCAACGACUCAUGUCGCGCCACGUGGAUUAUGCAAAAGGACGGCCCCGUGCGAUGCAAAUCGAUUUCUACGCAGCAUGCCGGACCAUUGGUAAACGCUGUCACUGUUAUUCCGUAUACAAUUUUUAAUUAUCAUAUUCUCUCUCAUCGAACACUGUUUUUUUCUCUUUUUUUUCCUUGAUUAAAUAUAAAAAUAUAUGAAUACUAUUUUUUAAUACAUUAAAAUUUUAAAUUAGAAUGGUUGUUUCACAUAGUAUUAGAUCAGAAGAUCUUAAAUUCGAAUCAUAUCAGCCUCCUAAUAUUAUUGUUAUUUUUUUUAUUUAAUUCAAGUUCACGUAAUGGGCCUUAUAAAAAAUUGCUUCAGCUUCAGCUUUAGCUUUUAGAUACCGCUUGGUUCGGGUAUAAACAAAAAAUAGCUAUUACAUGAAUAGAUACAAGUAUGAGAAUAAAAAAAAUAUCAUUUGGAUGAAAAUUGGAUUGUUUCCGGGGAUAAGAAAAAUAGUGUUUGGAUAAAUAAUAUGGAAUAAGAAAAAUAUUCGGUAGUUUUAUAUAGAAAAUGAAGAUGUUGGUGGAAAUAGUUAUAAUUGGUUAUUAUAGGUAACCGAGAAGUACGGUUCUCGAAUAAAAAAUUAGCGUUUGAGUAUAAAGGGGAAUAAGGGUCUAUCCCUAAUUCCCCAUUCCUAUCCCCUAAUCAAAUACUGCCUUAGAGUUAUUACAAUAUAAUAAUAGAUACUAGAUAAAUUUUCUACAGUAAAAGUUUUUUAAUUAAAUACUUUUUUGAAACAAAAAAGAAUCCCCUCUCAAGUCUCAAUUAAGAAGGGGAAAAUAUUAGAUUUUGAAAAUGAUUGAUGCAAUUGGGAGAUGAUGAGAUCACUCUCGAAGCUAAACCUCCACCAUAUAUAUAAUAAUGAUUAAUUGUCUUGUUAGGCAUCCACUAUUCAUUGCCAAGCAAUAACUGCUACAAAUGAUUGGAGUCUCACAACUUCAUGUUCUGGGAACGCAAAAGUUACACAAUUUAAGCAACAUUUGCUUUUCCUUUUUCCUUUUUUCUUUUUUUUUUCUUUUUUUUUUUGUUGGUGGUACUGUGAAAGUAAUAUUUUAUAAAUUAUUAUAUUUAAAAUCAGAAAGUUUAAUCGUCACUUCUAUAAUAAAAAUAUGGGUAAACCUCAAAUGCUGUUCAUGUGGUUUAGUACUCUAUGAUUUAAAAUGUAUCAAGUUAGUACCAUAUAGUUUCAUUUUUCUCUUUUAAUCAGCUCUUUCGUUAAUAUUUCGUUAAAUUAUAAACAAAAGAAUUUCAGAUACUCCAUCUAAGUUUAUCGAAUAUUUACUUUAGUACCCUUUAGUUUUAACAUUAUAUACACCCUUUUUAGUUUUUACUUUUAGGUUUCUAGCUCUUGGAUCUACUUCUUGAUUACUAAUAGUUUUUGGAUCAAAUAUUAUUCCACCUACCACCAUUAAUCCAACCUUUCAUUUUUCCAUCUAAAGAUUAAAAAUUCAAAAGUAUCAAUCUCUUGGUGCUUUUGAAAGUAUUCUAGCUCAACUCUCUCUCUCUCUCACUCUCUCUCUCUCUCUCUAUAUAUAUAUAUAUAAAAGAUGUGCACGUAGCAUCACUCCUUGUGAUAGAGUUCGCAGGUACAUUUCAACAUCUAAACAUUAUUGUUUCUUUUCCGUUUUCUUUUCUUUUUUCAUCCUUUUUGUGAGUACAUUUUCCGUGUAAAUAAGUUUAGUCUGUAGGUUUAUAAUUAUUCCAGAUCAAGCAAUAUAACCAAAUUUGCAUGCUAAUUAACCAAUCACCUUAUUAUGUUACCUUUGAUGUGGCCAAUUUAACAUGAGAGUUCAUAAUUAAUUUCAUUGAUGCAAACCUUUAUUGUGACACGUUAGAUUCAUUGAAUCCCGUAAAUUGUAGUUAGUAAAUUAUAAUCAAACUAAAUAAAUAUAUCUGUUGAUAUCAUAGCAGGAUUGAUUAAUAGCCUUACCAUUCUCUAAGUACAUAGUUUUCGUCAUAGCGAUGGUCAUUGUCUUGUUAGUUUGAUGACUCUAUGAUGGUGAAAUCUUGUUAAUUAAGCAUCUAACGGAGAUCCAACAACUCUAAUUAGUAGGUAAUCUUAGAGAAAAACAUAUCCUCAAAUUAUAUAAUUAAUGAUAUGAGAUAUAGAGGCAUAAUGAUUGGACCAAACAAGCUUUGACUAAUUUUGGCAUUUAAUUAAACGAUUAGAGUCAAUUAUUUCCCCCCUUCAUUUGCAUUUAAUAUAAAAGACCUUGUAAUCACACCGUCCAUAUCUUAAGCGGCAGCAACUAAUUACCAAGGAGUCUCUAUUGGUGAUCUUCAAAGUCCUAAUUAGCUACCUAUAUGCAAGAUUAGGAGUGGUGAUUUAAUUUGUUAAGUAAACAGAGUUUAAUAUAAUAAUAAAGCGAGAAGAAACUAUAUUCCUUCAAUCGCGAACUCGAACAUGCGGAGAGAAUAGUUUUGUCAAAUUAAAUACUUGCUUCCUCACCUUUUUUUUUUUUUUUUGGUGAGCAUGUAUUGAAGUCAAUGAUCUCGACCAACCAUAUUACACGUAAAUGAUCAUAUGAAAUUAAGAAAGAUAACUGGGCCAUAUCUUGUCUUCAGAAUACUUUAAGUUACUUAAAAUCAUAAGAAAUAAUUUAAUCUGGUUCUUUCUUGUCUUUUGUUUGUGGUGUAAUGAGAUACAGCUGAUCCGUGAAACAUUAAUUGUAAUAUGAGUAGUUCACUGACCACAUUUUAUAUUUCAUUAAGUACUAGCUAGGGCUUGUCAGAGAAGUUUAAAAAUAUUUUAAGUAGAUGGAAAAAAUUAACCUUAAACAUUGCUAGUUUUGGUCCUUUUGGAUAAGAUAAUGUUAUAUCUAAUCACUUUUGGCACAUGUGGCAAGGAUUAAUUAUCUGUUUUUUUUUUUUUGUAAUUAAUACAAGCUGGAUUAAUGUACCAACUAUGUUACACUGAACCAUGAAUUUUUGCGGCGAAAUACAUAAUCUCUUCAAAAAUAAAAUAUGAAAUGGCACCAUAAAAUGUGUAUGAUUAAUGAAACAUAUAUACAUGUUAAGACCGGAGCUCGCUCUCUAAAGAAUUUUUAUCUGUAAGUCAUUUCAGUAGAUUCUACAGUAGUCGAAACUAAAAAUAAAAUAUGGAUAAUUUAUUAGGGCUGAUUUUAUUAAUUGUGCAGUAUAAUGUGAUUUGAUACUUAUUAUCUGCAUAAUUUAGAAGAAGAAUUAUAUAUGGACCAUAUUACUAUAUAUGUUUCCAAUACUUCUUUUUUAUUGUAAAACUAGAAUUUCGAAUAUUAAAACGUUUUCCUUUCAGGCUUAAAAAUUAUUAUUUUUUAUUUCUAUUGAAGCCAAUAUUGCUUCAGAAUGUUUUCUUUACCAAAGAUUUUACUACGAGCUACUGCAUUUUUGAAACAAGAAAAAACCUGAAAACCACAUAAAUUCUUAAUUUUAAAUAUAAAUAAUAUUUUUGUAAUAGUGGAACUCCUAAUUAAGUCACUUAUUAAAACUUAAGAGUGGAACCAAGUAGUGAUGAUAUAUUUGGACAGGCACAAUUAAUUAAUCCAUCAUUUCAACAAAUCAAAUCAAAGUUUAACAGCAUCACAUCAAACACUUAUCCACUGCUCAGAAAGGUCGCGGGUCGCGGAUUGUAUACCCAAAAAUAAAAUAAAAAAGUUUUCAGCUCGCUCAGUUUAGCAACUCUUUUUUGUGUUUGCUUUGUUAAAUAAGAAAAAGACAUAAAAAUAUUGUCCAAUCGGCCUAAGUUUUUAAAAAUAAUAACUAUUUCUCAUUACUUAGCAUGAUAUCGAAAUAUAAAUUACCGAGUUCGAGUUAUAAGAUUAAUUAACAAAAUAUAGGUAUAUAUAUAAUCCAAAGUUUAAAUUUUGGAUCUUAAGGAUUGGAUCUGAUAUAUCAAUGUAUCAAAGUUGGCACCUGAGUUUUACAUUGAACAUUAGUUGUUAAUUAAUGGUUACACUCUAAUAUGCAUUUUGCUAUAAAUAACACCACACUUUAGAAGAAGGGAAAGUAAGGUUAUACGAGCACAAAAAGUACCAAGUAUAUAAUGUUGAUAGGGCUUUUUUUGCAAAUAGCCUCCUUAUAAUUUUCUUUUUUUAAAUUGGCCUUGUCAAAAAUUUAUUUGCAAAAAUGGCCCUGCUCCCGCCACGCAAGCGCCACGUCAGCGCCACGCGGGCGGGACUGGGCCAGAUGGUUAAGUUGAACACGGUGAACCAUUCACCGUGUUCAAUACAAAGUUUCUGUAUUGGACACGAUGAUUCACCGUAUCCAAUACAAAAUAGUUAAGAUCGAAAUAUUUGUAUUGGACACGGUGAACCAUUCACCGUGUCCAAUACAAAUAAUUGGACACGGUAUAUGGUUCACCGUGUCUAAUACAAAUACCUCCAACUUAUUCAUUGUUGGGAUAUUUGUAUUGGACACGGUGAAUCAUUCAUCGUGUCCAAUACAAAAAUUUUGUAUUGAACACGGUGAAUGGUUCACCGUGUUCAACUUAAACAUCUGGGCCCGCCCUGCCCGCGUGGCGCUGACGUGGCGCUGGCGUGGCAGGGGCAGGGCCAUUUUUGCAAAUAAUUUUUGGACGGAACUAUUUUUGCAAAUAAAAUUUAUUAGGGGGUUAUUUGCAACAAAAGCCCAUGUUGAUAACUGGUCAAUGCAUAUGAAGGGAUUAUUUUUACAAAUAGCUUCCUGACAAAUUUUUUUUUUAAUUAUUCCUAUCAAAAAUUUAUUUGCAAAAAUGACUCUGGCCCUGCCACGCAAGCGCCACGUAAGCGCCAUGCGGGCGGGGCUGGGCCAAGUGUUUAUNUUCACCGCGUCCAAUGCGUAUAUCCGGGACUAAAAUGGCUAAGUCCGGGUAUUUGUAUUGGAUACGGCGAACCAUUCACCGUGUCCAAUACAAAUACCUAAACUUUGUCAAGUCCGGAGUAUUUGUAUUGGACACGGUGAAUCAUUCAUCGUGUCCAAUAUAAAUAUUCCGGACUUAGCCAAAAAAUGGCUAAAUCCCGGAUAUACGCAUUGGACACGGCGAACCAUUCGCCGUAUUUGAACACGGUGAAUGGUUCACCGUGUUCAACUUAAACACCUGGCUCCAGACCCGCCCGCGUGACGCUGACGUGGCGCUUGCGUGACAGGGCUAAAGUCAUUUUUGCAAAUAAAUUUUUAAUAGGACUAAUUAAAAAAAAAAAAUUGUCAGGAGGCUAUUUGCAAAAAAAAAAAACCCAUAUAAAGUGUUAGCUAAAACACUUACUUUUUUUUUUUCUUUAAUAAUUAUGUACUUUUUAAAUUUUUAAACGUUCAUGGUACAAAGGGUGGUUCCUAUUAGCUCAUUUAUGUUCCAACUUCGCCAAAUUUAAGAUGCUCUCUCACAAACGUCAAACCUUCUAACGUGGAUCCACCUUGUUUUUUUAGCGGAUCCACCAUAUAUUAAUAAAGACAAUGACAAUGUGGUCAAUUAAUCAAAGUACGUACGGACCCAAACUAAUUAAACUGAUUAAUUUGUUCGGUCACCUCAACUAUUCAUAGUUUCGAACUUUUGGCCCGGUCGGUGUAUAUUUAAUGCGGUUGUGGCGAGAUGUGUAGGGUAAUGUUAUAUAGAAAAGCAAAAUAAUAUUUUUUAAUUAUAUUUUUGUGCCACACGUAAAACAAUUUAGAUUUAAUUUAGUAUUGAGACCUAUCUAACGCUAUUAGAUAAAAUGGAGUUGAAGAAAAAGUAUAUAUAGGUAUAUACUUCUGUGUUUUUCAAUGGGACCACAAAAAAUAUAUCGUAACCGACUCAUCGCGAUAUGCGGAACGCAAUAUUACUUACGAAAACAAACACGAUAUUUUUUCAAUGUACUUUCUCACGGCACGUAAUGCAAUCUCCCCGCAAUCCCAAACGAAGCCUUACUCGUAAUUCCAAACGGAGUUUUAGUCAUCAGUUUUUAAUUUUUUACGCACGCAUUUAAGAACCACCGUUAAUAUGUUUGAAUUUCAGACUCUUAUUCUUGCGUCAAAACAUAGUGAAUAGAAAUAUUAAAUAUAUAUAUGUUGUCUAUAACUUAAGUUGUUUUAAAAUAACAAUCAAUUUAUAUAUUAGUUAACACAUUAUCAGAUUAGAGAAAAACAGUAGUAUUUUAUAUUAUUUAAACCAUUGUUCUCCAAAAGCCACUUAUGCUACAAACAUCGUAAAUAACAUGUAAUCAUAUUUGUAGCAGUUAAAAUAAGCCAAUCAUUGCAAUUAAAAAGUAAAAUAAUAUGUUUAUAAACAAAUGGUCUUUUUUCUAUAUUUAGUAAUUAACAGCCUUCAGAUUAAUUCUAAACUAAUUUUUAUUAGAAUAACUUUUUGUUUAAUACGAUAUUAAGGCGCUAGUGUGCAGUUUCUCAAUUCUAAAAGAUCUUGAGUUUAAUUUCUGUAUCAUGCCAAAAUUGUUCCCGUUUUGAUUGCUAAAAUUAUUUUAUACUAUUUUAGAACAUACUUACUAUGUGUCUAAUAUUCAUAUUCUUUUACCGACCGUCUCUAGCGUAGGUGAUAAAAAAAACUUAAUAGUUGGUAUUUAAUUUAUUUUAAAAUUUUAGCUAAGUUUAUUUUUUUAAAAAUAAACAAAGUGGAAAAAAUAUUUGCAUUUUUUUAAAAUUGUCCCCAUCAUUACAAAUAUAGGAAUGAGCAAAAAUCAAAAGCACAAUGAUGCCUAAUUGUACGGCACAAAGUUGGAUCUAUUUAUUUGCAAUUAUAUUAAGAAAAAGGGCAAAUUAAUGAGCCGGACCGGACCACAUUGACGAGCUGACCCAAUCUACGGAUCGACUUGGCGAUUCUUAGCUCAGACCAUGUUUUAUUUUUAUUUUUUUAGUUUAUAAAAAUGAUAAAUAAUUUGAUGCUUUUUUUUUUUUUGAGAGAUAAUUUGAUGCUUAAUUUUAUAAAUAAUAAUAAUAAAAGAAUGAAUUAGCGUAUUUUACGUGUACUGGUGAGAAAAAUUAUUACUCAGUUGAAGAAAAGCACGGAGGCCUCAGAAAUAACACGCGAUCCAUACAAAUCCACUGAGAGUAGAGAAAAAUUAUUAAAUAAAUUAACUAAUUUUUUGGAGACGAAUAAUCUGGUCCGUCCCUUCGACCACCCAAAGGAGACAUCACUUUUUUAUUGAUGGGUGUAUUUAACGAACCGCUGAGAUUUAUUAAUGAGUGGGCUCCAUAAGAAGAAACAGUUUAGGAGACAGGUAUAAUAUUUAUUCAUUCAUUUAUUUAUUAAAAUUUUAGAUGCAUCAAAGCUCUUAUUUUUACGGUAACGUCGAUUCUUACAUCCAAGUAGCAGAAAAGCAACAACCGACAACAAAAAUGGCUAGCUGUUGCAUGCACGAUAAACUACAAAGAAAACGUGUUUAAUAAUAUAAAUAAAUAACCGACCGUCCCUAGAGCAAGUGAAAAAGAGUUUGGUGGUUGGUAUCCGAGGUUUCAAGUUUGAAUUCUUAAUUGAUUCAUAUUUCCAGUUAAGUUUAUUUCUAAAUGAAAUGAACGAAGCGGGUAGUAUGCUACCCAUCUCUCAAAAAAAUAAAUAAAUAAAUAAAUAUGUGCACAUAUAAAAUGUAUGAGUUUGAUUAGCUAAUUAAAUAAUGUGCCCAUAAAUAGUUUAAUAGUUUUUGUUUAUUAUUAUAGGGUUAUGGUGUGGCUUAGGGUUGGUCUAUGGUGAUGUCCACCUGUGUCUCCUUCCCCACCUCAAAAUAAUAAUAAUAAUAAUAAUAAUAACAAUAAUCAUAAUCAUCAUCAUCAUCAUCAUCAUUAGCUUGGUUAGUGUUUCACAGCCCUAGCUCGCAUGUAUGUAUUUAUAAUUUGCGAGGAUUUUGUUUUUAUUCAUAUUGUUUGGGUUUAAUUAGUUCCUUUCAUUCCAAGUUUUAUUGUGAAUCGUGAAUAUUUCAAUAUUUCUUGUAAAAAUGAAUAAUACCACACUAACAAAAGGAAUUUUUUUUUUUUUUAUAUAUAUAUGUUGUUUAAACUUGUAAAAGUGUAGAUAUAUGAUGCUUUAGCACACUUUCUCAGAAACAUUGAUUGUUCCUUCAAUGUUAUGAUUCCCCAGCACCGAAAUUCGGCAUUAAUUAAUAUUGACUUGACAAAACUCUCUGAACUACAAAGUUUCUUUUUUCAUUUGGUUUCAUCCUGAAGGAGCAUCUCAACAAGACAUCACUAGAUCUGCACUACUUAUCACGCACAUCUAAAAACUGCUAAUCAAUUCUAAGUCAUUUUCUAUUACAUUAACUUUUUAGAUGAAAAUAGUAUGGUAGCAGCAGGAUCAGCUCUACAGGGUAUUAGUUAGAACCAUUCUGAAACGCCUUGAUUUCGAAUUAUUUAAUCGCUUAUUUUAUAACUUUUUCGUGAUGAUACAUGCAAUGAGAGAGAAAGAGAGAGAGAUUUUGAAUGCAGAGAGAGAGAGAGAGUUAAUUAUGGUGACAAAAGAAAGAAAGAAGAAGAAAAAAGAAGUGUAGGCUCUAGCUAGACACAAGAAGAGGUAUAGAAUCAACAUUCAACAAUAAGAGAGGUUGGACUGGCAACACAGCCUGCGUGUUGUGCAGGGCCGAACAGGAAACUGUUGACCACUUAUUCACACGGUGUGUCUUCUCGAGAUUUCUAUUGAUAAUGACCUUAAAGUAUGCCCGGUCUAGAGAUUGGGGGGAUGACGUGAGCUCGGUCUAGGAUAGGUGGAUGACGAGGAUUGGAACGCAGUCGUAGAGUACUACGAUACACGGAUUGGUAGUUUACUGGUGGGUAAUUUGGGAGGUCAGGAACGGCGUCAUCUUUAGGAAGACCCAACCGGACCCCUUCUUUGCAGUUUACAUGAUUAAGCAGCUGACGAAUCUUUGAUAGCAAUUUCUACCAGGUAAUCGACGACACGCUUGUAGUCGGUAGGUUUUUGUUUUACUUUGUUUGUUUGUUUUGUUUUGUUUUUUUAUUUUCACCCCCUCCGAUACCUAUGUUGCCUCACCCCUGUAGGUUAGUUCAUCUUUGCAACGAAUGAAGCGGGUAGCGUAUUAUCUAUUUCUAAAAAAAUAAUAAUAAUGUGAUUGUGUACAGUAAUUAAAAGUGGGCCAGAGCAUAUAUAUAGAUUGAUUCGGGUCAAUAGUAACGGGACUGCAUAUAAUGAUGCCGACACGUCCACCCCAUGCAUUUAAUAUCACGACCCAGCUUUUCUGUGCCAUAAAAAGUGAUGAGAUUUUUACUGAUCAUUAAUUUCUUCGAGUACCGGUCCCCCUUCUUCUUCCUCCUGUGAGAGGAGAGACGAGACCUUUCAUUCCUUUUUGGCUCUUCAAUUCCUUUGGCCGCGUCAAUGGCGACACCUCAUGUGGUGACCAUCGUGGUACAACUAUAUAUAUAAUAAUAAUAAUUGUGACCACCUCGCCCCUUCAUGCACCCCCUCCCCCCAACCAUUAAAUUAAUUUUGUGCAUGCGCCAAAGGUUUAGAUCUUCUGAGGGGGCUCUCUAUCCUUAACCCUGUACAACCUCUGUGUCUACUUUGGAGCCUUUUGCCAAGAAAAUUAUUAUUAUUAAUUACUUCUGGUGCUUGAUAUGUAAUGUGGUCUUUAUAAGUUGCUGACACGGUGAAUAUACAUAAUGGUACUUUCGAAAUACAUAUAUACGUUACGUAAAAGUUAAACCUUUACCGUAGGCGCCUGUAAUGAUAGCUUAAGAUUUUUUUGAAGAACAAUGAUUGUUUCGCAAUUAUUGUACAAUCCACAAAAGCAGAUCAAUAGUCACAUAGAGCAAGUCCAUAAACAAUUGGGCUUAUAUUGGGCUAUGUGUGUUGGGCCACGAAGCAUUUAGUGCCGUAUAGAGCAUUGCGGGAUCUUAAAAAGGUUCACAAAAGACUAGCUAUGAAAAGGAAAAGAAAAUUGAAAACCAAAAGUGUACUGUUAAAGGCCUGCUUGGCCCGAUCUUCUCGCUCUGAAAUGGCUCAACAUACAUGAUUCUUUAAUCAACUACUCAACUACAAGGUUUACUAAAGGAGAUUAAAGAAAGUUCCAAUGUAGUCAUUAACAGUAAGCGCGGUAAGAGAUUACUACUUCUGUACAGAAUUAGCUUUAAUUAAACCACUCCAGUCAUUUACUUCUUAUGAAUGUGGAUUGCCUCAUCGCCGCCUCCGAAGAGUAUAGACCCUCGACCGCUUGGUUCCGACGGAGCCAAAUGGUUGUUCCGUGAAAUUGCUCCUCGACUUAUUCUUACCAAGCUCAUGCUCUAUAGUAUGCAAGUCUUCGCAAAUUUCAUGCCUUGAUAAGGAGACCAACCCUGGCAAAAUAUCCUUCUGGAAGUCUCUUAGGCCCCUUCCCCUCCUUAACUUAAACCCACAUAGAUCCUUUCGACUCUUGUUCUCGGUUUGUGUCGCGUGCAUGGAGAGCCCAUCAUCUUUAGUCUCUUGUAGAUUCAGUAUACUUCUCUCAAAAGAAUCAGCGGAAUACUCGGGAUCAUCAUUCUCUACAUCAUGUUCAAUAUCUCUGUUGUUUGGCGAGUAAUGUGCGUAACAUGUUGAAUUCUCUGAAGAGAUUAAAAGGAGUAUCUCUGCUGCACCGGGAAUUACAUCAUCCAAUUCUAAUUUCUCGGCUUGCUGUUGAUUCAUGUCAGCCGUCUGAUUGAAAUCAUUCACAGGUUGGUAUUCUCCACUCUCUGCUACCGCAUGGCUUGAUACAGUAUCCUCUUCACUUUCAUCAUGCUGUCUUUGAUUCUCUUCAAGAUGGCUAGGUAAGGUUAUUGGUAAGUUGGUGCUUCCAACAGAUGCAUGUAAGUUAUUCUCUUUUGUAUUAUUGCCAGGAAAUAUAGCCGAGUUUUGCCUAUGGCCCUCACUAUGUGCACGCGCUACCUUCUCAUUCAUUGAUUUACGCAAGUCCGACGUUGAAUGAACUCCGUUGGAGCCGCAGGAAGAUCCUUCUAGCAAGUUCUUAAAGCAUUUUUCUGAGCCCUCGGUGAAAAUUUCCUUAGAAUUUAACUGAUCUGUGAGAGAAGACUCUUUAGAGCAUUUUUUGUUCUCUGAUUCACAAUUUUCUGGGCAUGUGCCACUUGAAUCUUUCCAAACAUUUUCAGGAUGCAUAACCGAGGAACUUGUCGAUGGAGAAGGGAAUGGUUGCUUAGGAUCAAGCAGAACGUAGACCGGUUUGUCUUCUUCGUCUUGAGCAAUGUUGAGGUCAAUCUCCAAAGGUUUGCGGAAAGUAGCCUUUUGCUUCUCAGUCGACAGAUUGGCUGGAGGAAAACCUUUCCAUUCAUUUGAUCCUGGACAGGAAGGGAUUAAAAAAAAUCUCAGAAAAGAUAUGCCGCGGCAAUGAACAGUCGCAUUGAACUACUUAUCCCAUUUGUCAAAGUUUUCGAGGGAAAAACAAAAACAAAGAGGUUUCUUUUAACUUUCUGAAAAGCUCUAUUAAUUAAAGCUGCUUAAGGUGAAGCAUAAAGUAUUAUCCUCCAUAAUUUUAUGUUCUCCAUCAUCUUAAUGAUCAAGCAUCAGCUUUAGAGAAACCAAACAUUACUCGUAGAAUUAACUAUAGAGAACAUGAUCUAUUAUUGCUCUAUAGAAUACUUCGAUUAGUGAAACAUCUCGCAGGGCUAAACAUCCAGCAUAGAGCCAGGCAAGAUUACAGAAAAUACUGCAAUGCGAUUCAAUAGCUUAUCAAGUUGUGUAACAAAAGAAAACAUGCUUGGACAAGUAAUGCCAAGUAAAAUAAAGGCCAUCUAAAGGAAAAGUAAAGAAGCACACUCCUCUGUUGGAACGGCUCCGUACGCCAAGCAGUAAAUGGCUGUAUUAUAAGCAGCAAAUCGGAAGGAAAACAGGAUAAGUACAUUCAAUGUGGGCUUAGAAGAGUUGAGAUGUUGGGUAUGAAACUGAAUUUUGCACAUAUGCCACUAAAAAUAUGCUCCAAUGCUACGAAAACUACUCAGGAUCAUCGCGUGGACUCAGCGGCAAAGGAAUUCUCCAGAACCAAAUAUGGAAUGUCCUUACAAGUUCCCAAGUUAUAAAAAUGCGAUUUCGUCAUAAUUCUGCCGAUAAUUUGUGGUUUUCAGACAAAUAAUGAUGCAAAUAAACAUACUCUUAAUACUCAUACAAGCAGAUAACUUUGGAAGCAAUCAAAGAACUCACCAGGGGUAAAGUGGCAAGACUCAUGCUCUCUCCGCGGCUCACUGAAAUCUUCAAUCAAGUGAUCUUCCACCGGAACAGAAUCCGAAUCAUGCAAUUCUGUUCCGGUCGAAUUCAUGCGAGAUGUGCCGGCUCUCAACUCAGCAGCAAAGACAAACUCCGCCGCGUCAUUAGACCCCGAAACCGCAGGUUUUUCCAAAUCAAUCACAUUAUGAGAACAGAAGCUAAAUCCAACAGAAUUAGCCUUCGCCGGCGCAGAACCUGCAUCACUUUCAUUGCAAAAAGAACCCUCCUCUACUUGCGAAAAAUCGUUCGCAGGUACCCGAAGAUCAAUCAUUAUCUUGGGCUGGUUACCGAAUUGCUCUGCCCACACACCUUUACUCACUUCCAGUGUCGAACCCUCCUGCAAAAUGAUUCAUAUUCUAGUGAUAACAACUCCAAAAAUUCGACUCAAAAAGGGUGAUAAUUUCUCACCAUUAUCACAUCCGAUCCCUUCCAGGAAAGCUCGUGCAUCAGGUUCUUCUGGGUCCGGUACAAUCGAUGAAGCUCCCGUACCUAAAAUAAACCCCAAAAAAAUCAGUGAAAAAGAAAAGAAAAGAAAAGAAAAGAAAAGAAAAUUCUCUACAAAGAUUCAUGAAAGGAAACAGAGUAUACCUGUUUCUUAAAUAUAAUUUCAUGCUGAAGCAUUAUUCGCCUCAACCCAUCCUUGAUCGAAUCCUCAUACCCGAGGUCCAAAUCACCUCUCCUCAGCAUCGUCGUCGUCGUCGUCGUCGUCGACCUCGACCCCAUCUACACGAUCAACACAAGUAGUUCUUAUACAAAACGAAUCAACAAAAACUAAAAUAAUCAACACGAAAAUGAAAAGAAUCCAUACCUCGAGAGGAUGGAGAUCGAAGAGGAGCGUAUCUUAAUAUCUGUUUCUACAGCUCCUGUGGUGUGCAAUGUGUAAAAAAAAAAAAGAAAAAAAAAAGUAGAGAGAGAGAGUGUGUGUGUGUGUGUGGGGAAUAGUAUUGGGAUUGGGAUUGGGAUCGAUUCCUUUGUUUUUUUUUUUAAUUAUUAUUAUUAAUUAUUAUGCCAUUGCAUGGGUAAGGAGAGAGAAAGAGGAGAGAGAGAGGAUCCGAGCACGGGGCGAGGAGUCCGUUUUUGGUAAUAAAGGAGGAGAUUAGUACUGCACCAUUUCCUCUGCGUGUUUUGACCAAAUUGCCCCUGGGUUUUGCUACACAGUUUUUUUUUUAAAAAAAAUAAAAUUUUUUGUCCUGUCAUUAGCAAUAACUCAAUUUACUUUAAAUUUAAAUAAGUUCAAGCUUUUUUGGACAGAAAUUAAGUUACAAUUUAUGAGUAUUAAAAAUUACUUUGACUUUUGACCUUUUCAAUUUCAAAAAAAUUAAAUUUAAUUCUCAUAUUAGUCAUCUGUUUGGCAUGAAUUGUUCGGAUCAUAAAUGAAAAUUAAAUAUUCAGGAUAGUGAAGUCAAAAUAUCAUAAUAUAGAACAAGUACUAUCCAUACAGUUUACUCUGGCAACGUACAAUAGUUUUUUGCCUUCUAGGACAACUUCCCCGAAAUACCCCUGUCAUAUUCGUUUGAUCUUAUUUAAAAAAAGAAAAAAAAAAGAAAAAAAAAGAAAAGAAAAGUCUCUGGGGGAAAUCUCGGACCCAAAGAAACACCGAAAGAUAAGCUAAGUGGGGAUAAUGGGGGCCACAAAGAAAAGUAUGGUUAAAGAGAGGGGUUUAUAGUUAUUGCUCUAAGAUGAAAAGUCUAAUUAAAUAUUAUAUUCGACUUUUAAAUUAUUUGUUAGCUCGUAGAUAAAAUAUAGAAUUAAUUACGUAAUUCUGCGAAUAUAUCGAAUAACAGAUAUAUCUCUGUAAAGUUCAAAGCUCUACCAUUUUCAAAUAUACUCCUAUUGCUAAGAUCCGUUAGAAAAAUAUAAUUAAUCGUGAGUGAAAUAUUUUAUUCUCAUUAGUGAAUGGGUUAAAUUGACUUUUUAAUAUUUCUGUAUAAUUCUAAUAGUUGGAGCUUUUGAAAGGAUGUAUUUAUAAGAACAGAAAUAUCAUUUAACUUAACUACUGUUACAAAAUAAACAGCACUCUAAUAGUAAAAAAUCAGAGAGAUCAACUUUUAAUAUUAUUGAACUUUUGCAGGAAUAAAAAUAAACAAGUUAAACUUUGUAGAAAUAUAUUUACUAUUCAAUAUGUUUACAGCGAGCUGUAUGCAAUUAACCUCUAAAAUAUAAUAUCAUAUCAAAUCAUAAAAAUCAGAACCUUAAAAUUAAGGACCAAUAAAUUAAACUUUUUUCUUAUAAUCACAAUAAUAAAAAAAAAUCCUAAACCAUAAAAGUUAUCCUUGUUUAGAACAUUGAUAUACCUUUGCUUUGUUACCGGAGCGUCUGGAUUUGUUUCUUUUUGAUCAUUCGAUGCCUGCAGUUUUCUCGUCAAAAUCACUAGAAAUGCAUCGAUUCAAUGUGGGCACAUGCAGUACCAUUCGAUAGAAAUUCUGCUUCUACCUACUUCUUAAAGUGGGCACAUUAUUAUUAGAGUCCGACUGAGAUACUAUCGAUAACACCAAAAAUUUGAUGCUAUCGAGUUUUUCACCGUUAGAUUUAAUCUUUUGAUUAUUUUUAUCCGUUAAAUUAUACUAUUCAACCAACCACUUACUCAACAUUAUGGGGCCUACAUCAUCUUAACCAUAUAUUUCUUAAUUUAAGGGUUAAAAACUAAUAGCAUAAAUAAUUUAGUAUUAUUGAUAGUAUUCUAGUAUAGUUAUUAUUAUUAUUAUUAUUAUUAUUAUAUAGAAAAUUAAACUAGUCGAGAACUACUUUUUGGAAGGGUGGGUUUUAACAGGUGGAAUGCUUUGAGUAGUCUGUGGUCAACUUCUUUUCUGGGUGCCCACUUUUGGUCUAUUCUCCUGUGACAGCCACUUCGACUUGUGUUAGGUACUUAACUUUUGCUAGGCUUUUUUUAGGAAUUUCUAAAGAGAAAGCUACAUAAUGCAACCCAAUGAAUGAAUAAUGCUGCGCCAAUUAAAGUGCUUUACCUCCCAAAAACUAUAUAUAUAUAUACUAGCUUAUUUAUUAAGUUGCAUCAAGUGGUGAGAUUAUUUUUUUUUCAAAGAAAAAGAUAGUAUAUUGUCCAUUUCAUUCAUAAUUUGUAUGAAUGUUGAGCUACGACAAGGUCGAACAUAAUUCAGGUCGAUCUGGCCACGUUUAUUGGUCUCUAAGCUUUUGACACAAGUACAUAAUGCGAUUCACGAGUUGUAUUAUUUGAUUUGACAGUAGUUAAUUAGAUAAGAGAACAAAGACAAAUGCAAUUUGUUUUAUCCCUCUGAAUAUCGUAUAUAUGACUCUGUUUUUGGUAGACAUGAAGUUGUUUAAAUAGAAAAAUAAAUUAUUGAGAUGAUAAAUAUGAACUGUCUAAUCCUGUGAUUUUAUAAUUUGGCCAUGAAAUUAAAUAUCUAUACAUGUAGCAACAGUAUGUGGCUUCCCAAUUAGAGAUCUAUCAUCUAUCAUUGUAAAUGCGCCAAAACGCAAUUGGGGCGCAUUUAACCAUUUGAUGUAGCUUCACCAUCAACAUUUAGUUAUUUUUUGCCCCCCUAACAACUCUCAAUUGGUUACAAAACUAAGAAAUAAUAAGUCUUUGUGAAAUCGACAUUUUUAAAUGUUGCGCAAUUGUCAAUUCCCCGAAAAUGAUGCCAGAUUUAUAGCCAAAGCUAAAAAGAAAGGAUAUGGAAGAAUUACAAUAAUUGACACAUAAAGUGUGGCUCCCAUGUAGUGUUUUUUUUUUUUUUUUUUUUUUUUUUUUUUUUUUUUUNACCAAUGUUAUCUGAUAAUUGAAAUUAGUAAGAUGAAUUAAUAUUACUAACCAUUGUUUGAUCAGUUGAUACUUGACUUAUACCUUAAUUAUCUUGAGGCUAGAAUAUGAUCCUGGUUCGAGUUCAACUUCAAACGAGAAUGUUUGUAUCUCUCUAUGAACUAUAUCUCUCUAUGAACUAUAAACUACAUGAUCUUAAAAAAGAGAGAGGGGUAAGGAAAAAAAAAAAAAACCUCUUGAGUGUGAUUAACUAAUACAAUAAAUAAAUAGUCAUAUACUUAAUUAAAAAUAUAUAUGUAUUUUUCAGACAUAAAGAAUUAAGGGUUAAUUUCAUCCGUAACCCUCUAAAUUUCAGAAAUAUCAUAAAUAUCAUUAUAAAUUCUGUUAUAUUAUAAUUACUGUUUCAAAUACAUACUUUUUUUAAAUUUACUCUUGCGGUUAUACUAUGUCUCUUAGAUCACAUUAAUCUUAGUUAGGUAGUGGUCUAACACAAGUUAAAAUUUGAAAUGUCUAUUUUACCCAUGAAUUGAGAAGCUUUUGAAGGGUAUAUUAAUUAUAUGAUUUUUACUAUUUAGCCCAUAUCUUCUGUUUAUUAUUUAUUUAACAUCCAAACUAAUAUUGUUCACUGGUAUUCUUUAAUACUAUUUAGCUACUAACUUUUAUUCAUUAUUUAUUUUAGGGAAAACUUCAAAUACCCCACGUGGUUUCGCACUUUUUCACUUUAGUACCCUGUGAUUUCAAGUGUAUCAAGUUAGCAUCCUGUGGUUUGUGGUUUUGCACUUCUCACUUUAGUACUCUGCGGUUUCAAGUGUAUCAAGUUAGUACCUUGUGGUUUCGCACUUUCUCACUUUAGUAUCAUGUGGUUUAAUAUUUCGUUAAAUUAUAUACCCCAAAAUGGAUAAUAAAAAAAAAAAAAUUGAAACUACAUGGUACUAACUUGAUAUAAAAAUAAAAUCACAGAAUACUAACUUGAUACACUUGAAACCACCUGGUACUAAAGUAAGAAAGUGCGAAAUCAUAGAGGGGUAUUUGAAGUUUUCCCUUUAUUUUAUUAAAAUUUUAUUUAAUUUCAAUUGCUCUAUUAGGUAUUGCUCAUUAUAUUUUUUUAUUUUAACUUCUACGAAGUAAUUAAAUUAUUAAAUUUGUUGGAAUUAUCAAUGGAUUGAUAAAAUCUGCAAUUUUAUUGACAAAAAACAAUCCUAUUUCAAAGAACCAAAUAUUAAGAAAAUUUUGAUCAAAAUAGUUAAAUUAAAGGGGCCUAUUUUGUAACGUAUAAUAGUUAAGGGAAUUUUCAUAUAUUAACUUUUGAAAUUUUGUGAGGGUAUAAAUAAAAAUGAAUUGGAGGGUAAAUUUGGUAUUUUGAAUCCGUCAUAUCUAAACAUGACGGAAUAAUAGUUAUGAGGGCAUUUUUAAAAAUUUUUAUGCUUUUUGAGGGUAAAUAUGAAAUUUUAAUUUUUUUAAGGAAUAUUUAUGUUAUUAGAAUUAUUUGGAAGGAUAAGAAGGAAAUUUUUCCAAGAAUUAAAGAUUCUUCAAGCAUCGGAUUUAGAAAAAAUUAGAAACCCCAGAGUCCGAACCGUACGCUUUUAUUUACUAAUCUACCCCCGAAAAAUCGUCGGCUUCAGCGGGCACCUGGGAGGGGCAUUUGUGGAAUUAUGCGCACAUCCAGGGGAAAGGGGCCCUCGUGAUGCGUGCGGUGGGUUCCGCGUGUGGGGACCACUCCGAGGCUGCGGGCGAAUCCACGAGGUCAAAAGAAGUUAUACGGAGUCCUCAAUGUUGUACUCAAAAAGAUAACUAGCCCACGUGGCUCCAAACUAUUUGUUGGUCUAGUCCCCUGUCCUUUUUAUUGGUCUCUUUACACAGUCGUGUAGAUGAACGUGCAACGGAGACACGGAGUCACAACGUUGACCGUUGUGGAAAGGUGGAGAAUAAAGAAAAUAAUAAAUAAAGAGCUUAAUUCCGAGAAACUAUUGCCUGCACCGUGUCUAUGCACCGCACCUCCUAUUGAGCAAUUAAUUUUUUUAAAAUAAAAAAAAUAAUUCAACAUACUCUCCAUAACAAAACAUUAUGUAUUUUGAAAACACAUAUUACACCUUUUUUUUUUUUUUUUUUGUGAGAGAGGGUAGAGCCUGUAAAUUAUUUAAUUUUUUUUUACACUGCUAGUUAAAAUUUUAAAACUGAGAGUAGCGUUCUAUUGAAUCAGAUCUUUUAUCUGGUUUUGAUUUAUUGUUUAAUAUAUGAUGUAGAAAAAUGUUUGCGUAUCCUGUGAUUGUUUAGAAAAAGUUUUACGAGUUCAAAUAGCUAAUAUAAGUUUAAACAGCAAAAUCAAACUAUUAAUUGGAAUUCAUUUAUAUUGUUAUUUCGAAAGAUUACAGCGUGCAAUCAAAUCCAUGAUCAUUUAAUUAAAUUAACUUCUUUCUUAGCUAAGGACGAUUUUAGUUUGCGAAUAUUACUUUGUUACUAACUUAUUGAUUUAUUAAAUUUCAUAAUUACACUAUACUUGGUCCAAGUCUUCUAUGAGGAGUAUUAUGAUCAAUGAAAUCCACCAAAUAAGUUGCUCUAAGUUUAAAUUUUCAAUUUGAUUUUCUUUUAAGAAGGAAAUUGAGAUACGAGCUAAAAUAUAAAGAGCUUUUCGAAAGGAUUAAUAUAAAAAGCAUCCCUCAGGGACAAAUUAGAUCUGUUAAUUGUUUUUCUUUCGAUUACCGUAUUCUCAACUUUCAGUUCUUUCAAUUUAUAUUAUUCUAGUUAAUUAAGUUAAAAAUUGUAUCGAAUUUAAAAGUAAUUUUAUUAAAGUUUAUAAUUUCCAAUGCAUUAGCUUAUAAAUGCCGCAGAUUUUAAUAAUUAGUGAUAGUAAAAUAUAUAUGUAAGUAGAAAAAUAAUUAUUUUAUAGAAGAUAAUGAUUUUUUUUUUAACAGUGCACGAACAAUAAUUUAACUCUACGAGCAUGUAGACCGACCCUAGAGUAAGUAGCAAAAGGCUUGGUGGUUGGUAUCCGAGACUUAAGUUCGAAUCCUAGUUGAUUCACAUUUCCAGCUAAGUUUAUUUCUAAAUGAAAUAAACGAAGCCGGUAGCGUGUUACCUAUCCUCUCCAAAAAAGAAAAAGAGAAAAAAAAGAAAAAAAAAAAACGCCUCUACCAGGCAGUAUGUGAUUAUAUUGAAGAAAUAGUUUGAGAUUUGAUAUCGAAGCGUGUUCCUCAGAGCAAGGUGGGCAAACCGGGCUUGUGGUUGGUCAUCACAUAGACUCACCCCAGUUCGCAAUCUCUAUGUUGAUUCCAUAUUAUCAAAUACGUUACUCACAGACGAAUCUUGAAUUGAUUCAUAUUUUCAACUUCAAAUUAAUUUGCAAAUUGAAAAAAACUGAUAAUCCAUGCUACCCUAUUUUCUCAAAAUAACAAAAAAGACAUUUUUAAUAGAAAUAAUUUGGUCCUGCUCCCAAGCGAAUCAUGUUCAUCUCUAUUAUAAACUAAUUAAAUAAAGCUAUUAAUUCAUACAUCUUAUUAUAAUAAUCCAAAAUACUACUUAGUUAAUCGCUAAAUAAGACACAAGUUUUAGAUAUUUCAGGCAUGUGAUAAAUUGUAUGCAGAUACUGCAAGUUGUUUGAUUACAAUAAUAAUGGGCGGAUUCUUUAAGCACCCGUUGGGUUCAGAUUUAAUAUUCAUAAGUUGAGUUAUAUAAAACUUUAAAAUAUAAAUUAUUUAGCUAAAUUUUAAAAUAUUUAGAUAUAUGUAUUAAAUAUUAUUUUAAUUUAUAAUUUUAGAUAUAAUUAUAUCUAUUUUCUCUAAAAAACACUACAAUAGUUUUUUAAAAAUAUAGUCUAUUUACAAUAAUUUACAUAAAAAUAGUACAAUAAAUAUACAACGCUUAAGGCAACGAAAUUCAAAAAUCAUUAAUAAUAAAGUUUUAUUUUAAUUAAAUUUAUUUUUUAGUAUAGUGGCCCAAAUAACACUCUAAAAUAAGUAAGAGGUUAGCAAAAAAGAAAACAAAAAUCAAAAGAUAUGGAAUUUUUUUUUACAGUACACGAAACGUUUAAGUUUAACUGUACGAGGUGUGACCGCCCGUGAGUAGUGGAAAGGUUUGGUGGUUGAGUAUUCGAGAUAAGUUAAUCUAGUUGUUCAAGUUUCAGCUAAGUUUAUUUUAUGAAUAACGAAGGGGGUAGGCAUUGCUUACCUAUUCUUUCAAAAAAAGAAAAAGAAAAAAACAAACAAAAAAAAAAAAAAAAAAAAAAAAAAAAAAAAAAAAAAAAAAGAAGAAAAACGACCACUCUCGAGCAUGUAUGUUGUAUGUUGCAAUGGAGUUUGAAGAUUUUUAUUCGACUGUUCCUAGCGCAAUGGCCAAAGGCUUGGUGGGUUGGUAUCAAGACUCAAGUUCGAAUUUAGUUGAUUUCAUAUUUUCAAUGAGGUUACCCAAUGUUUCGAUACUUAUUUGAUUCAUAUUUCAACUAAAUUAUUUUAAAUGAAAUAAACUGAGUAGUAGGCAUGCUAUCCUAUUGCAAAAAAGCAAAAAAAGAUUUUAUAGAUUUUUGUUCCUUGUACGCAAGUUAUUUAAUAUUCUUUAAUAAAUAAUUAAUAAAUAUUAACUAUAUUUUUUUAAAUAAUUAACAAUAUAUGUUUGUUAAUUAAAUAAGAAGUUUUAUGAAUUUUCAAUUGUGAUAAUGUAUCAGAUAUGCAAGUUUUGAUUACAAAUUAUAAUGCUGAUCUUUUAACAGUUUCGGUUCAGAACUUGUAAUUAUUAAAUGGUUUGUGUUAGUUUAAUAAACUUUAAAUAAUAUAAUUAUUUAUGCAAUUUAAAUAUUUUAGCAUUAUAUUAUUAAAUAUUAAUUUUAAUUUUAAUAAUUAUUUAGUAUAUAAUAUCUCAUUUGUAUAAAAACAUACCAAUAAGUUUUUUUAAAAGUAUAUUAUUUUAAAUAAUUAAAAUAUAUAAUUAAAGUUAUAAGGCUAAGCAACAAUUCAAAUCUGAUUAAUAAUAAUUUUAAGUGUUUAUCUUUAAAUUUAUUUGUUUGUAUGGAUGGCAUAACACUCUAAAUAGAAGGUGUUAGAAUAGGAAACAAAAAAUCAAAAAGAUGGAGAGAUAAAGUGGGUUAGAAAUAAAUAAAUCGUUUAAAAUAUAAGAAUCUUCAUUGUAUAUUAAAAAUACAUAUUUUUGUUAUUUUAUCUUGUGUAGAUUUACAAAUAAAAAAAAGAAAAUUAACUAAAGUAAAUAUACUUAUCAUUUGUUGAUUCUCAAAUAAUUAUUAUUGUUAUAAUUAAAAUAUUAAAGUUAUAUUAAUAUAUAUUAUAUAUAUUAUCUUAAUAUACUAUAUAAUUUAUAUAUAUUAUUAUAUUAUAGCGGACUGCUUGUGUUUUCAGGAGCACGGAGCUCCGUGCUACUGAGCUGUUUCGUUAUGAGAAUUUCUGAAUCGAUGAUCGGGCUCAUUAGAUUUGUUAGAGUUUUGAAGUUUUGAAAUAUUUUGGGUUGCGAUUUUUGAUAUCAUUUAUACAAUCGAAAGGAUUUAAAUUAAUAAUUUUUAUGGGCCGAAAUAAACUUCCUAUAAAAGGUCCGUUGAUUAUAUAAUAAAUUUUCGAGUACUGGAUAAUAAUAUCAAAAAUUUAUUAUUUAUUCUUUCAAUCCUGCGGUAAAUAAUAUCAAAAAUAUAAAAAUUAUUUUUGAAACUUCAAUAUCCUAUAUCAAGUUUAACGAGCCGAAAUCGUUAUUCGAAAUUUUAAUCGAAAACGGCUCCGGAGUAGAGAAGCUCAAUGCUUCUCUCUCUGUGUCAUAUAUAGUAAUUAUUAUAUCUCAAGAUGGGAAGGAGAGCAGUGAAUCCCAGCGCGAUCAUCGGAGGUGAUGUCACCUCGUGACGCUGGUGCAAAAGGGGAUGUGAGCCCUAUUUUUUGGCACCUGUAUGGUUUUCUUUUUGUCUUUUUUUUUUUCGGCUCGCGCCUGCCAGAGCACGGCUGGCGCCGCGCCGUUCUCGCGCCACGCACGUGCGACCGCGCUAGAGCGAACGCGCUGGGAUGCCGCGCUCAGCGCUGCCCUCGGGCCCUCGGCGACGCCGCCAAGCGUCGGUAGGGAGUCAGGUUCACAAUUCUAGUUUACUAGUAUGUUAGAGAGCGCGCGAUGGCAACGGUAGAAUGAUAGGAAACAAAAUUUUAAUAAAUUUAUAUUCUUAAUUUAUUGAUGUAUUAAGAAGCUAUACAUAUUAAAUAAUUAAUUUGUAUGACUAAAUUUCAACUAUUAAAAAAAUAAAUUAUAGUUAGAAGUUUAUAUAUAUAUAUUUUAAAAUUAUCGAAAUACAGUAAGAGACAUAUAAUUUUAUCGUAUUAUGUGCACCUUAAACAUUCCAUUGUGAAAAAUAAAAAAGAGCUAACUCCAGCGCAGCUAAAUCAACUUAGUGGGCACUUAUAUGAGCCGCGACUUGAUUUUGCGAAACGAUACUUCUCGAAGGAGACAACGUUUUUCGCAUGCUCUUCUUCUUCUUCUUUGUCCUCAUCAUCUUCGUUAACACAAUAAGAGAGAGAGAGCUAGAUGAGUAUUGGGUGGAAAAUUAGAUGAUGAUAUUUUUUUUGCAUGAAAAAUAAGAGGCCAUGCAAAAGAGAGGGGGGUGGGGGAUUAAUGUAGGGGGGGUGGAUUGGUGUUGUAAAGCCCAUUUAUUUGUAGAAUAUAGUGCCUAUAAUUAAAUGUUGCAUUUUCGAUUAAUUAAUUUUAAUGAUUUCAAAGAAUUGGAAGGUGAAGGGUUUGUCGUUGAAAAGAAAUUUGAAGGAGAAGAAAUGACUAAUAUUGAAGAGAAAAAUAAGUAACACAUAAAUUAAAGAGCAUAUUAAUUACUUGUCAUUAAAUAGAGAGGAGGGGAGAGGAAAAGUCAAGAACAAAUAUGAGUUCAAAAAAAGGAUUAGUAAGGUCGAAAGAAAACUUGCCAUGUGAUAAAAAAUAUUGGGAAUUCAUUCCGGUCAAUAGAUAAAUAAAUAGCUUAUUUGGAAUUUUUUUGGAAUGACGAGACAUACGAGCCGUCCUCGCCUGUUCUUCUCCUCCGCGAUUCCGAUGCCCUCGUCCUACCUCUCCCCGCCGCUCCCCCCGCGGCCCCGGCCCCUCCGCCGCCUCCACCUCGCCGUCGUCGGCGCUGGCCCGGCCGGCCUCGCCGCCGCGCGCGAGCUCCGGCGCGAGGGCCAUGGCGUCGUCGUCUUCGAGCGCGGCACGUCCGUCGGCGGCACCUGGGUCUACUCCCCCGCCGCCGAGCCCGACCCCCUCGGCCUCGACCCCUCCCGCCCCCUCGUCUACACCAGCCUCUACGCCUCCCUCCGCACCAACCUCCCCCGCGAGUCCAUGGGCUUCCUCGACUACCCCUUCUCCUCCGCCGCCGCCGCCGCCGCCGACCCCCGCCGCUUCCCCGGCCACCAGGAGGUGCUCCGCUACCUCGAGCGCUUCGCCCGCCAAUUCGAUUUGUGCGAAUUGGUCAGGUUUGGGACCGAGGUGGUGCGGGUGGAGAGGGACGAGGGAGGGGGUUGGGAGGUGAGGUCGAGGAGGGUCGGCAAUGGCGAUGGGGGCGACGAGAGGGAGUUUUACGAUGGGGUUGUGGUGUGUAACGGGCAUUACACCGAGCCUCGGAUUGCGGAGAUUCCAGGUAUUAACUUCUCUCGUCCCAGUUUGUAACUAACAAUUUUCUUUUGAGGUGAAAUAGCGGAGGUCCCAAUUCGCGAUUCCUUGUUAUCAGUUUUCUAUAUAUUAUCGUUAUCUGAUCACUCUUAUUCUGUUGCUCCUAUGGUAUUUCUUUAUUUCUGAUCCCUUUUUAAUCAAAAUUAGUCAAAAACACUUUUCUGCAUGGAGCAUGAUCUUGUAACAAUCUAGAAAGUAAACUAAGAGCAUCUUAUUACUCUCCAGAAACAUUAGAAUUCACUGAAUGCGAGUUAACGAUUGAGCCAAUGCAGUUCUCGAACAUAGAACAUUAUAAUGUUUAAUAGGGAAUGUUAAUAAUUUACAAGUAGCUAAGAUUGGUGAUAAAAAGGGGGAUCUGUUUACAGCAUUUCAGUGUGGAUGAUAGAACUGUUAGCACCAAUAAAUUUGCACAAAGCAAUUAGUGUGGCAAUUUGAUCUGCUAAGCUGUCUAAAUUUUGGCUUGGAUGUAGGACAUUUGAAACUAACAAUGGAGGCAAUUGGUUUGCGGAUUCUGAAGGAAUUAGAUGUGGAUUUUCAAAAAUUGAGUACUAAGUUUUAGCGACGUUCGAGUUUCUCUUUUGUGGAAAUAUUAUAGAAGCAUGACAUGAAUCUUUGGAGCAGUAAUGGUCGACAUAUCAUCACUUCCGGAUGUUUUACAUGUUAUUUUGCAGGAAUUGAUGCUUGGCCCGGGAGGCAACUGCAUAGCCACAAUUACCGUGUCCCUGAGCCAUUUGUUGACCAAGUAUACAUUUCACUAACUUCCCUUAAAUUUAGUUGGUUUUUAUCAAUCAACUGAGUCUAGCGACGCAAGUGUUACAUAUCAUAAUCAUGCUUUCUGUUCUAAUGUGGACAAGCGGAAGUAGUACUAUGGCCUUAUUCUGUUCUCGUCAUUUGACAGGUCGUGGUUAUAAUUGGGAGCUCAGCUAGUGCAGUUGAUAUUUCGAGGGACAUCGCUAGAUUUGCCAAAGAAGUUCACAUUGCAAGUCGAUCGGCAGCCACUGGAACUCCCAUGAAGCAGCCUGGCUAUGACACUAUGUGGCUUCACUCUAUGGUAAAAGCUCUUUCUCACGGUGAGUGGGAAACCAAUAGAUUGUCCAUGAAAGGGAAAUCCAGGUCUUCAUUAAGGAAAAAAGUAUAUACAUAUACUGAUCUUAUGUUGUGUGAAUGUGUCACAGAUUAAGAGCACCCACAAAGAUGGCACUGUCGUAUUUGAAGAUGGCAGUUCAGUCAAGGUUGAUGUCAUUAUGCACUUUUUUUUUUCUUUUUACGGUGAAGCAUGUAUAACAAAUCUGUUUUCUUUUCUUGCUAGACCAGAAUCAACUAGUGGUAAGGAUUCUUCACUUUAUGCAUAAGGCUUGAUAUGUCAAAGGCACUUAUUUUAAAGUUGCUUAGAUUGUCACAAUGACGUUAACCAUAUUUUGACACUGCAUAUCUGUUCAUAUCUUGCAAGUUUUUUACUAUUAGACUCCACAUACUAAUUUAAAUUUUCACACUUAGUACACAAAUCAUUUGUUCGUUUCUUGAUUCUUAUUGUUUGUUCUUUUCUAUCAGAUAUAAAUAUCAUUUCCCUUUCCUCGAGAUGAACGGUAUAGUGACUGUUGAUGACAACCGUGUUGGACCACUCUACAAGCAUGUUUUCCCACCAGAGCUCGCCCCAUUCCUCUCCUUCAUUGGAAUACCAUGGAAGGUUCUAUUCGCUGGCAAUUAGGCUUUUCUUUUGCCCUUGAGAAUUUUAAUCAGUAGUCUUUAUUGCUUGAAAUCACUGUACUAACGCAUUCGUAAACUUGAUCCAGGUGAUUCCUUUCCCUAUGCUUGAACUUCAGAGCAAGUGGGUAGCAGGUAUUCUAUCAGGACGAAUAGAACUACCGACAAAAGAGGAAAUGUUGGCAGAUGUGAACGCCUUUUACUUAGAGAUGGAAGUUGCUGGAUGGCCUAAAAGAUACACGCAUAACUUUGCAAACAUUCAGGUGCCCUGAGUAUUUAAAAUCAUAGUUGAAUAACUUGACAAGCUAAUGCAAUACUUGAUACCUGCAUGGCCUGGAGCUGAAACUAGCUUCUCUACUCCAAUAAGAUGCAACUAGGCAAUUUGAUAACCUUAUUGUUUGGAGCUUUCGCUGUGGCCAGAAGCUGAAAUGAGCUUCUUAAUCUGAAAAUAGAAGUCACAAUUUAAGGCUUUUCUUCGGCUGCUUGUACAAGUCGUUGGGGAACUUGUCGAACAAGCUAUUGUGCUCAUUUAAGAGUUCUACUCAAACCUGCCCUAAUCUUGAUUGGGCUCUCUUUUGGCUAGAUAAUUUGGGAUACCUAGGGACUACAUUGUUUUUUUUUUUUUUGGGGCAAAAUUCAUGUAAUAAAGAAAUAUUAAUGAAUACAAAGAUAUUCCACUCUGUUGAAAGAACUUGUUUCAUCAUAAUUUGCAGUUCUUAACUCCCUUUUUUGAUUUUGUAGUUUGAGUAUGAUGAUUGGCUUGCAAAUCAAUGUGGAUGUCCACCGGUCGAAGAGUGGAGGAAGCAGAUGUACGCGGCAACAGGGAAAAACCGAGUUAGCCGCCCAGAGAACUACCGGGAUGUGUGGGAUGAUGAUGAUUUAGUCGCCCAAGCAAAUGAAGAUUUUCAAAAAAUUUUAUGACAAUCUUCCUUUUUCUGUUCCUCUUGAACUAUUUAUCUAUCUUUUAUCAGAUCUUAGCAUAAUUGGAUCGGACGGGUAUAAAUUUCGGAAAUAAGCUAUUGUAUCAAUACAUUUGUUUUAUCGGAGACAAUUGAAUAACACCGAUCUCGCUCCACUCGGUGGAGAAUUUGACCUGUGAAAUAAAACAGCUUUUUGUGUUUCUAUUAUUGUAAUAACGAUUUCACCGAGUUCAUUUCUUUUGGUCACUUCUCUGGCUUUUCCGUUGGAUUUCCAUAGCUCCUGCAGCUCAAACAAGAAAUAAUAAUCGAUUAUAUUAAUCCCGAAGUAGUCUGAGGAUAAUGAAAUUGCAUGGAGAACUAACAAUGUUUGUAUUGUAUGCAUCUUGCUAUUGCUUGGUAAUUAAGAUCACAUUGCAAAGGCUCUGGGUUGAUUCGUGAAUAUUCAUAUAUAUUGGAAAAGAGAAAAUCACCCCUUUAUUUUUCGUUCUAUACCUUUUUAAACUUCUUUUAGUUUAAAGUUCUUAUCCCUCUAUUCAAGUGAAUUAUAUAACAGAUCGAGCUGGUUCAUGAAUCGAAUGAAUCCAGCUAGCUUUGUUUAAUUCUCGAUUAAGAAAAUAAAUCACCAAACUCCACAUACUUAUCCAAUUUUGGCAACUGCGUUAGGGCUAAUUAUUUUCACUAUCGUCACCUUAUAAAAGACCAACUAAUGCCUCAGAUACAACCCACUGGAGCUAGCCACCUCCAUUAUUGGAAAAGCGACAAGCAAACAUGCAUAUUAAAGCAUUUCUUCGGAUUUGAUUCGAUCUUAGGGUUUUUUUUUUUUAAAAAAAAAAUAAUUUUACUUUAUUAUCAUUGUGUUACUUAAUUCCCUUAUAAGGCCUUGUUAUAAAAAGAACAACAGCUAACUUCAUACUUAUCCUAAUUAAGAUUAGGCUAAGACAAAGCAUAACCAACUAAAUUAUGUGCAAGAAAUUUUUUCCUACUUUCUCUGCACUAGUACGUAGUUUAGUGGUUAGAUAUUCAAUUUGGCCCCGGACUAAUACACAAAUAUUUAAAAAGGUAGGGUUCUGAUGUGACAAAGCCUACGAGCAAAAUUCCAAAAAAUGAAAAAAAAAGAAAAAGAAGGAAAAAACUGGGAGAUUAUUUGCAUGUGCCCAUGACUCCUCCAUGAGUUGGCAAUGACUGUGAGGGGAGUUUGACACGCACACCUAACGAUUGCGGACGUGGGCCAAUCGUUAAUUAAAAUUAUUAUUUCGAUAUUAUUAUUUAUUUAUUUUUAGAGAAAAGUGUUUCUAUAUUAUUUAUUAAUGAAUCUAAUUUUUAAGAACAAAAACCGCGCUUAAUAAAAGCAGGGGUUUAGAUGUAAAAAUCCCCAGCUCGGAUCUUUGCAGCUUUGUACUUUUUUUUUUUUUUUUUUUUUUUUUNNNNNNNNNNNNNNUUUUUUUUUUUUUUUUUUUUUUUUUUUUUGUCGUCUUCGAGUUUCGGAGCUCACCAGUGGAUCCGCUGGGGUCCACGUCAGCUCCGAGUCAAUCCAACGUCACUGCCACGUCGCUACGACACUGCGUCGCGGGUCCCACGCUAGAGCUGUUUGUUUGUUUGUUUGUUCGUUGGUCGCGCACGACCAGAGAGUGCCACGUCAGAGCCGUACGAAGCGGUCUCGCUUGGUGCGCCACUUCGAAAUGGAAGUACCGCUGACGUGGCACCAGGGCGGCGUCCAGGGCUCUGACGUCAUUGUGUUCGGUCUACCACAUCAUCAUGACCGUCCACGGAAUUUCAUUUGUAUUAAUUAAGGGAUAAUUGUCUAUAUAUCCCUUAAAACUUUGAAAAUAUCUUAUUUAUUUAUACUAUUUUUUUUCUUUCCAAUAUACAUCUUAUAGUUAUCACCCGUUAAGUUAAUUUAGGUUAAUUUGAGUUAAAUAUCUACCAUAAUUAAAAAAAAUUAAAAUACUAAUUUUGCCCUUAAUUUAAGGGCAAAUAAGAAAUGUUGGUGAUGAUAGAAAGGUAUAUUUGAAAAGGCCAAAGAGCAAAAUAUUUUUUGUACCUCUCAUUUAAGGGUAAAUAAAAAAAAUAGUUGAUUGUAGAAGAGUAUAUUUGAAAAGGNGGCAAUAUACAAAAUACACAUUUAGAAUUAGUGUCAGUGUUAACACAAAUUUAAUUAAUUUUUAGGCUAGAUUACAUUUUCUCUUCUUAAAUUAUAUAGUGUAUGACACUUUAGCUCUAAAUACUUGAUUUAUUAUAAUUUUCAGUUUAAACUUUUUGUGUUAUUGUUAUAGAUAUCUGUUCUAUAAUAUAAUGUAUAUUAGUUGAUUGAAUGGCGUAUGUAUUACUAGUGUGAUAAUAAUUAUAAUAUUACAUCAACACUAUGUCAGCAUCAUAUUAUUAUUCAGUAAAUAGAAGUACCCUAUAAAACUUAAUUGUAACAAUUAAAUGUUUGAAUUAUAAAGUACUAUCAAGCUCCUCAUAAUAGUUUGAAGGGCAAAAAAAAAAAAAAAAAGCAUAAGUUUUACGUAGAAAACUGGGGUUUUUUUGCAAAUAGCCCCCUGACAAUUUUUUUUUUUUAAAUUGGCCCUGUGUAAAAAUUAUUUGCAAAAAUGGCCCUGGUCCCGCCCCGUCAGCGCCACGUCAGCGCCACGCGGGCGGGGCUGGGCCAAGUGUUUAUAUUGAACACGGUGAACCAUUCACCGUGUUCAAUACAAAAAUCUUGUAUUGAACACGGUGAAUGAUUCACCGUGUUCAAUACAAACACCCACAACUUAGUCAUUUUUGGCUAAGUUGGAGGUAUUUGUAUUGGAUACGGUGAAUGAUUUACCGUGUCCAAUACAAAAUGGCUAAGUGGGAUAUAUUUGUAUUAGACACGGUGAAUGGUUCACCGUGUCCAAUACAAAAUGGCUAAAUGGGAUAUAUUUGUAUUGGACACGGUGAAUCAUUCACCGUUGAUUCACCGUGUCUAAUACAAAAAUUUUGUGUUGAACACGGUGAAUGGUUCACCGUGUCCAAUACAAACACCCAUAACUUAGCCAUUUUUGGCUAAGUCGGAUAUAUUUGUAUUGGACACGGUAAAUCAUUCACCGUAUCCAAUACAAAUAAUUGAACACGGUGAAUGAUUCACCGUGUCCAAUACAAACACCCACAACUUAGCCAUUUUUGGCUAAGUCGAAUGUAUUUGUAUUGGACACGGUGAACCAUUCACCGUGUCCAAUACAAAAAUCUUGUAUUGAACACGGUGAAUGAUUCACCGUGUUCAACUUAUACAAUUGGCCCAGCCCCGCCCGCGUGGCGCUGACGUGGCGCUGACGGGGCGGAGCCAGGGCCAUUUUUGCAAAUAAUUUUUACACAGGGCUAUUUUCGAAAAUAAAAUUUUUUAUGGGGCUCUUUGCAAAAAAAGCCCUAGAAAACUUGUUCUUUAUAUUGGGGUUCUAUGUUUAGUUCGGUUUUCUAGUUUUAUGUCGAUUUGUUUGUAAGUAAUGCUAAGUGCAUAUGCAUGGUCGCGUGUACGUGCGUAAUAUAAUAUAUAUAAAUAUAGUGGCGUUUGAUUCGGUUGGUGGGGGUUAGGUUCACGUGGGCUGCGUUGCGAUUAAUUCAUGGGUUCCACUUUGAUACAUUUUUAAAGAAAUAAAAGGCAAUAAUCGUACUCUAAUUAAGUGGCCGUUUAGCUGAAUAUUGUUGUAAAUAUAGUAUAAUUAAAAAUAUAUGCAGUUAAAAAUAUAACAGUUAUAAUUAUACAUAAUUUGUUCGGUUCUGUAUAGAUGCAAACUAUUGCAGUUGUAUUUCUUCUCUUUGAUAAUGUGAUGCUGAUAGUUGUAUUUAUGAAUCUUGUCAUAUCUUCAGAUAAAGUAGUGAGAUUAUUCUUUAUUUAUCAAAUUUAAUAAUUAUAAUUAAUUAAAACUUAUUAAGUUAACAUACACAAUCACAUUUCUAUAAAAAUUAAGGAAAAAAAACUAUUUUUUACAUUUUAAAUAAAAUUAAUAUUUUAAAAAAUUUAUUUCUUUGCAUAAAGCUUGUAUUGCCUAAAAACUUUUAUUAGUAUGAAUAUAUUUACAAAUAUUUUUAUUUUAUUCAUAUACAAGUAUAUAUAUAUUUUAAUUAACUAAUUAUUUAGCUAUUUAUUUAUUAUUGUUAAUUUGUAGAUGAUUCUAUUUCUCACCAACUGCUGUAGUUGGAAUUGCAGUCAAUUUGGAUAUAGUUCCAACUAUAAUAUUUGGACCUUCUUAUGUAGUUGUGCUUAGCUGCACCUGCACUAAACCAACACAAAAAUUAAAAUUACAUGCAUUUACAACUGCACUUUAGUUGCAAAUGUGUGCAACCAAACGAACCCUAAAAGUGCACAUUAGAAUUUGGGAGUUAUACUCUAUUCUCCUUAAAAUUAUACUGACUUAAUUAGGUUUAUAAUUAAGUCACACAUUUCAUGAGCGAUGAUGGGGUGCCGUUCGAAAAGGAUUCACGCAUUAAAAUAAUUAAAGAGAGAAAAACUUUUACUAAUUAAUAUAUAAAAUUAAUUACAAGCUAGCCAUCACCUGCUAUAUAUUUUCUUCUGUUCAUUUCAGAUCAUAGAUUGCUGAUUAUACGUGUACAGUAAAACUAUAAUUUAGAAGUUCAAAAUUACAUAAAAAGCGCGCAUGUUCUCUAUUAAACGGAGUAUCAUGCUGAACAUACCAUUUGUUUAUAUAGCUAAGGAAUUAUUCUUAUGUACUUCCUCCAUAAUCUCCAGAUAAUAUGUAUUAAUAUAGUACAAUUAAUAAUUUUACAAUAAAAAUAAUAUAUUAAAUAUAUAACAUAUUAUAUUUAUAUAAUUUAGUUUUAAUUUAAUUUAUAAUUUUAAUAAAUUUUGAAAUUAAAUAUUGGAAUAAUACUAUUCAAUCAAAAUUGUGGAAUUGUAAAUCUCUUGCUAUUUUAGAAUAGCCAGGAAUAGCAAAAUUUGACCGGAAUAAAAUAUCUUGGUCAAAGAUCAUUUUGUUUGGCGGAAUAGCGGGGAUAACUUUUGUUAUCCCCGCUUAUACCGCCAACCAAACAGGGCUUUACUGUAUAGAUUCUGGUUACAGAACUAAUUCUACACACGAUGUUUGAACUUUGAAGUCUAUAUUUGUCCCCUUUUUCUUUUUUUCGAAAAGUCUAAAUUUGUUCACUACUUUAAUGCAUGUUUAUUGCUCGGUCAUGUGUUAUUUCUUGGUCAGCGAUGCUUUGUGCGCUCAAAUUCCUAAGCUUAAUUUGUACUUAGCAAGGAGAGUCAUAAAAUCCCGCAAAGUUUGGAAAUUUUUAAUAUGUUUGUGUGUUGAUUUUCAAAGGUAGGUGAGAAGCAUACAAAUUAAGUAGGGUUUCUAAUGGAGGUUUUAACUUGCGAUUUUCGCCACUAAUCAGGUUCAUUUUUUUGUAUUAUUUGGUUCUCAUAUAGUUGGUUCUCAUUAGAAACAUGGUUUAUGGAAUUUGAGAGCGCACAACAAACUAAGGGCAUAUAUAAUUGUGCUUAUUCUAUGCUACAUUAUAUAUAGAAGAAGGUUACGUAAGUUAAGAGAGACAUGCAUUUAUACCGCAAAUAAUUAAACCAGCAAACUCCAUUAAGUCUAUGUAUGUUGUCAUGGCUGAUCUAAAACUUUGGCGCAUGACAAAAGCGAUGUAAUAAACAUAACAAAAAGUUAGCGUCGAAGGCUAAUUGAUUGAAACCGUGAAUCAAAAUUCGCAAUUUCUUUUGUCUAAGUUUUGCCAACUUUGCGAUUGUUACAAUUAAUCAUGUAUUAAAUUAUUCACAGUGUCCUCUUAAGUCGCACCUAAUGCCUAAUUUUUCGAACCUCUCCUCAAUUUUCUAAAUAUAUUUAUAACCUUACAAGGCUUUUUUAUUCCCCUCUUUUUUUUCCUUUUUUUUUUUAUAUUUUUCCCCUGAUUGGCCGAGCCGUCGCACUCCGAGAACUUGACAAUUUCACACGUGUGAGAGUUUCCACCGACAAUUGAACCUAGACCGCUCACUUGGCUUGGCCCCACGUGCCAAUUUCUUUUUUUUUUUCCUUUAAAGAACACUUUUUUUUCAUUCAUUUGUUUUACUCUUAGACUGUGUUUGGCACCGGAGAUAUUUCGAAACAAUACGGAAUAUUCCUAAAUUUGUAACUAAAUUGAAGAAGAAGAAUAGGGGGGAACGGGUUGUUCCGACUUCGGAUCAAAACUGGUUGUUCUUGAACAACCCGUUAAAAGUUAUUCGAUCCUACAAAAAUUGAGAACAAAUUUGUUCUUCUCUUUAUUUUAUUAGAUAAAUGAAUAUAUAAAUAUAUUAAUAUAAAUAUUAUUUUUAUGAUAAUAUAUUUAUAUUUAAAUUUUAUUAUAUAAUAUAAAUUAAUUAAAUUUGAUAUAUUAUUUAUUUUAUUAAGUUUUAUCAUUUAUAUAUUAAUAUUUAAUUAUUUUAUAUUAUAUUAAAUAUUAUAUAUGUAAAAUUAUUUUUUCAUGUAUUAUAUAUUUUUUAAUUUGUAUUGAAAUUUGUACUAUUAUUNUUUCUAAAUAUAUUUAUAACCUUACAAGGCUUUUUUAUUCCCCUCUUUUUUUUUCCCUUUUUUUUUUUUAUAUUUUUCCCCUGAUUGGCCGAGCCGUCGCACUCCGAGAAAUUGACAAUUUCACACGUGUAAGAGUUUCCACCGACAAUUGAACCUAGACCGCUCACUUGGCUUGGCCCCACGUGCCAAUUUUCUUUUUUUUUUUUUCUUUUAAAGAACACUUUUUUUCAUUCAUUUGUUUUACUCUUAGACUGUGUUUGGUACCGGAGAUAUUUCGAAACAAUACGGAAUAUUCCUAAAUUUGUAAGUAAAUGGAAGAAGAAUAGGGGGGGAACGGGUUGUUCCAACUUCGGAUCAAAACUGGUUGUUCUAGAACAACCCGUUAAAAGUUGUUUGAUCCUACAAAAAUUAAGAACAAAUUGGUUCUUCUCUUUAUUUUAUUAGAUAAAUAAAUAUAUAAAUACAUUAAUAUAAAUAUUAUUUUUAUGAUAAUAUAUUUAUAUUUAAAUUUUAUUGUAUAAUAUAAAUUAAUUAAAUUUGAUAUAUUAUUUAUUUUAUUAAUUUUUAUCAUUUAUAUAUUAAUAUUUUUAAUUUGUAUUGAAAUUUGUACUAUUAUUAAUUAAAAUUUAAGAAUGUCUUACUUUUAUUUUUAUUUAGCAAAUAUAUAUAUAUAUAUAUAAAAUUAUUAUUAUACCCUUAUUUAUAUUUUUCUCGAUCUUACUUGUUGCUAAUGUGCCAGGAAAAUUUUUUUAGAUCUUCGUAGGUAGUUGGUGGAGUGGAAACUGACAAGCAGGUACGUAACGCUUUGUCCCCUCAUUGGCCCACCUACUACAUAUAUUUAUCUUACUGUGAGGUAAUUAAUUAAAAACUCUAUGUACGUGACAUAUUUAAGCCUUAAUAAAUCCAUGCACGCACCACUUGUUAAUAUUCUAGUUCCCUUACGUGUAAAUACUUUGACUUUUAAUUAGCAAAGUGCAAUUAAUAAAAUUAAGUAGUAGAGUUUAUUGCAACUUAAAGGGUGGAAAAUGUCAAAAUCAAAGAGAGCUCUUCAGGCUCCGAGAAUGGCGGCGAGAGACUUGUUCGAUUGGUGGUUUGAAGUUUUUUUUUAAUUAUUUUUUUAUAGGUGUUAAUUUCUGCGUAAUUGCCUUGUAAUUAAUUUCACGAUUUGCAAUUAAAUUUAUGCAACAUUUACUUACAAAAUUCACUUUUGAAAUUUUGUUAGUGUAAUAUCAUAUUACACACGAGAUGGCAUGGUUUGGACCGAAAAAUUAUUAUUUUCUAUUAUUAGAUUAGCGGACUUUUUUUUUUGAGAAAUAAAUAGCACGUUAUCCGCUUUAUUCAUUAAGCAAAUAAAUUUAAAUAUAGUCUCGUAUAGAUUAGAGGACAUUAAUAUGAAAAUAUGAAUGAAGUAUUUAUUUAUUUAUUUAUUUAUUUUGCUCUUCGUACAAUUGAAUUAACUAUAUUAUUAAUUUACGAAAGUAAAUAAAAUAUUUUUUAUUAUACUCUUUUUGUUUGUAAUUCUAAAUUAUAUAUUUAAAUAAAUGCUUUAUCUAUAUAAUUUUUAAUUUUUUUCCUAAUAUAAAAUUACUCAUACAUUUUGAUUUACCUUUUUUUUCAAAAAAGAAAAAAAAACUCAAAUGCCACUAUUGUGGUUUCGCACUUUUUUACUUUAAUAAUCUAUGGUUUAAGUGUAUCAAGUUAGUAUUCUAUGAUUUCAUUUUUAUUUUUUCGUCAGUUUUUUAUUUAAUAUUUCGUUAAAUUAGAUACAAAAAACUUCAGAUAUUCCACCUAAAUUUAUCGAAUAUUCACUUUAGUACAUUUUAGUUUUAAUUUAUCACUAAUUAAACGAAAAAAUUAAUAAAAUUAAUAAUAAAAAAAAUAAAAGAAAAUUAAUGAGCACUAAAUUGAUAUACUUUAAAAUAUAAAAUAUUAAAAUAAAAAAUUGUGAAAUGACAGAAGUAAUAUUUAAAGUUGAAAAAAAAAAAAAAGUAGGGGUCACGAGCGUAACGAGAGGACGCAGCACACCGCACGUACAGCAUCACGGGAAGUAAACGACGCGUGCACGUGCCGGGUCAAACAGCGAAACCACCACGGCUUCCGCUUCUUCGAACUUUCCCCGCACUUUUGACCGCUCCACGGCCAGCUCAUCCGGGCCCCACGUGGGACCCGCUCAACUUUCCCAACUCCCCCUCCCCUCACCUGCUGCUAUUUUUUGUUUUUAAAGAAUUCCGGUGAGCGGUCCUAUAGCCCGGUUGCUGCGUUGAGGCGACCGCGCACCGGGUCGUCGCCCCCUUACGUGGCGGGCCCCGGUUCCAGCCCGUCGCCACGUGGCCCACGUCGCUGCCGCGACAGCAACAGGUGUUGCUCCGCUAUGCUAUCGAAGGGCGGGCCCCGCCUACGGUGGGACCGCCACGUGUCCGCGAGCUGGACACCGCCACCGACGGUUAGUUUUGAAAAAUUCUAGAAUGCAACGGGUAUAUUAAUGACGUGGCGUAACAAACCUAUCAAAUUAAUUCUUUUAAGAAUAUAUGUCCCAUCAUGAUUGUAAAAAAAUAUUUUUAUUGUACUUUUGUUUGAAAAGAAGGAAUGUGAUUGGCUUGUUAUUGAUGACGUGGUGCAAGUGUGACAGUGUAGAAUUCCUCGUUAGUUUUACGUGAAUCUGUUGCCUGCACGCGGUGUAUCCCAAAACGUCACAACUGCCACGAUAAGACAGUUUCCUGUAUCACACUUAUAUAUACACUAUAUUAAAAUAAAGUUAAUUUUUUAUAAUCAGAAUGGAACAAAUAAAUUCAAAAAAACUAUUUAAUUGAUUAAAAUAUUAUAUUGCUAAUAUAAUCGGUGCAUUCAAUUUUGUUUUUCCUAUCCAAGUUCAAUUAUUUUCUUUUGUACUAAGCAAAUGACAAUUAAAAUAUAAUAAAAGUUUAAUAUGUUAGAUAAAGUUACCAUCCACGCAAUAUAUAUAUAUAUAUAUAUAGAGAGAGAGAGAGAGAGAUUAAUAAUCUAUUAUAUACUUUAUUUAAAACUAUUACUAUUAAUAUAAAUGUAAUUUAUAUCUUUUAAAGGAGUAGUUUAUAAAAGAAAACUAUAUGACUCAAAAUUUUACUGCCAAUAUCUUAAAUAAUCUAUAAAUUAAUAAUGUUUAGAAUUUAUAAUUUUUGUUGUUAUAUUUAAUACACUUUUAGAUCUCAUACACCUCAUAAGUUAGAUUUUGAAUUUAAAAUUAGGAUUAAUAUUAUAUAUGUUCUUGCAAACAUAGUGAAUAAUAAAUAUAUCCCUAUAAAGUUCAACUUUAUUAUAUUGUCUCUACAAAAGUCCUGAUAUUUUCAAAUAUGUCAUUGCCGUUAGAAUCCGUUAGAAAAGUUAGUUAGCCAUAGAUUAAAUACUUAAUCCUAAUUAGUUUUUGAUAUUUUUAUUCCUUUAUAUUAUACUAGUAUGACUUUUGGAGGAAUAUAUUUGUGAUGACAAAAUUGAAAAUAUAAACGAUUUUCUAACGAUAACAAACCAGAGGGACAUAUUUGAACAUACGAAAGUUGAACUUUAUAAGAAUAUAUAUUUAUUAUUCAUUAUGUUUGCAGGAAAAUGUAUGAAAUUAACCCUUAAUAAAAUUAUAUAGUAUAUGACAUGUACUUGUAGACCCGGUGCAGGUAUAAUUUCCCUACGUAUACGUAAUCGUCACCUCCCCAUUUAAUUAGCUAGUAGGAAAAUACAACAACUACAAGUAGACUCUAUUAUUUGACUCUCGCAAGUUACGUGCCAAUUUUUGCGGUUCAGAUCAAGCCACGUAGAGUGGUCACACAAAUAAGUGAACAACCCGGUCGUUAAAAUUAGGGGUUGGGUACGAUUUUUAAAAAAUUAUAUUUCUCCUAAUUUAGAUUUUAUAAUUAUUUUAUAAUUAUUAUUUUUAGUUCGUAUUUCGGUAACAAACAGCCGAUUCCUUCGGGAACACGUCUCCUCCUCCGCCCCCACCCCGCCUCAAACUCUAUAAAUACGCGGCGUCGAACACCUGGUCUCUCUUCUUCUCUCUCCUCCAUUCCCUCCCUUCGCAACCCUAAUUCGCUCUCCUUCUCUCCCUCUUCGCCAAGAUUUUCUAGGGUUUGGCACGCCGACGUUUUCGUUCGCGUGCUACCUCCUCCUCCUUUUCUAGGGUUCGGAUUUUGAGGUAUUUGACUCGGCAUUGGGGAGAUCGGAGCUCGUGAGAUCUCAGAGCUCGAGCUUUCUCGAUCAGGUAAUGGAGGAUCCUCGUUUUGUUUAUUUUUUCCUCUUUUUUUUUUCUUUUUUUUUCUGAACGAUUACGAGAAGUGCAUUUAUUAAUCUAAUGCGUUACUCCUUGUUUCUUUCCAUUACUGCAUAUUUUCUUCAGUUUUUUUUUCGUGUCUUGUUUGGAUGGAUAAAACACAAAGACCAUCAUCGUCUCGUGUUUUGAUGAAUCUUCAAUUUGAUUUGCUUAAGCAAUGAUACGAAUGUUUCGUGUAGCUAACGUUCUUGGCUUUUAUUGCUAUUGAAGAUGAAUACAAAGAUUUUUUCGGAUAUUUCCGUUUAAUCUUUUCUUCUUUUAUUUGAUAUUUCUUGAGCUAAUUCGUGGUCGUCCCGUUCGGCUUUGGCUGCCCAUUGUUUUUAAUUUUCUGUCGACCGCCGCAGAAAAGAGAAGGGGGAGUCUCACCAACCCUAAUUCGGUCACUAUCCGAUUUUUCGGAUGUCCCACCUAAUAAGCCCUCUUUACAAUAAAAUUAUUACUAGAAAAUUGACAUUAUUGUCUUUGUGAUCUUUGGAUUCUAUUAUACAUGAAUAAGAGGUUCAUAAUCUUCGAUGUACUUUUUGUCGUGUUAUCUUUUUGGCUGGUUUACAGUGAUUUAAUGAUCAAAAAGGGUCUUUGUCUAUCUUUUUAGCAACUAAUAAUGAAACUUGGCUUUUACUUGUGUGGUCCGGGUACUACGGUUGACGCUUUUUGGUGGUCUUGGCCUCUUGGGCCAUGGUUUCCCUCUGUGUUUCUGGCGAAAUGUGGGGCAUGUGCAUGUACUUUGUCCCUUUUUUUUUUUCUGAAAUUGAUAAAACGAUUUCUUGUAUCAAUUUUUUCUUUCUUUUUUUUUAAAAGAAAAUUCGAUUGUUUUAAAAUAAAUUUGCGAUUGGUUUCUUUUUUUUCUUCCAAAAAAAAAAUAAUAUGUUGAAACUUUUAUUUUAUUUUAUUUUAUUUUUUUUGACCCCAUUAUUUUAUUGUUUUCCCGUUGACUCAAUUUUCACGGUAAAUAUAAAAUCAAGAUGCAAGUGGCACGCUCUCCAAACUGGAGUUGUCUUUUUAUUAUUGCUUAGAUUAUAGUGUUUACACUAUAUAUUUGCCUUUUCAGAGCGGCUAUUAUUAUUAUAUAAUAUUCGAAGCUGGUAGUUACAUAUUAUGAUGGACUGCUAAUGUAGAUUGACGAAUUUUUUAAUCUGUCAGUAUAGAGGUUGCACAUGGCUACUUACUAAAUCAAGAAUAAGUCCAAACUAUCUGAAUUUGGAGCACCGAAUAGAUCCGGUGAUCCGAAUUCAAGGAGGUGCGGGAUCAAGGGCCCCAUGGUUGGGGGCCCUUCAUUCAACAACUCCGUUAGAUUCUCUGAAUUUGAAAAUAAAAAAAACGGAAAGAAAAUGUAGCAUUGGAUUGGAAGAAAUAAUGAGAGGGCAAUGUUGGGAAAGGAGGGGGUUUAACAAUGCUGAUGCAUUAGGGAUUGCUAGAGGAUUCCAAUCAAGUUAAAUAAUUCUGUUGGGAUGGGAUUAUUCAACCUCACUCGAGAGCUAGGAUUCAUGAGAUCCGAUUCAUAUGCUCUCUUUCAACCCUACUACCUGAUGCAUCUCCUACCUGUUGUGAUCCUGGACGAUUUUGAGUCACUGAACCUUCUCUCUUCCUCCAGUGUUGUUAUCCCUACCAAUUUAAUCCAAUCGUUGAUGCCAAAGCAAGGCCAUAGUACUUCUGAUGGGAAGUUUGUAUAGGUGCUGAUUUCAUGUUUGUCCUACUGGGAAAGCUUAUUGAUACUGAGUUCUAUGGUGGUGCUGACAAAGCAUCACUAAUUUGCGUCGAAAAUGCUGAGAGGAUACUGUUGGAUCUUUUUCUAUGAGUCUGCCUUUUAGUCGAAAGUAGAUAUUUUCUUUCUCUUCUUUUCUUAGUAGCAGUAGGUUUUGGAAAGAUUUCACCUUUUUUCUUAUAAAUCAUUCGCCAGAAAGUGACAGUUUAUCGCACUUUUUUAUUUGAAAAAUACGUUGAGUUUUUAGCUAACCUAUUUUUGUUAUUAUCAUCCUACUGUUUUCUAGCUCACUGAUGAUGACCUCACAGCUAUAGUUCUUGUAGCAAAAUUUUAUACAGUUGAAUUAAUGUUGUUGUUCCUUGUUGCUAAUGCAGUGAAAAGAUCGUUUGAUCAAAGUCUCCCGAGUCUCAACAAAUUUCUGAUGCUUCCGUUCCAAAAUGUGUGAUCGUGUAGUAUAAAUGCUUUAUUGUGCUGGCAAUGACAAGGUAUGUCCAUACAUACUAAGUUGAUUUUCAAAAUAUUUCUCCUGGUUUGAUCUGUUCUGAUGCAACUUUGUCUUGUGAACAGUUCUCAGGAAGUGUUCUGUUGAUGGACUGCAUGCACAACUGCAGUGACAAGAAGACAUUGAAGAGGUGGUUCUUUAUUGACAAAAGGGUUGGGUAAUUAUACAAAGAAAAAGCUUGUUCAACCAUUACUGAGCUGAUUGUAAGAGACGAUAUCGAAACACACACGCAUAGAAUUGGAUCUAAUGGAUUUGAAGACGACCCAUAACUCCCCUGUUAUUACUGACCCUGUACCUGUAAGCAAGUCACGGCUAAGCUUGUCUUCGAAUCUGAUGCCGUAUUCACCGACAUCUGCUGGUUAUUCUUCUCCUAGUCUGUACAUCAAUAUCCCCAGAAGGAAACCGAUACCUGAUCUACUCGAUAAUGUCCGUGCUAAUUCUUGGCUCGAUGCCAUGAAGUCCUCCUCGCCUCCUCGCAAGAAGCUGAACAAGGAUUUUGGCUUAGAUAAUGAAUCUGAUGAGAUUGAUCAUCCCUAUCUUACUUGGAUGGUAAAUUCAUGAUUCUGUUAAUUCAAAAAUUUAGGGCUCUGGGGAAGUUAUUAUUGUAACAUAUUCUGAGUGUUUACCUAUGUUUGCAGAUCAAAUAUCCAUCAGCUUUAUCUUCGUUCGAGGAAAUCACUGCCUAUGCUAAAGGCAAGAAGAUAGUGUUGUUCAUGGAUUACGAUGGGACUCUAUCACCUAUUGUUGACAAUCCUGACAAUGCUUUCAUGUCGGCUUCGGUAAGUCUUGUUCGAAUUUCAUGUAGUUGGUUUGGACUUUCCACAAAUUUGACAUUUAAUCUUUUAUAAUUUUGAUUCUUAAUGUGCAUACCUUUUUCUAGAUGCGUGCUACUGUCAAAUAUGUUGCAAAGCAUUUCCCAGCUGCAAUUAUCAGUGGAAGGUCUCGAGAUAAGGUAUACAAUAUAACUAAUUGAUUUAAAUAGAUGCUUGAUCUGUUAUAUAAUAUCCGUUUCUGGUUGUCUGACCUUUCCCUCUACUGUUUUUUUCCCUUCCUUUUCAGGUUUUUGAAUUUGUAAAAUUAACUGAGCUAUAUUAUGCUGGUAGUCAUGGGAUGGACAUAAUGGGUCCGGUUAGAAAAUUGGAGUCCAUAGGCCAUCCAAACUGCAUUAGUUUGACUGACAAGCAGGUGAAUAGGGAUUUUUUUUCCUCUUCUGGUCGGAUCAAAUAAAAUAUUUUAUUUCCCUUUUUAGCCAUCUAUGUUUGUAUUCUUGUUUGUAAUCAUUUUGUCAUGGUUGUAGGACAAGGAAGUGAAUCUCUUCCAGCCUGCAAGCGAGUUUUUACCUAUGAUCGAUGAGGUAUGUACAAUUUAGUAAUGUUUGCAAGCUAAUACAAUGUUUUCCAACAGUGUUUCACUCAGUGUGCUCAUUAUUAUAUUCUGUGAGCAGGUUUUUAGAUCCCUCGUCGAGACUGUUAAAAGAAUUAAUGGUGCGACAGUUGAGAACAACAAGUUUUGUGUCUCUGUACAUUACCGUAACGUAGAUACAGAGGUAAAAAAAUUUUAGACCCAAUUUCUAUAUCAUAUGUUUGUUCAUUUUCAGGAGAAACUAUAUUGAUGGUGGACUAACUUAUAAUUAUCCUUUCUCCUAAUGAUUUGCUUUUAGAACUGGGAUCUGGUUGGGCAGGUGGUGACCGAGAUCGUAAAGGGAUACCCUCGUUUACGACUAACUCAUGGGCGGAAGGUAUGCCAAAACCAUUGUUUCUUUUACUUGGCUUAGUUUAUCCUUUUUCUUUUUUUUUCCCAUGUUGUUGGUUCAUUUUAUCUUUAUUAUGGCUGAUCUUGUGGUACAGGUUUUAGAGGUCCGUCCUGUGAUUGAUUGGAACAAAGGGAAGGCUGUCGAGUUUUUGAUGGAUUCACUCGGACUGAGCGAUUGUGAUGAUGUACUUCCGAUUUAUAUUGGGGAUGACCGUACCGAUGAAGAUGCUUUUAAGGUAACUUUGUGAAAAGCUAUAUUUGAAUGUUGGAGAAAGUUGAUUCCUACGUUCCCUUUUGCCAUCUUUGGAUAGGAUUUAUAAUAGUUCCUUAUCAUAUCUCAUCUCAGGUUUUGAGAAAGGCGAACCGGGGGUUUGGAAUUCUAGUAUCAUCUGUGCCAAAAGAAACUGCCGCGUUCUACUCUUUGAGAGACCCAUCUGAGGUAGAGCUCAUCUCUUCUAAUCACAAACAGCGACAAUUGCAUUUAUGUUUCUUUUAUGUUUUUGUUUCAUAAGCGACAAUAUUUCUCGAUUCGCUAUGCAGGUAAUGGAGUUUCUCAAGUCCCUGGGGAGAUGGAAGAAGCGCGCAUCAUUGCAAAAUGAGAGCAAUCAUCUAACUAUAACUAUUUAAUUACGGCUUUAUAUAGACUACUAGUGGUGACAGGUUGCUGACAAAUAAUAGCAAGACGCAAAGCAAAGGCACUGCAAUUUUGAGGCAAAAAUUCAGUGUUGUUAUUUUUCUUCUUCUUUUAACAAAAAAAAAAAAAGAAGAAUAUACUGCACUCUUUCCUUUCCUUUGCUAAUUCAUUUUGUUGUAAUUUCAAACUGUCAUCAUAUAUAUGGCGCUCAAUGUUUUUUUAUUCUUUUCUUUAUUUUUCUUUCAUACAUUUUUGUUUAUUCUUUGUGAAGAUCCUUUAUUGUUAAGUUGCUUAGCUUCGAGGUACUAGCUAGUUUACUAUUUCGUGCUUGGUCUUCCUGGUAUGGGGCUUGUAACAUGUCUUUCGAAUUGGACCUACUUCCGAAUCGGGAGUUUUAAUGCUGAGUUCAACUGGGCCUAAAUAUCCUUUUGUCUCCCUCUUUCUUUUCCGGGCAAACUUUUGUUUUUGUUUUUGCCCAACCCACUUCCUAUUGAUCGCUUAAGAUUUUCAUCACAUUAUCAAUAAUUAAUCAAUCAUAUUUCUUUAUUUAAAAAAAAAGAUAAAAUAAAUUUUUUUAAAAUAAUCAUGAUGAGAUGGGUGGAUUUAAAAAAAGUUAAACUUUCUACUGUUAAAAAUGGGCCACAAACUUUUCACCUAUUUACAUUCGUUUCCACUGCUGUAUAAAAACUGUGAUGUUCAAAUUAAGUUUCCGGUGUACAAAUCCUCUUUUGGCCCAUCGAAGAGUCCUCCAGAAAUAAGUCGCGACUUCUGGCCGGUGUCUGAUUGGGUUCAUAUAACUAUUUAUUUACUAAUGAUGAGCCAUCGCUUGGUCGGCAAUUCGGCAUCCGAGGUGGGGUUCGGGCCAUGUUUUGUGGUCGACCAAGUCACUGAAGUCCAAUGUCACGCUCCACAGACGGAACCGUUUCCAUCUUAUUAAACCCUACUGAUUCUUAAGCCCGUACUGUAGCGCUCACUCUCUUGCCACAGCGAUCUGCUCUUCCGCACACAAAAACGAACGAGAACGAAGAUUUCUAAGGCAGAAAAAAAAAAUAAAAAUGCAGAGCUUGAGAGCCUCCGCCUUGGCCCGGCGCGCGCGAUCCGCGGUUCGCUCGCUCUCCAACUGCAGGGCCCUCUCCUCCCACCUCAGCUCCUCCCCCGACGCCGACCACCUCCAAAACGAAGUCACCCUCUUCCCCUCUCUCUCUCUCUUUCUCUCUUUCUCUUACUUUUCUCUCCACACGUAUAUUUGUAAAGGCGUCGACCGGUUUCAGGUGCUGGUCGAAGGCAAAGCGAGCGCGCGAGCCGCGAUCCUCAACAGGCCCUCUUUCCUCAACGCUCUCACUACCAACAUGGUGCUCUACUCCGUUCCCCUUUUCUCCUUGGCCUUCGCCUUUGCCUUUUUCUUCUUGUUGUUGCUGUUGAUUUAUCAUGGGAAUGCGCUAAAGAUGUUCGAUGAUUUGUCCCUGCGAGGCUUUUAAUAUAGGCUGUGCGUUUGAAGAAGCUCUACGAGUCCUGGGAAGAUAAUCCCGACAUCGGUUUUGUCAUGAUGAAGGUAUAUGCCUUUUAUAACCGAGUCCACAGACGUGAAACUGUCGGUCGGAGCGCUUACAUGUGCUUUUCAUGUUUUGAAGGGCAGCGGCAGAGCAUUCUGUGCCGGCGGAGAUGUCGUCGCCCUCUAUCGAUUGAUCAACGAAGGUACGAGCUUAAAGCUCUUCUUUGUUCGAUUCGAAUACUACAUCCUACUUGGGACCACUCAGAAUAGAUAGUAGAUACAUAGAGAGAGCUUAGUAGCAAUUGGAGACGUAAAGAAGGUAAUGUUGAGGGUAAUGUUGAGGAUGCAAUUAGAGAAGAAAAGAGAACGAUAUUGGAAACAAUGGACUGAGAAGGUGAGAGGAAAAAUAAAUUAGAGGAAGAGAAGAAGAGAGGUAUAGCAGGAGAUGGAAAAAUUCCACCUUUUACUUAAACUGAUUACUCAUUAUUAUCGCAUUCAGGAAAACUGGAGGAGUGCAAGGAUUUCUUCAAGAACUUGUAUAUGUACAUAUACAUUUUAGGCACCUACUUGAAGCCACAUGUGAGUAUGACUUCGCAUUCGGUAACUUUUCAAUUAAGCAUAAUGGAGAGCGGCUUAUGGUUGAAAUUAGAAGAUCAUCAUUCUUAUAUGAUAUUUGAAGAAUGUUGGUGAUCUUUUAUUAUGUGUAUUCCUUCUUUCUACUUUUUCUUGUUUGACAAUUGUCGUCAUUGCUUGCCAUUGCUGCCGCUACCACCACCACCAUCACGCUACGACGACUUCCACGACACCACAGCCUCACUACCUUCGCCGCUGUUGUCUCAUUACCUUUGUCUCCUCCUGGAAUUGUUGAAGCCGCAAUCAUCCCUACCGCUGACUUUAUUACUACUUGUUGCCUCUGCCAUGACUAUCAUUUUUAUUUUCUACCCCAGUUAAGCAACAAACAUGUUGGAGACUCGAUCAUCCCAACUUCACUGCAAGCCCAUUCUAGUUCCCAUUUCCAAUCGUUGAUGAAUCAAAUAAAUGCAUCUUGUUGUUGCACUCUAGAAGCAUAGAACAAAUGAAAUCAUGCCUUACUUUGUCGAAGUGUCUUUCUAGAGUUAGUUCUUGCUUCAUUCUGGUGCUUUCGCCUUUCUAUGUUCACAAGUUUUCUUCAUAGACCAUUGGAGGGUUGUGCUAGUCCUAAUAGUCUGUUAGUCCUGCUUUCUUUUUCUAUAUUUACUCACCAAAUUUUGAACAUUGCUAUGCAAUUUCGUACUAAUCUUUUCUUUCAUUUACUUUUUUUAAUGACUAUUUUCUUUUAGUUAAAAGUCACUUUUCGUUUUGCCUUAAGCCCUUAACCUAUUCUUGGCUGUCAUUUCAAAGUGUUUCUGUUUUUUUUUUUUUUUUUCUUUCUUUUUUACUUUGUUCUACUUCUUGAAAUUGUAAAUUAUGCUUCAACAAAUUGCUAGACAUUAGGCAACUAGACCGUUCAAUUAAUCUUUGGUUUUAGUGCUGACUUUUGUCAUUUCAAAUAGGUGGCGAUUUUGGAUGGUAUCACCAUGGGUGGUGGUGGAGGAGUUUCAAUUCCUGGAACGUUUCGUGUAGCUACUGAUAAGACCGUAAGAUUCAUAGUUGUUUGCUAUUUCAAUGCUUGUCCCUGUCAAGUCAGUUUAUUCAUUUUAAGGCUGCUUUGUCCAUCUUAUGCUUGUGUCAACCUUCAUUAUCCUAACAUACUUACAUGUUUUUUUUUUUUUUUAAUUAUUCUUCCAUCCAGUUCUUUGCUACUCCAGAAAUCCAUAUUGGUUUCCAUCCUGAUGCUGGGGCUUCUUUUUACCUGUCACAUCUAACUGGUCAUGUAGGUAGGCUUGCGAGUUGAGAAAGAUUACACACAUUUUCAAAUUGUAUUUUGUCAGUUUUGAUUUAAUGUGUUACAGCAGUUAAUAUUCUGAACUUGUUGAAUAUAUGAUUGCGCAUUGUGUUGUGCAAAAUAAUAACUCCGAGUAUUAUCAGCAGCUUUUAUGCAGCAAUAGUGGUAUUCCUAAUGGUUUGGAAUCUUCUUUAUUCUGUGCGAUGUAAUGUAGUUUUUUGGUUUUGUAGCUGAUGAGUUUCAUACAUUUUUAAACCUCUUUCAUCUAUAAUUUUCAAUGUACAUGAAUAUGGUCCUUUCCAAGCAAAUUUACUCUGUAUAUAGGGGAAUAUUUGGCUCUGACCGGUGAAAGGCUUAAUGGGGUGGACAUGCUUGCUGUUGGUCUUGCUACCCACUAUGCAAUGAGUGCUGUAUGUAUUCAUGACCUUACUCCCUUAUUUUUUUUUGCUGGUAGCAUCGGCACUAGUAGUUUUCCUAGCGCUCAUUUAUGAUGAUAUUUUCUUCAACAGCAUCUAGAUCUAAUUGAUGAACGACUAGCAAAGUUGGUAACUGAUGAUCCUUCGGUUAUUGAUUCCUCUCUCGCACAAUACGGUGACAUUGUUUAUCCGGAUAAGAAGAGCAUUAUUCAUAGGUGACAUUCUUCUUACACAUCCUUAGCAGUUGAUUAUUGUGAGGGCAAUCAUUUCAUUCUUUUGUGCAUACUUGUACAAUAGUACUUUAUUAAUAUUUGUUUUGUAUUAUUUAGUUUAUGUUGAAAUCCCUUUUUCCUAUUUAAAAUUUUGGUCUCUCUCCUCUAUCCAUCCGCAUGAUGCAUUCUAUGUAUAGGAUAUUAUUUGGUAUUCUCACAAUUGAAAGAAGCUUUCGUUGUCUGACUUUUUAGUUGAUUUUGUAAUUUAUACAGUAGUAUAAUGUAAUAGUCUAGAAAUAAACUCUCAGCAAGUUGAUCCUUUAUUGCUCUCGUGCGUUCAGGCUGGAGGUAAUAGACAAAUGCUUUGGCCGUGAAACAGUCGAGGAAAUCGUGGAUGCUCUGGUAAGCCUUGCCCUUUUCUUUUCCUUGAUCACUGGGCACCGACCUCAACUUAAAAGACAACAAAAGAUAAAACCGACCAUCUGGAACUUUGUGAUAAUUCCUUUUAGGUUUAUUGUAACUGAAACAACAGAUACAGUUGAGUUCUCUCUUUAAAGUUCUAUCGCGUCACCAUCGCCCAUCUAAUCUCUUCAAUCACAAAUUAAUUAGGAAAUUGAGGCUGCUAGGACAAAUCAAGAUUGGUGUACUUCUGCUCUCAAGAAGCUCAAGGAAGCUUCUCCAUUGAGCUUGAAGGUUUCACUGCGAUCGGUAAGUCACGAGAGAACCUCUUAUUGCUUUAUUCGUACCUGUCUUUCUGACAUAGCUAUUGCGCAAUUUCAUAGAUCCGCGAAGGUAGAUUUCAGACUCUUGACGAAUGCCUUGUUCGGGAAUACCGAAUGUCUCUUCAUGGUAUCUCAAAGAAGGCCUCUCACGACUUUUCUGAGGUAUUAAAGCAUUAAUAUUUCCAAAAGGAUGUUUUACUAGCUUGUUUAGGGCUUUCUAAUUUGUCAUGGUUCCUUUAGGGUGUAAGAGCACGGUUAGUCGACAAGGAUUUGGCCCCUAAGGUAAUUAAUUAUAUUCGAUAUAAUUCUACUGUAUAAUUGCUAGUUUUGGGUUUUUUUUAAUGUAAAAACCUGCGAUUCUCGUAUGCAGUGGGAUCCUCCUACUCUGGAACACGUAUCAGAAGACAUGGUUGAUUAUUACUUCUCGCCUCUCGGAGAAUUCGAGCCUGAGCUAAAGCUACCUACGCACUUGCGAGAAGCUUUUAUCUAAUUUUGGAUACUUCAUGAAGUUUGUUUUAAUUUUUCUCUGAAAAUUUGCUAGACGUUGCGAAGAGCAUCAGAAGCUUUGUUUUUGCUAUGCACCACUGCAUUUAUUGGAGGCGUAGUUUUAUUAUAUCACACUCCUCAGAGUUUUACUGUAUCAUAUCCGCAUUUCGGAUGCUGGUGAAUUUAUCGAAUGAGGAUAUACGUUCUUGUUGGCGUCAGAUAAUUGCAAUAGCAAAUGCACCCUUGCAGUUGCCCUUUCCUUUUUCCCAUUCUUGUAAUUUCAAAAGGAAAGACUCAUUUUAUCUUUUUAUCUCUUUACAUUUUGAGAAAAUGUGAACUCGGACUGGAUAUUGUAUCGGGCUCUUGAUGGAAUGGGCCAAAGCUGGGAUUGAGCUACUUUUUGAUAUUAGAUGGGCCCUCUGGCCCAAUGGACCGCGCCCAACUCUAUAUAUUUAACCAAACUGCUUCAAAAGUGAUUUUGGCUUAAAUGCUGAUGUGUCUACUAACCAAAAAAAAAAAAAAAAAACCGUUUAGUGCCUUCUCAAAAAAAUAAAAUAAAAGAAAACACCCUCAGUUUGGAAAGAAGUAACAUCAAAACAUACCUCACGACCACCUCCCCCUACCCAAAAGAAUGAAAGGAAAAAAAAAAAAAAAAGGUCCAGUGAUAGUACCUCAAUAAAAGGAACUCUAGUAAUCCGAAUCCGACUCCAAAUCUGAAAUUCGAAUUUGAAUCCGACUCCAAAUCUGAAAUUCGAAUUUGAAUCUGAAUUUAACGAAUUUUAAAAUUCAUACCCAAAUCUGAACACGAUAAAAAAUUCGAAACCCGAACUCAUUAUAUCUCUUUUCACUAUUUUAGAAUAUAUUAUAUUAAAAUUUAAAUUUUAAAAUAUAAAUUUAAAUAUAGCAUUAAAUUUUUAUAUACAUACUAUAUAUAAUAAAUAUAAAAUAAAUUUAAGUUCAGGUCGGAUUCGGUUUCGAUUUCAAUUUUGAAUCAGGUAUAUAGUCAAAAUUUAUAUCCGUUGAAUUUUUAUUUUUAAUAUUUUAUAUUGGAUUCGAAACCAUGUUCGUUUACCAUGGAAUAAACCCGAUCUGGUCGGAAUUCGGGUUCGGAUACUUACCCAUUGAAAUCCCUAGGACUCUUCUCCUACUGGCACGUGCUUCACGCGUGACUUAGCCCUUAUUGGUUUGAGCAACGGGCUCGAAUGAAACCGAAUAGGCGAGGCCAACCUCUCUCUCGUCCCAGUCCUCUCCACUCCUCUCCUCUCCUCUCCCCGGUUUCCCUUCUUCAUCUCCCUUCUCCGAUCGCGCCUCUCGAAACCCCCAGAUCUCGGCGACGCACCUGAAUUCGCCGUCGACUCCGUUAGAUCUCAACCCUAAUUGCGUUUCGCCGAUCUCCUCAGAUCCCGAUCCCGGGUAACAAAAGGUAUCCACCCCGAUCCCCUCUCCGUAAGAUCUAUAAUAAAUCUUAAAUCGUAUCUCAUCUUCGUCGUCGUCGUCCUCCUCCAUUGUCGAUCCCCGCGUCUCCUCCUCAUCAGAUCUGUGUUCCUUCCUCCCAGAUCUCGGAGAUCCAAGGACGAGUAGGAGGAGGAAGAGGAAGAGGAAGAGGAAGAGGAAGAGGGAGUAGUGCAAGUAAAUAUCGAGGGAAGACGAAGAUGGAGAAGUCGUGCACGCUGGUGAUCCACUUCGACAAGGGGUCGCCGGCCAUGGCGAACGAGAUCAAGGAGGCGCUGGAAGGGAACGACGUGGCGGCGAAGAUCGAGGCGCUGAAGAGGGCGGUGAUGCUGCUGCUGAACGGGGAGACGCUGCCGCAGCUGUUCAUCACGAUCGUCCGGUACGUGCUCCCGUCGGAGGACCACACGAUCCAGAAGCUGCUGCUGCUGUACCUGGAGAUCGUGGACAAGAGGGACUCCCGCGGGCGCGUGCUGCCGGAGAUGAUCCUGAUCUGCCAGAACCUGCGCAACAACCUGCAGCACCCGAACGAGUACAUCCGCGGCGUGACCCUGCGGUUCCUGUGCCGGCUGUCGGAGUCGGAGCUGAUCGACCCCCUGGUGCCCUCCGUGCUGGCCAACCUGGAGCACCGCCACCCCUUCAUCCGCCGCAACGCGCUGCUGGCCGUCUCCGCCAUCUUCCGCCUCCCCAACGGCGAGCAGCUCCUCCCCGACGCCCCCGACCUCGUGGAGAAGGCGCUGGCGGCGGAGCAGGACCCGUCGGCCCGCCGCAACGCCUUCCUGAUGCUCUGCGCCUGCGCCCAGGAGCGGGCCGUGGCCUACCUGCUCUCCCACGCCGAGCAGGUCCCCGACUGGCCCGACCUCCUCCAGAUGGCCGCGCUCGACCUCGUCCGCAAGGUCUGCCGCUCGAACCGCGCCGACAAGGGCAAGUACAUCAAGAUCAUCAUCUCCCUCCUCGGCUCCCCCAACACCGCCGUCGUCUACGAGUGCGCCGGCACCCUCGUCUCCCUCUCCUCCGCCCCCACCGCCAUCCGCGCCGCCGCCAACACCUACUGCCAGCUCCUCGCCUCCCAGAGCGACAACAACGUCAAGCUCAUCGUCCUCGACCGCCUCAACGAGCUCCGCUCCUCCCACCGCGACAUCAUGGUCGAGGUCGUCAUGGACGUCCUCCGCGCCCUCUCCAGCCCCAACCUCGACAUCCGCCGCAAGACCCUCGACAUCGUGCUGGAGCUCAUCACCCCGCGCAACAUCGACGAGGUCGUCCUCACCCUCAAGAAGGAGGUCGUCAAGACCCAGAGCGGCGAGCUCGAGAAGAACGGCGACUACCGCCAGAUGCUCGUGCAGGCCAUCCACACCUGCGCCAUCAAGUUCCCCGAGGUCGCCGGCUCCGUCGUCCACCUCCUCAUGGACUUCCUCGGCGACAGCAACGUCGCCUCCGCCAUCGACGUGGUGCUCUUCGUCAGGGAGAUCAUCGAGACCAACCCCAAGCUCAGGGUGUCCAUGAUCCAGAGGCUGAUCGACACCUUCUACCAGAUCCGGGCUUCCCGCGUCUGCUCCUGCGCCCUUUGGAUCCUCGGAGAGUACUCCCUCUCUCUCUCCGAAGUGGAGAGCGCCAUUUCCACCAUCAAGCAGAGCCUCGGCGACCUCCCAUUUUACACCGCCGCUGAGGAGGGAGACGCGGCGGACUCCUCGAAAAAGCCACAGCCUGUGAGCUCCGCCGCGACUGUUUCAUCCAGGAGGCCGGUUAUUCUGGCGGAUGGGACGUAUGCUACUCAAAGUGCGGCCUCUGAGCUCGCCACUUCGGCUCCCAUAGUUGUUCCCGGCUUGUUGGCUUCGACUGCUAAUUUGAGGUCCUUAAUCCUGUCCGGCGACUUCUUUUUGGCGGCGGUCGCGGCGUGCACUCUCACUAAGCUUGUUCUGAGGCUGGAGGAGGUCCAGCCGUCGAAGGCCGAAGUGAACAAAGCUUGCACCGGUGCCCUACUGAUCAUGGUCUCGAUUCUGCAGCUGGGGCAGUCCUCGUAUCUUCCCCACCCGAUUGAUAACGAUUCUUUUGAUAGAAUUAUUCUGUGCAUAAGGCUGCUGUGCAAUACUGGGGACGAAGUUAGGAAGGUAUGGCUGCAGUCGUGCCGCCAGAGUUUUGCAAAGAUGCUUGCGGAGAAGCAGUUCCGGGAGACGGAGGAGAUCAAAGCCAAGGCCCAGAUUUCCCAUGCACAGCCGGAUGAUCUUAUUGAUUUCUACCAUCUGAAGAGCAGGAAGGUACGUGAAUAUUGCUGUUUUAAACAUAGCGAAACUGAUAGGAAAAUUUGUUUCUUGAUGCAUUUGUUACUUUGUCAUGAGUAUUAUGUUUAAGAUGUGCAAGUCUGUUGGAAUUAGUGAAUAACUCAUAUGUCAAAUGCUUACACUGGUUGCAAUUGUUACUAUUUCUUGAAUGCCGUAUUUAAGAAACACAUUUGUUAAAUGUAGGAGACUAUGAUCUAAAACAAUUCUAAGCCAUUGACUAUAGAACUUUAGGGAACAUUGUUUACUAAUAUAAAUAGUCUGCACGCUUUUACAUUAUUGAAAAGAACUGUGCAUUUGCUACAUGUCAGUGGCAAGCUUAUUUGAAAAGAACAACUAUAUGAAAGUGCAAACAGGGCCUUUUGGUACCGCAUAUGCGCUUUUGCUGAAAACCUGCAAGAAAGCGCUGAUACGAAUGUAGAUACAUUUUACAGAAUCUUGCUUGGUGUUUAUGAUGGGAAGAUGUAAUGAUAAUGAUAAUAGUCUUUGCUAGAAGGUUUUUUUUUCCGUUCCCUACAUGAGAAAAACUUCAUUGUGGUAAUUUUUGUCUGAAGAUUCCUUUUAAUUAUUGACGUAUAGCAUCAGCAUGAGAGCAUGUCAAAUGAACCGGCAGAUCUUUUAGAUGGGCAGACGUGUUAAAUAGUUGUAUGCUAAGUCGUUUUCAUACAUUUGUGUGGAGGAAUUUGACAAAUUGCUUAGCUGUCUACAUUUUUGAAUCUUUGCAUUUAGCUAGGUUAUGAAUUAUAUUACUCGUAAAAUGUACCUUGGCAUUCCUUGUUUACAGGGAAUGACCCAGCUUGAGUUGGAGGAUGAGGUCCAAGAUGACUUAAAACGUGCGACUGGAGAGUUCACAAAAGAUGGGGAUGAUGCAAAUAAACUGAACCGCAUUCUUCAACUGACUGGAUUUAGCGAUCCUGUCUAUGCUGAAGCAUACGUAACCGUUCAUCACUACGAUAUAGUCCUUGAUGUAACAGUCAUAAACCGUACAAAAGAAACACUUCAGAAUUUGUGCUUGGAAUUGGCCACCAUGGGAGAUCUCAAGCUCGUAGACCGUCCGCAGAAUUAUACACUAGCACCUGAGUCAAGCAAGCAAAUUCGGGCCAAUAUUAAGGUCUCUUCAACUGAAACUGGAGUAAUAUUUGGGAAUAUUGUUUAUGAGACUUCGAAUGUGCUUGAACGAACUGUUGUCGUCCUCAAUGAUAUUCACAUUGACAUCAUGGAUUAUAUCUCUCCUGGUAAUUGUGCUGAUGUUGCUUUUAGAAGUAUGUGGGCCGAAUUCGAGUGGGAAAACAAGGUACGCGAUUUUUACUUUAAUAUUACUUAAACUGGCUCUUAACUUUGAACAUACAAAUUUUCUCUCUAAAACAUACAGCUCUUGCAUAUUGUGUGUGCCAGCUUGUUGUGUCUUGUGUGUUGGUAAGCUUCACUCUUAAGCAUCUGCAUUUUAGCAUUACACCGGAAUUAGGAAGCAGCUUCUUAUUUUGAUAUUCCAUAUAUUCCAGCUUCUUCUUUGUUAAGCAAACAAUGUAAGCUAAUGGUUCAACGAGUAGUUCAUGUGCAUGUUGUUCUUUCUAUGUUCUUUGUAGUUUCUUAAAAAAAAUAAUAAUAAUAAUUGACUUUGUGCCAUUGUAAUGUUAAAAUAUUUAAUCUGGUUGAAGGUGACUGUUCUGUUAUAACUUAUAAGUUUGACUAAACUCUCCGUAUGCGAGAAAAUUAUCUCUACUAUAUAAUCUUAGCUCCAGUUCAUCUAUCCUUACUCUAAGACGUUUAUUAUGUCGGCUGUGAUGAACCUGUGAUUAGGAAUUUUUACCCAGAGGUCUUUUCCAGCGUGCCCUUCAAUUCUGCACUGGUUCAGUUCACAACUUUAGAUGUCUUGUGAUUUUUAUGUUCUUCUGAUUCUUUUGCUAUUACUUCACAAAAUAUGCUAUAUCCUCUUGCAAAUGCUUUGCAGUAAGCUGAUGUUUUGGCUGCAUUUUCAGGUUGCUGUGAACACUGUUAUUCAGGAUGAGAAGGAAUUCUUAGAUCACAUCAUCAAAUCUACAAACAUGAAGUGCCUCACUCCGCCGUAAGUUCUGACAUCACAGAUGAUACUUUAUUGAAUUUUCUGUCCUUAUUUAUCCCCUUCAAUCCAUCCAACUAAUACGUGUUCGUCAUGCUCUGUGAUGUAUUUCAUUGCAGUUCCGCGCUGGAUGGAGAAUGUGGGUAUCUUGCAGCCAAUCUCUACGCAAAGAGCGUGUUCGGGGAGGACGCAUUGGUGAACGUUAGUGUUGAGAAACAGGCCGAUGGGAAACUCAGUGGCUACAUUCGGAUUAGAAGCAAGACACAGGGUAUCGCGCUCAGCUUAGGAGACAAGAUCACUCUCAAACAGAAGGGAGGGAGUUAAGCUGCGUAUCUUCGCGCACAUCCUCCAUACUUUCUUUCCAACAUCUUUUUGGAGAUUAUUUCCAACAUCUUUUUGGAGAUUAUUUUGCCCCUUCCUUUUUAUAUAUGGAUUUUUUGAACUUGGCAAUUUUUCACUCUAUGCUGCAGAUAAUGUUGUUGUGGGUAGGUAAUGGUGCCAAUGGGGACAGAACCUCCCUCUUUUUUCUUUGUUUCGCAUUUAGAUCUGCUCAAUGUUUGCUAUACAUAUUUUAGGAACUUUGAUUUAUUUUUAUUCUUAAUAACGGUUUCUUCUCAAAUUGUUAGGAACUAUGAUUAAGCUACAUCGCAUUUCGUCAGAGUAGCUCUUGCUUUCGUAUUCGAAUUUGUCAUUUCUUGAUUUGUCAUUUCCUACAAAUGAUGAAGAUUUUAGCAGGAUCGACAACAUUGUAGUUCGUACAUCGCAUCAUUAUGUUUGCAACCUCUGUGUGUCAUGCAGUAGCACAUUCGUUUGCUUAACUACGAUUAUACGUGAAUAAUGUUUGUUUAGGCACUAGCUAAUCUGAUUGUCUGCUGGUGGUGAGUUUUAAAACUUUUGGGCUUUCAAAAGUAUAUAUAUAAAGACGGAUGCUUUGGACAAUGUAGUCUCCAACUAGGCCUUAAUCAGUUCACAGGCCUGCUAUUAUGCUAUGGGCCUCCUCUUACCAAUGUUGGAGCUUCGACCCUUUAAUUUAAGCUGUUACGCUGCAUAAUCUCCACUGUUGGAACUUUUGCCACGUUCCGGUAUAAAUUAAAUGAACCUUUAUAUAUAUAUAUAUAUAUAUAGCAGGGCUCCUCCGUGCUCCUGAGCCGUUUUCGAUGAUGGAAUUUUUGAAUCGACGAUCGGCUCCAUUAGACUUAAUCUAGCGCAUUUGAAGUUUUUAGAAAAUAAUUUUUGCGAUUUUUUGAUAUCAUUUACCUAAUGAUCGAAAAGAUUCAAAAUCUAUAAUUUUUAAUGAUUGAUAUCUGUCGUUUUCAAGUUUAACGGUGUAGAAGUAUUCAAAUCAGAUGAAAUUUUGAUAUCAAAUAUUUUUAUACUAUCUACAAACAAAUCAAUAUUUCUGAUCGAAAAUUUUAGUGCUAUAUCAUUUUUUAUAAGAAUUUUUAUUUUCAGCCGUUAAAAAUUAUUGAUUUUGAAUCAUUUCGAUUGCUAGGUAAAUGAUAUCGAAAAAUUGUAAAAAUUAUUUUCUAGAAACUUCAAAUACGCUAGAUCAAGUUUAACGGAGCCGAUCGUCGAUUUGGAAACUCCAUCAUCGAAAACGGCUUAGGAGCACGGAGGCCUCCGUGCUCUGAGAGCACAAGCAGUCCUGCUCUCUCUCUCUCUCCUCUCUCUCUCUCUAAUAUAUAAUAUAUAUAUAUAUAUACAGAGUUGAGCUAGAAUACUAUCGAUAGUAAACAUGCUUUUACUAUCGAUUUAUUUUCGAUGAUAGAGCUUCCAAUUGACGAUCGGCUCCGUUAAAUAUGAUCUAAACCAUUUAAACUAGCUAGAAAUCAAUUUCACGGCACUUCGAUAUUGUUCUUUUAUUCAUCAAGUGAACAAAAAAAUGAAUAGCUGAAAAUGAAUAUUCUUUAAAAAAUGAUGAUAGGAGUCUUGUAAUCAAGAUCAAGAGUAUAGAUCUUGUUUUAAAUAGUUUAAAGAAUUUUCUAACAAAAAUUCAAUUGAUUUGGAUAUUUUAUGCCGUUAAACGAGAAAACGCCUCUUAUCAACUAUUAAAAUUACAAAUUUUGAAACUUUUGAUCAUUAGGCAUAUAUGUCGAAACGAUUUGAAAUUUGAUUUCUAAACACUUCAAAUGGUAUAUAUCAUGUUCAACGGAGCCGAUCGUCAAUUUGGAAGCUCUAUCAUCGAAAAAAAAUAGGUAGUAAAACGGGUUGUUUACUAUCGAUAGUAUUCUAGCUCAACUCUCUCUAUAAAAUAUAUAGAGUGAGGCUACUAUUAGCGGAAGCACGGAGCCUUCCGUGCUUCAAGCUCGUUUCGAUGUUGCAACUUUUGAAUCGUCGAUCGGCUCCGUAAACUUGAUCUAGAGUAUUGAAGUAUCUAGAAAAUAAAUUUUAUAUAAUUUUACGAUAUCAUUUGCCUAGUGAACGAAAGGGCUCAAACAUACAACGGCUGAAAAUAAAAAUCUUACAAAAUGUAUAAUAUGACAUUAAAAUUUUAAAUUAAAGAUAUUGAAUCUUGUUUUAUAUAGUAAUAAAGAAUUUUCUAUCAAAAUUUCAACGGUGAUUUGGAUAUUUUCUACACUGUUAACACUUGCAAACGGCUCAUCACGGCCAUUGAAAUUUGUUGAUUUUGAGCCCAUUCGAUCACUAGCAAAUGAUAUCAAAAAAUAAUAAAAUUUAUUUUCUAGGUACUCCAAAAUACUCUAGAUCAAGUUUAACGGAAGCCGAUCGACGAUUCGAAAGUCGCACAAUCGAAAACGAGCUGGAAGCACGAAGGCUCCGUGUGCUUCCGAUAGCAUAGUAGCCUCACUUAUAUAUAUAAUAAUAUAUAUAAUGCGCUCUCUCACUUUGCCAGUUAUUUUAUUAAAAAUAACAACACAUCUAAAAGAAUAUUAUUAUAUAUGUAUAUAAGUAAAUAACAAAAGUUUUUUGAAAUAUACGAUACAAUAAAAUUGACCCGUACAAAUUUUACGCAGUAUAGCUGUUACGAUAUAUAUUUUCUUUAUACGGUAUGUACACGUCUAGUUGUCUUUUUGGCAUAAUACACACCAACCGCUCUUUUUUUUCUUUUUUUUUUUCCGUUUUUCCUUUAUGACCACUCUUUACUCCUCCAUUCCGUGUGCGUGUGUGUGUGCGUGUGUGUGUGUUACUGUUCUUGUCAACGUGACACCACAAAAGAACGGCACACAGUUUUACGAAUCAUUCCUUCUCAUCCGUAGUAGCACUUUAAACCUUCUUGAUAUGUCCAAAAGAUACUAGUAUACUGUACAGCAUCAAUCAUCAUUUCAUGCCACUAACUGGAAACAACAUCCUAGCACAGGUUAGUGCUGAUAACAAUUUGUCACCCUAUUUCAUGCCAAACUCAAAUUAUAAUUAAAAAAAAACUUCAAAUAUCACUCUUGUAGUUUUGCAUUUUCUUAUUUUAGUAUCUUAUGAUUUAAAGUGUAUCAUUUUCGUAUUUGUGUUUUAUUUUUCUCUUUUGUUAUCCACUCCAUUAUUUUUUUUCGUUAAAUCAAUAACAAAUGUAAAGAAAGAAUACUAAAGUAAAUAUUCGAUAAACUAUAGGUGGGGUAUCUGAAAUUUUUUGUAUAUGAUUUAGCGAAAAGUUAACGAAGUGAUUGACGAAAAGAGAAAAAUAAAACUAUAGCGUACUAAAUUGAUAUACUUUAAACUAUAUAAUACUAAAGUGAGAAAGUACGAAACCACAUGGGUGGUAUUUGAAAUUUACCCUAUAAUAAAAGAGAAAACUUGCCCCUUUUUAAACUGUUCAUUUUGCAGGGGAAAUAAAGAAGAGUAGCUUAGAGCUCACUUGAUAUUUUCUUUGCCCUCUUUUUUUUAAUAUUUACUAAAGCACAAAUUUUAUGUAGCAUAGUGUGUAAGUGGACGAUUAACCACUUAUAAUCUAUACUCUUUAUGGAUUUUGUUUGGCAGCAAAAAUUCAAAAACUAAUAAUAGUGAUAUAUUAGUGUUGAUACCCCUUAUAGGCUUGGAUAAUUAAUUUCAUUUGUAAACAUUUCAUGAAUCGUUUGAAAUAAAAAAUAUAUGCUAAAGAAAUUGAAUCUAGAGAUACACAGGACAUUUAGUCACGAAAACUGUGCUAUAGCUCGAAUAUUUGUAAAUAAAAUGCGAAUGAGAGAGAGAGAGAAAUUUGGCUAUGUGAUUUUAUAUGUGUGUAAACUCUAUCAAUAUAUCCACUAGUAUGGUCAUGGUAAAAUGAACAAAGUAGAAAAAUAUUAUACGAGUUAUAUAGUAGUGGUUGGCACCUCUCUUAAUUUUAUAUACAAGUUUCGUGCUGCAACCAAAGGUUACGUUCCCAAAGUAUUAAAUAUUUGACGUGGCUAAUUAGUAAUUAAUGUCCAUCAACAACGACUUUGUUAAUGAAAAGUAAUACAAUAUUACAACUGUUAACUACUAUUAAAAUCAGAUGCGCUGUGCCUCUUUCCACAUGAACCUUGUGGCUAUCGAAAGGUAUCAAUUUAGAACAAGCCCAUGAAGAGCACUGAUCUUAAAACUUAGAGACAUAUGUAUUAUCAAGAUGGGGCCCACAAUCUUCGCGAUAAAGCUCUUUGGCACAUCUUUUUAGCAAAUUAACGACAAGAUGUAAAGCAGCUUACACGAUCUGACUGAAACGUUAGUUUCUUAAACAACUUCUCUACUAUGAAAUGCACUACUAACUUUCGCUCUAGAAGUCGAACUGAAUUGAAUAGAUUUCUGAACAAACUAAUUAUAUACCAUUUAGAUUAUAUUCUUUUUUAAUCUCUCAUUAAAAAGCGAAUGCAUCAUUACUUUAAACCAAAAUCCCUAGCUUUUAAGUUCUAAAGAACAUCCAAUUAGUCUAAAUGGAUCUUUAGGAGUGAAAAAGGAGUCAAAAAAGUAUCUCCCAAAAUGGGCCACUUGGAUCAUGUUGCUCGCUAGGUUGAUCUUUUUGUCACUUAUGUAACGCAAAAUAUACCACAAAUUAAUACGAGAACUAAACCAUUUUCUCAAGUUGUUGUACACAUAAGUUAGAAUACAUUGUGGCCCAUCCACUAAAGUUGAUGUGAUGUGAUUUAGGUUAAACACGUUGGUGCCGCAUCCUUUCGCUUUUCCUUCAUUUUCACAGUUGCUUUGUUGAGUAGGUCUUCCACAAACCUAGAGAAGUGCCACACGAUUCACAUUGUAUUGGUUUGAAUACUCAGUUUUGGCUUUCCCAAAAAAAUCUCUUCUCUGUUUUGAGAAACUAAAUAACUAAGCUUAAAUAGUACUACCCACUAAUGUUUGACAAAGAUUAAAAAACACCUCGUAUUUAGAUAGUUUGAUGCGUUACUACUUAGUACUAAUAAUUUGAUACAUCGGAGAGACAUGUUCACACGCAAAACACCGUGAAAAUGCUCGAGCGAAGCCAAAGUCAUAGAAUAAUUAGAGACCAAAUUUUCGAUUCGUCAGAAAGAAAUAGAAAUAAUGAUAAUAAAAAUGACGUGGAGAGAAAGAAAAAGCUUAGUUAAUGCUCUACUUUACUAAUAAUUUCUUAUGCUACCAUCAAUCAGCACAAAUUAUCGAUUCAAGUAAACCCAAAUAAUUAUCCUUGGACUUAUCCUGGGUAACUUGCUGUGGCAUGCACUUCAACAAUGAUCUUCACACAUACAUACACAAACAAAAAGGGGAGAAAAAAAGAAAAAAAAAAAAGGGGACUUAUUCAGGGUUUCUAUGCUGUUGUCGUGUAUAUAUAACCCUUGUGAUAUAAUAAUUAAUUAGGAAUAACAAAACAAAUUUAUUCCACGCUAUGGAAUUAUUAAUAUGACAUGCAAUCAUCUGCACUGGACAUUAUAUAUCCUGUGACAUGUGCAUUUGCAAGUAGUUUAUUCCAAUUACUGGAAAAAGGGCGGAUGGAUAAAUUAAUUUUCGUAUUAUUAUUAUUGUUGUUGACUAAUUGGCACAGAAAUGUGAUGUUAAUUGAUGUAUUACCUAAUUACAUAGGAUUUGUGUGUAUAAAUUGAUAGAAUCUUCAGAAUUAAUAGGAAAAACUUCAAAAAACCCUCCUGUAGUUUCGCACUUUUUUAUUUUAGUCCUCUGUGGUUUAAAGUGUAUCAAGUUAGCACCCUGUGGUUUCUCACUUUAUCACUUUAGUAUCCUGUGGUUUAAAGUGUAUCAAGUUAGUACUCUGUGGUUUUAUUUUUGUAUCAAAUUAGUAUCCUGUGGUUUUAUUUUUGUAUCAAGUUAGUACCUUGUGGUUUAAAAACCACAUAGUAUUAGAGUGAUAAAGUGCGAAACCACAGAGUACUAAAGUGAUAAAGUGCGAAACCACAGGUUACUAACUUGAUACACUUUAAACCACAGGGUACUAAAGUGAAAAAGUGCAAAACCACAUGGUACUAACUUGAUGCAGGCUAAACCACAGGAUACUAAAGUGAAAAAAUAGUAAACGACAAGGAGGUAUUUGAAGUUUUCUCCAUAUUAAUAUGCUGAUAUAAAUAAUAAUAUACAAAUUAAGACAUUAUUUUGAGAUAUUCGUUGCGUUACUAAACAAGCUGGUACAUGCAUUUAUAGACUUUUGGCGUCGACAGUGAUUGGACACAUAUCUUAGAGGCGCGGAUGAUGACGACUCUCUGCCACCGUUUGGUUCGGGGUUAAGAAAAAAUAGCUAUUCCAGGAAUAGGGUUAAGUUUAGAAUUAAAAUGGUGUUAAAAUUUUUUUGUGUUUGGUUCGAGGUUGGAGUUAGUGUAGGAUAGUGAAAAAAAGUGUUUGGUUGGAGUAGGUGGGAUAAGAAGAUAAUGAUUGAUAAAAAAGAAAAAGGUGAGGGCUCGGAAUGCGUGCGGGGUUAAAGUUAGGAGGGGAAGUGAGGUUAAUGAUUGAUAAAGAAGAAAAAGGUGAGGGUUCGGGAUGCGUGCGGGGUUAAAGUUGGAAGGGGGAGUGGGGUUAGUAAACCCCACUAACCCGGUUUGGGGUGUAGUUUACUAACCCCACCCUUUAAGAGUGGUGUUUGGGUAUAAAUUGGGGGUUAAGGGGUUAUUCCACCCCUUAACCCCCAACCAAACGGUGGCUCUAUGUUUAUCCUCCGAGUGCUUGUUUGGUUCUCGCACAACUUCUUUCAAAAAAGAUAUUUUUUGAGUUUAAUUAUUUGAAUAUUCUAUCAUUAAUUUUAGUGGAGGUUCUUAUUUUUUGAAAAUAUACAAACACCCCUGAUAAGGUUGAGUAGCUAUCAUAUUAUCCCUGCAGAGUUCGACUCUGAUAAAUGACAUAUUAACAAAAAGAAAUAACUUACAAGGCAUAGCUUUAGUUGUUCAUCAUGCGUUAAAGGCAUAAAUUGUGUUGCAUAAUUAAUCUUACUUUUUUUUUUUGUGAAUAAAACAAGUGUUGUAAUCUCGCAAUCUCGCUAAGAACCAUUAGCUUAUUGAGCAAUGCUAUCUGUAUAUCCAAUAUACAUGUGUAAUUUUUUCAUCCUAGUCGUUCUCUCACAAAUUUAAAUUUACUUAUUCAUCUUAUCAAUCUUUUUUAAUACUGAUCGAAAAUAUAAAAAAAAAAGUUUUAAAAUUUUUGAACAAUUUUCCAACUUAAUUUUUUUAUAGUACUCCUACUAAUUAAAGAACCAUAAUUAUUAAUUAGUGUACUAGUUGUUUACAUGAUAUUAUUUGGUAGGAUAAUUGAGUAAUUAAAACAAGUUUAAUUAUAUCGUUCUUCGGCAUGAUAUUUCGUAGCAUUAAGAUUGAAUAAAACUUCCAUUAGAUUGCAAACCUAUCUCUAGUUGUAUUCAUAUUAAGCAAAAUUAUUCUUUUAUUUCGUUCGUUGGGAAAUAAUUGAGAAAGGUCCCCUUUGUGGAAUUUUUUAUUUUUUGACUCGUUCAAAAGAAAAGAAAAGAAAAGAAAAAACUAACAAUGGCUUCGUAAGUUAUUAUACAAUUGCCGUACAUUAUUAGGUUUUCCGUACAAUGAAAGGCCAUUUUGAUGAAAUUGAAGGGGCAAUAUAAAUGUGGAUCAAAGGGUCUCCAAGUACUUUGAGUUUGACCUCCGAAAUUGGUGAAAAGUCAACUGUCUCAAAAGGUUCUCUGAGUUUUACAAUAAAUUUUAGAUUUUUUGUUCCAAAAAUAAAUAAUUAUCCUGCUGUGAUCUAAUUUUAUUUUACUACUAUGUUACUAUUACUGGUGUACUAUUUUGAUUUUCGAAAAGAAUUAUGCUAUUCAAACGUUGCUAGCAUAAGAAUGAAUAAUCUCCUAAGUAAAAGAAAAAAAAAGUUGAAAAAUUUUUAUUGAAAUCAAUCUCGCUAGCUAUUAUCUUGGUAAAAUUGUAACACUUCACCAACCUGUUAAUUUAAUUAUUUUUUUAAGAAAAAGAUAAAGCAAUAGUCACAAGAGAGCAAAACGAUUCGAAACUUUUUGUUCAAUUUUUCUAAAAUCGUAUAAACAAAAGUUUUAAAUCACUGGGUGAUUUUAAUAAAAAAUAAGCUAAAUCACAUGGUUUAAUUAGACCCACCAAAAAAAGGGCAUAAAUGUAACUUGCGCUCACUAGUUGCUACUGGGGCCAAAGAAAUGAAAUGGUCGCAGCAUAUACCAACGAAUAGACUGGGCACGCGGCACCACCGCAAAAACACAAACACACACAGACACACCCCUGACAAGUCCAUUUUGGGACCACCGUGGGAGUGUUCUUCAUGCUCGCAAGUAAAAUUAUCCAAAAUAUCUGAUAUUUUAUAUCGGAUUUAGAUCCUAUCUGAACCCUAUCCGGAUUUGAAUCGGACUCGAUAAGAAAAUGAAUAGUACAUGUGUAAAAAAAAAAUUAUUCAUUGAAGUUUCGAGUAUGGAUCCGAAUACUUUAUAUCUAUAAACCGACUUGGAUCCGAUCCGAAUCCGAUAUUUUAAUGGGUAGGGUCCGAAAGAGUGUACAAAUUCGAACCUGAAUUCGGACGCGGACCUGGACCCAAACACGGUGAAAUACCCGAUGGUAAAUAAAAAAGAUUUGGAAUUGAGGAAUUAAUUUCAAUAGAACUUAUAGAUAAAAUGCCUAUGUAUAUUUGUAUCUUAGUGAAAUCCAAGUCGCUCUGUUUAUUCUUUUUUUAACCAUAGCCGCUCUAUGUAUUCCUUGAAUCUUUCUUUUGAACAAAUUUUAUCGAAUCGGGUGCAACUAAUUAGAAUGCGAAUUUUUUUUAUAGUGAGAAGUUUAUAAUUUAUCCAUAAAUUAUUUAAUAAAAUUUAUAAAAAAAAAAUACAUACGGGUACCAUACCCGAUCUAAAUCCGAUCCGUAUCUGAUCUUAAGUGGAUAGCAUACGAGUAGUUACUAUCCAUACCGCCUCAAAUAGAUCCGAUGGGUCUAUUAUUAACUUAAUUGCCUAGAAUCUGGACCCGAUCCGAAGUUAAAUGGGUAGGGUAUAUGUAUUUUUUUUUAUUCAUUUUUUUUUAGGGUUUGGAUACGAUAUAUCAACUCCUCAGAUCUGAUCCGGUUCACAGACAUCUUUGCUCGCCAUAUAUUAUAAAGUUGUGACUCAUAAAUUUGAUAGAUAUGAUCUAUAUUAUUUUUAAAAAAAUGUUAAUAAAUAACACUAAAAAAUUAUGGGUGGACAAAAAAUAAUUAUGAAAUUAACCCACUAAAAAAUUAAAUAAAUGUUUGAAAACUUGGAAGGUUACUUAAAAAAAAAAGAGAGAAGACUUUUUAUAUGGUUUGAGGGGGAACCUUAGGCAAAAUUAACCAUUUAUUAUAACAGAAAUAAUAAUUAGAAGAUUUAGAAAGCUUUAGAUUUGGCCAUGUACGAGCUGAGUCCUCGCACACCAAACCUAAACUUGAAUGUGGCGACUAUAUCGACCCAGAAGUGCUCAGUUUUCGCCGAGGAGCCGUGUUAUGUCUACUCGUUGGUUUGCUCGGUGGGCCUCCUCAUUCAACGGUCAGCGUCGACCGUCGAUUCAGCGAGCCUAUUUAGCACGCGGAAUGAACAUUUUUUUCUUUUUUCUUUUUUUUUUUUUCUUUCGCGGAGCUACCGAGUCUUUGGAUUUUGAGACCCGGUCCACAAACACUGAAACAGUUCUAUGAAAUGGGGCUCAUAAGAAUCUCAAAAAGAAGUGGCCUAGGGUUGUUCUUCUUUACACCCCAUUUACACUCCCAAUCAUCUGAUACCUCGCAAACUCUCGCGAUUUUACACACAAAAAAAAAAAAAAAAAAAAACCCAGCCAAAACGUAAAAUUUUUUUGAUAAACUUCUAUUUCCCUCUGUAUGAGUUAAAAAGUUAUAUAGUGAUGUGACAUUUUAAUAUUUCACAUCCAAUUAGAAUAGAAUUAUUAUUGGUAUAUGAAAUGACUCAAUAUUAAUAAUAAUAUUAAUAACUGGCCUUAAACAUUUGAACCGAUGAUUUAGGCCUAAUAAUAAUAAUAAUAAUAAUAACUGGUAUUAAGCAUUUUAAUAUUGCACUUACCUCUCUUUACACUGAGUUUUAUAUUUUUUUUGUAUUUUUUGCUAUUUUUCAGACCUACUUUGGUUAGUGUUCGCCCACCCUUAAGACGUCCGACGGAGUGGAAGGUAUUUGUUGUAUCGUAGGAAUGAUUGCUGAAACCUAGUAUGUGGAGUGACAAUCUCCGCUUUUAGAACAUUGCUUCGCACGUCCCACUCACAAGUCUCACCUAAUCAUUUUCUCUAUAAUAUUUUUCACGUAAUCCAUUUUAUAAUUUUUCAAAAACACAAUUAAAAUUAUUUUCUUUAAAUUAUUUAAAAAUAAAUUAUUCAAGCUAAAUAUAUAUUUAGAUAUUAUAUAAUUAUAUAUUUGUUGUUAUUUCAUCUUAUUUUUUUAUAAUAAAUAUUUUUACUACUAUUUUUUAACUUCCUCUACAUACAUAUAGAUUGAUCAUUUAAUUUAUUUAUUUUAUUUUUUAUAAUUAUUAUAUAUUAAAAUUUAUAUUAAAGUAUAUGUAUAAAAUUGUCUGGGAUGAAACGCGGUUCAACGCUAUUUAUUUAGAUAUAAAAUCCCGCUUAUAUAGCUAACGCCCGCACAUCCGUACACGAAAUAUCUCCCUUUUUAAAUCCUAUAAAAACAAAAUAAAUAUAAUAAUAAUAAUAAAUAAAUAAAUAAUAAUAAUAAUAAAUAAAUAAACUCCCUCCUCUCUCUUUUACCAGGAAUGAAAAAGCCACUCCUCCGAUCGACCCUAUUUACCCGUGUUGAAGAACAAAGACGCGCAACUCCCCUUUCUCUCUACUUUUUUUUUUUUUUUUUUUCGCUCGUUCCUUCCUCUAUAGUUCAUAUUAUUCUCUCUCCUCUCUCGCUCCGGUGAUCUUCUUCAGAUCUCCGGCAAUGGCAAGAGGCGGAGGCGGGAGGGGUCGGCCGGAGUAGCUCGCUCUUGGAGCCGUAGACGAGAUCUGGAGAAUGGGAGAGGGGGAUCGGCGGAGGAGAAGGAGAUCCGUACUCUGUUAGCACCACCGCUAGGGUUUCGACCACAGCAUCUGUCUCGUUUGGCCCCUUCUGUAUUCUUUUGAUCGGUCCCGGAUUCGUGGAAGAUGGAGUCGGGUGCGAGGGCCAGGGUUUUAGGGCUUUCGUGGAGAUCGGUGGUGUUGAUGGCGGCGGCGGUGGUGAUGGUGGUGUUUCCGGCGGCGUUGGCGGCGGAGGAGGGGCAGAGGAAGCACGCGUACGCGGCGAUGAUGUACAUGGGGACGCCGAGGGACUACGAGUUCUACGUGGCGACGCGGGUGAUGAUGAGAUCCCUCGCAAAGCUCGGCGUCGACGCCGACCUCGUCGUCAUCGCCUCCCUCGACGUCCCGAUCCGAUGGGUCCAAACCUUGUACGCCCCCUCUCCUUCUCCUCUCUCUUUCGCCCCUCAUCCUCGCCCUUGUUCAUGUCUCAAUCUUUUCUCACCCACCGAUGAUACAGAUCUUACAAUCUGACGUUUCCGUUCUAUUUCCGUGUUAAUUUGUUCGUUUCUUCUAUAUUUUCGCUAUUUUUAUCCUUAUUUUUUUGAAACGCUUGAAUUUGAGGAAGAUGAAGAAGAAGGAAAAACCAGGAGAUACCGCCAUGGAUGUUUUCUUCAUCGUUUUCCGAAAAUACCCUCGUUUUCGAUCGUCCUUGCUUGGAAUCCGCUGGGAUUUCCGGGGUAUUCGAGUCUUUCAAGUUUGUAAUUUUCUAAUUUUGGGUCGUGAGAUUACUUGAGAGCCGAAACAGAUGGUCACGAUGAUGGUUGUCCACUUCCGAGUCAAAAAAACUUUGACUUUUUCAACAUCUUUUGGAAAUCAGUACGAGUGGUUGAGCUGUUAAGAGAAGAAAUGUGGAGAUACCUUAGCGUUCUUAAGAGAGUUUUCCCUUGGCUCUUAGAUCUUUUUAUCCCUCCUUAGGCGGAUUUCCCUGCCCCAUAUUUUGGUGUACGGGGUUUGACUAUUUAUCAAUGGGGACUUUGUUAGGUUCUUCAAUGGUAGGUAUACUUGCUGCUGUAUCUGAGUUUCUUUUUUUUUCUUUCCCUGCGAGAAGAGAUGAUGAAUUUCAUAAUGGAAUUAAAUUAGGUUUCUUCAAAUCCGGUUAUAUAGAAUACUAGUUGAUUCCACAAAAUCUAAUGUUACUUUUCAUUGAUUGCCUAAACUAUAGGAUGACUGCAUAACUCUAACGCAUGUAUCCUGAUAAGAACUUUCGUUUUGUACAGUUGCAAAGAAUUAUAUUGCAAUGUUUGCUGUAUACUGAGAAAUUUUGAGACUUAAGUAUAUCGUCAUUUUGUGGUUCUCAUGUUCUCCAGUAUCUGGUUUCAUACUUAGAAACUGUUGGCCAGUGAAGUUUCUUAUGAACCAGAACUCCAUCAAUAUGUGAUCCCAUUAUCUAUUAUUUGCUAAGAAUGUGUUCUCUAUGUAUUAUGAAUUGUCUUCAUCUUUGUAAGCCAUGAUGAUUCCCUGAAUGCCUAUUUUAGACUGAAUUUCACAUUGACUAUGAUUGCUCUAGCUUUGCCUAAGUAGCACUAUAUUUCAAAUUCUCAUUUUGUAAUGUUUUGAUUGACCAACAGGAAAGAGGAGGAUGGGGUGAAGGUUGUUUCUGUGGAGAACUUGAAGAAUCCAUACGAGAAACAGGGCAAUUUCAACUCGCGGUUCAAGCUGACACUGAACAAGCUGUAUGCUUGGAGCUUGGUCGAAUAUGAUCGAGUUGUUAUGCUCGACUCUGAUAACCUUUUCAUCCAAAAAACUGAUGAGCUCUUCCAGUGUGGUCAAUUCUGUGCUGUUUUCAUCAACCCCUGCAUCUUCCACACUGGCCUCUUUGUCCUUCAGGUUCCACCACUUAACCUUUCUGCAUAUGAUAUUGUUCUAUAAUCAAUUUCUUCUUAGUUUUAGGAGCAUGGAUAUAACGGUCUGGUUCAGAAAUAAAUUUCUGUCUUGAUUGUACAAGUCAGUACAACAUGAAUUAUGGAUUCCUCACUUUGCUUAAUUCAUACCCUGUUUAAUCUUUUUGCCCCCCAUUCUUAACCAGUGUGCAAUAUCAAUUAAGUUUUAAGGUUUUUUUUUUGGGUGGGGGGUAGCGACAAAGUUCAAGUUAAAUACUGGUUUCAGCAUAUAGAUAUAGCAAAUGUUAUAUGAGGUGACCAUGUGUUGCUUGAAGUCUUCCAUUAACUUCAGUUGUGUUGCUUCCGUCCAACAUGCGCUUACCGCAUACUUCAACUAGAAGAUGGCUUGAAUGGCUGGAAAUGUGAGGUUACUGGUUGAUACUGGAUACAUGAGUAGGUGGGCUAUUUGUGGUGGACUAAGAGAUGAUUCAAGUUACUUUGGUUGUUAUUUUAAGCAAAUCUAGUUGUCUAGUUUCACAUGGCUACUUCAACAGUAAAAAUGAUAGGGUUCUGAAUUCUUUUCAAUCUUUUGGACUGGAACCAUGCGAUCCAGUUUUUGACAAUUUGUUUUCAUGAAUUGAUAGCAUGAACUCUGUAAUCUACUCUCUGUCUUCUUAAUCUGGUUUUAGCCUUUUUCUUGUGGAGUGAUGCUUAGCUAGACCUAGGAACUCAUUCAGCUACUUGUAAGAUCAUUUGGCUCAUAGUUAGUUAAUUCGGAUUCGGUAAAAAUUCGGUAUGGCUAUAAUUCGGAUAAAUUCGUUUUUUAAUUUUAAAUUCGUUGAAAAAUACGGCUAAAAACGGUUCAGUAAUUAUUCGGAUACGUGAUUUAUACGGAUAUUAUACGUUAACAAUUAAAAAUUCGGAAUCAAAAUUCGGCUAUAUAAUAAAUAAAAUUUAUAUAUUUAAAAAUAAUAAUAAAUAAUUACAAAUUUAUAUAUAAAAUAUUAUAUAAAUAUUUCUAUAUAAAAAUAAAUAAAAUAUAUAAUAAAUAUAUAUAUUUAUAAAUAAAAAUUAUAUAUAUAUAUAUAUAUAUAUAUAUAUAUAUAGUUAUAUAUAUAUAUAUAUGAGAGGGAGGUCCACUGUGGACCUCCCCCUCAUGGGGUCCACGAGGCUGAAAUAGCCUCGUGGACCGCACACCUCCCAAGUCCCAAAAGCCCCGAUGAAUCCUACUGUUCAUCUUCCACUUCUCUGGAGCCGGCCUCGGGCGAGGACAUGGAUCCGCCGCCGCGGCCCUCGCUCCCGGCGACGGCAAGGGCGGCGGAGGACGAUGACGACGCUAGCGGCGUCGACGCGAGCGGCGACGAUGCGAGCGGCGACGAGCGGCGACGACGCGACCCUCGGCAGCAAGUCCGCGACCGCGCGAUCGCGAUUUUUUGGGCGAAUUAUUCGCGAAUCGCGAAUAAUUCGCGAAUAAUGAUUUUUGAUGAAAAAACCGCGUAUUUUUUUGAAUUUUUCGGAAAAAUACGAAAUUCGUCGUUUAAUUCGCAUUUUGAAAAAUACACGAAUAAUUCGCGUAUUAAUCGCGAAUUUACUAUGUUUGGGCUGAGUAACUAGACAAUAGUUUUAUGAUAACCAUGGUUCUUCUAUCACUAUUUGCUUCAGAGUUUUCUGAUUAGAGUAAUCUCUUUUUAUUAUACUUGUGCAAAAAUUGUCAGAUACAUAAACAUAAGAUCUUCAACUUCUGAUAAUCUCUCGCCUUUUCUUUUUAAUAUAUUUAUGUAUCUUUUGCUUGCAGCCUUCAAUGGAUGCGUUUAAGAACAUGCUUCAUGAGCUAGAGAUUGAGCGUGAGAACCCAGAUGGUGCUGAUCAAGGUUUCCUAGCUAGUUACUUCCCAGAUUUGCUUGAUCAACCAAUGUUUCAUCCACCUGCCAAUGGUACCAAACUUGAUGGAAUUUAUCGUCUUCCUCUAGGGUAUCAGAUGGAUGCUUCUUACUACUGUGAGUUCAAUGGGCCUUUAUAUUCAUGUCUCUUUCCCUUAAUUUCCUUGUAUAAUUCUUUCUUUUCAUACUGUAUAGUGUAUUUUUCCUGCAUUUUGGUCCCUAGAUAUUUGUCUUCCCCUGCCUCCUCUCUCUUUCAUGACACUCUCCCAUCAUCCCUUUCAUCUUUUCUCAUAUCUCCUUCUGAAAGUAAUUUGUUUAUCCCCUUUAUCCAAAUGGUAUAUUCAAAGAAUUUUGGAGAUUUCGAGUUUUCUCAUGUUGAAGGUGAUCCUUUUUCUUACAAUCGUUCCAAUCUCGGUUUCAACUGUUCAACAUCUUGCGGACUGCUGGCCUUUUUCUUAUUUGGAAUAUGUUAGAGGAUAAAUAUAUAGUAGUGGUGGCGUAAUUUUGGUCCUUAGAAGUUGUGUCAGCAGCAUUUUGGCAGGUUAGAAAGAAUAAUUGGUAGAUGUCCUAAAGUUAGCUUGACAUCAGCUGACUAAUAUAAUAUGACAGACUUUAUACAAAAUGGAGAAAGUUUCUAAGGGUUUAUCUAAUAUUUUGGGACAUACGCUUGAUCUCAGGACACAGGGGACUGAUAUGGAAAGAACUUUUAACUGAAAGUUCUCUCCAGUUAUCAGAACACUGCUAUACUAUGCCUGAACUUCAACAAUUUAACACAUUUGGGAAUUUAUUUGUGUUAUCAUGUUAAUAGUUCUAUUGGCUUGUAUCUGUUGCAGAUCUAAAGCUUCGUUGGAAUAUUCCUUGUGGACCAAACAGUGUAAUCACAUUCCCUAGCGCACCAUGGCUCAAACCAUGGUAUUGGUGGUCUUGGCCUGUCUUACCUUUGGGGCUCUCAUGGCAUGAGCAACGCCGAAGGAAUCUUGGGUAAGCACAUAAUGAUAUGCUAGUAUUAACCUAAAUACCUCGUGGGGAGCACUAUCUUGCAAAUUUCGAAAUUAAACAGAUCCUUUCUUUUCAGCCUUGUUGGAAUAGAAGUCUGUCAAUAGAUUGUUAUAUGACACCCCACUAACUGCAGGUUUCAUUUCUUUUCAAUGGACCAAAUUGUUGCUAAAUAAUCCACAUUUUCCUUGAUGAAGGAUCAUGUGCAUGUGGGCCAAAGGUUCUUCUGUCUUUGGGCACUACUNNNNNNNNNNNNNNNNNNNNNNNNNNNNNNNNNNNNNNNNNNNNNNNNNNNNNNNNNNNNNNNNNNNNNNNNNNNNNNNNNNNNNNNNNNNNNNNNNNNNUAUAUAUAUAUAUAUAUAUAUAUAGAGGCUCUCACUUUGCCAGUUAUUUUAUGUAAAAAUAACAACAUCUAAAAAAAACUAUUAUAUAUGUAUAUAAGUACAAUAACAAAAGUUUUUUGAAAUAUACGAUACAAUAAAAUUGACCCGUACAAAUUUUACGCAGUAUAGCUGUUACGAUAUAUAUAUUUCUUUAUAUGGUAGUGUACACGUCUAGUUGCUUUUUGGCAUAAUACACACCAACCGCUCUUUUUUUUUUUUUUUUUUUUUUCCGUUUUUCCUUUAUGAUCAUCUCUUUACUCCUCCAUUCCGUGUGUGUGUGUGUGCGCGCGCGCGUGUGUGUUAGUUACGUGUUCUUGUCAACGUGACACCACAAAAGAACGGGCACAGUUUUACGAAUCAUUCCUUCUCAUCCGUAGUAGCACUUUAUACCUUCUUGAUACGUCCAAAAGAUACUAGUACUACUGUACAGCAUCAAUCUCAUUUCAUGCCACUAACUGGAAACAACAUCUCUAGCACAGGUUAGUGCCGGUAACAAUUUGUCACCCUACCGACCAUUUCUAGAGUAAGUGGCAAAAAAUUUGGUGAUCGGUAUCUGAGACUCAAGUUCGAAUCCGUUGAUUCAUAUUUACAGCUAAGUUUAUUUCUAAAUGAAAUAAAUAAAGUGGGUAGCGUGUCUACCUAUCUCUCAAAAAAAAAAAAAAAACAAUUUGUCACCCUAUUUCAUGCCAAACUCAAAUUAUAAUAAAGAAAAAACUCCAAAUACCACUCUUGUAGUUUUACAUUUUCUUAUUUUAGUAUCUUAUGAUUUAAAGUGUAUUAUUUUCGUAUUUUGUGGUUUUAUUUUUCUCUUUUUGUUAUCCACUCCAUUAUUUUUUUUCGUUAAAUCAGUAACAAAGUUAAAAGAAAGAAUACUAAAGUAAAUAUUCGAUAAACUAUAGGUGGGGUAUCUGAAAUUUUUUGUAUAUGAUUUAGCGAAAAGUUAACGAAGUGAUUGACGAAAAGAGAAAAAUAAAACUAUAGUGUACUUAAUUGAUAUACUUUAAAUCAUAUAAUACGAAAGUGAGAAAGUACGAAACCACAUGGGUGGUAUUUGAAAUUUACCCUAUAAUAAAAGAGAAAACUUGCCCCUUUUUAAACUGUUCAUUUUGCAGGGGAAAUAAAGAAGAGUAGCUUAGAGCUCACUUGAUAUUUUCUUUGCCCUCUUUUUUUUAAUAUUUACUAAAGCACAAAUUUUAUGUAGCAUAGUGUGUAAGUGGACGAUUAACCACUUAUAAUCUAUACUCUUUAUGGAUUUUGUUUGGCAGCAAAAAUUCAAAAACUAAUAAUAGUGAUAUAUUAGUGUUGAUACCCCUUAUAGGCUUGGAUAAUUAAUUUCAUCUGUAAAGAUUUCAUGAAUCGUUUGAAAUAAAAAAUAUAUGCUAAAGAAAUUGAAUCUAGAGAUACACAGGACAUUAGUCACGAAAACUGUGAUAUAGCUCGAAUAUUUGUAAAUAAAAUGCAAAUCAGAGAGAGAGAGAAAUUUGGCUAUGUGAUUUUAUAUGUGUGUAAACUCUAUCAAUAUAUCCACUAGUAUGGUCAUGGUAAAAUGAACAAAGUAGAAAAAUAUUAUACGAGUUAUAUAGUAGUGGUUGGCACCUCUCUUAAUUUUAUAUACAAGUUUCGUGCUGCAACCAAAGGUUACGUUCCCAAAGUAUUAAAUAUUUGACGUGGCUAAUUAGUAAUUAAUGUCCAUCAACAACGACUUUGUUAAUGAAAAGUAAUACAAUAUUACAACUGUUAACUACUAUUAAAAUCAGAUGCGCUGUGCCUCUUUCCACAUGAACCUUGUGGCUAUCGAAAGGUAUCAAUUUAGAACAAGCCCAUGAAGAGCACUGAUCUUAAAACUUAGAGACAUAUGUAUUAUCAAGAUGGGGCCCACAAUCUUCGCGAUAAAGCUCUUUGGCACAUCUUUUUAGCAAAUUAACGACAAGAUGUAAAGCAGCUUACACGAUCUGACUGAAACGUUAGUUUCUUAAACAACUUCUCUACUAUGAAAUGCACUACUAACUUUCGCUCUAGAAGUCGAACUGAAUUGAAUAGAUUUCUGAACAAACUAAUUAUAUACCAUUUAGAUUAUAUUCUUUUUUAAUCUCUCAUUAAAAAGCGAAUGUAUCAUUACUUUAAACCAAAAUCCCUAGCUUUUAAGUUCUAAAGAACAUCCAAUUAGUCUAAAUGGAUCUUUAGGAGUGAAAAAGGAGUCAAAAAAGUAUCUCCCAAAAUGGGCCACUUGGAUCAUGUUGCUCGCUAGGUUGAUCUUUUUGUCACUUAUGUAACGCAAAAUAUACCACAAAUUAAUACGAGAACUAAACCAUUUUCUCAAGUUGUUGUACACAUAAGUUACAAUACAUUGUGGCCCAUCCACUAAAGUUGAUGUGAUGUGAUUUAGGUUAAACACGUUGGUGCCGCAUCCUUUCGCUUUUCCUUCAUUUUCACAGUUGCUUUGUUGAGUAGGUCUUCCACAAACCUAGAGAAGUGCCACACGAUUCACAUUGUAUUGGUUUGAAUACUCAGUUUUGGCUUUCCCAAAAAAAUCUCUUCUCUGUUUUGAGAAACUAAAUAACUAAGCUUAAAUAGUACUACCCACUAAUGUUUGACAAAGAUUAAAAAACACCUCGUAUUUAGAUAGUUUGAUGCGUUACUACUUAGUACUAAUAAUUUGAUACAUCGGAGAGACAUGUUCACACGCAAAACACCGUGAAAAUGCUCGAGCGAAGCCAAAGUCAUAGAAUAAUUAGAGACCAAAUUUUCGAUUCGUCAGAAAGAAAUAGAAAUAAUGAUAAUAAAAAUGACGUGGAGAGAAAGAAAAAGCUUAGUUAAUGCUCUACUUUACUAAUAAUUUCUUAUGCUACCAUCAAUCAGCACAAAUUAUCGAUUCAAGUAAACCCAAAUAAUUAUCCUUGGACUUAUCCUGGGUAACUUGCUGUGGCAUGCACUUCAACAAUGAUCUUCACACAUACAUACACAAACAAAAAGGGGAGAAAAAAAGAAAAAAAAAAAAAGGGACUUAUUCAGGGUUUCUAUGCUGUUGUCGUGUAUAUAUAACCCUUGUGAUAUAAUAAUUAAUUAGGAAUAACAAAACAAAUUUAUUCCACGCUAUGGAAUUAUUAAUAUGACAUGCAAUCAUCUGCACUGGACAUUAUAUAUCCUGUGACAUGUGCAUUUGCAAGUAGUUUAUUCCAAUUACUGGAAAAAGGGCGGAUGGAUAAAUUAAUUUUCGUAUUAUUAUUAUUGUUGUUGACUAAUUGGCACAGAAAUGUGAUGUUAAUUGAUGUAUUACCUAAUUACAUAGGAUUUGUGUGUAUAAAUUGAUAGAAUCUUCAGAAUUAAUAGGGAAAACUUCAAAAAACCCUCAUGUAGUUUCGCACUUUUUUAUUUUAGUACUCUGUGGUUUAAAGUGUAGCACCCUGUGGUUUCUCACUUUAUCACUUUAGAGUGUAUCAAGUUAGUACUCUGUGGUUUUAUUUUUGUAUCAAAUUAGUACCCUGUGGUUUUAUUUUUGUAUCAAGUUAGUAUUCUGUGGUUUAAAAACCACAUGGUACUAGAGUGAUAAAGUGCGAAACCACAGAGUACUAAAGUGAUAAAGUGCGAAACCACAUGUUACUAACUUGAUACACUUUAAACCACAGGAUACUAAAGUGAAAAAGUGCAAAACUACAUAGUACUAACUUGAUGCAGGCUAAACCACAGGAUGCUAAAGUGAAAAAAUAGUAAACGACAAGGGGGUAUUUGAAGUUUUCUCCAUAUUAAUAUGCUGAUAUAUUAAUAAUAUACAAAUUAAGACAUUAUUUUGAGAUAUUCGUAGCGUUACUAAACAAGCUGGUACAUGCAUUUACAGACUUUUGGCGUCGACAGUGAUUGGACACAUCUAUAUCUAUCUUUGAAUUGAGAAACCAAAAAAUGUACGGCAGCCCUCCCAGCGCUCGCAGCGUACGGCGGCCCUCUGCGCGAUCGGCGUGGUCGGCGCGAGCUGUCCGCGAUCGGCUCGAUCGGCGCGAGGUCGGCGCGAGCGGUCCGCGAUCGGCGCGAUUGGCGCGAGCGGGCGGGCGGCAGGCCUCGGCGCGGGCCUGGUGCGGGCGAGCGGGCGCGAGCAGGGGCAGGUGGGCGAGCGGGCCUCUUCGCGAUCGGCGCGAUCGGCGCGAGCGGGGUGAGCGGGCGGCCGGCAGGCCUCGGCGCGGGCUGGCGAGGGGCAGGUGGACGAGCGGGCGCCGGCGCGGAUGGGGGGCGCGAGCUGGCGCGGGCGAUUAGGCAUCGGAGCGGAUGGCGCGGGCGAUUGGGCGUCGGCGUACAAAGGGUGUACGGCAGCAUCCUCUGCGAAGCUCGCGAGGGGGGCCGGGCGGGCGCCGCGCGAGCCGGCGCGGGGGGGCAAGCGGGCGUGGUGGGCGGGCGCGAGUCGGCGGCGCGAACAACGGGCUCGGGGCUCGAGCCGGUGCGGUGGGGUUGGGUGGAGCGGCGGGCGGGCGCGGAGCGAUGGCGCUCGCAGAGCGAGCCCGGCGCACGAGAGCGAGCCGGUGCGAGAGCCCGCCGCGAGCGUUUUUUUUUUUUUUUUUUUUUUUUUUUUUUUCUUUCCUUUUUCCCUAGCAGACCCACUCCUCUCUCUCUCUCUCUCUCUCUCUCUCCUCUCUCUCUCGUCUCCUCUCUCUCUCUGUUAUUUUUUUUCCCUUUUUCUUUUUUUUUUUACAAAGAAUUGUGAUCACAUAUAAAAAAAACUUACAAUUAAAAUUUUAAAUUUGCUUUUAAAUUUAAAAUUAAAUUUAAAUCUCUCUCUCUUAUUAACAAUUAAAAUUUAAAUUUGUUUUAUAAAUUAAAAUUAAAAUUAAAAUUUAAAUUAAAUAUUUUUUUUUUAAUGAUUGCGGCAUGCGAGCGCGACCGUGGGGCGAACCAGCCUGAAACGAUUUUUUUUUCUCUUUUUUUCCCCGUGUGACCCAAAAUUUAAAAUUUUCUAUAUAUCUUUGAAUUGUGGAUCCUAAAAUAAAAAUUACGAUUAAAAUUUUAAUUCGCUUUUAAAUUAGAAUUUAUAAAUAUUUUUAAAAUCGAAUAUUUUCUUAUCUAUAUCUAUAUCUAUAUUUAUAUUUAUAUAACUUUUAAAAAGAAUUGUGGAUCACAUAUAAAAGAAAAAAAAUUACAAUUAAAAUUUUAAAUUUGCUUUUAAAUUUAAAUUUAAAUUUAAAUCUCUCUCUCUUAUUACAAUUAAAAUUUUAAAUUUGCCUUUUAAAUUAAAAUUAAAAUUUAAAUUUUAAAUUGAAAAUUUUUUAUUUUAAUGGAUUGCGGGCGGGUGAGCGCGAACGUGCGCGGGCGCGGACGCGAGCCAGCCUGGAACGGUUUUUUUUUCUCUUUUUUUCUGUGUGACCCGCAAAAUUUAAAAGUUCUCUAUAUAUCUUUUGAAUCGUGGAUCCUAAAAAAAAAUUACGAUUAAAAUUUUAAUUUGCCUUUAAAUUAGAAUUUACAAUUAUUUUUAAAAUCGAAUAUUUUUUUAUCUAUAUCUAUAUCUAUAUUUAUAUAACUUAUAUAUAUUAUCUAUAUCUAUUUUUAAAUUGAGAAACCAACGAUGGGUACGGCAGCCCUCCCAGCGAUCUUCGCGAUCGGCGCGGGCGGUCCCAUCGGCGCAGGCGGUGGGCGUCGGCGCGACGUGACUUGCGCGGCGAGUGAGCGUUGGCGCGGGCGUCCGAUCAAGCGGAUCUGCGCGAGCGAGAUGGGGACGAGCUGAGCGCCGGCGAGUGCGUCGGCGCGGAUGCGAGCCGACGCGCCGCAGUCCUUUGAAUUGUGGGUUUGAGGCCUGGUUGUUGACCUACUUCUCUCACGCAUCUAAUCACUGAAGACAUCUUUCCCUUUUCCGCUCUUGCUCCUUUCACUGUCCACUCUCGCUCCUUAUUAUUUUAUCAUCCUCUUCCUUUGCUCUCGCACUUCGCUCUGCUCUCGCUCCUCAUUAAUGGCAGCCGGGUUGGUCGCGUCAUUGUGGGGGUCCGAUCUCGGUUAGGAUCGUCGGCGGCAUGGCGGGCGAGUUGUCGCGUCAUGCUGACGUCCUCGCUUCGCAGCCGGAAGGCGGUCUCUUCUAUCCCUUCUGCACCUUCCGUACGUGUUUUGGACGGGUGGCGGUCCCUUCUCUCCCCUCUGGAUCCUCCGUUGGUGUGUCAGCGGGCAUGGCGGGCGGGAUAGAUGCGUCAUGCUGAUGUCCUUCCCCGGCAUGGUGGGCGGCAUGGACGCGUCGUAUCCGUCACUCCUCUUCGUGUGGUUAUGUUGAUCCGAGGAGGUAGGUCGUCAGGUGGUAUCUUCCCUCCUCACUGCAUCCUCUGUACGGGCGUUAGCCGACAUGGCGGGCGGCAUGGACGCGUCGUAUCUUCCCUCCUCUGUUUCUGGUAAGUUGUGUCCUACCGAUGGUUCAAGCUCGAGUUGAGUUAGGGGUGGCGCAUCGUGCGUUGAUCCAGGUUAGUCGAUCGCAGUCAGGCCUACAGUACGCCCUGACUUCCUCCCCUUACCCCCCCUCAUGUCCUCCCUCCCUUCUUCCAUUUCCCCUGCGGCCUUUGUUCGAUUGCUUAUAAAUACAGGGAAUUUGUGGCUUUUCAUGUGGUUUUUCCUCUUCAGUUUUCUUCUUAUAUCCUGUACCCUCUAGCGUAUAUCCUCUAUUGCUUUGGGGUAAGGUUUUGGGUUCAGUGUUGUCGGCUUUCUAUCGAAGGGCUAAGAAAGGUGGGACUUUUGUUCGGAAGGCAUUUCAUUCCUGUGGGUUCUCUCGCACGGUGCUAACAAAAUUGCAGCAUUUGGUCGCUGAAGACUUUGUUGUUGUGGGUUAUGGUAUCGUAGCUGUAAUCUGGUUUUUGUUCAACUAUUUUGAUAUUUUUUUGGUUUUUAUCUGUUUUUCUGAUUUAUUUCUCCUUGCGUUUUGUUUUUUUGUGAACUGUUUUGCUGCAGUUAUGGCAUCGGUAGUUAUUACAGUAUGUUUUCGUGAAAUGUUACGCGAUGUCUGCCAAAAGUAUUCGCUCCCGUCUCCGAGGUAUGGUAUCCCAGUUGGAAGUGAUGGAUUGAUUAGUGUUUAUGUAGAAGUUGAGAUUUCUAGAGGUGACUCUGUUGCUGAAACUGUUAGAAUUUGGGGUAGUCCUUUCUCGGAUGCUGAUCAAUCUGAGGAGGAUGCCGCUCGGCGCGCUGUAGCCAAAUUGCGUGACGAGUAUGCUUUUGAGGUUAAAGAUGCAAAUUUGGAGGAUAAAAAAUUUUACGAGAAUUUAUAUGCUCGGCUUUCGGUAGACCAUACUGUGGUUUGUGAAAAAUAUAAGCGUCAAAAAACUGACUACAAUUUGUUAAAGGGUUAUUAUAAUGAUCUUAUGGCUGAGAAAGAGCUCUUACUUGCUGAGAGGCGUGAGCUCAUGGGAAAUAUAGAAAAGUGUUCUCAGGUCUUUCAGCGGCCUAGCAUUCGUGCCGUUCGCCCUGCGAGCAAUGAUGAGGGGUCUGGUGAAGAUCCGGCGACGCCCUCGGGUUAUAGGGAUUGAAGCUCUUUCGUUGUUACUUUAUUUUGGUGUUUCUCAGAGGUUUUGUGUUUGUAAUUAGGAAAAAAGCUCCUGUGGCUGCGUAGUAUGCUGGUUUAGUUCUUACCAAGGCUUUUCAAGAAGAACUUUGUUAAGUUUAUGUUGUGGGUUUUUGGUCUGUUGGAAACAAAAUAGUUCUUUCUGUACUGUAUUAUAAUGUUAUUACCUUUUGGGGUUUGAUUUGCUAUGUACAAAGCAGUUUCGGCUGCUUUUCUUAGGGCUUUAGGAAAUAGGGGUUAGGUAGUACUCUACUGGUUUAAUCCUAUAUGUAAGUUGUUGGUUUAAAGUUUGGUUUUAAAUGAUCAGUGGUACUGUAAAAAAAAAAGAGUUGUGCUCUUGGUUUGUAUGCCUUCAUUUCCUUUGAUGAUCAUAUACUAAAACAGUGUUGCAGGCUGGCCCUUCGGCAACUAUUGCAUGCAACCAAUUCGUUGGUACAUUGCAAAUUAGAUGGCCGUUGGGCAAUUGUUGCGCUGCGAAUGUUGUUGCAUAUUGGAUGGCUUAUUUUUGCAUUGGUGUUAUAAAAAUUGUAAUAAAUUUAGAGAUGUUGAAAACUGUUGGUAAUCUUUUGUUGUUACUUUGUUUUGGCAGUACUCAGAGAUUUUUUGGUUUGUACUUAGGAAAAUACUUCUGUGGUUGCAUAGUAUGCUGUUUUGAUUUCUAGCAAGGUUUUUCAAGCAAGAACUUUGUAAGUUUUAUGUUGGUACUUUGUUAUGGUCUUAGCUUUUUUGUUUUGAUUUCCUAUGUACUUGGUAGUUACGCCUGUUUUUCUUGAGGCUUUAGAAGAUAGCUCUUGCUCAGAUAUGGUUUUAUUGGUUUUAAAUGAUCAGCAGUUGUGAAAAAAAAAUGUCUUGCUCUUGGAAUGGAUGCCUCCUGUUUCAACCAUUGCAUUGUGAAUAUUGUAGCAUAUUGAAUGGCUUAAAAAUUUAGAGAUGUUUAAAAGUAUUGUCUAAAUGUGAUGGCAGGUGUAAGAUCUGAGUUUAACUAUUAGAAUACAAGUAGUAUAUUAGAAGUUUUGAAGCAUGGACUAUUGUUGUGCAUCUAAUUAGUUAUUGUCCUAUAUUGCAGAUUUUCCAAAAAAACAGUGAAAUUUAUUGUGCAUUUCUUUUAUCUUGAGCCUGUGUGUAAAGCCACUUUUAGCGCCCCCUCUAUUAUAGGUAUAACAUAUAUGUCCAGAUUUGUCGUAAACCUAUAUAAAAAAUAGAAACGGAUAAUUAUUAUGUUGUUUAUGACUAUUCUUUGCAUUCUAUUUCAAAUGAUAUUAUUUAAAAUGAUCUGAUAGCUAUAUUAAAAAGUAUGCUUUGUGCUACCUCUUCACAAAUCACAUGAUGCAUAGUAAAUGUCUAUUAUAUACAUGAAUGAGAUCACAAGGCCUGAGGCUGUGUUGUUUAUAAUUUAUAAUUUUACAAAAAUUGAGCUUUCUAGAAAGGCCAUACUGUUAUUGCCUAUCUAUAUUGAAGUUUGGGGAAUUAAGACUUGGUUGGUUUAGCUAGCUCUUUGCACUUGGUUGAAUAAUUAGUUUUUGUUCAAAUCUUGCUGAUGCUUUUUCUGUAGUACUUUACUCUUGGUUGUAUUCAUGAGGCUUUGAGUUUAGUUCUCAUUAGUUCUGAACAUGGGAAUUUUUUUUGCCUUUCGCUAUAUUAGCUUAUUGAUUUACUCUAUUUUUUUCCUAUGGUUCUUCUCAGUUUUCCAAAAUUUUUCCCUACGUGUCCUGUCUAAGGGCUUAAAAAUUACAUAUCAUGGUCUAUGGUGAAUGUGAGUAGGUUAAGCAUUCUAAGGUUCUAAUUAACAUUGUGCAAGUUGGCCAUCCUACUCUGUUUUGCGAUGACCAUUCUGUUUUCAUAUUUUAAUGGUUGGUUUAUGAUUAAUUCUUGCAUUCUUUUUCAAAAGAAACUAUUUCAUCUAAUUUGAUAUUUAUAUUAAAUUUUUUUUUUUUUUUAUCUCUUCAAAAAUUGUAUGCUGCAUAGUAAAUGGCUAUUAUUUUAAGUUUUAUAAUUGGGUUAUGUUUUGUGGUUUUUUUGUAUUUGUUUUCUUUUUUGGGCUAUGAUGGUUUUGCUCCGUCGAAAUAUUGUAAAUAUAAGGGUGUGGAAUAGUUAUAAGUAGUUGAUUGUAAAGGGUGUGGAGUACAGUUAUAAGGGUUUGGAAUAGUUGUAAGGAUGUGGGAUGGUUAUAAAUAGUGCGCAAUCUCUGGACGGCCUAUAAUGUAGAUAACCAGUUGUUACUAUUUAUUUGAUAUAUAGAUUAGAACUCUGCUUUGUACAAUUUUUUUCACAUAUGGAUAUAUAGGUUAGAACUCUGGAUGGUUCUAUUUCUCUCCAAUAUGGAUUAGAACUAUAUGUGGUGAUUGCUUAUUUUUUUGCCUGUGUGGUUUUUGGGUAUUUGUUUUCUUUUUCGGGCUGUGAUGGUUUUGUUGCUUUUAUCAUUAUAAGAUAUAGAUUAGAAUUCUGGUUGGUACUCUUUCUUUCAAAUAUGGAUUAGGACUGUAUGUGGUGACUGCUUUUUUUUUUUUCGCCCAUGUUAUUUUCCUGCAGCUUUGAGUUGGAACAUUUGUAGUUCAUUGUAUAUUUUCGUCCUUUGUAAAUAUAAGGGUGUGGGAUAGUUAUAAGUAGUGCGCAAUCUUUGGACCGCCUAUAAUUUAGGCAACCAGUUGGCACUAUUUAUUUAAUAUAUAGAUUAGACCUUUGGUUGGUGCUAUUUAUUUCGAGUAUGGAUAUAUAGAUUAGAAAUCUGGAUGGUGCUAUUUCUUUCAAAUAUGUAAUAGAACUAUAUGUGGUGGCUACUUUUUUUUUUUUGUCUGGGCUCUUUUCCUGCAUGUUGAACUUGGAACUUUUUUAGCAUUCAUUGGUGAUGGGAUUAAAUCUGAACCCGUAUAUUCCUUAUUCUACUCUUAGUAGAAACUGAUCUUUUUUUGUUCUACACUUAUUCCUGUGUGUUGAAAUUGGACCAUUUUUUGUCUUUUUUGCUUGAUAAACCCAGGUAGUGUACAAUCUUUGAAUUGCCUAUAAUGUACGCAACCAUUUAGCACUAUUUUUUUGAUAUGUAGAUCGGAAAUCCAGUGAGUGUUUUUUGUGGUAAAUUUUUCCGCAAUUUGAAGUUGGAUACAAAAUAUUGGUUAUUUUGUGAUGAGUAGGAAAUGGAUUUUUAAAUCGUAUACAAUUUUGCCAAUUAAAAUCGAGCAGGUUUCAUGGAGCAUUUGCUAUUUUAGUAUCACCAGGCGGAGGGUAAGUCCAGUAGAUCUUUUAUAUUCCUAUCAAGUACUUGCACUGGUACGUGGUUGUGUUGUUAAUAAGUUGGCCAGGAGGUAUAGUUUCUGGCAAAUUUGCAUGGUCUAGAUGGCCUAUAAUGUAGCCAACCAGUUGGUGUGUGGAAUAGUUAUAAGUAGUUGAUUGUAUAAGGGUGUGGAAUACAGUUAUAAGGGUUUGGAAUAGUUAUAAGGAUGUGGGAUGGUUAUAAAUAGUGCGCAAUCUCUGGCCGGCCUAUAAUGUAGACAACCAGUUGUUACUAUUUAUUUGAUAUAAGAUUAGAACUCUGCUUUGUACAAUUUUUCUCAGAUAUGGAUAUAUAGUUUAGAACUCUAGAUGGUUCUAUUUCUCUCCAAUACGGAGUAGAACUAUAUGUGAUGGUUGCUUAAUUUUUUCCCUGUGUGGUUUUUGGGUAUUUGUUUUCUUUUUCGAGCUAUGAUGGUUGUGCUCCUUUUAGCAUUAUAAGAUAUAGAUCCAAAUACGGAUUACGACUAUAUUUGGCAGCUGCUUAUUUAUUUUGCCUGUGUUAUUUUCGUGUAUAUUGAACUUGGAACAUUUUUAGCCUUCUUUGCUGUUAUUUUGGAUCCUAAACUUAUUCUGGUUUUGGGUUCUAAACUUAUAGUUGGAGUAUUUUUACCCUUUAUUGCUGAUUUUCUUCCUGAUUUUUAGCCUCUGUUGCUGAUUGUCGUAGGAAAAAAAUUUCUGAAAAUCUUUGCAACUACAAAAUGGUGAUGUAUGUGUGCUUUAACAUGUUUUCUGUUGAGUUUCUGUGUUAUUUUUUAUUUUAUAAUCGCCUUAUGUUUUGUGGAUUUUCUAUUUUUGUUUUCUUUUUCGGGCUAUGAUGCUUUUGUAACUUUGAUCGUCACAUGACACUAUUGGCCAUAUCUUUUUCUUCUGUUGUAAAAGUGAGGAUGUUCAGUGAUUAUACUUAGUGCGCAAUAUUUGGAUGGCCUAUUAUAUAGGCAACCAGUUGCCACUACUUAUUUGAGAUAUAGAUUAGAACUCCGGUCGGUACUUUUUAUGUCAAUAUGGAUUCGGACUAUAUGUGGUCCCCGCUUAUUUUUUUCCCAUCUGUGUUAUUUUCCUGCAGGUUGGACUUGGGAAAUUUUAGCCUUCAUUGCUGAUUAUAUCUGAGCCCGUAUAUUUAUUUCCCCCUUUUUUUUUCUCCUAAAUGGUUUUUUCGUUUUAAACUUAGGGACCUAGCCUGCAUAGUUUUUUUUUUUCCCCAAUUUUCUAUUUAGGUUAAUUUAUGCAUUUAAGUCACACAUACAAAAUGGUUAAUUUUUGCUUAUCAAUCAGUUUAAUUCCCUUUGAAAGAAUUAGGCAUAAUUGUUGAUCACACUAUUUCAGUACAGCUAUGUAUAAUUGCUUCAAGGCUUCAACAACGAUUUCGUUGAUGUGUUUAGUAAACUGAAAUCUUUUAGAGUUUAUGAUAUGAUGACAAGCUGGACUAAACUAAGACUUCUAUAACCCAGUGCCCGAAAUUUUCUCGAUGAAUUUCGAACUGGACUGAACUAAGAAUUCUAUAACCCAGUGUCCGAAAUGUUUUUGAUGGAUUUCGAACUAACUCAAAACCAGCCCUGUAGUUUUUGGUUUUAUACUUCUGCUGAUGUAUGUGUGCUUUACUAAUUUUGAUAUUUGGUUUGUUCAUUAUUUAGACUUUUAUAAUUGGGUUAUAUUUUGUGUUAUUUCUUUUAUGUUUUCUCUUUUGGGCUAUGAUGGUUUUGCUCCUUUUAUUGUGACAUGGCAGUAUCGGUCGUAUAUCCUUUCUGUGAAUGUAAGGGUGUGAAAUGAUUAUAAGUCGUGCUCAAUCUUUGGAUGGCCUAUAAUGUAGGCAACCAGUUGACGCGGUUUAUUUGAUAUAUAGGUUAGACCCCUGGUUGGUACUAUUUCUUUAAAAUAUGGAUUAGGUCUAUAUGCAGUACCUGCUUUUUUUUUUCACCUGUGUUCUUUUCCUGCAUAUUGAACUUGGAGCAUUUUUAGCCUUCAUUGCUGGUUAAAUCUGAGCCCAUUUAUUUCGUAUUCUGCUUUUAGUACAAACAGUUUUUUUUGGGUCCUACACUUAUUCGAAUUUUUUGUUCUAAGCUUAUAGGCGGAUCCUUUUUUAGCCUUCAUUUGUUUUAUAAUUGGGUUAUGUUUUGUCCUUUUUCAAUAUUUGUUUUUUGUUUUCUCUUUCGAACUAUGAUAGGUUUGUUCCUUUAACCGUGCUAUGGCAGUAUUGGUUGUAUAUUUUUCUUCUUUUUUGUAAAUGUAAGGGUGUCGCAUGGUUAUACGUAGUGCUCAAUCUUUGGAUGGCCUAUCAUGUAGCCAACCGGUUGGUGCUAUUUAUUUGAUAUAUAGGUUUGUUACUUCGCAGUAUUAUUAAUAACAAAUAUGAUAUAUACAUGCUUGAAUCAUAAUUUGAAUAACUCUUUGUCAACCAAUAAUUUCCCGAAGGAUUGAGUGUGCACAAUGAAUCAAUUUCAAGCCCAUUUUUUUCAUAUACAGAAGCAUAAUCGAUUCUUCGCUUUGUUACAGCCAUUGUUUUAUAUUGCAAGGAUAUACAUGCAACUGUUUAUAUAUAUAUAUAUAUAUAUAUAUAUAUAGAUAUAUAUAUAUAUAUAUAUAUCNNNNNNNNNNNNUAUAUGUAUAUAUAUAUAUAUAUGUAUAUGUAUAUAUAUAUAUAUAUAUAUAUAUAUAUAUAUAUAUAUAUAUAUAUAUAUAUAUAUGUAAGGCUCGACGAGGCAGGAGAGGAGGCUAAAGUACUUAGUCUCCUCUCUUGCCGCCACGGCUUUAUAUAUACAUAUAUACACAUAUAUAUACACAUAUGUUGUGUAUAUAUAUAUAUAUAUAUAUCCUUGCAAUAAACAGCAUUACCUGUAACAAAGCGAAGAAUGGGUGUGAUUUUGUAUAUGAAAAUUUUGACAAAGAGUCAUCCGAAACACGAUUCGUGUUAUAAUAUUUUAUAAACAGCACGUUUUUAAAUGAUAGCGGGGAAAAGUGAAGUGGAUUAUGAUAGGAGGUUUUUUCUAAUUUAGCCUGAAAUUUAUAUUUUUACAUAUAAAAGCAUAAGAUUUACAUUCAUAUGUUACAAGUACGGGUGCUUUUUUUAAAUGUCAGGCAUUUUUGGUUUGGGUUUGUUCAAUUAUUUGCACGUAUUGCUGGGAAUUCUUUAUAGGCGUUUUCGGUGUGGAGAGCUGGCGAUGUUUCCUGCAUGUAAGGAAUUUUUGGCGAAAUUUAUGUAGCAUAACUGUUUGGCAUGAAAAUGCAUAUUUUUUAAAAAAUCUUCUCCGGAUUUGGAAUUCAUCAAAUCAGUAGAAGUUGGAGCAGGUUGAAGUUGAAGCAUUUUUUACUCUUCAUUGUUGAUUAAAUCUGAGGGCAUAUAUUUCAUAUUCUGCUUUUAGUGCCCCUGCAGCUUAGAGUUUGAAUAUUUGUAGUUGAUUGUAUAUUUUUCUCCUUUGUAAAUAUGAGGGUGUUAAUUUUUACUUUAUUUUCUUAUGGGUUUCCCCAAGCAAGUGAUGUAACUACUUCUAUCUCUUAUUCUUAUAUCGUGCACCUUUGUCCACUGCAGUUAAUGCUGAAUUCAGUUUAUCGUGGUUGUUUUUUUGCCAUAUUGUUGGUGUUCCCGCCGUUUCUGCUUUUCUUACUUUUGCGUUUAUGGUGUUGUGAAGUUCUUCAAAUGUGGAGAGGCUUCGAAGUUUGCUCAGGAUUUGGCAUUCAAAGAUUCAUGUUUUCUUUCUGUUUUUGAACUGUGAGGAUUCUACUCUUCUUUGGUGGGGCAGUGUGAUUGCUAAUUAGUUCGUGCCUACGGAUGAAGCACUGUGUGGCUAACCAGUUGAUAAAAUUUAUUUACAGUGAAGGAUUGAAACAUUUACAUUGACUGGCUAUUUUGUUUUUUGCUAUAUUCUUUUUGGUGGCCAAUUUAAAUCGGGGAUCCUAAGUGGGUACGGCAGGGCCCUCCGCAAUUGCUGCGUGCAGGGCCGGGCAGGCGAGUGGGCGCCGGCGCGCGGGCGCGUGUGGGUUCAGUGGGGCCCACAGCGCGAGUGGGCAGCGCGCACCGGCGCGGGCGCAGGCGCAGGCGGGUGAGCAGGAGCGGGCACAGGUGGCGCGCGGGAGCGAGCCAGUGUGUAGAGGCUGUGCAGGGUGACUUUUUUUUCCCCCUUAUUUCCUGUGGGGCCCGCUCCUCUCUCUCUCUCUCUUUUUCUUUUUUUUCCCCUUUUUUUUGUGUAGGGUUUAGAGCCCGAAAAUUUUGAUGUAUAUUGUAUUUUUAGUUAUUGGAGAGGUUUUAAUAUUAGUAGAUGGUUUAUUCUAAGACCCAGAUUUUUUCCGCCUAUUCAGUUUAUAUUUAUUGGAGCAAGUUUAUGUUGCCAUUUUCUUAAUUAUGUGUAUAUAUAUUUUUUUACCAGCUAGGAGUUUGGUGGCUUAGAGGACCAAUACUACAUCUGUUUUCAAAUGUACGUAUAAUUUUUCUCUUUAUUAUUCUAUCAAAAAAUUAUAUUCUUUUCUGUUUAAGUACGCUUCUCCUUAUAUGUCCCUUUUAUCUAUCAGUAUUAAAAUAUGCAAAAAAUACUAAUUUAUGUCUCUUUGUCAUUUGUAGAUCGGUUGUUUACAAAGGGACGCAAAUAGGAACAGAACUAUAGUUGUUCACAAAGAAGUGCAGGUAUUUUUCCCAUCAAAAGCAUUGUGUUUGAUCUUUGUUUGUCACACUUAGUUAUCUUACAAACAAAUAUCGCUACCGGCUAUUUUAUUUGCAAGCAAGCCGUCUUUUUUAUUAUAUCUAUGUUUUUUUCCUUUUGCAGCUCAGCCUUUAGAGUCUUGGCGGAUUUAUGUUGCAGCUGUUUCCAAAAGUACGUAUGAUCCUUCUCGGUAUUUUUUUCCCGCAUAAAUAUUAUAAUUCAUACACGUCUGAUUGAACAUAAUAGUAAUAAUAAUAAUGGACAUUAAAAGUCAAAAGGAUUUGCCCUUUUUUUAGCUGGGAGACAAUUUUUGCAUUCUUAUAGCCUACUUCUAUUAAAUAUUGUUACAAAACAAAUUAGUUUAAAUAUUAAAACAAGUAAAAUAAAAUGAAAAUGGGCAAAAAAAAAAUGCAAGAAAAAAAAAAACAGGCAUCGUGUCAGGAAAAAAACUAAUGACUAAUGACUUAAGCUACCCUAAACCAUUGCGGUACAACUGUAAUUGUGUACCCUAAGCCAUUUGUGGUACAUCUGUAAUUAUGUACAUAAACAACAUAAAAACAAAAGAAGAUUUAACGUCCAUGUAUCGUGACUUUUAAAAUAGCUUGCUAUUNUUUUUUUUGUAGCUGCAUUAGAAAUAGACAGGUCAAUAUCUGCAGGAGUAAGCAAUCUAUAAUUGCAUUUAAAUGUAUGCAAUAAAUGAAAUAUAUUAGGGUCAUCCUUUCAACUUUUUUAUAAUAAAUAAACGGACCUAAAUUUUAAACACAAUUCAUCCAAGAAUUUAGAAUUUUUAUAAUUUACAGUAUUUAAAAAAUAAAAGAGUAAUGAAAUUCGUAGAAAAAAAAAAAGCUGAACGAAAAUGGCAUAAAAUUUCCUUCUACUUUUGAGUGUUCGGAAAGCAUUGCUCCUAUUAAAUCACACACUGUAAUAAAAAUAGUGCUGAAAAAGAAUCAAUACAUUUUUGCUUUUUAUUUGAGGAACCAUAUGUCGGCAUUCUUCCUGAAAGCAAUGAAUAUAUUCAUAUAUUCUAUUUCCUCCUAUUUUAACCACCAUUUAUUAUUUAAUAUAUGAUUACCUGCCAUCGAUCAAAAUAACUUUGAGGAAGGAAAAAAAAAACAAAAUACAAAAUGAACUCGAUCAGGUAUCGUGUUUCCAACAAAUAUUCGAUUUUUUCAGGGUUUUUUAGACAGGCCCUGUACUAAGCUUGAUACAAGGUUUCUUAAUAGAUCAUUGUGGCAAAAUAAAAAUAAAAAUACAGAUAUUUAAACGCAUCUUUUCGAACCGCAGAAUAACGAAAUGAAAUAUGCUAAACAAUAGAGGAUCAAUUAAAGUUUGGCCAUAAAAUAAUAUACCUAAUACUGAAUAAAUCUUAUCGAUCAUGAUUAGUCUUUUUACACUAUGCUAAUAAUGUUUAAGGUAAAUAUAAUAAUGCAAACACUUCUCAUUCGGCUAAAACCAAUAGAGCUCAUUAAUUCUUAGCAAUAAAAUGUAUAUAUAUCUCCAAUUUUGCUCAAUAAUUUUUCUAUGCGAAAAUAUAUAGAAAAUUGCAUGUUGGCUAUUAAUUUAUGUGCAUUCAAUUGUCCAUCUACCCACCUGUCUAUUUGUUUCAUGAACUUUUUUCUUUCUUGCGUAAAAUUGCAUGGAGACCCAUCAACUACGAGACGUUCUUAGAUAGGUCACCCAGCUUUAAUUUUUCUGCGUGGCUCUUCUUUAAUUUCCAAUAUUUUUAUUUAGGUUUUUGCAAUUAAUUAGGCGUAAAAAAAGUUUGUUACAUUUCAUGGCUCGAUUAGUUCUUACCAGUUAAUUAAAUAUAAUUUUAUUCAAUAUUUGAUGGAAUUAUCAAUCAGUUUAAUAAAUUCUUUUUUUGGCAAAAUUACUUGAUUCUAAAUAAUUAAAAGUUGAGACCAAUUUCAAUAAAAAACAAAACCAAGGAGGCUAAUUUAGAAUGACUAAUAGUCGACGAGUUCUGCAUAUAUAUAUAUAUGUGUGUGUGUGUGUGUGUGUGUGUGUGUGUAUAAUUUUUUAAUUGUUCUUCAUAUAUCCUUUGUAAAAGUGGAAGUAGAGGUGGUGUAUGUGAUCCAUUAAAUGUCGGCAAUAAUGGAUUGUUGACUCUCAACGUUUUCUAACAUUUAAAAUUUGCCAUUGAUUCAAAGAACAUUUAGUUAGUCAUGUUUUUCACUUACUAUAUCAUUAAUGUGUUGGUACCGCUGUAAUACGUAGGUUUGUAAUUCUUUUAUGAAAACUUUAAUAUCAUUUAUAUAGUUUCACACUUUCUCAUUUUAGGAUUUUAUGAUUUAAAAUGUAUUAAUUUAGUAUCCUGUGAUUUCAUUUUUAUUUCUUUAUUAUGGAUUUCACAAAUUUUUUUCGUUAAAUCAGUAACAAAGUUAAAAUUAAAGAGAACUACAGUGAAUAUUUGAUAAACUUAGAUAGAGUAUCUGAAUUUUUUUUUUUUAUAUAAUUUAACAAAAUAUUAACUAAAAAGCUGACGAAAAGAUAUAAAGGAACCACAGAACAUUAAUUUGAUACACUUUAAACCACAGAAUACUAAAAUAAGAAAAUGCGAAACCACGGGAGUGAUAUAUACUUGAAGCUAGCUUACCUUUUUUGUAUAUACAUACUCUGAUAUGUCACAUGAGUUUGUCAUACAAAGACAACAUUAUAAAAUAUAUGUAGUGGUGCAGAUUUAUUUGGCAUUAUAUUUUAUUAUGCAUUAUUUAGACAAUAGUCACCAUUGAGAAUAGUUGGUUGUUAUGCAAAAUGCUGCAUAGUAGGUUGAAGGCUCAAUACAUAUUCUGGACAUAUCAAAAAUUUAUAUUUUGCACUUCAUCAUUGUAUUAAAUAGUGAGUCUUUAUAAACUAAAAUGUGGUAUAAAAUAGUAAAUAUUUCGCUACCUUAUAUGGUCAUAAAUUUAAACUAUACACAACUAUAUAUACAAUCUUAAUUUCAAUGCCAAUACCCUUUGACCUUUAUAUUUCUUCUUUUUAUGUAGCUCUCAUGCUAAAUGUAAUGAUGAUUCAAAAUAAUUAAGCUUGGUUAUUAAAACUAAUAGAGUCCAUAAUUAUUAUACUUCUAUAUAUAUACAAUUUUUUACAAAUAUACCAGAAUAUUGGAGUGUAAAAUGGUGGUAAUGUGGAUAGGUUUAUAGGAUGUAAGUAAAAUUUUUUUUUUUUUAGUUUUCCUGGGUGACGUUCUUUCCUUUUUGUAACACCAUUUGAUUUUGAGGUUAUCUUUUCUGCUAUUUUAUACUAUUAAUAAGACAGAGGUAUCAUUAAAGGAUUUUGUGCUUCUUUUUGCUAGAGUUGAAUUCGGCAAUAGUAUUAUGGCAUUGUGUGCCGAAAAUCGGAAACUACGUAAGACUAUUCUUGACCGUCGUAGGCACAAUAGAGGAUUCUAUGCUUCAAACUCUUGUGCCGAUGUUGGUCAGCAUUCGGUUACAGGAUUAGAUAGUGAUAAUUAUGGACGGAGAAAAAGGAAGUAUUUAUCUGUAACAAACACAAAAGCGACUGUUAAUGUUAAUUCAGGUAUGCCUUUAUCAAUCGAAUUGACUAAAUUUGCUCAGCCAGUGCCGAUUGUUCGCUACAAUGAGCAGCAACAUUAUAUUGGUUUGCCUGAGCAUGAAUGUCAAUCAUGUGGAGCUCAAUUAUGGUAUGCAGAAAGAAUUCGCAAAUCACGCAAUGAACAAACUCCUCGGUUUUCAAUAUGUUGUCAGGAAGGUAAAGUUACUUUGCCAUUAUUGCAGUCGACCCCUGAGUUUCUUGAUACUUUAUUAGAUUAUGGAGUUUCAGGUAAGGCAAAGCAUUUUAGGCAGAACAUUCGCACCUAUAAUUCGAUGUUCGCUCUCACAUCAUUUGGGGCUAAGGUCGACAAUGACAUUAAUAGAAAGCCGGGCCCAUAUGUGUUUAAGAUUAGUGGACAAAAUUAUCACAGGAUGGGUUCGCUAUUGCCAAUGGAUGGGCAUCGUCCAAAAUUUGCUCAGUUGUACAUCUACGAUACUGAAAACGAAAUCGAUAAUAGAAUGCGAGCAUUUAACACUCAUGAUGAACUUCAGGAUAUUGACAGAAAUAUUGUUCACCAAUUAAUGGAAGUAUUCGAUUCUCACAAUGAAGUAGUAAAAGCAUUUAGAAUGGCACGGGACCGUUUCAGAGAGGCUGAUUACUUACCUAUUCGCUUGAGAUUAAUAGGAACCCGUCCUGAAAGUGGCUCACAAUAUAAUCCUCCAAUGUCUUCUGAGAUUGCUGGUCUAAUAAUUGGUGAUUUGGGUACUGCUGAUCGGCAACGAGACAUUAUAGUUGAGCAUAAGAUGGAGGGAUUGAAACGUAUUACUGAUCUACACCCAUCUUUCAUGGCUAUGCAGUACCCUAUUUUGUUUCCAUAUGGUGAGGACGGUUUCAGAUUAGGCAUAAAAUAUAACGAACACUCGCGUAGAAAAGUGGCAUGCAGAAAAAAUGUUACAAUGCGAGAAUUUUAUGCCUAUAGGAUACAAAAUAGAAUAUCCGAGGGAAAGACUCUAAUUAAAGGAGGUAAACUCUUCCAGCAAUAUUUGGUUGAUGCUUUUUCAUGUGUCGAAGAAGAACGCCUUGAUUAUAUUAGAAGAAACCAGGCUGACUUGCGUUCUGAAAUUUAUAAAGGUAUUAGAGAUGCUGUUGUUGCAGGUGAUGUUGACGGUAACAUAAUCGGUAAGAAAAUUAUCUUGCCAUCUAGCUUUACAGCAGGCCCUCGAUACAUGAUUCAAAAUUAUCAAGAUGCUAUUGCAAUAUGCAGACAUUGUGGCCAUCCUGAUCUGUUCAUUACAUUUACCUGUAAUACACAAUGGCGCGAGAUACAGAAUGCUUUACUAUUUAUUCCCGGCCAAAGGCCAGAAGAUCGGCCUGACAUAAUUAGCAGGGUUUUCAAAAUAAAGGUUGAUGCAUUAAUGGCAGAUAUUAAAAAUGGCACAUAUUUUGGGAUGCCUGCUGCUGGUAUGUUUGCUAAGAAUAUCUUGAAAGAAACAUGUUGAAAUUCUGAGAUGUUGUGUGCUUAUCUUUUUUCGUUAUUUAACUCAUUCCUUUUUUUUUCGACUAGAUUUGUAUACGAUAGAAUUUCAGAAAAGAGGCCUCCCACAUGUCCAUAUUUUGGUAUGGCUACAAGGAAAGCAUAGAUCGGUAACUCCUGCAGAUAUUGAUUUGUUUAUUUCUGCUGAAAUCCCUGAUAAAAAUACAUAUACGGAUGAAUAUCAGGCUGUUUCAAAAUUCAUGAUGCAUGGACCAUGUGGAUCAGCAAAUCCUCGAGCACCGUGUAUGGCAAAAGGUUAUUGCUCAAAAUAUUUUUCGAAAGAAUUUAGGCCGCACACAGUAAUGGAUGAGAAUGGAUUUGCUAUUUAUAAAAGAAGAAAUAAUGGAGAAUAUGUUACAAAAAAUGGAGUUGACCUUGAUAAUUGCUAUGUUGUUCCGCAUAACUUGCAGCUGGUUGUUAAAUACCAAGCACAUAUUAAUGUUGAAUGGUGUAAUAAGACAAGACUUAUUAAAUAUUUAUUUAAGUACAUCAAUAAAGGGCCAGAUAGAAUUAGAGCAAUAAUUGAAGAUGAUUCGUCGACUACCAACUCAACAUGCAGGCAGCAGGACAGAGAAGUUGAUGAAAUCAAGAAAUAUUUGGAUUGUAGGUAUUUAUCGGCAUAUGAAGCUGUUUGGAGAUUGUUUCAAUUUGAUAUACACUGCCGAGAUCCUACAGUUGAGCGACUAACCAUCCAUUUGCCGUUAAUGAAUAAUAUAGUGUAUCACGAGAUGCAAACUUUGGAUGAUAUUCUAAGGCGACCUGAUGUUACAAAAACAAUGUUCACUGAAUGGAUGGCAACCAAUCAGGUGUAUGAUGAUGCGCGUGAAUUAACUUACGUCGAAUUCCCAACUAAAUGGGUAUGGCAUUCCGACGACAAAAUUUGGACAAAACGUAAGAAAGGACAUCGAAUAGGAAGGAUAGUUUAUAUCCACCCAAAUUCUGGUGAGCUUUAUUUUUUGAGGAUGCUUUUAAACAAGGUAAAAGGUGCACGAAAUUAUACUGAAAUUAGAACCGUCAAUGGUAUCAUAUAUGAAACAUUUCGUGCUGCAUGCGAUGCUCUUGGAUUACUAGGUGAUGAUUUGGAAUGGCGUCAUCCAUUCGAAGAAGCAGCCUAUUGGUCUUCUGCCUCUGAUUUAAGGCAACUUUUUGUCACUAUUAUUAUGUUUUGUGAGGUUGCUGAUCCUGUUAAAUUGUGGAAUGAUUAUUGGGAAUCAAUGUCUGAUGAUAUAAUAUAUCGAGUUAAAAACCUUUUAGGGAUCAGUAGCCUUAAAAUGCCUGUCGCAGAAAUACAAAACUAUGUUUUAUAUGAGUUGGAGUUGUUGCUUAAUAAAAAUAGUAGCUCGCUUGUGCAAUUUAAACUUCCACUCCCCAAUAGGCUACUUAUGGAAGAUUCCAACAACAGGUUAUUACGAGAAGAACUAGAUUAUGAUUCGAAUGCUUUAAGAGCAGAACAUAUGGAAUUAUUUAAAGGCAUAAAUCGUGACCAAUUAAUAGUGUAUAGUGCUGUUUUAUCCUCUGUUUAUGAAGAAAGAGGCAAUUUGUUCUUCGUUUAUGGCCAUGGGGGAACAGGCAAAACGUAUUUGUGGCGAACAAUAAUUGCAAAACUGCGUUCUGAGGGAAGAAUUGUGCUGGCUGUUGCUUCAUCGGGAAUUGCUUCCUUAUUACUUCCUGGAGGGCGAACAGCACAUUCACGAUUUAAGAUACCUAUUAAGCUUGAUGAGUUCUCAACAUGUGAGAUAAAAAAGGGAACGCAACUUGCAAAAUUGCUUGCUCAUACAAGCUUAAUAAUCUGGGAUGAAGCUCCAAUGAACCACAGAAAUUGUUUUGAAGCUUUGGAUAAAUCGUUGCAAGAUAUUCUACAGACUGCCGAAGAAGUAGCAGAGGAAAAACUCUUUGGGGGAAAGACAGUAUUGCUUGGUGGCGAUUUCAGACAAAUACUUCCUGUUAUUGUUGGAGGAACAAGACGGGAUAUAGUUAAUGCAUCAAUUACUAAAUCAUAUAUAUGGCAGCACUGUAAACUAUAUCGCCUAACAACGAAUAUGCGGUUGCGUACAUGCCCGAAAAACACUGAAGAUAAAGCAGAUUUGGAAGCAUUUGCAAAAUGGACACUUGAUUUAGGUGAUGGAAAAAUAUCCGCUGUUAAGUUGGACAAUGAAGAAGAGCCUACUUGGAUUAAGAUACCUGAUGAUAUUCUCAUAAAAAAUAGCGGAAAUGGUGUCAGAGAUAUUGUUGCAUCAAUAUAUGAUAAUCUCGAGUAUAAUUAUAAUGAUGCAUUCUAUUUGAGAGACAGAGCUAUUAUCACACCUAUAAAUGAGACUGUUGAUGAAAUUAAUGCAUAUGUUCUGUCCUUAAUUAAAGGCGAAGAAAAGAUAUACACAAGUGCCGAUUCGAUUUGUAGCUCUUCCGUGAAUGCUGAAGAAGCGGAUCUGUUAUAUCCUGUUGAUUUAUUAAAUUCUUUAAAAUUCAGUGGAGUACCAGACCAUGAAUUAAAAUUGAAAGUAGGAGUUCCGAUAAUGUUGUUGCGCAACAUAAGUCAAAGUUCCGGACUUUGUAAUGGUACCCGUUUACUUAUUACUCAAUUAGCUCCAAGGAUUAUCGAAGCCCAAAUUUUUACAGGGAACCAUGCUGGCAAAAAAGUUUAUAUUCCACGCAUUGUGAUGCACGUAACAGAAACAAAAUGGCCAUUUGUUUUGAAACGAAGACAAUUCCCUGUUCGCGUCUGUUAUGGCAUGACAAUCAAUAAAAGUCAAGGACAGACUCUACAACGGGUUGGCAUUUAUCUACCGAAGCCAGUAUUCUCGCAUGGCCAACUUUAUGUUGCAGUUUCUCGAGUAACCUCACGUCAAGGCCUGCGCAUUUUAAUCGAUAACAAAGACGACGAAGUCGAAGGAUAUACAAGAAAUAUUGUUUUCUCUGAAAUUUUUGAGGACUUGGAUCUAUAAAUUCAUAGUCCAUUAUUCUGGUAUAAUGUAGCAUUUUAGAAAACUUGAAAGUAAAUGUUCCUUUUUUUUAUGUAUCAAGCUUCUUAUUUUGCAAAUCUAUAAUCAAUCUUACUGAUUUUAUUGUAUUUUCAUUGCAGAAAAUUAUUGCGGGAUGGAAUUUGUUCUUCUAAAAGACCUUGCUUUGGCACAGAAACACUGUAAAAUCAGAACCAGAGUUAGCAGAAUGUGGGAAACAACAACACCGUUGCUUAAAAAUAAUAUAUUGAGCUUGGACUACUUGCUUAUAGAUGAGGAGGUUAGUAUAAAUUUUGUUUCGACAAACUGUUAAAUAUAAGUUACUUUUGGUGCACUCAGUACAAACGCAUCUUUUAAAUUUUCCAGUCUUACUACAACCAUACAUGAAUUUUUGUAGGGAUAUGCAAUGCAAGCUACUGUUCGUAAAUAUGAUGUGGAACACUUUAGAUCAUUACUUUCUGAAGGUAAGGUAUACAUCUUUGAAAAUUUCAAUGUCGUGCCAAGCAGAAACAAUUAUAAAGUUGUCGAUCGGAAAUACAUGGUGCAAAUAAGUAAAUGGACGCAUGUAGUCAAAGCAAACAACGAUAUCGGCUCUAUUCCGCUCUACAGUUUUUACUUCAUCAAUUUUGGACAUGUUAAAGCCAAAAAGUGCAACGAUGCUUGCCUGAUAGGUAUUGUUAUUUUUCUUUACUAUUUAUAAAUUUAUUUACUAUUAACCAAAUAUUGAUUGCCUUACAUCUGAGUAAUAUAAUAAUAAUAAUAAUAACUCUUUAUGCAUUGUUUCAUUCCUCAGAUGUUCUAGGGAGUAUUACAGCUAUUGCUCCUGUUUCGCAUACGUAUGUUGCGCAAGACCUAACUGCAAUUAGGAAAUUAGAAAUUCGAGAUUUAGAGUAAGCUCUAAAUAAUGGCUUAAUUCUCUUAUAGCUUAGUUUUCUUUUCCCCACAAUAAUUUUUUCCUCCGUAUUUUUAUGGAUAUCUUAUAGUGAUCAAGUUUUGUCGGUCACGUUAUGGGACAAAUUUGCUCUCGAUUUUGAUGACAAUUUUCUCAAGCAAAAAGAGGCCGACGGUCCGGUUGCAAUUGUUUUAGCAAGUAUGACCGUACGGACAUAUCGAGGUAUACUAAAUGAAUUGUUAUAUUCUACCUUCCAAACUAUGCUAUUUUAAAUUUGGAUCUUUUCUAAUGUAUUUUUUUGUUUAUUAGAUCAUGUUUAUUUGUCAACAUGCUCAGCAUCAAGAUUAUACACUAAUUUAGAAAUUCCUGAAGUUUUAACGUUCAAGAAUAAUCUGCGCAGGUAAUAAAUAGUUUAUUAUGCUUCUUUAUUUGUCAUACUAAUAUUCAAAAUAUAAUACUAACAAUAUGGUUGUCUACAGCAAACAAACAUCACCUGUACCGAUUCACCGUAUGGAAUCUGCUGAUAAACCACUUCUUUCACCGCUCGAACAAAUGAACACAAAUCGGAAAACUAUUGCCGAACUAAUUACGCCAAACCUACUUGAGGUACAAGUACGGAAAUUAGUUUACUCUUCCUGCUAUUUGCUUUUGAUAUAUAAACGUUUCCAUUUUAUGUAGUAAAUAUAUGUGCAUCAACAGUUGAAAUAAAUACCUUCUGUAUUGUUCUAAAAUAUUAGGGCAUUAAAUAUACUUGCAACGCCAAAUUAGUAGCUGUUGACACAACAUAUGGUUGGUGGUAUAAAGCAUGUUAUGAUUGUAAAGGAGCAAUCAAGGAUUAUGGCGGUAAUUUUUGGUGUGGUCAAUGCGGGAGAAAUGAUCGUGCACCUAUACCAUGGUAAAAUUUUAAGAAAUAUUCGAUUACAUAUGAUACUUCAGAUUUUUUUUUUUGUUAUGGAAUUUAACAGUUAAAUAACUAAUAAAUUAGGUACAAACUAAAUGCUGUUGUUGAAGAUGAAACCGGAACUGCAAAUUUUACGAUAUUCGGCAAAGUCGCACAGGAUUUACUCCAUGUUCCUGCCCAACAAUUGGCAAUCAUAGCCAAUUCAGAUAGAUUUGUGUUGCCGCCUGUUGUGAAAAAUAUCAUUGGGCAAUCUUAUAUUUUUCAAAUAAUGCCAGAUAAUCGCAAAUCGAGUAUGAAUCUCAAGUCGUUUCGUGUCGCCAAAAUUUUCCCUCCUACCUUGGAAAUCAAAGGGAAAAAUAAGGAAUGCGAAAACAGUAUUCAGGAAAUUGAAGAAGAAAUUGUUGAGAGUACAAUUCCUGUUACACAGAUCGAUGACAUUGUCGAGGAAAUACACCCGACCCAGUUGCCGCAGAUAAUGUAAGAAAAAAUAGUAUUAGUUAUUAUAAUGGAUUUUAUAUACAUAUAUAUAUUGAUGUAUUUGUUUUUGCCUCAGAAGUUCGCAAUCAAAUGCAGAAGCAUUUAAACUAAGGAAAGGAAAAAGACCUUUUAGGUAUCAAUGUUUUUCCCUAUUUUCGUGUAACGAUUCUAACAUCUCUCGAGUUUUUUUCCCCUUCCGAUAAAAAAUAAUAUUUAUAUAUUUUUUCUCCAGUUGUGUGGACCAUUCUGGAUCAGAAGGUGAAGAAACAUGAGGUUCCUAAUGCUAAAUUGGUCCAGAAAGCUAUAUGGAGAGGUAAGAUGUUCUGAUGAAAGACCCGACUUUGGUACUUUUUUUUUAGCAGUCCUUAGAGGUUUUGGAUGUGUUUGUGAAGGAACUUUGUUAACUUUUGUGGAGGAAUGUUGUAGAAAACAUUCUGAAGAAACUUUGUUAACUUUUGUGGAGGAAUGUUGUAGAAAACAUUCUGAAGGAACUUUGUAGGUCUUUUUUUUAAGUUUUAUGUGUAUAAACUUUAUGCGUAUACUUUGUUGAAUGUCAUGUUAAAUAACCGUUCAAUGUAGAAAGGUUUUUUUUUUUCGUUACCUUGAUAAUCGCUAUAAGAAUGUGUUGCAUAACUAUCUGUUGUAAAAAUGCAGCUUUUUUUUACCCCUCACAGUGCAUGGGGCUUUCCUGCAUACAUGUGUACUAUGUUGUUUAUAUUGAUGGACAUUAUUGGGAUGUUGUGCCUCCUGUUUUAGCUAAAGGAAUGCAAAACUAUUUUCUAUUUGCUAUGUUACAUACCCAUUCAAUUGCAGUGAAAAUUCAGGAUUUUGUUUCCCUGAGUUUUCUUUGGUUUUGCAAUGCAUAAGGUUUUUCUGCGUGCAUGUGUAGUGCGAUGUCUAUAUUAAAUGGACGUUAUUGGAAUGUUGGGACUUAUGUUUUACCAAGAGGAGUCUUUAGUUUUGAUUCUAUAGUUUUUAAUUAUUCUUAAUUUCUUUUCUAAAUAAUUUUAAUAUACUUUAUAUUUUGUAGACUAUAUGUUUUUAUAUGUUGUAAAAUUUAUAUUUUUUAAAAAAAAUAUUCUUAAUUUGCAAAUAAUUCAAAUAUUACUUUCCCGCAGCAUAGCGCGGGUCCGUACCUAGUAUCUUUGAGGCGCGGAUGAUGACGACUCUCUAUGUUUAUCCUCCGAGUGCUUGUUUGGUUCUCGCACUUCUUUCAAAAAAGAUAUUUUUUGAGUUUAAUUGUUUGAAUAUUCUAUCAUUAAUUUUAGUGGAGGUUCUUAUUUUUUGAAAAUAUACAAACACCCCUGGUAAGGUUGAGUAGCUAUCAUAUUAUCCCUGCAGAGUUCGACUCUGAUAAAUGACAUAUUAACAAAAAGAAAUAACUUACAAGGCACUGCUUUAGUUGCUCAUCAUGCGUUAAAGGCAUAAAUUGUGUUGCAUAAUGUUACGAUAUAUUUUAUCUAUAUUAGGAUGUUACGAUAUAUUAGAAUAUUGUGUUUUAUUGCCUUAUAUAGAGUAGUAUCAUUGUCUUCUAUAGAGUAGGAUUAUAUAGUAUGUAAUCCUAGUUAUACUCUUACUAUAGUAGUCAUUGUUACUAUAGUAAGACAAUCUCUUGUACUAUAUAUAUUCAUUAAUACAACUCAAGAGGGUAUGCACUUUAGCCCUUCUUUCAUGGUAUCAGAGCGGGAACCCUAAUGUGGGGAUAUCGAUCCAUAGCUACCAUCCACCAUUAAUCUCACCUUUUUCUAUAGGUGUCUUUUCUUUUGGUUUUCUAUCUUCCCAAUACUGCUACAGUACUGCUACAGUAUCAUCGCUACAGUACUGGCGCUACAGUAACAGCGCUACAGUACUGGCGCUACAGUAACAGCGCUACAGUAACGGCGCUACAGUACCGCGCUACAGUACUAGCGCUACAGUAUUUCUGCUGCAGUAUUUUCAACCUUUCUGUAAUUUCUCUUUGCUCCUCUGGUGCCGCUCGGACUGUCCUACUGUUGGUUGCUCGUAUCACUCGGUUCCUUCCUUAGUGCGGUCGAUCUUAUUUGGUGAUAAGUGAUUCCUCUCAUGUGAUAGAAUUCAGGUUCUUUUUUUUUAUUCACAUCCGCUACAUUCCGAUUUAUCUUUCUUUCUUAUCUAGUGGUGGAACCUUAUCUUAAGGUAGUAAACAUGUCUUCUUCUACCUCAAAUUUGCCAAUUGUUAAUAUCAAAACUCUCAUACCACUAGAACUCACCGAUUCUACAUAUCUUGUGUGGAAAUAAGUCUUUCUUAAUGUUCUAGAAAGUUUUGACGUUACAAAACAUGUGGACGGAACUGGUGUUGUGCCUUCUCAGACUAUCGAUACUGCUGAUAAGAAGGAGGUUAUAAAUCCUGAAUAUGUGAGUUGGAAAAAGAACGAUACUACUAUACUUUCAUGGAUUAAUGCCACUUUAUCUCUUAGCAUAUUACAUAUGGUUGUUUCUAGCUCACCUAAAACUGCAUAUGAUGCUUGGAGAAUUAUUGAGGCAUAUUUUCUUGAUAAGACUGCUUCCACGGCUUUUUCUCUAAAAUCUGAAUUGCGGAGCAUCAAGAAAGGCUCAAUGAGCAUGAGUGAUUACAUGCAAAAGAUCAAGACGAUUGGUAAUGCUCUUCAGGCGAUUGGUGAAAUCGAGUCAGACCAUAAUUUGGUCAUGACUGUUCUUCUAGGGCUACCUGAGGAAUAUCGAGGUUUUGUUAGUGCUCUAAACACACACAGAAAUAAGCCAACUUUUGAACAACUUCGUCCACUCUUGAUGCAAGAAGAAACAGAAGUUCAGCGUCGCACUAGUGUGACUACGUCCUCUGCUAUUCCCACUAUUGACAGUGAAGCUCUUUAUGCCAAUCGUGGACGUGGUAAUCGUGGAGGCCGUGGAGGUAGAUAUCGUGGAGGCCGAGGACAACGUGGUAGACACUAUUCUGGUCGUGGAUCUCCUGAAAUCUACCCACAGUCUCAACCUAAUUAUCCUCAACAAUCUUACACUCCAAAUCAACAACCAUAUAUUCCGAAGUCCGGCAUACAAUGUCAGAUAUGUGGAAAGUUCAAUCAUUCUGCUCUUCAGUGCAGACAACGCUUCAAUCAUUCUUUCGCUGCUGAUGAAGUUCCUCAGACCUUUGCUGCUAUGAACCUUCACGAACCCGGUGAGGAAGUCUGGUAUCCGGAUACCGGAGCAUCAAAUCAUAUAACCGCAAACUCUGGUAUUCUCUCAUCUUCUAAACCUUAUAGUGGGCAUGAAAAAAUUCUUGUUGGUAAUGGAAAUUUACUUGAUAUUACUCAGACAGGUGAAACUCAAUUGAAUACAUCUUCUAACUCUUUUGCUCUAAAAAAUGUUCUUGUUGUUCCUACUAUUAAGAGAAAUUUACUUUCAGUGCGUAAAUUCUGUCAAGAUAAUAAUUCUCUUUUUGAAUUUGACUCUACUGGUUUCUCUGUGAAGGACAAGGAAACAGGGAAGGAGCUUCUUCGAUGUCCUAGCUCGGGAACAUCACUUUAUCCAAUUUCUUCUAGACUUGCAAGUGUAGGGAAUAAGCAACAACUAGCUCUUAUUGCAUCUAGAUUUAGUGGAGAUGUCUGGCAUAGACGGUUAGGUCAUCCUAGUCUUCCUGUUCUUUCUACAUUUAUUAAAAAUAAUAAAAUUGUUUCUGAUUCUGCACUGAAAUUAUCUGUCUGCAAUGCUUGUAAUAUGGGAAAACAUGUUAAACUCUCAUUUCAUGAUUCAGAAUCUCAAUCUGCUUUUCCUUUUCAUAUUGUUCAUUCUGAUGUUUGGCAAUCACCUGUGCCCUCGGUUUCUGGAUACAAAUAUUAUGUUAUUUUUAUCGACGAUUAUUCUAGAUUUUCCUGGCUUUAUCUUUUAAAAUUUAAACAUGAAGUUUUUGACAAAUUUUUCGAGUUCAAGAAGAUGGUUGAAAAUAUAUUUCAUAGCUCAAUAAAAAUUUUUCAAUCUGACAAUGGUACGGAAUUUGUAAAUGACAAGUUUUCUAGUUUUUGCUCACAAAAUGGAAUUAUUCACCGAUUUUCUUGUCCUUACACUCCUCAACAAAAUGGCCUUGCUGAGAGAAAACAUAGGCAUUUAUCUAACAUUGUUAGAAGUCUACUAUUCCAAGCUGGCUUGCCUCCUCGUUUUUGGGCUGAGGCCAUUCAAACUGCUGUUUUUCUUGUAAAUCGACUUCCGUCUCUUACUGUUUUAAAUGGGCGGUCACCAUAUGACAUUCUCCAUGGUUGUGCUUCUCCUGACUUGCAACUUAUCAGAGUCUUUGGAUGUUUGUGUUAUCCCGAUGUUCAGGACAUUGCAGAUCACAAGCUCUCUCCCCGAUCACUUCCUUGUAUUUUCUUGGGUCUUUCUGACAAACAUAAGGGCUUUCGCUGCCUCUAUCCGAGCACUGGUAAAGUUUUUAUUUCUCGCCAUGUUACUUUUGUUGAAACUGUUUUUCCUUACUCUUGUCUGUCCAAAUUUUCUUCCUCAUCUUCCCCCACUACCUCAAAUUUUCAAAUGUUUCAACAUUUUCUUUCUAAUCCUCCCUUAUUGGGCGAAAGUCCUUCCUCUCUUGAUGCCAUCUCUGGUUUUUCCUUCACACGCCUUUCUCCGGAUGUUAGUUCAAAUGCAUCUGUUUCACCAUCUGAGACUGUAUCGACUUUUCCUUCCACCUUGAAUCAUGAUGCCACACAGGUUAGUGAUGAACAUGCUGCCACUGUUGCUGGUCCACCUGAACUCCGAGUCUAUACCAGACGACACACCCUCCGACCUUCUGCUGCUACAGCUUUACCUUCUCCUGUUGAGUUGACGCCUUCCACAUCGGACAGGCCACCUUCACCUCAGCCUGCAGAGCCUUCCUUACCAAUCCGGACACACUCUAUGCUUACUCGAUCUAUGGCUAAGAAUUUUGCUGGGUCUACCUCCUUCCUAGCUUCUACACAUACUACUCUUCCUACUGAGCCUAUCACUUUUCAUGAAGCUUUUCAGGAUGCAGAUUGGCGUGCUGCCAUGGCUGAAGAAUUUGAUGCAUUACUCACCAAUGAUACUUGGGAGCUUGUUCCUGCUCCUCCUUCUGUCAAUCUUAUUGGCUGUAAAUGGGUCUACAAAGUCAAACAGAAGGCGGAUGGCUCUCUUGAGCGUCUCAAAGCUCGACUAGUGGCUCAGGGUUACAAACAACAACAAGGCAUUGAUUUUGAUGAGACUUUUUCUCCGGUUGUCAAGUCGACCACUAUUCGUACUGUUCUUUCAGUCGCUCUCUCCUCUGGAUGGUCUCUCCGACAACUUGAUGUGAAGAAUGCCUUUCUUCAUGGCACUCUCUCUGAGGAGGUUUAUAUGAAACAACCACCUGGCUUUGUGCAUCCUUCGCUUCCUAGUCACGUUUGCCGCCUACGUAAAGCGAUAUAUGGUCUCAAACAAGCUCCUCGGGCUUGGUUUCAGCGUUUCACUUCUUUUCUUUCUGAGAUUGGUUUUGUUGGCAGCACUGCUGAUCCCUCAAUGUUUGUUUGUCAUUCUUCCUCUGGCACUCUUGUUCUCCUCUUGUAUGUUGAUGAUAUUAUUGUCACCGGCAGUUCCUCAUCUCUUCUCGAUGCUCUUAUCGUUACUUUACAACGCGAAUUUGCCAUGAAGGAUCUCGGACCGCUGCAUUAUUUUUUGGGUAUUGAGGUUCAUCGCUCUCCAUCUGGUCUUCAUCUAUCUCAACAAAAAUAUGCGCAUCAAUUGCUUCAGCGACAUGGUUUUCUUGACAGUAAGCCCGUUUCUACUCCUCUUUCGCCAACAUCUCGUCUCUCUUCCCAUGAAGGGCAUCUUCUUGAGGAUCCAUACACUUAUCGUCAGAUCGUUGGUGCUCUCCAGUAUCUCACUUUCACCAGACCGGACAUUUCAUAUGCCGUCAACUCUGUUGCCCAGUAUCUUCAUGCACCUCGUGAACCACACAUGCAAGCGGUCAAACGUAUUCUGCGUUAUAUUCGGGGGACGCUGACUUAUGGCCUUCCUAUCUCUCGCUGUGACAAUCCUUCUCUUGUGGCCUUCGCUGAUGCUGAUUGGGCUGGUUGCCCCGAUACACGUCGCUCUACUUCUGGAUAUUGCAUUUUUCUUGGGCCAAAUCUUAUCUCCUGGUCCGCUAAGAAACAACCCACCAUUUCUCGUUCUAGUUCUGAAGCAGAGUAUCGUGCUGUAGCCUACACACUUGCUGAGACAGUCUGGAUUCGUCGUCUCCUUCGUGACCUUCGUGUUUUCUUAUGGCGCUCUAUCAGUAUUUAUUGCGAUAAUCUCAGCACCACCUACCUUGCGGCCAAUCCUGUUCUCCAUGCUCGCACGAAGCACAUUGAACUUGAUCAUCAAUUUUUGCGGGAAAAAGUUCAGUCUGGUGAUUUGGCCUUAAUUCAUAUCCCUUCUGACAAGCAACUUGCCGACAUUUUCACCAAGCCCCUGUCAUCCUCUCGGUUUUCGAUAUUGCGGCUCAAUCUUCGCAUCCGACCACCGGAUGCUUAGCUUGCGGGGGGAUGUUACGAUAUAUUUUAUCUAUAUUAGGAUGUUACGAUAUAUUAGGAUAUUGUGUUUUAUUGCCUUAUAUAGAGUAGUAUCAUUGCCUUCUAUAGAGUAGGAUUAUAUAGUAUGUAAUCCUAGUUAUACUCUUACUAUAGUAGUCAUUGUUACUAUAGUAAGACAAUCUCUUGUACUAUAUAUAUUCAUUAAUAUAACUCAAGAGGGUAUGCACUUUAGCCCUUCUUUCACAUAAUUAAUCUUACUUUUUUUUUUGGUGAAUAAAACAAGAGUUGUAAUCUCGCAAUCUCGCUAAGAACCAUUAGCUUAUUGAGCAAUGCUACCUGUAUAUCCAAUGUACAUGUGUAAUUUUUUCAUCCUAGUCGUUCUCUCACAAAUUUAAAUUUACUUAUUUAUCUUAUCAACCUUUUUUAAUACUGAUCGAAAAUAUAAAAAAAAAAGUUUUAAAAUUUUUGAACAAUUUUCCAACUUAAUUUUUUUAUAGUACUCCUACUAAUUAAAGAACCAUAAUUAUUAAUUAGUGUACUAGUUGUUUACAUGAUAUUAUUUGGUAGGAUAAUUGAGUAAUUAAAACAAGUUUAAUUAUAUCGUUCUUCGGCAUGAUAUUUCGUAGCAUUAAGAUUGAAUAAAACUUCCAUUAGAUUGCAAACCUAUCUCUAGUUGUAUUCAUAUUAAGCAAAAUUAUUCUUUUAUUUCGUUCGUUGGGAAAUAAUUGAGAAAGGUCCCCUUUGUGGAAUUUUUUAUUUUUUGACUCGUUCAAAAGAAAAAAAAAAAAAAAAAAAAAAAAAAAAAACUAACAAUGGCUUCGUAACUUAUUAUACAAUUGCCGUACAUUAUUAGGUUUCCCGUACAAUGAAAGGCCAUUUUGAUGAAAUUGAAGGGGCAAUAUAAAUGUGGAUCAAAGGGUCUCCAAGUUCUUUGAGUUUGACCUCCUAAAUUGGUGAAAAGUCAACUGUCUUAAAAGGUUCUCUGAGUUUUACAAUAAAUUUUAGAUUUUUUGUUCCAAAAUAAAUAAUUAUCCUGCUGUGAUCUAAUUUUAUUUUACUACUAUGUUACUAUUACUGGUGUACUAUUUUGAUUUUCGAAAAGAAUUAUGCUAUUCAAACGUUGCUAGCAUAAGAAUGAAUAAUCUCCUAAGUAAAAGAAAAAAAAAGUUGAAAAAUUUUUAUUGCAAUCAAUCUCGCUUGCUAUUAUCUUGGUAAAAUUGUAACACUUCACCAACCUGUUAAUUUAAUUAUUUUUUUAAGAAUAAGAUAAAGCAAUAGUCACAAGAGAGCAAAACGAUUCGAAACUUUUUGUUCAAUUUUUCUAAAACCGUAUAAACAAAAGUUUUAAAUCACUGGGUGAUUUUAAUAAAAAAUAAGCUAAAUCACAUGGUUUAAUUAGACCCACCAAAAAAAGGGCAUAAAUGUAACUUGCGCUCACUAGUUGCUACUGGGGCCAAAGAAAUGAAAUGGUCGCAGCAUAUACCAACAAAUAGACUCGGCACGCGGCACCACCGCAAAAACACAAACACACACAGACACACCCCUGACAAGUCCAUUUUGGGACCACCGUGGGAGUGUUCUUCAUGCUCGCAAGUAAAAUUGUCCAAAAUAUCUGAUAUUUUAUAUCGGAUUUAGAUCCUAUCUGAACCCUAUCCGGAUUUGAAUCGGACUCGAUAAGAAAAUGAAUAGUACAUGUGUAAAAAAAAAUUAUUCAUUGAAGUUUCGAGUAUGGAUCCGAAUACUUUAUAUCUAUAAACCGACUUGGAUCCGAUCCGAAUCCGAUAUUUUAAUGGGUAGGGUCCGAAAGAGUGUACAAAUUCGAACCUGAAUCCGGACCCGGACUUGGACACAAACACGGUGAAAUAUCCGAUAGUAAAUAAAAAAGAUUUGGAAUUGAGGAAUCAAUUUCAAUAGAACUUAUAGAUAAAAUGUCUAUGUAUAUUUGUAUCUUAGUGAAAUCCAAGUCGCUCUGUUUACUCUUUUUUUAACCAUAGCCGCUCUAUGUAUUCCUUGAAUCUUUCUUUUGAACAAAUUUUAUCGAACCGGGUGCAACUAAUUAAAAUGCGAAUUUUUUUUAUAGUGAGAAGUUUAUAAUUUAUCCAUAAAUUAUUUAAUAAAAUUUAUAAAAAAAAUAUAUACAUACGGGUACCAUACCCGAUCUAAAUCCGAUCCGUAUCUAAUCUUAAGUGGAUAGUAUACGAGUAGUUACUAUCCAUACCCCCUCAAAUAGAUCCGAUGGGUUUAUUAUUAACUUAAUUGCCUAAAAUCUGGACCCGAUCCGAAGUUAAAUGGGUAGGGUAUAAGUAUUUUUUUCUAUUCAUUUUUUUUUAGGGUUUGGAUACGAUAUAUCAACUCCUCAGAUCUGAUCCGGUCCACGGACAUCUUUGCUCGCCAUAUAUUAUAAAGUUGUGACUCAUAAAUUUGAUAGAUAUGAUCUAUAUUAUUUUAAAAAAAAAUGUUAAUAAAUAACACUAAAAAAUUAUGGGUGGACAAAAAAUAAUUAUGAAAUUAACCCACUAAAAGAUUAAAUAAAUGUUUGAAAACUUGGAAGGUUACUUAAAAAAAAAAGAGAGAAGACUUUUUAUAUGGUUUGAGGGGGAACCUUAGGCAAAAUUAACCCUUUAUUAUAACAGAAAUAAUAAUUAGAAGAUUUAGAAAGCUUUAGAUUUGGCCAUGUACGAGCUGAGUCCUCGCACACCUAACCUAAACUUGAAUGUGGCGACUAUAUCGACCCAGAAGUGCUCAGUUUUCGCCGAGGAGCCAUGUUAUGUUUACUGGUUGGUUUGCUCGGUGGGCCUCCUCAUUCAACGGUCAGCGUCGAUUCAGCGAGCCUAUGUAGCACGCGGAAUGAACAUUUUUUUCUUCUUUUUUUUUUUUCUUUCGCGGAGCUACCGAGUCUUUGGAUUUUGAGACCCGGUCCACAAACACUGAAACAGUUGUAUGAAAUGGGGCUCAUAAGAAUCUCAAAAAGAAGUGGCCUAGGGUUGUUCUUCUUUACACCCCAUUUACACUCCCAAUCAUCUGAUACCUCGCAAACUCUCGCGAUUUUACACACAAAAAAAAAAAAAAAAAAAAACCCAGCCAAAACGUAAAAUUUUUUUGAUAAACUUCUAUUUCCCUCUGUAUGAGUUAAAAUUUGUAUAGUGAUGUGACAUUUUAACAUUUUCACAUCAAAUUAGAAUAGAAUUAUUAUUGGUAUAUGAAAGGACUCAAUAUUAAUAAUAAUAUUAAUAACUGGUCUUAAACAUUUUGAACCGAUGAUUUAGGCCUAAUAAUAAUAAUAAUAAUAACUGGUAUUAAGUAUUUAAUAUUGCACUUACCUCUUUUUUACACUGAGUUUUAUAUUUUUUUUGUAUUUUUUGCUAAUUUUUCAGACCUACUUUGGUUAGUGUUGCCCCACCCUUAAGACGUGCCGACGGGGUGGAAGGUAUUUGUUGUAUCGGUAGGAGUGAUUGCUGAAGCCUCGUAUGUGGAGGGACAAUCUCGCCUCGCCUUUAGAACAUUGCUUUCGCACGUCUCCACUCACAAGUCUCACCUAAAUUAUUUUUCUCUAUAAUAUUUUUCACGUAAUCCAAUUUUAUAAUUUUUCAAAAACAAAAUUAAAAUUAUUUUCUUUUAAAAUUAUUUAAAAAAUAAAUUAUUCAAGCUAAAUAUAUAUUUAGAUAUUAUAUAAUUAUAUAUUUGUUGUUAUUUCAUCUUAUUUUUUUUAUAAUAAAUUAUUUUUUACUACUAUUUUUUUAACUCCUCUUACAUACAUAUAGAUUGACAUUUUAAUUUAUUUAUUUUUAUUUUUUAUAAUUAUUAUAUAUUAAAAUUUAUAUUAAAGUAUUGGUAUUAAAAUUGUCUGGGAUGAAACGCGGGUUCAACGCUAUUUAGAUAUAAAAUCCCGCUUAUAUAGCUAACGCCCGCACAUCACGUACACGAAAUAUCUCCCUUUUUUAAAUCCUAUAAAAACAAAAUAAAAAUAAAAAUAAAAAUAAUAAUAAUAAUAAUAAUAAUAAUAAUAAUAAGAUAACUCCUUCCUCUCUCUUUUACCAGGAUAGAAAAAGCCACUCCUCCGAUCGACCCUACUUUACCCGUGUUGAAGAACAAAGACGCGCAACUCCCCCUUUCUCUUUUAAUUUUUUGCUUAAAAUAGGCUUAAUAUCGGUAUGGCUUAAAAAUGGCUUAGGCUUAAUUGAUUGAUACUCGGGUUUACUAGAAUGUUCAUCGACUUACUCAAGGAUCCAGAUCGAUUCGUAGUGAGGUGUUCUUUUUCCGAUUUUGGUCUAAUUCUUCUGUCUCUCAUCUAAUGUCUCAAGUACGAUAGUUAAGUACUUUUGUUUAACAGUUUUUGACCUAGCGUACCAAGGUCAGGUUUUCUAACUUUUCUUAAGUCUUGGGAUAGUAAAAAUGACAACUUCAUCGGUACACUUUGAUCUGUUGAUCUAAACGAAUUUUAUUGUUGGUUUCAUUAAACUUAGUAGAGAAUCAGGUGGUGUUUAUCGGGUGGAUGAGUACAUAGGUCAUAGUUGGUCAUUGGAGUGUAAAGGUCGGUAAGUUCGGUAGAAGAUCAACUUCAUACGCCAUUCGCGUACAACCUACUUCAAUUACCUUCUGAAGUUUGUUGUGUACCAGUGGAGUAUAUUGUAAACGAUAUAGAUAUACGACUUUGGUCAUAAAUUGAACUUGAAACAGCGAUGGGGGGUGGGUUUUUUUUUUGGAAUUUUGAAUUAACUAUAACGUGUGACCAAUUCUUACCCCCCGUUUUUCUAAUUUGUCCCAUACUUAAUUCGUUUCACUCCUUAGGUAUUAAGUACAACAUGACUGAACAUGUUAGUUCUGUCUUUAAAUAAAGACUUGGUCUGGCAAUAUAGGUACGAGGAUUUUGAUUCUUCUUUAACUAAUAUCUUGUUAUAGUAUACGUCUUUCCAAUUCACCACCUUGGACUUCCUGUUUCUCCGGUCACACCUUCUACGUCCCCAACUACUUUUGUCGUGUCUUAACUGGUGUGACCUUCUCGAGUAGUCAAAAAACCUACUUUUCCAAUAGUCUCAGCUCGUAUUGUUGAGCUAGUAUAAGCUGGUUCGAGGUUCGUAUGUCGAACAAGUCACAGUCGAACUUGGCGCUCAACUUUAACGGGACAAAGAGCAUACCUAAGAAGUUCAAGAGGUGUCUUUGUUGGAAGUGAGGUAGGAGGAGAAAGGACAACCAGUUAGUUUUGUAAUGUUUUACUCUUAAACUUUAUAUCACGAUGAAUCCGUUUCGAUCUCGUUAGUAUCAGUUACACUUUAAGUCAGAUUUUAUCCGUAAGUCCCUUAGUAGUACCGAAUGUUUCUACUUCUGUUAAGUAUUAUGUAUCUCUUGUGUAAGAAUCGUUUAUUAUCUAUUACCCUAGUGUAUAACUACCUCAAGACCAAGUAUUCUUUGAAGUGACCGGUUGUCAAAGAUUCAUACUUUGGUCUAUGACCUCUUGUACUCUUGGUUUUUUACUGCUAUAUGAAUUCAGAGAUUUAAAGAGUCAUAUGUCGUUUGUAACGUUAUAUUAAGAAACGUUGACAUGUUUUGCUUUCAAGAAUAGUCGUAUGAACGCAAUCUCAAUACGUCAGUAGGAUAUCAAAUCCGUUAGUUACUUUUCAUUGUAAUCUAUAACACUUUAGUUGAUCAUAAGAUAUAUUGGCCUAAACUUCUUUGGAUUAAAUUAAGGUAAUACUUUAAGUAGUAGAGAAGAGCGUCCCUUUCUUUUUUUUUCUUUGAGUCUAUGUCGUCGUUCAUAUGGAUGGUAACUUCUUGGAUUGUUUCAGGGGUAACUAUUUAUCAGUUUGGGGCAUGUGGUUUUAUACCCCGUCCCUUUAGGCGGAUUCCUCCCUAUUUUUCUAGAUUCUCGGUUCCCUUUUGAGAGAAUUCUUGCGAUUCCAUAGAGGUGUAAAGAAGAGAAUUGUCGAGUUGGUGAGCAUGACUAAAGGUUUUCUACAACUUUUUCAGUUUCAAAAAAACUGAGCCUUCACCUGUUGGUAGUAGCACUGGUAGACAAAGCCGAGAGUUCAUUAGAGUGCUGGGUUUUAAUCUUUUAAUGUUUGAACUUUCUGAGCUUAUGGGGCCUUUAGGGUCGCCUAAGCUUCGUUCCUGCUAGCUUUUGCUCCCAUAAAAGCCUUUUGCUACUUCUUUUGUAGGUACCGCCAUAGAGGACCAAAAAGGAAGAAGAAGAAGUAGAAGGAGUUUAAGUUCGCAAAGUUUUUUUAUUCCUAUUUUUAUCGCUUUUAUAUCUUCUUUGCUUGUUUAAUUGUGCCUUUAUCUUGCCUUUGCAGUCUAACAUUCUAGACAUAGUAGCCACCCACUCUUUUCUAACUCUGUACUUGUUCCCGCUCCUACUCCCCGCUUUCUCUCUCCUCUUCCUCUCCCCCGCAUGUUCCAAACCUGGGUAGCCUAGCCCUGCAGCUCCCUCCGCUACUGCUGCUCCAGCCGCAGCUGCGGCUCGAAACGCUCCCUAGAGUAGUAGUGGGCGCAGCGGUGCAUCUUGAGCAUCAGGGAGCCGCAGGGGUACAUGUAGUAGCGGCGCAUGCGCACGAAGGAGACGGGGAGGAGGCGGCGGCGGAGGCGGCCUUUGUGGUGGUAGUGGUGGCGGCGGCGGUAGUUGUGGUGGCUAGAGGUGCUUUCGGGAUUUUGGGACCGGGAGCGUGGGCUGAGGUAGAAGGUGCUUAGGCCCUGGCUAGUUUUCUUAUGUCUUCCCCGGUUUGCUCUCGCUACGACACCAGCUUUGGGAUCGCCACCACGAUUGUCUCAUGCCUAGAGGAAGAGGAGGCGGCUAGGGGGAGAGGGUAAGAGGUCUAGAGCAGAUGCCGAGUUUCUCGCUCGAUGAGGCCGGCUGGGGAGGGCGGAGGCGGAGAACGGUAACGGCCUCUAGACUUCUUCUAGUGGCCUCUCUCUCUCCUCUCUCUUAUUAUACUUUAUAUCUCUCUCUUUUGCUCGCUUUUUUUUUUUUUUUUUUUCAUCUNAAAGGUUCUUCUGUCUUUGGGCACUACUUUAGUCCGACAGGCUGGACAGAUGAAGGGUUUUGCUUAGUUUUGGUCUGUCAUACGUUUUCCAUUUAAAUAUACAUACAUAUUAAUUAAUCAGAUCCUUGGCCCCAGCCAUGUUCUUACUGUCAGGACAGUUAGGAUUAAGCUCAUGCUAUUCAAAAUGGUGACAAGGGAACUAGUAUUUCGAUUGCUAUACUUGAAUAUAUAUAUUUGUCUAUGCAUGCAUUUGUGUCUACAGUACCAUAGUGCCAACAAAUGUAGUGCUACUGUCACUAUUGUAAUGAUUAAGAAUAAGCAAAGGACCGGGUCACAUUUGACAUAGUUCAGUAAUGGGUUUUCUGCGUACAUACCCUUGCAAAAUAUUCAAGUAGUGCCCUAUCAAGUUAUAAGCCUGUGAAAACCCCAUUCAUUGUAUUCAUGUCUCUGCCGGGGGUAUGUAUGCAAAAAGUUGUUUUCACAUGGGUGCCCCCUUGUGAGGUCACACAUGUAUACGAGCAAAGCUUGCAUUAUUUCGUAUGGUUUGUAUACAAGAUAAAGGCAAUAUAGUUAAUUUAUUACAAUCUUACCCCUCUUGGUUUCUUAUUUUUGCCGUUGAAAUACUUCAAACAGGUAUGGAUCAGAGCUACCGGUAAUCCUAAUCCAGGCUGUUCUAUACAUUGGGGUCAUGGCCGUCACCCGUCUAGCCCGCCCCAGCCUGUCGAAGCUAUGCUACAACCGCCGCCCUGAGAAGACCACUGCUUUCCUCCUCACCAUCCUCAAGCUGGCCGCUAUGUGGUCCAUGCUAGCCGCCUACACCGUCCCCUUCUUCCUCAUCCCCUGCACCGUCCACCCGCUCUUCGGCUGGUCCCUUUAUUUACUCGGCUCGUUUGCCCUCUCUUCCAUAGUGAUCAACGUUUUCCUCCUCCCGCCUUUCGCAGUCCUGACUACUUGGCUCGGACUUUUGGGGGCGCUCUUGGUGAUGGCUUUUCCUUGGUAUUCAGAUGGUGUCAUGCGGGCAUUGACAUUGUUUGCGUAUGCGUUUUGCUGCGCGCCGGUUGCUUGGGCUUCAUUGGUGAAGGUGAUGGGCUCGUUGCAAAUAUUGAUCGAAAGAGAGGUGUUCUUUCCGAGACUGGGAGAGCCCGCUCAGACAGCUGAGUUCAGCAAGCUGUAUUAAGUCGUGAAUCAGAUGACGGUCAUGGAAAAACACUGAUUGGACUGGCUAAUCUCAUUCAUUCUGACAAUUUUGGCUGUUCGGUUCGAUCCGCCUGGUUUGGUAUGUACGUACUAUUACGAGUUAUACUUUGUGUUCUGGCGCCGUAUACAAAGAGGCGAACUGAAUGGCAAAUAUUCAUGAUAGGUGAUAUUUCUGGGGAGCAAGAGUGGAGGAUUCCAGUGAGGGUGGGGAUUAAAUUAUGGAUUUGUUCUGUUGGGGGGAAGUUAGAUGUUUGUUAUAAAUUCAUUUUAAUUUUAAUGCCUCUUCCCUUUAAUGUGAAGUUUCUGAUCAAGUAGUGUUGCUCAAUUCAAUUGCUUGACCUAUUUUGUUUCUCACGUCUCAAUUGAGAAUGCUUUACAUUAUUCACGUGGUGCAUACAAAAUUAAACAGCAAAGCGGGGAGAGUGCGUUGUGUAUUUCAAGUCUGUUCUUGUUUAAAUUCCGUGAUGCCAGAAAACUCCUAACCCGUGGAUAAUAAUCCCUGCGCAGACGCAGGCCCAAUAAUUAUAAUAAUAAUAAUAAUAAUGAAAAAGAAAAGUUAAAGACCGAAACCCGGAGAACUCGGGCCGGGUUAUUUAUGCAUUACUUUGGACCGAGCCCAUUUGACACAGCUUUUAGCUUCUUCGACCUCUGCUGUUACUAGAGUAGUAUGGCACAAGCCGUUGGGGCACGAUCACCAUGGAAGCCGCUUCCCUCCUCCUCCUCCGCCCCUUCGUCACCACCUCGUCCUCCGCCUCUUCUUCCCUUUCUCUCUCCCGCCUCCUCCCUUUAAACCCUAACUUCUCCCUUCUCCGCCGCCGCCGCAGCAGCAGCAGCAGCAGAUGGAGAACCCCCUUCCCUCCCUCUCCCAAUCUCCCCCUUCGAAACCCUAAUCGCCUCCGCGUGCUCCGCCUCUCCCUCUCGGAAUCCUCCACCAACAACUCGCCCACCGCGGCCGAUCCCCCCGAAGCGCCCGCGCCGGAGCCGGAGCCCCUCUUCUCGCGGUGGUCGCCGCCGCGGCCGCUGUGGCGCGGCCUCUCGGCGCUGGUGCUCGCGGGGCAGGUGGCGCACCGCGUGCUCACGGGGCGCGUCCACCGCCGCAACACGCUGCAGCAGCUGGAGCGCGUGGGCCCGGGCUCCACGGGCGUGGCGCUCCUCACGGCGGCGUUCGUGGGCAUGGCCUUCACCAUCCAGUUCGUGCGCGAGUUCACCCGCCUCGGCCUCCACCGCUCCGUGGGCGGCGUCCUGGCCCUGGCCCUCUCCCGCGAGCUCAGCCCCGUCGUCACCGCCGUCGUGGCCGCGGGCCGCGUGGGCUCCGCCUUCGCCGCCGAGCUCGGCACCAUGCAGGUCUCCGAGCAAACCGACACCCUCCGCGUCCUCGGCGCCCACCCCGUCGACUACCUCGUCACCCCGCGCGUCCUGGCCUGCUCCCUCGCCCUCCCCGUCCUCACCCUCCUCUGCUUCGCCGUCGGCCUCGCCUCCAGCGCCUUCCUCGCCGACGCCGUCUUCGGCGUCAGCAUCAACAUCAUCCUCGACUCCGCCCGCCGCGCCCUCCGCCCCUGGGACGUCCUCAGCGCCAUGAUCAAGUCCCACGUCUUCGGCGGCAUCAUCGCCGUCGUCAGCUGCGCCUGGGGUGUCACCACGCUCGGCGGCGCCAAAGGGGUCGGCGAGUCCACCACCUCCGCCGUCGUCAUCUCCCUCGUCAGCAUCUUCAUCGCCGACUUCGUCCUCUCCUACCUCUUCUUCCACGGCGCCGCCGGAGACUCCCUCAAGUACGCCAUGGGCUAGGCUAUGCUCUACUGCAAAGGGACCGAUCGACUUCCUGGUACGCAUGUGUGUUAAAAAAAAAAAGAAAAGAAGAAGACUCAUUCCUCCCUAUCUGCUGUUUCUUUUCGUAUGCUGAGCUGAGCUGAGCUGAGCUGAGCUGUGGUAGUAAAGCUGAUGAAAUUGGGCGGCAUUGGCUUGUCUGAUCCAAUUCUACUCCAAUAAUUAAUGAUGAUCUGUUUCUGUGAUGAAAACCCUUAUAAAUGCUUUCAUGCUUGUGCUAGUCUAAUGUGGUAAUGCUCGUUUGUAGACAUAGCAAAAUAUGAGGCAUUCAUUACUUGUAAACGAUUUUCCGAGAAGAUCAGGAUCUACUACUUUUCUUUUUGGACACGGGGAAAAUAAUGCAUAAUUGUAUUGUAUACUCUCCGAAAAUGCUAUUUCACUGUACCAUUGUCCGAAAUUCUUAUCGAACAUUUGUGCGUUUCUUAAGCAACAUCUCUUCGCUUCAUUUAGGAGAGAAUUUCGUGUUUGACGUAUCCUUGCAGGAAAUUGGUAAUGCUUCUUCAAUUCUAGAAACUCUGGCAGAACUCUAAAAUUUACUCCUAGGCUGAUAGGUAGUACUAUUUAUCGGCAAGUUUGAUUAAACGCUGCCGUCGCUAUUCCAGUGCUAGAAUUGUUGCUACAUGCUUUACAUGUGAUAUUUGAUCCCUGAUAACAUUUCGUAAAUCGAGGAACACAAGGGGAAGGAAAUUUAUUGCGUUGUUCGUCUUGUGACCGCUUCUGUAAUGAUAGGUAGGUAGGUGAUCGGCAACUUCUGCAUUCGGUGCGAUGAUAUGUCCUAAUCGGAAGCUGCAUCAGUUUUCAGCAGGAAUUGCAAUUUGAUUGAGCCUAACUUGCCUUUUGGCUUCUUUCUUUUUUUCUUUUUUUGUUGUUAGUCGUGGACCACAGUACAGGUACGUGGUUUAAUUUUCAUUUUGUAAAAUUUUGGAUUUCGCAUUUGCAUGAUAGAGUAAUGAAUCUCUACUCUCCGUUCCAUUGAGUCGUGGUUGUGCUUACAAGAGGCUGAGCACUUAGAAUUGCGGUUUGCUACCAAUUUCUUUCCCAAAAGUAUAGAUGUGGGAUCGAACAGUUAACACGCCGAGCUAAGACCCUGUUGGACAACUCAGGCAAGUUAGCCAAUAUCUUCUAAACCGUCACUCGUCAGCGAUGUUAAUACAAAAUUUUUUUAUUAAAAGAAGGUUGUCAAAUAUACUCGGGCUUAGGCUUGCGUAAAGCGCAGAGGUUUGCGAGAGUCUUACGCAAGCAAUCGAAGUGCAGAUCUCUUCCAUGUUUAUGCUCUGAGGUAGUCUUCUGUGUAUAGGNGGUAUUAUAGCUUCCAUCUCUAUCUUGUCCUGAAAGUUUGGUUGCUGAUGGUGUUGCUUAUGGUACUUGUUACCAACAUUAUAAUGCUGGUUGUUGUGACUUUUUUUUUUUUUUUUUUCACUCCCAAUAUACACCGCUCUACUAAUGUGUUGUUUCAUUUUUAUUUUUUAAUGAUUGUGUGUGUUUCAUACUAUUUUAGACGUAUCUUUAACAAGUUUUCACAUGUGGUGAGAUGAGAUGAUUAUUGUUAUUAAUUUCUUAGAAACGAAGGACAAACUAUUUCGUAUUUCCACCCACUCUGUAUUUAUGUCCAACUGGUUGUUGCCGAAAAAAUGACUCGUCUCUAACAAACAAAUCCAUCAUGAGUUCCACCUGACGCACAAGCUCUUUCAAGCGCGUCUAAGCCACCCUUCAUUUAUCACUCUCUACCAUUUGGUUUUUGCUUCAACUGAAAUUAUGAUUAGCCUAACUUUUGAUCAUUUAACUGAAUUGAUGGCUCAUUAUUUGUUUCUUUUCGGCGUGGUUUGUGCUUCGUUUUUCUUUGUUUACCUUUGCUUCUAAUAAAAGAGCUUAUGAUCCCCUCUUUGUGAGGAUACAGUGUGAUACUAACUCUUUACUUUCCUAGCUAGUCAAAGAAAUCUUUCUCUGCCCAAAUCCACUGAAAAACCUCAAAGCUAAUGGUGGUUAUAGCGCAUCGUAAGAGUCACACCAGAUGACAGGGAUCAAGAAAAUAAGAUUAAUGAAAGAGAGAGAUAGAGAGAUGAUGACCCCUAACAAUACUAGAAUUAAUAGGGGACCGGUUAGGUCAAGAUCCUUGUGCCUAAACCUGUACGAAUUGCCAAAAAGUUUUAUGUCCCUCAUAGUGUUUAAAACAAACAAACAAACAAACAAACAAAAAAAAGAAAGACCAAUAGAAGCUCUCUUUUUUUUUGUAGCACUUGAAUGGUUAAAACUCCCAACUUUUUUUAUUUAUUUAUUAUGUUUUAUUUACUGUAUACUUUGUUAGGUUGGUGCCCACAUUAAUUCCGCUCGAGAUGGAUAGGGGAGAAAACAUGGUCGGCAUGCAUGCACCAAUUUUGUUAUCAUCAUGCAUUCAUGUGCACCUCCAUGCUUUGCCUUUAAACAUGGCAUGCAUGUGCUCGGGCCAUGGAAUUAUGGUGCAUGUCUAUGGCGUGUACCGAAGUACUUCUCUUCUUUGAGUUUGACACUGAGAGCGAAAAAAAAAAAAAAAAGGUUUAGCCUAUUAAGUUAAUUAACCUCGAUUAGAGGAUGGUUUUGGCCUUCUCAGAGUUCUUUUGCGGGCGACGGAGUUUUCAUUGCAGUGCUAUUUAAGUAGAGUAAUUCGAUAAAGCAAACAAUGAGCAACUAUUUCGUAUAAAUCUAUUCGACGGUGUUAGAGCUGUGAGUUUUGAAUUGGAGCAUGUGCUAGCUUUUGAGGCAUCAGAAGUUAUUUUAAACCCAUCAAAUAUUCUCAAAGUUUUAGUUCAUGAACUAUUCUAUAGUACACGUGCCUUCAACGUGCUCAAGACACAAUAAUUGGUCACAUACAAUAAUUUCCUAGCCUUUGGCAUAAUAUAUGUAUAUAUUACCACCGUGAAUCAUAAUUACUAAUUUGAGGCCAUUUACAAGGAGACAAGCCAAGAAUCAGCUUGAUUAAUCCAAAAACUUUAGACAUUAAUAUUCCUCUAUAAUAAUUUCAUUAUAUUAUUCUGCAUUGGACUAAAGCAUCGUCGUAGUGUUUUCGAGCUACAGGACAGGUACUAAAUUCAACUUGUUAGGAUAAGAAGUACUACAAUAAUGCUGCAGCUUCUGGGCUAAAGCUAAUCAGUAAUACAAAUCAUGUUGUAUAUAACUAAUGCAAAAGGCCAUAACAGAAGCAGAAGAUUCCAAAAUGCAACUGGACAAAGCAUCUAAUUCUCAUCUUCAGUUGCAACUUUCAAAGUACUAAUUUUCCUCUUCCUUAUAAGUGGAUAGGGCUUUUCAAAUGGAGAACAAUGGUAGAAUAUCCCUGUAUUAUGCAAAUGUGGUUUUUUGGUCCAGAUCAUAAUUACUAAUAUGAUUACUACUGCUAUAAUCCAUCUAAUAAGAUCUGUAAUUUCCAUGGAAAUUAUUAAUGUUCAACACAUAUCACAGUUACUGAUCUGAUCUUGAAUUCAAAUUAAGAGUUGUGCUUUAAUUUAGCCCCAAGAAUGCGCACCUUUUCGAAUUCAAAAAAGCCAUGCAUGCAUGGUUCGAAGUGUCUUUUAGCUCAAUAUUGGUGUUUGUUACAAUUCACUUCUAACUGCAAUUAGAAUUUAUUAUAAUAAUGAAUCAAUAAACGCAUGUUUUGGGGAAAAUAAACAGAUAACUCUAUUAAUCGUAUCUAUAAAUAUUUACUAAUUAAGACAAUGAAAAUAGGGUGCACAAAAAGGUGUUAUAUUUAACUGUGUUAUAUUAUUGGUAAUUUCACAGCUAGUAGUAUCAUCACUCCAAAAAUUUUAUCCCUUAAAACCUAUCAUAUUAAUAUCUAUCAUAUUAAUAUCUUUUCCGUGCUUGCUCAAUUUUUUGUAGUCCAAAAGCAAACAAAUCGGUUUGGAACUUUCUCUUUCCACAUAUUAUUGUCAUCUGAGGAAUUAAUAAUAUUGUUCUUUGACUGCUCAAACUAAAAAAAAAAAAAAUUAUAUAUCUAUUCAAUUUAAACCAAUCAAACUAAUAUUUUUUAUUUAAUUUAAGUCCAAAUAUGAGACCAAGCGUGAAAUAUAAAAGAAUAACGUCAUGUACGUACUUAUGUGACUCGUUACACACCUUUUUAGAAUUUACUCUUUGCAUGAUAUUUUGUUCUUUUGCAUUUAACUACUAUUUUUUUUUUUGGCUCGAUAAUGGUAAAAAAAGAAGAAGAAGAAGAAGAAGAAAAUGAGAGCAUUUAUCAUUUACUCAUAACACUACAACACUAAAUUGUGGUCGCAUGAGAAAUAAAUGCGUGGAAACUUCAUCCUGUGCCACCAACAUAUAUUGUUUACGGAAAAUGCAACAGUUACUUUUUUUUCUUUUUUUUCUUUUUUUUUUUUUUGAGAGAGAGAGAUAGGUAGUGCGCUACCCGCUUCGUUUAUUUCAUUUAGAAAUAAACUUAGCUGAAAAUGUGAAUCAACUAGGAUUCGAAUUUGGGUUACGAGUACCAACCACCAAACCCUUUGCCCACUUGCUCUAGGGACGGUCAGUAUGCAACAGUUACUGUUGCUUGUAUGUAUCAAAAUAUGUAUCAAAAUAUUUAAGUGCUUUUGCUUCUGGGGUUAAAAUGUGAGAACAAAAAUAUUAAUUUCAUACUUUUAUUUCUGUUACUGACGCUCUGAACCAUACUAUACUAGAAUGUGUAACACAUUUUAGAGAUUUUUGUUUUUUGUAUUCACGUCUAGUUUAUAUAUAAUAUUUAACCAAAAAGAAGAUUUCUACAAUUCAAUUCAAUUCAAAAUUCACGUUCUAAUCCCUAUGAACCAUUCUCAAACCUAAUGACAUGAGAGAUUAAUCUUGAAUCUAAAAAAAUAUUGUACAUCAUUUAGUACGUACGCGCGUAACAGUUAUCAGAAUACAUUGUAAUUCUUAAGAGGCUUAAUUUAAGGUAAAAAUUAAUUAAUCUCUUUAAUUACUGUUGUGCAAAAAUACUUUGCUAAGACACCUAAUGCAUGCAUGACACAAAAAAGUAUCAUGCACUCGUGGCCUUCAAUAUGGAUGGUGUGUCCACCAACCACGUCCACUCCCCUGUGUUCACAGAGAAUUAGUUGAACUCCUCUUAUCGUUCUUAAGCAUGCAUGCUUAUGGUAAUUACUAAAAGCCACCCACUCUCUUGAGGCUCGUUGUAUAUUACAAUUCAUUCGAUUAAUCAUGAAACUUUAUUUGCUAGAUCGAUCUUUUGAAUAAUAUGGUAUCUGAACCAGUUUUAAACCCACUGCGACAUGAUUUAUCUAAUGCCUAUUGUACACAAUUUAUCAAAUAUCCACCCUAUAUACACGAGUUUGAGCUUUUUUCUACUAGAACAGUGUACAUGCCAAACAACAUUAACUUGAAAACCAUGAAAUCGGUUUGUGAGAGCUUGUACAAAGACCACUACCAUAGCGGCAACAAACGAAACAAGAAUAUGCCCACAGCGGGAACAAGCAAGUGUACAAUUUUAAUAAGAUCUAGAAAAAAAAAAAAAGGAAAAAAAGAGUUAGGUGGUUAAGCCACUAAGAAAAAGUCAAAGCCAAAUACCAACUUUUGUUCAAAGGAAGGGAACGAAGAUGUUGGAAUCUACUUUGCAUUCUAUCAUGGGAUUCGACCAUCCUUUUUAUCAACUUCACUGAAAAAAAGAUAAUAUGUUAUUUGUUUUGUACAAAUUCUAUAUAAAUUUUCAACUUAUAUUAGCUAUUAAAUUUUUAACCAACUAUAUUGGAUGCAGUAAUAAUUUUAAAUUUUAAAUAUAUAUAUAUAUAUAUAUUUAAAAUGGUGUUUUUUUCGGUGGGGCAUACCCUUUACGCCUAUCAAGUGGGGCCCAAGGCGCCGAAAGUCCAAGCGACGGCUCGUAGGCCGUUGGAUCAAGGGAACGGCGGGGAGGAUGGACGCGUAUCCUCCGUUGAAAAAUGGACGGUGGUGAUGGGAUGAUGAGCGCAGCCAGGGGUCCGAAACCGAAAAGGAUUCGACGGUGAAAGGGAAGUACGCUUUCGCAGGGACCGAAGCCUCCGAAAAAAACGUUUCCCCACCAGGGUGGUGGUUUUUUUUUUCUUUUUUAUUUUAUUUUUGGGAAAUACUAAAUAAAUAAAUAAAUAAAUAAAUGAGAUUGAUUAUAAGACCCCAUCAGAGCGGUCGAACGUAGAUCGGACGUACCUCGUGGGAAGGCCACGUGAUCGGAACAGCUCGGUUGGCCCGUGCCAUGGUCCCGAGUCACGAGUCACGAGUUACGACCCACGACUCGGCCCGAACCAAAAUUAGAAGGGACUAAUGUUCGGAUUAGUCUCCGCAGGAUCCCAAUAUUGCAACUUAGUCGUUGCAUAAAAAUCAAGGGGCGAAUAGUAGUAGUUAUAGGGACAGCGUAGGAAGUGUUCAAGCAUUUUUAUUACGCAAAUAAGAAGGGGUUUUAGUUGUACGCUUCCGAGGGAUACGCUCGAGAUACAGCACACACAGUUGGUACACCAGCAUUAAAUUUCGUGCUAAUUACCUGCACAGCGCCAACCAAUGGGCAAUGGCACAGUAAUAAGAAUACUAAGACCACAUGGCACGAAAAGCGCUUCUGUGGGUGGAGGUGGAAACGUGGAUGCUCAUGCGGGUGGGGGAAGCAGCGAUUCCACCCCUACCGCCACUCACUCACUACCCUCCAAAUUAAGCAGGAGAGUUUAAGCAACCGCAGAUUUUUCUUUUUUUUUUUUUAAGAAAAAAAGAAAAAGAAAAAGAAAAAGAGAAAGAAAAAGCUUUGGUGAUUAGGAAAGGGUGAGAUAAUUAACGAAGUGGUGAAGGAAAGAUAGAGAGCGAAGAGAGGAACAAGUAGUAGUUCGUAGCAGCAGAAGCGCUUCUGCAGUUGUGCGCAGCAGCAGCAGCAGCAGCAGCAGCUGGGAAAAUAAUAAUAAGUCGCAACAGAGAGAAGCCAAAAGCACUUAAUUCUCUCUCUUAAACACAAUGCUAAUAAUAAUAAUAAUAAUAAUAAUAACAAUAACGACGCGCAUUAAAAUGAAAUCGCAAGUCAAGCACAAUACAAUCUCUUUUUUUACUUUUCUUUUCUUUUCUUUCUUUCUUUUUCAUGCGCGUUUUGAUAAAGUGGAUGGAUUCGAGAGUUGUAUUAUAUACGUAUUAACUAUAGUUUGUUAUAAUUAAUUAAGUAAUUAAUUGAGAGAAGUGGGUGUGAAAGGAUAGUAAUGAAUGGGUAAGAAGGAGAAGAAGAAGGGAAGAGACGGUUGGAAGGAAACAGCUGGAAACAGGAAUAGAUAGCAACAAUGCAGCUAAUUUUAUACCGAUUCAGUUUAAUAUACUAAUCAAUUUAAAUUUAAAUAAAAAGUUUUUGGAGACUUAAAAAAAGAAAAAAAAAAAGAAAAGAAAAGAAAAUGGCAUGAGUUUCUCGACUUGCCAUUUACUCAGCUGUUACAGUAUUAAGCAACUGAAACCAAAUUAAUCUCCACAUACCCACAAAAUAAUAAUAAUAAUAAUAAUAAUAAUAAUAAUAAAGGAGGAGCUCAAAGAGAGAUGGAUUAAUUGGGGAGAAAUAAAUACAGAAGAAAUUAGGCAUCGAAUUAACUUCACCAACUUAAUUAAUCAGAUCCGAAUAUUAUACCCAUCAAAAAUAGAAUCGAAUUUCGUGCGGAAGCUCUUACCGCGAAUUUAAGCUCAGGUUUAAUUAAGUCGAACGGGUGGCUGCUGCUGCUGCUGCUGCUGCUGCUGCGUCGGCUUGCUCCGAGUUCCGAGCAACGGGAACGGAGGAAGGUGGAGCUGCUCCGAGAAAGUCGGCUUACUUGAAGGGGCCGAAGUCGGCGUCGGAGACGGCGGAGAGCUCGAAGUCGUCGUCGGCGGGGGCGGGGAGGUUGAGGUCGAUGACGCCGAAGCUUCCGGCCGACGGCGGAGGCGGAGGCACCGCGGCGGCGGCGGCGGCGGCGGGAUGGGCGCGCUUGUGGCCGCCGAGGGCCUGGGCGGAGGCGAAGACGCGGGAGCAGAAGGGGCAAGCGUGGGCGUCCCUGGCGCCACCGGCAUUGGGCUCCGGAGGGGGCGGCGGCGGGAAGCAGCAGCCGCGGCCGCCGGCGACGCCGCCCUUCUUGUGGCUGGCGCGGUGGCCGCCGAGGGCUUGGUAGGAUCGGAAGGUCUUCUUGCAGGUGCCGCACUGGUACCUGCUCCGAGACUUCGGGGCCGCCCUCGAUCGGACGGCUCGGGACGCCCCGCGGCGGGCCCUCUCCCCGCAAUCGUCGCCGUCCGAUUGGCGAAGGCCUCCUCCUCCUCCUCCUCCACCUUCUUCUUCUUCUUCUUCUUCUUCUUCCUCCUUGUAAGAGUAGUAGGAGGAGGAGUAGUAGUAGCAGCAGUAGUGGUUGAAGCUUUGCUCUGUUUCGGACUUGGACUUGGGGUUGGUCCAGGAGUCGCGGGAGAGCAUCAUGAGCGAGAGGGCCACGUCCUCCUCGGGCGUCGCGUCCGAGACCGAGCUCGCCGGCUCCACGUCGUGCAACGGCGGCGGCGCUCGGCUGCGCGGGCGCUUGGAGCGGCGGCGGUGGUGGGCGGGCGCGGCGGCGCGCGGUGACUCGUUGUCGCUCUCGCGGUCCUGCACGACGGAGCACGACCCCGCGUCCGCGGCGGCGGCGGCGGCGGCGGAGGCGAAGGAGGAGGAGAACUGGGGGUCGACGAGGCGGAAGCUCUUCCUGGGGUUCUCGCGGAGGACGUAGCCGAGCCCGCCAUGGAUGUACCUCCCCUCGUCCUCUUCCUCGUCCUCUUCUGGGUCAUCGGCCACCGACGUGGAGGCGGAUGAGGCGGAGGAGAGCUGGGUUUUCGCCGCCGGAGCUCCGCCGCCGCCGACGACGUGGGAUCGCAUGUGGCCGCCCAGGGCGCGGCCGUUGGAGAAGCGGCGCGAGCACAGCUUACAUGUGUACUUCUCCAUUAACAAUACCAACUCAGCUUAGUGCAUCACAACACCCCAAAAAAAAUAUAUACACAUAUGUAUGCAUACAUUAGAGAGAGAGAGAGAGAGAGAAAAAGAUGGAGGUGGUUGUGGUGGUAGUGAGAGGUUUCUUUUCUUUCUCCUUUUUUUUCUCUCACUACCGUAGAGAGAGAGAAUAAAUAAAUAAAAGAAAAAAAGGAGAAGAAGAAAAGAAUGAAAGAAGGGAACCAAAAAAAAAAAGAAAGAAAAAAAGAGAGAGCCUAGUUUAAAUAUUUUAAAAAAAGGGAAAUUUAUUUAGUAAAAAAAAUAACUAAUUAAUCAUAAAAAUAAUUACAGCAAAGUGGAUUACUGUUUCAAUCUCUCUCUAUCACCAUUCACUAGGCAACGCUUCUUGUUCCUACUAAAGUCAUGCAUCUAAUACUUUUUUUUUUUUUUUUUUGUCUUUUGUGUUUUAAAUCAUCUCUUUCUCAUUCAUUUCCAUCUGCUAGUAACGAAGAAGCGAUUUAUCGAAAGAAGAUUAGGGAGACAAAUAGCCACUCCCAAAGUGGAAAUGCCUUUUGUGUUUUUCAUUUCUUUUAAAAAAAUCCGAAAUUAUUUUUUUCAAAAAUAUAUUAGUUUUUUUUUAAUGGGUUUAUUUGGUAAUUAUGUGGUUUUUUUAGUUGAGAAAAUUUAAAUUGGUGGGGGAUGGGUUGGAGAAGUCAAGCGGAGAAAUGUUUGGGUUUGUCGUAACGACCAGGUUAGAAAAAAUCGAGACCACGUGUAACGCAACCUUGAGUUGUCACCUGGACCCGUUCUCCUAUCAAAUUCGGGUCUAAGGUGAAACCCCUUAACAUUUUUAAAUCCGAUCCAGUUGAUACAAUCCAUUAUAACUCGUGUAGGGAAAAAACAAUUCGCUUUUUGUCCAAUAACGUAGUAUGGAUUGGAUUAUACAGCAAGCAUUUUCUUUUCUAUUUUUCAUUCAAUCAAAUCAAUUAUUUUUCGUAAUAAUUGUAGCAUUUGGACUCUAUUUGAAUUCGAUUCCAAUCCAAAUAUAACACGGGUAGGAUUUAGAUGGAAUUUUUUCAGCCAUAAAGUCUCCAAGUUUGGGUUUGUAUGAGUACUAUAUUCACAUUUUUGUUUUCAAUACAUAUGAUUAUAAAGAGGUUUAUAUUAGAAUUCUCUCUUUUUAUAUAUAUAUAGAGUUUCACUACUAUAUUCUUAUAAAUAUAAACCUCUUUAUAUUCAUAAGUUUUCGGUCGCUAGAUCUAUCAUUUUGAGCAUUUUUUAUCCAUUAAAUUAUACUGUUAAACUAACAACUCACUCAACCCUAAAGCACCACUAUCAUUCUUAUCGCACAUUUUUUCAUCCAACGGCUGAAAGUUUAUAAAUAGUUUAUACUCAUUAAAGUAUAUAUAUAUAUAUAUAUAUAUAUAUAUAUAUAGCAGAGCUGUGCUAUUAGGUGCACAGCAGACCGUGUACUCCUAAGUUUCUAACCAUUCAUCAAUUUUGAUGGAUGUUUACAUUGUGAUAGAGAAGAAAAAUUAAAGAGAAAUCGCAGUUCUUAAUUUAUCUUCUUUUUGAAUUUCUUCUCAAUUUCUCUGUUCUCUCUCACCCUAAUCAACAGUCAAAAUUUAUGAAUGAUUAGAAAUUUAGAGAAAUUAAGACUGUUGUGCUCCUUAUAGUACAGUAGCCCUACUUUAUAAUUAUUGUGCUUUAUAAUUAUUGUGCUUUUUAAAGCUAAUAUUUUAUAGCAUUUAAUUUAGACUUCCAAUUACCAAAAAUUUAAAAUACUAGUUAGGUUUUUUUAAAGUAAAGAAAAUAAAAAAUAUAACUAACUCAUCAAUAUUUAAGUAUUCGGUUUAGAUUAGCAUAGGACCGAGUCUUUCAAAACUAACUUUUAAGUUCUAUCUGUGUAGAUAAUAAUAUCGACUUAUAUUUUUCUCUUUUUUUUUUUUUAAUUCAUUGGUCACUUAAGUGUUCAUGUGUUCAUAGGGGUCCCAUAGGUGUUUGUGCGGGACAAAAUUUUAGUAGGAAGCUCUUUAACAACAUUUCAUUGGAAAGCUUUCGAUUCGAUAUCAUCAUAUUAGUAUCAAUUUUAUCUCUAUCUAAAAUUUUGUUGAAUAAUUGUUAAUAUUAAAAUUUUAUAAAAAAUUAAAAUUUUUUAAAAAAUAUUAGAAUUUUUGAGUAAAGAUAAAACUAAUAUAUAAUAACGAAUCGAAAACUGGUUACCCUAAAAUCUCCUAACCCCGUGAACGAAUCUCCAAGUUAAUGCAAGAGGAUAACAUUUUCCUAAAUUUUAUAAAUUUUCGUACCCAAAGACAUGAAUAGGAGUAGUCUCCCGUAUCUUUUCGUUUCGUCUACAUGUAGUUUUGCAGAUUUUCAUUAAUUUUUUACGUGACUUUGGUACUUUGGACAUAUGGCCCGUGCCUCAUUACUUUGUCUAAAGUUAUUUUUCGCUAUCACAAUUGUUUAGCAUAAUUAGUUAAUUACUACUCAAAUUGCUGACUCAGAAGUUAAGAUUUGAUUUUUCUACUCGCGUGUUUUCUACAAAGGCUUUUCAAGCUCCAAAGCUUUUUUAAAGAAUAUGUUUAAUUAGUACCGAUUAAUCUCAAGAGCUCACGAUUAGGGCAAAAGUUUUUUUUUAAAAAAAAAAAUUACUAUAUUUUUGAGUUUUUUUUUUUUUGUUUUUUUUUGUUUUUCAUCUAAGUAUACCAGAAUAUUUGGGAUUAAGAUCUAAGAACUUAAAGAGAUAGUUCCAAAAAAGAAUUACUCAUAAAGAGGAGCUCGAGGUGCAUUCUUUCUCAAAAAAGAACUCCUUUGACCUCUCUUGUAAACAGGUUAGCAUUGUUUUUGUGAUCUUCAAUUUUCAUCUUUCUUUCUAAACUCCUAAUUCGUCAGAUGUUUUUUUAUAUGAAAUCACCAAAAAUUAAUGCUGUGGAUCAUUACAAAGAGUUGCCGGGAUCGAUCGAUGCAUAAUUAAUAUAGAAUCAUAGCCUAUAAUUAUGGAGAAUUAAAAACAAAUCAGAAAUAAAUGAAGUUUACAUUCCAUACUAUUCCUAUUAAAUGGUAUCCAAUGUGCUAGUUCAAAUAAUUUUUCUUAGGUACCUUUCAUAGUUGUUCCAUUGUUGAGGUUUGUGGCCCUAGUAGACUACAAUAUGAUCGGGUCAUUUUGUUCUCAUGCACUAAUUGUAGGCUCAAUUAUGAGCAUGCAAUUCACGUGAGCUAGACGUAAAAGAAUCAUCGAGUCGCACAAGGGAUGUGUGAAGCUUCCUCCCAAUUUUCUCUCCCUCAAAUGCAUCUUUCAAAGCAAAUUUUCUUGAAUACAAAUUCCUAUCGUACACCUUGGGUAUGAGUCAAUUCGCGACAUAGUUUACAUACCUUAUUCAGUAUGAGCCUAACUUAAGAGAUAUUUGUAUCUCAACAAAUGAUAUUAACAGAGAAAAAAAUGUUAUUGAUAGCGACCACACAUUGAACCGCGUUGUUGUUCGCACGCAUAUAAUGUGAAGUUCCAAUGCAUCAAAUUGUAACACCCCCACUCUAUUCAUAUCAAAGGAUUUCAAAGUCUCCCACAAAUUUAGUAACAACUGUUGACCAACUGGAUUUAUUAGCAGUAUAAUAAGCAACAGAACAAAAUUAUAGGACAUUAUUAAUUUGAACAAAAAUAGUGUUUUUUUACCCAACCAACUCAUGCUCAUACAUCCUUCUCUAAAUUUUACAGCAACUUUUUUUUGUAAAUAGCAUUUUAAGUAGGAUUAUGACUAAAUAAAUCGUUAGCAAUCAAACUAUGAUCUUAAUCCAAGUUUGGCUGCAUUAGGUUAAGGUACAAACAAAAUUGAUUUUCUAAUAUUUAAACCAGAGGAGAUCAAACAUGUACCGGGAUUUUGGUCAAUUGCUGGAUCACAUUCUAAGUGCAUGUUCAAAUUUGUACAAUACCAAAAAAUUGCACAUGUUUAUAAUGAUUAUUUUCUUUUUCUAACCCUCGAGAGAGAUGGUUGUUUUUAGAAAAAAAGAUCCCAUCAUUACCAAAAAAAACAUAAAAAUAAAAAUAAAGAAAUCCCAUCAUUAAUUUGCGGGCAAAUGGUGAUAUCAAAGUUGAUUUUCCUUAAGACAAAUAACACAACAAAACGAGUAAUUUUUCACGAUACUAUCAUGCAAAAUAUCCACAAUCAUUUAAAUCAAUUAAUUGAGAUCAUAACUAUUUUUAUCCUUUAAUGGUUCUACAAUGUAAGGUAAAAUAUAUGAUACUAAUAAUUUGGGCAUUUGGACUAUAGAUACCCAUUUUAAUAUAUAUCCUCAAAUAAGGAGGUGGUCAAUACUUGGGUAAUCACCUCGAACUUUCCUAAUUGAGCUCCAACACAAACUUUCCAUAGAAACAAUUCCUUGGUGGAAACCAACAUUCACCACUUACACAUGGGAUCUAAUUAAGUGACUCCUAACUUUGAAUUGGGUCAAAUAUAUCGUUAUCAUAAUGAUAUCCUUUGGGAUUACAUGAAUGAUGCGUUAUUUAAGGUGAGAAUCAAUAUGCAAUAAGAAAAUAAUUUUGUUUUGUUUUGUAAACUAUUAUGUUGUGUAGAUUCUGCUGGUUCGAUUAAGAUAUAAUUUAUACGAUUGUAUUGAAAAUACAAAAAUAUAUCUCUACAUGCUUUUAUCCUAAUUGUUUUUUGGACGCGAUAUCAUUCGGAAUCUCUAAAUGCCAAAACGACUCUUAAGCACUUAUAAACAUUUGGGGUGGGGACGCUUUGACCAACUAUUUUAGCGUGUCUCACGGAUAAGAACAAUCUUUGUUAGAAAAACAAAGACUUUUCUAAUUUCACCUAAUUGUCACUCUAACCCGAUUAUUAGAGAAUAGUAAUAAUCCCCGUAAUAAUCCCAUGAAACCUAGGUGUUUCCAUAUAUAUAUAUAUAUAUAACAGGUCAUUUGUUGCUGUUAUUAGUAUAUAUAUUCCACGUCUCAUUUUAAGAGAGAGAUCCUAUUACAUGCAUGUAUAGGAUAGAGAGAGCUCAGCAACUUUGUUUGUCCUUGUCCUCAACCAUGGAGGCAAAAAGAAUCCUCUCCCCAAUUUUCUCCGAAUCCUCUCCAACAUCUCUUUCUCCUAUACACGGUCUCUUUAUAUAUAAACUAUUGAAUUUUGACAACAUAUGAUAGCCAUAAAAAGUUUUUUUUUUAAAGAAAAAAAGGUUUUUUUUAAAAAAAGAAACGAAUCCGAACCAUUUAAUUUGGUUACAUCUUCUAUAUAUAUAGAAAUCAAAUUGUGAUGACUUUGUUAGGAACCACUACAAGUCAAACUUUUCGAGCAAUUUAUUAUGAGGUUUUCUAGUAAAUAUGUACCUUUUACCGGAAAUGUUAUGAAAUUUUUCCAUAGAUGGUUUUAUUCUUUCUAUAUAUUGUUUUGGCAUAUUGAAACAACUACAUUGAUUGGGGAAAUGUGUACGUAUGAAGAGGUUACUCCUUACUAGGGGUAUCUAAAGCAUCCCUAUUGACCUCUUUUUUCAAACAGCUUUUCUAUUCCAAAUUGGAAGUUGGAUUUUCGGCGGUUCCUGUCCAAUAGAGUUGAAAGCAAAAAGAUUCAAGCAAAUUAUCACAUAGCUUUUUGUAACAAGAAAAAACUAAUUAAUUUGGAGUAUCUAUUAAUUUACUACUCAUUUUGUAAGCAUUAAUUACAUGGCUUUUUCCUUAAAAGGUUCAAGCAAACAUGUCUCACAUCCUAGUUUUCACAAUUCGAAAGUUUGAAUUUGGAACAAAUUAACAUAAUUUCCCACAAUGUAGCUGAUUUUCUGGGACAGCUGGGAUCUUCUCAUCCUGUAUGCAAAUUAUUAAUUACGCAAUUGUUGUUGUGAACAAUUGGCCACAAAUCUCCAUUACUGAAAUAUCAACAACUUGUUAGCUUUUCCCUAAUUUUAAGAUUGCUAAAUCAUAUAUAAUAAUGGAUUCCCAAAUCACAAUGUUUAUGGUGGAGAAUGUCAAAGCAUGAAGUUUAUCAACAUCUAAUUGAUGGGUCAUCGAGAGCUAAGUUGACUAAUCGAUAGUUGGGAUUUUGUUGUUGGGGGUGGGGGGGGGGGGGGAAUGUAAAGAAACUUUUAGUCAAAAUGCAGUGGAUGGUGGGUCGGCAAAAAAUACAAAAAAGAAAGAAGAAAAAAGCCAUAAUCAAAACCCUAUAUGUCGAAAAAGUAAAAUUAAUUCAUCAACUGUUUUGAUAAUACAGGUAUAUUGUUAUAAAUCCAUCACAAUACUUCAUGUUUGAUCAUCUGAGCGAGACUUGUUGAAAGCACAGCAUUGUCGCAUGACUAACACAGUACAUCGAGUUCGACCAUGUAUAUCCUCAUAGAGUACCGCAAAAUCACUUUUGAUGAUAUUAUUGUGUUAAUACACGUGAUGAUGUAUCCUAAACAUUAACUAAUAUCGGUUCGGCGAAAGAUAGAGGAUUGAUGACGCAGAAAAUGAUCCAAAUAAAUACACAAUGAAAGAAUAAGAUACCUGCGAAUGUAACUCAUGAUGAGGGUGUCUUGUCCAACUUUUUACUCUAGAUUGAUCAGAAUCGAUUCAUCUAAUGCAUCACAGAAACAUCGCCCUCACCGAUCGGCACUCCUAUGUAGACUUCAAUUUUGGUGCAAUGUCGUGGCAAUUUAAUUACCACUCCCAUCUAAAUCUCUUCACCCUCAACCUACAAAUUAAAUGGUCACUUGUGUAUAUGCCCCCCAUUGAUGAGGAACUUUGUCGUCGUUUUGUCCAAUAACAACAACAAAGUUGGUUGGAAGGUGCCAUCACCUCAUCAACAUUUACAAUUCCGCGAAGAGUUGGUUAGAUAGUUGAAAUUAUUUGUGCUAAUUAGUAGCUAAAUAUAUGCAUCUUUAACAGUAAUUCAAAAUACGGAGAAGUGUCGAAGUUGUUAAGGGGUCAUGCUUAAGAAGAUGCACAUCCAUGUAGGGCACAAGAGCAAAACAGGAACCCUUGGAAAUGAAAAAGUAAAAAAGAACUAAAAAUUCACCUUUUUAUUAUAAACAAAAUUCACUUUUUUCAGUCUUAAAAAAUUUGCUACGAAUGGCUGUAAAAUAAUGCUAACAAAAUUAAGCUGCAACUGCUUACAAAUACAUGGACGGCAUUAAGAUGAUGUUGACGCGGAAUACACCUUAAUUUGGAUGGUCUACCAAUUAAUAAUGCAAAAAAUAAAAAAAAAAAACUAGAAAUGUUGCAAGUGAAUGAAAUUAAGAAGCAUUAAAUGUCCACAUUAUCAAGUGUGGACAAUUAGAACUUGCUUAGUGGGGGAAGGGCUUAUAGUCAUAGAAUUUGUUCAAAGUAAGUUUAAUUAAUGAGCAAGGAACUGCUUUGAAUUGCUGGGACCCUCUAACUGCCUCUCCUGCUCCAAAAUGACAAAUACAUCCCCAUGCAUAAUAUAAUUAUAAUUAUAAUUAUAUUAUGCCUAGGCCAGUAAUAAUAAUAAUAAUAAUAAUAAUAAUAAUAAAAGCUGUCCCUACCUUUGCAAGUAGUAAAAGUGAGGUUUGUCUCUUUCUUGUGGGAUCACUCACCAAAAGGUCAUGUGUAGAUAUUAGCACAUAGAAGAAUAUAUAUAUACAUGCAGUAGUGUUCAUGAAGCAAUAGGGAAAGCAAGGAGCAGGUAAAAAAUGUGUUGAGAUCGAUCCCUCAACUCUCUAAAUCAUUUUGAAAUGAGUCCUAUAGUUAACAAUUUUAUUUCAAGUUAUUUUUAUUAAUUAAACCAAAAAAAUUGUCGAAUGUAAUGAUAAAUUUAUUAAAUUUAACUGUUCUGAAUAUUUUUCCAACCAUUGGAUAUGUCUAUUUUAUUUGGUCAUGAAAAAAUGGUAGAAUAGCAGCAUAUGAGGAAAAAAGAAAAAUGUGUAUGGAUAGCACUGCUUUUAAAGCAAACAGAGGGCAACUCAAGAGAUGCAUUAGGACAAAAAUUGAUUGGGAACACCUCAAUGUUUGUUUAAUUAAGUAGGAUGCUUCGAAAUGUGAGGUUAAAUGAACAAUUUGAGUCAUUUGACAUUCCAUCAUCAAACAAUUGUUGACCUGUGGACUGGUUGAAAACAUUUAAUCCAUCUCUAUUCAAAAAAUAAUUCCUGAAUAUAUAGCCUUCCUUUAAAUCUUAUAUAUAUAUUGACCCACUAUCUUAAAUAAGUACAUUGCUUUUCCACAAAUAUAGUUACACAAUAUUUUAAACACAAAAUAUGAGGAAAAAAAAAAAAGAAAAAAAAAUCAUCUGGAGCUGGUCGUGUACUUACAGUCUCCUAACACAAAUACACAAUAUUAUAAACUGUGGAGAAAAAAAAAAAAAAUUCUUGUUUCCUCAAUUUCUAUAUAAAUAAAUAAUAUAGAAAAAAGAAUGAAUGAAUGGAUGGAUUAAUAAAUUUCCCUCUUACGGUUCACUCCCUUCGUUACCAGAUGACCCAAUCCCCACCUGCAACCACGGUGAGGACUCACCCCCCAUGUUAAUGUCUUUGAGGUCACUCAACUUCGCCAUUUUCACGUUACUAUCCACCUCAUCAUCCACGCUAUUAUUAUUAUUAUUAUUAUUAUUCACAUUAAACCCCUCACUCUUGUUGUUGGUAUUAUUAUUGUUAUUAUUAGUUGUAGUAGUGUUGUUGUUCUUACUGCUUGUUGUGGGUUUAACUUUGUUACUCGCACUGCUGUGAUCGAUCCAUGAUUGCAAGUAGAUUGUCGCGGGCACGUCGAGCCGCAGCGGGCUCCCGAUGUCUGCGUGCCGGCCCCCCGCGGCCUCGUCGGCGGGCGCGGGGAGGUUGAGAUCGAGGGGCUCCCCGGAAUUGGCCUCGAACAUCGGCCGAAGGGUUAGGUGGUGGUGGUGGUGAUUGACGGCGUGGUCUGGCCCCGCCAAUGCAUGGAGCUUCGCGAUCGCGGUGGAGUCUGACGGCGAGUUUGACGUGAGCCAGUGGCACCGCUUGUGCCCGCCGAGCGCCUGCCCUGACGUGAACACGCGGUGGCAUAUCGAGCACUCGUGCACCUUCGACUUCUUCUUCAGUGGCGACGGCGGCGGUGCCACCGCCGCCAGCGGGGGCGGGUUGCUGAACGGCACGAUUGCCAUCGCCAUUCCCGCAACGGCAGAAUCGGUUUCCGCAGCGGCAGCGGCAGCACUGUCGCGUGCGACUGCGGCUGGGUGGUCGUCGUCGUGGGGCCGGGCAUCGUCGAGCUCGUCGAGCUUGGCAGCGAAGCAGCCCUUGACUUUUUUAUGGCUGGCACGGUGGCCGCCGAGGGCCUGGUGUGAGGUGAACACCUUCUUGCACGCCUUGCACUCGAACAGCCCGCGGGGGACCGUCGUUGCUGUCGCGGUUGCUGUCGGCGGCACAGGCGAUUUCAAUUUCUCAUGCGGAGGAGCGAAAAAGGAUAUCGGAUGCGGCGGCGUCGGCAGCUGCGGCCGUGCCCGGUCCUCGUCCUUGCUUGCCGACGCGCACGACUCCUGGUCGGUGUCGACGACAACCACCGGGUCGACACGCGCAGCCGACAGCAUAACAAGACAAUUGGCCAAGUCCUCCUCCUCGCUUGACGGGCACACCAACUGCAUCGCCGGGGCGGAAUUCUUAGCACGUCGCGACCGCUUGCCCUUCGACCACGCGGCAUACCCACGGUGCGCGGCAACGAGGUCGUCCUCCGCAUCUGACGGAGGGGACGAAGGGAGCGAGUCCUCGACCUCGUCGUCGGAGCUGCAUUUGCCGUGCUCCAGGAAGGACUUCCAGGAGACGAACUCCUUGCCGCAGUUCUCACAGACGCGGCAGCUCUUGAGGCGGUUCGGGUUGGUGCGGAGAGCGUACAUGCGCUUAUGUCCCACCGACGGGUUCGCGGCGGCGUCCCAAUGAUCGGCAUUAUUGCCGCCGCAAGCGGAGGGGUCGUCGUCCAGAUCGUUUCCCCCCGAGGCUUCAUCGUUGAUGCCGUGCGCGCGCAUGUGGCCACCGAGAGCCCGCCCGCAGCCGAAGCCCUUCUUGCAGAUCCUACAGUAAUGCUUAUACGUCGGCGGUGGCUGCGGCUGCUGCUGCUGCUGCUGUUGCUGUUGUUGUUGGUCCAUCACCAUAGCCAUGAACAAGAAAUCAAGCUACAGAUAGCGAAAGAAAAAGCAUAGAAUGGUGGGGGAUUGAGGAGGUUGGUUUAUUUUUUUUUUGUAGUGGUUAAUGCUGUUGUGUUUUGCUGGUUGGUUAGUAAGUUUCUAUGGUCUAAGACUAAGCUCCGAGUUGUGCUUUUGGAUGGCUCUUCUUUUCUCUCUCACAUCUGUUUCACUAAUUACUAAAUUUACUCUCUUUUUUUUUAUAGAUAUGUAUAUAUAUAUAUUUUAUUACUUUCUUUUUCAAUUCAUUUUUCUUUAAUUUUAUACAUAUAUAUUUUUAGAUGUUUAUAGAGGGGCUCCGUGAAUGUAGAUGAGUCGAGGGGUGGAUGUGGAUGGGGCGGGGUUGGGGAGCUGCGUUGUAGUCGUUGGCGACAAGUGGGUGUAAGGGGAAUGAGUUGCUUGGGCGCCGCCUAGUCAACGGUAAAUGUACUCGGUUCGGGUGAAUAGGGUGGUGAGGAGAGAUACGUGGAGAGCGCGAGUUUUAAAGCCAUCCAUUUGUAUUCCUUUCAGUACAAGGCAAGUAAAAAAUACGUAUCCUCACGUGCUUGCUCUUCAAUGUCUUCGUCUCAAGGUACACAUAUUACACCUCUCCUCAAACGUAGCUCAACCCCACAAAAUUUUUAGUUUUUUUUUCCCUUUUUUGAGGUAACACUGUACGAAGCUUAUCUAAAUUCAACUACCAUAUAUAUUAAAGUUUUAAUUUUAUUACCCAACAUUUCAAUAUAUUUAUCUCUCAAAAAAAAAAACAUUUCAAUAUAUUUGAUUUGGGUCGGUCAAAAAUAUUUUGACUUUAAAAUUUAAUGUAUUGUUUCUUUUUACAUGUUUAGUUUGUUUAUUUUAUGCAAAUUCUCACGACUAUAAAUUUAUUAAAGUAAAUGAUUAGCUUAAAUUUUAAAGUUAAAAUAUCGCUGAUUGAUUCAAAUCAAAUAAAUUAAAAAGUUAGAUAGCAAUAUUAAAAUUUUAAAAGAGCAGAUAGUUAAUUUAAUAUAGCCCAUAAUUGAAAUAAGUUUGCAUAAAAUAAACAAACUAAACAUGUAAAAAGAAACAAUAUAUUAAAGUUUUAAUUUUAUUACCCAACAUUUCAAUAUAUUUAUCAGUUUGGUUAUAAUGCUAUUGAUAAUACUAAAUACGUGGCGCUAGUUCUAUAUAUAUAGUGUGGGUGUGGAAAUUUAUAAUUUAUUAUCGGAAUGCAUGUUGCAACUUCUAAUUGGAGUUCCAUGUAUAAAAUCAUUCCAUUGGACGAGACUAUCUACAUCUUUCAAAUCCAUAACCAAGCCAAAACUGUUGCAUGAAUUUAUAUCCAAGCAAAUUGAUGUUUGACACUUGAUUGUGUUGGGGAUCAACAAAUUAAAGUAAAUCGAAAUAAUAGUAAAUGUAUGUAAAUAGUUAAAGAAAUUUCAAUUCAAACGCUUUAACACUCGUGGCAUAUAUUUCGCUGUUCUUUCCAAAAUUAGUAAUGUUCCGAAACUUUGACUUUUAUUUACGCUCGUGUUGCAUGUGAUGCAUGUGAACGGCAACAAAUAAACUAAAUAGCGAUUUUACCUAACAUUAGUGAUGAUGACAGGUUACAAACAAAACUUUUUCGGAAUAUCAUAAUCUUCAGGAGUAUAUAAUUGGUUGAAUUAAAGAUCAAACCGAAUUGAACAUAUUAAAUUUUCGGUCCUUAGAUGAAGUGUGGAUGAAACGAUGUACGAUUAGAAUGAUAGUAAUUCUCAAGAAUUAAGUGGGUGGUUGGUUGAAUAGUAUGAUUUAAUGGAUGAAAAUAAUUAAAAGAGUAAAUCUAGUGAUAGAAAACUUAGUAGUAUCAAAUGUUUGGUGCUAUCGAUAGCAUUGUAGUAUUAUAUAUAUAUAUAUAUAUCUAUAUUUAUACUAUAUAUAAAAGUGUAUAGAAAUUCCGACAAUUAAUGACAGACGGAAUCCAAAAAGAAAUAAAAUAAUAUUCCUUACGAAUAGUUAUAAUUAAUUUGUUAAAAAUAUCUCAAAUAAAAGUUCUUUUUAUCGAUUAUUUUUCUUCUGCUCACAUGAGCACAUUUACUUGAAAAUACAUAAUGAGAUAUUCGUCGAAGGCCAGUUUGAACUUGUUUUACUCAGGUAAGAAGAAAAGUUAUAACCGCGAUGCAGAACUUUAGCAUGAUUUGAAAUCACUAUCUGAAUUUAAAAUGAUAUAACAUCAUCUGAAUAUAUAUAUAUACUUAACAAUAUACUUACAAUUGAGCAUAUGAUGUUUUCACAUUUCAGGAUAUGAUCCUAAAUUAAUUCUUCCCAGGUGCAGAGAAAUCUUGGACUUUUUAUUCUUCCAAAAAUGAUGGUAACUUCCAAAAGCAAAAGCAAAAGCAAGUCAUAUGAUGCAGUGCUUAAUGCCAAAAGGGAUUUAGAUGCAACAAUAUUGAGUAUAAUUGAAUAAUGGUAAUGCAGUGCCUUAAUUAUUAUAAAUAAACUAAAUAGUACCUCUUGUGGUGCACGUUUAGAAAUCAUGCAUGCAAAUGAAUAACCAACACUUAAAUAAUCAAUUUUGUAGGUUUUGAAGGGAUUAGAAUUGAUUGAUUUCGCGAAGAAAAUAGUACAACAAAAAAAAAAAAGAUGAUGGCGUGGUGAUGAAGAGCUAAAAGAUGUGCUACGGGCCACCAUCGUGAGCGAUAGAAAAUACUUUGUUUUUAUUUUGAGCACUUACUUAGCUUGAGCGAAAACUAUCAAUUAAACAUUGCACUAACAAAUUUAAAAUUCUUCUUUAUUUUUUUUUGUAGAUGUCUACAGGCUACAUACAUACGCACUACUCACUCGAGUAUGUAGAGAGAAGUACUUUCUAAUUAAGUCCCUUAGGUAGCAGUGAUGAGUUACUUAACUAUUGAAAAGAAUAUUAUUAAUAAGAUAAACUUCAACCCCCAUAUAUAUAUAUAUAUAUAUAUAUGGGGGUUGAAGUUUAUCUUAUUAAUAAUAUUCUUUUCAAUAGUUAAGUAACUCAUCACUGCUACCUAAGGGACUUAAUUAGAAAGUACUUCUCUCUACAUACUCGAGUGAGUAGUGCGUAUGUAUGUAGCCUGUAGACAUCUACAAAAAAAAAUAAAGAAGAAUUUUAAAUUUGUUAGUGCAAUGUUUAAUUGAUAGUUUUCGCUCAAGCUAAGUAAGUGCUCAAAAUAAAAACAAAGUAUUUUCUAUCGCUCACGAUGGUGGCCCGUAGCACAUCUUUUAGCUCUUCAUCACCACGCCAUCAUCUUUUUUUUUUUUGUUGUACUAUUUUCUUCGCGAAAUCAAUCAAUUCUAAUCCCUUCAAAACCUACAAAAUUGAUUAUUUAAGUGUUGGUUAUUCAUUUGCAUGCAUGAUUUCUAAACGUGCACCACAAGAGGUACUAUUUAGUUUAUUUAUAAUAAUUAAGGCACUGCAUUACCAUUAUUCAAUUAUACUCAAUAUUGUUGCAUCUAAAUCCCUUUUGGCAUUAAGCACUGCAUCAUAUGACUUGCUUUUGCUUUUGCUUUUGGAAGUUACCAUCAUUUUUGGAAGAAUAAAAAGUCCAAGAUUUCUCUGCACCUGGGAAGAAUUAAUUUAGGAUCAUAUCCUGAAAUGUGAAAACAUCAUAUGCUCAAUUGUAAGUAUAUUGUUAAGUAUAUAUAUAUAUUCAGAUGAUGUUAUAUCAUUUUAAAUUCAGAUAGUGAUUUCAAAUCAUGCUAAAGUUCUGCAUCGCGGUUAUAACUUUUCUUCUUACCUGAGUAAAACAAGUUCAAACUGGCCUUCGACGAAUAUCUCAUUAUGUAUUUUCAAGUAAAUGUGCUCAUGUGAGCAGAAGAAAAAUAAUCGAUAAAAAGAACUAAAACUAAACAAAAGAAAACACUUUUUUUUUUUUUCAGAUCUCGUUUGGUUUUGUUCAUGAAUCCCUAAAUAGUGAAAACUGAAAUUUCUAGUUUGAUUACCGAUUGUAUCUAGCAUAAUUGGCUAAGAAUUUAAUGUUUAGUAUUCGGGAUCUCAAGUUCAAAAUCUAAUUAUUUUAGUGUUUUAACUGACUUUUUUUUAAUAAAAAUAUGCCGUCGCAGAAAAAUUUUGAUUCCGAUUAGUCCCCCUUUGAUCUGCCCCCCUUCACUUUCUCUCUCAGAUCUCCACAGCUGCUCCCGCCAUCAACACCGCCGCGAACUGUUUUUUUUUUUUUUUUUUCCUCCCCUCUGUUUGCUUUUUGCAUGGAGUGAUUUAUUUGAAUUAUUCAAACAGUAUAUUUCGUUGAAUUUGUUUAUUUUUUCGUAUAUCAUAGAUUUAAUUCACAUUUGAUUACGUAGAAAAUAUUUGAAAAAAAAUUAUCUUUCUACUUAGAGAAACAGUACAGUCGACUUGAAAUAGCCUCUAAAAAAAAGAAAGAGAGAGCAGUUACUGUAUAGAGCCCUGCAUUAAUGUGGGCCACAUUGGGUUAUUGGAUCAAUGGCCCAGCGCAGGCCUAUUUUGAGCCCCUCUAAUUCACAUCUCUUCCAACUAAAAAGGCCCGUAUUUAUACAACUCCGUUUCCUUGUCGUCCUCUUCCUGCGAUUCCGCACUAUAAUCGUCGUCGUCGUCGUUGUCGUCGUCGUCGUCUCUCCGACGAGGUCGCCAUGGACGAGGUUGCGUUAGCUGUGGAGGGCCUGAAAAGGGAAUGGGACGAAACCGCGGCGCAAAUCCGAGAGCGGAUCGCGGCGAUCGAGGGUUGCGGGAGAUCCGGGAGGGGGACGGAGGAGGCGAACUCGCUCCCGCGGUUGAACGCCUCGGCGCAGGACGGGCUCGCCUCGCUCAGAUCGAUGCAGUGCAAGCUCGAUCUCCUCGCCCAGCAGUUGCCCACACCAGACGAGGUGCAGCGUGGCCAAUCCACUCUAGAGUCCUGGAAGGAACAGUACAACAAGUAUGUUUGUUCCUCUUGCAAAUCAUUUUUAUUAUUUUCCCUUUUUUUCUUCAAGAUCCUAGUGAAUUUUGGCUCGUUGACACUCUUAAUCGUUGGAAAUUUGGAAGGGGAAAAAGAAAAACCAACCCUAAUUUUUGCGAGAUUUUCGGGCUAAUUAUGGUCCGUGACACUCAUUUGGCCCUUACAAUUUCAUGUUUAUCCCUUUCCUUUCUGAAUCGUAAGAUAAAUUUGAACAAAUUUAGGGGGGUUUGAGUGGGGUGGCUGAUUGAAACGGAUUGAGAGUUCGUAUAGUUUUUCUUUUAAGUUUUUAAAGUUCGGGUCAAUAAGUAUAAUCCGGCCGAAGUUUGUUUAAUCAGGUCCAACAUUUCUAUUUUUUUUUCUUUUUUCAUGGAUUAAUUUCUCACAUUUUUCCUAUGUUGAUGUUUGUAGGCUGCAUAUGAGCUUGAGGAAUGCGAAUCUGCAGGCGAAACAGAACAUCAGGAAAGCUGCUCAAGAAGAAGUACGUUUCUCUCUUCUUAAACCUGGAAAUCAUGAGACGCCGCGUAUUGAGAUGCAUGAUGUCAUUUUACGUCCACCACUAAGUUUUGGAGUAUAAUUUUGUCCAUGUGCAUCUUAAUCGUAUGUCUGGGUUACUCACUUUUGUUCACUAUUGUUGAAUUUUACACUGGGAUAUGCCCGUGUGAUUUAAUUGUGUAGUCCAAUGAAAUUGUUUAUUUCAUUCUUCAUUCUUCCAUCGGAGUAUCUAAGAUCAUUCUAAUUAUUGGUAUCAAACUCUUUUUUAACAGAGAGAGCUGCUUUUAGGAGGUGGGGAAGAGUCUACCAUCCGCAGACGUAAUUUACAGUACGUUGAGCUGUCAAGUGAAAAUUUUUCCAUUUAAAAUUACAACAUUUAGAUGUUCAUGUAGUCCGAACGAAUGUUUUUUGCGGAAGCCGUCCUUUACUUGGUCUUUGAAUUUUACAAACCUGUUGAUUUGGAUUAUUUCUACUACCAGAACAAUUCCCGUUGUUUAUGGCGGUUGGUACGCAAUGUCGCUUGUUAAUAACCAUUCUCGGAAUGCUAAAAAUAUUCAACAAUAGCAACAGCUCUAAUGCUGACUGUCAGCUAUAAAAUGAUUUUAACGGUUCAUUGCGGAAAUUCAAAGUAGAAGGUCCUUAAUACCCGGUAGUCCUGAUGAUCUCCAUCAUAGGCUUCAUUUAGGGUGAUUUUGAGAAUUUAGUUGCUGAAAAAAUUGCUAGAUACUCAGUUCAAUAGUAGGUAGUUUUGGUAGAAAAAUGCUCUCUUUGGCUUCUUGUUACCAAGUGAGAAACCAUGAUUAGCAUUUAAUCGAUGCUUAUUUAGGACAAAGGCCGGGAUGACUUCUGCUGCAGAAAGUAUCACUGAGAGCCUCCGCCGGACUCGUCAGCUGAUGGUUCAGGUAAAAUAAGCUCUGCGAGCUCUCCUUGAAAUUUUAUAAUCUUUGAUCUUUCUCAGGGUUAGUAUUAAUCUUAAAUGCUUUUGCAGGAGGUGGAAAGAAGUUCUAGCACAUUAGCAACCUUUGGUAUGACUCCUCCUUUUGCUAAGUAGAUUUACUUGCUAGUCACAUGCUUCCAUGAAAGUAAUAUUAGCUUGCUGUGGUUUCUCAUGGUUUGGUUAAAGAAGAUCUUAUAGCAUGGAUGUAUUGAUUAUGUAAUCCGGAAGCAGAUAAGCGCUGUUUCCUUGGAAGAGAAUGAGAGGAAAUUUUUUGUAGGUUGGAAAAAGGCUUUGGAAGCACCAUGACUAUUUCCUUCAAUCAUGUAUGAGAUUUGCCUGGAGAAGUUCAGCAAGCUUCCUUUGCCAAAUGACUUAAUAAUUUCUCAAAUUUUAUAUUCAGGAUUCCUAAUAGAAUGUAUGGUGCCCAGUGGCGAGUACUAUUGGAUUUCAAUAUUGUGCAAAUUGAUUAGUAUCUGAUGUUAAUGCUCCAUGCAAUUAAUGAGGAUGAUUGUGUCUCAUGCCUACAAGUAUAUCUAUUCAACUUAGACUUUCUGGUUCUUCAAUCUUUGUAGAACUAUUGCAUAUCUCGGAAUUACAGAUCCAAGUUGAUGAUAAAUUUAACUUUGGGAAACCUAGCAGCGUAGAGGAGCUACUUGUUUGUAAUUUGGUAUGUAUUAAUUGAAUAAGAAGAUAGAAAAUAAGAAACAAACUAUUUGCUGUAUUUCAAAGUUUACAAUGGGAAGAGUCUGUGGAGAACACCUCAAAAUGGACUAUCAAGAAGAAAUGUGUGAAAGAAGGCAUUCCUAGAUAGUAACAGUUCCAUGACUUUAUAAUAUGUCAUUGAUUGGACAUAAUUCAAACUUCCUAGGCUUGAGCUGUCUGCUGUUUAUCUCUCCUAUUUUACUUGAUAGGCCUAAGAUCUUCUUUUGCAACUCAUGUUAAGACAGCUCAUUUUCUUAUGCAUUUGAAAGUUGGCGAUAAUGUUCAGUUUUAUAUUUUACGACUAUUGAACCACAGUUAACUGCUGCACUUUUGUCUUGCAUUCUUUUUUAUUUAUCAGAGGAAUCAACAAGUGUCCUAAGGAAGGCUGAGAGCGAGUACAAAGGGCAUCGCUCUUUGCUGAUGCGUACCCGCCGCUUGCUCUCCACAAUGCAGCGUCAGGAUGUUAUUGACAGGUGAGCGUCUUUCAAUUUUUCAUAAGUCAAGUUUAUGCAUGCAGCUGACAAUUUUUUAUAGUGAGAAGAUACUUUAAUCAGAGCUCAGUUUAUGGGUCGCAUCUGCAAUCAACAUGACUAACUGUCAUUUCCAUGUAACAGGGUCAUUCUGGUAAUUGGGUUUCUCAUAUUCUUGUCUGUGGUGUUGUAUGUUGUCUCGAAAAGGAUUGGCUUGUUGACGUUACAAAGGAAACUUGUGGCUGCUAUUAGAUCAGGUUCAAUAGCAAAUGAACAUGUCAUUCAAGAUGUCCAGAGAUUGGCAGUGGGAACCCAGGAUAAUGCAGUUCCUCAUGCGGAAAUUCCACAUGUCUAUGAUGAACUAUGAAUAGGUGAUUUCAACAGUUAUUGGAUUUAUGAAUAUUUCCUCUGUAGGCAGUUUAAAAAUUAUGCAGGCACCUUUUUGUACAUGAGAAGGCUUGUAUCCUGUAAUACAUAACAUCUAGGCAGUUUAAUCAAAUUGGUAUCUCUCGUUGAGCAUCUGUAUGAUAUCCUCAUAGUCUGAUGCCUAUUCUUUCAUAUGAGAGUGGCAAACUUUCGGGAUUUGUACACAAACAAAUCCCUGCUUUGCAGUAACAUUUUUUACUCCUAAUUAUAUUAUCUCUAUAAAACCUUUUAUUCUAAGUGUUUUCGAAAUGAAAGCAUCUGCUGUGUUUCUAUGGAAGAGCUGGAUUUUCUGUUAUUUUUCGCUUUCUUCAGGUAUAUAUCGUGUGAUAGUGAACCUUUUUCUGCUUUCCUUCCACUCCUUUUGAUGAUUAGACGCGACAUAAUACCCUAGCUAGUAGGAUAAGUUGGAUGAUGAAGCAACUUGGUUCUUUUGACCAAAAAUGUUGCUUCCUGUGUGCAUUAAAGUUCGUCAUACUAGUAUUUCUCUCAGCAUGGCCACAAUAUGCUUUUCUUCUCACUUUGCCCUCUUAAAUUAAUCGAACUCGUGGUGUAGAAAGUGUUUUUAGAUAUCUACAUUGUUCGAUUCUGUAAGGUGAUAACAUUGUACAUAUCUGGCUCUUGCAAUUCUCUGCAGUUUCUGAACUAUGUUUGGGGUUCUCUUAUUUCGUUGCAUUCGCUAAUUGACUGUUACAAUACAAAAGCUUCCGCAAAGGGAAUUCCAAAAAUCAAAAUCAUAAGUUAUAUGAUCAUUCCUUAAAAAAGGGGGAAAAAAAAUACUUACAUGAUAUUUCUUAACAGUAAGUGAAAUGAGCAACUAUGAGGGAAAAACUACAGUACAAGUUUUACGACAGAAGCGGUUUUUCGAUGUCCUCAGUUUGCUGUGUUAAUACUGUUGAAGUCUCUUCUGAGGUAGGAAGAAGUAAUCCUUCUUUCUUCUUUGCCCACAAAACUAUGUACAGACCGAAAAAUAGAACUAGUAUUCCUGCUAAGCUGCAGCAGAACAUACCGAGUUAGUCGAUAUUGAUCAGAAGCGUUAUGAUUAAUAUUUUCUUUUUGACUUGUAGGUCUCUUUAUUUGGUUGGAGACAGAAAAGAGGAAGAGAAAAGAAUGUUUCAGCUUUUCAGUUUGGAAUGAGACUCAAAAAAUAAAGAUAACUGGAGAGAAAAUAAACACUAUUAAAGACCCAUUUUUAUUUCUCUUCAUUUCUCUACUUUAUUUUCUCCUCUCCUAUUAUUCUCACCCAAUCACAAAGAAAAUAAAAUUCCAAUGAUCUUCUUAUUAGAUGUGAUUUACAUUCAUACCUUCCUGGUUGUAUGACUUGCCCUAAAAAAAUUGCUGAGAGGAUUGCUGUACCCACAGUUUGAGUGGGGCUAAACAUGGAGACAAUCACUGGCCCCUUCCUCUUCACAGCCCACGUUUGAAAUGCAACACAUACAGAGCUCAUCAUGCUCCCCUGCAUAAUAUACCAUAACAUGAAAAAGGUGAAUUGCGCUGAGUUUUACUUUUGGUCCCCGGUUAAUUUAGCUGUAUGCUUUUGAAACUAUUCCAUUUUAGUCCUCGCUGUUACUUAAAUUUGUAUCAUUCAUUGAGUUGCAGUAUUUUCUCGACUUAAAAGUUAUACAAUCAGUCAAAAAGUAUCAGAUAGAUGAAGGAUCAUUUUCAGCAAAAUGAUUUUCCAGUAAAGAAAGAAACUAAAGUGAAAGUAACAUGUUCUUCAAUACCAAAAGAAUCAGGGCAACAACGCUUGUGAGGCUGAUGACCGGAGAUCCCAUCUCUAUUCUCCCUUCACUUAUAAUUUGUGCGAUUGCAGUGAGAACUGCGCCUAUCAUCGAUGUUACGGCACAUAAUGUGAACGGUGCAGGGAAAUGUACCAUGGUUGCGGCCUGUAGUAAUUGCAACAAAUUCAUGUUUAAGCUCCACUUAUAGAACUGAUUAUUUUAAAAUGCAUCUAUUCCUGAUGGAUUAAAAACAACGCGGGCAUAAAUUCUAUGAAUCAAAUUGUAGUGAGGUUUCAAGGAGACCAGGAUAUCGAUCGAUCGAUAAAUAACCUGCAGAACAGUGUUACAGGAAACGACGAGGACUGCGGCGAGAAGACACCCGCAGCCUACGACCCAUUCGUGAUAGACGGUUUGAGGCGCCAGUCCGCUGCUGCUCGCAACCGGAGAUCUCGGAGCUGCGUGAACUGGUGAAGUUGAAGAAGGGCUUUGUAGGAAGCUCAUAGUUAUGGCUCCACCCAAGCAUAACAAGGUGCCCAGUAUCUUGACUCUUGUGUACAAACACUUCAUGUCAACCUUCUCAAACCUGCAUAAUAUGAAUAUCUGAUCAGUUAAAUGCGUACAGGACAAUACUGUAUAUAUUUAGUAGAAUCUGCGGAUCUUUAUAGUUAACCUGAGACACGCGGCGAUGACGAAGAUGAAGCCCGGAGCUAAGUUGGGCAUGGCGGCGGCAAUGGCUGGUGAUGUCUUCUUCAUCCCCAGCAGCAUGAGACCUUGGAAUGCCGUCACCCUGAAACAAAUAUUAUGUUUUUAGCAAUCGUUAAAUUUGAAAUUCUAAACAAAAGUUAAUGUUUUCGAAGAUGACUCAUAUUAACACUUCAUGGUAAUAUGUACUUUCAAAUAAAACCAUAUUAUUAAAAUUAUAGUAUAAAACUACAACAUUUGUAAGAAACAAAUGCACGUUUGUUCAUGCGAAAUAAGCAAAUUCCUUACCCUCCCAGAGCGAGCAACGCGAAUUGAGCCAUCAACAUGGGGCUUAUUCUUGAAGGCCAUUUCUUCCUACGUAAAAAAUUGCACAAGCAUAUACAUAUAGCAAAAAACCAACAAAGUAUUACAAAUUAAAAACUAGCUAAUCGUUAAAUUAUAUAAGUACUUUUCGAAGGCGACGGCGAAGGGGAAGGUGAAGACGGAGGUGGCCAAGCUCCCGAAGGCGACGAGGAAGAGUGGGUUGAGGCCGAGGGAGAGGAUGGGGGCGAGGAGGACCAUGUAGGCGGCGCCGAUGAGCUGCACCGCGACAAGGCCGCAGAUGAUGAGGGAGUCCUCCAAGAACCCACAGCCACUCCCGAAUGGGGAGGGGGACGCGGAGGCGAAGGCGAAGGCGAAGGAUCCUCCUCCCGGGAUGUUGUUCCUCGCCUCCCGCGGGGAGUCACGGUGCGCCGACCCCCCCGGCAGCGACCGCCGCCUCGUUGGCAGCCCCACGAUGGCGCCCCCGGAGAGCGGGGAGGAGGGGAGGGGAGGAUAGGGGAGAUAGCCUUCGGUAUAUUCGUUCAUGCCGCAAUUCCCUCUCUCUCUCUCUCUCUCGGACACAGUUACUCUCUCUCUCUCUUCCUUUCUCUAACUAACUUGCGGUUUGAAAAACCGUUGGAUACCAGUUUUUCUCGUGGAACGAGUUGGGAAAAAGUUACUGAGAAGGCCAGGUCCACCACGCCGGUCGAUGAACCGAUUCAUAAUAUUUCUCAUACCUUAAAUUUUAAAAUCUAAAAAUCUAAAAAUAAAUCAUUCCAUUGUAAAUGAUCCUGCAUGAAAAACCCGAAAGAAUGGACUACUCUGUGCUGGGAAUGAUGUAAGUGUAAUUCGGUGUAAAUCAAGUCUACUAGAAAUAGAAAUUUUGAUUUCACUGCUAAUCAUAUUAAAAUCAUGAGACCUAUCAUUGCGCCAUAAACUGCAUUUCGAUUAUUUUGACAGUAGUUCUCGAGAAACUGAGCUCACAAUCUGAGCUUUGCAGUGACUAAUGACUAAGCUAAUUUUUUUUUUCUUUAUAAAUUAAAUUUGUUGGCGAAUUAUAAUCACAACGAGGAGAGCAUGCCACAUAAAAAUGAACUAAACAGGGAUUAAUGGAUGCUAAACAAUGGGAGUAAUGGGCCGGCCCACAACUUGAUUGGACUUGUACACACAGCGGAAGUGGGCUAGUCCGGGUCCUCACACUUGUGAAUAUUUUUAGAGUGGGCCGGCCCAUUAUGGCAGCUUAUUGGUGGAGGUAAAUGGGUUGGGCCUAUGUAUGUGUCGUUGUACACCGCUUUUCUCGGAUGGUGCUGCCGAGAUGGAAACAAGCCAUUGAAUUUUAGACAGCAUAUAGUAGCAACCGUACUGCAGUUGUAAGUUGUAACUACAUAUAAAUAUAAAUUCGGUAUUUGAUUUGAUAUAUUUAACUCCAACUUUUGUAGUAGAAACUAUAGAAAAAGAUUCAACUGUAGCAGUUAGAACUACAUCCAAAUACCUCCUGAUUAUUUUUUAAAUAAAAAAUAUUUUUUAAAAAAAAUUGGAGGUAAUAUCUUUAUCAUAUAUAUAAAAUAAUAAAAUUUAAAAAAUUAUUUCUCAACUACAUAUUACCAAACAAAUUAUUUAGUUGCAGCGCUUUCAAUUACAUCCAACCAAAUAGGAUGCAUGUAGUUGCAACUGCUGAAUUUACAACUGAAUGCAUCUCCAACUAUACUAUAUUUAUAAUUAUAUCAAACGAAACUGUCCCUUAAUGUCACACAACGCAGGGACUGAAUUACUCAAAUAAAAUUACAUUGAUUGAUCUCAUAUUAUAUAUAUAUAUAUUCCUUAAAAAUUCGCCACUUUAUGGCUUCAUAUAAAGUGAUUAAUUUAUUUCAAUUUAUUUACAAUAUGACCUAAAAAAGAAUUAUUAUUAUUAUUGUAAUAAAAUAAAAAAAAAAAGGUUCUUCACACAUUUUAUCGCUUCGCUAACAUGUGGACCAUAGAACCGUGACCUAUCAAGGUCUGAUCAUAAACACGUCCAGCUGGCGAGCGCUGACGUGGCAAUCUGCUUAGCUGGGGCCGUGGUUUGAAGCCGCUGCCGCAUUAAUUUUCUGCGCUACGGGACUCGAGCGAGCUGGUUCAAUUCUCCGCUGCUGGCUGUUGUUGUGUUUCUCUCCCGCGAAGUGAUCAUUUCCCCGCCGCACAUAAUACGCGCCUUCAUGAGCCACCUCUCGAUCUGAUACCCGCCUCCGAAACUCACUUCCCUCUCCAAGUGCCUGCAGUAGCUCUCGAACACGCUCACGCUCACGUUCAGCUUAAACCCCAUCAAGAACAGCAACUCCACUUCCAACCCGUUCAAUUCCUGCGUUUCCAAUCCCCCGAUCUUCGCGAAGUAAGAGUUCGGAUAGUUCCUGCUUCCGGCAGAUCAUCGAUGAUCAUUCCAUCGCUGAAUUUAAUUUAAAAAUUUUAAAAAUUUUGAAAAACUUCGGAGAGAUCUAGAGAUCUUACAUGUCCUCGACGAAUUUCGAAGCCACCAUAAUGGAAGUAGUGAGAAUCCGAUGAACAUUCGUGGACACGAUUCGGAACCCUGGGUUGGACCUGCACAGCCGGUCCAUGUACACGUACGCCACGACGUAGAUCGGCGGCGACACGCGGGCGUAGCGGAAGAUCCUCUCCAAGAACGAACUGAUGCUCAUGUCGAGAACCCUGUCGCAUUCGAAAACGCGGGCUCUCGCGUCGUCGGAGCCCGCGUCCCCUCCGCCGCGCCUCUCGCUCCGCGCAAUUGCGCGCUCCAGAAGCGAGGCGAGGACGGAGAUCACUAACGGCGUUCGCGGCGCUGCGUCGUCGGCCGCGAACCCGUAGAGAUCACUUCUUAGCCUAGUGGGAGAGAUUGAAAUGAUAUCAGAGCCCAUUGUAAGCGAGAUUGGUUAAGUAAGAUAUUUAGAUGCCGUGAUUGCUACAUCCAUAUACAUGUAUGAGAGAGAAGGAAUUAAUAGAGAGAUAAAAAAGCGGGGGUGUGACAUUUAUUUACAAAUGGAAGGAAAUGAGAGGUAACGAAACGAAAUGAUGUAUUAAUGAUAGGAUGGAGAUACGGAGUUGGUUGGGAUGUGAGAAAACGACAACAAAAUGGACCUUUCCUGCACCUUCCUUCAAAGCAUUUAUAUAUAUAUUUAUGCUCUUUAAUAUAUUUUUUUCUCUCUCAGAAAAAAAAUAUUUUUUUAUUUAUUUGAUAACAUAUAUUUGUUUAUUUAUUUAUGAGCUAUUUAUGUUUAGAUAGAUGCGUUCCACCGAAGGUGCUGUUAAGAGGCCCGACUCAUGUGGGUUGGAGUUGGUAGUACGGACAAAGUUUCUAUAAUGUGUCACUCAUGCAACGCUUCUUUUUUUUUUCUUCUUUUGCUUUUCCCCAUGGUACCCGAAUAAUAAGAAAUAUUUUUGAAUAAUUUAUUCAGAAUAAAAGAUAAAAAAAUUAAAUUUAUACUCCUUAAAAAAAGCCUUAUUAUUUAUAAUUUUGUAGAAUAACAUAUUUUAUCUAUAAAAUAAUUUAUUUUUAAAAAAAUAAUUCAAAAUUCAAAUAUAUUAUUCUAAAUUCUAAAUAUUCGGUCUUUUUUUUUCAUUCUAAAUAUGUUAUUCUAUUAAUUAACACCGCCUCUUCCGCUACUUGCUUGCUCAUGAGGGAUCCAUUUGUAACAUUGCUAUAGAACUUUGGCAUAUUCUGGUACAUUGAAUUAAUAAUUUUCUAAAUAUCUGGCUCAAGUUGUAGUAUGGUGGUAAAGUGUUCAAAUAGCAUUAUAUAUAUAUAUAUAUGCUAUAUUUUGGCUAAACAUUAUCACCACAUUUGGCAAUCCCAAAAGUUAAGAAUUUAUAGGAGUUAAAAAUCUAAGUUUCCUAACUUGCUCUGUUUGGCAAUACUACUUUGUAUGAUUUCAGUUUGUUCGGAAAGGUUUGGUGAAAUUUUUUAAAAUAAAAUCAAACUCCAAAAUUAAAAUACAAACACAAUUUAAUAAAACAAGUUUCUUAGAUUUGAUUCCAAAUACAAUAUGCAUUUUCCAUAUCAGAAUUUUUCUUUAUAUAUAUAUAUAUAUAUAUAUAUAGUGAUAGUGUAGGGCUACUAUGCUAUCGGAAGCAUAGCGAAUCGGAUGCUUCCAACUUUUUAACCAUUGGAUCAAAAAUUAUACGAUUGAGAUGAUUGCGGUUUCUCUGGGGUUGAGUAGUACCCCUAAGAUUGAGUGGUCCCCACAAGUUAAUAGUAUUAAUCCAAAUGUUAGAAAUGAUUAAAAGAGUUGAUCUAAGGGCUAAAAAAUCGGAAGCAUCAGAUUCUCUGAUUCUGAUAGUAUAGUAGCUUUACUCUAUAUAUAUAUAUAUAUAUAUAUAUGGCUCUUAUUUUUUGUUGUUGGUGGAAAUUAAAUAGGUUGAAUAUUAGGAAAUUAAACAAAUACGAUGUAGCCAUGUAUUAGUCAACUUGUUGAUUAAACCAACAAUUUGCAAUCUAAUAUUUUAUUUCGGAACCCCAGUUUUUUCAUGCGCAUCAUGUAUGCCAUGAAUUUUGACAAAUUGAUUGUUUAACUAAUACCUUAACUUAUUGAAUAAUAAUAUUGCGCAUUUAGAUUAUCCGCGCGCGCAACUUGAGCACAGUUUGGCCACUAGUAAUUCUCAGCCAUUAUUUUAGUUUCCUCUCAUUGCGGAUUUGUUUUUAUGGCCACUCCAGUGCUAAAAAUUUCGUUUUCCAUUGAUAAAAAAAAAAAACUUUAUUUUCUUUAUCAUUUAUUAUGGUAGGGACUGAUAAUCUGCUAGUACGUAAAAUAAAAAGCGACUCCAAACUGACACUUAGUUGUUUUUAUGACUAUCAAUAGUUACAAGAUAAUAAUAGGCCAUAAAUUAAUGCACAACAGGAGGUCAACUAGGUAAUGCCCAAUUCUCUUAAUGGCCCAAUCCAAUCCCAACCAUUUAAUACUGCACAAACCAAACCAGAACUAAGCCCAAUAAAAUGGUUCAUGGGCUGGGCCACAAUCAGUCCAAAUCUAGCCCGAUAAAGAACGCUCUGUUGAACACAUUAAAAAUCGUAAAAUUUGAUAAAAUGUGGUGAGGUUCCGAAAAUUAUGUUUAAAUUGGUAAUUAAGUUCAUUUAGCAACAACAAGCGCGUAACAUCGUGUUCUUGUGUAUGUUUUUAUUCACCCAGUGAAUUAUUUGCUGUAGUAUUUUUACCAAAUAAAACUUCAUAAAUUGCUUUUAUAUUCUUCGAAAAGUUCCUGAAUCCCGUGACCACGAAUGGUCCAAACUCGAUAGGUCGAAUCUCGUCGUUGGGUUACACGGGUCCAUUGGCACCACAAAAGCAUAUACCCACAAUAUAGAAUGGUCCAUGCAUAAAUCACGAGCGUUGUCGCGUUCUAACCUCCGCUUCACAUGAAGUAGCAAUCACUUGUUAGUUAUUUUGUAACGUUCUCAACGAAAUAAUGUGAAGCACAUAUUAAAAAAAAGUAUAUAUAAAGGGGAGAAAAAAAAAAAAAGGUUAAGCACAUGUUGAUGAUAGCGACGUGGAGGGGAGGGCACGCAAGCGCCUCCUCUUCUUAAUUUCUACAAUCUUUUAUUCCUUUGUUGGAGAUAACACUUGCGCCACCACACAAUAACUAGUGUAUUAAUAUAAGCCAUAAGAGUGCUUGGUACAUUAAUUCUUAGUUAUGUAGCUCGAUUCAUUUUUGGGACAAUUACUGGAACUAGUUGCUGUAGUUCACGAUGGACCGGUAUGUCGAGAGGGGUUGCCAGUCGGCCGGAAUGACGUUCGAGGCGACGAGGGUCUUCCCGGAAGUGAGAGUGGAGAGCCGGAUCGAGAACGGGCCCUGCAACGCGUGGUCCGAAUCCAACCGCCAUAUCGCGCCCCACGACUCGCGCAUCGGAGUCCACGUGCCUGCGGUAGGGCCGGCGCCCUCCAUGAGGUCAACCGAUGCCAGGUCUCCGUCCCCGUCCUCGUACUCGAUCAGGAUCGCAAAGUAGACCGGGUUCGAGCCUUCCUCGACGUGGAAGGCUAUGUUGAGUCCCGGGUAGUUGCAGGGCACUCUGCGAAUUUAAACAAAUCGGGGAGGUUUGUUACCUAAUUGGCUCACAUUUCUAGUUUCAGGGUCUGGAGUUUGAACUUACGACCUCUUUAGCUCAACUCUGAUGUCUUAUUUCUGGAAUACUAGUGGUUUGGACGGUUACGUGAAUACUCACCGAGUGUAUUGUAUUUGGAGCUUUCCUGCGUGGCGAAGCUCGUCCUCACGGCCGGGCUGCGCCAUGGACCCGAACGACGUCCCGCUCAUGUCGAAAUGGACGGGUGCGUCGAGGCAGACUCCGUCGAGGCAUGCGUCGGUGAUGGUGAUGGUCGAGGGUUUGCCGGAGCAGGCGGGAUGGCUCGUGCAUUUCACCUGAUUAUUUGUUUAAUUAAUUUGAUUAGUUAAGCGGAUUUAACACACUGUUAUAGCUAGAUUUGAGAUUUUAAAUAACAAAUUACAUGUCUAAAUUGACCUGAUAGCAAGCUCCGCAUCCUUUUCCGGAUUUGAAUAUAGUAGGAUUCCCACAUGCUGUCAUUGAUGAAAAGGGGGGUAGGUUCACAUUUUUGAAGCCACAUCCACCACCUGGUUUAAGAAACUAAUUACCAAUUAUCCAAUAUUCAACUACGUACGUAACUCCUAUUUAUACACCCACAAUGUAGUAUAAAAAAAAAAAAAAAAAUUCUCUCUUUACAAACCAUUUCUACCUCAAAUAUCGAACAAAUUAAGGAGAUUAUACACACACAAACAUAUAUGUAUAUAUUACCAUUAUCGUCGGGUCCGGCACCGGUGGGUGCACCGUACCAGGUCACGCUCGCCGGACCCCAGCUCGAGGGAGCAUCGGAGUAGUUUAAUCUUUUGUACUCAGAACAAGAACAAGAAUUGAACAGUGAGAUUAAUGCAAGCAAAGCAAUGUAGUAAACUAUGGAGGAGGCUUGUUUGUGAAGAGGAAGAGCCAUACUGAUGGGGCUCUUUCACUGAGCAAAAGAGGCAGUAUUAAUUGUGGAGAAUAUAGAGUUUAAUGGGGUUUUGGUUCAUAAGUGUGCGCACAUUGAAGGGCAAUUUAUAGGGAAAAAAAACUGGCGAUAGAGCGUGCCAAGUUGGGUUCACAUGCCUAAUAGAAAUCAGGAUAAGACAAUUUGUAGCCUCGCAUGAGCGUGUAUUAAAACUAAGUAAAAAUGCACAAAACUUGCUAUAAAUUAUUUCUAAAUGGGCUUCCAAUUUUUUAAAAUUUUGAUUUUAUUUUAAUCUUUCAACUUGCUUGAUAUGAAUCAAUCAAUAACAUUUUGACCUGAAAUUUAAAUUUAUUAUUUAUCUUUACAGAUUUAAUUAGUAUAUUUUAUAAAUUUUGCACAUAAAUUUAUAAAAAUAAUUAUUAAUUUAAAUUUUAAAGUCAAAAUAAUAUUGACCGACUAAAACAAAAUAAAUUAAAAAGUUAGAUACUAAAUCAAAACUUUGAAAACUCAAAUAGCAGACUCAAACUUGUAUAUAGUUUAGAAAAAUUAUGUACGUUAUUAUUUUAAAUUGUGGCAACUUAUGAUUUUUUUUUUUUUUUUUAAGGAUGACAAGUGGGGACCACAAUAUUCACAUGCGAAGGAUACAUAAUAACCUUUCUAUGCAAGCAAAAUGUUGCUUUGCGUGGUAGUAAUUAGUAAACCACCCUAUCACAUGCUUCGGCUUAGUAUUAUACUUUUUUGAGAAAUAGAUAGUAAGCUACCUGCUUCAUUCAUUAAGGAAAAUGAACUAGGCGUACAUGAUGAAGACAGCUGAGGCCUCCUUAAAAACCGAAGGCAACCAAAAAGUCACUAAAAAAGUACAGUGUACAGAACAAACCAAGGAAGUAACUAACUAAAAGAAUUAUACUAUUUCAUGUUAUGUUGAUAUGUUAAAUUAAUUAGAAAUAAUAAUUAGGCGGUGGCCGUUUAUCUAGUUAAGGCUUAAGAGUGGUCUCGGGUGCAAACACGACAAGCACGAAUUUUGGAGCCAUGGCCUCCCGUCGAUCUAGCCGUUGAUUCUGACUCGCGGCCGUUGAAACCGUUGUGUGGGGCCCACUUGUAUUUUCCACAACAUGGUCCUCAUUAUUUGCCUGGAAAUAAUGUUUAUAAUAAUAAUAAUAAUUCCGUUUCCCGGUAAUCUCGUUUUGACAUACAUAACUACUGCACUUCGAGUUGUAUAUGUACGCAUCCAACCAUACUCUAAUCAUAUUUGGCUAAUAUUUUUUUGAGAAAUAGAUAAUAUACUAUAUUCACUUCGUUUAUUUUAUUUAGAAAUAAAUUUAAUUAAAAAUAUGAAUCAACUAGCAUUCGCUUUUGAAACCUCAGGUAUCAACCACUAAAUUCUUUGCCACUUGCGUUAGGAACGGUCGGUCAUAUUGGACUAAUGUUUAUACAAAUUAACAAUUCGUAAGAUCACUUUCGAUUUACUUUGCGCGAAAUUAUUUUUAUAUUACAAAUUAAUACACCCCUAAUAAGGACAAAAAUAAAAUGCUUCUACAUCUUUAUGUAUAAUUAAUGAGUUAUGCUUCCUUAGUCCUCCUUUGGAACGCGCUAAUUUGGGUUGUAUACCGCGAACAGUAUGCUAUAAUUCAAAGACCAAAUAUGUUAAACAUGUUCCAGCUUAUAAUGUAAAUGUUCAUGAUGUGCAUUUUUUUAUCUACCAUUUGCAGGAUUUUCAUUAAUUGCUAUGACUUUCGAAGCUUUAAUUUGUUGUUUUUUUAAUGCGAAAAAGGACUGCGGAAAAGGGAGGAGGAAAAAAAAAAAAAAACGCAUAAGUUGUGGCAAAAAUUAAGGCCUAUGUAGUCAUAAGUAGGGAACAUAACAAAUUUUGGCAAAAUUUUCAAAGGCGACAAGCCAUAAUCAAAGCCUAGAUCAAUGGGAGGCGCUAAACAAUACGUUCUAAUCUUGAAGGGUUAAUUUGAGUAAUUCUAUCAUUGCAUGUGCAUGGUGUUAAAUAACAGACGAAUUGAGUCGAUCAGUAAUUACCUGAACUCAAGUGCUUAAAUUUUGGAUCCGAUUUCUCUUUUAAACAAAUGAAAGUGAAUUAGAUAUAAUUUAUUGUUCAAUUAAUUUUUCUCGAUUGUCGUUAGUCUCCUAACUUAAAAAAGAAAUGAUCAGAAAGAACAUUGUGGAAUGGGGUAUAAUAUUUACGCCCUUUUAGCAUGUACCAACGGUAUUACCCAAAAAUAAAACUGGGUGCAAUAAUGCUGGUAACAACCGCAGCUUAUUAUAGUAGUACGUGGGCAUCGAUAUCACCAGAUAACGAAAACCCCCCUUCAAACUUGGUUUGGUUGUUAGGUGCAAGUGGUUGGUACUGAGGUCUCAAGUUCGAAUUCUAAUUGAUUCAUAUUUUCAGCUAAAUUUAUUUCUAAAUAAAAUAAACGAAACGGAUAGCGUGCUACAUAUCUCUCUCAAAAAAAAGAAGAAGUUAUUGGGUGCAAAUCUUGAGGUCGGAAUUAAAGCUUCUAUUUGAUCAGCUCAAAUUUCAAUUUUAUGUCCCUAAAUUCAGGUAAUACAGAUAGAUCUUUGGAAGAGUUCAUAGACAAUAAGGUAGCAUUUGGAUCAGGGAUAAGGGGAGGGAUAACCCUUUAUCCCCUUUAUCCAAACGCAAAUUUUUUACCCGAGAAUAGUAGUUCUCGGGUACCUGAAAUAAGCUGGUAUAACUAUUCUCACCAACACUCAAUUUUCUAUAUAUAACCAUCUACUAUUUUUCUUAUUCCAUAUUAUCUAUCCAAAAGUUAUUUUUCUUAUCCCCGGAAACAACCUAAUUUUUAUCCAAAUGCUAUUUUUUUUCCCCAUACUUAUACAUAUUCCUGUAAUAGCUAAUUCUUUCUUAUACCCGAACCAAACGAAGUCAAAAGAUCUUCCAAUCAAUUCACAAGGAAGUAAAAUAAAUAAACAAAUAUAAAAGUUCAAUAAAGAAAAAAUAAAGUAAUCAUGAGUUGAUGUAGGAAAUGAUAAAUAAUACUUUUUAGAAACAGUCGUUACCUUUUAAAAACUUAAGUUGGUAUUUAUAUAUUUUUAUAUUUAACAAAAAAAACUUAAUGUUUUGUAUCCGACGUUCAAAGUUCGAAGCGUAAUUAAUUUAUAUUCUUAACUAAAUUUAUUCUUCAAAAAAUAAAUGCUACUUAAAAAAUUAAUGGGCUACGAUUGGUUAGGGUAUAAGUAAGAACUGCUUAUUAAGGGGUAGGUAUAAGUUUAGCUGUAAGCAGAAAUUAGACCAAUUUUACGUUUGAAUAAAAAUCGAGUUGUUCCUAGAAAUAAGGUAAAUAGUGUUUGGAUGAUUAGAUUUAAACAAGAGGAAUAAGAGUUAUAAUUUUAAAUUAAAAAUAUUUUAGCUAACUAAUUAACAUCAAAAUAUUAAUUAAAAAUCGUUUAAUAAAUUAAUAAAUAUAUUAGCUAUGAAUAUUGUAUAAGAUAAUAAAAAUAUAUUAAUUAAUUAAUUAAUUAUAAAAAUAGUUUAACUUUUUAAUUAGUUAGUAAAUAUUUUAAUUAGAUAAUUAGUGAAAAUUUUAAUUCGAUUAAAUAAAAUAUUAAUAGUUGAUCAAUAUAAAUAUUAGUUUAUGAAUAAAUAUUACAAAUUAUUAAUAAUUAAUUAGCUAAUUAAUNAUUGUUUUUAGUCUCGUAACUUAAAAAAGAAAUGAUCAGGAAGAACAUUGUGGAAUGGGGUAUAAUAUUUACGCCCCUUUUAGCAUGUACCAACGGUAUUACCCAAAAAUAAAACUGGGUGCAAUAAUGCUGGUAAGUGGUAACAACCGAUGCUUAUUAUAGUAGUACGUCGGCAUCGAUAUCACCAGAUAACGAAAACCCCGCUUCAAACUUGGUUUGGUUAUUAGGUGCAAGUGGUUGGUACUAAGGUCUCAAGUUCGAAUUUUAAUUGAUUCACAUUUUCAGCUAAAUUUAUUUUAAAAUAAAAUAAACGAAACGGAUAGCGUGCUACAUAUCUCUCUCAAAAAAAAGAAGAAGUUAUUGGGUGCAAAUCUUGAGGUCGGAAUUAAAGCUUCUAUUUGAUCAGCUCAAAUUUCAAUUUUAUGUCCCUAAAUUCAGGUAAUACAGAUAGAUCUUUGGAAGAGUUUAUAUACAGUAAGGUAGCGUUUGGAUCAGGGAUAAGGGGAGGAAUAACCUUUUAUCCUCUUUAUCCAAACGCAAAUUUUUUAUCCGAGAAUAGUAAUUCUUGGGAACCUGAAAUAAGCUGGUAUAACUAUUCCCACCAACAUCUCGAUUUUCUAUAUAUAACUAUCUACUAUUUUUCUUAUUCCGUAUUAUCUAUUCAAAAGUUAUUUUUCUUAUCCCCGAAAACAACCUAAUUUUUAUUCAAAUGCUAUUUUUUUUAUCCCCAUACUUAUACCUAUCCCUGUAAUAGCUAAUUCUUUCUUAUACCCGAACCAAACGAAGCCUUAAGAAAUCUUCCAAUCAAUUCACAAGGAAGUAAAAUAAAUAAACAAAUAUAAAAGUUCAAUAAAGAAAAAAUAAAGUAAUCAUGAGUUUAUGUAGGAAAUGAUAAAUAAUACUUUUUAGAAACAAUCGUUAAUUUUUAAAAACUUAAGUUGGUAGAGAACGGUAUUUAUAUACUUUUAUAUUUAACAAAAAAAACUUAAUGAUUGGUAUCCGACAUUCAAAGUUCGAAGCGUAAUUAAUUUAUAUUCUUAACUAAAUUUAUUCUUCAAAAAAUAAAUGCUACCUUAAAAAAUUAAUGGGCUACGAUUGGUUAGGGUAUAAGUAAGAACUGCUUAUUAAGGGACAGGUAUAAGUUCAGGUGUAAGCAGAAAUUAGACCAAUUUUGCGUUUGAAUAAAAAUCGAGUUGUUCCUAGAAAUAAGGUAAAUAGUGUUUGGAUGAUUAGAUUUAAAUAAGAGGAAUAAGAAUUAUAAUUUUAAAUUAAAAAUAUUUUAGCUAACUAAUUAACAUCAAAAUAUUAAUUAAAAAUAAUUUAAUAAAUUAAUAAAUAUAUUAGCUAUGAAUAUUGUAUAAGAUAAUAAAAAUAUAUUAAUUAAUUAAUUAAUUAUAAAAAUAGUUUAGCUUUUUAAUUAGUUAGUAAAUAUUUUAAUUAGAUAAUUAGUGAAAAUUUUAAUUAGAUUAAAUAAAAUAUUAAUAGUUGAUCAAUAUAAAUAUUAGUUUAUGAAUAAAUAUUACAAAUUAUUAAUAAUUAAUUAGCUAAUUAAUUUAUAAAUAAUAAAUUAAUUAAUUUUUUAUUAUUUAAACAAUAGAUAAUAAUUUAAAUAUAUUAAUUAUAUUAAUUAAUUAAAUGAAUAAGUUUAUUUCAGGAAAAAGAAUGGAACAACAGUUUUAAAUUUAUACCGAAUUAUGCCAGUUUAUUUCAGAAACUCGCGAGUUACUGUUUUUAAAUAUGAAAAUUUUCGUUUGAAAACAAAGGAGGAAACAACGAUUUAUUUCCCCCAGUUUUUGAACCAAAACUACCAACGGAAAGUAUUAGUGGAUACAAAUGGAUACAGCCCUCGUUACGUGGCAGUGCGUAUCUUCCCAUAUCUAGUUAUUUAGUUAGGUACGCACGCAUCUGAGGCUUUCCAUGUGGGUUGGCCCCAAAUUAGCAUGUUUAUCAUUACUAACUAUAAGAAGUUUGGAACUAAUCAAUUUUUCUCCCCAAAAUUAGCAUGUUUAUAAUUGUUAACUUAUUAUAAAAGCACCCAAUAUGUUCUUUAGAUUUUGAAACUCAUCAAUCUCUUCAUCACUAUUUGCAUCUCUUUGCCUCAAUUUUCAAAUAAUCAAAUGGCACUUCGUAAGGGCUUUGGCUUUUGCACCUUUUAUUUCAUUUUUGCGUUUCUCUCAUCGUUCAGCAUUUGUGCGCGCUCCGAACAGAAACACUCCAACUUCUCUGCUGACGCGGCCUCACAGUGGGGCCCCGCCAGCGCCACGUGGUACGGCGACCCCCACGGUGCCGGCCCCGCUGACAAUGGUAUUAUGUUCAUCUUUUCUAGACAGAAGAUUUAGGACCUAUUUUGCCUAAUUUUUUUUAUAAAUAUUAAAUAAUUUUAUUCUAAGAAUAUUUAACAAACUAGAUUCUGAUAAUAGUACGUGUUAAUUAAUUGGUAAGAAUCAUAUUUAGUUUUGAUAAUCUAGUAUAAUUUGUCAGUAUUUAUUUGAUUUUAAGUGAUUUAAUUUUUUUUGUAGUUCUUGAAUUUUCUGGGCGGCCCAAUUUUAAAUGAGCUAUAUUUGAAAGUCUGUCAAUAUUUUAUUAUAUGUGAGUUUAGUCAUACGUUUAAAACUAGUCUUAUUGCAGUAUUUUAUAUACUCCAUUAUCUUCACUACAACAGAAUUAGGUUAUAGGGACACAUGUUUGGAACACUUUUGUAUAAGUGUCUCAUUUAUACCAAAACUUAAAAAAAAAUCUACUAAUGCCUAAAUAUAAAACCCAAUCUAAUUAAAAAUAAAAGAUUACUCUACUCAACCCACCCCACCCUGCUCAUUCGGCCCGAUUAGAAACAGAAAAGAAAAAAAAAAAAGAAAAAUCGAUUAUCAUCUCCCCUUCUCUCCUCACUCAAUCUACUGAAAUCCUAGACGAAGAUCCCUUCCUCUCAUCCUCCUCCGCCACCGCAGCCAACGAGAUAGAGUUCCGGCGGUUGCUAAAUGCUUGCAAAUUAGCAGCACUCUGUUAUGUUAUAGCGACACUUUUUAACUGUCACUAUAUACCUAGCGACUCCACAUAUAGCAACAUUUUUUAAAAAUGUCGAUAAUUUAGCCAGUGGCACUUUUUUGACCUAUACCGACAAUUAAAGUAUCGCUAUAGACCGUUUUUGUUGUAGUGCUUUAAGCUAGUCUUUUGGAUGAUAAUAAGAGUAAUGUUAUCCACAAAACUCUCGCACGGACGACACGACAUGAGCUGAGCUAGGGUGGGCGGCAGCAUGCUUACCCGAUUAANAAAAAAAAUCGAUUAUCAUCUCCUCUUCUCUCCUCACUCAAUCUACUGAAAUUCUAGACGAAGAUCCCUUCCUCUCGUCCUCCUCCGCCACCGCAGCCAACGAGGUAGAGUUCCGGCAGUUGCUAAAUACUUAAAUAAGUGUUGCCAAAUUAGCAGCACUCUUUUAGGUUAUAGCGACACUCUUUAACUGUCACUAUAUACCUAGCGACCCCACAUAUAGCAACACUUUUUGAAAGUGUCGGUAAUUUAGCCAGUAACAUUUUUUUUAACCUAUACCGAUAUUUAAAAGUGUCGCUAUAGACCGUUUUUAUUGUAGUGCUUUAAGCUAGUCUCUUGGAUGAUAAUAAGAGUAAUGUUAUCCACAAAACUCUCGCAUGGACGACCCGACAUGAGCUGAGCUAGGGUGGGCGGCAGCAUGCUUUAAAUCUGAGAUUUUUUUAUUUUACUUUCUUAUUUUAUUUGUUGAAUUUUCGAAAGUCUAUAUGGUGCGAAUUGCAUCACCCUAGAGAUGUGUUGAAGGGAUGGAUCGUAGUUGUUAUAUCGUUAAAGGUGAUUGUCGAAAUCUCGCACGUAGAAAGGCAAUCGUUAUUUUAGAACAGUGCAUAAUACAUUUCGACUCACAGCCUUAUCUUAACCUUUUAUAUAUCUCUGUAGUGUUGUACUAUUAUUUUGUACAUGUAUUUUUAAAUGGUUAUUUAAACUCUCCGAUUCAAAAUAUUUUUAAAAUAGAGCUAUAUUUUACAAAAAAACAAUAGACAGAUUUUCCAAGAGAAUUCUCAAGUGUGAUAAAUUCUGAAAAAAUUAUUUGCCAGUAUCAAAAUGUAUGUAGGAGAAAAAGCAAUUAAUUUUGUGAGAAGCAAUUAAUUAGUUUCUCUCUCUAAUUCAUUGAAUAGGUGGUGCAUGCGGGUUCAAGAAUGUGAAUCUGCCUCCUUUCUCAUCCAUGACAUCGUGUGGGAACCCAGCCCUCUUUAAAUCGGGAAAAGGAUGUGGCGCUUGCUAUCAGGUCUAAUUACCCCAAAAUUUACGAAGAUUUAGUAAAAUUAACCAAAAAUCAAUUGUAUUUGAUCGAGUAAUUACAUAUCAGGUGAAAUGCACGAGCCACCCGGCGUGCUCCGGCAACCCGUCGACCCUCGUGAUCACCGACGCGUGCCUCGGCGGAGUCUGCCUCGACGCGCCAUUCCAUUUCGACAUGAGCGGAACGACUUUCGGGUCCAUGGCAAAACCCGGCCUCGACGACGAGCUUCGCCACGCCGGAAAAAUCCCAAUACAAUUCACCAGGUGAGUUUGAACACCUCUAUACUUUCAAAAAUACAUAAGCUCGAAUAUAAAAAAUAACUCUAUAAACAUUUCCUUUGUUUUAAUCAAAUAUUCUAUUUGAGGUGAUUUUCGUACAUUUUUUUUCCUCGUUUAAAUUCUCAGAGUACCCUGCAACUACCCGGGCUUGAACAUUGCCUUCCACGUCGAGAAUGGCUCGAAUCCGUUUUACUUUGCGAUCCUGAUCGAGUACGAGAACGGGGACGGAGAUCUCACGGCGGUCGAUCUUAUGGAGGGCGGCAGCCACGGGCAAGGCGUAUGGACUCCGAUGCGCGAGUCAUGGGGCGCGAUAUGGAGAUUGGACUCGAACCACCCGUUGCAGGGCCCGUUCUCGGUCCGGCUCACCACUCUCACUUCCGGGAAGACCCUCGUCGCCGCCGAUGUGAUUCCGGCCAAUUGGAAGCCCCUAACCACCUACAGAUCAGUUGUGAACUUUAGUAACUAGUAAUUAUACACAAAGAAUUAAUGCUAGAAGUGUUGUUUGUGAGGGCUAUGCAUUGGUUGGGGUUCGUGUAGCCACCCUUACCAUUUGCUUGUUAUAGUGUUGAGAGCACAAAUAAUAAAAAUAAGACAUGCUUGAAGAUUUAUCGAUCUGAGCCAUUAAUCCAUAUAUAGCACAAGUCCAAAUAUUGAAAUUAAAUAUGUUGUUUCUAAACUUCAAUAAAGUUUUGAUAUUUUUUUUUAAUGCUUUUCGAUACAAUAAAAGUUUAGAAUUUUAAAAUUAUUAGUACGCAAUGUUUUUUUUUUCAAAUAUAAAAUUAAGUAAUUUGAGAAGUCAUAUCAAAUAACCGGUCAAAGAACUUUUUUUUUUGUGUGUGUAAUUGUCUUCAUAGACGUCACCGAAUGUAAGGACAAAAUUACAAGUAAAUAAACUUUACAUCUCUAACCCAAAAUUUUAAAAUUAAUUAUAUUUAUACUCUUGUUUGUUGUAGAAAUUUUCUUAAUGAUUUUUUCUUUGUUUGUAAUUCAGGAACAAUCCUCCUUGUGGAAUGGAGUAUUGAAAUCAAUAUGCUAUUUUUUAAAGGAAACUUAAUUUGUUUCCAAGAAUAUAAAUAUAAUUAAUUUUAAAAUUAUUAGUACGCAAUGUUUUUUUUUUCAAAUAUAAAAUUAAGUAAUUUGAGAAGUCAUAUCAAAUAACCGGUCAAGAACUUUUUUUUUGUGUGUGUAUUUGUCUUCAUCGACGUCACCGAAUGUAAGGACAAAAUUACAAGUAAAUAAACUUUACAUCUCUAACCCAAAAUUUUAAAAUUAAUUAUAUUUAUAUUCUUGGAAACAAAUUAAGUUUCCUUUAAAAAAUAGCAUAUUGAUUUCAAUACUCCAUUCCACAAGGAGGAUUGUUCCUGAAUUACAAACAAAGAAAAAAUCAUUAAGAAAAUUUCUACAACAAACAAGAGUAUGCAUGCUUUAAUUAAUCGACGUUAAAUUCUAUAAUUUUCGAGUUUAAUUUAUUAGAAUUAAUCCAAUAAUAAAUGUGAAAGUCCACGACAACAUGAAAUAUUAUAAGCCCAAAAAUAUAUCUUAAUAUAUUUGUUCUUAUUAUUAUAUCUAAAUAAUGAAUCUUAUAAGAAACAAUUAUAAGCCCAAAAAUAUAUCUUUUUCUUUUUUUCUUUUUUUUUUGGGGCUAGUUUCUUUUGACGUGGUUUUUUUUUUUUUUUUACCUUGAGGCUCUGGUUGUCUCACCCAUGUACCCUAAUUCAUAUUUUUAAUGAAUGAAGCGGAUAGCGUGCUAUCUACUCUCUUAAAAAAAAAAAAAUUACUUAACACACAUAAUCGACAACGGAGGGGAGAACUUAACGCCUCCUACUCUUUCCGCGCCGUCUUUUUAUUAUAUAUAUAUAGAAAUCAUAUUACACCACACUUAGCAUCUAGGGUCAUACAUAAAUAUAAUCAGACCCCUGAUACUCCCCUUAGUUACCACAAUAUAUAACAUUCUCUCACACACCAUAAUUAAUACAUUUUCAACUUUGACACGUACUGAUCCAUUCUCCGAACAAGCAUUCGAUCACUUAGCUGCUAUAGUUCACCACCGACCGAUACGUCGCCCCGGGCUGCCACCCGACCGGAAUCACGUUGUUAGCCACAAGCACUUUCCCGGAUGUUCCCGAUGUGAGCCGGAUCGAGAACGGAGCUUGUAGCGUGGAGCCCGGGUUCAGCAUCCACACCGCGCCCCAUGAAUGUUCCAUCGAUUCCCACGUGCUCGAUCCUCCUUGCAUCAAAUCGACGGCCUGGAGAUCACCAUCUCCGCCUACGUACACGAUCAGGACGGCAAAGUAGUUCGAGUUCGAGCCCGAGUCGACGCGGAAGGUGAUGUCGACGCCUGGGAAGUUGCACUGCACGCUGCAAAGCCAAGUGGAUGUUUCUUCUUUUCAAAUUUGUUGUUAUAUACGCUGUGUAAACGUUACUAAUUAAAUCCGGGAAAAGUUUUAUAAACCGCAUAUAUAGCAUGUUUAAUGCGUACGUGAUAGGCGUGUUACGGCGUUAAGGACAAUAUUUUGGUCAUAACGUUCACGAACGUCUUGUAGGUACGCAUACACUGCGUACCACUUCUUGUUGAAGCCUUCAUACUAGAAUCUGAACAAAUUUAUUUUAUUUGUCCCUAUUUUUACUAUAUAGUCAUCUCUAAUAAAUUUUUUUUCAAAAAAAAAAAAACUCAAAUAAUACUUUCUUAAAUAUUAGUGUGUCCCCUAGCUUAUUCAAACAAAUACGUGUGGGUACAUAUGAAAUGCUUACCGAGUGUACUGUAUUUGCAGUACUCCGACAUUGCGGAGCUGAUCGGCUUUGCCGGAAAGAGCCAUGGCUCCGAAUGCAGUCCCGCUCAUGUCGAAGUGGACGGGCUCAGCUAGGCAUGGUCCACCUGGGCAUUCGUCGGUGAUCACGACAGUCACCGGAUUACCAGAGCACGUGGAAUUUGCAGUGCACUUCACCUGAAAAAUAUUCAUAGUUAAAAAGAAACGACCAAUAUAUAUACUAGCCGUGGCCAACCAAAAGCUAGCUCAAGUUACUUAGCGGCGUUAGGGUUCAACCUGGUAACAUGCCCCGCAGCCCUUGCCCGAGUUGUAUAUAGAAGGGCUCCCAGCUGCGAUCAUGGAAGAGAACGGAGGCUGAUCCACUGCGUUUUGAUACCCGCAAGCACCACCUACAUGUAUAUACGUAUGUACAAAAUACAUGAGACAACUCGUACCAUAUAUAUAUAAUACAUGUUCAUAUAUAUAACUUCAUAUGCGCACAUACGUACCGUCACUUCCGGCGCCAUUAGAGCUCCCAUACCACGUCGCUCCUCCCGUAGACCAGCCAGAGGACGCCGCAGCAGAUGAAUAGUCAAAGAGCUUACGAUUGAAGCAUGCACCGGGGUUUAUAAAGAGUGAGAAUAAAGCUGAGAAAGCGAAAACAAAGGAAACGAAGGAGAGCGCCAUUGCUUUGUAUAGGACAGUGAAGAGGAAUUAAAUUUAUAAGAAGAGUUGGUUGUGUGGUGUGAAGGAGAGUGUUUAUGCCAUGGGGUAUUUAUAGGCGUGGGAGUGUGUUUAAUUAAUAAGUUUAAGUAGUUCAUUAAUAAAAGAGUUACUUCAGAGUUUGCUUGUAGCACAUGGCUAGCUAAGUGACUAGCUAGGGUCGUUACGUUAGUUUGCGUGGGAACGGAUUUUGUGUGAGCGUUUGUGUAACUGCAGAUUACGAAGCUGACGUUUGGGACCCACAGAAACGUCGUGUGCAGGCGUUUGACCAAUGAGCUUUUGGUCAAAGGUGGCGAGAGCCGAGUGAAUCAUGUGAUCGCGCGGCUUGAGCCUAAUUCACGCAAUUUAUGGGAGUAGUCGUGUGCAUGGCGAGAGCGAACGGCUUAUAGUUCUAUGCGAUCGAUUUGUGUUUUCCCAGAGUUAACAAAAAAAAAAAAAAAAAAGAGAAAAAAAAAAGGAGCAAUUUCGAAGCAAAAAAAUAUCGAAGCUGUUUCAUCUGCUUCACAUCACGCGAAUGAUAUGAAUUUUAAAAUCGUAUAAAUAGUAAAUAAAAUAGUAUAUAACUUUUUUUUGUCAGCUGAAUUUUAAAAUUAAAAUUUUAUAUUUUAGACGUGAAUUAUUUUUAUCACUUUUGCUUCUUAAAACUAAAAGCGAAUACAAAAUGCUCUCAUAGGAUGGCCAAGCAGAUCAAAGUUAACGAAAAAAAUUAUUUUUUUUGGAAAAAAAAGGACUAUACUUUUAGCCUCAAAAGCUAAACCUGAGCUUUUUUAAGGUCUAACGAGAUCAAGUCGAGCCGAGUCGAGUCGAGCCGGGCUAGAACUUGAACUCAUUAAACCAGACUUAAACCGUUAUUGCGGUUAGGGCGGGCCCACACCCUACGAGCGCACGCACGAAUUUCAACGCAUCCCCUCCACUAAAAACCUCCCCAAUCUCAGCGCCACGAAAGCGAGUCUCCUCCCCUUAACCGAGCCGUUGAUGUUGGCUCCUUGCCGUUGAAACAGCCGUGGGCCCCAGCGAAUCCUACAUCAUGGGACGGUGGGGAUUGAAUCAUUGUUCUCGUGAUAUGCAACAUCAGCCGUAAAAUUUGGCGGGUUUUGGUGCUUGGACCCCCUUUUCCCCCGUCAUUUUGUAGCACGACCUGAGAUUUUCUCAACUCAUUAAUUCAGGAAAUUACUUAAUUAGCCAAUUAAUUAGGAUAAGGAUUAUACGUUGACCUUUUUCUAAUUAAUGUAUAGCAUGUGAUGCGAUUUUAUAUCAUUGUUCGCAACCUUUUUUUUUUACGUGCAAGUUAUUCAAAUGUCAAUAUCAUGCUACUAAAAAUUGGAGUAGCAAAAAUUCAAGUCCAGAUCAAAAUGGGGUCGGAUGACUGUAAGUGGUGAUGGAUAUUCACUAUUUCUAAAUCCGACCGGUAUCUAAUUUUUGGACAACAGCUUGUAUCGGCAUUCAAGUCCGGUUUAAAUUAAUUAUGAUAAUUUUAAGUCCAAAUUUAUAAAAAAUUUAAUAUAUAUAUAUAUAUAUAUUCAGAAUAAAAAUAUCAUAAUCAUAGAACUAUUUCAUAUCAUUUGAAAAUAAACUUUUUCAAAUAAAAAAUUACAAUAUAAUUUAAUUGUACUAUUUUAACUAUCACGCUCAAAACCGAGUUGUUGAUCCAGUUUGUCGGAAUUUUCAUAUCCGGAUCCAAUUAGAAUUUUAAUCAGGACAAAAUAAUUAAUUUGUUUGGAAUCAAUUUUUCUAACAGAAUUUUUUGUCUGAUUUCGGUUAAUAAUCAGCUAGUUAAAAAAAAAAGUGCUUUUGGAUAAUUAAGGAUCAAUAGUGUAGAACAACAAUCCAUUUUGUAUUGUAAACCUUGCAUUAAUUGCUAGUUGUGAAAUUAAUCUUUUUGGAGCCAGUGAUGUUAUUAGAGAGUGGUUAUAUCUCGCUGCUACGUACGUAUCAGGGUGGAGAAGUCAAAUAAAAAAUAUCAUGAAUUUAUUUUUUUUUGAUUAAACAGGAGUACACUCUAUUUGAAAGAAUAUCAUUAAAUUUUAAUCAAACUUUGAAUGGUACAGAUGUGUAGACACUGUUCACGAGUUCGUAUGCUAGGUCGAAAUAUUUUGAUUAAACUGUUACUACGUUUUGUAUGAAAUUACGGGACUUUUGCUUAAUUUUUUGCAUAAGCAAAUGCGUUGGCCCCUAACCAUAUACAUAUACAUGUGUCGUGCCACCCAGAUUAGAUUAGUUUGUAAGGGUUGGAUUUGGACUUAAUUUAAUUUUCUUAAGUCUUCGUAUGGCCUAGUAAUGCAAGAGAGAGAGAGAUCCAUCUCGUAUUUCCGACGAAUUGGGCAUGCAUGGGUUGGACUUGAGCUCUAGUUGGGCAUUAUUGAUUGGAUUAGGCAUUUUUCUGAAGAUUAAGAUUUUCGCAAGCAUAAUCCAAGCUUGAAAUCCUAUAAUUUACAUGUCAAAUGAAAAAAAAAAAAGACAUUCUUUUGAAAUUUCGGAAGAGAAGUUUCCUAACAUUUUAUUAAAGAGACCAAACGUUGCUAGCACAAAUGGCAAAGGACACAGUGAUUAGUACCUGAGAUCUCUAAGUUCGAGUUCUAAUUGAUUCAUAAAUUUAUUUUUUAGAAUUUUUUUUUUUUUUAGAGAUAGGUAGCACGCUACCCGCUUCGUUUAUUUCAUUUAGAAAUAAACUUAGCUGGAAAUGUGAAUCAACUAGGAUUCGAACUUGAGUCUCGGGUACCAAUCACCAAGCCCUUGCCACUUGCUCUAGAGACGGUCGGUAUUUUUUUAAAAAAAUUAAACAAAACGGAUAGCAUGCUACCUUUUUUUCAAAAAAAAAAAGUAUUAUUCUAAAGAGAGAAAAAAGUAUAGCAAUAUUUUCGAAGAAACAAAGGACAAUUGUAUCUGUUUUUGAGAUUAAGAUAGCACUUUACUGUACUAUUCGUUGAAAAAAUAAAUUUGGCUAAGAAAAAAAAAAAAAAGAGAGACAGCCGAGCCUCUAGAAAAGGAGAUGGUCGACUCUACUUUUGCUAAAUACAUCAGCAAAAGCAACGUAUGAUUACGAUUGAGAACUCCCCUAACUUCUAAACCACGGAAAAGAUACUGUGGUUUAAAUGAAGUUAAAUUUAAUGCAAAACUCUUUCCAGAAACCUACAUAUAUAAUUGCUAGAUUCUCAAAAAAAAGAUUCUCCAAGUUAAUUGAAAUAGGCAACAUAAGCCUGUAAAUAUACGAUCACGUAUAAUAUUUUUAAGUUACAAAGAAUAAUAAAUAGUUUUCAUAAUUUAGAACUUUUGAGAUUUGAAACAUUGCCCAUCCAUCUCCACUGUAUACUUCAUCACUAUAUUCAAUUCAUUGUAAAAUGGUUUUUCUCUCUCAACCAAUAACCCCUAGUAUAGUGGCUAAGAGUUUAAUAAUUAGUAUCUAUAGUUCAAAUUUCAAGGCGUAGUUACUUUGUAUUUUUAGUUAAAUUUAUUUUUUUUAAAAGUAAACAAAGCGAAUAAUUAAUUUACUCUCUUUUUUUUUCUCAAAAACAAUAAAUCCUGAGAAAAAAACACAUCACGGCCAUUCAAGAUAUUGAUCUGAAGUAAAUAAAGAAUAUUUUUCUCAUCCAAUAUGUUGAUCUAAAAUAUUUUCCAUCCACAAAUUUCUGGGACUAUACAUUGGGCUACUGGAAAGGAAUGUAUUGGCAUGUAGCUGAGUUACAAAAUAUUUCUUUGCUAUCCAAUCGUGCACGAAGAUCCAGUAACAAUGACAAUACAUGCCGAGUCACAAUUGCCACAGCACAUAAUUGAGGAGAUUUUGGACCAAGUUCUCAUAAGCCACAUAUACAAUUGUGGAAUUGUAGACAUAAACGUGGUCAUGUUACUCUCGUGUGCNAUAAGCCUGUAAAUAUACGAUCACGUAUAAUAUUUUUAAGUUACAAAGAAUAAUAAAAAAUCACUCACGUAGAUUUCAUAAUUUAGAACUUUUGAGAUUUGAAACAUUGCCCAUCCAUCUCCACUGUAUACUUCAUCAGUAUAUUCAAUUCAUUGUAAAAUGGUUUUUCUCUCUCAACCAAUAACCCCUAGUACAGUGGCUAAGAGUUUAAUAAUUAGUAUCUAUGGUUCAAAUUUCAAGGCGUAGUUACUUUGUAUUUUUAGUUAAAUUUAUUUUUUUUUUUUAAAGUAAACAAAGAGAAUAAUUAAUUUACUCUCUUUUUUUUUCCUCAAAAACAAUAAAUCCUGCGAAAAAAACACAUCACGGCCAUCCAAGAUAUUGAUCUGAAGUAAGAAAAUAAUAUUUUCCUCAUCCAAUUUGUUGAUCUAAAAUAUUUUCCAUCCACAAAUUUCUGGGACUAUACAUUGGGCUACUGGAAAGGAAUGUAUUGGCAUGUAGAGGAAUUACAAAAUAUUUGUUUGCUAUCCAAUCGAGCGCGAAGAUCCAGCAACAAUGACAAUACAUGCCAAGUCACAAUUGCCACAACACAUAAUUGAGGAGAUUUUGGACCAAGUUCUCAUAAGCCACAUAUACAAUUGUGGAAUUGUAGACAUAAACGUGGUCAUGUUACUCCCGUGUGCAUGUAUAGAUAAGAUUUGGGCAAGCAUUGUGUCACACGCGAUAAGAUCUGCAAUGGUAUAUACUAGCAAAUAUGAUUGGCACUUUAUACUACAUGCAAAAGCUAUAUAAAUUAAGCAUUUAUACUAUAUAUUUUAAGACAUUAGUAAAUUAUAAUACAUAUAUAGAUAUCCUGUCCAAUGCUAUUGAUGGUAUGACAACAUCAUUGUUACACUCUAAUUAUUAAUUACUAUAUACUAAACAGUAUCAUUACACCCUAAAUUCUAAAUUAUACUCCUUUCAUAUGAAUAGCCCAAUGCAUCGAUAAUAUAAUGAAGUAUCUAAAAGUGAAGUAUCCCAAACAUUUCUCUUGUUUAAUUGUAAAUUACAAGGGUACUGCAAAAUUAAGCAUAGACCUCGUAACAUUUCCCAAGCUGAUAAAAUUAUAAAAAAAAUAUAAAAUUAUAAUCAUUUCAAUAACUUCAAAAAGAAGGAAGAAAACAACGUUAUCAACACGUCAAUCUCUCUGAAAUAGAAAGAUGUCAAUUUCUUGGCACCUGCAUGCAUAGUGUCGGCAGUGUGAGAAAUUAUAGAUCAUUUGCACUGAGUAUAUUCUUACAUCUCAUAUGCCACACUAAAUACAUACAAUAAAAAUCUAAACAUAAUAAUGUAAUCUACAAUAUCUGGAGACGUGUAUAUAUAAGGUUUCAUUUCACCACCCCUCACUCAAAUACAAUGCUAAGACAUUUCUUGGAACUUUGAGGGGUAAAGCUUACACCUUGUCUCUUAAUUAGUUUAAUUAUAGUAACGUCUUAUUAUUACUAUAUUAAAAGUACCACAACAUUACAAUAAAGCUUAUACCUAGUCUCUUCAUUAGUUUAACUAUAGCACGUAACAUCCUAUUAUUACUACAUUAAAAGUACCACAACAUUACACAAAGCACAAGGAAAAGCAACAACAUAAAACAAUUAAGAUAACACCAACCGUACAAAGUGCAAUUGAUUAAAAAUAUAAUGAUUUAUAUCUGAAAUUCUAAAUUCGAAAUCUAAUUAUCUCACAAAAUAGAUAACUUACUAUCUUCUUCAAUAAAUAAAUAAAUAAAUAAAUAAAUAAAAAUAUUUGAGAUUGUGAAAAAAAGUACAACUCGGCUAUUACUGAUAUUGUUCAGAAAAUCAAUCUUUAAAAAUGAUAUAAAAAAAUUUAAACUUCCCGGAAGAUAAAAUUCAUUGAUUAUUUGGACCUUACACAUAAUUUCCACCAUCACAACUUUAACAGAUCUUAUAUAUAUGCACGUGCAUGGAGGAGAGUAUUAGCACUUCCCACAUCAUUCCCUUCGGCUAAAAUAUUCUCAAAUCACACGAAACCAUAUAAGGAAAAAAAAAAGGUGAAAAUAUACACGCCCUGUUAUAAACAUAUAUACAUAUGCAUGCGUUAUAAAUAGCAAUUUAUGUGGAAAAAAUUACUAUAGGAGACCAAUAAAUUAAAAAAGAUUACGAGGAUAUAUAUAUAUAUAUAUAAAAGUUCAUUGGCUAUGGCUUGGAAUUGGAUUGUGUGUUCUGUUGGUAUAGUUGUUGAUAUAAAGCGGCCAUCCUGUUGUAUGCAUCCAUGCUCAUUGGCUGCAAAGAGAUAAAAGGAAUAAAAAAUAUUAAAAAAAGAUGAAGCAAAAAUUGUUUUUAAGGACAAAGUGAAAUAGCAUAUAGUGAAGAUUUGCUUAUAUUAAGGUAUAUAAAACAAUUAUUAUUCUAUAAAAACUAAAGUUAUCGAAAAAAAUAGUAUUUUACUAUUUUAUUUCAAUAGAAACUACGCAUUAGAUUAACUGAUAAAUUGUAUGCAAAAUGUGAAAACUUCACCUAAAUAUUGACAAUGGUCUUUAUUACCCAAUCUUUUAUUUCUUUUAAAUUCAGAAAUAUUUAUUAAAGUUAAGUAGGUUACAUAUAUAUUAUUCCGUCAAAAAGAUUACCAAUGUCAUGGAGAUGAAAGCCAAGUAUAUCAAAUCCACCACAAUAUCAGCUGAUUCUAAAAUUAAUUUGAACUUCUUUUUAGUUUAGCUACGCAUUUCAAAAUGCACCAGAGUUUAUGUAAGAUAUGUCCGACCGCCGAGUGUACCUGCGCAGUUUGGCAUGCAAGGAAUGCCGAGAAGGGAUCAGGCGACACGAUGGGGCCGCUGGGCUGCUGCAACCGAUCGCCGGAGCCGUCCCAGGAAGGGGACAUAAUCGGGAGGAAGGGCGAAGGAUGAAGAAGGGGAGGCAGAGAAGGUAAGCCCAUCGGCCCGGUCCUACCGAGCGAGCUAAGAUCCAUCAUGCCCAUGCCCAUCCCCAUCUGGGCCAUUUGGGCCAUGUUGGCCAUGUUACCAAUCAUAGACAUCUGCAGCGGCAACGGCAUCGUCAUCGGCAUCAGCAUGCCGCUCAUCCGGUUCAUCAUCUGCGCCUGAGCUUGUAGCUGCUUCACGUACUCGAUCACCUCGUCAAGCAUCGAUGCUUUAUCCGUCUUUUUCAUUACCCAAAAAAAUAAUAAUGUUUGAUCGCUGCUCGCUUUCUUUAUUCGGUAAUAUAAAUCAUAAAUUACAAGAAAUAAUUAAUUUCUAUUAAUGAUUACCUUGCUUGAGUUGGGGACUAGUUUCUGCAAGGUGUUCAUCCUCUGGUUGAUUCUGUCCCUUCUUUUCUGCAAGCAAAUACAUGUAGUUAUAGCUAAAAUACAUUAUUCUUUUCGUCUAAUUUUAACUGACGUACGACCCUUAAAAUUUUGAAUAACUCAACAAAUCAAUUUUAUACAAGCGCAUUAUAUACUAAAAGGAUAAGAUGUGUAUAGCUUGUCAGAAUCUCGGUAGAGUACAACAAAGAACAGUUAAACCUUGGUAAGCUAUUAUCCAAGCACAAUAUAUUUAACUAAACCACAUUUAAAAAGUUCUGUACCAUAAUUAUUAAGUUCUGUAUAGGUCACGGUCGAACCGAUCGCAGUGAGUUGCCGUGUUGACUCUUCGCAUGAAGGCACAAAACUCACUAGUCAACAAACAAAAGUGAACAAACCGUGUGAGCCCAAAUCUUACAUGGUACUUAAUUUCCAGGAGCGAGACUAGUUUGAAGCUUAAGGAAUGCUCUUUUGCUAAGGUUUUUAGUAUACACCAAAACUGCAAAGAAAAGUGGCUUCAAUUGUUGUUUGAGUAUAUCGAUCGAGACAUUAUGCAUACCUCUUUCUCACCGUAAAUCGUUGAUAUACACAAAUUUAUAUAAUAUCUUGACGGUACAUAAAUCAAACAGAGCUCUUCAUAUUAUGACGAUGAACAAACAUAGAUCAUACGAACAAUAUUUUGCUACGCCAAUAGUGAUAGUAAUCUUAAAAUGCUUAAAAUGAAAGUUGCUGAACCAGUAACAAGGGACAAUAAGCAUGUUAUGCGGCGGGGCCACAAAUAUAAACUUUUUCCUCGCAGCCUUGUCACUGGUUCAGCAACCAAAUUUCUAACCCACGUUAAACUAUGAAAGUUGCUUUCUCAAUCAAAUCGCGUUUAAUAACUAAUUAAACCCGUGAUGUAAAAGAAAACUGGGGGUGUAAAAAAAAAAUCCUGUAUAGGAACUCGACUUCAUUUUGGAUCAAUUGGAAUUUGUUAUCUAAUCUUAGAAAACUUUCAUUUUAGUAAUAAAUUUUCAAUACGCUUGAUUUAUAUCAUAAGAAUUAUUGCCUUCAAUUGGAGAUGCACGGGCACAUCCGAGCAUCGCGCCAGAAUCAUCCAGUUCUUAAAAACUGUAGUAAAGUACUAAAAUUCACAGGCUAAGAACCGACGACAAAAUAGAUACACACCUGAGCGCAAGCGAUAAUUUUACGAGACAAUGAAAUAACACUGAAAUCACAUGGGAUUAUUAUUUGAAAGAUCAGUAAGUAAGUUGACAGCAACCCAUAAGCACAGGUCGUCGUCUUCAGAUGACCUGUACUUAUAGAUUGCUGUCAACUUUUUAACCGAGAGAGCGAAAAAAAAUUUAUUUCAUGCCAGUAAAAUUGUUUCUUACACGUUCAGAUUGGUUGUGGACGGCGGCCGCUCUGCUCUUCUUGGCGGAGCUAGAAGACCUCCCGGCCUCCCUCUUCGCCGCCUUCUCCUCCUCGUUGCACACGCCAUCUUUCUAUUUGUUUAUAUAUAUAAUAACGUACAUAAUUAAGCUCCAUUUGUUUUUUUUUUUUUUUUUUUUUGAGAAAAACAAUAACAAGAAUUGUAAUGGAAAGCAUGCAUGUAUGGUUUUACUUGGGGCGGUCGUCGGCUGUGGCAAACGGAGUCGUAGCAUCCUCCGCCGCGGCCGAAGCUGGUGUUCUCCGUCCCGGGGGAGCCCAGCGAGGCCGAGGUGUUGUUGUUGGUGUUGGUGGUGGUGGUGGUGGGGCUGGUGGUGGUGGGGGUGAAGCACACCUCGUCGCCCCCCGCGCCCCCGCUGCUCGUGUCGAACGCCGCCAACGCGCUCUCCCCGCGCCCCGGCGCCGCGCUCCCCUGGCUCGCCGUAGCAGCACUCCCCCUCCCCCGCUUCCGGCCCCCCGCCACCGCCUCCCCGCACGGCACGAGCAAGUCCGCCGCCGCCGCCGCCGACGGCGAGGGGUGGGACCCGCUGAUCCAAGCGAGCAGGUCGACGCUGGGGCCCACCUCCUGGAGCUGGGGGCGCGUGGCCUGGUCCACGACCGCCUCCAAAGUGCCGUGGCCGCCGCCGCCGCCGUGGUGGUGGUGCUUGUUCCACGGCGAGGCGGCGGAGGUGGGGAAUUUGGGGAGGGGCUUGGCGACGCGGGGGAGGCCGUGGCCCUGCAAGGAGAGGUGGCCGUUCUCCCACGUGAUCUCGGCCACCUCGUAGCGCUCCGACGUGCCCGCCGUGGGGACGAGCGGAGGGAGCUGCUGGGGUGGUGUUGUUGUUGGCGGCGAGUUCAGCAGAGGAGGAGGAGGAGGAGGAGGGUCGACGUCCAACUCCCACCUCGGCACACACUGACUCAUGAUCUCUCCUCUUUCUUUCUUUCUCUUUCUUUCUUUUUAAUUAAUUUCUUCCCCUCAAUGAUAGUUUCUCUCUCCGCCUUAAUUAGCAACGACUUAACGCGCGAUAAGUAUCUUAUUGCUACUACUGGCAUGUCCGAGAAGCACAAGCGCGUGAGUGAUCAAUAAGCAACCCUAUUCUUCUCGGAGACGGAACAGCGUUACAACAGGUCGAGGCCGGAGUAUAAGCAAGUGAAACUUACUCUAACAGAAGCGUGUGGCAUAGGAAAUACACAUUACAUACACAAAAACAAAAUAAUAAUACCAAAAACCACUGUAGUUUGAUGUUUGUUGCGAUCGAUAUAUAUAAAUAUAUAUAUAUAUAUAUGUAUUAAUUUAUUUAUAUUUUCGUGAGAGAGAGAGAGAGAGAGAGAGAGAGAGAGAUAGAGGUGGCGGCGACCUUGGGCUAUGAGUAAGGAGAGAGGGCCACGUAGCAACUCAGAGCUCCACACGUCGCGCCGUCACAGCGACAACCAGCGCGGUGAAGAUAUUAUUUUUUCCCGGCCCAGUCCACUCCGUCGUUGCUUUUUCCGCGGUCAAUAGUGGACUCGAUUGGGAAAUUUCCCUGCGCGCGCGAUGAAAGGAGCAGCGAAAUUGCCGCGCCGCCACUCUCUCCUUACUUCAUUACCUUUCCACGAGGUUGUUCGACUGAUCCUAUCCUAUGCAUUCACUCCAUCCUCUAAUUUUAUUAUUACAUUUUAUAUUCAUUAAAUAUUUUAUUUUUUUAUUUUUUUAUUUAUUACUUUUAUGCCAUCCUUUUGGGCCUACUUUGGGCCGCAUGGACCAUGUUGGGCACCAUAUCCAUCUCUUACAAGCAAGAAUAAAAAACAAAAAAAAGAAAAGAAAAGAUUGACCGGAAAUAGAUAAUUAAUUAACUAUAACACAUAAAAUAUAUAUUAAAUUUUCGAAUGGAAUAUUAAUCAUUGUUGCUUGAGUUUGGGAGCAGCUUCUGCAACGUCUAACCCUCUUAUUUGAUUUUUCCUUUUUCCUUCUCUGCGCACAAUAUUAAAUAACGCAUGAAUUAGGUUGUAGUUCUUAACUGUCUUCACCAUAAUACAAAAAAAUACAAGUCCUGUUUACUCAACAUGCAUACGCGUAUACAAAAAAAUAUCAUCUUUAUAUAUUAAACAGUUUGCUCUUUUAGAAAUUCACACACAAUAAUAAUUAUUUUUUCUAAGUUGCUAAUAAUUAAUAAUAAUAACAAUAAUAAAAAACUUUAACAUGAAUUUGAGGCGAGGUAAGGGAACACGUUGGGAUGCUUCAUCUCCACAAAUUUGGAGUGACAACGAGUACAAGAUUUCCUAUUACAGUUCGGUUGUUUGGUCGUCGUGAGUGGACUUGGACGUACGAUCUCGUUGGGCCGGGGCCCACAGAGGAAGGUGCUAGUGCGAGUACCGGAUUUGGGUGCUUCCCAUAAUAAAAUGAGAAUCCGAUGUAACCCAAAUUUGAAUUUCAUGUUCAGACUCAUCAUUAUAAGUCUGUAAGAUGAUAAAAAUUUUCUAAGAUGUAAGACGAAAAGUACAACUAACAUAUAGAAUUCGAUAUAAAACCUUAAUUUUUUUAUUAUGUUCAGAAAUUAAUGAAUACUUUUUUUUCUGCUAUGUAUGCGCUGAACAAAUUAGAAAUAUAUAUAUUUUCUAUUACAAUAAUUUUAUAUACAAAUUAUAAUAUUUUAUUAAAUAUCUUUAUAUUGGAUAAAAAUAUAUCUUAUGUAUUAUAACUAUUAGAAUAAAAAAAAAAUUCACUCAAGAAUGUAUUAAACUUAUCACAUUAACUUAAUAUCGGAAAGGAGAAUAGGUGGGACCCAUUGUAAUCCGAAUCUGUAGAGCCAUUAAUUUCUUUCCCUCUUGCAAAUUUUGAAUGCGGAGUGGGCAAGAUAAGGAUCAACGGCUCUUUGGCGCCUAAAAUAUGGACCACUAGUUCACUGUUGAAUUAAACUUAAUUUAAUUCAAGGUUGUCAAAACAUGCGCUUUAACAAGGUAUGCGAGUGUGAAUCUUAUCUAAAUUUUAUAAUUUUGUUUUAUUUUAAAUAAAUAGCAUUCGUAUCGGAACUUGAUGUUGCUUUUACUUACUUUUUUUUUACAGAUUAUUGUGCAAUCUAAUCUAAUAAAAACUUUUUUUAAAUUGUUGUAAUAUUUUUUUUAAUGUUUUUGACAUAAGCUAUUGAAUUCUAACAAAAUUUAAUAAAAAUAAAAAGCUAUAUAAUUAAAACGUAAAAAUUAUUUUUCAAAAAAUAUUAAAAUAUAGUCCAAAUAAACUUUUUACAAUUUACUCUUUAAUAAAGAUAUGUUUUAUAAGGACAGCACAACACACUUAAAUUUACAUGCGCUUACGAUUUAAAAAAUGGGAUGAGAAAUGAAUUCAUUUAAUUUGUAUUCAAGGGAUAAACUCUUUGCUGAAAUGUGCUCCGCUGGGUGAAAAGUAUAAAGUCAAAAUGUUUUGUUUUAACAUUCCUCAUUUUCUCUAUUCUACGUCAUUAGAGUAACUUUGGAAGAUUCAACUUAAAUAAUUCAUUUUAACGUCAAUUAUAUAUUAUAUUUGAAAUUUUAAAAAAGCCAAAUUAAGAUUACGAGUCUAGGGCCUCCCUUGGUAUCCUCUCUCUCUCUCUCUUCCUCUUCAAGGGAAUUCGCUUUUUCUAUCAGAUUUAGAAAAAUAAUUAAACAUUUUUUUCGAACGCAAACCUGGCAGAGCACUGCAGCAGAAACCCGGGUGUUCGAACCCGAGGCCAUGCGAGCCCCAUCGCCUCUCACCGCCGCCUCAUCCGCCGUGAUCCUUCGCCGGAACCCUAGAUGCACCACCAGCGCCGGCACCGCUUGAAGAGCUGGCCCGACCUCUGGUUCGGCGACGCUCCUCCCAAGCAUGUCGUCGUCAAGAUGCAGCAUCUUGGUGACCAAACCCUAGCCCUAGAUCGCCCCCCUGCGGCCCCCGCGGCCGCCGACCUCACCGCGCGCCUCUCCGACGAGCUCCUCCUCCGCAUCCUCGCCGCACUUCCCGACCACCUCCGCGGCCCCUCCUCCCUCGUCUCCAAGCGCUGGCUCCGCCUCGCGGGGCGCCUCCGCCGUUCCCUCACCCUCCUCGAAUGGCGCUUCCUCCACCGCCGCCUCGCCCUCCGCUUCCCCGACCUCACCGACCUCGACCUCGUCCCCGCCUCCUUCUCCUCCUCGUCCGCCUCCACCUCCGCCGCUGUGCUCAACCGCGGCCCCGUCUCCGUCCCCGUCGAGCCCCACGCCGACCCUCCCAUCGGCUACCGCCGCUUCCUUCCCCCGGACGCCAUCGACCGUGGUCUCGACGCUGUCGCGCGGAGCUUCCCCGGCCUUCGCAAGCUCUCCGUCGCCGCCCCAAUAGACUCCCAAUCGGGCCUCAUCGCCGUCGCCGAUGGUUGCCCCACUCUUCAGGAGCUGGAGCUCCACCGAUGCACCGAUCUCGGCCUCCGCCCCAUCUCCGCAUUCAACAACCUCCAGAUCCUCCGCCUUGUAGGCUCCGUCGAGGGUUUCUACGCUGGGCCCGGGGUCACCGACAUCGGCCUCACCAUCCUCGCCCAUGGAUGCAAGCGCCUCGUGAAGCUCGAGCUCGCCGGGUGCGAGGGGAGCUACGACGGGAUCUCCGCAAUCGGGCGGUGCUGCGCGAUGCUCGAGGAGCUCACGAUCUCCGACCACCGGAUGGACGCCGGGUGGCUCGCAGGGCUCUCCUUCUGCGCAAACCUCAAGACGCUGAGGCUGGUGGGGUGCCGCAGGAUAGACACUGAUUCCGGCCCCAUCGAGCAUCUGGGGUCAUGCGCCGCCAUCGAGCGGCUGCAGAUGCAGCGGUGCCAGCUACGGGACAGGAGGAGCCUCCACGCCCUGUUCGUGGUGUGCGAGGCGGUGAGAGAGAUUGUGUUUGAGAAUUGCUGGGGCCUCGACAAUGAGAUGUUCAGCUCCGCAAGCAUUUGCAGGUAUUUGGAUUUCUCGCUCAGAAUAUUCUACCUUAAUUGAUAAUGAUUGCUUGGUAAGGUUCAGGUUCUGAUUGGAUUGCCUAGAUAGACAUAAUUGUCAUGUGCAAGCUUAGCAUUAAAAGGGGACGGUAGGGAAAGAGGAUAUUCAUCAUUUGUGUUCACCCUUUUCUGGUGUCAAGAUUUAUAUUUGUAGUUCACGGUGCUAUGCUACGAACAGUCUCAUUGCUUGGCAAUGUUUAUCAGUCUUCCCUUUUCUUUGCUGUGAUCAUCGUAUCUUCUUUUUUUUUUUUCAGAAAAAAAUAUAGAAUAACUUAAUGUUACCGAGGUUAUAUCGACAAAGUUUUCAUGGGCAUUUAACCGGACUCCAACCUUGUUUGGGAUGUGUAAUUUGGUCACUUGUAAAGACUAGCAGCAUUGCAUUUCAGUAGAUAUUCUCAUCCAGGUACAUUCGGGAGCUUAUUGUUCUUGUCCCUGUAUAAUAAGCUUACCUAGUUAUAGCAAUGUGGUGGAGGUAGUAUUUGAUAUGUGCCUAAAGUCGAAUAGACUUGGGAUAAACAACCUGAUAUCAAAUUUCUAUAUAUAGAACCUUCAAUUGUUUGUGACCUUCUAAAAUUUUCCUAUAGAAUGUCAAACUGGAAAAUCAUUAAGAAGUGUUAAAAAGAUGGGAAUUUCCACAAACAAUGUCAUGUGAAAGAUAAGUUGGCUAGGGAACAUGCUUCUUCUACUUCAGUACAGCUUAUUAUUUUGGUACUUGGUUAUAUAUCUUUUCUUGAUGCUUACGUUGUUAUGUUUUUAUUACAAUUUCAAAGUUGAGCUAUGCAUGGUUGUUUACAGUUGAUGUUGUUAUAGCAUUGAAUACCAGUGUCGGAGUUUGGAGAAGUGAAUAUCAUAGUUGCUCUUAGAAAAAGAUGCGCUAUUGUGAAGCAAACUGUAUAAUCUGGCCUGCUUUCUCUCUCUGUUCGGUUUUUGUUUAUGCUUCAGAAUAGGCAUAUUCACAUUCCUCACCAAAUCGUUUGGAAAAUUUUUUUUCUGUUACAAGCAACAUGAAGUUACAAGUAUUUUAGAUGAUGAUCGACAGAUGUGAUCUUUGAUUAAGCUUUCUGAUCCAUUUAUGUGUAUUUUAUAGAAAGAGAGUUGCUGUUUCCAGCUAAGGCCCUAUUUGGCCUUGUUGUACUGUUUGGGUAGUUUGAGUAGUGUCAUUAAAAGUGGUGCUAUGUUGAAAAUUUCCCAAUAGCUUCUCUGCGCAACAGAAGUGGAAGAUCCAAAUUUUCUCUUCUGGUUUUGGGGCUAAGAAUCACAUUUUAGCUUCCCUUGCAGCAGAAUCUUUGUUUGCCAACUACUAGAGAUGACUACAACUGAAAGCAAUUUCAUAAGCAAGGCCAGAUAAUCAGUAAGCAUAGCUCCUACCCAGCCUUCGUAUUUCAGUCAUGAUUGUUUGUGCUGGUGCUUAUUGCAUCAUUUUCAUCAUCUUUAUUGUCUGAUCUCCACUUAAAUAUACUGCCCAUUUGGCUAGUUUCUGGAGGCACAUGAAAAACAACAGGUAGGCAUUUGACAGUCAAAUUGUCUGGAUAUAUAUAUAUAUAUAUAUAUAUAUAUAUAUAUAUAUAUAUAUAUAUAUUUUACUGUGGCAAGACGUUGAAAUAAGUUUCUGGUCCAAAAGGCAGAACCUCUAAUAUAAAGCUUCUGCUUAGACUAGUCUGCUACAGUGCAAAGUUGUAAAAGCUGUUAGUUCUUCAAACAGGCAUAAUGUCUCUGACAAAGAGAGAAUUGGUAGUUAUGAGGACUUUGUCGGCAUGAUAUAUAAUAGUACACAGAAAUCAGUAAUCUGUGAAUUAUAAGAAAGAUUGAAAUAGAAUCAGUAAGGUACUUUACAUCUUCCUAUAUUUUUGUUCAUAUCUGUAUGGUCAUAAUCAAAGCUCUUCUUUUCUGGGAAAAUAUUGAGAUCAUGAUAAAUUUGAAUAAAAUGGACUUAAUUUAGUUCACAUACAAAUAUAUUAGACUGCAGAUUCGGAUGGCAUCACAUUCCGUGCAAUUAGACAUAUGAGAAAUGGGAGUCAUGAGCUACUUUCUUUGCAUGAUUGUGCUCGAUGGCAUGCUAUUUUUGCAGUAAAUCAGCUGCUUUUGGAAAUAGGAAACCAGCAUAGAAGGGAAGAAACAAGGAAAAUUCGUCUGAAAUUAUCUGAAGGGGCUGUUUGGUUCAAGGUUUAUUAUAUUCCUGGGAUGGCGUAUAUUUUAUAUUUGGAAUGACAAGUUUAUUACUAACUUAUCAAGCCACUUGUGUUGGGGAGGAUGUUAAUAGCUAGUAUAUUCUUAUUAAUGAACUACUAAUGAUACUCAUCGAGUAUAUAAAUGAGAAUACCUCCUAACCCAUAAUAAUUUGUGCUAUUCCUACCACCUCGGAAUCUACAAUAAUUUCACUAUUUUACUUAUACCUUUUAUAACUAUCCAACUUGAGUUGAAUGGUAAUAAUUUAAAUAUUUUUAAUAAAAAAAAUAUGAAGGAUUACUGGAAUAUUACUAACCAUGAACCAAACGGGCUCUAAUGAUAAUCAAACUUUGAAACGAGUCGUAUAAAAUAAGUUGCAUAAACCAUAAUGCGUUAUUUCUUAUUUCACCUAUCUCCAACACCGUUCUGUUAAACUGUCACAGUAGCAACAUAUUGAUUGUAGUAGAAGCUCUUUACAUCUCUUUUUGUGUCAUGUAUUUCCGAAGUUAAUGACCUCCAAUGCUCUGAAAUGAAUUCAUACUAUAUCUGCAUUUGACUAACAUUAACAUACAUUAUUGGCUUCGGAUAAAAGCCAUGAAUCUUUUUGUUGUUGUGUCGGUACUUCAAGUUUGGAUAUAUUUCACACUUUCCAUUCCACUAUUUAACUAGUAUUAUGUACGACGACAUUUUGGUAGUUAUAUUAUUUCAAUCUGUGCUGGAAACCUUCUCAUCAAUGUUGUUGGCUCUUUUGGCAGGAGGGUGAAGCUCCUCUCUUUAGAAGGCUGCUCGCUACUAACAACCGAAGGUCUCGAAUCUGUGAUCUUGACGUGGAAGGAUCUACAAAACCUCAUAGUAGUCUCAUGCAAUAAUAUUAAAAACAAUGAAGUUAGCCCUGCUCUAUCGAGCCUCUUCUCUGACCUCAAGGAGCUGAAGUGGAGACCGGAUACCAAAUCUCUACUCGCAAUGAGUCUCGCAGGGACUGGGAUGGGGAAGAAGGGCGGUAGAUUUUUCAAAAGGGUAUGAAAUCUCGCCUUCUGCAGUACGCACCCUUUGUUAGGUAAUAUGCCCUCUGCUGUCAAACAAUAAUGUGUGAUACCAGACUUUCCUUGCAGCGGAUCAUGCCGGGUCAACAGCGGCUAAAAGGUAAGGCAGAAGAAGACUCAUCUAAAUAGGCGAGGCAGUUAGGUGCCAAUUCUACGCACUGGCAAUUGUUGUACUUUACGGUGUAAAGGUUCAAGUAUUUAGGAUUAUACAGGACCAAUAUGCAAUCUUAUCAUCGCCAUACUUCGCGCGGGUUAUUUUGGCUGGCCAAGAUGGUGCUUUUACAUGGUCUAUUCAUCAUCUUAUGCAUGCCAUCGGAGAAUUGUUGACGUCAUAUUUAUGCUAAGAUUGCGAAUUCUAUUCGCAUUGGUACUAACUGUGACGCCUUUGCCUGUGGCAUGCAAGUAUGAUUACGGGAAAGCAGAACGAGAAUUUUAGCUUACAUCACAAUCAUCGCCUUUUCCUCCGGUGAAUGGUUAAUAUCUGGUACUCUAUAUGAGACAAAUUUUUACUGCUUAGGUACAGAGAACAAUGUGAAGCCGAUAUAUUAUUCACUUUGCUGUUGAUUGCUUACGAUUUACUUGGAAGCAGAGGGUAGUAUAAUCUGUGCAGUUUUUUCCGAUGCUUGCAUGGUUUUGAGUAUGUACGUAGAUUCUUUUUUUUCUCUGCUUCGUCGUCAUUAUAGUUUCCUUUUCUUUAGCGGGGAGUGAUUUGUUCUGUUUUGAAGAGUGGGUUAGCCACAACACUUCUUCAGCCGUAUUGGCUGUUCUCUGUGAGUUAGGAGAGAAAUGUAGAGCUAAUAUGGUACAAGAGAUUUCGAGUGCAAUAGUGCCCUUGGAAAAUUUCUUACUGGGCAAGGAUUUGGUUAUUUUAAUAAUUUAAUGAAACGGGCCUUCCCCUUGUAAUAGCUUGUUGAGCAUGAUUUUCUUAGCCAUGGAGAGGCAUCCUGCGUUCACCCUCGUUUCUAGUAGCCCGCCCUUGCUGGUUUCCGCAAAAUUAUAAAGGCAAUUCCGAAUCAUUAUUAUAGGUAUCUGUCAGAUGGAUCAAACCUACAAAUUCCAAUCGCUGGCUCAGUUCGGUAUAGGAAAUAAAUUCUAAGCCCAGAGCAUAUCUAAUAAUAGUUACCAAUGCGACAAACCGAAUGACCCAAGAUGAUGGCAUUGUCAAGUAAUUAUGAAUAUUUUAAAAAAGAUCAUUUUAAUUUGAACCAAAUGGACGGAAUUAGAUACUAAAACCGCUUGGUUUUUUAGGAGAAAUCAAACUCAGAGGCCUCGAGUAAGAAGAUAUUUUAUCUCGCAGGAGGCUAUGCAAACUUGCAAAGUUAGAUAUGCUUAUAUACAUGCAAGUUUUGUUUGAUUGACAGAUUAGCCAGCGAAACUAUAUAGCAUUUAAUAGCAUCCUCCAACACAUCCCUCAGAUCUAACGGUGAGAUGCAUCGCUGCCGUCACAACAUGCUAAUCAUCGAAAGAUGGAGGAAUCAAGCAAGCUGCAUUGCGAUAUUCAAGGCGCGGGAGGAUCUAUAACAGUGCUGUUACUAUGGCACAACAAAAUACAAAAGUUUUCAAGAUAUUCCUAUGUGAUUUCUACAGAAGAAAAUGACGAAAGCAAAAGGCUGCAAGAGUAGAUAGACACAUUCCAACUUUCAGUUUGCAGUUUUCACAGGAAAAAAAAAAAUCUUUUUCAUAUAGUUUGUAAAACUCAUUUUCCACCCAGAAGCGUCUUAUGUAUUGCCAACCGCAAUGCAGGUAUAGAAUAUAAAGAAGUGAAACAAAGUGCAUGAUAAAAUCGAAUUGAUAGUACGAUCAGUAUUACAGUGCAGAAAUAGUGAUAACUAUCACUAUUUGAGAAAUUGCAAAAUCCAAUGAAAGCACAAUCUAUCAAAAAUUUAUAAACCCAACAUUUACGAGAGCCGAAUAAAUUAUAAAAAAGAACUCUUUUCACAUAAAAUACUUCCAUGGAGUUCUACAAAAUAUUCAUCCGCUUUCAACAGUAGAAAAAGACAUCAGCGGGUUUUCGGCUUAUUGUCACCUUCGAACAGAUAAACCCAUCUCUAAAUAGAACAAAAAAAAAAUUACAUCAGAAAAAGAAGAGUUGAUAAUAAGCAGGUAUACAAAGAGAGGCUCGUCUAUCAAAUAUCUAAAAGCUACAGCCGAAUGCUCAACACAAAAAUACGCAUGAAAAAUCGUUUUGUCUUUGUCAUAGGGAUUGACAAACUAGAACUAUUUUGCAAUUACACAGCACUUCAACGACAAAUAUCAACCAGCCUUUAGAAACAGCAAAAUGUUUCACGUACCAUCAUUUUCAUCUGAAAAAAGGAGAAUACUAUUACACUCUUAACCAUAUCAUUGAUGACCCCAAUAUGCAGAAAUUUCAUCAAAGCUUCUUGUUAUAUCUAAUAAAUAUAUUGAAUUUGUAGAUCAACUUGCCAUUCAAAAAUAAUAACCAAUUUUUUAUUCUUCGUCAGCAAAGUGAGCAUGUUCAUGAAUAACAAUGAGUUGAAACUCAGAUUGGCAGGGAUACUUGAAGCUCUGUAAGUUUGUAACUAAUGACAGUGCAGUCUCAUUAUUCAAUCAUUGCAAGAGAACAAAUUAAUCAACAGUCAUAUCUUACAGUCCUAUAAUAAGUUUAAUCCCACACUUCCCAAGAAGCUCCAACCGGGCCAAAAAAAGUCCCGAUUAUCUACAGCAUCCAGCAUCCAUAGUAAUUUUGCAUUUAAAUUUACAUCCUCAAUUUACAAACACAAGUAUCAAUAGAAACUUUAAUCCAGAAAAACAACAGAUUAUGAUGAGAAAUUCAAUUAAAAUACAAGAGAAUAACAGUUGACAGAAAGAGAAGAAGAUGAGAGAGAAAAUAUCAUAGAACAAGAAUACACAAGGAUAACAAACAUAACUAGCGACCCCAAAGGUGAUACAUUAAGGCUAAAUUUUUUUUUAAAAUAGAGGACAAAUGGCAGCUCUGCAGUCAGGCUUAGAAAAAUACACUCAACGUUGAAAAAAUGACACGAAUUCCCAUUGUUUUCAAUGUGAUUAAUUUGAACAAAUUUCUUCUUCCAUGUAUAACCACAAAGUUGCAGAUGUAUAAGGUAACUAAAUUGUUGAGUCACAAGGUAACAGCCAAUAGUCUAAAGGCAAUCAUACUUGAAGGUUCUGUGCAGCGCCAAUAUUUCUUUCAAGCAGUAGCAAAUUCAUGUGCCUGCAGAAAGCAAGUACCUUAAAUUGGAUUUCGUGCAUAGAAUAACUUGUUCGUGUACUUAUUAUCUCCCAGAAAAAGGAAAAAAGAACCAUGAAGGAUCACUAGAUGAAAAGAAGAGAUCUAACUUGACUGGAUAGCAAGUUAAACAAAUCAAGGUUCAAUAAGACAAAAUUUGAAACACAUCAGAAUUCAUGUGUAAAUUGUCCGCAUAAAGGAGGUGAACAACAGACAAGUGUCAUAGUUAUCCCCAAAGAAAGGUUUCGACGAAAGUAAUGGCACAAGAAAUCUUGACAACAGAGCCCCAAAAGCAUUAGCUUACACAAAAUACACAUAUAAAAUAUCAGAACAUUCACAUAAAUUUUUAGAUAACUAUCUUGGAAUCUUCAAUAAAUCAACACAUGCAAUAUGAAGAAUUAAAAAACGAAAAUGGAAAAUCCUUAACAGCUCAGAUGAAUAUCCUACCAAAAUUCUCACAUCAUAACCAUAACCAAACGAAUCGAGAAAGUAACACAUAACAACUUUAGUUGACAUAUAGAACAAAUGAUUCUCUGCAUCAUGGAGAAUUAGCCAAAUUAUUGGAACAAAAGAGCAAAGAUUAUGUAUUUAUGUGUUUUACGCUUUAGUGCGAGGCAGAAAUGAUUGUUCAUUUCAUUGACUCUUAUUUCCAAAGGAGUCCACUGGUAUAUAAGAAUUUCAUAUUUUUAGAUAGAACGGCAUAAAAUGGUCGAGCGCGCUCUAAAACUUCACAACAAGGUCCACAAUCAUGAUCUGGCGAAUUCUGAAUUUCAAGUUUGAACAUGGAACAUCAAGGUUGAUUGACAUCAUUUGAAACCUCUAUCAUAAACCGCCACGAAUUGGUUCAAAUUUCAGAACUGAGAAGGAAAACCAAAAAUUCUUAAAAACAAACAACAAAGUAUCUCAUAAAAGGGAUCCCGUAACCAACUUAGUUUACCAACCUAUUAAUGGCUAAAAAAUGGAAGUAAUUAAUCCACCGAGCAGCGACAAUCUAAAAGUGUUUUCAAAUCAAACUGCCACUCAAAGGGAUAGAUUCACUCCGAUCACUAAACAAGAAGCACGUGUAACCAAAGAGAUGGGAUCAAAGCUACUCACGACAUAACAACAACAUCGUUAAAGUCCGGGAUAGGUACGACAGAGGAUACCCUGUGUAAGCGCUCUGCAGCUCCGCGAGGUCGUGCUCAGCCGCGACGUCAACCGCGCCGCCGCCACCGCACUGUGGAGAGGGAACAGCGAUGCGCCGCCGCAGCUCCCCAGCUCCACCGGCGUUCUUCGUCGAGAUCACGCAUGCAAUACCCAAAAAUUAGCCCUAGAAACUCAAAAACGAAGAGAAAAGGCCUCUCAGAAUAAGAAGGCGAAUCAAACCUAGAGACGAACGCGACGCGGCGGAUUCGCGAAGAGGCGGAGGUGGAGGGGGAUGGGGCGGGGAGGGAGAAGGGUCGCGCGGCGGCGGAGCUGGCAUUGGAGACGCGAGAACGGAUCGAAGAGGAAGAGAUGCGAGCCACGGAUCUUACGAAGGUGGACGCCAUUGGAGGAGGAGGGGAAGAAGGUAAGAGAACGAUGCUAGGGUUAGGGUUUGGAAGAGGGAGGGAGGGAGGGAGGAAGAGAAACGGCGGCGGGGUUUAGGGUUUCUCGAGGUCCCCCGUGGGGCUGGUUCGGGUCCCGUUCGAACAAAGAAUCACCCGCACAACCCAACAGGCCUAAGCCCAUUUAACUCAACUAGACAAACGGCCCAGCCCACUAAUCGGGAUCAGGCAAAACAAAUAUAGGCCUAUUGGGCCUAACAAUUCUGCGGGAUUAUUUUUCAUUUGGAUGAAGAUAAAGAUAUCCAAGUUGCACCAUAUCUUUAAAAACAAAACAAAACAAAAAACAACUAUAAGAGAUGUACUAUUUUGUUUAUCAUCAUCAUAUUCCAUGUUGCUUGCACUAUUACAUAAUUGACUUCGAGCCCACUCCGCAUGAACUUGCAUGCAUUAGUAAUACGGAUUUAAAUAUUAACCUUAAAUAUUGAUUUAAAUAUUUAAUAAUUUUUGUAAAAGAAAUUUAUAAAUGGAGAUAAACAAAGUCCACCCACUACCUCCGAAGCAAAUGGAUACUUCUAUAUCCGCACCUACCUCGGAAGCAAAUGGAUACUUCUAUAUCCGCACCUGGUGCUUUUCUUUUUAUUUUCUUUUUUUUGUAUUGUAAGCUUCUUACUACCUUUGGUUUAAAAAAUGAGAACGUUCGUUUGCAUAUUUUACUUAAAUAGCAAGAUUAAUUAUUGCCAAAAGUUUUACAACUGUACUUGUUUAAGCACGUCAAUGGAAAGCUCUCUCUCUCUCUCUCUCUCUCUCUCUACAUAUAUAUAUAUAUAUAUAUAUAUAUAUAUAUAUUCCAUAAUCCCUCAUCAUAGGGACUGUGCUCUAUAUUCCCAAGUGUUCAUGGACCUUUACUUUUAUAUCACUUAAUCGAGCUUAUAUUUAAACUGCAGCUGUGUUUGUCAAUGCAUUUAAAUUCAUACAUGUGUGAGAAAAUGACGUACGUUUAGAAAAGUAUGGUUGUUCCCGACGCUUAAUGCAGAUCUAGCGGUUAAGGAUCGCGACUUUAUGUCGCUUCUAUUGCAAUGGAAAUCGAAGACUUUUAAUUUGUUGUAAUAAUACCUUCACUAGGAGUAUAAUAAUAACACAGUAUGUAAGCUCUUUCCGGUACAUUUAAUCAUAAUAAGCUUGUUUGAUAAAAGAAACCCGGCAAAGAAAAGCUUUGGAGAUUUGAACUGUCUCCAUAGGAACUCCCUCUUUUUGUGUUUCUAUGUGAUGUUUUACGACUCACAAUAAUAAAUUAAUAGUUACAUGAAAUUAAUCCAGAGAAUUUCGAUAACUAUAUAUAGGCAUCCAUCCCUUAGCUUAGUACAGCGCACUGAAAAAUCCGUAGCUAUGUAUCUAUUUACCUGUGAAGGACAUAUAGCAUGGCUCCCUCGUCCCUUUUAAGAGAAAAUGUAUAUAAAAUAUUGAUAAUUAAGCUUUGAUUAUCGUAUAGAGUAUUCAAAACUAAUAUGAACGGCCAAUGAUACGUUGAAGUACUAGUAUUUAUUGACAUAGCUUUGUUCCUACCAAUUCAGUUCUACAACUAACACAUAACUAGUUAAAUACGGAUUGAAAUUGCAAACUUACAUUCUUGAUCAAUUCUUUGUUUGAAAGUAUCAAUGACUUCUUUUGCGAGCCAUGUGUUUUUCUUCUUCUUCUUCUUUUAAUUCUUGAAAAGCUCUCAAUGCGUGUAACAAAAGAUAAAACAGGAAAGAUGCAUAAUGGAAUUCAAUCUAAUCCUACUCAUUUCAAGCAAAGGAACUAGAUCCCAAGUCCAGAUCAAUUGCUAUAUAUAUAUAUAUAUAUAUAUAUAUAUAUAUAUAUAUAGUUCAGACAAAUCAAUUUGAUUCUAUCUUAAAGAAACAAUAUUGAAACUUACUUUUCACUUACAAUUAAUUAGCUGGUGAUUUGAAUAUUUGGAACAUUUCGAAUUUUCGCUAUAGCGGAGAGCAGAAUAUGUUUUCGACCCCCAAAAAACUAUCAUGCUUAUGUGAAGUUUCUUCCUGCUUUUAUUGUAGUUAUAUUUUACUAAGAAGAAGAGCAAAACUGCUACAUUUUCUUUUUUUAAUAGUUUUAUUAAAUAAAAUGUAAUCCAAUCAAUUGCUUGACCAAAUUGGAGUCUAUAAAAGUUUUAUGAAUAAACUUUCAUUACUAACUGUGGUUAGUAACCGAGAUUCCAAAUUCAUCAAAUUAGAUUCAUCAAAGACACCAUCAGAAGUGUUUUUCUUAAAAAAAAAAAAAAAAAAAAUAGUGUGAAGCAUGUUGGCUAAGUUAGAGGAUAAGCCCUGAAUAGUGAUGGAAAGAAAGUGAGCACAAAUAUAGUCCUGUUGUGAACUGACACCUUGUCCCAGUCAGUGGAAGGAGACAGCAUUCCUAAACUUUGAGAUAUUAGGAAAGGAGCAGCACUGAAAAAGAAAAAAAGAUCAAAAAGAAAAAAAAAAAAAAUCUCACAUUUAUUGUUUUCCCUGGCAACACGUCGACCCAAGUACUGAAGCUGGUAAGUGCAAACGACAAGUGCUCACCUGUAAAUGGUCCACUCUCCCUGCCCUGACCCAUGGGGAAAGUUGUAUGUAUAGUCGAUACACUCGGUCCACCAUUUUGGUACGGAUUGCAUCUUCUUUGGCCCCGCUUCUGCUAGUUUCACAUUCUGUUUAGCUACCUUCCGCUUCUACUUUAAACUCUAAUCAUCUUCAAUAAAUAGUUUGGUAAGUAAAGAGACCCGCUAAUCAGUUAUUUUAAAAAUACGUAUUGAUAGAAAAGAUAUAUCCACCGUACUUAAGAAUUCAUCAACCACAACGUUUACAGGCUUCGAUCUGACUUAACACACAUGAACGUUGGAUUUAUUAUUGAGUCUCUUGCCGUUAAAUUUUUUAUGGAUCGCAGCUUCACUCAAUUUAUUAAGCUCACCUAAAUCAACUUACUAGUAUUCUGAGUCCAAUAAUAAACAGCUAACAUAAAGCACGUAGGAAAGGCAACAAAUCUUAAUUUUAGGCUCCAACUGUUAAUAUUUGUUUUUUGCUACAAUUAGAGCUUAUAAUUUGUUUGAUUUAUGGAAUAUUUUUAUUAAAAUUGUACUUAGUGGUGAUAGUAAAAGUGCCGUGUUGAUAAGAAUGUGGGGCGCGUGGUACCGCAAAGAAAAGGGGCACCACAAAAUGGAUACAUAAUGGCCCCUUAGAAUUGUAGAAAGGCCGAGUAAGUGGUCCUCGUACACACGCACAACAUACUUUCCCUUCCUCCAAUGUUUCUUUUUCUGUGUCUCACGAGCCCAUGUUGCAGGGUGCAUUCUUUCUUAUUAUUUUUAUUAUUUGUUACUACUACUGUUGUUAUUUUUAUUGUUGUUGUGGUUGUUAAUAUUUCGACUCUCAGAACCAAGCACGCUUACUUUAACAUCUCCAACUUUUCUCCUAAAAAGACCCUUUAGAUAAUGAUGAGGGUUUAGAACUUCAUCAGGGCGGUGAGAUAUGUAUAUAGUUAUAAACUUUAUCGAGAUGACUAAAAAACAGGUUUAGCACUCCUAAUCUAUUAAUAUCGCAAUGGGACCGUUUGAAAGCAAGAAGUCGGAGAGUGAGAAAUUUAUGAUUUGUUGCAAACUCGAUUUCUUCCCCCACUCUACUGAAAUAGAAAAGUCAAUCUCCAUAUAAUUAUAAGUGGGAGUUCGAGUAAUCAUGCCGCUUCGCUGUUGAAAUAAAUUAAUGUCCAAUUAAGUUGACAAUUUUUUGAAGUUACAAAAGUCUAAGCUUUGAGAGGACAAUGUAUUACAAAAGUCUCCAAAUAAGAUAGAGUGUGUGUUUUUUUUUAUGUAUUAUUAAUCUGUCGGCAAAAUCUAUAAUUUUUUUAGUUUGCGUAUACAAAAUCAAUUGAAUUUUUUUAUAUCUUGAAUGUUAAAAUACAAGCAGCAUACGUAGAUCUCAUUCCGGAGGAAUUGCAACAGUAGUCAUUUGAAAAACAAGGAUCAUGUGCAGAUGUCGCUGUCAAAUUAAAGACCUUUCAAAGGAUCAAUCGAAUGUUGUUGAAUUUUCCUUUCCUUAAUGUACAGUGGACUAAAGCUUUUUACAACCCCUCAGUCAAUAUUUUAAGAAUUUAAACAAAUUUUUUAUUUUUAGUUUGAAUAAAGGACUAAUUACAUAAGUAUAAUCUUUAGAUGGACAAAGUUGUAGGUGCCUCCGCUGAAAUAUCUGGUUUGGCCUAUAAUAAUUAUUCAAUGUAUGUUACAGCAUGUUAGCAUUUCCACAUAAAGAAAGCUGAGCAGCUAAAAAUGGACCCUUAGAAAUCGCUUUGUGUUAGUGGUCGAUCUCUGAGAACUUUUAAAAAGCCAAAAGAUCAGAUGGUUUCGAAUAUAAAAUCUUAGUCAAUAGUGAUUAUGCUUUAAAACAUUAAGUACUGGGUUCGAAGUUCGAACGUAGUGCCGGAAUCUAAUGAAUCUGACAUUUUUCAAAUGAGCUAGCUUAAUUAAUAAUUAGGAGGCCCUAAAAUUAAAUUAACCAUUUGUAGUUGGGUAGAUUAGGAUUCAAGCUAUAAUUAGGGGACCACUAAUUAACUCGGAGAAAUGCAACAUGCUGAAUCAUUUAAAGCCAUUAGAACCUAUAUAAAACAUGCUGCUUAGAGACAUUCUUUCGAAAAGAUCGAUGAUGUAGAUUGUCGAUACAUUAACUAUAUAUAUAUAUAUAUAUAUAUAUGUUCAUUAGAUCACUGAUUACAUUGUCGUGUUAAAGAAAUUUCGUUGCAAUUCCGUGUUUGUGAAUGCCAAGAACGUUAUUUGUCUCCUCUAGAGCUCCUUUAGCUUGGUUUUGAGAGGAUUAAUUGAGUAUAUAAUUCUCAACUAGAUACAACAGUUGUCAUUUAGUUCAAAUAAAUUAAUUAUUUGAUGUACAUGUCAUGCAUAACUAGCAGCUGUUUAAUGUUGAAUCCCAAUAAUCUAAUAUACAAGUAUAUAAAAUAUUCUUUUAAACGAGUGUGUGUGUAUAUAUAUAUAUAUAUAUAUAUAUAACUAGGCUGGAAUACUAUCAAUAGCACCAAGGGCUUGAUGCUAUUAGUUUUUUAGCCAUUGAAUUGAGAAAUGUGCGGUUAGGAUAAUGUAGGCCCCCUAGGGUUAAGUGGGUGGUUGGUUGAAUAGUAUAAUCUAACGGAUAAAAAUAAUCAAAGAGUUAAAUCUAACGGUGGAAAACUUGAUAGCACUAAAUUUUUGGUGCUAUCGAUAGUAUCCUAGCCGAACUCUCUCUCUCUCUCUCUCUCUCUUUGUACUCAUAAGUUUUCGGUCGUUAGCUCUAGCUCUCUCUUUUUGUACUCAUAAGUUUUCGGUCGUUAAAUCUAGCUCAUUAAUCAUUUCCUCCCGUUAGAUCAUAUUAUUCAACCAAUCAUCCACUCAACCCUAGAAGACCACUGUCAUACAAACCGGGGACCACUAUUAUUCCAACCAUACAUCUCUUCAUCCAACUACCAAAAAUUUAUGAAUACAAAGGGAUUUAUACUCAUAAGAGUAUAGUAGCCAUAGCCUAUAUAUAUAUAUAUAUAUAUAUAUAUAUAUAUAGUGUAGAGCUACUAUACUUUUGAAAGUAUAAAGGAGUUGGUAUUUCUAAUUUUUUGACCUUUAGAUCAACGAUUGUAGCUGAUCAAAAGGUUAAAUAAAUCAGAAAAACUAACUCUUUUAUAUUUCCGAAAGUAUCAUAAUCAGACUAUAUGUGUGUAUGGGUUCAGCUACUAUACAAUCGAUAGUACCAAGCACUUUAUGCUAUCAAGUUUUUCGCCGUUAGAUCUAUCAUUUUGACUAUUUUCACCCGUUAAAUCAUAUUAUUCAGCCAACCACCCGCUCAACUCUAGAAAAAUAUUAUCAUCCUAACCAAACAUCUCUUCAUCCAAGGGCGGCCGAAAACUAAAUAGCAUGAAGCACCUAGUACAAGUAAUAGUAUAGUAGCCUAAUAAGAACUAAAUUGCCGUAGUUUGAGUUUGGAGAUUUUAGCCAAUGUUACUACGCCCGUUGUUUAGUUUAACUCAUGCAAUUAAUCAUUUAGUUUGUUUUUUAUGAACUCAUAUCAAAGAUUGCUGUCGCAGGAUUAAUACCUAUCCUUUUAAAUAUAAGGUACCAGUGUCGUUACUAUCGAACUGAACUAAACCAAACCAAACUGAGUGCACCCUUUGAAAAGGUGUGCGUAGGUGCCGGCAUAUAGAGCAAGCAUCUUAGAAGUAACAACAUAAUUACUCUAAACAUUUUAUUAAUUUUAUGAAUGAUUAAUUAUGAUAUGUUUGAAUGGCUCCCAUUAGUGUAUAUAGCUUUUAAAAGGCAAAAAACAGUAGUACAGGCUAAACUUGUGGCGCAAAUAGUUCUGCUUUUGCCCCUUGUUGCCUCUCCCGGAGAGGAUCCUGUCUCUUCAGUGGAACCCUACACAACGUAUGUGUAAGCAAUGUAUUGGAAACAACCUUUGUAGGGUAGGGCCUAUAUAGUUCAUACACAUAUAAGACCCCAUAAAUAUAUGAUCAUCUCGAUCUCUUUCCAACUCAUCAGCUCUCUCUCUCUCUCUCUCUCCGAUAAGAUGUAUACGCACGCAUGCACGCGGUUGACACCCAAUAGAAAGUACCAACCCAAAGUAUCUUAGCAUGGACUUACACGUGCACAACAUUAAGAUUUUACUAAUUUAGGCUUAAACAUAUAUAAACUAAUAUUUUACUUUUAUCUACCCCUGAGGGUCUCUUUAAAUCGCCUACUUAGUCUUGUUUCUCAGCUAUAUAUUUAAUCCUCCAUUUAACCAACCCACUAUGCGCCUCUUCAUUUUCUCCCCCUCCCCCUCCCCACACCCCCCACACACACCACCCCCCCCCCCCCCCCCCCUCUCAUCCCCCACUAGUAUAGGUAUAUCCUCAACCAUGGUAGAUACAAACAUCGUAUGCUCCAUGUGCGGCGACAUCGGCUUCCCCGAGAAGCUCUUCCAAUGCAUCCGAUGCCGCUACCGCUCCCAACAUUCGUAAUAUAUAUUCUUUCUCAAAAACAUUCGUAAUAUAUAUAUUCUUUUUUCACUUCUCUCCCAUCAUCUUGUAUAUUCUUACAUGCUUAGCUCAAAAAGAAAAAAAGGUCUCAUCCCAAAACUUAUUCCUUCUUUUCUCCUUUUUUGGUAUUUCACAUGCAGCUACUGCACAAACUACUACAGUGACGAGCCAUCAGAGGUUUGCGAUUGGUGCCUGAGCGAGGAACGGGGCGGUCUAAAGUACGGCGGAAGCCAUUCAAAGAAGCCAGGAGCCGUUCGAGAAGCUUCAGCUUCUGCAGAGAAGCCCAAAGAAAGCAUCGAACGGGAGGAGAUCGCGAGCGGCAGCCGGGUGAAGAGCGGGAGCGGCGCGUCUUCUUCUAAGGCGGCAGGGCGCAGGUACAAGCUUCUCAAGGAUGUUUUGUGUUAAGCGUUAAUUAAUCCUGCAAUUUUUGUUAAUUAAUGUGCAUAUUAGCUGUAAUUAGUGUAAUUAGUGAGCUUCUCUCUAUAUAUCAUCAUAUGUGACUGUGAUAAUAUAUAUAUAUAUAUAUGUUGUAAAUGAAGGAAGAACUCUGUACAAGAUCGUUAGUUAUGCUAUAUUGUGUUUAAUUAUAAAUAAUAUUUUGUGUCUGAUUUGCUAUACACACUGUGCACUGCAUCUUCGAUUUAUAAUACAAAUUGGAAUGUUAACAUUCUUCAUAUAUAUAUUCUUUGAUACAUUAAAAACUUUUUAUUGAUUACACAUUCUUUGCCCCCCCUCUCUCUCUCUCUCUCUCUCUCUCUCUCUCUCUCUUUGUUAGCUCCUGAUCUUAAUUUAUACAUAAAUAGUUUGCACUUUGUACCUAGUCCAAAGCACACCAAUUUUGAGAGAGAGAGAGAGAGUGGCCGACAAGCACAUGUUCCUCAGCAACAAUAUUUUUAGUUUGUACAUGCAAACUCCGUGUAAUCUUCCAGACAAAAUCAUCGAUGAUUCCAUAGUAUUACAACUAAACUAAGAGUAUUUUAUUGCCCUAUGAGUUGACCCUACCAUGCAGCGUUGCUGUAGUCCUUUUGUAGGUGUCAUGUAGCCAAAAAGACCAAACAUUGGGUUCUUUCUAAUUCCAAACCCUGAUGUAGUUAAGUACAAUUUUUAACAACCAGCGCAAUACUAGCUAGGUUUAUAACAACUGGAUGAAUAUAUCUGUAACUUUAAAAAAUAUGUUUUUUUUUUUUUUUUUUUUUUUUUUUUUAAAGAGAGAUAGGUAGCACGCUACCCGCUUCGUUUAUUUCAUUUAGAAAUAAAUUUAGCUGGAAAUGUGAAUCAACUAGGAUUCGAACUUGGGUCUCGGGUACCAACCACCAAGCCCUUUACCACUUGCUCUAGGGACGGUUGGGAACUUUAAAAAAUAUGUUAUAAAAAAAGAUCGACAACACAACAUUUUAUUUAUUUUUCGCUAUUAUAAUUUUAUGUUUAUUCAUAAAUUAUUUCAUCCUUAAUUAUUAUCGCCAUGAAUUAUAUCAACUAUAUAUAUAUACAUAUAUAUAUCCUCUUAAAAAUUUUCAUAUCUCAACAUGACAGUAAUUAAAUAGUUGUAAGAAAUAAUUAUAUUGUAGGAAUUUUGCAUGUAACCUUCAAAACUGCUACGACAUUUUACUCAUACUGAUUAAACAGAUUUUCAUUAGUUUUUACAAUUAUAAUUCUUAUUCCUUUUACAUCUCAACAUGGCAUUUGUAAACAUUUGUAAAAUAUAAUGUCCUAUGCAUACAUAAGGCUACGAUCUAUAAUUAAUAAAAGCUAGCACGAGUCAUCCACCUACAUUGAGUAUAUAGUAACGGAUAAGAUCAUAAGGGUCGCUCUCCAUGGUGGAAUACUAAAAUAGGUCCUAUACGUAGUAUUCGGUCGCAUGCAUUAACUCCAUUGAAUGCAUGAGUGGCGUUUUGGCCAUGUUCAUGGUACCUAAAAGCGCCAGAUAAUUUCCACGUUUACAUGCCUAUUUAUUGCGACAAUUUCGUGAACAAAUGGAAACCACUCAUUCCUACUGUUUCUGUGACCACCUAUAUAUGUAUACACACACACACAAGAAAAAAGAGAGAGCAUUUAAUUCGUCAAGAAUAUUUAAAGGGUAUAUAUAUCUCUAUUGGUGGAGCUGCAUGAAAACAAUGUCGAUUUCAAUUAGGUAGGCUUCUACAUUGAGAUGUUUUAUUUGACGUUGACUACACGGUGCGAUUUUUUGUUCUCAUUAUCAAGAGUAGAUGAGUGUAUAAUACGAACUAAUUCGAGUGGUUGGUUUCUUGUGAGAUGUUGUUGAAGCUAAUCAUCAUAGAUCAUGGAAUUUGUGUAAAUGUUUUAAUGAUAUAGUAGUCACUAUUGUUCGAAGCACCACGAGCAUCCGUCCUUCUUGUAUUCACUUCAUCUUCUAACACGCGACAUCUAUUGAGUGGCAGUUUUCGUUAGCUUAAAUAUCAAACAAAUCUAAUCUACGUUGGCGACAAAGUGAAAAUUGAAGUACGAUGGAUAUGGUUAGUAGAGUAUGUUGCAUGUGCGAGGACUAUAUGAUCGAUGCACGAGGUGCAGUUAUGGUAUGAUUUUUGCAGUUUUCUUGUCAAUUUUGCAUUAUCUGAAUUAAUGUAAAUAAAAUAAUAACUAUCUCUUGCAUGGUACAUGUACAUAGUACAUACCCAUUUGCUAAGUACAUAAAUCAUCAUUGCUUACACACCACUCUCUCGAGUUGGUUAAUUAGCAUAAAUUGGGAUCUUGGCUUGCAAUUUUAAUUGUGGGGAUAAUUAAUUAAUGAUGAUUAAGUUAAAGCACUUCCCCUUAAUUCCCAUACCUCCCUCGGAAGCAUGUGGAGUCAUGCUGCGUGUCUCAUUUUAAGUACAAGAGAUGAGUUAGGCAAUGGCUUUUGAGUCACUCAUCCAAUUUCUCCAAGUCCUUUGCAUGCAUAUGUUCGCUUCUUUUUCGACCCCAUCGUUCGGAGAAAUUUUUAUAUUUUAUAGGUUCUUGUUGUCGUAGAGUCUAGUAAAAUGGAAGUUGAUUAAAAUGACUGGACGUUUGGAAAAAAAAACUUGAACUCAGAAUUUUUAUUGUUACGAUAUUCUUUGUAACUAUUAUCUAAAUGCUUAGUAAUCUUAUAUAAGGAAUAAUGUUUGAAUACUUUAAUUCAACAUCUAGGAUUUAAUUUUUUAAGACUUAUGAAACAACUGUUGUACUCUAAAAACUUAAGCACGUCUGGGCUCGAGACUUUUUACAAAGCCAAUGACGUGGACUUGAAUUAAUUAAAUAGGAGAAAAUUAAUAAUUUUAGGAGUCUGGCGUGACUCGAACUGAGAACCUCCUACUCUAAUACCAUAUGAAACAACCGUUAUACUCUAAAAGCUUAAGUAUUAGAGAACGGUGCUUAUAUAUUUUUAUAUUUAACACGGUCGUCCCUAGCGCAAGUGGCAAAGGAUUUGAUAGUUGGUAUCCGAGAUCCCAAAUGCGAAUCCUAGUUGAUUCAUAUUUCAAGCUAAAUUUAUUUCUAAAUGAAAUAAACGAAACGAUUAGCAUGCUACCUAUCUCUUAAGAAGAAAAAAGACAACUUGAAUAUAGUGGGUGGCGAUCAAAUGGGCUACGAGACAUUUAUGUCUUAAGCUUACCGAUCCACACAUAAAAAUUAAGAAAUACCGGAAUGAGAAAUAGCAGCUGCAUUAAUCGCUCUACUUCUUCUAUUUUUGGUGGCCUGUUCCUAGUAAUUAGAAAUUACUAAUUUGUUAUUGAUUGAUUAGGUAAUUACUUGUUAUUAAUUAAUAACUUUUUGAGAAGAAUAUGUUUGGGUCUAAUCUCGGAUGAGAUCCCACUCAACUUGGGCCUGGAUCGAAUAAACUACUGAUUGUCUAAACCUAGCCCACUAAGCACACUACGGCCCACACAUUUAUCCUAACAUUUCAAUUGGGCUUUCGACUUUUUUUUUUUUGAUGGUUGUGUUUUUUUUUUCCCCCUUAAAAAUCAGCUCUUUUUUUCUUUUUGAAGUGUUUUCGUCGUAUUAGAAUUUUUCUUAAAAGCAAAAAAACAAUACGAAAAACAAACUUUACCGGGCAUAAAUAUAUACAUCUCUUCUAGUGUAGCAUUCUUUUUAAACUUGGGUCUCGGGUACCAACCACUAAGCCUUCUGCCACUUACUUUAGAGACGAUCGGCUCUACAAAAAAAAAAAACAAAUUAAAUAAAGAGAAAUCGCAGUAGUGAGCUUGAGUUUUCCGUUAUUUGGUUUAAUUUUUUAUUUUCCCCGUAACCAUGACUUCAAAUUAGAUAUGACGCCGAGAUGAAACUUGGUUAUAAAAAUUUUAAAAAAAAAAGAACUCUUCGAUUUAUUGAAAUCUUAACGCUGAUCCGAAGACCCCAAAAAGCAAAAGCAAAAUCAGUGGACGGUGCUUUCAUAGGCACCUACCUAACCCAUCUUAAAUAAAGUAAUAGGAAGUAAAAAAUAAAAAAUAACUAAAAUAAAUAACAUAAAUUAAAGAUUAAUCAAUGGCUAAGAUAAACUUAAAUUAUUAAAGAGAAAACUAAAAAUGCACGAGUUGCUACCUUACUUCUUUAUAAUCCCUUUGACCCUACGUAGAAAAAUAAAGCGCAUGCACUACUUAAUUAUGGUGAAAACAAAAAAAAACUACAUUUACAAUAUUUGAAGGAGCGGUUACACCGCAAACUCCAUCUCCCUCAAUUCCUUACAUUACAAAUUUACAUAAUUCUUACAUCAUUUUCUAUCCGAUUUCUUAAAAAAUAAAAUUUUAAAAAUAAAAGAGAAGUUCAUAGAAUAUCUUUUCAUUUUCUCCGAAUAGAUAAAAAAUAAAUUAAAAAAAUAAAACUAAAUCACAAUAACUAGCACCAACACAAGCAAAAAUCCCAUACAACUACUUCUCACUCCACCACCUCUCCUAGCAGCCGCCGAGCCGGAGUCCGUAGUGUCGGACUCGAUGAGCGAGCUGAAACUAAAAUCCGGAUUGGACCCGUAAAGCGCCUGCACCCCUUCGACGUCGUCGGCCCUUAAAUCCGCCUUCUUCGUCCUCGGACUCAGGCUUGGGUACAUAACCGAGUUUUUCACCGCCGAGUGAGCGAGCCCGAGCACGUGCCCGAUCUCGUGCGUCGCUACCGAUUCCAAAUCCACGGCCACCGCCGACCGCUCUCUUCUGAAGUCCACCGCCCACGUCUCCGCAGCGUCGAGGUGGAGGCGCCCGCUCUCGGGCGAGAACGCAUGCGCCAGCACGCCCAACACUCCGUCGAAGGGCUCCCCAUCGCCGUGAUCGCCCGAAUAAAAGCCUAUCUUAACAUCCGCCGAUUCGUAGUUCGCGGUUUUUGUGAAUUGCACGGGGAUCGCCUGUGCCCACCGAGCGAACGCGAGGUCGAAAACUGCUUCCACCGUUCCGCGCGGCAAGUAGUGUAUAGUGGCAGUUGGAGAGACAGCAUAGGUUAACACAAUUGGACCGGACCGGGCCCACCGCGGCUCGCCCGGGAAGAACGCGAACCGGCCGACCGAGUGGGCCCGGCUCGGGGCCAAGGUGGCGUUGUCGGGGACGCCGCAUCGCGGUGUCGUGAUCUCGGCGAGGGUGGCAGCGUCGAGCUUCCCGGUGACCCGGAGGCCGAGCCGGGUUUGGUAGAGCGAGACCGCCGUCUCGAGCCGAUCGUCGAACGCGUCGGUCGGGUUCGCGUCGGGGUCGGGUUCGGGGAGGUAGCCGAACCGGGAGAAGUAGCGCUUCAGGUCGGAUAAACCGGCGACGUGGGUCCCGCGCUCCGCGUCCAUGAAGCGAUCGGAAGAGCGCCACGUGUCGGAUGGUGGGGCGGGUCGUGAGGCGGCGGUUGGAAGGUGGCGGGAAAGGAGGAGGGGCAGGAGAAUAGCGAAUAGAGAAGGGCGAAUAGAGAGGAGCAUAAUUCAAAGCGGAAACCGCGGGGCGUUUGGGAUAAGUCGGAAGAGAACGAGGUGUACUAGGAUUUUAUUGUUAUUCUUGUCGGAAUAAAACAGGGAAAUUUUUUCUUUUUCUUUUUUCUUUUUGUGUUUAUUUAUGUUAGUAUAUUAUUAUUAUUAUUAUUAUUAUUUUGGUUGGUUGGGUUUUGGGGUUUGGGAGUGGGGGAUAUAUAGGAAGAUACCAAGCAACCUGAUUCCACGGGAGAGGAUGAUGAUUCAGCGGUUGGCCACCAACGUAUAACUAACAAUCCCAGGCACAGAGGCACUAGAGCUGAGAUCGCGACCAUUUUGUAUGUUCCAAAUUGGACAAGUCGUUGCCUGCAUCUGCAUGGUCCACACAGCAUCAAUCAAAUUGCAAACUUAUUUUAUUAUUUUAAAUAAUAUUUUAUUGUCGAGGGUUUAUUUAUUUUUUAUCUAAUAGUGGCGUCCUCCUAAAAAACUCUAUUUCUAAUUUCGCUAACUAUAUUGCUGAAAUUUAAUGGAUUAGGCCAAGUUGCAAUCGCAGUCGUCGACGCAGACCGCACGGGCCCAUUGACGGCUUAUUUGGUAUUAGCUGCUCCUCGAGUCCUUGCCAAUCACUUGCAGGAGAGACCGGGCACGACAGCGCCAAUUGAGAUUAUCUCCCUCUCAUUGUCUCGGUGGUGGCCUACUCUGUGUAGCUCGGCAUCCUCAUUGGAUCCAACAUACUUAAUUUUUUUCCUUUAAUAUCUUCUCUUUGAAUACUGUAAAAUUAUUUCAAAACCGAAUAUCAGAGAGGCUCCUCCUAUACGAUAGGUAGGACCUCGUCUAUAAUCCGAUGCAUAUCCGUUACUAUAAUAUGUUUUUGUGAGCCAGUUUGAUGAUUGAAUUGCAUCCUCUUAUUCCCCAAAUCCUACCAUGCAUCCGUACGUCAUAACCUCCAACACCUCUGAUUUGCUAAACCGAUAUUACUAGAUGCUAAAUGAUCGACUAAGUCUUAAUAUCUCCACAAAUAACUAAAAAAAAGUGAGGAAGAACCGAGAUAGCAGCAUUAGUUCAAUUUUUGCCACUGAUGUAUAUAUUGAUGGAUAGCACAAAUAUAUUUAAAUAUACAUCCAAUUGAUAAGUAGCUUGUGGAUAAAAAAGAGUCCAGGUGUACAAUUAACAUCGGAUUAGAACAUUACCACCACCAGGAUCGCACACGUGGCAGUAAGAAUAGUAAGCUUAUUAACAUAUAUUAUUAUUAAGAAUAAUAAAUAAUAAUAAUCCUGUUACUUUAUUUAGUAAUUAAUCGACCCAACUGAAAUGACCUGCAACUUGGCUUGCUUUCAACUUUGACUAUUCUUUUGCGUCCGGCCAAACGGACGUUGGGCUACCGUGACCAAAGUUCGGAGUAGGGUCUCAUUUGCUUUACACGUGGCGGAUCCAACGGCUGGGGAUUGGGGACCGCUAAGUUUGUUACGCUCAAUGAUUGCAUGAGCUCACUUUGUGGAUCAGGUAUAGGGGGCAGUUAAUAAGUUUGGCGUGCAAGACUAACCAACCUUUUUGUUAGUUUUCUUUUUUCUUUUUUUUUUCUUUUUUGAGAGAGAGAGAGAGAGAGAGAGAGAGAGAGAGGGUAUUAUGUUAUACGAACGUUUAUUUUAUUUAAAAAUAAAUAAAAUAAAUUUAAUUAGAAAUAUGAAUUAAUUAGAAUUCGAAUUUGAGAUCUCGGAUAAUAAUCAACAAGUUUUUUUUGUUAGUUUGUUGAUAUAUUAAUACGAAUAGUUUAUUUUAUUUAAAAAUAAAAUUAGCUGAAAAUGUGAAUCAAAUAAGAUUCAAAAUUGGGAUCUUGGAUAUCAAUCAUUAAGUUCUUUGCCACUUGCGUUAGGGACAGUCCGUUUCUGGAACAAGAAUGUCAAAUUCAAAAUGUAUUGUAUUACAUAAAAUGCACAAAUUUUAAAACAACAUCAUUAAUGUUGAAUUUAAUGAUCUGACUGUGGGGAAUGUCAGAGCAAAGUAAAUGAUGCAUUCGAUGAGCAACAUCAAGAUUUGAAUAGUUCAGGUCCUAGAAGGAAGGAGACUGAUUUAGAUUCUCAAAUACUAAACUUAUAAAUUAUUAAUGUAUCGAUAAUUUCAUAUAACAGUUUUAAGUUGUGUUUGGGUAAUGGAAUAAGUUAUUCGAUAAUAACGUAUUUAGUGUGAAUUUUUUUUUUUGUGAUUGAAAAAUAGAAGUUUAAUUUUUGAUUCUUGAAAAGUCUCGACAUUUAUGUUUUCGUAGAAUAGCAUAUUUUAUCUACGGAAUAAUUUAUUUUAUUUCAAAAAAAUUAACUUUGAAUAUUAAAAAUCGCAUUUCAUUAUAGAUAUUUGAUCUCACUCCUAAUUUUCAAUAGUACCAAAAAUUCUCUUAUUAUUGAAUGAGAUACUACCGGAUAAGUCAUUUCAGCACCAAAAUAGAAUCUUAGAGCGAGCGCACCAACAAAUGAAAACUUACAUAUUAUACAAUUAAUAUAUCAACAAUAUAUAAAAAUAAUAUUAUAAAAAAACUAUAAUAGUACUCUCCACAAAGGAUGCUACCUCAUUCUCCCUGAUAGUAAAAUUCAGCUGCGGAAGGCCAAACCCGACCCGUAAAGUUUUCGGAUUUGAAUAUAUCACUCCAGACACGAUCCGAUUUGUGAUCUGGGCCCAAAAUUAGGCCUAGUUGUAAUAUGAAGCCCAUUCCUAUUCGAAUCCCCAAACUUAGCAGCGGAAGCACUUGGGCCCAUGUUAUUUAUAUAAACAAUAGAAUAAAAUGUUUUUUAAUUUAAUAAUUAAAAAAUAAACUUUAAAUUAGAAAUAUCAAAAAUAAAUAUUGUUCCAGUUUGAAACGGUGGGGUCACUCUCAGUACAUUUUUACAUCCUUGGAUAGGGUAUAAGAUUUACACUUCAAUUAUUUCAAGGUUGAUAAAUUUCUUUUUGGUCUCUAGUAUUAAAACAAGAAUAAAACUAGCAAGUAGAUAAUGUUAGAUUUUAUAAAAGAACCGAUUUUUUUCAAUCGCUUAAGUUGUGAGAGAAUAACAAUUUUAAUAUUUAUGUUCAGCACUAUUCCUCACAUACGGGCUCAUGAUAGGCUAAAAGACAUGCACUUAAAUUAAAUAAAAAAAAUUAAAUAAAACUUAAAACUUCUUUCUCUGACAAAUUAUAUAGAACAAUUAGUUUUCUUCUAUAGCUUAAACUUUUUAAAAAUAAUAUUCUUAAUAUUAAUACUCAGUAGAAAAUAGCCUUCAAAUGAAUUGAGUGUAAAAUUUUUAAUAAAUUAGUAUACCGUUUGCACUCGUAACACCAUUAUUAUUAUAAAAUUUUUUUUUCUUCUUUAAUCUGUGGUAACCUGUAUUUGCCGAGCUUCCUCACGGAGCAUUCGAGGGUUUCAAAUUGUCUAUAAUCUUGUACAUAGAAAUUUUCAUACACGGGAUUGAUUCAGUUGUUAAAUUUUAGCGAAAUUAAUCCACACUGUCUUAUAUGAAAACGAUGCAACUUAAUUAUUCGAAACAUUAGCGACCGAAUAAAUUUUGUGUACAAAAAAUUUUGCGCAGAUGGGUUGUAAAAAGUUUGCUGCCGCAUUUGAUGGUGUGCUGACUGCACAGUUGUCGAAUCACAAGGAUUCCGGUGACAAUAUCUUUGCCGUGCUGUCAGACUGUUUACUAUUGCCGGCUGGAAUCCCAAUGACACGGAUUUUGUUACGGAAAAUACUUUGGGUCCGCAAAUGUGCCUCCUCUUUAUUACUGUAUCAAUUUGUUGCAUAACAUUGUAUCAGAUGAAUAGACUUCUCAUGGCGCGAGUGACGAAAAAUUUGAUGAUCGGUAUUCUUAGUUUUAAAUUUAAAUUUUAAUUGAUUCAUAUUUUUUAGUUAAAUUUAUUUUUAAAAUAAAUAAACGAGACAGAUAGUAUGCUAUCUUUAUCUAAAAAAAAUAUUGUAUCGGAUGACCGACUAUCUCUUACGCAAGUAACAAAAGCAUUAAUAUGUAACAUUUAAUAUUUAAAUUUAAUAUUUUAUUAGUUUAUGUUUUUAAGUAAAUUUAUUUUUUAAAAAAUAAAUGAAUCAGAUAGCAUAUUACCUUUCUCUCUUCAAGAAAAAAAAAUACAUAUAUCCGAUGGAGUCUCAAAUCUUGUUCAUACUAAAAAAAUUUCUGAAUUUGGCUCUCAUUUAACUUAUUUUAUCAUAUAGCUAUCAUGCUAUGAAUGGUUACGUGUAUAUUAAAAUUAAUUCUGAUUUUUUUUACUGUAUUAAUUUUUUAGGUGACUAUUUUCUAAAAUAAUUAAAUAAAAAUGUAUAGAAAAUAAAUUAAUUAUAAAAGAUUUUAACUUGAUUAUUCAAUCUUUCAAAAUUUUAAUUUUAUUACUCAAUCUUUUCAUUUAUUUAAUCUGAAUUGGUUAAUAGCUUUUCACUUUUAAAAUUUAAAUGUAUCAUUUAUCCCUACAGAUUUAGAUAAUACACUUAACAUAAUUCACGCAGCUAUAAACUCGUUAAAAUGAAUAAUUAAUUUAAAUUUGAAAACAAAGCAUCGUUGACUAAAUCAAAUAAAAAAUUUUAUAGUAAAAUUAAAAUUUUAAAAUUGGAUGGCAAAGUCAAAACAAUCCAUAGUUCAAAUAAGAACGGUAUAUUUUAGCUGUAUAAUUAUUUAUGAUUACUAUUAAUCUGUUCCCAAGUUUUAUCCAACAUUUUUAAAGCAUGCGAAUUAAUCAAUUAAAAAUUUGAAUAGAAUAUGUGAUAACAUAUUAAUAGUGUAUAAAAAUAAUAUUUUUUUAGAGAAAAAUAGCAUGCUACCUGUUUUGUUUAUUUUUUAAAAAAUAAACUUAACUGAAAAUAUGAAUUAAUUAGGAUUCGAACAUUGAACCUCAGACACCAACUACUAAAUUUUUUACUACUUGCGCUAGGAAUAGUCAGUAUCUAUAAAGAUAAUGUUAUCUGAAAUUUGUAACAUUACUCAUUUGGUAAAAACUACUGAUAUAUAUUUUCAGCAUGCGAUUGUUGAGAACUGUUAAUACGUUGAUAUCCGUAAAAGGUUCAAUGAGGCCAGCUAAAGUGUCCUGAAAAAAUCUCAGCACAGUUUUGUAAUUGUCUGAAAUCCAACCUUUAAACUGUUCGGACAAAAACUGGAGUUUAUUUAUAGAGUUCAGCAGUGUCACUUUUGUCCGACAGAUUAACACUAGUACGAGCAAAAUUAUUUCUUAGUUACCCAAAGCAUUUUUCCUUUUGCGCACAAGUGGGGUUAGCUAAUUUCACCGCCCAGAUUGAGUGUUUAAAAAUAAUUUCGGAGUUAAGAAAUUAUUCCAUCCCUUAACCCCGAAUCAAACGGAUGCUUAGGGAUUGAUUUUUUUUUUUUUUUUUAGAGAUAGGUCGCACGCUACCCGCUUCGUUUAUUUUAUUUAAAAAUAAACUUAGUUAGAAAUGUGAAUUAACUAGGAUUUGAACUUAGGUCUUAGAUACCAACCACUAAGUUCUUUGCCACUUGCUCUAAGGACGGUCGAUUUUUCAGGGAUUGUUGAUGCAUUAGUAUAUAUAAUGUUAGGUAUUUCCAUUUAUUUAUAUGUAGUUCGAAAUAUCGUAUAGUGUGGUGUUAGAAAAUAUUUUCGCAAAAGCUAUUUUCAUUGGUUUAUAUAUGCAAUGCGAAACAUCAUACAAUAUGGUAUUAGCAAAUAUUUUCGUAAAAGCUUAGAGCAUUUUUAAUAUAAAUUAUUUAUUUUAUUUCUAAGUCCUAACAAAAUAAGAGUUACAAAAAAGUGUGAAUAAUAUGUUGACAACUUAAUAUGACUAUUUAAAUUUUGUAUAUAAAUCAACCAAAAGAUCUUCAUGUUAUGAAUACUAUAUACCAAUAUACCAAUAUAUAGGACCACAUAGCAAUAUUCAAAAAGACACAGAAAAACCAUCAAGGUAUAUAUUAUCAUCCAAAAUUCAAAAUAUAAAUUGACAGUGUAACAGUAAUCGUUUCAAUCAAUGGCAUAAUAAUUUGGAAUAUUAUAUUUUUCUGUGUCUUUUUGAAUAUUGCUAUGUGGUCCUAUAUAUUGGUAUAUUGGUAUAUAGUAUUCACCACAUAGCAAUAUUCAAAAAGACACAGAAAAACCAUCAAGGUAUAUAUUAUCAUCCAAAAUUCAAAAUAUAAAUUGACAGUGUAACAGUAAUCGUUUCAAUCAAUGGCAUAAUAAUUUGGAAUAUUAUAUUUUUCUUAACAAAUUUCAGUCACUAAAAACCCAAGAAAUAAAAUAUCCUAAAAUUAUACUAGUGAUAACAGUGAUGUGAAAAUAAGGUGAUUAAAAAGUUGAUUUAUGAGGCUGGACUCUAAGAAAGAGAUAGGGUCAUCUUCUUUAUAUACAUAUAUUUUUUUCAUGUAAUUAUUUUUUUUUUGAGAGGCAGGUUUUUCUUUUCAUGUAAUUAUCAUCAACCAAAAAUGUAUAUUAUGUUACAGAGCAACUAUCAUUGCCCACGGAAAUUAAAAUGGCACGACAUUUUGCUUUUAAAUUUUGAAUCAUAAAUCCUUGUUCUUAGCUAUGCUCUCUAAUAUCCACGAAAUUGGUUAUUCGUGAGUCAAACACGAUCCCACUUUUAUAAAAAAUUUUAACUGAUACAUAAAAAUAUCUACAGAAGCAAUGAACACACGAAUAUAUCUUUAUAUGUUUAUGUUUAACAUUAAAGAAAAAUAAACGAAAAGCUUAAUGGUUGGUACCCGAAAUUUCAAGUUUUAAUCAUAGUUGAUUUAUAUUUUCAGCUAAUUAAAUUUAUUUUUAAAUAAAAUAAACGAAACGAAUAAUAUGCUAUCUAUCUCUUAAAAAAAAUAAAAAAUAUUAAAGAGAAAUAAACUUAACAAAAGCGGAGUGUUUGAAUUUAGUUUUUUGGGUAAAAAUUAUGAAGAAGAGUAACAAAAAAAAAAUCAGGUUAUCAAGUGGCUCAUUAUAAGUAACCGACAGGGUUUACACAAUCUAAUUCAACUUUUGAAAUGUCAGAUCACGACCUGUAAUGUAAAUUAAACGAGUUUUCAAAGCUAAAAUAACUGAUUUUUGUAGAAGAGAAAUUCUUUUUCUUUUUUCCUAACAUAGAAUAGAACAUGUUUGAUAUGCAAGUAACGGUCCCACAAUCAUUAUCAGCAAAAACAAAAACAAUGGCGGAAUUAAAUCCCGCACUGAGCCGUGCGGCACGGUAUUGGCUCUAACCUUUCGUCAGAGCCCCGCGUUUAAUUACCACCCUUUCCUUCCCCACCCGUCUUUUCAACCCUUUCCCCCCUCCCAGUCCCCCUUGCGAUUGAACCACUCAAUUCCCUCGAUCCACGUGUCCGGGCCCACCUCGUCCCGGGCACGUGCGCUGUGCCGGCCCCUACAGUUCCCCUGCACGUGACACCCUUUUCGUUCUCUAUAUUAUAUAUUAUCAUUAUAUUAUUAUCAUAUACAUACAUACAAUUAAAAGAAGGGAAACGCACUCUCUAUAUCCUCCCCACCCCACCCCACCCCACCCCAAUCCUGUGGAGUAUUGCUGUAGCGGUCGCAGCAGCAGCAGCAGCAGCGAGCGGGCACUGUUGGUCUCGUCCCUCCUUUUGGGAGACCGAUCGAUUUGGUCAUUAUUAUUGUUAUCGUAUACUGAGGAGGGAAUAGUAAAGGAGUGGGAGGGGGUGGGGGGUUGGGGACUGGGGAGGAGAAAGGAAUAAAGGAUAGUAGUAGUAGUAGUAGUAGUAGUAGUAGUAGUGUUAUUAUAGUGCGGUAACUCAGUUACCGGAAAUGGAAAGCGGAGGCGGAGGUGGGAAAAGCGGGCACGGAGGUUCCUCCUGGGGGGGUUCCUGGGAACUGGGGAACUGGACUUCCGCCGCCGUAGCAGCAAAUUUCCCCGCGUGCUACAACGCGCAGGGCCUCGAGAUCGCCGCGUCCGCGUCCGCGUCCGCGUCCCGCUCAGCUUUCCCCGACCGCGCGGGGGUCCCGCUCGAGGGCGGGGACCACGCCGCGGAGAUCUCGCAGUGCGCGCACCGCAGCUUCCGCAGCCACCACCUCACGUGCCUGAAGCUCGGGAAGAGGCACUACUACGAGGAGGAGAGGCUUUGCGGCGGCGCUUCCGCGGCGGCCGGAAAGCGGGAAAAGGCGGCGGCGGCGGCGGCGGCGGCGGGGACGCCGUUUCCGAGGUGCCAGGUGGAGGGUUGUGAUAAGUCGUUGGUGGACGCCAAGGAUUACCACAAGCGCCACAAGGUGUGCGACGUGCACGCCAAGGCCCCCAAAGUCAUCGUCCUCGGCGCCGAGCAGAGGUUUUGCCAACAAUGUAGCAGGUCCAUCUUAGCCUCAAGAUUUUCUACUUCUCUCUCUCUCUCUCUCUCUCUCUCUCAUUUUAGUUCUUUUUCUUCAAUAAAUACUUCGAUUUUUUUUUAUUUUUUGAAUCGAAUAUGUGUUUUGGGGCAGGUUCCAUGUGAUCUCUGAGUUCGACGACGCGAAGCGGAGUUGUAGGAGGAGGCUCGCAGGGCACAACGAGCGCCGGAGAAAGAGCAACACCCACGAUUCCCUCAUCAGAAACCCUUCCUCUCACUCUAUAGGUUCCCCUUUUCUCCUUUUAAACCUCUCCGUUUUAAAAUUUUGAAUUUGAAUCUUUAUAACUUUUUUGAGUUAUUAAUAGCUGAAAACGUCAUAUCAAGCGUAAAUUAUAAUUAUAAUAACUAGCGUGGAUUAGUUAGUAAGCAAAGCCGCGGAAAAAGGAGUAGCAUGAGAUAUUCUUUAUCUGAGAAAUAAAAUAUGGAGGUUUGAUUGCGGGAAACAGGGGGGUGGUGAUGUGACAUAAAGGUUUUAGGUGCUGUGGCUGAGAGAAAAGGCGAGGGAACAGGUGUAGUGGGGUCGUAUUUUAAUGGUUCCUAAAAUAAAUUAGGGUUAGCGUUUGGUGCGAGAAAGAUUUAUUAUUUAAAGCACAAGAUUAAAAAAAUAAAUUAAAUAAUUUAUUAUUUAAAGCACAAGAUUUUUUUAAAAAAAUUAAUAACUGGUUAAUUGGGUGUCUCCGUCAAGCCCGCCACCGUCGCCCUUGUUGGUUAGGGUUCUUACGGAGGCAACGAUGGGAUCGCAAUGGCUCCACAGAAAUUAAAUCUCAAAAAUCUCAUCAUUUCUGAUGGAAAGAUUGAUCUGAGAUUUAGCAUUAAUUACUGAACGGGUGUUGUAAUUUAAUACAUCUGGUGAAAAUACAAUUCAAAUUUGCACUAAUUAAAAAGAUGAAAAUUGGAUAGUGUGGCAUUAUGUGUCUGUUGCAUCAAUUGGAUAUAUGGAUCAUUGAUGAUUAGGGAUCAUACUCUGUUCUAUUCUCUACAAAAUGUCGAACCAUAUCUUAGCUUACUUGGAAAAUUAAUAGGUGAAGAAUACGAGCUUGGUUCUAGCAUCGAGCGAUUUCCAUCUCUCUCUCUCUCUCUUUUUUCUUUCUUUUCUUUUUUUUUUUUGAGAUUUUAAAAGAACUCUCUUACAGCUCUAAUUUUAGUUGUUUCCGUGUUUAAAUUUUAUUUGCCAAUUAGUAGGAAGCACAUGUUGUGGUUUCCAUCUGUUUUUUCUGUUAUGCUUGAUCUGAUGACUACUGAUUUUGCGCUCCUUAUCUUUCUUUCUUUUUCAGCACUACGGGUAUCUAACCAUUCUUCUGCAAUGCAUAUAUCUUUUAUUAACCUGCAUAAUUUCGCACGUUACCAUGCAUAGCAUUGUUGUUUCUUGUGUAAAUAAUCUCCAUUACAAGCAUCAGUUCAUUGAUUAUUGGAUGCAGCUUGAGCAACAGUAUCACACUAUAACAUGAAAUCUUGCCAAUUUUCUUUCUUGUCGAAACUACCUACCUAGUUGGGUUCCGUCGCUUUCAUUCUGUGUCAAUCUCCUCAAAGUCCUAUCAUUUUCCUAACUUUGUACUCUAGUAUUGUCUAUUCUCUGGCUUAACUAUUGAAGAAUUAAUUCGAGUCAACUCGACUGCAGACACUACCUAACAUGUCAAAGAGAUAGGCAUUAGCGUUCAAUUUCAUUUUUUCCUCAUUUACUUUUUAGCAUCAGGCAAAAGUGAUGGUGUAUAGUGUUUGUUAACUAACACUUUCUAAAAAGAGAUGGAUUAUGACCUGCCAAAAGGACUUCUAAGCGGGUUAAGGAUGAUGAAGUGCAACUUGUAUUUACUUCUUGCGAAAUGUAUUGAAACUUAGUAAAUUCUGUCAAUUGAAGCUUCUUCGUAGACAUUUGGUACAGUUAGUUACCUCUUUAGAAGAUAGCCUUAUCCAACGGCAUGCUGACUCUCAAGGAAGAAGGGUGGUCUGCACAAAGAUCUUUUGAUUUUAGAUGUGGGACCUGAUGAUCUUAUGCUCGGCAUGCAAGAUAAUUCAAUCCUACCUAUUACAUAGUUAAUUUCACGGCGAUCUAUUUGGUCCCUUUUUUUUUUUUUUUCUUGCUUGUUACAGAAACUAGUCAACCCUAGUACCUGUAGGACCAUCUUGGCUGUCAGAACAAGUUAGAGCAUAAAAUAUUGACUUUAAGCUCUUCUCAUCAUAUUAAUAAUCGCCAUUUUCGAAUUUAGUGCAUUUCACCUGUGAAAUGAUUUACAAUAUCCUUAAAAAGUAGAAUUACAUUUUCUCUGUCUAAGUUUUAGACAAAUUUUUCUUGUCUCUAAAUUAACUGACAAGGAACUAGAGUAAACCAGAGAAGGUACGCCAGAUAAGUUAUCAUGCUCUCAAUCAGGCCUGAAGUUCUGUCAAUCAUAACUAUUUGUGGUCGGUGGAUUUAAGCUGACAAAUCCAUCUUGCGGUCAACCAGGUAUAGAGUUCAUUGAACUUGCUUAUAGAUAUCAAUUAUAUGAAUUGCUAUCACACCUCUUUAACUCUUUUAUUUAGAUUGCACAACAUAUUAGUUGUCUUCAGUGGCAAAAUAUUAGGUUUCAGAGAUAAUUAGUUAUGAUAACAGCUACUUCAUAUGACAACCAGAAUACAAUGAGAGAAACAGGAUUCUUUUGUUGUGUUAUCAUGGCAUCUAUUGUAAAAUUUAAUCAGCAAGUUGACUUGCCAGCAAUGUGCGGGUCCUCUGCAGCUGGGGAGGUGGUUUGGUGUUUUAUAGUACUUUUUAUAACAUAAUACUUAAAAGAGUCACUUUGUCAUGGCUAUAAAUAUGCUAUGGCUACCUUUCAUUCAUGUCAUUUCAUGUUACUAAGGUGUGUUUCAGAAGCGACACAACCUCUCCACGCCUUCAUCACAGUGAAUUAUUUUUGUUGUUAGUUAUUAUUAUGGUAGUUAGACAAACAAUGUUUAUUAAGGGUGUAUUUUUAUCCAUGCAUCUUGGGUUCGUUUUCUUCUUUUCAAAAUAUUUCUUUGAACUGCGGUUGACGGUUUAAGAUGAGUGUUCAAGCUGGAUUUUUGUUCUUACUAUAGUGUGUGGGCUGAACUCUUUUCGUAAUUGAUCCAUCAGGGUUACUUACCUAUUUUAGUUUUUACCUUUCUUGUAUUCGAUUUUGCUGCAGAAGGCACGAUUAUGGGUCCGAGGUUCUCUCACGCAUCAAACUCACCAGCUCGUGCUCUCUCUCUUCUGUCAUCCAAGGCUGCUUCCUUGCCUUGGGUUUCACCAUCUGACCUCUCUUCUCGGUCCAGCGCUGCCCUUCGCGAACUCAUAGAAGAGAACCGCGCCGCCUUACUGUCACGACAGCUGUUAUCCAACCGAAGCGACUUGCCCAACCAAGGUCCUACAAACCACAUCGCGUUUCCCCAUUGGCCACAACAGAACCAAGUCGUGUCGCAAUUCCCGCGGCUUGCUGAUGGCUGGGACCACCUCCAGGGGGCAGGGGCACACGUGACGCUGGACCUCAUGCAGGUGCCGAACCCUUCUUUUGGAGCCAUUCCACGAAGGAGCAGGGCCAAAGACGGCGAAGAGGAUUGCUCUGAUAUUUGGAAGUCCUGGGAGGAUGCUCAUGUGGUAUGAAGCCCCUGCCCUCUACCUACUUAUUUAGCAGCCCGUUAUUUUUUUAAAUUGAAUUGGUUUACGAAUAUUUUGUGCUGUAUUUGUUGAUCAAUUUGACAUUCUCUUGGACCUUCAUUCGACACUACUUUGUGAAUAUAUUGGUUAGCUAUAUUCUACUUCUAUACACUGAUUUGUGCGGCAUUUCAUUGCUCGUCGUUUUGAUCGCUGCCGAAGCUUAACAUUUGUUUCUCUGCGCUCGCUUGAUAAAUGUGUUUGCUAUAAUUAUAUUUCGCCUCCAUUGGAUGCUUUUUUCGGUAGAGCUUGAACAUUUGUGGCUCUGUGAAAGUGCUCGUUUGUUUGGAUCUGUUGUAGCUGGAUCUUAUGGUGCUGUUAUAGGAUUAUCCAUUUUAGUACUUAGUCAGGAGAUUUUGCUUAAGGUUCUGAAUCUCGCCUGUUAUUUUCUACUACAUUAUUUUUUUUUUUAAAAAAAAAAAGAUAUUGUGGCAGAACGUUCUUUACUAGACUAGAUGCGGAUGCACUAAUUUCAAAGUAUACAUUGAACUUAAGUUGGCAUGUUGUAUGCAGCAUACGAUCCCUGAAUUAAUGUCCCACCUAAUAAAUGAUAGAAACGUCUGGAAAAGUUGGCCGUUUAAUAUUAUAUAAUAAUAUAUAUGCCUUUUGCCCUCCCUAAACUACAUGAUUGAAGGUCCGAAACUAACAUAUAGAUUCUUUUAUUGACCAUUGUUUUAUUAAUUCAGCUUUCUAAUCAACAUAUCUCCGCUGUGCUUCUAAUAUAUAUAGAUCAGCCCUUCGCCUGCACCUUUUUGUUUUUUGGUGCAGUCCCCUCUCUCUCUCUCUCUCUCUCUCUCUCUCUCUCUCUCUCUCUCUUUAAAGUAUCUUUAAGUUUCUUAUACUGUAUUAAAUCUCUCAUAAUCCUACUAAGAAAUUAUCAUAGAUUUUUUCUUUAAAAUGCACAUAAAGAAACUUAAAUUCUAACGCUAAACUAAUUUGUAUAUAACAUUAAUCACUACAUCGAACCAUUUUUAAUAAGCUUUCUCUCUGGAUGCUCAUAUACAAGGCCCUCCCAAAUGCAUACCUUACCUAAUUAUUUGAUAACAUUAUGCGUCUCUGUCGUUUUGCUGCUCAGCGGAUCAAUGCGCGCGCGUGCUGGGAAUGUCGAGGGGCAUGCAAAGAAUAAAUUAAGCUGUUCUCUUUUUGUGAUUAUCUUAUUGCUAUGUACCGGCACAAAGGAAGCUUCUUGAGGCUUGUCAAUAAUUUGCAACGAUGCGCGCACUCUCGCGAGCGGAUAAAAGCUAAGACCUGGAACCAUAUCAUCACAUGAUUUGUAUAAGGGAAAUUUGGUUGCAUUUAAUUAUAAUUGCCGCAUAACUCCAGAUGCAUGUAGUUAGAAAUUUGAGAAUAUAUAAACUGCAUCUAUUUUGUUUAGUUUGAUACAGUGGUAAGUAUUACAACUACAAAUAGAUUAUUUUAUUCAUACAGUUGAGAAGUGCCAUUUAUAAAGUUUAAUCAUUAAUUUACUUUCAAUACAGAAAAAAUAUUUUUGAUUUAAAAAAAGAUGAAUAGGGAGAUAUGCUUACCAUUUUUUUUUUAGUUACUCUUUUCAACUAACAUAGUUUGAGUCUUCUCGUGCAGUUUUAGCUGUAUCUAUUAGAUUCAAUUGUAUCAAACUAAACAUCAGAUUUUAAUCCCAAUGUACUUAGGAUUGCAGUUUAUUCACAACUACUUGCAGCCAAAUAGUUUUUAAAUUACGACUUUGCUUAUAAUUUAUUUAUUACCUUUUAAUUUCUAGAAGUUUUAUUCAUAACAAAAAAAAAAUUAUGCCUCGUGGAAUUCAAAAAUGCUCGUAAAUACUAUUAGUUAAUCAGUUUUAGACAUGACAUUUAGUGGGUGGUUUGGACAGCAAAUUUUUCCAAGUUGAUGCUUGUGUAUUUAGUAAUGUUUGCAUUUUUGAAAACAAGCAUAAAAACCUGAAUUAUAAAUAGAGAAACACAAAGUCUAUAACCUAAAAAGAGUGGUAGAAUUUCAACCUUUAAUUCAAGGUUCGUAAUUACAAUCCUUAAUAUAAGGAUUGUAAUUCUCCGCUCUAAGAUUCAAGAAACUUGUUUCCCGGGUUUAGCAUUAAGGCUUAGUUUUGUAUUGAAAUCUAUCUAACGCUAUUAGAUAAAAUGGAGCUAAGGAAAAAACAUAUAGAGAUAUAUAUACUUCUACGUUUUCCGAUAGGACCGCAGAAAAUAUAUCGUAACCGACUCAUCGCGAUAUGCGGAACGUAAUAGUACGUACGAAAAUAAACAGGAUAUUUUUUAACGUUCUUUCUCACCGCACAUAAUGCAAUUUUUCCGCAAUUCCAAACGAAGCUUAAAAAAAGAAAAAAGUGACGAGACUAAUAAAUAAUAAAGCUGUAAAAUUACAAUCCUUUCUGAGUUGUAGGUCCAGCAUUAUUCAAAUAAAUAAUAUUUUCUGAUAAUAUGAUGUAGAUACAGUAUUAGGGGAUGUGGGUGUAAAAAUCUUAAAUAUUUAUUUUUACAGACACUAGCAUACUAGUUUGUAAUGCACAAAUUAACCUAUUCAAUGAAGACCAGCAAGCUAGGACAUGAAAUAAUAGGAGCAGCUAUAUAUGUGGGUAUCUAAAGCAUUUUCCCUUAAAAUAAUAAUAAUAAAAAAAAAACAUUUUACCCUUGGAAAAUGGUGCACUCAGAAAAUUAAAGAGUCCAAGUCCGGCUCAGCAACCUAGAAGAUGCUAUUUCACAAGAUCACCGGAGACCCCGGAAGCGAUCAUACUCUCAUCAACGUACACACAUACGUACACAAUCACACAACACGAUGAUAACACGAUGAUAUCAACUCCUCCAACUACUGGUACCAUCACCUUUCUCCUCGCACACUUCAUGAUAGUGCAUGGUUAAUUAACAACAAACACUAGAUUUUAAAACUUAAUAAGAAGCUCAAAACAUCCAAAUCUUGAGACAAAACUCUUAUUACGGAAGAAAAUAAAUAGACAAACACAAAAAAGCUGCUAAGGAACACACUAAAUUAAACUAAAGCCACAAAAAGUAGUAGUAGUAGUAGUAGUAGUAGUAGUAGUAGUAGUUAAUCUAACUACUUGCUCUGGUAGAUCCCUCUAAUACAGCUAUCAUCUUCAGCCGCCCUUGUUGGUGCCACCCAGCUCGAAAACCUCUGCUCGCCGAGGUGCGGCAAGAACGACAUGCUAGUCGGCGAUGUCGUCCCAGUCGACGACGUCGCCGACAAACCCAUUAUCGCAUUCGCGACCGGCGUGACGAUGCCGCUGCUGCGUCCCAGCCCCAGCGCCACCUGCGCCACCGGGGGGGCCAGCGUGGAUGACACGUGGCUCGCGCUCGAAUCCCCCUCCGGGUUGCACCCGAUGAACGCCGAGAACGCGCUGUUUCGAUUGUUAAUUUGGCCGCCGUCAUCGUCGUCGUCGUCGUUGUUGUUGUUAUCGUUAUUAAUAUCAUUAUUAUUAUUAGUACUACUAUUAUUAUUGUUAUUGUUGUUGUUGUUGAAUAGAGCGGUCUCUGGUUUCGCCGGAGAGUGGGAAGUUGUUAUGCCGCUGCUGCCGCUGCUGUUUGUGUUUGCAAUAUUGGGUGCGUUGUUAUUAGCCUGGGAGCUGAUCGGAGCCGUCGAUAGGUCCUGAGACUUCCUCCGCCGACGGUUGUGAUCGGCCAGCCGCUUCCGGCAGCUCCGCUUCCCUUGGUCGAACUCCGCCAGCACAUGAAACCUGCAUUCGCAUUCACCGCCAUUUCGGAACAUACAUAGAACAUGUCAGAAGAACAUAUAUACAUAUAUGUAUAUGUAUGUAACCUUAAACACGUCGAUCUGAAGCACGUCGACGAAGCAGACGCUAAACUAACAACAACAAAUAUGUAUAUAUGUAUAUAUAUUUUGAUUUAAAGAUACAUCUGACAAUAUAUGUACGAGACUAGAAGCUGGCGGACGUGUUAACAUGCAUGCAGGAAUGAUUGUAUACCUGCUGCAUUGCUGGCAGAAGCGUUGGGAGAGGCCGGCAGUGAUGACGAUGGAUGCUUUGGAGUGGAACUCGCAGACCUUGUGGCGGCGGUGGUAGUGCUUGGCGUGGGUGAGGUCGGCGCCGCAUCCCUCGGCCUGGCAGCGGGCGGUGCGCGUCCGGCGGCGGCAGGCGCGCGGCGGGUUCCCCGCGGCAGCAGCCAGCUCGUCCUCGGGGGACGCCGACGAGAAGUAGGUGCGCACCCCGAGGUUCAGCCCGAUCCGGGUGGGCGCCGGCGGCAGCGCCAGCCCGUACCGCGGGUGGCAGGAGGACGACGACGACGACGACGGCGAGAAGAGCGCCGCCGCCGUCAGCGGCUGCGGCGGCUGCGGGAAGUAGUCGCUGAUGCCGAUCGUGUUGAGCCCGUGCACGCCGUAGUGGUCGAACACCGCCCGCUGAUCCUGCCCCGUGUCGGCGCCCGAUUCCUCGCCGAAGAGCAGCAUCGCCGCCGCCGCGCUCGCCGGGUUCCCCCAUUCGUAAUCCAUCAUCAUCUUUCUUAAUUAUUUAAAAUCUCUCUUUAUAUAUACUUCUCUCUCUCUCUCUCUCUCUCUCUCUCUCUCUCUCUCUCUCUCUCUCUCUAUAUAUAUAUAUAUAUAUAUAUCUCAGCCUUAUCUAAUUUCUCGAUCCCCUUGAAUUCACAAGUUCAUUCGCGACGUCAUUUAUAUGUAUCUCGCUCUUUCUUUCUUUCUUUAACGCCGGACUCGUAGAAUGACAACUCUUUAAAUAAGCGAAAAUUUUACCGUGCAGCGACUGCACCCGCUGCGAACUUUACCGAACAAAAUGGGAAUAAAGUUACGAUUCAUUCCCAGUUAUUCUGCCGCGAGAGACACAUUCUUAAUUACCUCGGUCGACACUCGCGGACAAAAUAGUGUUAUGGUCCUCCCACUCACUCUCCCGACUAGUCCCGUGAAGAGUCGACGCAGAUCGGAUCACGGCCGUCCGAUUAAGGAAGAGGACGAACGCGGGCCGUCCGAUCCUGUUUGGCUGUGGGGGUUGAUGUGGCGGUGCGUACAUAUUGGUGCCUUGCCAUCGGAUACUUGCGACGACACUGAGGGGAUAGAGGGCCUGUGCAGCCCUGAGUCCCUGACACGAGGAAGCUUGUAUGCACCUUCCUCGUUUCCCGCCUUGAUAUGGCCGCGUACUUACCACCCCGGACUUGUACGAAAUUACGGGGGCGACCAAGGGAUUUUUAAUUAAGUCGGAUGCCCAAAUUGGGUUACUUAUGGCAUUUAAUAAAUCUUUAAUAAAAUUAUAAAUCCCCACUUUUCAGUUUGAUUUGUUUCCACAGUUUCGUACUUUCUCAUUCUAAUACCCUAUAUAAUUUAAAGUGUAUCAUUUUUGCGCCACGUAAUUUUAUUAUUAUUUUUGUUAUUUUCUUUUUUUAUUUUUUUGUUAAAUCAGUGACAAAAUUAAAAUUAAAGGUAUUAAAGUGAAUAUUCCAUAAACUAAUAUGGGUUAUCUAAAACUUUUUGUAUAUGAUUUAACGAAAAGGCUGCGGAGGGGCCGGCGAAAAGAGAAAAUUGAAACCACGGUUCACAGAGUAUUAAAUUGAUACAUUUUAAAUCACAGGAUAUUAAAAGUGAGAAAGUGCGAAACCAUAGGAGUAGUAUUUGAAGUUUACCCUUUUGGUUAGUAGAAUUUUGAAAUUAAAAAGUUAAUCAGAUAGUGAUACUGAUCAAAUAUUAUAUCUGUGAAUUAAGGAUUUAAUACAUGCUUAGUAGUAAAAAAAUUUUACUUUUGUCCGCGGCCAUUUUUAAUUAACAAGAUGCUAAGGGUGCGUUUGGUUCGCAUUAUGAAAGAUUACUAGGAAUAAAAGAUAUCCGAGAAUCUUAUUCCUAUUCAUCCUAUUACUAAGAAUGUGGAAUUCCUGUGUUUGGUUCGCACGGUAAUAUUAAUUAGCCAUAUUAUUUAAUAUUACAAAAAAUAUACAAUUAAUUAAUUUAUUUAUUUAAUUAAUUUUAGAUAAUGUUACCAAUAGUUUCAACAUCUUUUUAGAAAAAAAGGAGAUGAGUAUAAGUUAGAGAGAGAGAGCAUAAUUAAAAAAAUAGAAAGAAAAAUAUAGUCGAAAUUAGAGGGAGUGAGAGAGUUGAAAUUUUAGAAAGAGAGAGAGAGAGAAAGCUUAGUUUAGAGAGAGAAAAAAAAGUUGAAUUUUAGAGAGAAAAAUAAGUUUAGAGAGAGAUAUAAGGUUAGAGUAUAAAGAAAAAUAAUAUCAAUUAGCCAGCGGGUAGGAAGAAAGAAAGAUAUUAGACAUAUUAUGAUUACUUAAAUCCAUUAAUAUGAGGAUAUCCACCCUCCCUCAAGGGAAUGAGAUUAGUACUUUGGGAUGAAUCUUAUUCCCAAGUGAAUCCAAUAUUACCAAUUGGAUUACUUAGUACGUUUAGCCAAAUACCGUCAUAUUUUUUUAUUCCCAUUGGAUUACUAGGAAUCUUUAAAAGAUAGUGCGAACCAAACGCACCCUAAAAGUUAUGCUAAGAGUGAAAUUUUUGAAACAAGAUUCUGACAUUCUAAACACAAACAUCCCGUUUCAAACUUUUUAUUCAUCGAAUAAAAAAAAAACCUAUUAGUAAAACGGGUAAAAUAUUGUUAACAACUGUAGUGAUCAAAUUAUUAUAUAUAUAUAUAUAUAGAGAGAGAGAGAGAGAGAGAGAGUUGAGCUGGAAUGCUAUCGGUAGCAAACGGGCUCCAUUGCCACCCAUUUAUUUUCAAUGAUGGAGCUUUCAAAUCGACGAUCGGCACCGUUGAACAUGAUCUAUAUCACUUGAAGUAUCUAGAAAUCAAAUUUCAAAUCUUUUCGAUAUCAUUUACCUAAUGAUCAAAGGAUUUCAAAAUUAGUAAUUUUAAUGGUUGAUAUGAGGGUUUUUCUCGUUUAACGGUGUAAAGCUAUCCAAAUCAAUUGAAUUUUGAUUAGAAAAUUCUUUAAACUAUUUAGAAUAAGAUCUAUACUCUCGAUCAUAAUUACAAAAUUUCUAUCAUCACUUUUUAGAUAAUAUUCAUUUUCAGCCAUUCAUUUUUACGCCCACUUGAUGGACAAGAAAACAAUAUCGAAAAAGUAUGAAAUUUGAUUUCUAGGACACUUCAAGUGUAUAAGAUCAUUUCAACGGUGCGAUCGUCAAUUUGGAGGCUCCAUUCAUCGAAAACAAAACGGAUGGCAACGGAGCCGUUUGCUACCGAUAGUAUUCCAGCUCAACUCUCUCAUCUCUCUCUCUCUCUCUCUCUCUCUCUCUAUAUAUAUAAUAUAUUAUAUAUAUAUAUAUACUUUAUUGAACAGUAUAACAGCCAACAAGUUGAAACAGGCGGUUCAUUGUUAUAUAAAAUAAACUUUUCGGUUGAAUCAUAAUAAUUAGAACUAUAAGAAAAGAGUAAUUUAAUCAUGUUUUGGGAGGAAAUACAGGCAUUUUGAGAAAAUUUUGGAGUUAGAAAAGGAUAAAGCUGGAAUAAAGUAAUCGUAUCUACGUACAAAGGAGAAACGUGUUAAUAUAGGGGAGCUUGUAAGUGUAUUAUUUUAUUCCUUUGGCUGUUUGCUUCAGUUAGUUGGCUGUUGCUCGCUGUACAAUCACUCAGCCUUUUCAGCAAAUGAGUACUUUACACGUUGCUACAUUUAGGGUGAUGAUCUCACAGCACGUACCAUCACGCCUUUCCAGCCGUCCGAUUAUGUAGCCCCCCGUGUGAUGCAAUGCACGUAACUCUUCGGAUUAGAUUAAGAUUAGAAGAUUUUGAUUAUUCAUACAAGUAAAAUAACGGUACUCUGCACGAGAAAGGAUUUGGUGACUUAGAUGCGAGAGUGUUUUUUUUUUUUUUUUCAAGAAAAAAAAAAAGCUAAAAAUGUAGAGAGGUUUCCUCACCUAUAGGCUGUUCUGAAAUGCCCCCUGAAUUUUAAGUUUUUUUUUAAAAAAAUUAGCACUUCAUCAACUUUCAGUUUAUUAUAUAAUAAAAUUGAAUAAUCUUUAUAAACUGAAUUAAAAAAUUAUUGAAUUAAAUAUAAUAAUUUUGAUUAUUAUUUAGCGAAUAAAAUUUGAACAAUCAACAAUAAACAUUCAUAACUUUUAAUUUUAAAAAAUAAUUUUAACUAAUUACAAAAGUAAAAAGAAAAAAAUUCAAAAUUCAAAAAAUAUCAAUUAAAGAAAAGGAAUAAUUCCCGCGUGGCACAAUUUUGUUCUUUUCCCUUUCAAAUUAACUCUCAGUUUGCGCCGCUAUUCUCUAUCAAAUUCUUUAAUCAAAUAAUAUACUCCGACUAAACUAGUAUUUCAGAUUUCACGGUUACAAUAAUAUUUCCAGCGGUUUUAUAUCGUACAAAAUAAUUAAUCAUUUUCGGCUUCAAGUUCCCAUACCUCUUAACUUGUGUGAGGCAUUACCGCCUGCAUGAAAGGGGCCGAGUUGGGGGGGGGGGGGGGGCAUUUCAUCGAGAAAAGGAAGAGAAAAAGAGAGGGUUUGGGCGUGGCCCAACUCGGCCCUCUAUAAAUGGGGGCCCGAUAAGUAUCACUCACAAUACAAAAAGACAAAAUAAUAAUAAUAAUAAUAAUAAUAAUGAGCAGUUUCUCAGCAGUAUUGACAAAGGAACCACCCAUACAAAUCGUCUACAGGAACUCGAGGAAACCAAAGCUUAAUGGCAUUUUAAGAAGUUAGGUCUCAAUAGGUUGAAGGUUGAAUACACAACAGAAGACAUUUUGAGCCGGAGAAUCAGGUACGUACCUACUUAGGUUUGUCUGUUAAGGCGACGAGGGACCUCAAGAUGCCAGAAGACAUUUUAAGCCGGAGAAUCAGAUACCUACUUAGGUUUGUCUGUUAAGGCGACGAGGGACCUCAAGAUGCUAGGACUUACUCUAUCGGCAAGGGCUCCUCUUUCCGAGAUUGAGAACGACUUUUCCUUCACAUAACUCUGUAGUUUCUUCGUGUCGUAGUCCAGUCGUUCUUGGUCUACGUCAUAAAAGAGUAUAUAACUAUAGUAGCAUCAUAAAAAAUGUUAUUCGGUAAGAUGAUGCUUUUAAAGUUCAAACGAAAGAGAGAGACAACCCACAAUCAAAAUGUUAAUUGACUCGAGUAAAUAAUAAAAGAAGAAAACUGAUAAUAAAUGUAUGUAUGAACAGGGAAGCAAGUACCUUUCUCUAAUAUGGUAUGUGCAGCAUGAAACGGCACGCGGAUAAAAAUAUCAGACCCGGGAAACAUCAUCCAUGUAUUCUCCGUUGAAUCAUAAUCUCCACAUGUUGGACAUAUCUCCUGCACCAAAGCCUUUGAUUUGGUUCCCUCAAUUCCUUUCAUUAUUGCCUCAAAAGGGGAUGGGACACUGCUUUUAGUUGUUCGAGCAUUCUUCCUUAGAGCAGUUAAUGCUUCCCGGUUACUGUUUCUCAGCCUAUCAUUUUCGACCAACUGUUUUAUCCCAACAAAAUCAAAUAAAAUUAGACAUAUUUAGGACCAAGUCUAACAUGGAUAAGCGGAAUAUGGGAACUUCUUUAACCUGAUGCUUUGCCAAAAGAAGUUCUUCCGCUUCGGUUUCAAUCUCAACUAGAGUUUGCUGGAGUUGCUGCAUACCUGGAUCCAUUGUGACACUACAGAUAUGCGUAUUUAUUAAGUAUUGUAGUUUUCCUCAAGAAUUAUUAUUACUUAUCAUUUGCUAAAUGUUAAGCAUGAAGGAAAACAAUAUAGUAAAGAUGACAACCGUAAUAACAACACUUCAGCAACAGUUUUUAAGAAAUAAACUCAAAAUCCAAUUAAUGCUGAAUAUUUUCAAUGCAAAUUAGAGGUAAGAAAUAAGCCCAAAAUAACAUCUAAAUAGCAAAAUGUUUAGAUAGAACUAGCUAUUAAGUAAUUCCAUUAGCUAGAAUUAGGAUUCAAAAGUCAGAUUUCCCAGAUCUUGGUGCAGGAAACUGCUUCGAAUCUCAAGGGAAAACAGUGUUGUUAGAUCUUAACUUUGUGCCAUUUGAGAAAGAUGACAACAUCGCAUAUAUACUUUUUCACGAGAAGCAUAAAGAUGUAGACUCGUGGCAAUGUUACGAGAUGUCUGCAGUAAAUUGCAAAAAUGGAAUUGCCUGAGUGGUACGUAACGACAAUAAAGGAAAAGGUGAAACAGUUAUUCUGAUAACUGCAGCAAUUUUCAACAGUAGCGGUAAAUAAAAGAGAAGGAAAGAAGAGGAAGAGAAUGGUGAAAAUGCAAGAUAAAAUAAUUAAGUCAAAAAAGGGAGAAAGAAGUUGAAUGUUAAAAGAGGAAGAACUGGAUCGCCUCUUUCCAAAGUUUUGCUUUUUUCGCAUUUAAAAAAAUGCAAGGAUGAUCAAACUCAAUUGUAAACCCAUUAAAUGCCUUUGGAAAGUUUUGCUGAAGAAUCAUGAUGCAGUGGAGAAGAAGGUGUAUCACUUUAGCAUCCAAUCUGUUAAAUCUGAGCCUAUAUUCAGUGUCCUCAUUCACUGAUCCUAGUAGAGGAAGAACCAAUCUACUGGUCUAAAACUGCAUCAUUUUAAAGGUAGUUGUUUAGCUACUUCCACAAAUUACUCUCAUAUGCUAUAAAUCAUUUAGUUAUGUCCAUCAAAAUAUCAUGCCACAAAAAUAACAGAAGGCGAAGAAUAAAGAUAUGAAUCAAACAGAGGGGGGGGGGAAAGUAAAUAAGUUACUGAAUAAGACUGAUGAACAGGUACACACAUAAACUUUUUAAUUACAUAAAUUGGCGCAAUAUCAUAUGGAUAAUGGAUUAACAAUGUCAUUUUGCAGUUAAAAGAUGCACGUCUAACACGCCAGCAAUUAUUGAGCAGUAGGCAAGAUACACGGCGAAUGUUUCACAAUAGAAGUGAGCUCUUAAUUAUCUGAAUUAUGUUGUUUAAAAAGCAGAUAAUGCGAAUUAUCUUGCUCAAAGGGGCACAUAAUGCAAGUUCUUCAUUCAUCACAAACUACACAAGUAAUAAUCAUCUUUUCAACAAAAAUCCAAAAAAAUAUUGACUGUUAGAAAGUAUCUCGUCCCUCUCAUGAAGGGUCAACACAACACGAGUGGAUGUACAAGAAUUUGUCAAAUGAAAUUACUCCCCAUUGGCUGAUAAAGUAUUCUAUUGAAGAGAUUAACUUUAAAUAUUCAAUUUGCCAAAAUCAUCAAAAGAAAAUGGGAGGAACCUGCAACUUAGUGCCUCUCGUUUCCAAUACAAGUGUUUACUGUAGAUGAAUAUGCAAUGAAAAUUAAAGGUUAGAACAUAGCAACACAAAUUUCAUCAUCCUAACAGAGAGAAAACACGAUUUUAUCAAAUCUGUAACAAAUCUAGCGCGUUCAAACAGUAAUUGAUAAAAACCUACAUCAAAUCAACAAAAAGUUGAAAACACUAGAUCAAAAGGCCGAGUACCUGCUCACAAUCUCUACCUUUUCGAGAGCCUCUUUGUGAAUACCGAUCUUCUUCACCGUGAUCGCAAUGUUAUACUAAAACUGUAUCAAAUCAGAUUGUCCGAACACUAAUUGAUCAAAAUUUUACAUCAAAUCAACAAAAAGUUGAUAGCAUCAAGUACUCAUCACGAUCUCCACCAAUUCGAGAGUUCCUCUUCGUGAACUCCGAUCCUCUUAACCUUGUUCGCGCUAAGCUUUUGAAGAGGGUUUUUUGAGAGGAGAUGAGAGAGACGACGAGGGGAAGCGGAGGGUGGUGGACUGGUGGGGCGGGGAUUGGGGGUUUUUUCGUCGGGGUUUGGAAGGUGGUUCGGUGGCAGCUCCUUAUGGGCCGGAACGGGCCGGGUUAUUAGGCGGCCUAGUUGUUUGUUAAUCUUGAUUUUUUUUUGUAACUUUAUUUUAUUUUUAUAACAUUAGCAUUCUGUGUAACUAUGCAUAAUCGUUUAUAGAAUUUUGGAUAGAUUUUUAAUAAAUUAUUUUAAGAUUUAAAUAAUUGUAAUUAUAUCUAUCAAAAAUGAAAUGAAAGUAAAAAAAAAUUGGAAUUUUUGCGAUGAAAGUAAAAUUUCCCUUGAUUAUAGUAGAAACCACUGUUUUUGCAAUAGACCAGAGUAAUCACUUUUCUUUUCAUAACAAAAAAGAAUAAACAUAGAAAAAAAAAGGAAAUUAAAUGAAUGAAAAAAAUUUGAACAUAUAUUAUCAAUAAGAAAAAAAAACUAAAUUAGUAACGAAAUAUUCAGAUGGCAGUCAUGACAAAAUGACUAAAACGGUACAGAUUCGAGAAAGAAAUAUAAGAGAGCGACCAAUUUUUGGUUCGGUUCACGUAACAAGCCCAAAAUAACACUGUAUUUAAAUUUAUAAUUUUAAGAUAUAUAUAAAAUUUUGAAUAUAUUACGGAUACAUUUUACAAAUUUGAUUCCAAAUUUGAAAGUUUAGAUUUUUGCAGUGCAGUGCACUAAGUUCACACAAUUAAGUUUUCCCCGUCAGAUUGUGUGAACUUGGUAACUGCCAGUAACCAUCCCGACGCCGUUUCACCGAUUCCGUGGCUUUCCGCCAAAACUCCUUUUUAAAACUUUCAACCAACCACUCUCUGCUUCUCACUGUUCUCUUUCUCACUUCUGCAGCGAUCCUUUCUCUCUCUUUUUGGCCUCGACUCGUCCAUCCAUCUCAACUUCGGCCAAAGUGCUUCUUCGAAUGAAAUGGCUUCUAACCUCCGAACUCACUUCCAGCAGUGCUUUUCGUCUCCCUCCCUCCGCUCCUAUCUCGCCGAGUUCAUCUCCACCUUCCUCUUCGUCUUCGCCGCCGUGGGCUCCGCCAUCUCCGCACGUUAGCAAUCCGCUGAACUCUAUAUAUCCAUCACUCGUUCUGAUUAUACGCCAGUUUAGUUUGCAUUACUAUUUUGUACUUUUCAGGGAUGCUCACUCCGGACGUCACGUCGGAGGCGUCGUCUCUUGUCGCCACCGCCGUCGCUCAGGGCUUUGCAUUGUUUGUUGCCGUGUACAUCGCCGCGGAUGUCUCCGGUGGCCACAUAAACCCCGCCGUCACCUUCGCCUUCACCCUCGGCGGCCACAUCAGCGUCCCUGCUGCUAUGUUGUACUCGCUGUCGCAGUUGCUCGGCUCCACCCUCGCGUGCCUCCUCCUCCGCGUUGCCUCCGCCGGCCAGGUCGGCAAAAAUUUAGUAAAUUAAACUACUUUUCCACGAUAACUUGUGCAUGAUUGACUAAGAUUAUUCGAUCCGGAAAAAAAGAAAUUAACAAAUUAAGAAUGUGUUAAACAGUUGAGAGUCUCAGAACAUAUUUUUGAACGUACUAAAGUGCCCUGCAUAUUCCUCUGUAAUAGGCAAUUCCGACCACCAGGAUAGCAACGGAAAUGACCGGGUUCGGAGGGGCAAUUCUGGAAAGCGCGACAACGUUUGUGCUGGUGUACACGGUGCAUGUGGCCUGUGAUCCGAGGGGCGGCGGUAAGAGGGGGCCGUGCACGGCGGCGGCAAUGGGGCCUCUGGCGGUGGGGCUCGUGGCGGCGGCGUGCGUGCUUGCGACCGGUUCGCUGACGGGCGGGUCCAUGAACCCAGCCCGGUCCUUCGGUCCGGCGAUCAUCAGCGGGGACUUCAAGAACCAUGCAGUCUACUGGGUCGGGCCGUUGAUCGGUUCGGCGUUGGCGGCGUUGAUCCACCAGAAUCUGGUGUAUCCUUCUUACUCAACAUCCGCUGAUUCACGUCAUGGCAAUGUAGAAACCGUGAUCGUUUGACCUGGUGUUGUUUGUGUCAGUACUGUUGUUGUUGUUGUUGUUGCUUCUUUUUUUUUUUUUUUGAAGUAAUUCGGAUGCUAAAUUUUGUACCUAAUUGUUAGUAGCAGUAGUUUUAAUUAAUCUGGACUGUUUAAAUCCGUGUGAGAAUACGUGUCCCACGUAUCAGAGAAAAAGAAAAUAGAAGUGCUUGAAAUUGUACUAGAAAAUUCAGUUAUCUUUCUAAUUCAAACCCUUUUUUUCAAAAAAAAACAUAAUAAAUUUCACAAUAUUUUACAAACUAUAUAACUCAGUGGUUGGAUUUCAAACUAUAUAGCGUUUUUUUUUUAAAAAAAAUGUAAAAUUAGUGGACCAUUUCACCAAAUCCAAGCUUGCUUUCUAUUUGGGCUGGCCUGGUACUAACAUGGCCCAUUUGCCUUUCUACGGCUCGAUAAAAAUAUUGCUAUUUGCAACUGUAGAAACAAGCGCUUUUUUUAAUUAUUAAUUUAGAUAAAAAUAUUCAGAGAUUACCUAAAUGAUGAACUAUUUUAAUUUAGCUAUCAAAUAUUUCAAAUUUUUAAUUUUACUAUCUAAUCUUUCAAAUUAUUUGAUUUGAGUCAGUUAACGAAACCAACCCAAAUCAAAUUAAUUAAAAAUCUGGAUAGUAAAAUCAAUAUUUUAAAAGAUUGAAUAGCAGAUUUCGAAUAAAUUCGGCAUGUUUUUACCUUAUUUUUAUUAUUUUUUGCACUUUUACUUCACGCUCUUCGUAAACUCAUUUCUCUCGUGGGCGGCGUUCUCAGCCUUUCAAUCCCCGCUGUUUCUAGUCCUUGUUCUUCAGAUUAUAGCGGCCUCUCCCUGUGUCGGAGGUGGCUACAUAUGGACCCACACGAAGUCCUAUUGCUUGUUUGUGUACAAACAUUCCUUGUGACUCGAAAACGCCUGUAUCCCACAUACGCCGAUUGUUGAGAGGACCAUAUAAUUCAUAAAAAAAAAUCAAUACACAAAAUCAGGGAAUUAGGAAUCUUGCGAUAUCGAUCGAUCGUAUGAGAGAAUAAUCAAAAGCUAAUGCUGUGGACCCUCAAUGCACCCCUCAAUAAUGGACUAAUGUUCGUAUGUGGUUUGAUGAAUUCGAUUAAAAUCUACAAAUGAAUGGUAAUGGUUCUGUUUGGAUGUUGAUUUUUUUUUUUUUUUUUUUCGAGAGAUAGGUAGUAUGCUACUCGCUUCGUUUAGAAAUGAACUUAGCUGAAAAUGUGAAUCAACUAGAAUUCAAACUUGAGACCUCGGGUACCAAUCAUCAAGCCCUUUGCCACUUGCGCUAGGGACGAUCGGUAUGGUAAAAUAAAUUAUUUAGUAUUUUAUUUUAUUUUUUACUUUUUUUUGGUGAUUGAGUGUCGGAAAUUUGACAUUUAUUUUUUAAAAAGUCUUGCCGUUUAUUAUUUAAUAAAAUAAUAUAUUUUACAUUUCCAAGCACAAUGAAAAGAGCCUAAUGGUUGGUACCCGAGGUUCAAAAAUUAAAAUCUAGUUGUUUCAUAUAUCUGGCUAAGUUUAUUUUUAAAAGAAAUAAACAAAGUGAAUAGUUAUGCGAUCUUUUUCUCUAAAAAAAAUAUAAUAUAUUUCACAUAUAAGUGAUUUAUCACAAUUUGAAGAUCAUGAGCGGUUCAACAUUAUAAAUCAAUCGCACUUCUCAUAUAUAAAAAUAAUAAUAAUAUAUUUUACAUAUAAUAUGAUUUAUCAUAAUUCGCACUCGAAGAUCAUAAGUGAUAUACAAUAUUAAAGAUAGAUCACAUUUUUCAUACAUCACGUACUAUUAUAAGUGUUUCGAGUAAAUUGAAAAGAUAUAGAACUAAAUAGGUCUUCUUCUUUUGCCCUUUUUUUUUUUUUUUUUUUUUUUUUUUUGUGGAGAGAAAGAUAAAGGUAUCAUGCAAAGUAGAAACUAUAAAAAAAACUAAGCUUCUAACUUGGAAUCCUAGAUAUCAACUAUUAAUUUUUUUUAUCCCUUUCUUUAAUUAAAGAAAAUGACUAAUUAAAAAAUUAAAUUAAUAAUAAAUAAUUAUGUACCCAUGUACCACAUUUCAUUGCUCCCAAGAGCCUUCUUUUCUUAAGUAAUAGAACAAGUUUUUCAAAAUUUUAACAAUUAUAUAUUAUUGAUGUGUUGACGUAUAUGAUGUGUAAGUAUUUAAAUGAUUCGUACACAAAAAUUCAAACAUAUAAUAUAUGUUUAAUAAUACAUCAAUAGUACAUAAAAAUGAUAUAUAAUUUGAAAAACCUAAAAUACUUUUUUGUCAAAGUAUCUGUCCCUUCCUUUUAUCCACACAAAGUAUUGCUCAAAAAUAGAUAAAUAAAAAAAGAGACAUCACUUCCACCACAAGCAAGCGAAAAAGAAGUGAAAGGGAUGCCAUGCUUAUCGUUUGCGAAGGCAUCACCAUCCCUCAACCAUUUUUAGGCUUUAAUGGAGAAGGGAUGACUCACACAGUGGAAAGUGAGCUAAUAAAGGAGAACAUAAGCUUAAGAAUUUGUCUCUUCUUAUUGCUUUUCCAAAAAAGAAAAAGAAAAAGAAAAAAAAAAAGAGAGGGCCGCGCACGCCAGCGGCUAACCCAAUCAACACCCUUGAAUCACCAUCCAGUGGCCACGAAGAGGAGCAACAACACUAGCUCCUCCACACUAAGAACACCAUGAUUAUGAUAAUGAUGAAGAUGAUGACGAUGAUGAUUCCUACUUUGCUAUAAUUAAAGAAGAGUGGUAAUGGAAUUACCAAAGCUGAGGUAGUGAGGCAUGAGAUUCCAUCUGUUAGGCAGGGAGGGGCUCAUGCUAGUCAGUAGUCACCUUAUGAUGAGUUAUUUUCAGACAAUUAAUAUCUUAUCUUUAAUUUUUUGAAGUAAAAAAUAAAUGGAUAUAUAGAAUUGAGCUUUAAUGCUUUUGAAAAUACUAAGUUAUUGAUACUUGCAGAUUUUCGACCCUUAAAUUAAAGAAUGUACAGUUAAGAUGAUAGUAAUUUUCUAAGAUUGAUUAGGUGGUUAGUUGAAUAAUAUGAUCUAACGUAUAAAAAUAAUCAAAAGAAUAGAUCUAAUAAACAACGAAAAAUUUACGAGCACCAAAGACUUGGUACUUUUAAAAUCACCGUAGCUGGACUUUGGAUAUAUAUAUAUUUAUAUAUUAAUUGAACUAUUUCUUUGUACAAUUAGCAUUCGAACUUUAAAAUUGCAACUUUUUUUAUUUAACUUUUUAUUACCUUUAUUUUCAAAAAUAAAUUAAUUCCUANAUAUAUAUAUAUAUAUAUAUAUAUAUAUAUAUAUAUAUAUAUAUAUUUCUUAUGUGAAAAUUGAAAAUUUCAAUUCCACUCUGAGGAUUUCAUAGCUAGAGUAUUUUUCAUGCGUAAGGACGAUGAAAAUAUCGUAUAUUUGUGGUGCCAAAAAUAAUAAUAAUAACACGAAUUACUUUUGGAAAAGAAAAUAUAAAGUGCACUGUAGCAGGAAUAAUUAUUAGUGAUAUUUUAGUAAAAUUAAAGAUAAGAUAUUAAUUAUCUGAAAAUAACUCAUCAUAAGGUGACUAGCAUGAGCCCCUCCCUGCCUAACAGAUGGAAUCUCAUGCCUCACUGCCUCAGCUUUGGUAAUUCCAUUACCACUCUUCUUUAAUUAUAGAGUGUGACACAUGAAUGGUCAAACGCCCAAUCCAUUGUAAUGGGCCCUUUUUUUUUUUUCCUUUUUUUUUUUUUUGCAUCUACCCCUCUACAAAAAUUUAUUUUAAAAAUAAUUCCAACAAAUUUAUAUUUACACCUUUGGUCCUGAUCCUGCCACGCAGACGCGACGUCAGCGCCACGAGAGCGGGGCUGGACCAGUGUGUUAAGUUAAAUACGGUGAACCAUUCACUAUAUCCAAACACGAUAAAUAAUUUAUCGUGUCUAGAGAAAAAAUAUAUUUUUCGUAAUAUAACUAUUGAAAAGAGGAAUAGGGAUUAGAGAAGAAGAGAAAUAUAAAUAUAAAACACGGUGAACCAUUCAUCGUGUUCAACUUGAAAAACAGGCUCUCAGUCCGUCCAUCUGGCGCUUGCGUGAUGCCUAUAUGGUAGGGAUAGGACCAUUUUUGUAAUAUAAAUUUUCUAGAGCUAGUUUAAAAUAAAAUUUUUCAAGAGGUCAUUUGUAAAAAAAAAAAGCCCAAAUUGUAAGGAGACUCUUGCCUACUCCCUUUCCAUGGAGAGGAUAGGAGAGAGAAAAAAAGAAAAAAAAAAGGAAAAAAGAAAAAAGAACCUUUUUUUUUUUUCUCUUAUUUGGAUUUUGGAUUAAGAAAACAAAACUGAAAAAAAAAAAAAAAAUUUCUUUUUCUCUUCUCUUUUGGGGAGAGAAAUAAUUAAUUAUCAUGGAAUGUUUUUUUUUUCCCCCAAUUUCUCUUCACAUAUUUUCUUUUCACUUCUCAAAUUCUGAUAAAAAAAAAGACAAAGUGGUUUUAUCUUUUAAUUUCUUUUUCUUUUUGACUUUUCUCUCCGUCCAAAUCAUAGUAGUAAAGCUCUAGCUAAAAAAUGAUGAUAAAAAAAAAAAAAAAAAAAUCUAUGACCCUAGCUUGGAUAGUGAAGGCGAAGAUAGCCAAAACUACCCUUCCCCGUCGAAAGUUCCGUUCCAGCCCCAACAAAUAAAACGUUAAUGUCUCGUAAAAGCAACGUAUAUUAAUUUGACAUCAAACAUUGUUUGAAAAAAUACAUAUAUAAAUUUGAAAAAAUUAUAAAGCAGUUAAAUAGAGAUCAAUAUAUACCCUUCUUUAAUACUCCCAAUUGAUCAAUCUCGAAUCCAACUUAUUUUGGAACUUCAAAUUCAUUAACGUUUUCUAAUACAACCAUUAUCUAAAUUUCAUAGAGUAAAAAUUUCUCAAAAUGGGAUCCAAAUCAGCCUACAAUACUGUAAUUUCGAUUCGCUUUAGAUUGCUGGAUUAAUGGGUCCAUUAGCUCCAUCAAUAGUUCUAUACUGGGUCAAAAUGCAACUUAGAUAAUUAGAGGCUAUACCGACAGUCUCUAGAGUAAGUGGCAAAGGGUUUGGUGGUUGAUAUCCGAGACCCAAGUUCGAAUCCUAGUUGAUUCACAUUUCCAGCUAAGUUUAUUUCUAAAUGAAAUAAACGAAACGGGUAGCGUGCUACCUAUCUUUCAAAAAAAAAAAAAAAAGAGAAAAAAAAGAUAAUUAGAGGCUAUAUUAAAAUAAGUUCUUCAUAUUAUUAAUUAUUAUUAUUACUUGUACCUCCUCAAUCUUUAAUAUUUUUAAGAUAUUAUUUUUAAAGUUUAGUUAAUCUGAUUUGUUUUUAUUAAAUAUUAGUAAACUUAAUACUUCUAUUAGCUAUAUUAUCUUUAAUUAUUAUAUGCUUAUUUAUUAAAUUAUAGGCAAUUGCAUAUGUAAUAGAAUUACUCCAGAUUAAUUUAGUAAAUUUCUUUAUUUAUUUAACUAAAGUUAUACAAAAAAAAAAAUCAAAAAAAGCAAAAAUGUGUGGCUAUCACAAAAUAGACUAUAGUGAAAGCGAGUCAUUCUGUCAUUACUAUCUUCUGGUGCAAUAACAAUAUUCAAUCCCACAACAUCUGAUAGAGGGUUUUUUUUUUUUUUUUGGUUUCUUAGCCUCCGGGCCUAAGUUGUCUCACACUUAUAGCUUAAUUCACCAAUCUAUUGAAUGAAGCGAGUAGCGUGCUACCUAUUUCUCAAAAAAAAAAAAAAUCAAUCAAAAAAUCUUUAUAUUGCAAAUAAGCAUAAAAAAGGUUAUUUUUAAUGCGGUUUUUAUAUAAAAUUACUAUAUAGAUUAUUUCGAGUCGACCUUACUAUCUCACAUGCCACAUUGGAGUUGAUUUAGAGUAAAUCUUAUAUAAUAAAGAGUUUUACCCCGGCCGAGCACAUGCCGACAAAACUUAGCUAUCCUAAGAAGCAAAGUUGCAGCAGCUGCACGAGCCCACGCCGGCUUUUCUGGGCCUCUUGUCCCCGACCCCUACCCCGACCCUUUCCUUUCUCUUCUCCCUAAUUUUUCCUUUUUUUUUUUCUUACACUCCCAAAAUUUCAAAUCUUAAUUUGAUUUCGUGCAGUGUCACACUUGCACUAUAUUAAUCAUAUUUUUUUUAAAAAAAAAUACAAUAAAAUUAUUUUUUUAUUAAUUAUAAUGUGACAGGACAAUCUAAGAGGAAAAUUCUAUUAGUUAGAAACACACAUCAGCGAUAUAACCAGUACAUUCUAAUUUUUUUUUUCUUAUUCCAUCACCAUGGAUCCAGGAUUAGGGCUGGCAAACGAGCGAGCCGGCUCGCGUUCGACUCGUGUUCGGCUCGAUAUUCGGCUCGCUCGAGCUCGACUCGAAAUUAAAUGAGCCGAGCUUGAACAAAAUAAAAGGCUCGAAAUUCAUUUCAAGCCGAGUUUGAGUAUUACUCGGCUCGUUCGAAUUAGGCUCGAAAAGCUCAAAAAGCUCGAAAAUAUAUAUAUAUAGGCUGGGGCUACUAUACUCUUAUGAGUAUAGACCCCCUUGUACUCAUAAAUUUUUAACCGUUGAUUGAUAGGAUGCGUGGUUAGGAUGAUGGUGGUUGACACUUAGAAUGAUAGUGGUCCCCUAAGGUUGAGUGGGUAGUUGGUUAAAUAGUAUAAUCUAACGGAUAAAAAUGAUUAAUGAAAUAAAUUUAAGGGUCGAAAACUUAUGAGUAUAAAGGAGCCAAUACUCAUAAAAGUAUAGUAGCCGAACUCUCUCUCUCUCUCUCUCUCUCUAUAUAUAUAUAUAUAUGUAUAAUAUAUAUAAUAUUUAUAAAUAUAAUGUAUUUUAAUUAUACGCUUUAAUUUAAUUUGGGCCAUUAUUGUUGGCCCAUAAAAUAAACCCAACAAGUAUAAACGUGCAAUUGAGCCUAACUCUAAAUUUACAUAACAUACUCUCUCUUUCAGACUUUCAUUGUUGCACAUAACCCUAAAAUAAUAAUAUUCAAAUUUUCAAAUCUCUACUUUUUUUUUCCUCUCUCUCUCUCUCUCUCUCUCUCUCUCUCUCUCAAACCCUCAUCCAGUCAGGAAGUCACCCUAGCUCACAUUUCUUAUAAUUAUUUUGUAUUUUGAACUAUUGGACAUGUUGCAUCAAAUUGUAGGUAAUGUUCUAUAAAAAUUAAACUACUGAUUAUAUAAUGUCGAGAAUUUCAAUCGGCUUGUUUAGAGCUCGAGCUCGGCUCGACUCGAAAUUAGGCUCGCUCGAGCUCGGCUCGAAUUAAUUUCAAGCCGAGCUUGAGCCUAGAUUUAGGCUCGAAAUUAAUUUCAAGCCGAAUUUGAGCUGACAUAAGCUCGCUCGAGCUCGGCUCGUUUCCACCCCUAUCCAGCAUAUGGAAAUUUAACUAUUAUAAUAAUAUUUUUCUACAGGAACACAAAAAACGCGAGCAGAAACCAAAGCAAAGUUAGAAAAAGGAGAGCAGGGAUUUGUCCACCUUUUGUUCCCUUUAUCCCCCGCCACUCCUUUUUCCCUUCUUGUGCUCCGCGCGGCCUCCCUUUCUAUAAGUAGCCCCCACCCAGUACGAGCUCUCCAAGUGCACGCUAACAAAAAAAAAUAAAGAUAGAAAAGAUACACGCGAUAUAGUGAUCAGUGUGAGUAAUAAGUUUCCAAAGGGAAUUAAUGGAGAAGGUGUAUUUAGUAGGGGGGAGGAGAAAGAUAAGAGAAGUGAUGAGUUUGAGUUGUUUGGAGGAGGAAGUUGAGGAGGAGGAGGAGGAGUGCGGAGGGAGGGUGGCGGUGAUACCGCCACCGCAGACGCCGAAGGAGCCGAUGGAGUUCUUGUCGCGGUCGUGGAGCGUGUCGGCGUCGGAGAUAUCGAAGGCGCUGCUUUCCGGGAACAAGAAGCGGAACUUCGUCGUCGACCGCUUGCCGGAUAUGAUGAUCCCCGACACGCUGGUGUUCGCCGCCUCCGCCGCGAAGAACCACCGCCCCAUCGGCGUAAGAUCACUAACACAACUUCCUAAGGUCGCUUUAUUGCUAAAACGGGUGCGUUAUAAACUAAUCAAUUAUAAUAGUAAAAAUAAUCAUCAAAUUAUAUAAAUUCAUAUUUUAAAAAAAUAAAAAUAUACUGGGUACGGGACGUGACCUAAACUUUCCAAUAUUAUGAUUCAGGAUUUUAGUCUGAUGAGCAAAUGAAAUAAAAUGAAUUUUCGUAUUUCAAUUUCUCCUCUAACUUAGUGAUUUCUAGAUUUAACAAAAGCAAUAAUGUCAUUAAUUACUCGAGCAAAACCAGUAACAGCUCAAAAGAAGCCGCGGAUAUCAACUUGGUUGUUUGCGUAAUUGGACGUUCCAUACGUACAAUUCCCACAUGUUGAUGUUGGUGAUUAUACUUUGACAUGUCUAUUUUGUCUUUAGCGUUGCUUUAAAAAAACCCCAAAAUUUGUCUCCAUAUGAAGCAGCAUAGUAUAUAUAUAUAUAUUUUUUAACUACAAAUUUUGGCUUUACACGCCGAAAUUUACUCUCGAAGAAAAGCACAAGCUGAAACUUUUACCUUAAUUUCCGCUUAAUUCUAUUGCUUAUUAUUUAAGUUUGGGUGACCAUUAAUAAGAUUUAGUCACAAGCUGCUAACUUUGCCUUUUGGCUUCUUUACCGGGAAAUCGUACAUUAAAAAAAAGACGAAAUUUAGAAAAGUAAGAUAAUACCUUUCAUUCUCAACUCAUCAUCACUGUAUUUUUUUUUAUUAAUUUGAUUAUUAUUAUUAUUAUUAUUAUUUGUCAGGAACGUCGAGCUAAACACUCUAUCAUAACCCACCACCAAACGAUCGGCAGGUGGUUUCAUCACAAGGAGCAGAAUAGAAUAAGAGAGAGCAGUAAAGAGAAGGCCCGCGCCGAAAAAGCUCGAAUUCACGCUGCGGUAGCGGUGGCAGGAGUGGCCACAGCCGUCGCUGCUGUUGCCGCAUCUGCGAAUUCAGAGAACCAGACCCCGAAGAUGACUGCGGCGAUGGCCUCUGCAACGGAGUUACUGGCGUCGCACUGCGUCGAGAUCGCAGAGCUCACGGGGGCCAGCCACAUGCAGGUGGCCUCGGCGGUCGAGUCUGCGGUCGACGUCAGAACCCCUGGAGAUCUCAUGACUCUCACUGCAGCUGCUGCAACAGGUCACAAAUUUACAUUACAGUUUGUCACUGAUUUACCUUUUCUUCUUUUCAAGUCAUUGCGUCUAAGAUAAUAUCACAUCACAGUAGGAGGUAGUCAUAUCCCGUGACGUGAAAGGAUUGGCAUUGUUGCUUUUCCGUGGCUACCAUAAAACCACUUUAGUGAUAAAAUAAAACAAUUGGUCGUUACUAAGUUUGCUAUCCAUAAUAAUUGGAUAAUUUAUCGCCUGGGCCUAAUCACUGUCCGUCUCUAUGUUCACUUGGAUCCACCAUCUUAAUUGAAGUCCUUUUCGUAUUUAAAAAUUAUUCUUUUGAAGUGCUAUGAAUGAAAGGAGAUAAAAUGGAUUGUCCACUUUUAAUGUGGUUGAUCAGGUCCAAGCAAUAAUUUUGCUAGUGACAGGGCAACCAGGAUUUUGGUGGGAAUCCCACAAAUUCCAAAUGUGUAUGGUGGCAAUAAAAAUAUUAUCUUAACCAAGUAGUACUUUGACCACUAACUGAUUUGUCCUUUUGAAAAUGAAUCAUCACUAACUAAUUUGAAUUGAUCAGCUUUGAGAGGAGCUGCGGCUUUGAAACUGAGAGUGCAGCGCGAACCGAGGAGCAUUGCGGCGGUCACUCCCUAUGAAAGGGGUCCUUGUUCAAGCCCCGACAUCUGGUGCAAAGAAGGUGAUCUGUUGAAACGCACCGGCAAAGGUAUCUCUCAAUUUACUAUUCACAAACUUAAUCUGCUGAAAAGUUCUGUAAUUAAGAUUGCAUAUCUUGCCGUUCAUUAUUCAGGGGCUCUACACUGGAAACGAGUAUCUGUGUACAUCAACAAAAAAUCACAGGUAAAGAAUCUUCAUUGUAGGAUACAAAAUGAUAACUCAAAGAUGUCGACGGUGCUAAACUCAGUUUAAUGAAUCUUAGGUGGUACUAAAGCUCAAGAGCAAACAUAUAGGAGGUGCACUUUCGAAGAAGAAGAAGAGUGAGUUUAACUUACAAAUGAUACGCUUCAAAAUUAACCAAAUUCAUAAGUUUCUGAUAAUGUUUUUAUGAUGAUUAGGUGUUAUAUAUGGCGUAUACGAUGAGCUCCAGCCAUGGACACGGCAGGUGAGAGAAUCCACAGAGGAGAAGUGCUACUUCGGACUGAGAACGGCACAAGGUCUAAUAGAGUUUGAAUGUGAGAAUAGAAGCGAAAAAAAGAAUUGGGUCGGUGGAGUGCAAAACUUGCUACGCCAAGUAGCCGGCAGGACCGAUCGAAUAGAGCACUCUCUGGAGUCCCUAAAACUUGGUUAAUGUAAACAAUGAAUAGAGCCAAUUUUGUCGACAUAGAUGUACUUGCAGCAAAAUAUAUGUAUAAAUAUGAAGUUGUGGAGUUUCUCCUCUUAUGUAUUGAAGUGCAUGUCACCGUGUAUAACAAACAUUUGUGCUAUAACAUUCACUCCUUGGACAAAUUCAGGAAGAAUUCAAAGAGACAUUGAGAAAUUUAAGAAAAUUAAAUAUGUAAGACAUUACAGAAUACUAACUUCCAAAUAAUACAUAUUACAACAUUGUACAAGGCCCUCUUAGAAUACAACAGUUCUGUUGGAUUCAUAAGGAAGCACUCUGAGUUCACAAUAAGAUUUCAUUGCUUGUGCAAGGCAUUGCUUCUCAAGAUUCUCCGACUUCAUCACAAAGCUCCGUAAGGUAUCUCUGUGAGAGACUCUCUCAACCUGCAUCACAUAAAUAAAGAUUCAAAAUUGGCAGCUAUAAGUACAUGCUGCUUCCAUUAUAAUAACAGCACAAUUAAACAUAUAUAGUGUGCUAAUAAUAAUAAAUUGGCGAUAAACCAAAGACAUAAUGUGAUCUUUUUUUGUGUCUGUGUGUUUCACUCUUAUUUCUUGAAGGUAGUUUUCAUUCUUGCGUUGAAAACUACAAAUCUCCAAAAGUAAUAUAAAUUCCAUAUCAUUUGAAAAAUAAGUUGCUGAUGGUAAUAAUUACAAACUAGUCAAUACUAUGUAGAAUCAUUAAGGUUACUCGUUUUCAUUCAUUAUUUUUUAUCAAUAACUUUUACUGCUGAUAGGAGACCAAAUUAAUUAAUAUCCUGCCCAGCAUAAUAUGGCAAAUCAACAAAUUUGUAACAAUUGGAUGCAAAGAAAUGCAAGUGAGCACAAUCACCAUUUGUUCAAUAAUUGGGCCAGCAUCAAGCCCUUCCGUUACAAAAUGACUUGUUACGCCAAUUAAUUUAACCCCAGCAUCAAAAGCCUGGAUUCAUGUAGAUCUAAAGCUUAAAUGAUAAUCUAGAGCUCGGAUUAAAAGGAAAAGAAAAAGAAACACUAAAGUUAAUUUGGUAAGUAUAGGAAUUGCACACCUGUUUGGACGGAUUUCUGCCCUUGAAUGACGGAAGAAGGCCAUGGUGAAUGUUAAUGAUAUCUUUAUCAUAAGUUUCCAAAAAUUUUCCGGACAGUAUCUGCCAGUAGGUACAAUUUACACGAUAAUAGGAAAAUUAAAAAAAAAUGAUGCAAGAUGACUGUGAAAGAAUAUUUAAUGUCUUUACCAGAUGUCAGUUGUGUUAUUGCAUCUAUCUCAUUGCACAAAUCUCACAAACACUGCAGCUAAUAUAACAAUGACUAAUGGAGAUAUUCAUGUUUCUUUCUCUACAUGUCCCAUAUUUGUCAAAAAUCAGAGUAAUUGUCUAGAUGUUCUUUUUUUCUUGCUUCAUUUGGUUUUCUGGGUUUUCUAACACACACACACAAGAUUUUAAGAUUUAAGUUGCAUGAAAAUAGGUUACUAAUAGUUUGUGUAUAUGAUUUAACUGAUCUCUCUAAUUCUGAAGCUUGUGACCAAAUGGAUGAAAGUGAUGCAUCUGAGAGCAUCUUACAUUUGGAGCACACAUUGGUGAAUCCGAUAUUAGGAUCUUUAAUGUUCCGUAUUUAAUUUCACAUUUCGAUCUACUAUUUAUUUCAGGUAAUUUGAGGGGAAAAAGUAUCCAAAAGAAUGGAAACCGAAAUGUUUAUUAAAAGUCGAAGUGCAAAACAAUUUUACCUGCAUAUAUCUUGCAAGCACAAGAAAAUCGGUCUCUUCAACCAAUUCCAGGAUUUCUUGUUCUCUUUUAUUCCCCAAAGUCCUCGGUAAGUAAUGAUAUGGAAUCCCAUGUCUUUCGAGAAAACGUAUAACAUGAGUAUUCGGAGCUCUAUUAUGGUUGCUGCAAAAAUGAGCCUAUGAGUUGCCAAAAAAAAAGAAGAAGAAAAAAACCUUUUAAGUUAUCACAAAUAUAUGUUACCUUAUUAUACAACUAAUAUCCACAGGAAGCCUACCCUCCUGCCAUCUAUGUAACAGGUCCACCAAACAAUGAUCCUACACAGAGAAUAACUAAAUCAAACUAAUAUGUAUAGAGAAACAUAAGCAAAUAUUGGAACUCUUAAAUGGUUCAUUAUACAAUUUAAAAAAAAAACAAAAAUGUAAGUCACAAUUGCAUAUUACAAAGCGUACCAGCCUUGAAGUAAGAACUGCAAUCUUGUAUUUGGGGUCUAGAUCGGGAACCCGAACAACUGAUUUUUUUGCACUGAAUAUUUUCGAUAAUUUGAGGAAAUCACUGUCGAUAACAUCUCGCGGCCAUCGUAGAGGAUCAAAUACGAAUUCACUGCCAAAAAUUGUUAACAUUUUGCAUGCUUUAGCAGUGGCCAUUAAAAUAAAUGUGAAAUUUUGAAAAACAAUGGACCAAAUUAAACUAAGAAAAAAAACUAUUUGACAUAGAAAACUAUAAUUGCAAUAUUGCAUUGAAUAGAAUGAAUCAAAUUGCGCAAGGAAGAGAACGAAAGGGAGUGGUGGAAUCAACCUCCUGGAGUAGAAGACCUGUUUAUUCUCAGGAACGAAGACAUCGACGCUGUGUAUGUUACCUCCUCUAGAGGCGAUGCAAUCUGAGAGCUUAGCAACAAUUCCCACCGCAUCCUAAUCAUAAAAUCGACACAGUAUCAACAUAGAUACAGAUAAUUGGAUCUAUCUUAUUCCUCUCCCACCACUUUUUUUUUUUUUUUUUUCAAAAAUCCCAAAUCAAAAACAUAAGCUCCCAAAAAGAAAAAGAGAGGAAGAGAGAAUCGAACCGGGCAUUGGAAAACGUGGAUUCCGCGAAAGGGAGAGGAGGAGGAAGAGAACGCCCUCGCUGCGAUUCUUCGGAGGCUCGAAAUGGUGGUAGAGGAGGAGCCUCUCCUUCCAAAAACCAUGCCCCUUUUCCCUUUUCUUUUUAUGUUAUUUUGGUCUAUCAAAUCAAAUGGGCGUGGUUUAGAAUGGCACCCAGUUCGGUAAUGCACUGCACACCAACGGUUCAAUUUUUAAACAAUAAAAAAAAAUAUUAAUUUUCCAAUUCCUCCUUAAGAUGGAAUCUAUAUGCCGCUAAAAAUAAUUAGUUAAUCAGUUAUAGAGGAGAGUAAUUGGUGAGCCGCGUAGUCCAUUCUAUUAGAUCUAAAGAUAUAAUACAUUUUAAUUUAAUCCAAGUGAGAUUUAAAAAAUUAUUUUACAAUAAUUUUUUAUAAUCCAGCUUACCAUAUCCAUACAUUUAACCCUUGUCUAGUUGUCUGGGACAGAGGCACAGCUCAUACGGGAUAAGAUAGCGCCAUUCCUUUUUCUUUUUCUUUUUUUUUGGUGAGUAUUUUGUGGACAUCGGUCGUCACAAUCUUUUUGUGAUUGGAUUUUUUUUUUUUUUGAUUUUUUGGCUGCCCAAAACUUGGCCUUAGGCAUGUGAACAAAGAAAGUUACAAACAGUAUGCUGCAUAUCUAUACAGUCUUUCUUUCUUUCCUAUGUUCAUUUCAUGUGGAAAUGUUGUCUCCGCCGCCCACUAAAUUGUAAAAUUUUCUAUUAAAAAUUUGAUCAGUAAAACUAGAAAUCUAAGUAUCUAGGCAAAUAAGUUAAGUGUACAUAUAUAAGUAUUAUUGCUGAGUAAAUCAAAUUAACAAGAGAUUAAAUGAAAGCAAAAUAAAUCUUUUACACUGUAUAUGACAUCAAAAUCCAUAUGAACAAAUCAAAAUCCGUCUAGAAAGGAAAAGAUUGGCCUGAAGGAGGUAAAAGUUUAUGAAGGUUGUUCCAAUAGAGGCAGGAGGUGGCAGAAAAUACUGGGAGGACUUGAAAUGUCAAGGUUGGAACAUAAUUCACGUAUACAAGAAUUCAAUGACUUACUUGUUGACUUUAGUGCCGAGAAUAGAUCUGACGAAUCAGACCAUAUGUUUCCGAUUAAAUCUACUUACAUAGUACUAAUCGCCAGAAGAAUGAGAGACAAUUUGUCUAGGAGGAUCUGGUGCUUAAGUGGUGAAAGUGAAAAAUCUUCAUCUGGCUGAUACUCCAGAAAGUUGUCCCCACAACAAAUAACCUACUAAAAAGAGUCUGUCCUUCACUUGUCGAUACGAAAUGAGACCUGCAAUAAGGGCAGGACAUAUCUUUGUGGCCAUAAUAAAUCGAAACGAAUGUCACCGCACAAGCUAUAAACGGGUUCCUGUAGUCAUAAUUUAGUCGGUUAGCAUCUUUCCUAUCGCCGCAGACAUGCAACACCUGCUUAGCCUUCUUUGCUUGGGCUUCAUUGAGACUGUUCUUUAAAAGCAUCCUCAUGAAAUUAGUUGCUGUCGCGUAGUUUCCUCCCUUAAAGUAGAUAGUCACAGCACUUGUGAGAAGAUGUCUCGCAUGAAUCUUCUAGAGCUUAUAGUUUUUGAAAUAGGGUGCUGGGAUUGGAUCGUCGUUGAUUUUGUUUUUUUAACUAUUAUGCAGAUUGUAUUUUAGUAUUCAAAUUCAAUAUUAUUUUAUCGUAAUCUUUCAAAGUCUUAGGCAAAUUCAAAUUAAGUCUCAUUGUUACAUUUCCACUUCUCGGAUGUGAAGGAUGCUUGGGUUCAGAUCGGAUGAUUGGGUUCAGGUCUAGCCAAACUCAGGUCGGGCCGAGCAGAGAAAAAUUGGACCGUUGGAUUAUUGCAAUCCGUUAAGCCAUACCUAGCCCAUUAAAUAAAGCCCAACGAAAUAUUGCCACGUGUCAAGAAUUGUUAUAAAAAGAGAAAUAUAUGUCCGUUAGUAGCACGUACCGUGGGAUCGUUGGAGCCCUCCACACGCACGUGGGACAAAAUGUUGCCAUCGGAAUCUCCCUCUAUAAAUACCCCAACCCCUCUACGCGUACAGGUGUUCUCGAUCAUUUCGCGAUCGGAGAGAGAGCUUUGCUACGAGUGGAGUAAUGGAGGACGAAGGCGGAGGCGGUGACCGUUCGAGCUUCGUCGUCGGAUUGAUCGAGAACAGGGCGAAAGAAGUGAGAUCUCUCCUCUCUCCCCCUUCGUCCUCUUUUCUUCUCUCUCACCUUUAUCGUUCUCUUCUAUACACGUUCUUGCAUUUGAACGCUAGAUUUCGUCGAGAUCGUUUCCGUUUGAUCUAGGGUUUCUUUGAUCCAUAGUUCAUCUCUGGACCUUAUCCAUGAGAUCAAUAUACUGGAGAUACGACUACGAUCGUCGAUCCCGUGACGCCUUGUUCUGGAUGGUGAAAUUGGUUUUGAUCCAUCGAAAGAAACCCUACGACCGCUGAUCUUUCGACGUCUUGUUCGUGACAUCGGUUUUAAUCCAACCUAGAGUAUUAAUGAUGUGUAAUUUCUCUCUAGAUCUUUAAUGUCGUUUCAAUUCAGCAUGGAACGACUGCAAUGAUCGCUGAGCUCUCGAUGUGUCGUUUUGGAAUAUGAUGAAAUCUUGUUUGCUCCUUGUUGAUGUUUCAAUUAUUUUACACCGACAUAGGGAAUUAAGAUUUUUCUUUCCUAUCUACACCGAAAAUUGAGAUGUCUCUUUCUGUUCAGUCUAGGGUUUCCCUUGGGUAAUCUAGGGUACACGAUCUCUUUAUAGAUCUCGUUGCCAUUCUUUAUAUUAUCCAUUUCCAUUAAGAUCUGUUAAUUCUUGUGUGUAUAUAUAUAUAUAUCUUGUGUUUAUUUGAUCAACCAGGUGUUGCUCCUGCCUGGGGUUUCUUAGUGGUCAGUAUAGUGGAAUGACUUACGUGACCAUUGAUCUAUCAAUGUCUCAUUGCGGAAAGCCAAAUCUUGCUUGCUUCCUUGGUAGGCAGACAUAUUGUAUUGACUGCGAGAACUUCCAGUAGCCCUGGUCUAGGGUUUCCCUGAAUAAUCCAAGUAAUGGAAUCUCUUUAUAGUUCUUGCAUUUAUUCUUGUCUUUCUUUUCUCAUUACUAUCCCAAUUAUCGGUCACUUUCUAUUAGGCUAUCUAGCUGACAGAAGCAAAUGAUUUAAAUUGUCUUUUCUAUUGGCUGUGAUGAGUCCAUUGAACCCUCCUUCAAAUGCAACCUUUCACCUGCUUUGUACUAUAUAAUUCAGGUUUUUGAAGAUAGAACUCAGAAUAUGUAAGUUCCUGAUCUCUCGAUGAUGAUUUAUAUUUUCCUCUUUUCCUUUGUGUUUCGAUUGAAUUCUUAAGCAAAGAGUGUAAAGUUUACCUUCAUAGUUUGAACAUACUAGGUUAUGGUUUUUUCUUAAAAUGUGUACAGUUCUUGGAUGGUUUCACUGAAAUUUAAAAUUAACUCCACUAGUUAUUGACCAAUGGCCCGUUUCUUGAGGCUUUAGGAUUGCCAGUGGCCGAACAGAGGAAAUAAGAUUCCUCUUAGUUUAUGUAUGUUCUGAUCUCUCCAUCUCACCAGAUUUUCUGUAAUUAUUUACAUUCAAAUAGUGUUAAUUUAGGAGUUUUGAAUUAGUUUAUAUGCUUAAAACUUAGCCCCUUUUUUCCCCUCAUGGAAGCAACAGGAUUAAAAUUUUCCAUCACAAAUAAGCUAUUUCUAACUCAUGAAAGCUCCUCACAACCUUGAUUUGUUGUCCCUCUAUGCAAGAUACUUUAACUAAACUAGAGUACUAAAGUCUGAAUUACUCUUGUAACUUCAGCAAAACUAAGAAAUAAGCGUGAGAUUAUUUGGCUUUCAAUUAAUUACAACAUGUGCUAAAAGCGUUGUAGAAACAUAGUAUAAACAUUACACAUUCAUAAUAAAGCCUACGCCAAUUUUGAAUGAUAAUUUCCAGUAAGUUUAUUCAAUCUAUGCUAAUCUAUUUCCAUUUGAAUGCUCAAGAGUAACUCUGUUUGAGGGGAACUUUAGAACACAUUGGAAUUAUUAAGAGAACAUGCACUUAUAUAUAUCUUUCACUCUGCUUGAUAGCUGUUAUGAACUUGAUAACCUUUCAUGCGAUAACUUCUAAUUUGAUUAUAAGCCUAAACACUGAUUGAUUAUUUACGUAUGCUAAAGAACGACAUUAUCUUCUAAAGUACAGAUGCCUAUGGUAUUUUUAAUUGCUAAAGGCUUGUUCACUUAAUUAUUUUAUGCAGGUUUGUGUUGCUACCUUUGACUUGAGAUCGGCUUAAUUGCAUCUUUCUCAGUACAUUGAGACAAGUUGUUCAUACCAAAAUACAAAAACUCUGCUACAUUUUUAUGAUCCUAUGGUAACAAUUAUUUCCCCAAUCAAAUUGGCACCGGAUGGCAUGAUGGGAGUGUCUGAGCUGGUUGAUAAGCAUUAUUCAUUGAACAAAAAGGUGCUUAUUUCCUAAUUAUUAGCAGCUUUUGUCAUUCUAGAAAAUCUUUUGUAUGCUGACCAUGAUCCGCCAUCUUGCAGAUCAUAAUGUCUCGCGGCUGCUUUGAUGAUACAAAGGUUGUAUAGAAUUGAUGAUUUCUUUGUGAUUUCUUUUCUUGUUCUACAUGGUUUGUGAAGUUGACCAGUUCCUUUCCCUACAGGGUGGUCUCUUGGUCAAAAAUUUGUCAGCGAAGGAGCCAUCUACUCUUGGUUUAGAUACUUAUUGCAAGCAAUAUUAUCUCUGCCUCGCUGCUGCUGCUGCUACCAUCAAAUGGUACAGAAGUUCUAACUAACCUCAGGAACUGAAAUUUUUGCAUGGCUCAAGUAAUUGAUACUGGAAGGUAGGAGCUAGUUUAUCCUUGCAGAGUUGAAAAAUGAAAGCUGAAUGUUCUUUUCUGUAAAAUGAUUUCAAGGUAUCUUAUGGUUAUCCUUUUAUAGGCUUUGUUUACAGGUUGGUUAACUUACUAAACAUAAAAACUACCUAGUAAAUACAUUAUGGAAUUUAGUACAUCUUAAACUACUAAUACUGUUGCACCAUGUUUGUAGAUCAACAACUUCUUUCAUUUAUUUAAUCCUGGCAAAGAGAAAACGUAUGUUUGAACAAUUCUAAUUUGAGAAGGUAGUUUUUCUGGAAAACCGCAAUUUCAUACAUUGAUUAGGUUGAUUAGGUUAGAUGCUUCAUGUUUCCGUUGAUUUCUGGAGUUGUUGCAAUAAAACUUUCUCUGAUUAUUUGUGUACUUGUGUCACUUAAAAGUCCAUAGGCAAAAUCUACGUUGUUAGGGUCUUUAGAUUUUAGAAUUUAUUGCAUAAAAAAAUACAUAUAUAGCCUGUCUAAAUAUUUAGUAAUAGCUUAAACAACUUUAUGGAGAUCUAAAUUUAACAUCAUUUUUUUAAAAAAUUUCUCCUUAUGGCAGCUGCUUUUCCACAAAUAACUUUCUUCAUGGUUUCAGGACUGAAGCAGAGAAAGGCAUAAUAGUAACAAAUCACUCACUGUCGGUAUGUAUUUAUUCGAGUUGCCUACACGGUUUUAAAAGUGUAUUAUCUCAUGCCUAUGAAGAACACAACAACUGUGAGAUUUUGUUAUAUAGUGUGAAUGCUCAUUAAUUGAUAGACACUUUACUCAUGGAUGAACUACCUUUGUUUAGCUUUCUGUAAUUUAGGAAUUGCAUGUAACUUCUACCUGAUAUGGUUCUUAUGGUACAGUUACGUGAUUUUGUAGUGAAUUUUUAACUUUCUCAGGUUACGUUCAAUGGUUCAUUUGAUCACAUGAAUAUUGAUGCUACUAGGUAUAUCUUUUUUUCUUUUUUUUCCCCCUGAAAAUAGAUUAUAUAUUGCAAUGGUAUGUUGUAAUUUAAUGACCUUCUUGCUUCAUAUUGAUGACAGACUAUUGCAAUUAAUUGUUUUAUGAGAAGAGAUUCAUGACUUGCUUGCUUCAUAUUGAUGACAUGCUCUCUCAAUUAGCUGUCUUAUGAGAAGAGAUUCAAUUUUUUUUUUUAAUAUCACGGAUUUCUUAUUCUUCAAUGCUGCUUAGCAGUGUUCAAAAUUUAGAAAUUAUUGACCCUCUACAUACCGAACUGUGGGGUUCUAGCAACAAGAAGAGAAGCCUAUUCCGGAUGUUGAAGACGACGAAGACUAUAGGAGGGUAUGCUUCUUCAUAGCAGUAGUUUUUCAGUUUAUAAAAGAAAGGGAAAUGAUUAAAAUCUGAAUACUUUGGCAUUUUGAACAUUAUGUACAAAUUAUAUUCCUAUUUAAUCUUCUAUAUUAGCUUCAUAUCCCUUCCAUAUGUUACUUGUGGUUUAGGUCUGCCUUAUAUGUUUGCUUACUAAAUGCUUCUUGUUUCAUCUCCUGGUUUCAACUUUUAAAUCAAUUUUCAUGUGGAAUCCCUCAGUCCUUUCUAAUAAAUUCUAAUUGUAAACCAAAAGUUCACUCCCUAUCUAAUGGUAAUUUUUUGCGGUUCUACUAUUAUUAUUACUUUCUUGUCAGAAAUUUGGGAUCUCUUGUAAAUGACUAGCAGCGGGCAUUUAUCUAUUUAUUCAUUUAUCUGUAACACAUAUCAUUGGUUUAUUCCUUAUACUUGUUUAAAGCUUACAGAAGAUUUAGUGUGGAUCAUGUUCCUUUUUGUUACAUCAAGGUUUCUAAAUACCUCCAUUUUUGGCAAUUCGAGAACUUUGUCUUCUGUGAUCUUUUACUGUUGCUUUUUGUUACAGGUGGAUUACUAUUCAUUGAACAUCUAAUUUUCCGCAUUUUAAAGUGUUCCCAUUCAUCUCUCUGGAAUACAAGUAUUCUGUUGUUUCUGAUUUCGCGUUCAUAGGCAUCAUUGGUGACUUGUUUCAAAAACCUGUUAGGAUUAUCAUCAUGAAACUAAACACUCUAAUCAAUCUUCUUGUUUUGAAUUGUCUUGGGCUAUAUGUACUUUUUAGGUGCUCCAGCUGUUCAUACUAUUGCUGCUGUAAAUCUAGUUACUGUUGUCUGUUAUUUUUGUCUGCCUUCAACCACUGUCAAUGCAUCUACUUCUUUUGGCAGUAUCACUGAUAUGACAUUGCACUGCUUGUUAUAACCUAUAAAUAUUCUCAUGUUACACUUCAGAAUUCUUAUUCAUUUUAGAUAACAUCAAUUUACUUUCACAUCUUUAUACAUCAGAAUGAUUCACUGCUGGGAAUAUGGGUAUAGGUGGUUAACUGGCAUAACUCUGUUGCAUACUGUCUUUGACAGUUUGACUCUUCUGAAAGCUGUGGCUAUAUUCUGCAUUAGUCAUUUGUCCAACUUACAUGUGGUUGUGUAUUUCAUGUUGUUAGGCUUAGUAAUCUCAUCUUUCUUCUCUAUCACGAUUUGCAAUUUUCAAGAUUAUAUGUACUUUCUUUUAUUUAUUAUUGGCCAAGUUAGAGGUUUAAAAUAUAAUAUUCAUUACUUGAUAAUGUGCAAUGUGUAGUUUUGUAAUUACAUCAUUGCAAACUAGAUUUUCGUGAAUAUGCUAGGUCAAUAUAUUUUAUAUGAAAACGCCACUUGUUAAAUUGGGUUUCCUUCUCCUAUGAAUGAUGCUUUUUAAAGUUUCUUUAGAUUUCAUAGUAUCCUAAUGACUAAAUCUAUCUGUUAAUUACCUAUAAAUGGACAUGCACAUUUCAGGGCUAGACUACUUCGAGCCAACUUACUACAACCAUUAAAGGAUAUGGAAACUAUCAAUGCCCGUCUUGAUUGCUUAGUGAGUAGUUCCUGAUUCUUGUUAGAUUAUGGUUGUUGAGAGGCCAAAGGAAAAAUAAGUGUGAGAAUAACAGUUCCAUGAUGUCAGUUUGAUUUUCUCAAGUUGUUUGAAUUGUUAAAAAUGUAUAAGAUUACUGCUAUGAUUUUUUUAUUUUCUCUUUUCUGUUGCAUUGAGCAGCAGAGUAGGUAUAUUUUGAUACAAGAAAAUAUUAGCAAAAGGUUGGUUAGAUAUGGUAGUACACAAAAUACACAAAAUAUAAGGACAAAAUAAAUUGUCUGCCUCUGACAAACUAUAACUUUGUUCUUUCGCAAGUUUCAACAAUUGUACGAUAUAAUAGAUGGUGAUUGUAAUGAUACUUUGCUUAUUUAUGCAUUACUAUCUGAAGAAACAUCGUAACUUCUAGAGUUUCCAAUUACUGUUAUAUUACAGGAAAAUAAUAAGUUUGUAAAAUCUAGUUUUUUUUUAGAGAGAGAAAAGUAACAUACUACUGCUUCAUUCAUUUAGGAUAUGAACUAAGCUACAAAUUGAGGCAAUCCGGCCUCCAAGAAAAAACAGAAAAAACUUGCUAUGUGCCACAGUGGAGAUUACACUGGACUCUGAAAUUGUGUGGCCUCACCAUCAAUUGCCCCGUGGUGUGUUUCUUUUUCUCGAAGAUUCUUUUGUUACGCUCCAGCCAGAUAACCCACCAUGUUGAUGCAAUGAUCGUUAACUCCCUCCCUCCCCCCCAAAGUUCCUCCUUUGAGUCUACUCAACUCCCAAAGCCUACCCGUAGAGGAACAAUUAAAAGGAGAUAUUUUAUCGGACAGUUGACCUGCCAACAAAAUUCUUGUAACUGCACAGUCCACAAAGAGGUGGUCGAAAAAUCUAGUAAUUGCUUAUUGCACAUGUACGCUGAGUUAUGCAUGAUUACUUUAUUUUUGUUGUUCCAAACAUAACAUUAUAGUAGCUUAAUCUUCAGUAUCUUUGUCGGUUUUGUGGAAUAUCAAUAGCAAUUCCUUUUCAUAAAUAAAAUUUUAUAAACUGGUCUCAAAUUUGUCACUUUUGUCUGAUUUAAUAGGUCCAUCUAGGUUAAGAUAAGAUUAUUUCUGCUAGUCAUUCUUGAAAUAUAUACUUCUAUUUUCAGGAUGAACUAAUGAGCAAUGAAGAGUUGUUCUUUGGACUGACGCAGGGUCUUCGAAAAUUUCCAAAAGAGACAGGUUGGAUGACUAUCUCCUAAUUCUUUGCUUAUUAUUGUGGUGUAUAUAUGUGAUAGCUUCUAAAAGCAUGCUAACCUCAUUUUAUGACUUUUGCCAAGACAAGGUUCUUUGUCACUUUUGUUUCAAACCCAGAAAGGUCACAGAGGAAGUUUUGAAGUCUGUAAAUGGUAGAAAGAGUCAAAUGCUGAUUUCAGACAUUAUUGUUCUUAAAACAGCUCUGGAUGCCAUACCCUUUCUUUCCAAGGUAAAUAAAAGUGCUCAUUUCAAGACUUGGUGAUAAUCUGGAGACUAUCAAAUGUUGUUAUGUUUUCUAAAUUAGUUGAUGCAACCAUCUCACAACUGUUUCAAUACACAGUACUAGCACUGUAGAAACACAUCAACCAUAUCCUUUUCGUCCAUGGGAAGUGUGUUUUGUUUUUUUUUUGGACUAAAUAUCUCAAAUUCUAGGUUCUCAAGGAUGCAAAAUGUUCCCUUCUUUGCAACAUUUACCGCACUGUUUGUGAAAAUCAGAAAUAUUCAAACAUGAGAAACAGGUUUGAUACUGUAGUCCUUGUACUUACCUUUUUUAUAUUUUUUUGAAACUUGUUUAUAUUGAAGAAAUUUCAGUGUGGAUGCAUUAAUAGAACUAUGGGCAACUGCAGUCAGCAUGUCCUGUGCAUUUUCAAGUGUUUACUUCUAUUUUUUUGCCUUUCCCAGAAUUAGGGAUGUAAUUGAUGAAGAUGUGAUACAUGCAAGGGCUCCUUUUGUUGCUUGCACACAGCAGUGUUUUGCUAUCAAAGCUGGAAUAGAUGGACUUCUUGAUGUUGCACGCCGUUCCUUCUGUGACACAAGUGAAGGUGCAUAAAAAUUUUAAGUUGAUACCAGCAUGUAUUCUGCAUUUCUUAUCACCUUGUUGUUAACAGCUAUACAUAAUCUUGCAAACAAAUACCGGGAGGAAUUUAAUCUGCCAAAUUUGAAGAUCCCAUACAACAAUAGGCAGGGAUUUUACUUCAGUAUUCCACAGAAGGACACAUCUGGAAAGCUUCCUAAUACAUUUAUUCAGGUUUGUCAUUUACACUAAUUUAUUUUUUCAUUAUUUGUGCUAGACAUUUGAAGAAUACUGAACUAUUUUGGUUUUAGGUCAUGAAACAUGGGAAAAACAUACACUGCUCAAGUUUUGAACUUGCCUCUGUAAGUUACUUAUGCCACUUGUCCUUCUAUUUUAGUGAUUAAAAAUGUUGUUCUUGGUCAUUCUAUAUUGGAAUUGCUGGUCAAGAUGAAAUUCAUGAUUUUUAAUGCACAUUUCAUAUUCAUUAAUGAGGAAUAGAGUUGGCUGAUAACUGUUAGUUGCUUAUCUUCACUUCACUCCAGACUUCACACUGUGGUUUCUUGUGCUGUUAUUGUAUUUAUAUUUUUGAAAUGUUUAUUUGAUAUUUAUUUCUUUUUGAUAGCUCAAAUUGCUGUAAGUUGAUGCGAAUCUCUGAUAUUUUAUCCUUAUAUCUUGUGUUCUAUACAUGAUAGAUAAGCUUUCUGAAGUGGACCGAAAAUCUGCUGACAUGGGCCUGUCUAGCUUUCACAAGUUUGUAAGACCUAUAUUUGAAAGAACGAGAAGCCAGAAAGACCGAUGAUGUACAUCUAAGAGAGAACACUCUGGCUACUCUUUAUUCUGAUGUUAUGUCUAAAGUUGAAUUUCCAAACAAUAGCAGUAUAGCACAUCAACUUUACUCUUUAGUGAAUAAUCCAUCAUCGAAAGAGGAGAAAACAACAAAAAACUAUUGGCAGAAGAAGAGGCUGCUUGACUGAAGCAGCCUUUUCCUUUAUCCUUAUGCAGUAAGCUAUCCGCUUCAGGCUAAAAUGAUUAUAAAACUCCCGGAAAUAUGGCUGGAUUUUUCAGUAGAUAUUAAAUCAAGUCGCACUUUACAGACAACUCUAAUGAUGUUACAUGUCCAAUAUGUAAUGUGGGGUAAGACUAAUUUAUCCUGCUAUGUUCCGUAGUAAGGUCAGACUAUAACCAUACUUCGCACCACUAUGCUACAAUUAUGUAACUAUGACUAAUGAUUUUCAGCAUGAAUUCUAUAGCAGCGUCGCUUCUUGAUAACAUAUUAUGCUUGAAGCUUCAUUCAGUGUAAAAUAAUACAUUCAAACUUCUAUGGCUUUCAGCUGCACUAGAUAUUCUUCCACAACUCUUCAGAUAUUUUGUUGUCCUACUUUGUCCCAUAUGCAAAUGUGUGCUAUCUAACUGUUGGAAACUUUGACAGUUCAUGCUGUCAUCUGCCAAAAGUUCUUACACGAAUCUGUUAUGCUGAUGUCUUUGCAGCUGAAUGUUAGGAAUAAAUCAGCUUCUGCCGAAUGCUUUUUGCGCACAGAACAUUGUUUGGAAGGUUGCAAUGACUUUGUCAAAAUAAGUUAGUUGUGCCUUGUUCUAAUUUCUCUUUUUUUCAUUUUAUGCUGGAUAGCGCAAUCACUUGUUAAUUCUGCUUAAUUGAUGGAAAAUGUCAAAUGGUUUUGAAAGGUAUACCAGCUUACUUUAGUGACUUUUUGUGAACUUGAUACUUUGUAGAAUUACAUUCUGAAAAUCUUCAUAUAUAUGAAUAUCAUAUCAAUAGAUUUAUUUCGUCUUCGGAUCUGUUUCGGUCAUCUUUUCAACCACAUUAUACUCUCUGCAAUACAUUGGUAACAUCAUGGCCACUGUUUCUGACCAAUUUAUAAUUGUUUCAACAAGUUAUAUGUGACUUCCUUGUUGAAGCAUUUGACCUUAAUAUAAGAGGAUAAUGUAAAUAUUCGCAUAUACAAGUAUAUAACAAACAACUGUAAUAUGCAAAUUUUCAUCCUAAUAAGCAUAAAAGGUAUUUGAACGCUGCUGCAUGUUAAUCUUUUUAACUCCAGAAGAUAGCCAGUGAUAAUUGUAGCAUGCUUUGCAUUCCAGGCCAUUAUCUUGUUACUCUUUGUUCCACCCUUCAUCGAGCCAAAUUUAUGAAUUUAUGAAAUUAUUUAUUUUAAAUUUUGGCAUACAACACAAUAUUCCUUGGAUGUGCACCAAAAGCUGAAAUGGGUGGCCUCUGUGUAGUAAAUUGUAUAUUGAACAUUCCUCGCCUCUCUAUGUCAAUUACUCAUUUUUCAUUAGCGAUGUUUAAAAUUCUCUUCUUUUAGACUGAACGAUGUCAAUUCUUUGUCCUCUACUCUGCAGGGCUGAUUGAUGCAAUAAGGCAGGAUAUCUCCAUACUAACAUUGCUUGCAGAAGUCUUAUGCCUUCUAGACAUGAUUGUGAAUUCAUUUGCGCACAGUAUUUCAACUAAGCCUGUUGACCGCUACACAAGACCAGAGUUUACAGGUAGCAAAUGUUUCUUUCACAAUUUUAAUGUAAGCAGGUGACUAACUGAGAUUCUUUUGAACAGAUAAUGGACCAAUGGCAAUUGAUGCUGGCAGACACCCUAUACUGGAAAGCCUACACACUGAUUUUGUUGUAUGUAGUAUGUACAGUAUAUCAAUUUUAUCUUCCUUUGAUGUUGUUAUAGUGUAUCACAGAAUAACUAGAUCAGUUUUGUGUGCAGCCUAAUAAUCUUUUUCUCUCUGAAGCAUCUAAUAUGGUGAUUGUCAUGGGCCCCAACAUGUGAGAGUGCCCUAUCUAUUAGCAAUUUUUGGAGUAAACUCAUUUAUGAACUACUUAAACAUGCACUACUUCCAAGCUAUUCAUAUGAGCAUUUUGGCAAUUAAUGCCUAAAGGCCUUAUUUUGGUCAGGAGCGGAAAAAGCACUUAUCUUCAACAGAUUUGUCUAAUAGUCAUCCUUGCACAAAUCGGAUGUUAUGUCCCUGCUCGUUUUGCAUCUCUAAGAGUGGUUGAUCGCAUAUUCACACGGAUUGGGACUGGAGAUAAUGUUGAAUACAAUUCUAGCACUGUAUGCAACCUUAAACUUAAUCUUCUCCUUAUUGUCUAUUUAAUUGCUUGGUUGCGCAUCUAUUUUGAUAGAAAGUACUACUCCGAUGAAAUAUGUUUAUCUGAUAGAUCUAUCUUAUCUUUGAAUAUGGAUCAUAUUGCUAAUUUCCUAUAUUGGGCAAAGAUUCAUGUCUUUCUUUAAUAUCAAUCAAAUGCAAAUCUCUUCCUUAUACAUGAUGCAGAAUAAAUGAUACGCAUAUGAAUCUCUGCCCUGUAUUUCACUUUUUCCUCAAGCUUAUUGUCUUAUUGUCUUUGUCAUAUACUUAUAAUGUAUCGUGACUGGUAGCACAUUUUAUGUUUUCUAUAGUAACAUUUAGUUGAUUCAAAUUUAUCUUACACAUGUAAAUUCCUGAAGCUACUUGAAGCAUUGAUUCAUGCAAUCUUGGAGAAGAGAUAGAUAUUAGUAAUAGCACAUCCAAGAUAAGAGAUGAUUACAUAAGCACUAUCUUUCUCCUAUUCAAUGUUAUGUUUUAUUCAACUUAUUGUUCAUUAAAUCAUGAGAAAUUUAAUAAACAAACUCUUAACCUAGCUUCACACCCUUUCAUGAUUUUCUAUAAAAUUUUCAAUCAAAAUAUACUAUUAUGGAAUUAACUAUUUAUAGUUACUAGUAGGAGCUGUUGCUACUUGCUAGGUAGAGAAGCCUGUCUAGAUUAUAUGCAUCUACAUAGCAGUAUUUUGACAUCCUUUUCUAUGAAGGAUAUUGCUUGGUAGGUAACUUGUGAGUUGUGAUUUAAUAUCAGGAGUGUUUUCUAUUGUCAAAAGGCACAUCAAUGGUGGUGACCAGUAGGACUAUAGGAGUGCGUUCAGCUGACUGAACAUAAAGAAUCGAAUAGCUAUGUUAUCAGACCGAACACAACCGAACCUGAAUUGCUACAAGACAGAAUUUGAUCUGAACAAAAGAUUCUGGUUCAGUUCAGUUCAGUUCAAUUUUAACUGGUUUGGACCUGUUCUUGCUCGUAGUGUUUGUCUCCCAUAGUCCCAUGUCUAAAAGUUUGGUUUUCUUCUCAUGGUCACUUCUUACUCACCAUAAUUAUGAACACUGCAAGUUAAUUUGCUCUGCCUUUGCAUUGCGUUUUAUGUCAGGAUUAUUUAUUUGCGGCUUCCAUUACUUUCUUAUGCAGUUUUAGCACGGCAAAUGCAAAAUAUCACAGCUAAUUUGCAACCAUUGAGUCAUCUGAACAGUGUGAUUUUAGUCACACAGCGACCUUCUGAUACUAUUUUCUAGCCAAUAGGCACAUUUAACUUCUUUGCAUCUGUUAUUCUUUCUUCUCUUUUACACCAUUUGUUAACAGAUGCUUUAUAUUUUAUACUCUGCAUGGGUGCACCUUGUGAGGGAAAACUGCAAAAGGCUAGCAGAGUUUUUUAAUUAGUAAUUAUCCAGCUUGAGGAUUAUUCAGGAUAUUUAUGGAUCAUUUUGAUAUAGAAAACUUCCUGAUCGCUGAAAUGGUCCUUUGUAGUUUAUGACGGAAAUGAAAGAGACAGCUUUCCUCAUGCAAAAUGUGUCCCCAAAGUAUCGCCUCUAUAUUGUUUUAACUUCCAUUAUUAUGUCACAUUUACUGAUAAUAUUUUGAUAUUAUCAUAUGAUGGUCUUUCUGAUUUUAGGAGCCUGGUUGUUAUGGAUGAGCUGGGAAGGGCAACUUCUUCCUCUGAUGGGUUUGCAAUUGCUUGGAGCUGUUGCGAGCAUCUGCUAACUCUCAAAGCGUAGAUAUUACACCUCCUUACAAUAAAUAUGUCAAAGCUACUGGUAUAAAUAGGUUUUGUUGAAAAUUUUAGUUCAAAGGACAUGAGUUUUCGAACGACCUCCAUAAAACUCUAGGGCAACUCCAUCUCUCCUAAUCUGUUCUUAUUCCAUUUUUGUUUAUAAAUAAUACACAUGCAUCAGUAUUACUAGAAAUAAUUAAUCCUGAUUUUGUUGUCAUUCCAUUUGCAGUACAUUCAUAUUGUUACUCUGCAAAUUUUCAGAUUGCUAGCAUUUAUGAGUAGCAUUAUGUUGUUUUGGAGUAAUUGCUUUUCUCUUGUGCAUGCAAAAUGCAUUUAUAGUUUGCUUAAAUUGAGAAAAGCUCUUUAAAUGUUUUCUUCGUUAGGUACACUAUAUUUGCUACGCAUAUGGAGGGUCUAUCUGAACUUGCAACCAUCUAUCCUAAUGUGAAGAUUCUUCAUUUUGAGGUCGACCUACGCAACAAUCGCUUAGAUUUCAAGGUUGUUUUUUGUACAAGUAACUUGUUUCAGGGAAUCGUUUCCAUGGACAACCCUAGAGUUCUUUUAUUUGUCAUUUUUUUUCUUUGGCUCUUUUUCAGUUUCGUCUCAAAGAUGGUCCAAGGAGGGUGCCACACUACGGUCUUCUAUUGGCUGGUGUUGCAGGUCUACCAAGCUCCGUGGUGGAGACAGCAAGGAACAUUACUUCAAGAAUCACAGAAGAGGUAUUAUGCUACUCUUUCUGUAGUCACAUCACCACAAUCGUCGGCACGUACAAUGGUAUGAGUUUUUCAGAAUGCUCUAACAUCCAAUGUCCCUUCUGGUGGGAAGUUGUGAGCAACUUGGCCGGGACGCUAACAAAAAUGAUAUAGAAGAGCAUCAGAAGCUAUUCUUGCAUUGAAAAAAAUGUUUUGAAAGAGACUAAGAGACAUGGGAUCCUCGUUCUUUUCAUUUCCUAGUGCUCAGAAGUUUUUUCAAAACACUGUUCAGUAACACCUGUUUUUGAUAGGAAAUGAGGAGAAUGAAUAUCAACUUUGAGCAGUAUCACUCAAUUCAGAUGGCGUACCGGGUUGCACAAAGGCUGAUCUGCUUGAAAUAUUCCAACCAAGGCGAGGAUUACAUCCGCCAAGCGCUGCAGAAUCUGAAGGAGAGCUACAAUGAGGGUCGGUUUACAUGCUGAUCAAUUAUUAUGACAUCACUCUGUGAUACGCAAAAGAGGUGAGUUUUCUUAUAUGAUAGUCAAGGAGAAUUCACUGGUUUUUGAUUCGCAAGCAUAUUUUGACAAGAUGAAACAAAAUCACAAGAAACUAUGAAUUUAUUUACCUAUAUUUUGGUCAAACUAUUUUAAGAAAUUUGCAAUUAUUCGUUUCAAAGAAACUUAGAUAUCCUUUUAACUUCUUUUUCUCAAAAUGGAAGGAGAAUCUUUUGCUCCCUUGCGUGGCUGGCCUUGCACGGAAAUUCUUACAUUUUUAUUGCCUUGACUGGUUACGUCCGAUGGCCUCGCGAGUCACGAGUCACGAGUCACGAGUCACACUCGCUUAAAGAAUGAGAUCUGUGGGCCUGUGGCCAGUCUCCACUUUUAGAGACAUAUUUUCGUGCACCAAGUUUACCACGUCACCCGUGGACCGCGCAAACAUCAAUCCUUCGCUUUUAUUUUAUUUUAUUUAUUGUUAGCUGGAAUUAUAAGGACACGGCAGUACAGGACCUGGACACGGCAGGAAGUAGAUGGCUACGAAUGACGGCAGGUCCACAGCUGACGUGGUGGACCCGGUCCAGAACAGUCUAGGUAAAUGCCUAGCCGCACUUCGUCUCCCUGCCACACGAAGAGAAAGUAUUGCACGCACAUGGAGGUCUCUCAAAUGCCACAUUUAAUUUAUUUGAUAUUUAUUUUAAUAUUAUAAAGACCAACAAGUUCGAGAUAUAAAUUUGGAUCUGAAAAUGAGCUCUAAAUUUUCGUAGAUAAGAUAUAUCAAAUUAUAUUUGGAUUUUACUAUAUUAAUUAUUAAAUAUUAAGUAUAGUACUUAAAAUGGUUGUUAAACUGACAUGUGGGGCCCACGGAUGUAGUACUCAUACGUCAGCGUAAUUUCUAAUCUCUCACGAUGUGGGAGGACGUCAAAAAUAUACUGGAUUACCCCGAUCAAAAUCGUAAAUUUUCCUUGUUAUAAAAACUAAUAGGAUCCAGAAAUAGACCUAUCAAUAAGUACUUGGGGGUCGAAUCUAGCGUGGCCCAAUGAAACGUUGUCCUUUGCCUAUCGUCACAGGCCAUAUAUCUGGGCUAAUACGAUCCGGCCAUGAGCAAUGAACCCGCGGCCCGCAGCCCGCGGGCCACCGCCCACGUAACCCAAAUUCGUUGUCAUCCUACUACGAAAAUCCUUCACCGGAAGCCAAAUGCACCAACUCAACGGUCGAGAUCAGGACCUACAAAUCCAACGGUAGCAAUUUAUUAAAUAUUAAAUAAAUCCAAUAUUCUCACACUUCCCAUGGCCCCGAGAAAACCCUAAUCCUAGCACCUGCGGUGAGCUUCUUCGGAGCAAUGGGUGAGAGCUUCUCUUCUCCUCUGCAGCUUCUCCUAUUUCGAUCUUUUCCCAUUUCUCCCUCGAUGCAUUUGCCCAUCGUUUUUUCUUUGUCAUUUUCUUUUAGGGGCGUACAAGUACGUGUCGGAGCUAUGGAGGAGGAAGCAGUCGGAUGUGAUGCGGUUUUUGCAGCGGGUGAGGUGUUGGGAGUAUCGCCAACACCCGUCCAUCGUCCGCGUCACGAGGCCCACUCACCCCGACAAGGCUCGGCGCCUCGGCUAUAAGGCCAAGCAGGUAUCAAUUUUUAAGUUAAGGCACAAUAUAACCCACUGUUGCCCGGAGCCUUUUUUUUUUUCAGCUUUUGUUUUCUAUUUUGUUGGAUUUAUCAAUGGAUGCUGGUUCUGUUACUCACGAGCUUUAACAAUUUUAUCAUCUGGUAUCUCUGGGAAUAUAUCGAGGGUGCAAAAUUAGGUGUGAUACAUUUGAAAGAUUCGACAUUGUUGUUGUUGUAUGAUGAUUCUACUGAUUACUGAACAACAUGUUUACUUUGAUCACUAUUAUCCCAUUUGAUAUCCUGUUUCACGUUACAUUUUGCUGUCGUGGACUCUUUGCUUGGAGCCUUUAGUUGAUGGCAUAAACUGCUGAGUGGUAGGGACAAUUUAUGAGCGCAUGCAUUCAGAAAAUAUCUGUUGGAUUUGGCAUUUGAUAUAAUGGUUACUAUCUAGGUUGCAUCGACGAAUCUUGAAUACUGGAAUUUAAACAUGAAAAGCUUCUGAAACCUUCUCUAAAUGCUUGCGUGUAGCACUUCUUCCGCAGACUUGUCCAAACCUUAUCUUGCCAUUUAUGUCCUAUGAAACUAGUCUUUUCGUGAAUUUCCUGUACAGCACGUUGUUCUUUUGUUCCUCAACUGCGCGUUAAGCAUGAAGUGAAUGUGUUUUCACAAAUUCAACAUGCUCCGUGGUUGGACAUCGGAUGUGAAUGAUACGCCCUGUGGUGUGGUACAGGGUUAUGUGAUUUACCGUGUCCGAGUUAGGCGUGGAGGCAGGAAGAGGCCGGUCCCCAAGGGUAUUGUCUAUGGCAAGCCCAAGAACCAGGGUAUCACUCAACUGAAGUUCCAAAGGAACAAGAGGUCUGUUGCUGAGGAGAGAGCUGGUCGGAAGUUGGGUGGUCUCAAGGUGCUCAACUCCUAUUGGAUCAAUGAGGUCUGCACAGAUUCCUUUGAUAUAUUUCUUAUAUGCCCGUGUAAAUAUCUAUGUACAUCAUAUCAUGAAAAAUCAGAAUUUCCAUAAUAGCUGUGCUUUUAAGAGGCAUGAAAAUUCAGUAUUUAAAGGGACAUAUAUGUAAAUCAGUAAAUAUAGAGAUUUUGGUAGCAGAUGUUGUACGUAAAAUGACCAAUUUUUAUGCUAACACUAAAUAAAGUUUUAAAACUAUUUUUGUUAGAUUUUGAUCAUUUUAUUUUAUAUUUUAUAUUUGUUACAUUUUGUCUGUCUCAUCUUUUCAUCGGUUUAUUGUUUACCCCUUUUUAUGGCAGGACUCGACUUACAAAUACUAUGAGGUUAUCCUUGUUGAUGCUGCCCAUAAUGCAAUUCGUAAUGAUCCAAGAAUCAACUGGAUCUGCAAGGGUGUUCACAAGCACCGCGAGCUUCGUGGACUCACGUCAGCGGGUAAGAAGUACCGUGGCCUGCGAGGCAAGGGCCACCUGCAUCACAAGGCAAGGCCAUCUCGCAGAGCAACUUGGAAGAGGAACCAGACUUUGUCCCUUCGCCGAUACCGUUGAGCUUGUGUGCUUGGAGAGGUGUAUCACUGGAUUUUCUCUUAUUUGGACUUCAUAUUUUGCACUGGCAUCGAAUGUUGUUAUCUUUGUUUGGAGGAUUUGUUUGAACACGAAAAAAAUUUCUUUGCUCUUGUAGUUCUACAAACUAUGUAGAUUUUUGCUAGUUAGGCAUUUGUUAAUUAUAAGUCUAUUACUGUUAAGGGUACAUUUUGAGUGAUUCUCUACUUACGCCUUCUUCUUGGUUGUUAUUUUCCAUUUUGGCAAUCCUAGUGCCUAUAAAAGAAUCUGAUUUGCUUCUUAAGAUGUAGUCUAUGUUGUUUUGUGGCGGCGCGUGCGCUUUUGUUGAUUUGCCUGGAUGAGUUGGGGGUUUAUAUGAUUUGACUUUAGUCCAUCCUAUUUGGGUUUGUUUGAACAAUUCCAAUUUGGUUUGGGUACAUGGUAGAAUCGAUAUUUACCUUAUAAGAGUAAUGGAUUCUUCGUAGGAAUUUGAUCCGCUUGAUGUUCAUUGGGAUUUAAUCACAUUCGAGUCAUAAGAGAUGGGAAUGGACUCUGGUGUAUCUUUUUCUUUUUGUUUGUAGUUGUCUUUUUCUAUUUAUGCAUUACAUGGCUUUUCAUAUUGAGUGCAUAUACUUACGGUUGCUGUACAAGAGCAAGAAGGGAGCAGAAGAGGAUGAAGCUGUGUGUUAUACGGCUCGCUAUCUGCUAGCCCAGAAUCCAUGGAACCCAAGAGGGAAGGUCAAGUUCUUUGGAACUUCAAGCUUCGCGACGACUGCAUUUGCUCUUCCUAUUCUCUUCGCAUCUAGCACCACAAGGUAGCAUAUCCGCUCCGACACUGCAUACUGCACCAGAUAAUACAACUCGGCUGUUAGAAAGUUGUAACACCGAAAGGAUGUUGCUUAAGAAUCUUUACAGUUCAUGGUUUCCCAACAGCUUUAUCUUCAGCCGUGUACUCUAAAAGCUUAAAAGCUUUGUAGAGUCCGUGUGUGUGUUUGUGUGGGCAUUAAGUGCAUGUUCUGCUAAACCAACUUGGUUUAGCAGCAAAGCUAGAUGCAGCAUUAGUAAAACAACUAUAGUGCUUGUGUUGAGUUUUCCAAACUCAACUUUGCGUCCCGCACCAAAGUCAUGAGGCCAAGCUAGGCCACUAUGACUUCAUGAAACCCGCCCUUAAGCUUCGACAUGCGCAGAAAUUUGUUCAUCUUACCUCAACAACUAGAACAUAACCGUCGUCCUCCUUGACGCCUCUCUGAAUAAAUAUGGGCUCUCCGAUGAACGACCGGCUCGUGGUGGACCAUGUAGAUACAGAUCCAUCUGAUGUAUUAAGCUUUACCACGCUGUCGAACGGAAAAUGCGGCAGGAAUCUUCGGCUGCCUGAUGUUGCCGCCGCAUAAACAAAGGUAUUCUUUCUGUUGGAGAAGUCCGGAUUGAUCGCCGGGAAGUCUGCCGGCCUAUUCCAUUGCUCUGAAAGAUCGGUAAUCGAACAGCACCGAAUAUUUCCGCUUGAAUCGAUAUCAAUUUUCAUCUGCAAGUGCACGCACAAUUUCGACAGAAUUGAGAUGACAACUAAGGCUAAUGGUCUUGUAGCGCAUAUCUAGGAAUAUAACACAGUUGAGAGACUCUGUAAUAUAUUUACUUUAUUUUUCAGAUCCUGGUAUGAUUUCUUAUGCAGGUUUUCAUGAAUACCUUGAUCAGGUGGGGUAGCAAUUUCUCCUUUCCUUCUGCAACAUUCAUGAAAGAGGGAUCCAGCUUUCCACUUCUCCAGUUGUACCCUACAAAUUGAUUAAAGUCCCAAAACAUUAGAUGUAAACAAUGGAAUAAUGUACAAACUUAAAUGUAUACAUACCAAACAUUCUCUGGAAAUUGAACCAUUGGUAGGAGCAAACUGAGACCUGCAGUUGCACUUCCAGGUUGCCGUCACCGUCUCUCUCCUCGAAGGCGUUGCCGAUGUGCAUGCCCCAUAGCUGUGACGGAGCUUCGACAGGAACUCUCCAGUCGCGCUUUGUGAUAUUCGUCUCGCCCGCAGAGAAGCGAGGUAGCACGUAAAUUGGCGUCGAUGGUUGGCUCGGGUUCACGGAGAGCGCUGAUAUCAUGGGAUGGAGCCCUGAUACUGCAAGAAGCGAUCCUGUAAUUCGUGUGUAGAGUUCUAUUAGAAUAAAUGAGUUUGAGAUUUCAGAGAGUCCAAACUCCAAAACCAGUGAUCAAGGCUAGGAUGAAUUGUUUCGAGCCUAAGAAUGAAAUUGUUAAAGUGCCUCGUGAUUACUUGAACAACUUUUCCAUUUUGAAAGCUAGUAAUAUUUAAGCGUUUCACAAAUCCUACGAUCAUAUAUUAAUAAAAUUGUGUGUUAGUACUUUUUGGGAUAUUUCUAUUCAGUUUUAUGCAUAUGCUUCAUACAAAAUUGAAUGGGACCACGAGAUCAUUUGUAUAAUGGGAACUUACCGGGGACGUCAACUUUGAUGCGAUUGCCAAUUAAUAUAUAGUGGCUAUCGGUGAAGGCCCAGUCGUGAAUCAUCAACUGAUCCGGGAUGACGAACUCUUUCUUUUGCUUCAGCUCAAAAUUACAAUCAAAUUCUACAUCCAAAAAAAAAAAAGGAAAAAACAUAAUAUACUCAGCUUAUAAGGAAGGAGUAGUUAAUUGCUCGAGCUCUUGAAUAUGAAUGACCAUGUGGCCAAUUAUAGAGAAAAAACAAUAACAAUAUCCAUUAUAAAUUAAUGAAUGAGAAUCUAGUUGAUUUGUAGAGCAAUUAAAUUACCGUAGAAAGUGAAGUGGGAGCGAGGGAGGAGCAUGUCCUCAGCAUUGCAGGAAAGCAGCAAGAGCCUGUUCCUUUUGGGGUCGAUCUUGUAGUGCGCUAGCAACCUCUUUUGUGGCAUGUUGAACACCCCUGCGCGCCCCACACACCAUAUAUCUUGCACGUCAAUUACACACUGGUUUGUACUUUAAAACAACAGCAACAUAGUUCGCAAUAGAAUAUUGACAAAUAAAUAUGCAGUUUAAACUUCUAAAAAAUAAAUGAUAAAUAUUAAUUGUAACUGCAUGAUGAUCGAUCUUCUUACUCACCGCCGAGGAUAGGCUUCAGCAAAUGAGCCGCCACGUCCAACCCCACCUCCGACAAUCCGCCACCCCGCCUUUUCCACCACCCCCGGCCACCAGCAUCGUCCUCGACCGUCCGAAUCGACAGCUCCCACCGUCUCCAGCGUCCGCGGAUCGACCUCGUACGGGUCCCCUCCCUCCCACAGACACAGCACGCGCCCCGACCACCGCAGCACGCUCGUGUUCGCCACGUUCUUCAUCACCUUCACGUUUCCCACGCGCUUCCCUCCCCUCAGCACCGAGAAGGGCCCUCGGUGCGUGAACCGCCACGCGCUCCCCGCCCCGCGGCGCUCCUCCCGCUGCGCCAUGGUCGCCACGUACCUGGCGGAGUAGUAGACCCCGCCGCCUACGCGGAAAUCGAAUGCGCGGAGGUAUCCGUGGCCGUCGAGGGGGUGGACGGUGGAGCCGUGAUCAUCAGAGAAGAGACCGGGUCCGGCGAGGUAGUAGGUGCCGGCGGGGAAAUCAGCGGGGAGCGAGCCCUCGGCGAGGCGGAGGGGGAUCGGGUCGGGGGAUUCGCACCGCUGGGAGGCGAAAAGGAGGUUGUAGUCCCAAAAGGCGGUGGCCGGGGAAUCGGUGAUCGUCGUCGUCGUCGGGACCGUCGGGGAGAUCGUGGUAGAGGCGGCGGAAGUGACGCGGAGGGACGAGGGUGAGGCCACGGCCGAGGCCGAGGAGGAUGGGAGGUGUUUGGGGUACGUUUUCGGUGGACGAGGAGGAGGAGGAAGAGGGAGGAGAUGGUGGUGAGGAAGAGAAUCCAUUCCUUUUCCUUCGUUUUUAUUAUUUUUUUUCUUUUUGUAUUUUUGGGUAGAGUCGUGGAGAGGGGGGUUUUAUGAACGGUUGUGGGGGGUUUUUGGAGGGUUUUGGCGGGGAAUCGUUGUAGAAGGGAGUGGAAUCCAAAAGGUUAGGCGGUUCUUUGUUCGCUUAUAUAGGAGAAAGUUAGGGGCUUUGACGCAAAUGUUGUGGAGAAUUACUAAAAUGCCAUUAGAUUCAUUGGUGCCGUUUCGGAAUCUUGGAGCUUGAUGUACGAUCGGUUGUUGGUUUCGCAGGUUGGUUCUCAAAUUCUAGAACUGUUUUUAGGAAUGUUCAUCUUAAUGGUUUUUUCUUUUUUUUGAUGAUUUCCAAGAAGAAGUUCAUUUUCAUCCAAAAAUUUAUCUUUUUCACAUCAACCUUGUUGCACUUUUACUCUUUUUUUUUAAUAUAAAAAUGAUAUCCCCAAUGCUUUUAGACACUAAACUUGGUGAAUAUUAUUGACAAAACAAAAGUUACAGUGCAAUUUUUCUCUUAUGGAAAGUUUAUCUAUUCUUUUGGGUAACAUCUUUCUAUCGUCUCUUCUUGGCAAAAUUACUUGCUUACACACUCUGCGUUAAAUAAUUUUCUCGUUCUUAAAUGAUGUAUUUGUAGCUCUGUACUUGAUUUAUUUUUAUUUGAUGCAAAGCCUGUGGGUUAUAAAUAAUUUUUUUUAUAAAAAAUGGUUGAGCUAGAGAUAUUUGAACUCCUGUAAGCUCUGUUUUGUGGAGAACAAGUGGGUCCCGUUACAAUGAUGAACAUUAAUUUUACCCAACAGCCAAGGGGAAAAAGUUUAUAAUUUAUUAAUUCAUAAUGGAGCAAUUAGUGGGGUCACUAACGAGUAACGGUCGGUGCACCUCUUUUUUUUUUUUUGGCCCUUUUUCAUGUGAGCCAUAUUGUCCAUACAUCUUGUACAAAAAUAUAAGAUUUAUAUUUACAAAUCUCUUGUAGUCCAUAUUAAUUCAUUUAUCUUAUUAUUAUUAUUAUUAUUAUUAUUGUUAUUAUUAUUAUUAUUACUAAAGUUUUAAACGAUUAUAUAUUUUUUAGAUUAACAUUUUAUAUUUCUCUAUAAAAAGUAUACCGAUAACACUUCUUUUUCUUUUGCCUCUUUUCAAUAGAAGGACGUGCACUCAGGAUGAACAAAUUUGGGCAAUACUAAAUUGUUGUAACAUGGAGGGACACUGUUGGAUAAAUAGUAUUCAUACUCGGUGAGAAUUAUCGUGACUGUGUUGUGAGAUGUAUUAUGUAACAUUUACACCAUAUCAUUACAAACCAAUCAAUCAUUUUUAAAAAAAUAAAUAAAUAAAUUUUUUUUACUAAUAACUAUCAUGCGGCUGAAUAUAGCCGGUGUAUUUAAAAAAAAAAUAUUCUGUGUGAUGGGAUGCUGCAGGAAAUAUGACAAAAUUUGGGCCCAUGCUGAGGUGCUAGGGUUAUUUGCAAGGUCAACUAUUCUCUCAACUCAGUUUGAAAAUUACUAGUUCAUUUCGAAUCAGUUUUGAGAUUUUAAAUUCAAUAGCAGACCAAGCAUGUCUCCUAUGAUAAAAUUACAAACAAAGCAAGUAAAUUAGAAGCCAUGCCAACUUGUUACAUGAUAGAUAUACUUACAGAUUUAGACCAGAAAACUUAGGCGUCGGGAGAUGCAUGAGGCCACGGGUUUUUUUUGCCGGCCAUUCAAAGUGUCCAGAAGAAGCAAAGAGGACAACAGUGUACUCUCCAUUUAGAAGUGCACCAAGCAACAAGAAUAGUGAGUGCAUCAACAAAUUGUUACAUGCCAAACAAAGCAAUGUUUAACAUAGACAAGGAUAAUGCUACGCCCACUCCAAAAAAGAUUCACAUAGAAUCUAUACUCUUUAUAGGUAGUGUACCAGAAUUCGUGUUGAAAUUCUCCUUUUACCAAUUUCUAGAAACGAAUUUAGCAUUACCAGUUCGAGAAAAGCAUGAAACAAUAAUUACAAGCAUGUCGGCCAAAAUCAAGAUACAUUUAAUGAGUGCUUGUAGUCCAUAUAGCAUCCAACUGUUUCCCUACACACGGACUGUUGAAAAAGAAUGAAACAUCUUUUCAUUUUAGCAUCCAGUAUGUUGAACAAGCACACAGUAGGACAAUAAUUUUUGAACUAAGCAGUGCGUUUUUAACUACUUGCUGACAAAAUGUGAAAUGAAUGUAAAAUUGCAUGAGAUAUGUAAUAAUAUUCUAGAUCUGAUUCACUCCCAAACAAUUCAUACCUCUCAAACCAUUCUCCACGCAAACAAAAAAAACAUCAAAUCUAACAUUGCAUCCUGUCCGAAAUAUCUAACAUUCAAUACCCCAAAGGAAAAGGAUCCACAAUAUGGAGAUAGCAAUCAAUAAUAAGAAGCAUUUGAUACUGUAAACUGUUCCAGAUCAUCAUGAGAUUACAGUGAAAGGGCAGUAUUCCACUAGCAAACCACACAAGCUGUAUUGUUUUUAAUGAAAUGUGUUACAUCUGGAGUGUAGAUCACUUCAAAUCUUAUCAUUCACCACUAAUUUCUUUCAUCUACUUUUUUCUUGACACUGCCUAUUAGAACACCUGUAGCACAAUAAAUAGGCCUACCAGAGACCUAUAAUUGAAGUUGGUAUUGCAAUUAAGCCCAGCGCAACAGGGCUUCUGGAACCCAUGUAUGACCUCAGCUGGAAGAACUUUACCGCACUGAGCGAAAAACAAAAAAAAAAGAAAGUUAAAGGGGUAAAAAAGAGAACGUUUCCUAGACCAAGGAGGCAAACUUUAGAUCAUUGAGAGAUAAAUAUAAAAUAAAAGAGUCCAUAUGCUGCAGUUUCGUCGGCCAGCUCUACCUAUAUUGGCAAAAUUUUUUGAGAGAAAGGUAGCAUGCUAUCCGCUUCGUUCAAUUUUUUAAAGAAUGAACUUAGCCAGAAUGUGAAGCAACUAGGUUUCGAAUUUAAGACCUCGAAUAGCAACCACCAAACCUUUUGCUACUUGCGCUAGGGGCAGUCAGUCCCUACCUAUGUUGGCGAAACUGAUGGAGGAAUUUGAAAGAUAUGCAAGUAUCUAUGCACCUAUAAUAGCAAAACAGUUUCUUAGAAAUAUUUUUCUCCUCCACUAUGUGGCAAACCAAUGUCACAAAUAUUGUACAACAGUUAAAACAGACUAAACUAAAGAAAACAUUCAUCUAAUAUAGCCAUUCCAUUUGCUAGAAGCCUAGAAUAACCUAUAGAAGCAUGACUUUUACAGAUGGAACAAUUGGGAUAUCUUAAAAGUAUUCUGUGGUUCUAGCCUUAAUAUUCCAAAUGCAGAAGCCAAUUCAACGUUCCAGGAAAGCUUGAAAAUACUCAAAACUUCAUGAACCCUGAAAAGUCAGACCACAAGAUGUUAUGUCUUCAACCUUUUUUUUUUGCAUGAUCGGAAUAAGAUUGUAAACAAAUGAAUGAAGUAAGAUUUUACUAAAAGAAAUCACCAAAUAGAAAGCUUUCAAUGGCUCAUACUCUCAUAAUGCAGAACAUCGGAAUUCAAAAGUCGGACAAGGAAAAGACUUCGACAACCAAUAACCAGGAAAGGCACUUGAACCGUUUCAUUUUCUUUAAACCCAAAACAAAGGUGAAACCAGUGAAGUAAAUUAAUAAGACACUUCUUAACAGUUCAAGUUCCUCGGAAAAGCGCUCUCUGUCUAUGAGAAUUAAACUUACCUCGAUAUUACCAUGGUUGUUUGAGAUUUGGACCUAAAACAAUUGAUGAUGAAAGAACAAUGUUGGUGAUCAAAACAACAUGCCCUCAAAGGACCUAUAACAGUUUAAUUCUCAUGGACAGAACACUCUAAAGCGAAUGAAUCCAGUUUCCUGAUGUUUAUUGAAGAAGAACAAGAAAUCACAGCUAAAAGAUUAUGAUAAAAUAUAAAUGGAUUGUAAUCAAACUAUAAAGGACAUAAUAUUUUCCCAAUGUUUAUCAAAACAACAAGGUACUCAACAUGCAUUCAAAAGCUUUGCAAAGGCUACAGCUUUACAAUCAGAAGAGAAGUGCUGGUUACACACAAAAUGCAGAAUACAUCCCAUUUGAAGCACGCACCGCAUCAAAUUACAUCCAAAUAGGGACGAGAAGCAACACCUAAAGUUCAUGGCAAAACACAGAGAGUAGAUAUAACUAAAUUGAAAAUACAACAGGUUACUUCACAGUCAAAACUUCGAGCGCCCUCAAUUCAUGUAAAAACUUGUUGAUAAAUUAAACCAAGCUAGGUCAAAACUUACCGCCCCCUUUAAAAUGUCGCAAUUCAACCGGUGAUCAUGGUUCCAGCACCUUCGUCGGUUAGGAUCUCGAGGAGAAGCGAGUGCGGGAGCCGGCCAUCGAUAAUGCUAGCCGUGCGAACCCCUUGAGCAAGGGCCCUAAUGCAGCAAUUAACCUUUGGUAUCAUCCCCCCCGCCACCUUCCCCUCCUUUAUCAUGUUCCUUAUUCCACUUAUGUCGAUCUCCUUAACAAGGCUUCCGGGAUCGUCGCGGUCCGCAAGGAUCCCGGGCACAUCUGUGAGCAGGAUCAGCUUCUCCGCGGCGACAGCGGCGGCGAUCUCUCCGGCGACCGUGUCGGCAUUGAUGUUGUAGGUCUGGCCGGCCUCGUCUGCGGCAACGGUGGCGAUCACGGGGAUGUAGGCGUCGCCGAUGAUCGGACGGAGGACGGCGGGGUCCACGCGCGCGACCUCGCCCACGAACCCUAGCGCGGCGGCGUCGGGGGUGGGACGCGCGGUGAUGAGGCGAGCGUCCUUGCCGCAGAGGCCGACGGCGGUGGCGCCCUCGGCGUUGAGGAGGGAGACGAGGGACUUGUUCACCUUGCCGACGAGGACCAUCUCGACGACCUCCAUGGUUUGGGCGUCGGUGACGCGGAGGCCGUUGUGGAACUGGGGCUCGACGCCGACGCGGAGGAGCCACUCGUUGAUCUCGGGGCCGCCGCCGUGGACGAGGACGAGGCGGAGGCCGACGCAGGAGAGGAGGACGAGGUCCUUCACCACCGACUUCUGGAGCGCCUCCGACUUCAUGGCGGCGCCGCCGUACUUCACCACGAUCGUCUUCCCGCGGAACCGCUGGAUGAAGGGGAGCGACUCCGAGAGCACGUCCACGCGCGGCUGAGGCGGCGUUUGAAGCGCCUGCACCGGCGCCGGCGCCGGCGCCGCGGCGGUCAACGCGGCGGCGCCGGAGCGCGGGGGCCGAAGACGGGUGGUGGAUAGGAAACCACGGCUAGGGUUAGGGUUAGGGUUAGGGUUAGCGUUUUGGAGGGGAUUCGAGAGGGAGAGGGGAGGAGUGUGGGUUCUCGCGAGGAGCAUCUUCUUCCUUUGCCCUCGUGCGCCGCUCUCAAAGUGUUCGACUGAUUUACCGAGUAGCGCAGCGGAAACAAAGCAGUCCAGUUCACAAUAGUUGAUUGUUUAUUAGGCUUCACUGGGGUUUUGCAUAUAAGAGAAAAUGCAUUAUACAUUAUAAAAGAUUUAUAAAAUAUUUCUUUAUUUAUUUUUGUAAAUAAUAAUUUUCACAUAAAUAAACUGCACUAAUUUUGUUGACAUAUAAUUUCUAAAUCCAUAUCCAUAUCCAUACUUACUAUUAAAAGACUCCCUUCUUUCCUGAAAAUGCCAUCGAUCGAUUUAUAACAUAAUGUCAAUCAUCUCCUAGUAAUAUCCGAAUUUAUGUUAUUUGAUAAAUAUCACAUAAUUAUCAAAUAUUUUUAUUAUUUUUAAAAUUUUUGAUAUUAUAUAAUAAUUUUAAAUUGUUGUAUAUUAUCCCACGUUCAAAAAAAGUCUCUGUUUUUGGAUGAUGUUAAUAUUAUUAUGCCAUUAUGAUAAGCAAAAUAACUUGUAUAGCAUGUUGCAUGUUUUCCUAAAAGCUUCUACGGUUUUUUUUUUGAUAUUCUCGCCUAUUCAUAAAAGAGGGAGUUUUCUUCUCCUUUUGUUCUCAAAGUGUCCUUUAUUACUUAUGAUAUACUGUUAAUCAUCUCUUAACAACAUCUGGCCAUUAUUUAUUUGAUAAAUAUCAUAUAAUUAAUAAACAUUUUUAUUAUUUUCUAAAUUAAUAUUAUAUAAAAAUUUUAAACAGUUGGAUAUUAUCCAACGAACAAAUAAUAAAGUAUUUAUUUUUUUUUUUAACGAUAUUGCUCUGCUAUAUGAUAAGCAAAAUAUCCUCUAUAAUAAAAGAGAAAGUUUUCUUUCCCUUUCUAGAUCAUUUAGAAUUUUUUCGCGAUGCCAUUUUUAAGAAUAUUUUUCUUUACUUCUUAAAGGAUUUUAUUAUUGUUUGGUUUUUAAAUUUUUAUGAGACUCAAUCCACAUCUAUAAGAAGUUUAUUUUUUUUCAAAAAAAAAAUGAAAGCUACACGUUUAGGUUUCCAAACAUUUUAAAUAGUAUAUAUUAUAUUUUAAAUAUUUUAUGUAACGUGCAUUAUGCCUGUGUACUUAGAUAGUCACUAUAAAAUAUAGAAGUAUGUCAGACUUUCCUCAACUCUAUUUGGCCAAACAACUGUAGAUCACCAAAUAUACCUUAUUAAAAAUUACCUAAUGCUAUAGGUCUCAAAAAUAAUGACCAAAAAUGUAAAAAUAUAUUUAUCCAGUGGUGGGACUAUUGAUAUUAUAUUUUCAUCUAAACAACGUUAUUUUUUUUGAGAAAAGGUAGCACGCUACCUGUUUUAUUCAUUGAAAAUAUGAAUUAGGCUACAUGGGUGAGGCAGCCAGGGCCUCGAAGGAGGGGCGCGAAAAAAAAAAAAAAAAAACCGGUAUGGUAGGACGUCUAGCAAUUUAUGCACAUAGCUCCCAGGAUUUCAGCAGCUCCUUAAAUUUGUACACCGUCACGUAAACAACGUUAUUUUAGUUACAAUAUAAUAAUUUUUUAUAUGAAAAAAAAAAUUCAGACCUGUUGCAGCAGAUCGCAAAUGUAGAAAGUUGACCUCAUCCAAUUAAUCUAAAAUUUUUAUUUAUUGAAAACAAAGUGCAACAUUUAGGUUUUUGUUGUUUUUUAUUUUUUUUUGGGUUUAUAUUUCUAUGCUAACUCCUAAUCUAGAUUACUUUGCUGGGCCGAGCACAUAAGCCCAUGCAUAAUCCAACUCACAACCAGCCCAUUAGGAUUCUUCUUCCACCGUGCACGUGCUAAACAUGUGACACUGACCAGUUCCCUCCCUCGAUGACGAUUUUACCCCUGGUUCACGGCAAAAGGAGAUUCGCCUCCUCUCCCGUGCUCGCACUCGCAUGAUCCCAACUAUUAUUCUCUACCCUCUCCGCUCUCAUCUCAGCUGCUCGUUUUUUCCCCCAACUCCGAAACCCACCCACCUCUCUCUCUCUCUCUCUCUCUCUCUCUCUAACCCUCUCCGAAGCAUAACAAAACCCUUCUCUCCCCUCCCUACUCUAUCCGAUCGAAACCUUAAAUAGCAGUAAAGAUCGGUUCUUGCCCUAAAAUAAUCGCAACCGGGGCUCUUACCUCUGGCCCUAGAUUUCCGUGGCUCGAUUAUCCCCUAAUUUUUCUUUUUUCCAAUUCUUUUGCUGAUCCGCGGUUUGGGAGUGGAGUAUCUGCCUUUGGAUCUGCGGUUUUAAUCUGAUUUUGGUUAUACGGUCGCAAUUUGGUUGCGUUUCCGAGCUCACAUGGCUGGAGCGAUUGGUUAGGGUUUCUGUGUUCUCAGGAGAUAGGGCCAUGGGGAGCACUGGAGAGCCGGAUAGGAAGCGGCGCCACUUCAGCUCCAUCUCCCCCACGGCUGGUGCGGCCGCGAAGAAGCAGCCACUCCCUCCUUUUUCGGAGGAUAAGAAGGUAUGAUCACUCUCUGCUUUCUUGAAUUCGCGCUAGUAGAUGAUAUUUGGGAUCGUUGAAAUUUGUCGUUUGUUGUUGCCAAUGCUCGUAUUCCUGGCGGAUUUAUCCUUAUGUUGAUCGAUUGUGCAAUUUUUAGGGUUUUGGGCGAUCCUAAUUUUGGGUAUAGGCCGUGUAUCUGGUGGUUUGAUGUUUUAUAUCCCCUGCUCUCAUGUUGUCAGGAAAGUAAUUUGGUUAUACAUCAUUUAAGAAAGAAGAAAGCUUGCUAGGGCCAAAAAAGAAUCGAACUUUACUGGAAAAUAAGGUUAACCGAUGAUACUAGAGUGCUUCUGUUUACCAUAGUAGAAAAAAGGUAAUUCAUAAUAAUAGUUAAGUUUCUUUUUCUUGGACAAAUUUUGUGUCCCUUACCUACUCUGCUUAAGUCUGCAAAUCAGAGAUCAGCUGCUGUCGUGAUAAAUGCUAGUCAUAUCACAUUCGAGAAUGAUCUUCCAAAGGAAAAUCCGUCCGAGAAAUGCCUAAUUAUUAUGAAUGAUUUGCAGGAAAUAAUCGGAAGAAAGCAAAGUAAUCCGUCUAUAAGAAAAUAGAGUAUCAUUCUAGUUCUAGGGUAUAGUUCUUGAGCUUUCCUACGGUGAUUUAUGUAAGGUCUAUUACUCUGGAAUUUCUGUAAUAUCGCAAGCUAGGAAUUGGCUCCGGAAAGGAGGAAGCACGCCUAUCCUAUUACAGAAAUUCCAGAGUAAACUCCUUGUUUUGUGGGUAAGUUUUUUGUCAGUGUCUGAAUCUGCAUAUACAUGUUUAGCGACAAAUUUGACGUUUUUUUGUAAGUUCAUCGUAUGUUCACUAGAACAGCUACUUCAUUGGCAUUUAUUUAUUUUUCACAAAUUUCCAUUAUACUUAUCUAAUGUGCAUGUAUUCCUUUGUUUCUUUGAUUUUUCCCAGCUUGAUGUUGCUGUGCUUAAAUACAAAAAUCAAAAGCUUGUUGAACAAGUAGAAGCCCAGAAAGUCGAGUACCUUGUUCUUGAGGAUAAAUUGAAUCAGCUAAAAGAGAAACAGAAGACGUACACCGGCACGUUAACCGUGGUUAAUGAGUCUUGGGACCGGGUAAUUCUUCUCGUAUGUAAUUUGAAAUAUCCAUUGAACCUUGUCUAAAGUAUUAAAAUUAUUCUCUUUUUGUUUGACAGCUUGUCAGUGAUUUGGAGUCAAUUUCUGUUUGCACAAGCGGCUCUUCAAAUCAUGGACGUGAUUUAAGGCAUAAUAAUAUACACGACGGUGAGACACUUAAACAAUUUCUGUCUUUUUAUGGAGUUUGCACUAUUUGGUUUAUAUUUUAUACUGCUUUUCUAAAACAAAUUCUAAAACCCGACUUUCAGAGUAGCUUUCUCUACUCGACUUCAAACACAGAAGUUUGAUUGCUAUAAAAUGAAUUUCAUCUGUGUAGGAAUUUAAUUUUGGAUGUGUGCAGUUGCAUGCAUUGAUAGGAAACAGAAUGCAUAUCUAUUUGAAGUCUUCUGCUUAAUGUAAUCUCAGUUUUUUAUGUGUUAGUCUUAUUCGACUGCUAUUUGGUUUCGUAGUAGUACAGUAGACUGGAAAAGCAGGGUUAAACAGGAAUUAUUUUUAAAGCAAGUAUUAUGCUUCUUUAUGAAGCUCCUACCUUGUAAUCUUGAACUAAGUUUUGAUGCAACAUAAUAUUUUUUCAAUGUUAUCUUUGUGUCUUGUUCUUUUCUAACUGUUUGAUUGACGCUUAAGGUUUACUACUGAUCUCUUUUUCAGAUGGAGUGUCCUCGGCAGCAAAGGAGGAUUUUUUAAACAGACUCCUAGAAACAGGUGCUACUGAAAGUUCAGGAUGUAUAUCGCCUAGUCACACAGAAAAUGACAUAAGAACAUUGCAGUCAUCAUCAAAGAACAUCUUCAGGAAUGUUAUGUCAUUGUCCAAUGGUGUGUGGCAUUCAAAUAGGGAGCUGGCUUCCGCUCUUCUGGUAGCUCUACCAGAAGAUGGUAUGAUAUUAAUUCAUUUCUUAUUCAUGUCUUUUUAAUACUUUCUUUUUGAUUUCGUACUUUACCAAGUUUCUUACCUUUUGUUUUAUUCUCUUUUUUUUGGGUUGUGCAGACCCCAGCAAACAACUGCAGAAUAAUACGAAAGACCUCCUGGCAGAACUUAAUAAUAUUCUAGUAUCUGUAGAUGAUCUUCAUUUAAAGCACAGGCAAUUGGCAGAGAAGUUUCAGGACCAUAGAGAUGUGAAUGCUCGCAAUAAGGCUGAACACAAGCGAUUACGAGGUAUAUUAUAUAAAUCUUACCUUUGAAGUUUAUUUGUCCUGAAGAUUCAUGUGUAGAUAUGCUUACCUGAAUAAUAUGUGGCCUUCUACUCAACUUUCUACAUGUUAGAACUUGUGAAAGAGUCUACAGUAAGGCCGUUGGAUAUGUUCAAUCAUAUUUGAUUAAGAAUGGUGCCAACUAUUUGAUAACUUGUUCUCUUGAAACCUUUUUGAUCAUACCACCAUUUGCAUUGGAUGCAGUGCAUGUGCACAUUUGCUGUCAAAUUAAUUUCUAAUACUCUAGAAUGGUUGAUUGGUAGCAUCUUCUAGAGCGCUCACACAUUAUGCAUACUUUGUGCCAUUGACAUUUUUCUCUUAUUACUUUGUCUAGAGGAGUUGGCAAGUACUGUUGCUGAGUUGGAAGAAAGCAAUCGUAAACUGGCUAUCCUUAGGGCAGAAAAAGAUCCAAGCCAAGGCACUCCUUUGCUUUUUCCUACCUUAGGAAAUAAGCAUGCUGCUGGAGAUAAGACCAGAGAUAAGCAAAAAGAACUGCAAGAUCUGGAGGCUACUUUGAAGGAAUUGAUGGUAAUUGAUAUAAAAAAACCUGACAUUUAUAUGCUUGCGGUAUCUUAUAAUUUAGUGCAAAUUUUAUGUUUUUCCUCCCUUUUUGACCAGGAUUUACAUUCAAAACGAUUAGUUGAAAUUAAAAAUUUGCACGAAGAGAGAAUUGCAAUUCUGAAAAAGUUAGCAUGUUUUCAGGUUCGUUUAUCUUUCUUCUUAUCCAAGUUUUUUUAUUUGUUAUAAUGCUUCUUUCCCGCUUAGAAGGAUUUAUUGUACACAAUAUAUGAUUACCAGAAUACUUUGAUGGAUAUCAAGAGUAUAUCUUCAUCCAAAGCUUUCCAGCUACUGAAUGAUCAAUUGCAAAAGUCAAAAGUUGAAAUGGACCAAUAUCAGACAUCAUUGGAGAAAUUACAGGUGGUUACUGGUCAGUAGAUAUAUUAGCUUAUAUUAAUGGGAUGUUUUAGUGACUCAUUUUGUUGUGCUGAUGUUCUUUUUUCAAAUUUCUUUAUUUUAGGUUGAAAAGGACAACUUCAUUUGGCAUGAAAGAGAAGUGAAUAUGAAAGUUGAUCUAGCUGAUAUUUCUCAAAGAGUCGCAGCAUAUUCUGAGUCCAAACUUGCGGAGUUAGAGAAAGGAAUACAAAAUCUAGCUGAUGAAAAGAUUUUGAUGGAGACCAAGCUUGAGGAGGCUUCUAGAGAACAAGGUAUUUUUGCUUAGUUGUUAGCUUCUACUCCAGAGCCUAUUUUCCUUUCAUUUAGCUAUUUACUAAUCUCUUUUGAGGAGCAAAUUUACUUUUCAGGUAGGAAGCAAGUCAUCUCGGAGUUCAAAGCACUUGUAGCAUCACUACCUAAGGACAUGGGUAUUAUGCAAAGUAAAAUUACUAAAUAUAAGGAAGCUGCCUCAGAUCUGCAUUCUUUGCGAGCAGAAGUACAAUCUCUUUCUACUAUGUUGAGCCGGAAGGUAAGAUUUGGGUGAGAGGCGAUACUCAAAACUAUUUACUUCUAUAUCAGUUCGCCUCAAUAGGCCCAAGGAAGGAGUCAAACCAUUUCUUUUACACAGGAAAUUGAAUUGGCAUCUUUAUCUGGGAGAUCUGCUAACAGCAUCUCUGAAGUGAAGAGAUUGCAAGAUGCUGUACUCUCUCUCUCUCUCUCUCUCUCUCUCUCUCUCUCUCUCUCUCUAAAUGAAAAAUUGGAAUUAUUUAAAAACUUUAAAAUUUUAAAUUAUUAAAUCUUUUCUUUUACACUGUAUCAUAAUUUUUUUAUUUGUAAUAUUAAAUUAUUGUUUUAACGACCUUAUCAAACUACAUUGUACAAUAUCUUAUCAUAAGUUUCUCCAUUUGAGAAAAAAAAUUUACAUGCAUAUGCUAUAAUCAUGACUUGAUUUUUCAGUCAAUCUUGAAUUCCCCAGUGAUAAUUGUCUUACAUACUUUUCAAAUAAAGAAAAGUAAAUGAUCUAUAAUUUUUAUAACCUUCGAAUUUGAAAUAAACGAUCUUCUUAUUUAGAUAUGCUAUUUUGUGGCUAAGACAUGGAGGAUUUGCUUGGUAGGAAUGCUUUCCAGUCGAUUCUAACUAGUGGGAUUGGCUUCCAGUGUACAGUUAUACAUGCUAACAAAUACUACAUGAUUCUAGAAAAUGUAGUGUUUCUUCAGCAUACUAUUUCAUGAAAAAUAAUCUGUGAGAUAUUCAUGCCUUUUCUUUCAACUAUGCGAGACUUUUAAGCGAGGCUGCUCUCUAGUCAUAUAUGAUGGAUAGUUGAUUUGGGCCUUGGGGUGGCUAGCAUAUUUAGGGUGCUAUCAAUCUAGUUUUAUUCAAGUGUAACUUUUCUUGCCAGCCAAUAUCAGCUGUCCCUGCAUUGAGUUGAUACUAUGACAAAAUCCUUGCCACUUUUUUCCUUUUUUUUUUCUUUUUUCUUUUUUUUUUUGUUGAUGCUAGUUUUAGCUUCACUUUUAUAUCUCCUUUCGUGGUAUUUGUCUUGCAUUUUUUUUUCCCUCCCCAUGUCUAUGGUUUCUUCUUAUGCAUGAAGAUCAGGCCUUUUCCAUAAUAAUAGGUUGUCCCAUAAAGAUAAUAUUGUCCGGUUAUGAUGUCUUUUCUCUUUUUUUAAUUACAAAUUUGUAAUGUCAUCUCUUAUUAUUUUAGGUAUUGCUCUAAGAAUUGAAAAUUACAUUGACAAAAGAUGCAUGCUAGUUGCCUUUUUUUUCCCCUAAUGGUACACCUGGGGUAGUUGUCAAUUCAUUAUGCAUGAAGAGAAGAAUUAUAGUUGAAAAGUAUUAUAGUUGUUUAUAUUCCUUUAUGUACCUUCAUUGUAUGAGUAAUCAUCUUUUACAUGUUUGUGGCUGGCCUUUGCCUCUUUGCAUGUCAUUAUAUGCUGAAGCUGCUUAAUUGUAAACAGAAGCUUCUAAUUUUGCAGGUCCGAGAUAUCAGACAGACUAACAAGGAGCUGAAGCUAUUUCUGGAGAUGUAUAGACGUGAAUCAACAGAUUCCAGGUAGUAAGCUAUUAUCCUUUUUGUAUAAGCCAAUUGAAGCAUUUCAUAAUUUUGUUUCUUUUAGGACAGUUCUUCGAGAUUCUUUUUGGUAGACUGUAUUGCAGUUUGUUGAAUUAUGCUUGGAGCUCUGUGACACAUGCUCUGUGGUAAUUUCUGCUAGUUUAUUGUUUUGCUCAUGACAGUACAAUUUAUUGUGUGUCCUAUCUUAUUUUAUUUGCGCAGCUAUUUGAUGUUUACUGUUGAAUUGUAAGGAAAUAGUGCAUCAUAGUACAGGGAAGAAAAAUGUGUUUAUUUUUGUAUAUUGACUAGCAGUGGCUGACAUAAUGGGACGAGUCAGUUCAGAUUUCUGAUGACAGUAUACAGAGUGGUAAUGAACAGUUGCUAAUUUGGUGGAAUGUGUGAUUUGGCUGAAAAUUGACAACAAAAAUAAAUUUUUGCACUUGUCUUGUCAGUGUGAUGUACUUUGUUCUCACUGUUGUGUGAUGAGUCAUUAUUUUCUGAGAUGGCAACAUCCACAUUGUGUAGUGUGCUAUUAUAAUUAGUUAUGACUACUGCUGUACAGUCAUUUCGUAGGUGAAAUAGAGUGUUAUGUAGCAUAUAGGUGAUGUUCGAACACGAUGAUUUGGAGUCCUAAAUAAUAUGUCCAACCCUGUGUCUGCAUAAUGGUGGCAUAACUGACAUUGUGAAAGAAGCAUAAUUCCCCUGUGGUGUGCUGUAAUCUAUAGUUAGAUUCUUUUAUUUGUUUGUGGUUUGUUUUACUUGGUCGAAGAAGAGAGAGAGAAGGAGAGAAGUAUGGAUUUUAUCCAAAUAUGGCUAGUCAUGUCAUGGUUGUGUCUGUUUCAGUCAGUUUUGAUAUCAUAUCUACUAGAGAAUUUUCUGUUAAUUAAAUGACUAACAGAGUUUCAACAAUUAAUACUCUUGUUAUUAACUCUUUCAUUUUGUUUGUUUUGGAUUUUUUAUAGCGCCCUUAGGGAAAGUUCUCUCUAAAGCAAAAGCUGCUGCAAUUCCAUAAAAUUCUGCAAAUACUAUUCUCUUGGUUUGAUUUCCAGAUAUUUAGUAGGACCUUGGUCACCAUUUUAUUGGAAUCUAAAUUUGUUUCUUUGAGUUGACUCUAUGCUAGCGAUCAAUCGGAUUAUGUUUUCAUGGAAAGUUUUAUGGCUGAGGAGCGCUAGGUGAAAGGUCCGGUCAUUAGAUAGAAUCUGAGAACCUUCCCCUUCUCUUUACUGCUUCCUCACCACUCAAUAGAAUGACUUGUCAACUUUCAAGUUGAAUAGUUCUGCUAUGACUUGCUUUCUCGAGUGUAGAUGGUUGAUUUUAUAUUCUAAGUGCCUUUCACUGAAUUAGAGUUUUCAGUCUAUGUAAAAUCCAAGAUCAGUUAGUUAAUCUAAUCUUGCUGUUUGACUCAUAAGUGAGAAUUUUUGUCUUUUGAAUAUUGACAUCUUAUAUGACUGCUUCAGCUUAUGUGUCUUCAAGUUUAUCAUUCUUCUCUGCUUCCGGAUUUGCUGUAAAUAGUUUUAUCAUGGCAGGGAUGUAAUGGAAUCUCGAGAUAGAGAAUACAAGGCAUGGGCUGUUGUUCAGUGUCUUAAAUCCUCUCUAGAUGAACACAAAUUGGAGUUGCGUGUCAAAGAAGCCAAUGAAGCUGAAGCAGUAUCCCAGCAAAGAUUAGCUGCUGCUGAAGCUGAGAUUGCUGAAUUGAGACAGAAAUUGGAGGCUGCUGGAAGGUAUUUAACUAUUUUCUUCAGAAUUCAUAGGGAGUUCUCCAGUUGCUUUGCCUCAACUAAUAGUUACUUGUCUGUACGAUUUCUCAUUCUCAAAGGUGAAUCCUUAUAGAGUUGUUCACUUUUACCUUCUUUAAGAGUUAAGAGACUUUUUAUUUAAGAGAAUCCUGAUGAUAUGGCCAUUGUAUUCCUUCUACGCAGGGAUAUAUGUAGAUUUUCGGAGACUUUGGAAUCUAAACAUGAAGAAGGCAAUGCCUACCUAUCUGAAAUUGAGGUCUGAGUGUUCUUUCAUGAGAUAAUUUUAUGGCUAAAUAACAUGAACAAUCCCUGCACUUCACUAGAAUGACUAGUUGUAGGUCCAGGUCCCGAAUUUUGGGAUAAAUUUCUGAAAUUCACGGGAGACAUCAUUCUUCAUCAGAGCAUUCUAAAUUGUCAGCUUAGUGCGCAAAUUUACUUAACUCUUGGUUCUUUAUGGUUUAUAGAAUGCAUCUGAACUUUGCAAUGAUCUGAACUUUUGAACCUGUUUGAGAUAAGAGUGAAGUACAAAGUUGGAAUUGAAGCAAUUUGAAAUUGUAUGAGGGUAAUUGAGGUAGGGGUGAAAGUGCACUGGUGGUUUAUGUUGUUUGGCCUAAUUCUUUAUACAACAACUGUUAAGUAUUGUAAGUGUUCAGACUAUGCAUUGGUUUUUUUUUUUUUCCAGAGCAUUGGACAAGCAUAUGAAGAUAUGCAAACUCAGAAUCAACACUUGUUGCAACAAAUUACAGAGAGAGAUGAUUACAACAUAAAGGUACUUUUCUAGUGGAUGUUUCGGGUUUGUUAUGUAGUUUGCAAGUUGUUCAUUGUACAUCUAUGUGUUGCCAUGCUAUUAUAGCCAUCAUUGUGCUGACUGUUGAGUGGUUGAAAGAGAUACUUGUAUCUGAACUUGAGUGGUUAAAGGACAGUCAUAUGCUAAAGCAGUUAUAAAUUUGAUGGAAAUUGGAACCGAGCGGUUGAAAUUGGUAGAUUGCUAAUGCGGUGUAACUUUUUAAAGUUCAGGUGUUGUUUUUUUAAUCAUGACAAUAUUUGUGGAAAUCUAACAUACUUUUCCAGAAAUAGACUAAACUGUUUUGAUUUAUCAAUGAGCUUGUAAGGUGCUUUUUGAGUCACGUGCUUAAUUUCUUCUUCAUUUGGGCACUUUAUUCCAAACUCUCCACUUGUUAAACAGUUGCGAUGCUGCUUUAGUAGUGUGUAGUGUUCAGUGUAGAAUAUCAGCUCAUUCUCUUGUUGCUAAUGCAGCUUGUUAUGGAGACUCUUACAGCUAGGCAAGCGCUGGAUGCGCUGCGCUUUGAAGUGCAAACCUUGGAUAAAAAGUUGCAGCAUGCAAACUCAUUGGUGGAUUUGUAUAAUGUAAAAACUUUGCGAUUAGAUGAUCAGGCAAGGAAAAGGGCAUCUUCUAUGAAAAGAGCUAAUAAUUCUAAAAUAUUGGAAUAAUAAUUAUGUACUUUUGCAGUUGAAAGUUUGGUCCGACCAAGCUGGGAAGCUUGCUGAGGAAGGGUGGCAGAACUCUGUUUCUUUGGCCAAUGCUCAAAGGAGGGUAGUGGAUGUACAAAGCGAGUCUCAGCAAUUAAGGCAGUCAACAGAUGCUAUGCAAGCCAAGGCUGAGAGGAGCCGAUUAGAUGUUGCCGAGUUGCUUGUAGAACUGGAGAAGGAGAGGUAGUCGAACUUCCUUUUGUUUCUUUUCUUUGGAAAAAAUUUUGGCGCUUGUGUUAUCCUCUUGAAGUUCACAGAGUAUGUUAUUACAAACCAGGUUUAAUAAGAAGAGAAUUGAGGAGGGAUUAGAUAUAAUGACAAGGAAAGCUACCAGUCUUAGAGCUGAAACUGAGCGCUCGACAAUCCUGCAAAAGCUUCGACAGGAAAUUAAAGAAUAUAGGGGGAUACUGAAAUGUGGUAUCUGUCAUGAUCAUCAGAAAGAGGUGAUUAUUUAGUUCUUAAUCCAAAUUUGUUUAGGACUUUAGGCCAAAAAAUGGGGGUCCAUUUGAUUCGUUUCUUUUUAAUCAGUCUGGUAUUACAUUCUUGUUCGCAAGCCCUUGACAUAACUUAUCUCCCUGCUGUUUAGGUUGUUAUUGCCAAGUGCUACCAUUUGUUCUGCCACCAUUGUGUUCAAAAGACACUUGAGAGCAGGCAUAGGAAAUGCCCUACCUGUGGAUCAAGCUUUGGGCCUAAUGAUGUCAAACCUAUCUACAUAUGAAGCAGGGUAUAUGCUAGUUUUGCUGAAGAUGGACACCAAUGGCUCAAUGAUGCUACACAAGAUAAGUUCUCUGAACACACAAGAGACUUGCUUGUAAUGCUUUGAUUUAGUUUUGUGUAACAUAUUGUAGGAAGGAUUAACUGGGUAGCGGAUUGCCUACCAAAGUAGGUUUUCUGGACAUUAUUAUUGGACUAGUGUUUAGUGUAUAGAUAGAUCUCUUUGGGCAUGGUUUUUUGCUCAUCUUUGUAAAGUCCAAUGAUCGAUUAUCAGGCCGGUCGUCCUUAUCCGUUUGAUUAUUUGAUUAUCCAGUGAAGAGCCCCACCAGUUCCGUUCAUCAAGUUUACUUUGUACACUAUAUAUUUUGUCUUAAUUAGUUAAUAAGAUAGCAUAGGUUGUUUUGGAGAAUUCUUCCAACUUGUACCCUGUAUUUUUCUUGAAGUGGAUGGCAAUAGUGAAAUUCCAAUUGUUUUGCAUGAUUUAACCUUUUUUGUCCUUUUCUUUAUGAUGUAAGGAGGUCACCUAGAUGCUUUUAAGGUCUCUUAUCUGGUAUGCUAUGCCACGCACAAAAUUGAGUAUGAAGAGGUACUUGUAGAUACUUAAAUCUUCUGCUGAGAAUCGGAACUUUAAUGUGAUUGGUAGUAAAAUGGCUCUUCUACACCACUUGUUCCAUCCUGCUGGUAUUUAUUGUCUAGCUUCAAUGACCAUGGAUAGAGAGGAUCAUGUAGAUCUUUCAUAGUCCAGGGGCUUUUCUGGUGAUGCAAGUGUCCUUCAAAAACUGUUAAAUCAGAAAGGAUAGCAGGCUACCUCUUUGGCGUUAGCGUUCCUGUGUAACAAAGUGAAUGGCAACUGCCCCUGGAUCCUCUAGAAGUCUAGAUGAUUGCUGAAAUUCACUCUUGACGUGAUAUAGAGUUCAAAAUGCUGCUGGUGAUGUGCUAAUUUUACCCAAUCUUCUCGAACCCAGGAGUAAAAAAAAGAUGUAGGUGAUGCCGACUCUGUUUGUGGAUUUUUGUUGGUAAACUGUUGUGCGAAGGUGGUGUAGAGUGUUUCGAGAGCUAGUGGAUGUUUUAUGGCAAACUGUUUGUACAGUUAGGCUGUUUUAUACUGUUAAGGCCCCAUAUGAUUCUGGCGUUUAGUGCUGGAAAAAUAAGAAUUGCUCCGAAGCUAGAUGAGUGGGUAAUUACGCUUUUUGAAGUCAUCCAUAAACAUAUUGAGCGUACUUGAAUUGCUGAUUUAUAGUUUGAAUCUCAAUCAUGUUGUUUUGUUUGGAAUAUCGUACUAAGUAGGAGAAAUAAAUUAUAACGAAUUUGCACAUUUAAUUUAUUUUUUCACUAGUUUCAAAAUACAAGCGCACACAGCUUAAAGCCUAAGGGGGGUCCCCCCCCCAAAAAAAACAAAAAAAGAUAAAGGCAGACAAAAUUGAAGUUCCAGAAACUAUGGAGUUUCGAUAAUCCAUCAUAUGCCCAGACCUUUAAGUCCCAUUUUCCUUCAAAAUAAUAUUACACAAUUGCUGACAAACUAAUAUUUAAUGAGAAACAUCAGAAGCAGUUUUCACUUUGCAUGAGAGAAUGCUGGUCAUAUGAUAUAGCACUCCUUGCAACUUGACAGAUGCAAUGUCAGCCAAGAGCAUUCAAUCGAAUUUUAGAACUAGAGAAGUUUAAUGUUUCAUGUCCAUAAACAUAAACUCUAUCCCAUCCCUAAAAACAGUCAACACGAAGCUACUUCGCAACCAACAUUUAACUGCUUAAUCAGGCAUUGAUGACUAUACAGUAUGUACAGAGGCUUAACAAGAAGAUAGUUAAAACUCUUAAAGAACGUCCAGAUCCAUAGCUGCCCGCCCCAAAUUCGACCUGCUUCAAACAGAAAUAUACUACGGUCAUAAUUCACAACUGCUUGCUUAGGUUGUCAAUUCAGUGUACGAAUGAUUAAAUGGUGCAAAAAUGGUGCAAAAAUGAAGUGACGUAACACCUCAUCCACCAUUUAGUUACUAAACUUCGGAAAAUAAUGGGGAAAGAAGACUCAAGAUGGUUAAAAAGAAGUUAUGGCUAGGCAAUAAGUAUGAAUAUAUAUUCAGUAAUAUAACCAUCAAUAAGUUGAAUUGGCAAGGUGCAUACCUUUUAUCAGGUACUUGUACUACCAAGAUCAAAGUCCAUGGUGUAGUCGUACUCAAUAGUUGGUAUAACUGAAGCCAUGAAUUUUAAGAACAAGAAAAGAUACCUGCAGGAUAUGUGGUAAAGCAGUUAUUUAGAGCAGAAAUAAUCUCUAUAAGCUUACAAUUUAUUAUAUUUUAGCACCUAGAGAGGACGGUGACGUAGUUGAACAGAGACAAGCAAAACAUUCCAGAGAAAUGUUAAAAAUUGUUACCUAUUUAUUAAAGUCAUAGUAAAGGCAAGACAGGCAAAGAAAUUAUGUGCAAUAAAAAGAAUUACUUGUCAACUUCUGGUUCCACUCCUCGUGACAUCAAAACAUCUAUUAUCUUUUUCAUCACGGCCCCAUGUCGACACGGAUGAACCGAUGCAUGCUUUCCUGGCAAGUGAGGAUGAUCUUCAAUUGUCACCUGUAAUUUUAGUACAAUAACUUAGUCACGCAUUGAAGCUGUGGAAUUUUAGUUAAAAGUAUUUUUACAGAGCAAAUAAAAAGUAACAAUUUCAGGAUUACAAACUUCUAAAGCCAUAUCCAAGAGAAAACUGGAACCAGACACAAAAAUGCAAAUUUGAACGUGCUCCUUCAGAAAUAGCUCAUUGCACAUAGGACUUUUUGGUACACUACAGACCAAAUAAAACUGGCAAAACCUGAACAACAUUCGAUUUAAUGACCAUGAAUCAAACAUGAUUGUCACAUACACUUUUUUCACUCGACAUUUUUGUACAAUUAUUCUUUCCCUCCUUGCAACUCAUAAUAAACAUAGACAUGCAUCUCUUUAUGCAACUCUUCUCUUAUCUAUCGGAAAUGCUCUUUCUCCACCCAACUAUCAUUCUCUCAAUCUUUAUAAUUUGGUCAAAGAGAAAAACCAACCAAAAUCAAUCACACAUAAGUGGUUUUUUUUUUGUGUGUGUUUGGUUGGGUGGGUGGGGGGUUGUGGUUUGACCUAUUUCAACCUCUAUGGAUCAUACCCGUUGCAUGCAAUUUUAUAACUUGUCAAUUACAAUGCAGAGCUUCCCGAUGGCAAGUAAUAGGGAAGAUUUAUGAAAAUAACAUCCAAGAAUUAAAUCAAGUCAACAAAAUUUUCCAGCUUAAUUAUCAUGUCUAUUUAAAUGGCAAUUUGAAAAUUUGAAAGCAAGUGGAAGGUAAGACAUUACAGUUUUGCGGGCAUGGUCUUGGCUGACAUCUUCGAGUACAAGCUCUGGUUGUAGAGGCAUUCUCGACUGCAAGAGUCAAUUUUAUAAGUUGUUGAGACACCAUCAAACUGAGAGCACACUAAUUAAAGCAGCCAUUUUCACAUAUUCAUUAUGGGAAUGCACCAGUAAAAAUCACAUACUAAUAUAAUGCCAAAGGCAUUGGACCACAUCAUCUCAAGCUGCGAAUGGCAUAAGUAUAUUUGUUUUCUGACCAGUAAAUCAAAUGAAACCUAAGGCAAUACUGGAAAACGACCAAAUGAGAAAAUAGCUAUGUUUCCCUUUGAAUUUGGAAGAUCCUAAUUACAACUUUGGUACCUUCAUCACCACACAAUAAAAAGUAAAAGAACACAGUCAAACAAGGAAAGCAAAUCGGACGGUUUAGGAUUAACCAAACAAAUUACAAUAUAGAAAAUCAUAUUAGUAAAAGCUGCUUGUCUCAAAAAGGUUCUAAUCAUAAUGCGAGAACUGGGAGCAAUCUUAAACAGAUCAGAGGUGACAUUACAUUGGACAUAUUUUGUUCAGUCUGCUAGUUCACAUCUGAGAAAAGAACGAUAUCCAACAAUUAUUUAAGAAAUUAGUUCACAUUUUGCACAAUGAGUUCAAAAAGAGAAAAUGGUAUUAAGUAAAGUGGCAUAACCUCAUCAUAUCCAGUAAGCCACACACGAGGAGUUUGGUAAUAUUUGUCAUACCUGCAGUAGGAUAGUAUCUUAGGCUGCUGGACGAUUAAUGUAAUAAAGACACUAUUUCAAAAGUUACAGUCACGUAAAAGAAGGACGAAUGAAUAGUAGGCAAGCCUAAAUCAAGCUAGCAUGGGGAUCACAUUAAUGAGCAAACUAUCUGGACCCUAUUGAAUGAUAAAAUUCCCCUGAUCUUUAAAUAGCUAUUAGACAACCAUGAAGAGGCAUGAGAGAUUGUAGUAUACAUGAUACUGAAGCUUACAAAAGAAAUGCCACAAAAGGACUGAUGUUCCAGUGAAUGAUCAUAUACUGCAUCAAGCAGGAUGCAAAACCAAUAAGUGGUAAUCAAUAUAAAGACUGAAGAUAGGUUGUUAGUUCGCCUUCGAGACGAAAUACAAUAAAUAAGAAUCUGCUUUGCUAUUCAUGAUACUAUUGAUAAUAAAAAGAAAAAAAAGAGAGUUAGGCAAUGUGAUCCAAAAAGCAUUUCCACACAAAGAGCUGGUUAAGCUUUGCCAAAGCUUGGCCACCUGAUUCUAUAAUUCCAAUUUGGCAGGCAUUUGCUUUUUGAGUUGUUCACUUUUCUAUUAUUGGCCAGUGAGGCUUGCUAGGCUGCAACUCACAUUUGUCAGUUAUAAGCCAGAUGGGCUACUAUGCUAUCUAGAUAUGCCAUCUAGAUCUGCUUAUACAGAGCACCAUAGAUUUGGACCGAUUUCAAAGAGUCAAAUGAUUACUUAUGGCAAAUAAUAGGCUACAAUUACUAUAAAACAACAAAGGUACAUAGGCACCUCAAUGUUGGCCCAAGGAUCAAUGUCUUCUCUUAUACCAAUUUUUUCUAUAAUCUCAAUCUUUAUGCAUAAUAUUGGCAUUAAUUGGCAUAAAAUAGCUGUUCCCACAUGUGCAAAUGCAAAUGCAAAUGCUACUCUGCAACAAUUUCCCACUAGGAAAUGCAAAUGAUUAAAAACCGUAAUUUUCAUUCAGUCUUAGCAUAUAAUGCCAGUAAAACUCAUGUGUCUGUUCAAAAGUUAACAAUGUAAGUUAAAAUGUAAAUGCAUCUUACCCAUUUCUAAAACAUUAUUAAAGCAGAUGGAGAAAAUUAAAUGAGACAUGAAAAGGAAAUCAAGAUAACUUUUUUUUCUCUUUCAUAAGAAGAACAGUCUAAGGUUCAGAUAUUGGUACUUACGUAAUACUAACAUCAUAUGUCCGUGUUCGGAGGAUGUUAUCAUCCUCGGGUUCAUGUGCAACAAAAUAUGAGGGUUGGAGGGUGGCCUGCAAUUAUACAAAAAAAAAAAAUAUAUAGUAAAUACAGAAAAAAGGAUGUAGAAUUUGACUGAGUGCUUAAAAUUAGUAGUUAGUAAUUGACAUAAAAGCCAACUAAGAAGAGUUGAAGAUUGUUAGAAGCUCAGAGAAGUGUUAAGGAGUUGUUGAUUGAAUGAAAGAAUAUGAGCAGCUCCAGAGAAAUGUUGAUUUACUUUUCAAUUUGUAAACUACAAUCAAAUUGGGAUAUCACAGUCAGUAUUAUCUAAUAAAGAUGUAAAUACUCCACUUAGCUCAGCUCGACCUUAAUCCACCAUGAUGUUUGGUUUGCUAAUAAAUCCCUAAACUAAGUGGCAUUCCUUAGGGUCACGUGCAAUCUAGUUAUACUCCAUGGGCCUAUCAGAAAUUCCCCUUACAGUUACUGUAACUAGCAUAGUUAAUUAAAACACAAAUAUGUGCCAUAUUCAUCUACGCCGGUAUUGCAGUAAACCACAACAAGAAACUCCAACCUCUGAAGCAAUUUCCCAUUGCAACUAGAAGAAAAUGUGUACAUCACAUCAAUGCAGCAACUGAAACAACAAAGUGUUUAACAUAUAUAGUUAAAAAUAGAAACACGAACACCUACAGGAUCAGUCUCAACAAGAUUUUCGGAAUUUUCAAAGUCGGCCAUGUCAGGUAUUUCUUCUUCCUCCUCGCCGCCAAAGUACGAAGGAAUGGACUGAACAACCUUCCCUUUGCUUAUCUCCAGUGUAUCAAUGGAGGGCAAAUUCUCCUCCUCAUCGCCUUUAGCUUCUAAUAAUCCAAAGCCGACAAAUCAUAAGCUCAAAAAGGCCAAAUUGGCAUCAAAUAGUGAAAACUACACAGCAAAGCAAAUAACACCUUUCGGCUUCCCAUGUGUCGCGAGCCAUCCUUCAUUAUCAUCAUCAUCAGCACCGUCGAGCAGAUAUUCGCCUCCUCCGGCCUCGUAUUCUUCCUCCACCGAGAUCGCCCGCCUCAGACAAGGCACUGAUUGAUAACACAUAGAAUCAAAUCAAUUAUUCUUGCAUAACAGCACCAAUUGCGCGAGGAAUUAGGGUUUCGAGAGUCGUAUACCGUUCCUCGUUAUCAGAUACUGCUUAUCGGCGGGGAGAUACGACUUCCUCUUGCUGGGAUCGCCCGCCUCCCUAUACAAAUCCAAAGAUCGGUCGAUCGAUCGAUCGAUCCAUCGAUUAAGGGAAACAAACAAAGGGAUUUUGGAUUGGGGGAAAAGGGAUUAAUAGGGUGAGGGGAUCGAACCAAGACCAGGUAGGGCAUUUGGAGACGAGGUUAUCGCCCGCGAGGACGAACUCGGAGACGCUGAGGACGCCCUUCUCCUUGAAGGCGGAGACCGUGCGGGGGCCCGUGAUGCGCUCCACCGUCCCUUUGAAGGCUUCGUGAAUCUUCUGCGACAACACCAUCGUUCUCCUUCGCGCUAUUCACCUCUCACCUCUUCUUCUCAAUAAAUAGAUCGAGAGAGAGAGAGAGAUAGCGCGGAGGAGAAGGGGAAAAAGUGUGCAGCAAAAACGAAGGAAUAUGUUUGGAUACCUCUUGCGCUUACGAUUCCUUUUCUUUUUAUGUUUUUUCGCGCUUGCCGGUGAGAGGGGCAAUUGGUAACCUACAAAGCCGAUCCGAUCCGAAACCGACCCGAUUAAAUAAUAAGAGCGUUAAUCCGAGUACUAGUCGGGGUUAUGCAUGGGGCCCACGUGUUUUAGGGCAUUAAUCCUAAUCCUAGUCGAACUAGUUAUGGGGUCCACGUGAAUGGGUUAAUCCGUUCGGUCGGAGAAAGUCUACACUACAGAUCACAUUAUUUGUACACAAUUAAUUAUACCUUUUCUUUUUAAAAUGUACAAUAAAGAUGUUUUAUUAAAAAAAUAUUAUGCGGUAGAUGAACUUCCAGAAAAAUAAUUUCGUUAGUUGGAAAAAUUACGUCACCUUAUAUCACUUUCAUAAUUUUAACUUUGUUGCUCGAUAGAUGGACUUAUUAUAUGUCCCGGUGACAGCGUGGUAGAUGUGAUUUUUUUAUAAAAAAUAUUUUUUUAAUAAAAGACCAAAUUUUAUUUAAAAUUGAAAUGCCAUUUAUAAUCUGAAAUACAAUAGAUAGAAAGUUUACAUUCCUUAUGGUUUUGCAAAAGUUUUAUGAGACCGGCAUUGGUGAUCUAUUUAAUUACUAGUUGUUUUUAGCACAAAUGACAAAAGAUUUAAUGUUUAAUAUACGAGAUUUAAAAUUCAAAAUAUAAUUAUUUUAUAUUUUUAAUUAAUUUUUUAAAAAAUAAACGAAAUGCUGCUUUUCCUAAAAAAAAUGCCAGAAAAUCAGCUGCAUAGUUAGUUGUUCAAUUUACAUGUUUUAACAUAAAAUGGAAAAUAUAUUAUUUAUAGUCCCAAAAAUAUAAGCAAUAUGAGCUUUUCAAAAACUACGGUGGAUCAAAUCUUCUACUAGAUUCAACAAUUUUGAGCAAUCCGAUUCUAAUUGAACUCAAAUAAAUCUUCUCCGAGUUGUCUCAUUUGAAACCUCCAAUGCCGCUUUAAACUAUACCUCCAAUGCAUUGUGGCCGUUUCUCAUUGAGCCUUCAGCAACUAAAGUAUUAUACUCACAAGGUCUAGCCUCUCUCAGAUUAUUUUGCGUUAAAAUAGAGUGAACUACAUCAUGAAUUUUUUACUUUGGAAACGUUUUAAUUUUCAUACUUAGUCCCAAGUAUAUAUUAGUUGCUAUAAUCAAGUAUUUUAUCUCAAAAAAAUUCGGUGACUCAAGUGGUAAUUGCGAUAUGAUGCAUGCUAAUUAGCACAAAGAGAAGUCCUGUUAUAUGAGAACUUUUUUCGGAGUUAACAAUAUUUUUAACAGAAAAAACUUAAUUAAGAUAAUAAUAAUAAUAAUUAUAAUUAUUAAUAUGAAGUGGCAAUUUAUUAAAAAUAAAAACAAGGACUGAAAUUAAAAAGCCAUGGAAGUCGGGAACUGGCACGUGCGUUUCGAAGAUUGGAACGUGGAAUGGCACGUGCCUUUUUAACCGUUAGUGCGUGUACCCUUCGCCGCAAGUACGAGCGUCGCGUCUCCUCCCCUGCCUAUAAAAGGCCCAGCGACGAGUGCUCCUGUUCAUUUCGCGAGCAGAGAGAAAACGUUGUCUGCUGCGAGUAAUGGAAGGCGAAGGUGGAGGUGGAGAUCGGUGGGAGCCUCCACAGGGCGAGAGAAGUAAGAUCUCUCCUCUCUCUCCCCUUCUUCUCCUCCUCCUCUCCUCCUCCUCUCCUUAUCUUUCUCUUUCCAGAGUCGUCUUCUCCGUCGUACUUGUUUCCGAUCUUGCAUUUGAACGCAAGAACUGGAGGGAAUCUAGGGCUUCCAUCCGAUCUAGGGUUUCUUCGAUCUAUUGUUCAUCUCUAGAUCUCUUCUUGAGAUUAUAUAGUGAAGGGCCGUUAUGAUCGUUGAUAUCUCGAUGUCGUGUUUAAUAAGGGGAAAUCAGCUUCGAUCGAACAAAGAAACCCUACGAUCGGGGAAAUCAGUUUCGAUCGAACAAAGAAACCCUACAAUCGUUGAUCUCCUGAUCCUCUCUUUAUUGUAAUCGGUUUCAAUUCGCACUAGAAUUCUAAUGUUGUGUUUAACUUUUUAUGUUGUUUCAAUUUAGCGUGGAACGACUGCAAUGAUCGUUGAUCUUUCAACGCCUAGUUUUGGAUGAUCAAAUCCGUUUCAAUCCAGCUUAGCGUUUAUACGUUUAAUGACCUAUGGAGGUGAUGAAAUUGAUUUCGAUCCUGUUGCAUAGCUUAUGUUUAGGUCCUUUUUUAAGACAAGCUUAAAAGCGCUGGAAACCGCUGCAACGAUCUCUGAUCUCUUGCUCCCUCGUUUUGGAUGGUGAAAUCUUGCUUGCUUCCUUGUUUGUUUUCGUCCACGAAGUUGCCAAAUCUCCAUUGAAGAGCUGAUGCUGUGUAUUUCUAUACUAGCUGGUCAUUGUAUCUUCUGAUGAUGUAUGUACACAACAACAAUUCAUAAACAAUUGCACGCUUCAGGUAAUAAACAUUACCCUCGAAUCAAUUUUGAGAGGGUGGUGGCUCAAAAUCAUUUUGGUUUUCUUGUAUUACAAGUUCCUGUUGACAGUACAACUUUGAUGUCUAUCAAAGGUCCUGUUAAUUAUAGGCGUGUGCAAUGGCAGAUAUGGCGAUGGCAGGUAUUUUGUGGGAGUGAGUGUGACAUUUAUCUUAUGCUAUCUCUAUAUUCAUUAUCUUUCUAGUUAUUCAUAUGCUAUUUGUUUUAAUGAAUCUUUUAUGUGUGUUAAAGUUUUAUAACAGAAACCGUAUUCAUGCAUCAAUUAGUGUGACAAUUCAUUAGCAGAGUGUAUCAAUGAUUCUAUAUUAGAUACCUAUCCUUACCACUCAUCACUGUCAUCAUUGUACAUAUUGACUAGCCAGAAUUGAUCGAUGAAAUACCUAAAAACUUUCAAAUUGUUAGCUAAGAUGAGUUUGAAUAAUAAGCUAUAAAGUCAAUACUUGAGAAGUAUUCAUGAAUACAUAGGAGUGAAUACGUGGGAGAAGGGUGUAUCAUAACUCUUGAUCUUUAAAUCAAAAGACUGAAUGUCUAAAUUAUCUAUUGUUUUGUGUGCGCUAAAUUUGGACGAUGAUAUUUUAGUCAAUUGUCGAAUGGAUUGCAGUUAGUAAUUUUGUUGCUCAUCAUUUCUAGGUUUGAUUGCUCCUUUGUCUUUUUCUGCAGGUGUUAAUUUUGAUUUCAGCAACGGAGCUGCUGAUUCCCUUUCAGAGAGCUGCUGCUGCUGCGUAUAUUCUAAACAAGCUAAUUUCCUUUCUUAUAUUCUUCCUAGGAUGUUGAUAUGUAUAAAAUUGCAAUUCAAGAACAGUUGCACCAUCCAGGUAAUAAACAUCACCCUAAAGUGUACAUGUUCUUUCAUUUGCAAGAGAUGGGUAGCACAGUUAGGAGGACUGUUUGUUUUGAAGUGGUGCUGAUGGUUCUUGCGUGAAUGUGUACCAGGACUUUGACUUGUGGCUUUUUGCUGAUUAUUAAGAUAAGGGGCUUAAUAGAUUUAGGCAUAUUACCUUCAAAAGAAUGAUGUUAUUUAUGUCUAAACUCUAUAUUUUGUCACUUAGAUCACCUAGGUACAUCAAAAUGGAAGAGUUUUUCUGUUUGUGCUUCCAUACCAACAUUAAAUUGUUUGACUAUAUCUAAUUGUAAUUCAGAACACAUAUUGUCUUGAUUCUCUUGAAGGACUUGAUAUACGGCUGUCACAGGGACCCAAUUUCCUUAAAAUGCCCCUGUUGCAGGAAAUCAUAGAAUUGUACUUCAUAACUAGUAUGACCUUAACCUUAGAUAGCAUUUAUUCCAAAUAGCUAGCUGUCGCUCUCUGUUUCUCUCUUUUUUGGGAUCCAUCAUCUGUGUCAACUAUAUAGGAAAUAUAUAAUAUUGGUUAGAUGACAACAUCAUUAGAUGUCGAUUUCCAAGGUUUUUAGUAGGCUGAUGGUCUUCUAUGCCUCAAGUGACACCACUCCUCACGACUAGGGAUCUUGAGUUGUAAUUGUGAGCAGGAAGGUUCAGGCUUCUCCACAUUAAUUUCACUGUAAUUAAAUAUAGAUGUCUGACUAGUCUUUUAUUUACAUCUCUCUACGCAUAUUGAAUUAUUCUUGUGUUAUGGGCUUGAGGCUGAGGGUUUUAAUUGUGCAUAAUUAGCAGGUAACGUGCUGUGUGCACGUCUGUUGCGGUCGAAUAGGAUUUGGGAUACAUUUCAAGAGGCCAUCCUAUAUAUUGACUCAGAUUAUUGGGGUUUUUUUUCUACUGUAGAAUCUCUCCUACUUGUCUGUAGCUAUCUCUUAGUCACAAUGAUCUUUGGAUUGGUUAUUUUUGCUCGUAAGCUUCAUUUUUGGACCCUUAGAAUGAAUCUUCCGACUAGUGAUUGAUUUUCACAUGCCCCUGGUUAAUGAUUCAAACUAAUAUGCUAAUAAUUUUUGCCUGUUCUUUGAGCUUUGAUAUCGACACCCAUGGAUUUCAGGUGCUGACGAUCUGCCGUCUGUGCCGGCUGUGCUGUGCUGCACUGUGCCAGUGUCAGUGCCUAACUGAUUUGUACAAUGCCCAUAUUGCGAUUAUCGCUGAUGCUGCUCUAUGCGGCUUGAUGCAUCUUGAUACCGCAUUUAAAACGUUGUGCGGUGCCUUAGAGUGUUGUGAUUUACCCUUUGCUGCUGCCGAUCGCUGCGCCAUCACACUGCCCGUUGCCUCCGCCAUAUUUAUCACCUUGCCCCGCUGUACCAUAACGGGAAAAAAAACUUGUACCAGGGAAAGGUGAAGAGAUUGAUUGGAAACCUAAUCUCAAAAGUAGGUUCUUUUUUUUUUUUAACUUUUGGAUUGCAGGCUUAAAUGAAACCUCACUAGAAUGGGGCUUAUACAGACAUGGCUUCAAAAUGAAGUCUUGAUAUCAGGCACAAUCUGACCCAUUAAGUGUUCUUCUCGGCUAUCAGCCUCUGCGUCGUCAAAGCCCUAAAAUCAGAUUACUUCACAUUGCUGUUGAGAUUCCAUAUUGGGAUUUGACAUUUGCGUCUAUUUCGAGAUUUGCCGCCCUUGACCAGCCAGAGCACUGUCAGCAUUUCCGCUGCUUCUGAGCAGCAUGUCCCACAUGCCCACACAUCUGCGCUGCAAUGUGAGGUGCUGAGCCAUGCCAACCAGAGCUCAGCAUGGCCUACUUGAGUUUUAACGUAGCCUUGCUCACUAUGUCUCUUGGUUUGAUGGUGAAAAUCCCCUCCUAAUAGUUCUAGAUGAACAUAAUACUAUGGGUGCGUUUGGUUCGCGCUAUCUUUUAAAAAUUCCUAGUAAUCCAAUGGGAAUAAAAAAAUAUGACGGUGAUUGGUUAAACGCAUUAAGUAAUCUAGUUGGUAAUAUUAGAUUCACUUGGGAAUAAGAUUCACCCCAAAGUACUAAUCUCAUUCCCUUGAGGGAGGGUGUGUAUCCUCAUAUUAAUGAAUUGGGGUAAUCAUAAUAUGUCUAAUCUCUUUCUUUCUUCUUAUCCGCCGGCUAAUUGAUAUUAUUUUUCUUUACACUCCAACCUUAUAUCUCUCUCUAAACUUAUUUUUCUCUCUAAAAUUCAACUUUUUUUUCUCUCUCUAAACUAAGCUUUCUCUCUCUCUCUUUUUCUAAAAUUUCAACUCUCUCACUCCCUCUAAUUUCGACUAUAUUUUUCUUUCUAUUUUUUUAAUUAUGCUCUCUCUCUCUAACUUAUACUCUCUCUCCCUUUUUUCUAAAAAGAUGUUGAAACUUUUGGUAACAUUAUCUAAAAUUAAUUAAAUAAAUAAAUUAAUUAAUUGUAUAUUUUUUGUAAUAUUAAAUAACAUGGCUAAUUAAUAUUACCGUGCGAACCAAACACAGGAAUUCCACAUUCUUAGUAAUAGGAUGAAUAGGAAUAAGAUUCUCGGAUAUCUUUUAUUUCUAGUAAUCUUUUAUAAUGCGAACCAAACGCACCCUAUAAGUUAUCCUUCAGUCAAUACAGGUGCUUGCCACUAAUAGUCUGGUUAUUUAAAUCUGAUACAAUUAUACUAUGAUUUUUCUGCAUUGAAGGAUCCCACUAGGUACAUAUUCCUUGAAGGUACUGAAAGAAGACCAGAAAGGGCAUCAUCUACCAGGUAUUAUGCUUCAACACAAUUUGAUUGCACUGAUACAUAAACAAUUUCUCCUGAUUCCAAUGAUUUGGAUUUUCCUUUGAACAUGGAUUUUGACCACAGUGAUCUUAAGUCUAGGGUUCUUCUUAUGACUAUGAUAAGCUAAUCAGGUCUCUAAAGUAAUGUCAACCGCCAGCUGCAGUGAUGAUCCUUUUCUCCCAAUGCGAAACAAAAUGAACAAAACUAUGCGAAACAACCAUAAUCUCGUUCAUCUUACAUAGAAUCGGUAUCUCUGCCCUGUGCAGAAAAACUAUGACGAAGCAGGUUUGUAUUCUUGCUUAGCUCACAUACUGACAGUACUUCCAUUUGCUGGAAUGUAUUAUUGAUGGACACCUAUUUAACCUCCAAGCAUGCUAUAACUAGUCUUACAAGAUUUUACUUGAAGUACUGAUUCAUUUUGUUUUGUUUGUGAUUCUUAGAUUUACCAUCAUUCAUACUCUGCCGGUGGACUAUCACAAAAGGUUUAACUGUCUAAGUUUGAGAGAUAUUCCAAUUAUUAUAUUGUUGUGAAAUACUGAUUUUCAUGCAUUUUUUUCUUUUUCCCCCAUUUUACUGCUUAGGUUCUAAGUUCUAGCACAUGUGAAUGGCAAAGUGGUAAGACAAAAAAUGCAUGACUGGAAGAUCAAAAUGGGUAUCAAUGUACGAGGUAGUACACCGUGUCACAAUCUGAGCUUGUUCUACAUUCGGUACUUCAAGAAUGGUAAGUCAGUAGUCAGUCAUUUAUAAAUACUUGUUCCAUAAAAUGUGAUACUAUUAUUUAUCUGCAUUAACAUGUAUUCAAGUGUCUCACUUUUUUCUAGUUAUCAAAGAAUAAGCAAAGAAGGGUAGAAGGACACUAAUCUAUGGUAUUAGCUACAGUGGCAAUUGUGAGUUAUACAUUAAAAAAUAACUACAUACACUGUUGCAAGGAUUUAAAUGCCCAUCGGCACGGGCCGUAUCGUGCCAACAAAAUAUCGGUACGAUGUAACUCCCGUGUCGAUGGCACAGCUUAAAACUCUCCAUUCUUUAAAUUAGUAAGUAUUUUCUUCAGUAAAGUUCAAAAAAAUUGAUAAAAAUACAUAAUAAAUAGUUAGAAUAUUUUGUUGCUAAAGAAAAUAAAUAUUUUAUACUAUUCUGCGUCAGUAUAGAUGAAUUUUUUGUGACCGGCAUGCAUCGUGCCGUACCAUGUUGGCAAGUUUCUGGCACGACUCUGUGCCACGGCAAUUAAAUCCUUGCACUGUUGCACAGUAGUUCAAUUUAAAAUCAAGUUAGAUUCUUUGUAUGCCUAUGUUGAUUUUAAAUGAUAAAUCAAUAACAAAUCAAGCAACAAAACUAUGUAGUAAUAUAUGAAUUAGUUUCUAUUUUCUAAUGGGAAUUCUAUCCUAUUAGUUCAGUUUGAUAGUUACUUAGAACUAUUUCUAUAUCAUAAUAUUAAACAGCAGAUAAAUAAAGAUAUAACACGCGUGCAAAAUUAGAAGAUUUAUUAAUUUUUUGGGCACAAUUCAAUUAAGUAAUGUCGUUAUGGAAACUUAUUUCACAUGUGGGUUGUUUGUUUCACAGUUUGUAAUAUUCGGGGAAUCCUCCAUAUUUUCUACUCAAAAUAUUCAAAUCGUCACUCUUCAACUCUAGUUGGGAAAUUGUAAGAGGUGUGGGUGAAGUUGUGAAAUCAUCAUAGGUUCCCCACUAGUAGGAAUAUUACAAGGGUUAGUAGGUUUCGCCAUUCCCAUACUUGAUAGGAAUCAUAAGCUCUAUCAAGUUCUAACACCUUCCCAACUCAUGUGGUGCAGUUAGUUGGUCAACAAACUAGCCAUUCCAAGUAUAAAAUAUAUAACAUUCCUGCAAUGCUAUCGACCGGUAAAACGAGCGAGCCCUCAAGAAUAUAUCCAAGUCUUAUGUACAAAAUUCCCAGGUAUUCUCCUGAUAUUUCACUUCAAGGAUAGUUUAUUGUGUGUUUUGGCUACUUCAAUGAAGGGGCUUUAACUUAUAAACUCUUGUUCAUUAUGUCUCGAGAGUUGCCUUGGAAAAUUCAGGUUUAUUACGAUAUUUUUAUUUUAAAUAUAGUUACCUUGAUUCUUCUAUUCAUCAGCUGGAAUGGAUUGCUACAAAUUGUAUUUGAUGCUUUCUGCAUUAGGUAAUACAUAUGUUUACCUUUAUUUUAUUCUAUAUAGUAAUGAUAUUUUUUUCCUAAUAAGAAAACUUUAAUAAUGAUCCUUCCACUCAUAGUGUCACCCUGACAUGGUGCCCUUGGGGUUGUCUCGUGCAUGCUGAUUUUUUAAGGCACUGAGGUUCAGGAUGGCGGACAAUACAAUACAUUAUCUCACGACUGAAGAGAAAGAGAAGAGAGAUCCAGAGAUGGUCGAGUUGUAAUCAUAUCAGACUCGGAUUGAGCCAGGUGAGACUCGUAACAUUUGACCAGGUGGUACAACUUUUCUGAAUCAUAACUACUCUUACUAAUAACUGAAGAGAACAAGAGAAGAGAGAGCCAGAGAUGAUCGAGUUCUCAUCAGAUCAGGCUCAGAUUGAGCUAGGUGAGACUUGUAACCUUUGAUCAGGCUAUACAAUUACUUAUCUCAAUACUUUAUCCAAGAUUUCACCUCAUUCAGAAUCUUUUAAGUUUUGACUUUUAAAUCACCUAGCACCAAUUAUAUUUCCUCAAAAGUUUUGUUUAUUCGGAUGGAAAUUGAGACUUUAGCGUCAAUUGAUGUCCAACACGUGGAAACUUAUCUAUUGGGUCUUUGAUGGAAAGAUCUUGAUUGAAACAACUAAAAAAAUCUGUUCAAAAUCUGAUUGCAAAAAUUAGAAUGUUGGGUGCUAGGAUAAAAACUCGAGGCUAAAAACACCAGUCACAGAUAGGCCUAAAUACUGUUGAAAUCAUCUCUAGCAAUGUUAUCUAAUUCCUGUGGAAUAGGGUUUGAUGCGGUUUUGUUUAGGUCCUAUAUAUUUUUCGUUGCAACUUGUGAAAUUACCAAAUUUAAACAAGGUCUAUUGGUAAAAUUAAUGGACAGAUUUUAUGUUUGACUCAUAAUUUUUCUUUCUGAGGAAUUUGCUAUUCCAUUUAAAGCAAUGCAACCUAUACACCCAAAAAGUGGUGUGAGAUUCACACUCUCCCAUCCAAGGGUUUGUGCUGUAAGUAGCAUUUCUCUUCUAUUUAUUGCAUUGCAGUGUAUAUUUGCACCUAUUUUUAUUCCCAUGCUUCAAAGUACUGUUAGAAGAUUUGUGCCUAUUAUUUUGAUUUUUCUUUAUUUUUGGUUCUAGUCUCUGGUUCUUAGAGGUUUUAAAGUUUGCAGAUUGUUCCAAAAAAUUGAAGUUUGAUAGAGAUAUUCGAGCUAUUAUUAUUGUUGCACUAUCCUGAUUUCAUCAAAGCUUUUUAUUGUUUUUAAUUUUUCUGCUUAUGAUCUAAUUCAUGCAAAUAUAAAUUGUAAAAAUUAAAGGUACACUCCUGCUGAAUCACUGAGUCUGCAUUUAGUUCUGUUGCUCCUCCUCACUAUUUAUACAACACUAUCUUCACUAGCUUAAAUCAAACGCCAAUUUUCUCAAAUUCAAACAUUAGUUACAUAUGCUUCUAUAUUAUCAUUCUGUAUUAUCUGUUAGUUCUUGUAACAAGGAAGUAAGAGUUUAGUUAGUUGAUGCAGUUUCUUCUUGAUCCUUGUUAUUUGUCUGCUUUUUGUUCUAUGUUUUUUGCUCCUAAUCCUUACAAUCACCCCUGCCUGUUAUUCUAAAGGUAUAAUGUUUGGAUAGGCUGCAACUGAAAUGUAAUGCCUGUAGAAAAGGAGGUGAGUCGUCAUUUGGAGGUUUCCGAAGUGGUGAAUCAUCAUUUCGAGGUUUCCUUUUAAGUUUUUAGCUUGCCUUUUCUCCUUUCUGAAGUCCAUUUGGAGGUUUCCUUUUAAUUUUUUAGCUUGUGCAUAUACUUUUCUUGAUGGUAUUAGUAAGUACAUAUAUCAGUACGUGAACAGUUGCAGUCUGCUGGCGGUUGACAACUAAACAUCACCCUGGAAUUUGAUGCUCUCUCCCCCCCCCUCCCUGUAAUGCCACUUACCUCAUCUUAAAAACUAGCAGAGCUAGGACCGACAUUCAUAGAGGAUGCAAUAUACGAUACCUUAGGAUUAAACAAAUACCUUAGGAUUAAACAAAUAAUAAAGCUAAAUCUUCCUAUCCAUAAAAAUGUGGUCGUUUCCUUUGAUUUGGGUUCGAAUAUUUUUAUAAUAAUGCAAGGGUUAUGGUCUAGAGGCUUUUAGUUCGAAGGAGUAUUUCAUUUAUUCUUUUGCAAGGAUCUCUCAGGCUAUAACUAGGUGCUUCUAUCUUAGAAGAGCAUUCAAAGGCAGAUCUAAUAAUGGCUUUUAAUGGUUGUAUUUUGGUUAAAGCAAGCAUGUCUUAACAGAGCAUACAAAGACAGAUCUAGUAAUAGCAGGUAUGGUUGUAUUUUGGUUAGAGCAAGAAUGUCAUUAUCUGUUGUGCCAUCUCUAAAUUCAUUCCCUAUUAAUUAUUCAUACUUAUUCUGCCAAUCGUAGAGUAGUUUAUAUAGAAUGUAAAAUUAUAUACAGAAUAUGAUUUAUGGUUGAAGUAUAUUUUGGUCUCAAGCAUGUAAGAAUGCAUAUCUUAAUCUAACCCCUUAGUUUCUGGGACACUACAACUUACUGUUGUUUUAUUCUAAAUGCCCUUGUAAUUGGAUGACUUGUCUUAUAUCAUGUGAAAACAUUGUAUUUGCCACGUAUUAUUUGGAUUGGGAUUUAUUCUUGGUCCUCCAUAACUUCUGUAUUUUUCGAUUUUCUGACCCGCUUUGUUUUCUUUACUUGGGGGGCCCUUACUAAAAACAAUUUUCAAGUAUUCCUCUUUUCUUAGUGUAAUCAUAGCAUGCUCUGAGAGGUAAAAGCUGAUUGAUCAAUGUAAGAAGAUGGAGGUGACACAAACUUCCUAAUUCAGGGAGCCCUCUUUAGCCCUCACCAGAUUUUACAUCUGGAUUCUUCGCCUUUCCAAUGAUGGAUCCACCUGGUUGUCAAUGAUCUCCUGGGGACCUAUUCGUACUAAUUUCAUUGACAGCCUGUAACUAUUGUUCAUCUUGCUGUUUCCUUCUAUUUUCUUCCUGCUUGUUUCCUCAUAUAGGCAUCACUGCACCACUCUGCGCACACAUAGGUUAUAGGUGUGAGGUAGAGUAAAUGAUGUUACACAGAAAGCCUUCGUUGGCGUAGGGCCCAUUCAUACCACGAUUAUUACUCGAGAUCAGAAAUAAAAACAAAGGAUGGGAACAUGUACUCUCCAGUACAGGUGCUCUGGUGCUUCUUUCAAUGUCCAUGUGAAGAGUUUUGUAGUAUUAGAUGAAUGGAAUGACGUGGUAUAUACUUUUCACCAAAGGCAAACAGAGAUGUAUUGACUUAAUGCUUUAGUGCCUUCCUCACGCGCUUUGGGUUGAAGAUAAGAAGUAUAUGAUGUAAAAUUAUAAUUUAUAUAAUAAAUAAUUUAAUAAAAAAAUAAUAUAAUUAUAUUUUUAUAUAAUUAAAAUUUAAUUUAAAAUAACUAAAUUAUUUUAAAUUAUAGUAAUAUAACAAUAAAAUUAGAAAGUAAAAAAAUAUUAAUACUUAGAUUAAUCAAUUUUUAUCAUAUUUUAAUUAUACAAACUAAAUAAAAAAAAUAUUAAAAUUUAACUAAUUAAUUUUUAUCAUAUUUUAAAUAUGCCAACUGAAUAAAAAAAUAAUUAGUAGCAUAAUUAAAUAUAUUUAAAUAUAAUUAUUUUUAUCUACCAUAUUUAUUUUAUUAUUUUUCUUCAUCUUUCUUCACCAUAAUUGACUUCGGCGAAGGACCACACCGUGCCGGUGCGGCACGUACCGUGCCCCCUAAGAAAGGAGCACGGUACGGGGGGGUCUCGGACCCCCCAUGCCGCACGAGACAAAGCGGAACGCGUUAGGGUGUCGCGGCACUGUGCAGUGCUGCAGCUUUGGUUUUUUUUUUUUUUUUUUUUUUUUUUUUUUUUUUUUUUUUUUUUUUUUUUUUUUUUUUUUUUUGCUUUUUUCUUUUUUCUUUUGUUCUCCGGCGUAUCGAGUUCCCCCCGGGCCACCUAUAUUUUUUUUUUUUUCACUUUGUUGUCUUUUUUUCAACUUUUUUUUUUACUUUUUGAUGGAUGCCUUUUUUUAAACUUUUUAUUUAUUAAUAGAGGAGCAAAAUAUUUUGUCAAAAAUUGUCGCACCGCGAAAUUUUCGGUGAAUUAAGGGAAUAAAAAUCGAUCUCCUAAACAAAUUUUGAUCAGAUAUUUUUAAAAAGAAUAAAAGAACAAAAAAAUAUUGAUGUAAUAUCGGGAAUAUCUGACUUUUUCACAAAUACCAGCAAUACUUAUAUCAAAAUUGUCAAUUAAAUAUUAUAUCUGCAGAUGACAAUACGCCAUAUGAUCAAGCGCGAUGAUCUAUGUCGAAUUAAGCAGUCAUCUCUAUGUAAAGAUGUAAAUUUAAAUAAUUAUUGUACUUGUGAAUUUUAUUAUUGUAUUUUAAUUUCUAUUCUAUAUCAGGUAUAGUUGUAUUUUACUUACAAAUUACAUGUAUAUUAAUUGAUGAGUAUAGUAAGAUAUACAUAAUAAAUAUUCAUAAUUAUUUAUUUAAACUUUUCAAAAUAAUAUUAUAAGAGUUUAUUGGAACUAAAAAACUGAAAUAAGUUUGUGUCAAAACGUGCCAGUAGAAGGUCAUACGUAUCUAUCGGCACGCAAGUGUGCCACGUAUCGGCACGCAAGCGUGCCUGUGCCGUACCGUGUCAGGGACAUAACGGCACACCCCCAUGCCACGGCACUUUAAAUCUUGACUUCGGUCCACGAUGGGCCAAAGUCGAUUACGCCGUUUUAGAUUAAAUCGAGUUUCGACCGUAAUUUUUUGAAAGUAUCGUUUAUGGUGAAAAUGACUUUCCCCCUCUCAACUUUUACCUCAUUUCCACCCAAACGAAUGUACCCUUAUAGUCACCAGCCUCAGAAAGGUGAACAAUAUCCAGAUGAAUGAUUAGAGAUAUCUCAAAUUGUCCAUGAUGAUUGAAUUGAUGACCUCUGUAAUUUUGUUUAUCCUUCAUUUUUUUUUUUCUGUUUUUGUUGGCUACUUUAGGAGAAUUUCUUCAUUAUUCGUGCAAUUGUGCAUCUAUAACACCAGUUAUUAUGGAACAACAUGAUGCUGAUGUAGUUGUAGUUAAGCAUGUCCCAGAAUGGCUGCUAAUCUGUUCCUUUUUAUACAAUAAAAUUUGUAAGACCAGCUAGAACUGUAAAUUUGGUGCUGAUGUAGUUAAGCAUGUCUCAGAAUGGCUGCUAAUUUGUUUCUUUUUAUACAAUAAAAUUUGUGAGACCAGCAAGAACUGUAAAUUUUACUUUGUAGGACUACAGAAAAGUUUUGAGAAGCUCUGUAGAUAUUGUAUGCGUUUUCACUUAUAUAAGAGGAGCAAUCACCGAAAGGUUCUGUAACUAAAUAUGCAUUUCGUAUCUGUGGUGCUAUACUAGAAUAUUUAUUUACAUUUUCCUCUUUAUGGGCUACAUAAUAAUAGCUCAUUGUUUCUGUGCAAACACAGUAAUUAAAUUUUGCAGCUUAGCAGUUCUUGUUUCUGAAAUUUUUAUCUAUAUAAUCAAUCAAGCACAACCGUCGAAAACAUUGCAGCCACAUGAUAUGUUUCAUUUAAAUUGCAGGAGGUAUUUGGCAACACAGGGAAGUUAUUUUGUAUUUAUUUGUGGUCCUAUGUACAUGUACAUCACUCACGAUUCCCAUUCAAGAAACAAUUCUCAUUUCUCACAAGGGAAUUGAAAGUAGAGGGUGGGCUACUUGGACCCUAAUUAAGGCGAGCAUCACAUUCGAACAGCUAGAAGGUGCCGACAAUUACUGGAUGCUUACUUUUGCAAUUUAUGCGGGCAAGUUUUUUUUUUUUUUUUUUGAGAGAGAUAGAUAGCACGCUACCUGCUUCGUUUAUUUCAUUUGGAAAUAAACUUAGCUGUAAAUGUGAAUCAACUAGAAUUCGAAUUUGAGUCUCGAGUACCAACCACCGAGUCGUUUGCCACUUGCUUUAGGGACGGUCGGUAUGCGGGCAAGUAUUUUAACUUAUCUCUUUUGUUUAGUACAUACUACAGACGGCAUUAGAUAAGCAAACAGGCUGUGAGGCGUGCGACCACUCUCCCGAAGGUUACUCUGGUAAGCACCUUUCUUUACAUGAAAAUUUUGCAGCCUUUAGAAAGCCAGUAAUGAAAUGAAAUUUCAUAUACACGAGUUUUUGGUGAGAAAUUAUUGACUGGACCAGUCUACUACCACGUCAGCACAUGGACCUCCAGCUAAAAAAAAUCCCCUUUGUCCCGUUCCCUAAUUGCCAUUCAGUGAAUUCCGGUCUUUUCAAUAUGUCAAAUUUACUUUCUUUUAAAGUGGUAGACAUCGAAAAGGAGUGACGAGAUUAAGGGUGAAUUUUUGGGUGGUUCGCGGUCAGCCAAGUCCUCCUUCUAUAAUUUCUCAUUGCUUACUGACUAGGCUGUUUGGUUAUAUGAGUUUCAAUUGGUGCAUCGUAUUAUUAAAUUUAGGUGGGCUUGGACGUAUCAAUAUGCUGCUAGUUACUUUUGAGUGUUCUUGUUAGAAUUAGAUUAACAACACCCAACGAUAAAUAACUUCAGUGAAGGUCCGACACAGAUGUUUCCUCUCAGAUUAACUUUGUGGUACGAAUUAUCCGUAACGUACUCACGCACUGUUACAGUAGGGAAGAGCACCUACUUUGUACGACCGUCCUUGGUAUUAGAAAACGCGUUCCGUGACAAAUGAUUUGAGUUAGGUAGUGCAUGCUUUUCUCCUUGCCCUCAUAAUAUGAAACAUUGUCAUUCUUUUCCGAAGUUGAAGAUCCGAGCCAAAUUGGUUCUUUGACUUUUGUGGGCCCAUUGGAUUCACUAAUGGGUUUAAAAUGAGCAGUUCUUUAUGCAUAGUGAUUCUCUCUAUUUAUCUCUAUCUACUCUCUGAGUGACCGAGCCUGCUGCUUCUACUUCGCAUUCUUAGUCGUGCACAAGCAGACUCUUAAGCAUGAUCUGUCGGCCGACAACGAGAGUAGUAUUUUAAAAGUCUUUUAGUUUUGUCACGAUUGAAUCGAGUUUCUAAAAUUCAAAAUUUUGGCCAUAAGGUCCUUUAGGGUGUGUUUGGAUUGUCGGAAAAUGGCUCCAAAAAAAAUGAAAAAAAUUUUCUACUGUUUGGUUGCUUGUAAAUUUUUUUUUCAAAAAAUUUAUUUUACAUAUUUUGGGAAAACGAAGGGUUUUCGUUUUCCGCUCCAAGCGAGCAGAAAACAAAAAGCUUGCUAUGAAAAAAUCGCGGCGCACGACAAACUUGCUGUUGGAGCACGCGGUCCACGAGGUGGACUUCACCUCGUGGACCACGUGAGGGAGAGUCGACGUGACCUGUGAACUCUCUUCCUCAUUCAUUAUGUGUUAUAUAUAUAUAUAUAUGAUUUUUUAUAUAAAUAUAUUAUUAUAUAAUAUUAUAUUUAUAUAUAUAAUUAUUUAUUUUAUAGUACUAAAUAUAAUGUAGUAUUAUGUAAUAUAUUUAUUAUAAUUUUAAAUAUAUUUAAUUUAUAUGUAAAAAUUAUAAUAAUAAUAUAUAUAGUAUAUUAAUUAUUAUAUAAUAAUAAUAUAUAUAAUAAAAAUAUAUUAUAUAGGUUUUUAUCUAUUUUUUCUUGUCUUUCAACCAAACAACAAUCAUCGAAAAUUACUUUUUUUUUCCUACAAAUUAAAUACUACACCAUGUAAAAUAUUUUUUCCACGAAAAUUUUUUUUUCAUCGAAAAUUUUUUUUUGCAGUUCUACGUGAAACCGAAUAGGCCCUUAGCUCUGGUAGCCUUACCGUCAAAUCAGUACCCCCAGUAUUAUUCUGGCACGUGGGGUGUAGCAGCUAGGCCACGCGGUAGAUCCAUGCUUUUCGCAUCUUCUACAGGAGGAAAAAAGAAAAGAACUUACGGUAGUUCAUUGCUUUGAAUGACGAAUAUGGGGAUAAAAAUCUGACCUCAUUACUAAUAGAGUCCAUUACAUUUUUGGGCGACACAAAAAAAAAUUUAAAAAUUCUCAGGUCAAAGUUCAUGAGUCAUUACCGUUUUUCGUCAACAAAAAAAGUCUUGUGCCGGCCAAUUUAGUGCAAUUGGCUAAAGACUUGAUGGUUUGUAUCUAAGUUUUUAAAUUUGAGUCUAGUUGUUUCACAUUUUUGGCCGAGUUUAUUUCUAAAGAAUGAACUGAGCAAGUAGUAUGCUAAAUAGUCUCUAAAAGAACACAAAACAGAAAAGGCCUUUCGAGUUAUUAAGGUUGUCACUAGCUUGGUGUUCGCAUAUACUGUAGGAGGGUGUUUGGAUUGGGUACAAAAGAGGGAUAAGGCUUUAUCCCCCCCUCUUAUACCCAAAUAAUAAUUUGGACGGACGAAAACUAUAGUUCCCACUUAUAGAGAGAGAGAGAUAUUUUUGUUUUAAUUUAGAAUUUAAAUUUUUAAAAUUUGUUAUUUCAAAAUUAAAGUUUAUAAUUUAAAAUUCUAAAUUUUAAAGUUUAAAUUUUAAUUUUGAUAUUUUAAAUUUUUUAAAUUUAAAAAGUGAUAUUUUAUAUUUUUCAAAUUUAAAUUUGAUCUCAAAUUUAAAAUUUAAAAUUUAAAAUUAUAAAUGUAAAAUUUAAAAAUUUAAAUUCAAAUAUGAUGAGAAGGGUAAUAUCAUUAUUUUUUAUUUAUACCUAUUCAUUAUUUUUCUUAUUUCAUCUUAUCUAUUCAAAUAUUAUUUUUUUUAUUUUCGAGAGCAAUCUAAUAUUUAUUUAAACGUAUAAUCGGUUUAGUUCUCGCUUAUAUCUAAAUUAAUAUUUAUUUUUGAAAUAAAUAAAUUUUAUUUAUAUUUGAACCAAACGAAGCUUAGAUGUGACAUUGCCGCCCACUGCAGGAGAAGAUCUUUACUUGAUCCACACAGCCUUUUAUUUGAUUCGGACUUUCUACUAUCGCAUAUUUCUUUUCUUUAGCUCCUUUUGUUGCAUGAUAUGGUAGUACCAAUAAUUUGGUCGUACCAUAAGGUUGCACCCUCCGUUGUUUUCAGCAUUCAGAAUUUGUCUUCCCCUGGUCCUUUUCACUAUUCGGAAUUUGUUUUCACUUUUUCCGAAGAUUUGGCCAAUGGUUAAAUCUGUUCAAGUCCUUAGCAAAGGCAGUGUACAAGUAGCGUGCUACAAAUGGUCCAUCACUGAAAAAUCCGAUGAUUGGUAAGUUGAAUCUAAUUGCUAGCGUCGCAGGCUAUAAUUAGGACACUAUAAAUGGUGCAUCACAGAGAGGGCUAUCAACAUCUAAGAAGCUUCCCUGGUUCCUAAGCUGCCUAUGGAGAUGCCUUUUGUCCAAGAAAAUAAUUGAGGAUGAGGUGUAAUGAUCUGACCCAUAUAUCUUAAAUCAAAAUUUUUUCUUAUUCGAUAUGAGACUAUUAAGGUGUUAAAGAUUCCUUCCGUUUAGACGCUAUAUAGAUUAGAAUUAUUAGGCGAUGGCUUCCAUUAAACCCUUUGUGUAUUAUUUUGUCUUAUAUAAUACUUAGCUCUCCUACUUUCGGCCGGUAUUCGACUCUGAUAACAAAUGUAGCGACUUGACCCGCUAGCAAUGAUUACUCUUGAAUCCAAACCACCGUAUUGAAAAUGCUUGAAUCCAACCAUUAUUAUUAUUAUUAUUAUUAGAAUGUGAGGGCUCGUAUAUUUUAAAUCAGAAUUUUUUUUCUUUUUCAUUCAACGUGAGACUCUUGGAUGUUACAUGAGGGGGACCUUCUCUGGGGUUACAGAGUAAUUUUCUUCGCUAAAUAUGGGGCCUUGGAAAAUCCGCUAGGAGACAAAGGCAGUCCUCUUCAACUGUUUGGGGAUUCUUUCGCUUGAUGGCACAACCUCGAGGAAUCAAAGGUACAGCAAUAUAGUCUCUCGAAUGAAAGGUACAACAAUGUUGUCUCAGCUGUCCUCCAUUAAUGUUAGCCGAGGGUUUGAAGAGUCCACUGUGCAACAGUUGUUCUCUUAUUAUGAGUGGUUCAAGGAUUGAUUGAUUCCUUGGUUUCGGGAUCAAUGGCGUUGCUGUUAGAUACAGGGAAAGACAUUCUUGCAAGGCAAAAUUACGUGCUGGGCAUGUUUGGUCCAUGAAUGAAAUAGAAAUAGAAAAUAAAAUUAAAUUACUUUAGAAUAAGAAAUGAAAUGACGAAUCGUUCAAAAAUAUUUUGUUCAUUAUUAGAAUGAAAAUCAGAAUACAAAUAUAGAAUUUUUUUAGAGAGAAUUUUAAUUAAGAAAUAGAAAAGGAAUGAAGGGAGAGGAGGAGGUGUAGAUGAAGGAAGAUUUUGACUAGUUUACUUUAAAAUUGGUCAAUUCGAAAUUCAAAGUCAGAUUGGGCCAUAAAUGAAUUUGAUCAUUUCCAUUUCAGAGUGGAAUGUGAUUCAGAAUCCAAUUCGUAUAAAGCAAACAAUAACAAUCGAAAUCAAUGAAUCUCAUACCGAUUUCAUAAACUAAAAUAGGUGAACCAAAUAUGCCCCUUGAUCCUCAUGUAUCACUAAUAUAACGAUAAUGCAAGAACAGUGUUGUUUGGCGACAUAACAUUAAUUAAAAUGUCAUAUUAACAAAAUAUAUCGGUAUUUAGUUAGCUAAAUAGGAUUUUACAGCUUAAUUAUAAUAAUUUAUAAAAUUUGGGUCAUCACUUUUAUAAUAAAUAAAAAUUUGGGAAUCAAACUAUCAUGCAGCUCAUAGUUCGAGAAGAAAAAACUAUAAUUUUUUUUUUUAAAUGAAAAGAUCGGUAUAUCUUAGGGCAUAGGGCGGAUUAGUAGCCCUCAGGAAAUUCUAGUUGAAUAAAAAUUUGGUGGGGGCAGUCUCCGCAAUGAGACCGUUUUGUUCACCAUCCAUAAUGUGAAUGUCGCGCAUUAGGAUAGUCUACACCAAAUCUUGUUUUUUCGGUGGUUGUGGAGACGGUGAAACAGAAAUUCGGGGCUUAACCUGGUGAGAGAGAUGUGAACAGAAGGGAAUGGAGUUGUCUGUUAUUCUCUGUUGAUAAGAAGAAAGCAGAUCUACUUCUUUGAUUAGUAGAUUACUAUACAACUACAGGAUGUGGAUGGUGUACUGCAUUCUCACCAGCAUCCGCCCGUUCUUGUAAUGGGUGUUGAAUUCAAACUCGGAGAAGUAAUUUAGGUAUAGCUCAAAAAUAAUUCUUUUUUUUUUCCCGAAUUUUGAUGUCAAAACGUUUCAGAUCAUUUAGGCCAAAUUGAAAAAAGUUAAUGAAAUUGUUUUCGUUUUUUAACCUCUUGAUGUUACUAGGGAUGCAAAUGGGGCGGAUCUGGGGGCGGAAGCCCCGCCCCGCCUCCCCCCGAAUUCGUAACGGGUUAAAAAAUAUAUCCCAUAAUCCGCCCCGUCUCGUAACCCGCCUCCGGCCGGCGCUCCGAAUCCGCCCCGCAAACUAAUAAUUUUUAUAAAAUUAUAAUUAUAAUAUUAUUAAUAUUUUGUAAAAUUUAAAUUAAUAAUUUUUAAUAAUAUUAUAUAUAUAUAAUUUAACAAUAUCAAUUAUAAAAAUAAAAAAUAUCAAUCACAAUUCAAAAUAAAAUUUAAAAGUUUCAAAUACAUUAGAAAUGAGAGUAUUAACUUAUUUGUAUUUUGAACUUUUUUUUUAAAUACAUUAUAUUUUAGAAAUAUUUUUUUAAAUUAUAAAUGGUUUUCGGGNUUUGUAUUUUGAACUUUUUUGUGAAUACAUUAUUUUUUAAGAAUAUUUUUUUUAAAAUAUAAAUAAUUUUUGGGACAGAUUCGGGGCGGGUUAAAAUUUCUUCCGUUUCCUGUUCCGAAUCUGUCUCAGAUCGUAAAAUUUACUUCGUUUUCUGUCCCAAAUCCAUUUAUUUUCUCUUAUUUACUGCCCCCGUCGGGGCGGAUCGGGGCGGGAGCUCCACCAACCCGGAUCCGUUGCAUCCCUAGAUGCUGCGAAGAAGUUUUAUCUCUUCUUCUUCCCUAGAAAAGGGAACUUUUUUCCCCCUUUGUUUGUCCAAGCUAAUUCAAGCCUUAGGAGAGCAAUUUAGAUAUAGUUUAAAAUUAGUAUAUAAUUUCUUAUGGAGACAAUUUUUGGGAGUCAUACAAUUGCAUAACAAUUCCUUAUUUUUUGAUCAUUUUAAGAGACGGCAAAAUUCCUGAACUGUAUUUUAUCUUCGAUCAUGUAGUACUGUUUUUUUUUUAGAGAUAGAUAGUACGCUAUCCGCUUCAUUUAUUUCAUUUAAAAAUAAACUUAACUGGAAAUGUGAAUCAACUAGAAUUCGAACUUUAAUUUCGGGUACCAACCAUCAAGCCUUUUGCCAAUUGCUCUAUGGACGGUCGGUGAUCAUGUAGUACUGUUAUUUUCUCUUUUUAAGAAGCAUUCGAACUGUUUUAUCAAAAACAACACGUGCCUAAUUUCUAGCAGGCUCCUUAUCCACUUGCUUUGUAAUGCGGCAUAGAUUAAUAACAGGCUCCUUAUCAAAAACAACACCUUCUCCUAUAGAGGGCACAGAUUAAUUCCGCUAAAAUUCAGCGGCGGGAUCGAUUCCAUGCUUGGUAAAAUCUAACCCUAGAUUUUUAAGUCAUUACUGCUACUUUUAGGCGGGUCCCUUACCAUGGUGUAGCGAUAUUCCCUGCAAUGUCCAUUGUCGCCUUUUGAAGCCUUUGAUUGGUAUCCCAACGUGGUGUUACAUCAUCUUUUCUCUAGUGGGCGAAAAAGGAAUAUAUAUAUAUAUAUAUUAAUUAAGUCGCUUAUUAAGUAAAAGUUUUUGUAUCAGCUUGAGCUGUUCUAGAUCUAUAGGCUAAUCUUGUUAAGUCAGGAAAAUACUUUUUCAUCUUAGGAUUUUCACAAUACUAGGUUGUUAAUUUUGAGCUACUCAUUUUGUCUACUCAUUUUGUCCAUUUCCCUCUUGCGGAAAAAGACCUUCAAUUGAAAAGUAUCAAUACCACCGACCGUUCCUAGAGCGCAAAGGGCUAACUAUCUCUCAGAAAAAAAAAAAAGAAAAAAAAGAAAAGUACCAAUACCAAUGUUUCGGAAAAGCUCAAGAUAGUUGCAAUUGUAUAUACAUCUCAUAUAAUUAUAAAUAAUAUAUUGUUGUUAUUAUAAAAAAAUUAAGAAUAAGAAUGUAUGAAAAAUGAAGUAGCAUACAGGAGGAUCAAGUAGAGUUUCUUGAUGACUCACAUUGAAUAUAUACACCAAAAUAAAAUAAAAAAUAAUUGAGAAUCAAAACAAACUAACAAUAUUAUUAUAUGCAUCGUAUAUUCAUAUAUAAUACUUAAGCAACUGCAUCCAUAAACUGGACACAUUUAUAAGUGCAUGCAUCUCCGUCUAUAAUAGUGAAUAAAUAAAUACAAAAUUUUAUUGGAAAUUGAAUGCAAUCACGUUCUAUCGAGUGAGAUGUUUCUCUCUUGUGCCACGUUCAAGCGUAGACAAAGGCUCAAUAAUUGACGAGUCAUAAUUAAUACUGUCCUAUAACAUUUGAGUCAUAUCGAUAUUAUUGAAUUAUUAGAUGAUUUUUCUAGGAACUCAAUUGGUAGGGCCAAAACUAGAAACGCCAAUGGGUAUGGAUGCAUGAAAUUUUAUCCGAAUCCGAACCCAAAUGAAACGGAUAUAUCCGAUGAAUAUGGAUAUGAAUUCGGAUAUGGAUAUCAAAAAUAGAAACCCGACGGAUAUGAAUUCGGAUAUGAAUUUUGAUUGUACCCGACCCGAACCCAAUUCCGAUCCGAACCUCGAAUUUAUUUUGUGUGUAUAUAUAUAUAUAUAUAUAUAUAUUUGAUGUUAUAUUUUAAUUUGUAUUUUAAAAAUUUAGAUUUAAUAUAAUAUAUUUUGAAAUAUUAAAAAAAAAUAAUUAUUUCGGAUUCGGAUUCGGGUUUCGGAUUUUUGGUCGGAUUCGGAUUUGAAUAUGGAUUUUUAAAAUCCGUCGGGUUCAGAUCUCGGGUUUGGAGUGGGGUUCGGGUUCGGGGCUUUAAAAAUUCACUCCGAAUCCGAUCCACAUCUCUAACCAAAACAGUGUUUUUCCUCAAAGAGGAAAAAAAAAAGUAUACGUUUUACCCCAAAAUUUAGAUGCGUACAACAUGUAAGGCACGUGUUUGGCAUCAAUAAUGACUUACCUGUGAACUUAUUUUGUGUCAUGAAGCGUAAUGUUGCCAUACUAUUUUACUUUCUCGCGAAGUUGCUAACUGAGUAGAUUUACUGAAUAAGAGACAUGCCUAAUAAGAUAUCUUACUAAAUAUUUAUAAUCCUGUUUCGGUAAAGUGCAAAAGAUUUAAAAGCUUUGAAGCUCAUUUCCGCUUGCAGAUACAGCAAAAAACUUCAUUUUAUUAUGAAUAUAUCUUAUUUUUAAUUUUUGGGUUAAAAAGAAUUAGAUGAAAGCGUACAGAAUUUACCUGUACUAUAAAGUCAUUACGAGUCGGCCAUCCAACCUUUCAAAUUUUGAUUUUACUACCUGAUCUUUUAAUUUAUUUGAUUUGAGUCAAUCAGCGACAUUUUGACUUUAAAUUUGAAAAAUAUCAUUUAUAUUUAUAGAUUUAGUUAGUAUAUUCUAUAUAAUUCUUGCAACAAUAAACUAAUUAAAAGUAAGUAAUUAUUUUAAAUUUUGAAGACAAAUGAAAAUUUUGAUAGUAAAUUAGAUAUAGUUGAUUCAAAAUGACCCUUUGUUUAACUAAGUUGUCUACAUUUUUUCCGAAAAAUUAUUCCACCAAGUCAAAACCAAAUACCAGAUAGGUACCUACUUCUAUCUGUUUCGUUUAUUUCAUUUAGAAAUAAACUUAGCUGACAAUGUGAAUCAACUAGGAUUCGAACAUAGGACCUCGAGUACCAAUCAUCAAACCUUUUGUCACUUGCUCUACGGACAGUCGGUUACUUCUAUUUCCUUUGUUAACGUGAGGUCUCUCAUGCACCCUCCCUUUAUUCGGGUCCAAAGAUGUCCAAAAAUUGCGGGGAAGGAAAAACACGCAUGAAAAGAAUACAAGCAUCUCAUAACGGUGGGUAAAAAGAUGCAUGAAAAUGGGACUCUUUCCAACUGGAAAGAGUGAGCCUGGAUUAAUUAGCUGUGUAUUCCUCUUCCAUUCUCUUAUGCAAAUUAAAUUUGCUACCAACUUUAUACUUUGCUUGCAUAGAUAUAUAACGAGUCUCUGUUUCUUCUUUCCUCCUCGCUAUCUAAUCCCGUAAAAUUCCAUAUCGAUCGAGUCAUUGUGGCUUGUCCUUUCUAAUUACAGCAUUACAACCAUGCAGAGAUUUAUGAGAUAAAUUUUUAAUAGAAUUAAAAUGUCACUUUAUUAACUAGUUAAAAGAAAAGGAGAGAAAUUUUUUUUAUCUUAAAUAAUUAACGAAGUCCACUAUUUCAUUCAGCCGGAAAAGAAUUUAUAGCAAUUAAAUAUAAAGGAAUCACAACUAAAUCGAACAAUAUCUUUUGUUUAAUAGCUAAAAAAAAUUAAAUGAAAAUUAACACAAAUUAAAAAUAUGUCACUCAAAAUUAAAAAUCAAAAGUUGAAGGAUAUAUAUAAAGGGGAUAAUUAUCUAUAUACUUUUCAAAACUUCUGAGAUAUCUUAUAUAUCUCUCUCUCUCUCUCUCUUUUUUUUUUUUAACAUACCCCUAGUACAUUUUUUUCAUUAUUUAAAAAUAAUCUAUUCUUAGUACCGUUAAGUCAUUUUGGGCUAAAUCCAUAUUAAAUUUCUACCCGCGCCGGUUAAAUUUUUAUCAGAGUUAAAAAAUAUCAAAAUAUCUUUUUUGUUCCUAACUUACAGACAAAUAAGAAAAAAAAUUGGUGACAGUAGAAAGCUAUAUUUGAAUAGUCAAAAAGGUCAAAAAAUAUAUAUUUUUUACCUCUAACAAAGGCAAAUAAAAAAGGUUGAUAACUAUAUAAGUAUAUUUGAAAGGAUAAAAUAAUAAUUUUAUAGAAAUAACAGCGGAUUCUAAAAUUUUACUAACAAAAUUUAACUUUUCAGAAGUAUAUGGAAACAUGGAAAGGAUAUUUUUUAUAUUAACCUUCUAAGGAAGGUAAAUAAACAAGUUUAUAUAUUUAAUUUCCUCUAAUAUAAAAAGGAUAUAUAAUUGAGAGGCACCCUAAGCUCGACAUUUUUACCUUAACAUAUUCGGCCGGGCAGGAACAAGGCAUUUGUUGGACACCACCGAGCAUUGUCGGGCCCGAGUCACCCCAAACGCAUGCUUAGAUCCAAAUCAUUGCAUGAUGCGUCCACAUUCUACAGAACCUUAAUUAGCUCUCCCUUUUACUUAGUCGCAUCAAACAAGCCCGUGACAUGGGCUGUAUAAGAGACCAUAUGUAACUAAAAUUCACCAACCUUAUAUUUUUCUUUUAUUUCGUUUUCAUCUUCUCUACUUUUUGUUUUUUUUAUCUUUUUUGAUCCCCUCAGAGAAAGGAAAAAAGAAAAAAGAAAUAAGGGAAAUGCCUGUACAGGGGAUCUUUGUACCAAUUCCUAGCAAUUUACUUCUCAUUUAGGGCAUAUUUGUGGUCCCAAUGUACAUAAAUUUUUUUUUUUUUUUCAUAUUCAAUACCAUUUACUUUCAGUUGGCCCACCACAAAGGACCAAAUUUUGUAGAGCCAUAUAUCUACAUCACAUCUAUUCACUUAAAUAGAACAAGGAUCCAAGCUUAUUCGAUCGGUCAAGCUCUGUUCCUGUUUGCACUUGCACACGCACAUGCGCGGCGCGUGACGAUUACAUGAAAAAUUUAAAAGCGCCAAGCUGUACAGUGUACCCACACACCACAAUCUAAAUUUCAGGUACCCAUCACUCUUAUUUAAUGUAUAGCACAUAGCAUAGCAUACGCCACCUGGAUGGUCGGCAAUUGGUCGAGCUCGAUGCUGAGGUGGCACGACACUAGGCCGGCACGUGGCUUUAAUGAUUGGUGCUUAGGCCUAUUUUUGGAGGGGCUAAGUGUAUUCAAUGUCAUGCUUCCACUUAGCAUCUCCCUCCCCGUCAUUUUACUUUUCUCCUCCACUUUACCCUUUUUAUAUAUCAUGCAAUUUUUUAGGGUGAAAUUAAGUUGCAAAAAAAAAAAAAAAAAAAAGAAAAAAAAAAAAAAAAAAAAAAAAAAAAUAAUUAAUAAGGAUUUAAUCUUAAUUAAUUUGCGGAAAGGUGGUGUAUAUGUGCGGACAUGCUUGGUGCGGAUCUUCUUUGAUGUUGGACCAUUAUUUUCUUGUGAUUAAAUAAAAUUAAAAUAUUCCCCAAAAAGAAAGAAAAAGAAAGAAAAAGAAAAGGUCGAGAGGUGGGAGUGGGCCCUUUUGUCACCAUUGUGAUUAGAGUAAAGCACAUGAUCAAAGCAAAUGCUUUGCAAUUCCGGUUAAGAAAGGCAACUUAGCUAGCAAAACACUUUUUUCCAUCUCGUUCCCUUCCAAUUCACACUCGAUCAUAAAACGAAGAAACAGAGAGAAAGUUAAGCAGUUUUCUUCUUUUCUUUUUUUUUUUUUAUUUUUUCUCUCCCUAAUCCGACAUUUGGGAGAGAGAAGUGAAGGAUUUACGGCUUAAUUAUCACUAGAAACCGAACUGGAUUAAUUUGAGUGGGACCUGAACUCGAUCGAGUCCUAGCUAAAUGGAACGGGUACUCUAUGAGAGGAUUAUAGCUGGGUCAAACUCCCGUUCCUCAAGACAAAUUUAAAAUCAACACGGAAAGAAACUUAAAGCAAAAUUACCUUCCAAAAUUCAUCAAACCAAACACAUUUAGGGAGAUUGAUAUAUUUUAUACAUAAAUUAACAGCGCCUACAGUACUAUCUUGUAGAGUUUAUACAUGAAGUAGUCUUUUUUUUUUUCUUUUUUUUCUUUUUUUUUUUGUUGUUGUUGUUGUUGUUGCAGAGAACCCUCACAUUUUGAACUUGGAAAGGCCAAAAAGAAGCAGGAGAAGAUUUGGGCAUGCAGUGUUUGGACAAUUCAUGCGAUCAUCUUCCUUGUGUACCUUGAAUUCCUCUCUGCGCUUAAAAUUGUGAUCAUGAUAGUUAAUUUCAGAACUAACCAUGCACCACCCAUGCAGCUCGAUCUCACGUACGUGCGUUUGUAAGCUCUAGCAGUACUCCCACAGGAGCGGCUCCUCAAACCGGAACUCGCCGCCGCCGCCGUCCUCCUCAUCCUCCCACGACGACGGAAACCAGAAGCCGUCUCUCAAGUCGAGGAGGAGGUCCGGCAGGUCGUCGCCGGCGGCGGGAAAUGCGGCGGCGAGGGCGGCGGCGGCCUGGAUGUCCUUGGGGGAGGCGGUGGCGGGGCGGGGGAGGGCGGGGGCCAGCUCGGGGAAGUUGAGGUGCGCCGACUGGCCCUUGAUGGUCAGCGCCGCCACGUCGUGGGCGCGCGCCGCCAUCUCGGCGGUGGGGAAGGUGCCGAGCCAUAUCCUCGACUUCUUCCUCGGCUCGCGGAUCUCCGACACCCACUUCCCCCAGUUCCGCAUCCGCACCCCGCGGUACACCGGGUGCUUCCCCUCCUUGCUCCGCUUCUGCUUGCUCUCCCCGCCCCCGCCCCCGCCCCCGCCGACUGCGUCCGCUUCUCGUUUACAGCUGUUCUUACCGCCCUUCUUUAGACCGCUGCCCGAUUUCUCUGCCGGUGGCGACGGCGCAUUGGGACAAGGCGAGGUGGUCGUAGGAGUACUCGAAGUAGAGUUAGAGGAUGACAACGACGACGACGACGUCGCCUUCAACAAGCUCUUUUUCCUUCUCCCCCUACUACUGCUAUUACUACUAUUGUUGCAACCACCGCUCUCACUCCAAUUCUUUCUAUUCCUCUUCCCAAAAUACCCUCGCUCUGCGAAAUCCCCGCCCUUUUUUUGAAAAUGCCCUUCACCUGUACCGCAAUUCUCGUUAGUGUCCCCGUCCCCGUCCUGCUCGAAUCGGAACACGAAAACCGCGUCCCCGGCGUCUCCGAACGCCGUCGGCGGCGGCGCGGAAUCGUCGGGGAGGCGGAAGAGCCAAUUGUGUAGGUCCCACGAGACGCGUAUCCGACCACCGCCCUCCGCCGCCGCCGACGACACCGUCUCGCUCCCGCGGAACGCCCACCGCAGCCGCGGCACGUUCAAUACGCAAUUCCCGUCCACCAUUAUAAGCAUCCCCACCUCCCCCAAUCCCCUCCUCCCCCUCCCCCUCUCCCUCUCCCUCUCCUUCGCCUUCUCCGCGCCGCGCUCGCCAAGCUCGAUCGCGAUCUCCCUCUCCCUUCCCCCGAGCCGCGCCGUGGUCCGGUAGGUUCUAGNUAUAUAUAUAUAUAUAUAUAUAUAUAUAUAUAUAUACUUAUAUAUACAUAUAUACACAAUAUAGACGAUCACGAGAUACACGGACGUAGCUUUCGAUAGAUAAGGACUCAUUGCUAUCUUUAUCUUAAAAAAAUUUAACAAACUGAAAAUUUUAUCCUUUGUCACUUGGACUAGUGAAAAAAAAAAAAAAAAAAAAAAAUUUUUUAUACUCUAUUUAGAUGGAGAGGGGAAAAAAAAAGGACAGUUAGAAAGAAAAUUUUUUCUCUAUGUUCAAACUAAGUAGUAUCAUGAGAAUAAAAUUUUAUUUGUGUUACCGACCGUUCCUAGAGCAAAUGGCAAAGGGCUUGGUGGUUGAUACCCGAGACCCAAGUUCGAAUCCAAAUUGAUUCAUAUUUUCAGCCAAAUUUAUUUCUAAAUUAAAUAAAUGAAACGGACAGCGUGCUAUUUAUUUCUAUAAAAAAAAAAAAUAUUUGUGUUUCAAAAUUACGGUACAUAAAUGAAUAGCCUCUUACAUCUCUAGCUCGAUUAUUCUAAAAUUUUUAAUCAAAUUUAGUAAAAAUAACACCUUUUAACGACUAGAAAAAAAAUUCUUAUUGAAAGUACUUUUAAUAUUUUUAGAAUAAGAAUUCUUGCACAUGCCCGAAGGAGAGUAGGCGAUUGAUUAAUUAAUAAACACAUUGGUGCAUAUAAAAAUUUGGAAGUACAAAAAACUAUUUUAUUAUUAUACAUUAGUCGCCAAACGGUACGCCAAAGAAUUUGGGCGGUUGAGUUGAUAUCCAAACAGUGAUGCCGUGUUACAGAGGGAAAAAAACGAUACCAAAUCUUCAAUAGUGACUAAAGUGCAGGUUGGUAAUAUAUAUAUAUAUAUAUAUAUAUAUAUAGAGCAGGACUGCUGUGCUCUUAGGAGCACGGAGCCCUCCGUGCUUCUGAGCCGUUUUCGAUGAUGGGACUCUCAAAUCGACGAUCGGCUCCGUUAGACUUGAUCUAGCGUAUUUGAAGUUUCUAGAAAAUAAUUUUUGCAAUUUUUCGAUAUCAUUUACCUAGCAAUCGAAAGGAUUCAAAAUCAAUAAUUUUUAACGGCUGAAAAUAAAAAUCCUAUAAAAAGUGGUGAUAUAGCACUAAAAUUUUCGAUCAUAAAUAUUGAUCUUGUUGUAGACAGUAUAAAUAAUUUUGUAUCAAAAUUUUAUCUAAUUUGAAUACUUCUACACCGUUAAACUUGAAAAUGGCAGAUAUCAACCAUUCAAAAUUAUUGAUUUUGAAUCCUUUCGAUUGUUAGGUAAAUGAUAUCGAAAAAUCGCAAAACUUAUUUUCUAGAGACUUCAAAUACCCUAGAUCAAGUCUAACGGAGCCGAUCGUCGAUUUGGAUGUCCCAUCAUCGAAAACGGCUCAGGAGCACGAAGGGCUCCGUGCUCCUGAGAGCACAGCAGCCCUGCUCUAUAUAUAUAUAUAGAGAGAGAGCAAGGCCGCUGUGCUCUCAGGAGCACAGAGCCUUCCGUGCUCCUGAGCCAUUUUCGAUGAUGGAAUUUUCGAAUCGACGAUCGGCACCGUUGAAUACGAUCUAUACCACUUGAAAUAUUUAGAAAUCAAAUUUUAUAUAUUUUCGAUAUUGUUCUCUUAUCCAUCGAGUUGACACAAAAAUGAACGGCUGAAAAUAAAUAUUCAUUAAAAAAUGAUGAUAGGAGUCUUGUAAUCAAAAUCAAGAGUAUAGAUCUUGUUUUAAAUAGUUUAAAGAAUUUUCUAACAAAUAUUCAAUUGAUUUGGAUAUCUUUACGCCGUUAAACAAGAAAACGUCUCAUAUUGACCAUUAAAAUUACAAAUUUUAAAACCCUUUGAUCAUUACGCAAAUGAUGUCGAAAAGAUUUGAAAUUUGAUUUCUAAACACUUCAAGUGAUAUAGAUUAUGUUCAACGAUGCCGAUCGUCAAUUUGGAGGCUCCAUCAUCGAAAACAAAUGGGUGGCAACGGAGCCCGUUUGCUAUCGAUAGUAUUCUAGCUCAACUCUCUCUCUCUCUCUCUAUAUAUAUAUAUAGAGUGAGGCUACUAUGCUAUCGGAAGCACGGAGCCUUCCGUGCUUCCAGCUCGUUUUCGAUGUUGCGACUUUCGAAUCGUCGAUCGGCUCCGUUAAACUUGAUCUAGAGUAUUUGAAGUACCUAGAAAAUAAAUUUUAUAAUUUUACGAUAUCAUUUGUCUAGUGAACGAAGGGGCUCAAAAUCAACGGCUGAAAAUAAAAAUCUUACAAAAUGUAAUAAUAUGACAUUAAAAUUUUAAAUCAAAGAUAUUGAUCUUGUUUUAUAUAGUAUAAAGAAUUUUCUAUCAAAAUUUCACGUGAUUUGGAUAUUUCUACACCGUUAAACUUGCAAACGGCUCACUACGGCCAUUAAAAUUUGUUGAUUUUGAGCCCAUUCGAUCAUUAGUCAAAUGAUAUCGAAAAAUAAUAAAAUUUAUUUUCUAGGUACUCCAAAUACUCUAGAUCAAGUUUAACGGAGCCGAUCGACGAUUCGAAAGUCGCAACAUCGAAAACGAGCUGGAAGUAUGGAAGGCUCCGUGCUUCCGAUAGUAUAGUAGCCUCACACUCUCUCUCUCUCUCUCUCUCUCUCUCUCUCUCUCUCUAUAUAUAUAUAGUGGGCUGGUAUGCUUAUAUGGAAGUACGGAGCCCUCCGUGCUUCCAAGUUGUUUUUGAUGUUCGGACUUUCGAAUCGAUGAUCGGCUCCGUUAGAGUUGAUCUAGAGUAUUUGAAGUACCUAGAAAAUAAAUUUUGUGAUUUUUCGAUAUCAUUUGCCUAGUGAUCGAAGGGGCUCAAAAUUAAUAAUUUUAAUGACCAUGGUGAGCCGGUUGCAAGUUUAACGGUGUAGAAAUAUCCAAAUCACAUGAAAUUUUGAUAGAAAAUUCUUUAUACCAUAUAAAACAAGAUCAAUAACUUUGAUCUCAUCAUAUUUUGUAAGAUUUUUAUUUUCAGCCGUUGAUUUUGAGCCACUCUGAUCACUAGGCAAAUGAUAUCGAAAAAUUGCUAAAUUUAUUUUCUUGAUACUUCAAAUACUCUAGAUCAAGUCUAACGGAGCUGAUCGUCGAUUCGAAAGUCCGAACAUCGAAAACAAAAUGGAAGCACGGAGCCCUCCGUGCUUCCAUAAGCAUUCUAACCGCACUCUAUAUAUAUAUAUAUAUAUAUAUAGCAACUACAAAUAAUAAUUUAAUAAUAAAUAUAAAAUAUCUAUAAAAUUAAAAUAUUUUUAGUAUUAAUUUUUUUCAUAGUAUUAUGACACUUGCAAUCGUAAUUUUAUAAUAUUAUAAAAGUAAAAAAAAAACUGUAAGUAUUUUUAACUUUUUUAGAUUUUUUAUAGUAAAAGAUGGUGCUUCUAUUUACCAUAUUAACAUACUAGUCAUAACCAUCUAAGUUUAUUAAUUAAUACACCCAAAAUCAUAUCGAAUAUUUAUUUGAGAUUGGGAACAAUAAACAUACAUGUACAUAAUUAUCCAGAGAUAAAGUAGUGUACACAGCAAGAUUGUAGAAGAGGUAAACUAAAAAUAACACUCACUAAAAGCCAGGGCAAUGUGCCCUAGGGCGCAAGAUUAUACACAAAGUUACAGUACUGUUAUAGAUUCUCUGAUGUGACAUUAAAAAAAACUUAAAAUGCCUCGUAAUCCUAAUGAUAUAAUAGAAAUAAACAGUGCUAUUCAUACACCAUAUAAAUAAAUGUAAAACUUACGCCUAUAAAUUCUUUAUGAACUAUAUUAAUCCAUUUGUCUUAUUAAUUUUUUUUAACUAAAAACUUCAAUAGAAUAUUUUAAAAGUUUAAAUUAUAGAUGUAAGAUAUACAUCCUCUAAAAAGAAUGUAUCGACAAUAUUUUUUAAUAUAUAUACAAUAUUAAUUAUUUUAUUGAUAGUACAACAUUAUGUAGCUAAAAGUACUUUCCAAAAGGACUAUUAAUAAAAAGACAAUAAUAAUAAUAAUAAAGCGCAUAGUAAAGUAAGGAGUUAUGUUUUCUAUUUUAGGUUUUUGGGUAAAAAUAUACUGAUAAAAAAAAUAUUUGUUUUAUAAUUUUUAUUUAAGUCUUCAAUAAAAUAAACUUUUUAAAUGAACUAAAGUGUCCCUCCUCUAUAUCGGCAAGAUUUUAUUAGAAACUGAAAUAGAAGUCAAAGAAGGGUAAAACGUUAAACACUCUUUAAGUAAUAGAAUGAUAAACUCCCUCUAUGCUAUACAAAGAGUGUUGAAACUUAAUUUUCCGUAAAUAAAUAAACUUAGGGCUAGUUCAUGUCAGAUUUAUGUCCUCCAUGUACUUUUUGUAGUGAAGAAAAAAACAUGAAGGGAAAAUUAUUGGCAUAUUUUAUGCUUUUUUUUUUUUUGGCCUUCCUUGUGCAUUUUUAGAAUUUUAUUAUAUUUUAUUUACUUUUGUUUACUGUUCCGUUUUGUGACAAAUAAUGAUGGGAAUAGGUUUUAAACUGAUGGGAACAUAUUAGGAAAAGGGGGAGUCUCCCUCCGCCCACUCGUUUUUCUUAGCUAAUUUAGGCGAAUUCAGAACGAAUAAUUAUUAUUUUUUGUUUUUCGACUUCAACUUAUAGUUACUUCGCUCCGGACAGAUGUAUUACAGGAGCUCUAUCAAUACGGAUUCAUUUGCACCCCUAGUUUCGACCAAACCGUCUCGAGGAUCCGAGUUCUAUGCCUUCGCUCAGCGAUGUGGUUACCCCACCCACCACUUAUUUCGAAUGCCACAUUUUCCCCUCUGCAACAGUAACUUGCCAAUAUAGAAAAUACAAGAGAAUAUCUUCUCCGUACAAUGAUUAACUAAUUUAGCAUUUCUUGUGGGGGCUAAACAGAGGCCUCAUUUUCGCACUAUCGUAUGUCACACUACAUAUGAGUCUGAUUUACCAGCUGUGAGUAGCUCUAGGCCUCCGUGGCUCCACGUCAAAUUCGAAAUAAGACGCGUCACGUCGUUAAAAGUUUUAGAAAAUAUAUUUUGUAAUUUUGUCAAAUUUUCAAAUACUUCCAUUAUGUUUAAUAGCAGUUAUAUAUAUAUAUAUAUUUCAUUGCUCUAAAUGUAUAACGUACUGCACUGUAGAUCUCACAUUUUAAUUAAUUUGGUCCCAGAAACCCCUUUCCAGUGAUGCUUCAAAAGGAAGCUCAAUUAUGAACAGCUUGUGAAGGAAACGCUUAAAUAUUUCGUGUACAACGCAUGGCAAUUUAUAAAUUAAUUGGAGGUGGUAUAAAGUGUUGCUACGUUGCAUGAGGCGCGCAGCUUGUGUGAUUGAUGCUUUUCCUCUACCGGAACACAACUCAGGAAGAGCUUUUUUGUCUUGUAUAUAUAUAUAUAUAUAUAUAACCACAUCACGUAGAUUCUUAAUACCAUUUUUUAAUUAAAAAAAAUGGGGGGAAAAAAAAAAAAGCAGACCAUGAGGUGUUUGUGACGUUAGGUAGCGUUAUUCUUUGGAUUUAAUUAGGUGGGGAUUUAACGGGUCGGAUUCGUUAACAUCUUAAGGGGUCCGUGGUAUCAAUUUCUAGAGCUUCACGUCGACCUAUCGUUAAAGUUCAAAAGCACACUGAUUUGCUUAGCUACAGUGGGAUCUAAUUAAAGCAUGCGAUAGGUUUUGUAGCCUAAUUUUUCACCUAUUAUUCACUAAUAAAAGAAGUAACUGGGCCAAUGAUCAUGACAUGGAUAAUAUAGUUUUAACCUCCAAAAGUGAGAGGAGGAUCCAAGGAGUAAUCAAUGAGGGGUCUAUAUUUUGGACCCCCACCAAAUUUUAAAAUAAUAAUAAUAAAACAAAAAACCAAAAACAAAAAAUCAUGGUGCUUGACUUGCAUAAAUGAACGCCAUGGAUUAAUUAAAUGGAAUUAAUUGCCACCUAACAGAUAGAAUCCGUCGUCUAGCUCAUACAAGUUUUGUCCCCGCAUGCGCCACCCCCACCAACACCCAAUAAGAUCUCUUCAAUAUAAACCAUCAUUUUUUCCUUUAUUUAAUUAUUUGUUGAAUAUAAAAUAUCAAUACAAUUAACAAGCAGCUUAAAUUUUUAGAGAAAAUUAAUUAUUUCUAUAAUAUUAUCAGCACAUGUCGUAUUGAUAUUGAGUUCCACUAAAAUCUAAUUUUCACUAAUAUUGUCACUAAUAUUGUCGAACAAAUUUUGUCCCCACAUGGGCCACUCUCACCAUCCCCCAAUGAUCUAUUGAAUAUUCUAUUAUUUUUUUCCAAAAAAAUUAAUAUAAUAUAAUUAAUGAGCACAGCUUAAGUUUUUAGCGAAAAAAAAAAAUUUUUUUUAUAAUAUUAUCAGCACAUGAGGUGUUGAUAUUGAAUUCCAUUAAAAUCUAAAUAUUAUCGUACAAGUUUUGUCCCCAUAGGGGCCACCCUGACCAUCACCCAAUAAUCUCUUAUUCUCUUGCAUAUUCCAUCAUUAUUUCCUUUCAUCAUUUGUUGAAUAUAAAAACAUAAAUAUAAUUAACAAACAGUUUAAGUUCUUAGCAAAAAAUUAUUAUUUUCUAUAAUAUUAUCAACACAUGAUCGAUGUUUUGAUAUUGAAUUCCACUAAAUUCCAAUUUCGGUUGUCAACAUGUCUCUAUUCGAUAGACAAAAUAAGGAAUAUAUAAAAUAUUAAAAUAUUAUUAUUAUUAUUAUUUAAUAGCUUAUAUUUGUUACAAAAAAAACAUUAUUUUGCAUACUUACAUAAUGAUAUUCUAUUGCAUCGCUUAACAAAGGGCAGGAAUUGGCCUCUAAAUACCACAUGAAAAAAACAGUGUAUUUUACGUUUUAAUAAACAUCAUUAAUUCUCCAAUAGAUUUUUGGAAAAUAACAAUUAUUCCAUAUUAUUUAAUACAAUAUCAGAGCAUAAGGUUCUAGAUUCGAAUCAAUAUAAGCUUUUGAAGAACAUUUAUUCAUAUUAUGUAAUAUUAAUGUGAUAUAUUAGACCUUAGGUUUUGUUGACGCUUUGUAUAUAUAGACAUAUAUAUUUUUGUGCAUGCGACGGGUCUGUUGACUUAAUCCGAACUUUUGCUGUAAUCCAACACAUAACAAUUAAUUAAGUGAAUAAUUAAAAUGAGUGAUAGAUUGAUUAAAGAACAUUUGAAAAAAAAAAAAAAAAACAUUGCACCUUAUUUUUAGUUUUUUAAUAACUUAUAUUUAAAUAAACAAAAUAAUUAUUUUACAUUUUAGAGAAUGGUAUAUAUUGCGUUGCAUCACAUAUAAAAAAGGCAGGAAUUUGCCUCUAAACUCCACGUGAAAAUAAAGAAAGUAUAUUUUACGUUUUACCUAAGUAACAAAUAAAUGAUUAUAUUAAUUAAAAUCAUUUGAAAAAAAAAUAGAUGUUGUACCUAAUUACUAAACAUGAGUUGAUUGUUGUUCCAGCUGCUGCCUCUCCUCGAUGGAUUCAUGUAUCACGUUUUGCUAAACUCCAAUUCCGACUCGCGAACAUGUCUCGCUUGCGCACACAAAAAAGAAUGUUAAAUACAAAAUAUUAAAUCACUAUUUUUAGUUUUUUUUAAUAGCUUAUAUUAAUAAAAAAAAUUCUUUUUUUUUUUUAGAAAGAUGUAGCUAGCUAUCCGCUUCAUUUAUUAAGCAAAAUGAACUAAGCUUUCAAGAUAGAAGCAGUCAAGACUUCCGAGGGAAAAGAAAAGAGAAAACAAAAUAAAAAAAAAAAGGAAAAAGAAUGAGAAAUAAACAAACUAGAAUAGAAUGGUGUAAGAUGAGUAGUAGACUAUGCUCUGCAGAAUUUACUCCAAUUGGUCAGAAAAAGUUUCACAUGUUCCAACAAAUGCAGAAGAUUGGGGGAGGGGAUCUCACUUGGAAGAUAAAAAUGUUCUGCUUCGGUCCAGACAACCCACCAAAUAGCCGACAGUAGAAAUAGUCUCUUUUGUCUCAUCUCAGUAUCUUCUAGGUUGAAAAUCUUUCUCCAAAGUUCUCGAGCCUCCUCCGAGGGUUUGAGGAGUAUUUCUACUCCAUCUGCGCGGAGGAGAAGGUAUUUGACAUACACGCAGUUAAAAAAUAGAUAGUCACAGGUUUCCAAGUCAUUGGCACAGAAGACGCAAGCUUGCUCCUCAAGCCAUCCUCGGUUUCACAUUCUAUCAGCAGCUAGGAUUCUAUUACAGAGGAGUAAUUAACCAAAUGAAGACUUGAUUUUAACUAGAAUUGUCAAUCUCCAUAUAUACUAACUCAUCGGGUCUUUCCGUCCAGCAUCUGUAAGAAACGAGUAAAGUGAUUUGACAGUAAAUUAUUAGUUUGAAGUCCAGCGCAAGUUGAUCGAGCCCAAGUCCAACCUAUUGAUUGGGCAGAAAGGCUAGAGCAGGUCCUUUAAUUUCGAUAACUGACUGUCCCUUCUUGUAGAAUGGGACGACACGUAACCACAACAGAUAUAGUGCCAUCUCCAACCUUCCAAGGAAAAAAAUGCUUAUUUUACUUUUUUAACACUCAAGGCCUUUAGGGGCCAUUUGUCCUCAUUAGAUAAUGAUAUUAUUUCCAUUGCAUCACAUACAAAAAAGGUAGGAGUUUGCCUCUAAAAACCACGUGAAAAAAAUGAGAGCGCAUUUUGCGUUUUAUGUAAGUAAAUAAUUCAAAUAUAUGAUUAGAUUCACUAAAUAUCAUUUGACAAAGAAUAAAUAUUGCACCGAAUUAACUUAAACUAGGACAACAUCAAGGAAGAGUAAUUAAACACCAGUUGAUUAUUGUCUCAGCUAGUUGAUGGAUUAAUAUAUAUCAUGUUUUGUUAAAAUUCUCACUUCAAAAGAAAUCAAAUUACUAUAUUUUACAAUUAUAUGCAUCUAAUUAAGUUGGAUAUAUGGUGUGCUUGAUUUAUUAUCUAGUGAAAAGUUUGGUCCAGAUAUAAGUAUAAGUUACUGAUCACGUGCAUCGUGUUUCUCCAACCCUAAGAAAGUGAGAGAUUUUGCUCCAACCUAAACGUGCGUGAAAUUAAUAUCUCUUAAUUAAUUACCUCUCCAAUUUGUGUUGAUUGCAACAACUUUUUGGGACCACGUUCAAGGAUUGUUUGGUUUCAAGUAAAUUUAUCGAUUUUUUUUUUUUUUAGUUUGUUGUAAAACAAAGAGAUUUUGCAUCACAAAUUAUUUUAGUUUUCUGAUGUUAUGUUUUUUCUUUCAUUGUUUGAUUAUAUAAUAAAUUAUUUCAAGUUUUUAGUUAAAUAUAUGUAUUUUCAAUAUAUUUUAUACUGUGCUUUAUGCACAUCUAACGCUAUAUUUAUUGUAUAUAAUAUUAAUAUUUUAUACAUAUAUUUAUAUAUAUAUAAUGCUCGGUCCAAUGGGAAACCAAGUUGCACUUCUUACGUGGUCCACCAGGCCUGGCGUGCAUUUGUGGACCCGCUUGAGUGCUCCAAGCCUUGCACCGCAUUUUUAUUUUUCCCCCCUUCCACUUCAAUUUUCGGACUUUUUAGAGGGAAAAAUGAAAAAGUAAAAUUUUUAAGUAAAAUUGUAAAAUAAUUUUACACAAAAAGCUAUUUACAAGCAUCCAAAUGCUUAAAAAUUUAUUUUUCAAGACUAAAAUAAUUUUCAGCCUGAUUUUAUAAGGAUCUAACCAUUUUCUUAACUUGGCCGAUUUUUAAAUUUAGAAUUUCGAAUAUCAAUCAUCAAGUCUUUUACCAUUUGUGCUAUAUGGGUGAUUGGUUUUUGUGUACAUGCAAUACAAAAAUGAUACUGUUGAGGCUAAUUACUCUAGCUACUAUUAUAUUCAAAAAGAAAAUAUAAAGUCUCUUACAUUAAUACAAUACUGUUGAGUCAACUCAUGUCAUAAUUAAUUUCACCACACCAUUUUGUUUUGGUCAUUAUAAAAUCAGUUUUCAAUCUCCACUCCUGACCACCACAAUUGCUUGCGUUGAUGAAAUUUUACAUGCAAAAUCCAGUAACGAGUAUAUUCAAACAACUUAAUUCACUCAAUGCCAAUCAGAUCCAAACUUUUCAAUCACUUUUCAAGUAUCUUUGUGCUAUUUUGCUUCUUUAGUAGAGGAAUAGGGCUUGAUUUAUAAAAUGUGCACGUUAAAUUGCAUAUUCCACAUGCAAAAUUUCCUCUUCUAUCCGGGCAAUGAUGGAGACAAAACAAAAAUUGGCAACUUUUUGUCUUGCUCUUUGUAAAUUUUUGUAUUGAUCUAUGAUUUACUUUAGAGGCUUAAAGGCUUAAAAAUUCGAUUUAAAGAGUAAAGCUUUUCUCUCGCCCUUUUUUUAUUUUUUUUAUUUUUAUUUUUUCACAUCCAACAAUGCGCAUUCUCAUUUGAUCCAUUAUACAGAAUAUCUGUGUUGUUGGAGUAGAUACAUAAUCAUAUAUAGUAAAGUUGCAGGAGGUCUUAACUUUAAAUUAUAAUUACCAAAUUUUAAUUUCUAAUUAAAUUUCCUUCUAUUUAAUUAAAACUCAUAUAUUUAACCUAGUAAAAAAAAAAUCUCAAAUUCAAACAUGAAAGAAUUAUAUAAAAGACUAAAAUAGCAUUCUCUCAUAUGUGUUGUUGUUGUUGUUGUUGUUUUUUUUUUUUUUUUUUUUUUUUUUUUUUUUUUUUUUUGUGAGAGAGAGAUAGCUAGGUAGCAUGCUACCCAUUUAAUUCGUUUACUUUAUUUAGAAAUAAACUUAGCUGGAAAUGUGAAUCAAUUAGAAUUUGAACUUGAGACCUCGGAUAUCAACCACCAAGCCCUUUGCCACUUGCUCUAGGGACAGUCGGUGCAUUCUCUCAUAUGUUACUUUACAACAGAUGAGGCGGCCUGCACAGUAUAAAGUGCGCGGAAUUUCAACCUCACAUUAAAUAUCACCAUUACAUGCAAUUCAAAAUUCUUCGCAUGAUCGUUAUCAUAGAGAGAAAAGAAGAACUUAAAUCUGUUUACUUAUUAUACUUAUGAGCAAUGCUUCAAUACUCCGUUGUAAUCUUAGCCGUUUAUUUUUAAUCAAUGAAGGGUUAAGAUUUAUGCAUAAAAAAAGGUGACCUGCUAUUGCACAAGAAGUACCGGUCACCAGGUAUGUGAUUUAGGAGUUUUUUUGGAAAAAAAAGAGCUAAUAUAAAAAAUUAAAUAACUAAUAUUGGAAAGUUUUGCAUACUACCCUUAAAUCAUGGAGAUAAUAAAUUUUUAAUUAAAUUAUCCAUUUUUAAAGCGGAUUUUAAUAAAAAUUUAUGAUCGCAUUUGAGCCAUAAAUUUAGUAAUUUAUAAUUUAAAAUUAAUUUUCAAACAUCAAAACUUUAUGUUUAAAUAGUUAACAAAAUUUAUUUUUUAAGUAUAAUAUAAAUUAAAUCGAAAUUUAUAAUUUAAAUUUGAUCAUUAUUUUUGAAAUUUAAUGCUGUUUUUCAAUAUUGAAUUAACAAUUUCAACUUACUUUAAAAUGUAGAAAUCUUUUAUUUUAAAUAAAUAAUAAAUUGACAAUUUGAAUUGAAAUGUUUACUCGUUUAAAUAUAAAUUUUUCUUUCUAAAAUUUAAAUAUUAUAAAUACAAAGUUUAAACUCAAGUUAAAAUUUAAAUUCGAAUUUAUGAAGAUUUAUCACUUAUGAAAUUAGCCAUUAUCUAAGUUGGUAAGUAACAAAAUUAAAUUAGGAAAUGAAGAUUUGUUGGAUAUUAUUAAAUUUGGUAAUUGACUAAUGCAUAGUUUCAAAUAUUAUCUUUAUGAUUGAUUGGUAACCUGUUGAGCAGGUUACCAUUGUGUAAAAGUCAAUCUUAACCUUAAAAUUGAAUGGCCGGAUUUAAAUUGGCCGAUGUAUAGAAGUAUUUCUCAAAAAAAAAAAAAAAAAAACUUUUGGUGGGCUAAUACACCCAAAGGAGGAAAAAGUAUUUAAUGUGCUAACCAAUCAAUUGAUCGUGCUGAGAUUUCUUAAUUCGCAAAUUGUCUAUUCCUAUCGCAAAUUUUAGACUCAUAAUUUAGAAUAGAGAGAAAGGAAUCGAAUUGUCCAACAUGGCUGUGGUAUUAAUUAUUGAGUACUCCAAAAGAAAAUAGCGUACUACGCAAUGUCGUUAAUUAUUGAGUAUUCCAAAAUAAAACAGUAACUUGUGCCAUCGUACCUUGUCUUAUGUGGUUGGAUUGGCAUCUCUCCUAUUCCUUGGAGUAGAGUUUUGAAGUUUACAGGCGAGAAAAAUUAUUUUCAGUAUAAGAAAUACUUUUUCGCUUUUUUGGUUCGACGUUUUACGAAUUAAAAAAAAAAAAAAUUGAAGUUUUUACUUUACGUUAUUUUUCAGCAGAAAACGAAAAUUCAAGCUGCAUAAAACUUUUUUCAUUCUCUUUUUUUUUACCAAACCAAACAAAUGCGAAUUAUUUUUCUUUCUAACUAAAUAAAUAUUGAUGAAAAAUUAUAUUUUUCCUACAAAUUAAAUACUAUAAGACGUGAAAAAACUUUCCACUAAUGUUUUUACAUAAAAUAUUAUUUUUUACGAUUUUACGUUGAACCAAACGGGUCACGCUGUUGUUGGGGGUCAAUUUGGAAGUUCCUUGGGGUAGGAUUUUGAAGUUUAGUGGUAUGUGGGCAAAGAUCAUAAUUAAAAGGAAAAAACAAAAAAAAAAAAAGGUUAUAUCUGAAGUAACAUGCCAAAGAUGUGCGAAAUGAACAUCGCCUGCAAAACAAAGGUUUGGGUCAACUUUUUUGCUUGUGAACUUUUCUCAAACAGAACAGAAAUAAAAAACAAAAAACUUGUGGUUUGUGGUUGGUAGCUACACAAGAUAUAGAAACUUCUAGUUUAGAGCCUUUUCCCAGUUGUAGUUGGAAUACAACUAUCACCUUGUUAGGAGAUUGUGAAUCCAACCAAAGUAUAGGUUUUCAAACCAAUUAUGGUUCAAUUAUCAAAAUCAUAUUAUAGUAAUGCAUGUUUGGUAUCUAUCUAUCAAAAAUUUUGUUGUAACUAAAAGCUAAUAACAGUUGUAGUAGUAGUAGUAGUAGUAGUAGUAUUAGUAGCAGUUGUAGUAGUGGUGGUUGUAGUUAGGGGUGGCAAUCCAGCUCGCUGUUCGUGAGCCAGCUCGUGUUCGGCUCGAAAUGAGCUCGAGAUCGGCUCGCUCGUUUAGUAAACGAGCCAAACACGAGCUUGAUUUUUCAGCUCGUUUAAUAAACGAGCCGAACACGAGCUGGGGUCAGCUCGUUCGUGUUCGGCUCGAUAACAGCUCGAAUACAUAUAUUUUAUAUUUAUAUAAUUUAUUUAAUUUUAUACUUUUAUAUAAAAAUAAAUAUUAUGAUAUAAUAUAUUUUAUUAUUUAAUUUUACAAAAUAAAAUAUAAAAUGCGAUUAAUUAUUAAAAAGACUGAUUUAUAUGUAAAGUUUCAAACUAUUAGAUCAAAGUCUAAUAGAUAAGAUUUUAUAAAUUAUUUAUAUAUAUUUAAUCUAAUUUUUCUUUUUAAUUUAUUGUUCGUUCGCCAGCUCGUGAGCCAGCUCGUGUUCGGCUCGUUAAUAAACGAGCCGAACACGAGAGCUGAAUUUUUCAGCUCGAUACUUUAACUGAGCAGCUCGAUGUUCGGCUUCGUCUAAUAAACGAGCCGAACACGAGCCGACCCUAGCUCCGCCUCGUGUUCGGCUCGUUUACACCCCUAGUUGUAGUAGUCGUAGUAGUGGUGGUAGCUCUUCCUUUCUCCUGUGCUUCAUUUUUUUUCCGAUUUAGUUUUUUUUUGUUCGUCUUUUGUUUCGUCUCGCCCAUCUCGCUCCCCUCUUUCGGAAGUCCUGGCUGCUUCCAUUAUGUAAGUCUGAUUCAUUUUCUUAAUAAAUGAAACAGAUAGCUCGCUAUCUAAUUCUCAAAAAAAAAAAAACUAAAAGCUAAUAACAUGAGGCUUCAAAAACUCAAAAACAAACCGAAGCUCCAUUUUGAAGGUCUUUUACUUAGUAGUGUAGUAAGCAAUUGAUGCAGAGACUUUAACAAAAGAUUUAUGGUGCCUCUCAGAAAAGCUAUAUUUCAAUAAAAAUUUUGUAAUAACUCACCGGCCAAAAUAGCUCGAAAUCUGAAACCAAGAACAGUGACAUUUAUUAAGUGGUAGUUGGACCGAAUCCACUUAUUUGCACACAUUUCUUGCAGAUCUAAGGUUGGUGUCUUAAAUCGUAAUGGUAUGGUCCUCCCAAAAAACUUCACAUACAUUCCCUCUACAUAUUUGACAGUGUUUGGCUCAAAUAUAAGUAAAAACUGUUUAUUUCAGGAAUAGAUACAAGUUCAGAUAUAAACAAGAACUAGACUAAUUUUGCGUUUGGAUAAAAACUCAGUUGUUUUUGGGAAUAAGAUAAGAACAAGAUGAAUAAGAGUUAUAAUUUUAAAUAAAAAAUAUUUUAUCUAAUUAAUUAAUGACAAAAUAUUAAUUAAAAAUAUUUUAAUAAGUUAAUAAAUUUAUUAGCUAUGAAUAUUGUAUAAGACAAAAAGAAUAUAUUAAUUAAUUAAUUAAAUAUAAAGUAUAAUUUAACUUUUUACUUAGUUGGUAAAUUAUUUUAGUUAUAUAACUAGUAAAAAAAUUAAUUAUAUUAAAAGAAAUAUUAAUGGUUGAUUAAUAUAAAUAUUAGUUUAUGAAUAAACACAUAAAAUUAUUAAUAAUUAAUUAGCUAAUUAAUUAGAAAUAAUAAAUUAAUUAAUUACUUUUUUAUUUAAGUAAUGAAUAAUUAUUUUUAAAUAUAUUGAUUAGAUUAAUUAAUGAUUUAAUACUGUAAUUAAAACUAAAUUUAAAUUUGAAUUAAUCUUGUUUCCACUUGGGAACAAGUUUGUUUCAGGGAAAAUGCUGGAACUGCUGUUUCAGUCUUAUAUCAGUUUAUUUUAAGAAUCCGAGAACUACUGUUCUUAACUACUAAAUACAACAUUUGGGAACAAAAGAAGGAAUAAAGAAAGGAACAAGUGCUUAUUCCCCUCUUUAUUUUCGAACCAAAGGAGGGCCAACGAUCCCUAGAGCAAGUGGCAAAGGGCUUGGAAGUUGGUAUCCGAGACCCAAGUUCGAAUCCUAGUUGAUUCACAUUUCCAGCUAAGUUUAUUUCUAAAUAAAAUAAACGAAGCGGGUAGCAUGCUACCUAUCUCUCUCAAAAAAAAAAAAAAAGAGGAGGGCCAACGAUCCAAAUUGUCCACAAAAGUAAGGGCCCCAUGACAAAACCCUCAAGUUUUGAUCUGAUCCAAUCAAUCAAUGUUGGGUGAUUCUUAUUGCAAAGGAUCCUGACCUAACUCAUUGCAUAUGGAUCUUCCUUGCCAUAAAAGCCCAAGCAACAUAAAUGUCAUUGGUUGUGUUCCAUUAAUAAGUGUUUUCCUUUUGCUUUUGGUUUUACCUUUUUAUUUUUAAAGUUUCAAAUUUAGUGAAGUAAUAGAUGAAGGGAUUUAGGUUGCAUGGUCCUUUCAUAUAUAACUCGGUAAAUAAAAACUUUGAUUGCUUUGAUCGCUAACUUGAACUAUAUACGAUCCAGUUAUUCUAAUAUCAUCAAAAAAAAAAAAAAACUAUAUUUUCUUUCAUUACUACGUUUUUGCGUUGUUCCCACACUUGGAUCUCUGGUGCACCACUACUGACGUGGUAAACCAAGUGCAUGCACCAUUUUCUGCGAAAGAGGAAACGUUCAGAGGAGAAUGCGUGGCAUAGUUGGGCUAGGCUCGGACCAUGGUCUCAUUGAGCCGGGCUAGAGUUUAUUGGGCUUUGCACGAGCCCAAAACUAGCCGUUAAUUAAUAAGUCUAUUAUUUUGGCUACUCUCGUUUUCAACCAUAAAUAGAAAGUUUUCAAUUCUGGUCGGGGUAAUCCGUAAGCUUUGACCUAUGCACCGUAAUUAAUGUAAGAUGAUUUGUAUGUUAAAAUUAAAUUUUAGUUUGACAAACGUAAUCUGCUAAAUCGACGAGUCCAUCUAUGAAGCUUACAAGCUUUGAAAACUUAUUAUCCAAAUAUCAAAAUAGUUCUAAACAUUGCUCGUUUGAUAAGCACUACUAAUAAUAAGUGCGCAUUAUAACUUGUUGGCCGUUGUGCCGAAUUAAAUUGUAAUCUCGAGAAUCCACAUUCGUGAUUUUAUGUGUAGAACUCGGUGCACCAAGUGCAUGCAGUAAUUUCUCUCGUAAGCCAAGGAAACUGAUGCUACAUGCCGGGCAUUCAUAUAGAUCUGGUACGACACAUCAGCCGUGGACCACCAAAUCAUUACCAUCGUAAUCUUUACAUAAUUUAAAAAUUAUAGUGGUUGAACCUAGGCAGCUCAUAGCUGAUAUGGUGAACCAGGCGCACCCAUUAUUAUCGAUAUCAUAAAGUCAAAAUUGCAUAAAGUUUGAGAUUGCGGAAAGAUUACGUUGCAUGUAUUGAAAAAGUACGAUAGAAAAAUACUCUGUUUGUUUCCGAACGUAAUAUCGCGUUCCGCAUAUCACAAUGAAUCAGUUAUAAUAUAUUUUUUACGGUCCAAUCGGGGAACGUAAAAAUAUAUCCCUAAAUACUUUUCUCCUAACUCCAUUUUAUUUAAUAGCAUCAAAUAAACCUCAAUACCAAACUAAGCCUAAGCCUCCUCCCAAUGUUAAAAAUGAAAUAAUCCAGAUAGGUCCUUCACCAAUUAGUGAGUCUCAAGGCUGAGAAAAAAACCUUAUUAGAUAACCCAUUGGGCCCACUACUGGACUCUUCUCACUGGGCCCAGUGCACAGAUUUACACCGCAUCGCCCCCUCCUGUGCACAGGUUUGGUCCACUAGUUCCUUGGGCGAGACCGAAUCCUAUUUGUUAUUGGGCUGAGCUAAAGCUUCUAUUGGGCUCGAUCUUUUAUCCCAAAUAGAACCCUAAUUUCUGCUGCGCAGGUAUUAGCCAAAAGUAUUUUCAUAAAAUAAUAAUAAUAAAAUAACAGAUAUCAGUCGCUAGAUUUUUCUUUUCUUUUUAAUAAAAAGAGCGCCCAAUAAUAAUGAUCUUAGUAAGAAUGAUAAUAGUAAGACCAAUAAUAAUGAUCUUAGUAACAAUGAUAAUAGUAAGUUCAACACACUACCAACCGUAGAUCCGUGAACAAACACAAUGAAAAGAACCCAGAAUUUGGGCGCUAGUAUCAAAAGCAACAAAAAGAAUCCUUCAAGGCUAAAAGAAAGCAGUGCCUGCCAUUUAAAAAGAGUACGAAACAUACCGGGGUACAACUAACACAGUACCUGCAGCAGCAGCAGCAGCAGCAGCAGCAACAAAGGCGAGCUGAAUAGGGUGCGUGCAAGAGAACUCUAUUGCUGGGCGCAUUGAACCCUUGGAGCUGCAUCCUCGUCUUCAUCGUAUGCUUCCUGCUGCUGCUGUUCUAACCGUCUGCGCCUCAUCUCCACUUCAAUAUCCACGUCGUACAUGGUCGUCUCCUCGCAAUUCUGUAGCGCUGCAUCCGACAGUUGGCUGCUGCCGGGCCUACGCGGCAGAAUCUUCUCCAGUGCACGGCACUGAUCAAGAGAGAGCAUCCCUGAGUCAGGGAGCUCGACGUUGAAUUGGACGUAGAGGCGGCCCUUCAUGAACGGCCGGCCGUGGUGGGGCAUGCCCUCGUCAUCGAUCGCCUUGUAUUGACCUAAAUUUUAAAGUGUGUCAGAGUCGGAGGGUACAAAAGUAGAAUCAGCAAAUUUGUUUACAUGUUGGUAGAGGAUAGAGAAGCAAAUUGAUAGGAAAGUAUACCUGGCUUAAUGACUUCCCCAGGAUUCGACUUGAUUAGCAGCUGUCGGCCAUCAAGAUGGAUGAGAGUGAAUUGGAAACCGCAAAGUGCCUCUGUCAGGCUGAGUGUAUGGUCGAUGUAGAGGUCAUCAUACUUCCUCUUAAAUUUAGGGUGCUCUUUAACUUGCAAGACAAUUACUAUAUCUCCUGUUACUGUAUCAGGCUGCAAUAAUUGUAGUAGUGUUAACGACUGAAAAUACAAGCCAACAUUGAUCCAACAUAGAAACAUAUAACAAAACCGAAAGAAUUAGCCUCCCCCCCAAAAAAUAAAAACUAAUUAGAAAUAGCUCAAAGCUAACAAUUGCAACAAAGAAUUAAAGCAAGGGUCGGGUCGACAAGUACUCACAGCUUCAUCAGCUUCUCCUUGGAAUACAAUCUUCUGGCCAUGCUGCAUCCCCUUCUCGACAUGAACCUCCAACACCUUCUUCUCCUGAACGACUUUGUUACCCUUGCAGUUUGGGCACUUGUCUUUGUCGCUGAUGACCUCGCCUGCAUAACAACAACAUAAUUGGGAGAUGGCGAAGGAACCAAAGGGAAAAAAAGAAGAAGAAAUGAGUAGAACCAAACCAAAAAUUGGUACAAAGCACUGCACGAAACUAACCUGAGCCUCUGCACUCUGGGCAAACAUGUUGCAUCUGUUGGAUCAUGCCUAGUCCUAUCUGUCUAGUCACUGUCCUCACUCCUGAACCUUGGCAUCCGAAGCAUCUUCCUGAUGCACCACUUUUCGAACCUUUUCUGAAUAUUAAUGAAUGUAGCAAGAAACAUAAGAACUGAGAGAGACUAGUAAAACGGGGAAUUAAAAGUCACUUGGAAGGAACAACAGGGGAGAACACUGUCAUCAAAUUGCUUCAUAACCAGACCUAAACAUAGUAUAGAGCCUCGUAAAAAAGGAAUUAGUGUCCUGCUAAUGAAGCGCAUAGUAGCUAAUUAGAAGCAAAGAAUAGAGGAAACUUAAAUGCUGAGAAGACGUCUACGCACAACUUUUUACAAUCUAACAAAACUUUGUUACUAAGUCAACCUCGUUUACCAAACCUCAGGACUUGAUCUAGCAGUAGAAAAGGAACUAAAAAAGUGUUUUAGUUGACUGCAAUAAUUUGUCCAAAAUAUCGAGGAUUGGAGAAAAAAAUGACUAGCACCAAUAGUCAACCACAUCACGCAAACUUAAUCCUGAAGGAUGUUUGUUUAGUUUAGAUUGUUGCGUUAGGCUCUUAUUUAAACCGGAUUACUAGAUACCUCGAUAUUCACGAAUGCAAUGGUUACCUACCAAAGUAACGGAUGGAAACAUGACGUGUCAAAUCUUGUUCUUGCAAUUAAAUGUUUUGCUAACUAAAAGGGAAAAAAGAAAGAAAAAAAAAACAUCAACAAGCACUUACUAGUAAUUGCACAGGCACAUUCAUAUCCAAAAGGUAACCAUCAGAGCUUAAUGCAUGAUCCCGUGAGUUUAACUCAAUUUUCAUCCCAAUCUUAGAAAGGAAUGGCUUACGCAAUUCACACCAAGAGCAGCUCUUCAUUUAUGUUCAAAAUUGAAAAUAUGAAUCAAAAUCAACUACUUGUUGAAGAACUUUUAUGAUGACAUUUAAAUAUGGAUAAGGGCAUCAUCAACAUUAAAGAUCGAGCUGAUGGAAUCAUUAGUAUUCUAUGCACAUGCAUAAUCCACCAAAAGAUAAAUGCACAGAAACCUUAUAGGUUCCUAAACCAAAAGCAGAUGAUUGUUUUCUUAACUCAAAUAAUGGAACAAAAUUUGCAGUAACGUACCCUUUGCACUUAGGGCACAGCACGUUUCUUGACAAGGAAAGCUUCUUAGAUGUACCAUUAUACAAGUCCUCCAAAGAAACCUUCAGCGAAUGAACUACUUCUUCGCCUUUUCUUUGCCUGUGACCUCUGGAACUACCACCUUUCAUUGAGACAGCAAGAAAAUGUAAAUGAAUGAUCUUAAAAAUAGGAAUAAGAAAAGGAGAAAAAAAAAGACAUAUCAGAUUAUCCCUACCACCACCAAAAGAACCACCACCAAAGAAUUGCUCAAAUAUAUCAAAUGGAUUGUGUGAAGCGCUGCCUCCUCCCAUUCCCUCUUUAAGCGCAUCUUCCCCAUAUUGAUCAUAAAUCUCCCUCUUUUCUGGAUCACUAAGAACCUCAUAUGCUUGAGCCAACUCUUUAAACUAUUUGACAGCGACAACAAAUAGGAAACAAGUCGUCACGUCGAGGUACAUCAAACAUCAUAAGUUACACCUAUAAAUAGGACUAAGAAAACUGCAUAGACACUAUUGAUAAUCCAAUAAAAACAAAAAAUGGUGCAAAUAUCAGAUAAAUUGGUUCACCUUCUCUGGAUCGCCACCCUUGUCAGGGUGGUUCUUUAUAGCGGCUCUCCUAUAAGCCUUCUUAAGUUCAUCUUGGCUUGCAGUCUUUGGCACACCGAGAAUCUCAUAAUACUUGGUGUUGUCACUUUUCCUCUGAGCGCGCCCAAACAUGAUCACAACUUUAUGGUGAACUUUUCUUGUCUAGAUAUUUUAUUGCCUAUAAAUGUUAACAAAGAGAAUUUUAAUAAAGAAAGAAACCAUAUUUUUACCAAAUCAUAAGUACUAAAUUCUCUGAAAACAAAUGUCCCAAACCUACUUGGUGGUGUUUGAAUGCAAUAAUGUCUAACAACAAGGCUAUUUGCUAUGAACCAAAAGAAAGUUUCCGUUUUUAGGAGUUUUAAAGCAUAACUCCAAAAUACUUCAUAGAAAGAGGGGGAAAAGAAAAACUAACCUAACUCUUGUUAAAAUCUAUGGCAACGGUCUACAACUACAUAGAAAUUAAAAUAAACACUACACUUUUCGGCUUUUCCUGCUUCUCCUAACAAUCACCAGUGAAUUCCUUCAAAGAAAACAAAAUCGUCUAAGUACUUCCCACAAAAUAAGUUUCAAGUUUGUAGAAACCUAGAUCGGACUUGGGGGAGAUCGAUUUUUACGAACCUGCAUGAAUUUAUUCGAUUGGAAAAAAAAUAAAAAUUUGGAAACAAAUGUGUAAGAUAAUAAAGAAACCGUCGUUUUUUGUUCGCUCCAACAAAAAAAAAAAAACGACAUAUUCAUCAAAUAAAUCUUCCCAAAGCACACAAAAGUCGAUCUUUUCCAACAACUUCCAAACAAAAAAAUAAUCGGAAACCAGUUUGGGACACUAGAAAAUAGAGAGAUCACGAAAUCAUUUGAUGAAUUUACCUAAUUCGAGGUCGGGAGACGAAACCCUAGCCCAAUUUGGGGAUCGAAUUGGUGCGGCGGAGGCGACGAAGCGAGAAAUCGACGGAGAUAAAAGGCUUCGCGAUUUCGAGGAGAGAGAAGGAGAAAAUGGAGCGUGGGGACUCAAUAAAUAGGCGCUUUACGCGUAUAGUUUGAGCUCGGGGGCCGUGGUGCGAUCUCGACCGUCCGAUGUUCCGAAGCGGACCGUCGAGAUUAUCGUGGGAGACGUAUGGGUCCUGCUGGGCACUCGACAUCACUAAAAACCAAAAUCCCGUAGUCGCCUCCUUUUGUUGACCCCGUACACUGAAGAAUUCCUUUUUUUUUUUUAUUUCUUUUUUUCGGGGCGGAAGGAAGAGAGAAACGCUUUUGGUAAUCGAAAAAGAAAAUGAAAAUAUCUUGGACUCUUUAAUCACGUGUACGCCGUGUUGUAUUUUUCAAUCGAGCAAUUAAUUAAUUCUUCUAAAUGACCCCAGAUACAAUUCACCUUACCGCUGCAUAACAGAGAUGAUGAUGAUGGAAGUGAGCUCUCGGCCGAAGCGGCGAAGUAUGAGCCCCAUGAGUUAAGGUAAAGCGAAUCAAAAUAACGUAACUCGGGUUGCCCGUAUCAAAAUUGUAAAUGUAAGCAUAAUAUUGACUUUCACCACAAAAACAUGUAAGAUGUAGAAUGAAGUUCGUAAAAUAAUCUUAGUUGUGAUGGAUGUACUCAAAAAUGAAAUAUUAUCCAUAACAAAUUAUCUUUCUGGCGACCAAGAAAACUUAUUAAUAUCUAAACAUGAGAUAAAGAAUGAAGAAAUAAUCCACAGACUCCCUAGCUGCGCAAUAUUUCUAAAGCAGAUGACCACACCCAAUCAAUUAGCAGAAUAAUGACUCUAAUCAGUUCCGCCAGAAGCGAAUAUCUCGGUCAGCUCUUCAGCAUGAAGUGCUAUGCUGAUGUACACUCUCAGGCAGUUUCUGACAUGAGCAUCACCAAAUAAUCGAAAAUUGCCCACUUCAUGAUUAGCAUAAUCAGCCCUGACAUUGUGAACCAUUAAAUUAUAUCUUCGUGACAACCCUUUUUGAAGGAGAGAACUGAACUCUCUUGCUCUGCCUAAAGCACUCGGACAAACAAGGCAGGGAAAACACCAGUUUAUGAUUUACAGGCAUUGUUUCUUCUCAUAAGCUCUAUGCUUGUUGCUAUAGUUGAUCCAGCAGUCCCCACAAACCCUAACGACGCACAACUACAUGCAGAUUCUUCCACAUAUAACAAAAUAUCCGGCAAAGAUGAUGGAUCACAAAUCCUUUUCUCAUUAUUUCCAUCAACAAUUCUAGGAAGGAAACCAGAUUUCAAGCCAUGUUCCGAAGCCAUGAGCCUCUCAGCGGCUUUCAAUACUAAAUCAUCACUUUCUUGAAGGGUAUACAACUUGUACUGCUCGUUUUUCUCAAUUUCCCCCAGGUAAGUUUGGGUCCAGUUUGCCCUAGGAAGAUCCGUCAUGAUGAAGAUGUGAAUUGGACCAUUCAGCUGGUUCUCCUUGGCUUCUGAUUGAAGAGACAGCAGCUUCUGCUUUAGUUCAGAAAAAGUAGUUUUCCAAUGGUUCUUGAACUGUCCAUCUAAUAACCUAAGUUGGGCACAAAGAAAUGGCUUCUUUAUACUCGCAGCAAAAUCCUUUCCUGCAGCCAUAAUUUCUGAUACAAAUGGAAGGAAUUCGAUCUGUUUAAGCAACGACUGAAUCCUCGAGUCUUUUGGUGAUUCAUGGAUGUCAAUGUAAAGCUCAGAACCCUUGUAUGGUCCCGAGAAAAGGGUUCCAAAAGCCAAAACAGAGGAUGUUUCGGCUUCUGAACCGGGCCCAAAAGCCUUGUGAAUAUCUCUACGCUUUCUAAUAUAAGAAAUUUUCUUCUUCUUCUGCAACUCUUUGUCAGGCUGAAAAGAGUCUAAAGCCCCAUCACUAUUUUGUUGGUAUGUCCAGACUGUUGUUCGACAGUCCUCUUCUACAGUAUAUACACAGUGGUCGACAUUACCAUGCAGACCAGAUAACAAUGAUCUACACUGAUCAAAGUUGCCUGAUAAAGAGCCAGAACCCGACACAGCACAACAUAAGUCACCGAAACAAGCUUUUUCCAUAUUUAGGCCACACCACAUUGAAGCAAAUACCCUAAAAUCAAUCGUUUUAACCACAGUUGAUGAUAUUGAAGAUAUAUCAACAAUAUCAGCCAUUGAUACAUACCUGGAAUACAAAACAAGAAAUAAAAUAUAUUUCGCAAAAUGGAAAGAUAAAAAAGCUACAAUAUUUGAUAAUUUGUUGUUCAUGUUUCACAACAGAAAAGUAGAAAAAUCUAAACAGAACCAAUAUUUACUAAGGAACAUGUUAGUUAAGGAUUAAGACAACUUAAGAAGUACCAUAUCAGUGCACUUGCAAGGGAUUGACCUCAUCAAAUAAGAACGUCAGUCAUAAACUUACAUUCUCCUCCAACAGAAUUGCUAAUAACUAAACGCUCACCACGAGACUACAAAAUAAAAUCAUUUACUCGAGAGGCCAUCUCUUAAGUAGUGAAAAUACAAUAGUCCUUCGCUGAAGGCCUCUCAAGUUUCAACAUGCAACUUUCUUAAAAGCAUCAACUAACACCAAGUAUCAUGCAGAACAUAUAUUUUUAAUCUGGAAAAAUGAAACUGACAUGGGCGGACAUUUCUGUACCUCAGUGGAGAAAGCUUACUCUCAUUGUUUAAGCAUAGAAAUUUUUGCCAAUGAUAAAAAAUAACUGCUUAAAGAAAAGUUUUCACGCUUGGCUAUAGAACCACACUAAACUUUGCACUUGCUUUGACCUCGGCAUCACAAAAAGUGACACAUGAAUCAGAUAUCACCUACGAGUCAUGCUAAGUAAUUCAUAAUGCAAACAAAGUCUCCUAAACCGUCAUUGCCGAUUUGAGUGCACUCGAUGAAAAACCUGCUAGAGAGAGGCAGGCAUGCAAUCUUCGCGAACAAACUCAUAUAUGAAUCAUGAGAAUUCCCACAAUCCUUUAUCAAAAUCAUGGACUACGUAAACGAAUGGCAAUUGAUUUUCCUAGCAUCUAAACUGAUUAUAAUGACCGUGGCCAUAUCUCUCAUCGAUUCAACUUAAUUAGCUACUCCCAUCACACUUCCAAAAGAUAAAAAGCAUAUCAUAAUCGAAACAAUUAAGCAACACAAGAAGUUGACGAGGCCGCUCACCUCCGAUCUCGGAUCAGGUCCAUGAUGUGAUCCCACACGGCGGCGCGGAGCUCGGCGGGGGCGGAGACCCUGAACUUAGGGCAACUGCCGAGGGCGACGGCGUGGUGGUCGAGCACCGGGGGAACGACGAGGGUGCGGUUGAGGAUGGCGGCGACGACGGCGGCGUUCUUGAGCUCCCCGACCUGAUUGCUGAAACCGCUGUGGGGGGCGUACCAUAGGAACCGCUCGCCGGAGAGUGCUCCGCCUCCGCCGGCGCCGCAUUGGUGAUCUAGGGUUUGGCGAGGGGAGGAGAAGGGGAGGAGGGAUCGGAGGAGAGAGGAAUAGGAGGAGGUGAGAAGGAAGAGGAAGAGGAGGAGAAGGGAGAGGGGGAGGAAGGAGAGGAGGAAGAGGAGGGGUUUGCUCCGUUGUGUUCGCUUCCUCCACCGACUUCGGCUCGCCGCUGACCAAUCCAUUGGGGGAAGAUCCAACUCACUUACGGUCGCAACCUGGUUUUCAUCUCAGUUCUUAUUAGAAGUUAGAACUGGAAAUUUUUACAGUGGUACCCUCAAAUUUACGUAUACAAGUACUAAUCUUUUUAUUUAAAAAGAUUAUGAAUAAAAAAAUAUGUGAGUAUAAGUUAAAUUAUAGACCACGAAUAUCCGUAUAUAUUUUUUAAUUUUAAAAUAUAUUUUUAAUUAAAAGGAGGGCUUUUUUUUUUGCAAAUAGUCCUAUGAUAAAAUUUUAUUUUAAAAUUAGCCCUGUCAAAAAUUUAUUUACAAAAAUGGUUCUGUCCCUGCCACGCAAGCGCCACGUCAGUACCACGCGGGCGGGGCAGGACUUUAAGUUGAACACGGUGAAUGAUUCAUCGUGUCCAAUAUGAUAUUUGUAUUGGACACGGUGAACUAUUCACCGUGUUCAACUUAAAGUCCUGCCCCGCCGGCGUGGCGCUGACGUAACGCUUGCGUGGUAGGGACAGGACCAUUUUUACAAAUAAAUUUUUGAUAGAGUUAAUUUUAAAAUAAAAUUUUGUGAAGGGGCUAUUUGCAAAAAAAAUCCAAUAAAAGAAUAUUUUUUUCUGUUUAUCAAUUCUUAAAAACCAUAAACNAAUUUCACCGUCCUUUUUUUUUUUUUUCUGCUGUGUCCACCUCUUCUACCAUACUCUCUCUUGCCGCACCGCUCUACCAUCCUCGAGCGGUCCAGCUUAUUAUAUGUAAAAUACUUUAUAUAUAUAAUUUAUGUCUUAAAAUUUUAUUAUAUACUGUGAUUUAAAUAAUAAAUUAUAUUACGAUCUUUUAACAUGGAUGGCUUAAAUUUGAAGCUUAAUUGCUUCACUUCUCAAGCUGAAUUUAUUUAUUUAUUUAUUUUAAAAAAAAGGUCGGAGUAGCUGAGCUAUGCCUUUCAAGGACCUCUCAAAACAGUUUGCAUAUUGCUACGAGUCAUUCAUUUCAAAACUGAAAGAGUGAAAUUCAGUUCCUUAUCAUUAUUUUUGGAAGAAAAACAGAAAACAUGCAUAUUUACUGCAAUCAACUUGGACUUGAACCUGACCAAUUAGUAAUUACAGACACCUUAGCAAUUCGAUUCAGCAGUAUACAUCUUGGAACGACAGAAUCUUCCCAAUAGAUAAUCUGGUAGUACACACAGUAUUUAUUCAAUGUGUACCAGUUGGUUAGGAAGAGAAUUUUGUGCCUAACAUACAAAGAUAGUUCACCUUCGAUUUUAUAUAAAUUCUAUGACAUUUUGAACACAAAUGUAUAAUAUUCUGACAACUAACAAGUAACAAGUUCAUCAGUCACAUUCACUGUCAAACUAAAUCGGCUUCUUAUUUAGAUGAGUAUGAAACUCUUAAUCGCUCCCUGAGGUAGUCACCGCUGCGGAUAGGAGGGAACCUGCAAGACAGCUUGUCAAAAAGGAACUACUAAGCAGAACAGAACACUUGCUACAGCAAAUAUUUCUGGAAUCUCGAAACUGGCAAAAUUCUCAGCAAAAUGUCUUGAAUAUAGAGAAAAUAGUCAAUUUAGAAUUCAUCUGAAAUUUACAUAUUAAUUUUGCUUUUUUGCAAUUGUCGUAAACAUGAUUCAGUCUAGGAUGUUUCUACUGGACGGUUGCCAUGCCAUGCCCAUAAAUGUUUUUUCGUUCGAUUUUGCCUUUUCCUUUUUCUUUCCUGCCUGAUUUCAUAUGAUCUAUGUGCAUUGCUAUUUAUACAUUUCAGUGGAUGCAGUUUCUCUUGUCUCUCAGAAAAAUGAUUUCCCACUAUUGUGUCUGUGUGUGUGUGUAUGCGUAUGCGUGUGUGUGUGUGUGUGUGUGUGUGUGAAUAUCUUUUGCUUGAGAAGAGGGGGAAAGAGUGGGGGCAAGGGAGAGCGCCCGAGUNGAGAGAGAGAGAGAGAGAGAGAGAGAGAGAGAGAGAGAGAGAGAGAGAGACCUCGGAGGAGAUGUCUUGCUGCAGCAGCUUUCCAAGCACUCUACCACACAGUCAUAGUUAGGAUCAAGAAAGAAGGCAACCUGAGACAUUUGUAUCUUUGUCAGCAGAAUAUUACACUACAGUUAGUGAAAGAGCACAAAACUUUUGUCAUAUUUUGCCCGCUGUUGGUGUAUUCUCAUGAAGAGAGAGAAGCCAUAUAUUUUUUCAUUAAAAUAGGUUUAAUUAUUUUUUGUGUUCUCUUUAGGUCUAAGUAUGAUGUGAAUGAAAUUUAGUCAAGUACUAAUCCAACAAUAGACCAACUAGAGAACAACAGUGAGCCCCAUGAACACAGAGUCAGUAAUUACAGAAUAGCGUUCCUUUCCAAUAACAAGGACUCGAUGUAGAGUUGAUCUGCAAAAUGGGAAAAAAAAAAAAAAAGCAUCAUAAAAAGGCGGAGGAACAUAGUACUUGUGAUUUCACAUCAAGGAUGUAUGUUAAACAGACAAGGGAACAGUAGAUUGAAAGAUGGACAUAUUUGACAAUAGCCAAAGCAUUCUUAAUGAAUACGGUUGCAUAUAGGAAAGACAGUUACCGGAAAAUACAAUUGGUCCACCUUUCCAACAUAUCACCAAUGUUAACAAUCAACGCCCUGCAGGUAAAGGAAUCCGAGUUGACAUGUAUCAACGUGAGGAACAUCCAAUGCAUGAUGCUGAUUCUUCCCGAUCAUACUCUUUAUCUAAUAAAAGAAAGUGAUGAUUCUUCUUACCCAUCAAUAUGAGAAACAUCCUCCCAGAGCUGUGGAUGCUUUUCCUUCUCCCUGCAAAUCUGUAUAUUUCUAAACGAUUCACCAAUGAAUUGUCUGGGUACUAGAGGGCAAAACAUAAGCUAUUGAUAACAAUGGAAAUGUGUCUUCAUGACAUGCCUGGAGACCGGGGACACCAUCUGUUGCCAGAAGUGUUACCAUCCCGUAGUCUGAAUGGGCCGACGCACCAUAAUUACCUUUGUCGGAUGCACCCAGUUCGCCUGAAUGGCAAUGUUAGAGACAAUGUCAUAACAAGAACACCUGAGAAGAUUUAAUAGGAUCUUACAAUGGUUAGAAUAUUUAAGGAAAAAACAACGAAAAUAAUGACCAUCAAAGGUCUCACCAACUUCAGAGAUAAUUAUGAGUCUAAUAAAUUCUCAAACUCGACAAAAUGAGAAUAGCUGAACAGCCAAUCCACUUGGCAUGGGAUUGCUGAGUACAUAACAUAUAUACAAAGAUAUGACGCAAGAAAGAAAUAUUAGAGAUGGAUAAGGUGAAGUUAUUCGUUUGGUCAACAGGUGCCAGGUGGGCUCAGAUCCUGCUGAUGGUACUUCAAUAACAUAGUUGAGAAUCAAGUGCAUUAUUGUACCUGGAUAAUGCAAUAGGCGAAGAAAUGCCAUGGGUGAAUUCAAUGCCCCGAUCUUCUCGAAGAACUGAUCAUCAAGGUUCAAUGCAAAUGCAAUCAGAGAAAGUAGUCUUCUACCCACAGCCCUAAGGAAAGAAAAUACACCAGAUUUGCAUCCAACCGAUACAGGGUUACAUUAGAAUCUCAGAUGAGCCCCAAAAUUAGACAGCUGAGGUCUUCAAUAGAAGGGUUAAGUUCAGGAGGCUAAGCUUAGUUCAAUCGGCUCAUUAUAAAGCUCAAUAUGUGGUAAAACCUUGACUCUAUACCUAAAACAUCUAUAAGUAAACAAAGCAGGCCCAAUCAGCCUAUUAUUGGUUCAGAUUACCUCAUUGCAUUACACAAGAUGUGGGAGAAACUAUAUGAAUUACAAGUAACACAUUUACUUGCAUAAUAGAAAUUCAUUUUUUUUCUUUUUCUUGUGGAUUGGAAUGUUUUCAUAGAAGUGAGCAGAAAGACCCCACAAAGAUUUAGCUUAGUGAACAUAAGCUCUGAGAAGCAUCUUUGGCAUAUACCAAAAAAAAAAAAAGGUGUUACAAAGUGAAAUUUCUUAGAAAAUUUGAAACUUCCACCGUGAUGUAUCAACAUAUACAGAUAUACAAAACCAUGUAGAAAACUUACAGGACUCUUUCAUAAUAUGACUCCAUUGUAGCUCUCCAAGAUGGCAAACUUUCUAUAAUAUCCUAGCCAUAAAAAUAAAAAAAUAAAAAAAAGAAGAAAGAUGUAGAUUUAUACUUCAAAAAUUAACACAAAAGAUAUGCAAAAAAGCUGCAUGUGACUUUAGAAAAGGUAGCACUAUCGUCACAUGAUUUAUUUCCGAUUGCAUCUUCAGCAACAGAUCGUUAAGAAGGAGACAUUAAUUUACAGCGACUACUGAUGCCACGAUAGACGAAACUGCCAUAGUACCAAAUACUACCUUCCAAAGGCCAUUGAUUUGGGUCCUUCCCCGAACUUGUGCCCCCGUUAGGACCAAUGUAGAAACUUUCCUUCAGGUCACCUACGCACAAUUUCUUUCAGUAGUAAAUUAGACUGCUCUGUAGACUGCUCCCUUAACUGAUCGGCAUAAAAUCAUGCACUCUUAUUCUUCAAUAAAGCGAAAGUGGCCUCAUAAGAUAUAUCAUUUUGCAUCAAAUUACAUCAAUAAAAUUAUUAAAGUACAACAGUGCAAAUAGAUCAAGAAAUCUACCAUCCCUGAUAUGAUAGUAACAAGUAACUAUUUAUUUCAUCUCAAUUACAUGCCCAUAACUGAUUCGACUCUCUACAAUGACCACUAUUACGAUGCAGAAGCGAAAUCAAAUAUCAUCAUCUAAUAGCAUGUAGAUAAUGGGAGAUAGACCUUUGAAUUCGGAGGAAGGAUCGAGAGUCUCGGCAUAUAUGGGAGUAUAGCCUCUGUGCGCAUCGUUAUGCUCGAGCUUCAUCUUCUCUUCCGGGGGCAAUGCAAAGAACUUCUUGCUCUCGCGGAACACCUCCCAUAUGAGUGUGUCCUCUAUUCCAUGAUUUAUCAGGUAAAAGAAACCGUACUCCACACAUGCCUGAAAAAAAAAAAAAAAAAAUGUCAAAAACAAUGUUGUUUCCACCUACACGCGCAGAAAAAAAAAGGCGGUGCGUUUUGUUCUACUCUUUACCGAGAAAGUUUCAGAUUCCAUCUGUUUCAGUUUCAUCUCUUCUCGUGUCAGAACCAUUUUUUCGUCAGUUUUCAGUGUGAGCAGGGGAAAAAAGGGGAAACAAAAGAACUAGCACGAAUAACUGGAAUAGGAGAAAAAAUGAAUUAGGGUUAUGUCGUGGUCAUCGCGAUUUGUAGAUUACCUUACGGAUCAGUUGGGCGGUGGCGAAGGGAUCGGAGGAGGAGAGGUCGACGAGAGGGAGCUCUAGAUUGCGCGACAUUUUUGGUCCUGCGCUUUUCCGCCACACUCCUCGCUUACGACCCGAGCACAGCGAAUUCCCAUGUGGCCAUGUGUGUGUGUGUGUGUGUGUGUGUGUGUGUGUGUGUGUUUUUUUUUUUUUUGUAGGGGUGGCGNUCGCGAUUUGUAGAUUACCUUACGGAUCAGUUGGGCGGUGGCGAAGGGAUCGGAGGAGGAGAGGUCGACGAGAGGGAGCUCUAGAUUGCGCGACAUUUUUGGUCCUGCGCUUUUCCGCCACACAACUCGCUUAUGACCCGAGCACAGCGAAUUCCCAUGUAUGUGUGUGUGUGUGUGUGUGUGUGUGUGUUUUUGUAGGGGUGGCAAUCCCGUUCAUGAGCUAGCUCGUGUUCGGCUCGAAAUAAACGACCUAGCUCGUGUUCGGUUUGAAAUGAGCUCGAGAUCAAAUUGCUUGUUUAGUAAACGAGCCGAACAUGAACUCUCGUAUUCGGCUCGAUAAUAGUUUGAAUACAUAUAUUUUAUUUUAGAUAUUUUUUUAUUUUUUAAAAUUUUAUACUUUUCUUUAAUGUAAUUAUGUAAUAUGAUUACUUCAAAAUUUAUAUAAUUUUUUUGUAAUUUUUUUAAAAUAUCAAUUUCACCUGAAAUAAUAAAACAUUAUGAAAAAAAAGUUAUUAACUUUAUAUUAAAGUUGGUUAUUGGAUCAAACAAAUGUAUUAAAACAUUUAUAUUAAAAAUCUAUAAAAUUGAAAGUAAAAAUUAUUUAUCUCUAAGCUUCAAAUUUUAUAUAAUAUUAAUCAAUAAUAUUAAAAAAUUAAAUUUAUUGUUAGUGCUUAAUUUUUAAAAAAAUUAUAAAAUUUUUAAAAGAGUUUUAAAAAAAUUGGGCAUAAUUGUGUAAAUUAAAAAUUAAAACUAUAAAUAAAAAAUUUAUAAUUUAAAAAUUACUUAUCUCUUUUUCUUAAAAAAAAAAAUUUAAACAAAUACAAAAAGUACAAGAAGAAAGGGGAAAAACCCCAGGGCUGGCACGAAGCUCGGCCCGGCCCAUGCCGGGCAGGCCAGGGCCGGACCGGGCCUUACCCUCUGAGUAAAAGAGCUGGCACAGCCUGGCCUGGAUUUGUAACUGGGACGGACCUGGCUGACCCGUGGCCUGAAUCGACCCGGAUAAUGUGGGCCGUGUAGGGUCGGCACGACCAUUAUACUUUUACACCAACUUCAUUCUAUCUAAUAGCACCAGAUAGAAUUCAAUGUUAAAAUAAGGUUUCGUUUGAGAUUGCGAGAAGAUUGAGUUAAGUGUGGUGAGAAAAUAUAAUAAGAAAAAAUUCUGUUUAUUUCCGUAUGUUCAAACGAAGCCUUAGUUUGGUAUUGAGAUCUAUCUAUCGUUAUUAGAUAAAAUAAAAUUAAAAUAAAAGCAUAUAAGAAUAUGUUUCUACGUUCUCUGGUGUGACCGAAGAAAAUAUAUCAUAAUCGACUCAUCGCUAUAUGCGAAAUGUAAUAUUACAUACGGAAACAAAUAGAAUAUUUUUUCAUCGUACAUUUUACCGCACAUAACGAAAUUUCUCUACAAUUUCAAACAAAACCGAAGCCGUUAUAGGUGACGCGGAAGUGAUAAGAUAAUAGUAUAAUUAGUGAUACGUCAUAAUUAAGGUGUCACAUCAUAUUUAUAACAAUUUAUAUCAAUGACAUGUUAAUAUUUAUUUAACUAAAUUAAAUUAUAAAAAUUAAUUAUAAUAUUUUUUAUAAAAAGUAUAUUAAAUUAAAAUUUAAGGACGGAGACAGCACCCUCCUAAUAGUUUGAUCACCGAAACUGCGAGUUACUUUUUUUUGUUUGAAAAAAAAAAUAUAUACAUUUGGCGAGCGUUUCGAACAGACUUACACGUGCCACGUGGAUUCAGUGUGAUCACAAUCGCGCGAGCCACCGUACGCCUCGCACGUGCACCACGCCGCACCCAAAGCAAAAUGGAGGAGGUAAAACCUUGAGGAGAAGCUACACGCCACUGGAUACCGUUAUUCCAGUUGACCGUAGUUCUCUCACUUGACCAACUACUAGUAAAGAAGCUCGUCGACGAAAUACCCUUUAUUUAACACCCCACCCAACCCCACCCCCACAACAAAAACUCCCGAGAGGGUUUCGAUCACAAAGUUGGGGCCGAAGCUUCGAGUCAUUCAAAAAAUCUCUCUCUCUCUCUCUCUCUCUCUCUCUCUCUCCUCGAUUCCCACGCCGUGGAGAUCGAAAAAGGUGAGAUCGGGAUCUCUCCUCGAUUGUUUUAUAGGGUUUUGGAUCGUUUCGUUUCUUUUUUCUUCUUGCUUUUUUAUUAUUUCGAAUUCGAAUUUUAUCCCCCCGUUUUUUCCGCUCCUGAUCGAAUUCUUUGGGUUUUCGGAUGUUUCGAUUUGAAUUUUCCUUCAUAUUUCUUCGGAUUGAUUGGAGUUUUCUCCGAUAUAUGCUCGAUUUUUGGUUGUUUUGAUCGGAUUUUUAGGGUUUUAUGUAUCUCUUCGUUUUAUUUUGUUGAUCUUAUUGUAAUGAUUUUUUCCUCUACAUAUUCUUUAUAUGUUUCGUCAGUUUGCUUUUCCUUGGAGUGAUUUCGCCCUGAUUUCCUUUUCUCUAAUCAUAGGAGGUUUGAUCGAACCUUUUAAACCUUGCUAUUGAAUUAUAGUUGAUAAAAUACUUGAAUUUUCUUGGUUGUUUAGCGGAUUAGGGUUUACGCAGGGCCCCUUUUCUUGAAGACCAUUUGAUUAUUGGAGUGGUUCAUGCUCUUCAGCUACUUGAUUACCCUUCUCAAUGCCUCUCCAGACAUCGCCCCGCUGGCGUGAGCGGGCAACGGACUUCUUCUCUUCUUCCGGUAAUCAAAUUACCAGUUAUCCGUGUUUCAAUUUGAAUUUUCUUUAAUUUGCCUUUCUUUUUUUUGUGCUGUUUGUCCUCCUGAUUCUUUCCCACUACGCUUUGACACAGGGAUCAAAAUUAAGCAGGCCAGCCAAUCGGCAGGAGGAAACGUUGCUGAUGCAGCCGGUAAGGUCGGCUCCAUGGUGAAAAGUAGGUGGGCUCUCUUUCAAGAAACUAGGCAGCGCAGGCCGCCGGCACCUCCUGUAGAGAGGGUGCAAGAACGCCUAAUUUCUGCUGCAGCUUCCACAGGGGUGCUUCUGAGGAAGGGCUUUUCUGAGACGAAGGAGAAGGUUGCUGUCGGAAAGCUGAAAGUUGAAGAGGUAUAGCUUGAUUCAAGUUUGAGGAUUAUUAGUCCUUUCUUCUGUUGGGAUAUAAACAUGAUUGCACUAUGAAUUGUUUCCCUACUCCUGGUGAUGGUGCAAAUUAAUCAGCAAUCUGGAGAUGAACUUGUUGUGUUAGAAGUACGAAUGUGGACACAUAAGUUUCCAUAUGAUCUUCUGCAAGUGUUGUAGUUAUGUCACAAUAAUUUUUGAUUAGGGGAUAGUGUGAGAACAUGUUGAAUAUCUUGGUUGUUCCUGAUGGUUUCAUGACUGCAUGAUCUGUGUUAUCUAGAGUUUCCGGAGCAUCUUCUACCAAGAAGAUGCAAUUGUAAUUUGUCUAAUAUAAUUUAGUUCACGAUUGCUUACUGUCCCCUUUCUUGAUAUAUGCUUGAUAGCAAACUGUAACUAGCAUCAUCAUAUUUGGUUUUUCUUAGUUCUUAGUCGCCACUCUUUGGCCCCAUUCUAUGGCAUUGAUCUAUUCGUCUACUUGGUAUUAAUGCCAGUGGCAUCAUCUCUCUCUGCAGGCAGCGAAGAAGACUGCUGAUAAAAGUAAGAGUAUUUUGAACAACAUUGAGCGGUGGCAAAAGGUCUGUCACUUAAACUAAAUAGGGGAAAAGUUUCUUUCACGCUCAGUUCAUGCAUUGUGGUUCUUAUAUAUAUAUAUUUUUGAAAAUUUUGCAGGGCGUUGCCAGCAAUGAUGGUGAGUUGUAUCCACAAUUCUCUUUACAUAGAAAAUAGAAACCAUCUUGUAAUUGGAACUCUAAGUAAGGAUCUUUACUGUUUAUAUGUCACGCAUUCUUCCUGUCAUUUAUCCUGUAAAAAGAAUUUGAUCUAGAACUGAUGCACACAAUUAAAGUUUUAAGUUCUACCAUUAAUUUUCUUUAUAGAUGAAGACAAUAAAACAUCCUUGCAAGAAGGCUGAAACUUGGAUUGUUUGUAUGACUUUGAAUGUUGGGCCAUUUUUUGUCAGACCAGAUAGUCCAGAUAGGUUAGCAUGUUCUGAAGAUUUAGCACUUAACAGCUGUCUCAUCUCUGAUGCUGCUUUCUUCUAUGAAUGGCUGAUUCAGUUUCCUUUUCUCAUGGGAGAGUGAGUACUUGAAAUUUUUUAUAGCGCAGUGCUACCUGGCAGCAAUGAGUACUAAUUUUUUCAUUCAUGAAAUGAAUUCUCUACUAGAACAAAUAGCUAAUAUCCGUCGAGUUAUAUUUAGAUUACUUCCUCAAGAGGUUGAGUCCAUUGAGAUGACAAUCUUCAAUUUGCUUCUCUGUCUUUUAGAUGUACGUCACAACAUUAUAUCAAUAAUGUUUCAUAUUCAUAGUUUCAUACACUAGUACUUCUACACCCUGCUACUGGAGUAUUCUUUUCUUCUUUUAGUCUACAAAUGAGGAGAGUCUUUGAUAAUCCUGUAUAGUCAUUUUGACAUCUGAUACCCCUUAUGUAUAUUGGUAAGAACAUUAUAAUUUUGUUUACAUCUAAUGAAAUUGGUUAGUAGUUUAGUGAAAAAUAAACAAUUUAAAACGUGGGAACUUACUAACGUCUGGAUAAUUUUUUUUAAGAUCAACUUAUUAUUCUCUUAAUUUGGCCCAUUAACAAUUCGUGCUCAUAGUUGUCACAAUGUCACCAGAGUUCGUAAAUUUUCUUGGUGUACAACAAAUAUGCUUGCCUAUUAUGUUUUGCUAUCUUCACAGUCCCUCUUUGUUUUAUUCUAAGCUUUAAUUUUGCGAUUGAUUGUGAUACUGCCAAUAGAUUAUUCCUUCCGAUAUAGACAUGUCGGAGCAUACUGUGAGCUAUGUGAUAUCAUUAAUUUUUGCAGUUUUCGGUGUCCCGAUUGAGAUUAUUGUGCAACGACAGCACUCGACAAGAGCUGUGCCUCAAAUAUUGGUCAGAUGUGCAGAUAGCCUAAUUAUAUCAGGUAGUACCAGCAAAAAAGUUAGGAGCUAGUAAAUGCUUAAUCAGAGGACUAAUGAUCAGACUGUGGCACCAGGGUUAAAUUUUGAAUACUUGUUCAAAACUGAGGGAGACAGAAAGGUCAUUCGACAAUUAGUUUCACUUUACAACCAAGGUAUGGACACUUUACUUCCGAUUUAUCUGGUAAGGAUGUGUCACCCUAAAUUCAGUUUUGUGCUUUAUGUGAAAACAACAGACUGGAAUGCAACUUUGCCGGAGGGUGUAAGCCCAAUUGAUGUGGCUGCGCUGAUUAAAUGUUAUCUUGCUAGCCUUCCUGAGCCACUUGCUACAUUCGAUUUAUAUCAUGAGAUUAGAGAUGCCAGGAGUAGCAUACGUGAUAUGAGAAGCAUUUUGAAGAAGCUCCCUAAUGUGAAUUACAUGACACUGGAGUUUGUUACUGCUCUUCUCCUUCGAGUUAGCCAGAAGUCCUCACUCAACAAGGUAGUUUCUGCCAUUUGUUUGUCAUGGUUUGUUCGCCUCUACUAUAUUGAACGGUAUUCCUACUUUGGAUGUGGCUUGUUUUGUGCACAAGUCUGAAGUAAAAGGGUUGAGCUUUCUUGUACUGCCUAGAGAGCAGCGAUUUCCUAGUCCCUUCUAGAUGUUGUCUGGUCCAUCGAUAGUAUUUCCAGUUUGAUCAGUUAGGUGAAGUUAGAUGUCCUUUUCUGUGAUCACUUUGACUGGAUAGAGUAGAAUUAUUGUACAUUUGUUCCUUAUUUGCCUUCUGUUAUCCACUGUUUUUGACUAUGGCGUUUACCAAGAUAAUUUUUUUUUCUUUCCUUUCUAAUGUGAUUUGUCUGUAUCAAGUCGACCCAUGUGGUAGGUGGAAUCUGGAAUUCCACUUGAAACUUGAAAGUAGGAUUGAAUUACUCUUUUGCGAAUGACUGCAUUUGACAACUAUCCAACUUUGCCUUAAAAGGAUUUGAAUAUAGAAUGACACUUAUGCAGCAUAUAUAUAACUGGUGGUUCUGUCCAUACAAUGAUUUUAAUUCGAUGGUGUAGCCACUCUGUUAUUUCUUCACUUCUCUCAAGCAUUAUAUUUCAUACCUCUGUUAUUUCUUAUGCAAUCAUCAACAGCAAUUCUUUUUUGGUGUGUUUCUAGGCAAGUCAUAAACUCAUAGGUUUGUCACUGUACAAGUGGGAAGCAACUUUACCGUUGUCCAUUAUGCCAAAUCUGUGUUCACAUUAGAAUGUUUAACUAGACAGGAUACUAAGACUGGGAACCAAAAGCUUUUAAACAUAUGUUUAUACUCUUAAGCUAAGAUGAAGCCUACAAUAAGCUAUUGACGGUGGAAACCUAGAGUAAGCUAUUGGCAAUAGAUGAAACUGUUACAUAUAUGAUUGUUGGUGGUAGCCCCUUCCCUUUUUCUGUUUGUAUUAUAUCAUUGAUAUAAGUAUUGUGAUUCCUUACAUUUACAAUUUGGGUUACUCUUGCAACUCUGAUAGAGUGUGAUUUCUGUUUUUUCAAAUGCAGAUGAAUGCUCACAGCCUUGCUUUGGAAAUGGCACCCGUGAUUUUGUGGCGACAAGGUGAUUCUGGGACUGAUUUACGCAACCACCUUAGGUAUACAUUAAAAGCUCCUCCCAAGACUCUGGAUCCAGCAUCAAACAACUAUACAUGGGAGAACUAUUUGGGUAAAAUUUUGUACCGAUUUUAACUCCUAAUACCUCUACUUAAGGACAUCAAUGCUCUUUUAUUUCCACAUGCACUGCAAGUUAUUUCUAGAGUUGAAAUAAAUAAUCCUUGCUAUAGAAGCUUGCAAAAACUCGAAAAGGAAAAAACACUAGCAACAAUUUUUCACUGAGAACCAGUAUUACAUGGAGUGUGUAAUUCUCCUUAAUUUUUUGUGUUGCCAGAUGAAGACAAUAGCAUGGAUGCUUCUUCCCAAAUCCCUUUGGACGAUGGUCCACCACCUGAUUACGGUGCCAUUGAGGUUAUUCAGUGCCUCAUUGAGCACCAUAAUACCAUUUUCACAGAUGCUAACGAGACCAUAUGGAGAUAACUUUCAUGCUACGCAUGUUUGUGCAUUCUGGCCCUCUUGCUGUUUUGAACAAUUUUUCCUUGUAAAAAACAUAUUUUUUGGGGGGGGAUCAUGGAACAAUUUAGGAGUUAUUUAGAUUUUUGUCUUUUAUUUGGUUAACCUCUGUAGGAAAGAAAUGCAGGGAACAAUGAUUUGUCACUUGUAUAGUUAAAACUAAAAAUUGAUGGGUUUUGACUACAGUUUUGGAGCAUUAACCAUUUCAAAGUGAUUGUGGUAAAACAAUUCUUUAGACAAUCUCUCUGCAUCUAGUGAUAUAUCUUGGACCGCUGGAUGAGUUCAACUGUACAAGAAGUUUUUAAUCCACCACCAAACAAGCAGCUAAUACUGCAAGAGUGCUCAUCGUCAAUAAUCACAAUGCAACAAAGUUUGAGUUUUGCAUGAUACAGGAGACGCAUAUAAUCUGAAUGAAUGUACAUGUUAUGGUUGAACAUUUUAAACGGACAUUGAUAUCAGAAUUAUGUGGAACUUUAAAAGUGUACACAUGUUAGACAGAGCACAUACUUUGGACCAGUCCAAAUCCAAGUACCAAAGAAUAGUAACACACAACAAAUAAGUCACUACAAACAUUUAAUCAUCCUUGAUAGGAACACUUCAUAUUCUAAUUGUUCUUCCAGCUAAAGCUACACUACCAUGGCGAAGAUGAUGAAGCAGGGGGAGGGGGGGGCUCCAGGGAGUCGAACAUGUCCGAGGGGAGGUCGUCGAAAAAGAUAUCAGAUGGCACCCGAUGCUCGGUCUUACCGGCAUGAUCGUCAGAUUCUAAACCGAAGAAUGGCGACAACGCUUCCACGUGAUGAAGCUGGUCCCCUUGACAGGUCAGAUCAUCAAUAGAAUUCAUGUCAAUGUCAAAGCCCGAUACGAGGUCAGGAGUAUCCGGAAGGGCCGGAAGGUCGAUAAGAGGGUAGUGAAGGUGGUCGAAGGGGAUUUGCGAGAGCAGCGUAGAUUUCGAUGAGGUGGAUUGUCUCUCGAUUGCGGGUUCGAUCAUGGGUAAGGUUGUUUCCAAGUUGAGAAAGCUUGGGCUUGAUAAUUCUGGGAGUAUGGCUGUAGCAUUCUGAUUAUCGAUGCAAGAGCCUUUGCUGCAUUGGCCACCGGAGGAGUCUCCCUCGAAAAGAAUUAGAUCCAAGUUGGGAUCCUGAUCACAGUGAGAUUUGUUACAUGGUAAUUUGUAGUACUCCCAUCAGAUAGGAUUUUGAGAAUACAAGUAGACUAGCAGUAAAAGAACCCAGCAACACUAAUGAGAACCGGGGAUAAUCAGUGAACUCGUGACAUUGAAACCUUCUCUGAGAAUCGAAAUCGAAAAAUAAUAGCCAACAUUAUAUUGGAUCACUGUGACUUCAUCAAAACUAUACUGAAUCAUCAUCAUAGUUCGGUAAGCUAAGUAACACUUGACAUAUUUAAGAAACUGCAGAACCAAUUCAUACUUUGGAAAAUGUAUUGAUUUCGAAUACUUCGGAAGCGGCGUGUAACAUGCAGAACUUACCUUGAAGGUUUGCAAGUGAUCAUGGGAAUUUGGGAGGGGCGCCUUCGCCCCGUGGGUCUUACUGGAUCUGGCGGUCGGGAGGGGCGUUCGUAGGAUUCUGGCGAGCCGCUUCUGCCGUGUGCUCCAGAAGUUCUUCACGUCGUUGUCCGUCCUCCCUGGAAGGUACGUCGCUAUCCUCGCCCACUUGUUCCCUAACUGCGCCUGCAACUCUAUCACCACCCUCUCUUCCUCCGCUGAGAACUUGCAACCCCUUCAUUCAUUGAAUAUCAAAUUAUUCGAAUCAUGCAGGAAUUGUAUCAUAAAAUCUCGCUAACGUAACGUGCGCUAAUUAUAAUUUGAUCUGCUAACAUCAAUUUCAUAUAUAUAUAUAUAUAUAUAUAUAUAUAUAUAUAUAUAUAUAUAUAUAUAUAUCCACCAAUUUGGUACAAAAAGAAACUUGAUUAAUCGUGGCCCCAGUAAGAGCUCAGUGGCGUGAAUGUAAAAGUACAUACAGGAGCAUAAUGCAAGUGAAGUAAAAUGCUCAUGCCUCAUAUUUAUAUCAGCAUUCAAUAUUGCACCACAGCGGAACUCAAAAAACUCACCAGGGCGUUCCUUUUUUUUUUUUUUUUUUUUUACCGAGUAUGAANNNNNNNNNNNNNNUUUUUUUCAUACCGAGUAUGAAGAGAGACAUCUAAAUAAACUUCGUGGUAUUAAAAGCUGGGAAGAAAAUAUGAGAGAGAGAGAGAGGGAGAUUGAAAUACGUCUUCAAGUCAGGCUUGAGUUUAUUGACCCAGCGGAGGCGGCAGGACUUGCCGGUGCGGGGAAGGAGGCCCUUGGAUCGAAUGGAGCUCCAGUCGCGGGGGCCGUGGCUGCGAACGUACUCGAGCAAUAUCUCGUCCUCCUCCGCCAUCCACGGCCCCUUCCUCAGCACCGUUGUCGCCGCCACCGACCCUCCCGAUUCAUCUCUUGGUCUGCUACUGCUGCUGCCUCUGCUGUUACUGGUGCUACUGCUACUACUACCGACGCAACUACGGCUCCCUACUCGCCCAGAUAUCUGCAUUACGACAGUUGCUUCAAAUGCGAUGAGAAAUUAAACAAACAAAAUUUUAGUAGUUCUUAUUUCCGCUUUAAAACAAGGUUUGUUUGAUCGUAAAUUUCCUGUCCUUCCCCAUGCAACAGUUUCCUUCUUUGACAGCGUUGUGGAGUAUGAGUAUUAGUACUGUUUUUGAAUUCUUAACAAUGUACUAGCACACCCCGCCUAUCACAUAUCCUUCCUAUUCUUUAGGGAAGUGGCGAGGGGGUAGAGAGAGAGAUUUGAAUUACCCCACUAACCGUCCCACUAUGCCACGUUUGUGGGUGAAGCAGGGACCGUCGGAUUGGGGAAACAGCGAAUUUGUGCUAGGCACUGCCGCAUCUUUAACCGUUGAUUAAAUUUGAGAAUAAUCUCUGUGGAAGUGGAACUGCUUAUAUUAGUGUUCCACAAAAACCGAAAAGAAGAAGAAGAGGAAGAAGAAGAAGAAGAAGAGAGUUUAAAAAUAGAACUUCUAAUCCUGCGACAAAGAAGUAAUUGAGAAAAGUAAGCCCCUUAAUAAGGGGUGGAUAAUUACACAGACAACUGAUCUAUCUGAGAGGGAGACACUUUCAGAUCAAUAGAAACAUCAACUCUAGAGAACAACUCGUAUAAUAGGAUUCCUCGUUGCAUAAAAAGGAGGUAGUGUUCAAAACACUGAAGACAAAAUUGAGCAGGGCAUGCUUGCUUAGAGAUACAACUCGAGCCAAAAAGUAGCUACCUACCACAUAUUUUCAGUUGCUAAUCAGAAUCACUCUUUUGCCACAAUCCGUAUUCUCGCUUCAUCUCAAUGUCGCAGCCAAAUUAGAAGUUGCGUAGAAACACAAGGGACUACUCUAUGCAUCAGCUUCACAUCAAAUCCUACUUUUAUCUAGAUAUCAAGGAUCGAAUGAAUGAACAUCCCAGUAAAGAAGCAUGGUAUUGCGACUCAUGGCCCCAAGUUGAACUUCAUCGUGAGCAACAUCCAAUGAGGAGCCAUCACUGGGCAAUUGUGAUCAAGAGACAUUCGUGUAUGGAUAUCGAGUUCUGUUAAUCAACUGGUCUCUCUUGGAGGAGCCUUCGCCCAUCUAUGAAUUCUCGCACCAACCAACUUCAUGUCAUCCACCUGUUCAAUCAUCAGCACACCAAUGAGAGAGGGAUCACUUUAAAUGCAUGAAUAUCUUGUUCAGUAUAUCUCUCCUGUUUACUCAAGGGAAAAAGAUUUUUACAGUUGCAUACCAUAUAGAAUUUAAACCACUUCCCUCGAAAUUAUAUAUCACCUUGCAGGUCAAACUAUUUAGGUAAUAACGAUAGUUAAGAUCAAACUCCUGUGUUUGUAAUCACAAAACAUGUAAUGAGAUGCAAGGUGGAUAAACGGGCGGCGAACAAUUGUACAAUUGCACCAUGCUCAGGCAACAAUUCCGCAAAAGUAAUAGUAUACAGGAAAAAAAGAAUGGGAUGGUAUAGGAUUUAACGCGUUAAGCUUUGAGAUUUCGAUACUUACAGAUCCAACCUAAGCCAUGUAAACAGUUGAAAAGUUUCAACUGUUUCACAUGCAAGCUCACACUCACAAGCUUCAACUGUUUCCAUAGAACUCAUGGUUUCUACACAAAAAACAAUUGAUUGUAGAUUUCUGAGGGGAGAAAAAAAAAAGGCCUGCAAUUGAUACUAAAUUCAUCCCCCAUCAUUCAUGGAUUCCAUUUAUAUAAAUAUGGAAGGCUCAGAUUUAGCCUUAAACCAUAAUUUUUGUUAACCUACCCUGCUGCUGAAGCUAAAUGCAAUACAAUUAAAACAACAACAACAACAACAACAACAACAACAACAACAACAACAACAACGCAAUUGAGCCAAAAAGUGAUCAUGAAUGAAUGAAUCAACAACAGCUGGCCUGGGGAUGCAUUGCGAGAGAACUGGGAGGUGGAGGAGGGUUUACCGAGUGAACACCGGAAGCGACGACGGCGGAGGCGGCGGCGGCGGCGGCGGCGCCGACGAAGAGGGUGGCGAUGGCGAAGGCCUUGAAGGGCAUGGCGGCGCCGCUCUCGCCGCACCCUCGCCGGUACCACGCGAUCCCUCCGGCGAGCUGCGCCGAGCUCGCCCCCGCCCACCAUCUCCACCUCUCGUCCCCUCCUCCCUCCUCCUCCACCCCCUCCAUUUCCCUCCUCCUCCUCCUCCUCCGGAUUCCUCUUCUUCGUUUUUAGGAUUUUGAGAGAGAGUUUGGGAUUUAGGGUUUGGGAUUUUAGGGUUUGGGUUCGAUCUUUCGAAGCGUCGCCCCUGCCAAGUGCUCACCGAAGUAAGGAACAGGUUCUGUGAACUCAAACACCAACAGGGGUUGCCAUGAAAUUAUUGCGUGGACCGUCCACCAUAGACCACCGUGCCAAAAUACGACGUCCGAGCGGGGCUUAGGCCGGGCUUGAUUUUGGGCCUGAUUAAUUUUUGCCCUUUCUAAGCCCAGCCCAUUAACAAAGUUAUGUAUUAAUUAGUCUUUUUCUUUUUUCUUAAAAAAGCUGAGCCCGGUCCAAAUGCAUCGUCCCUGGUCAAACACUUUCGGACCGGGCUGGGUCAACAGAAUAAAUAAACUUGGCCUGGCCCAGGUUCUCUCUAGUGUUAACGUUGCGAUAAUUUUUUCCCUUUUUUUUUUUUUGGGUUAAAGUACUUUGAACUCCAAAAAUUUCCCAGGUAGAUUGUUACCGAAGGUCCAAAAGAGACCUCUUCUACAAAUCGUAAGAUAAUAUUACAAGUGCUCGCAACUAAUCAUGUCAUAGAUCAUGAUCGCACAAUGCUUGGACCUUAAAGUUGAUUAACGUUUGGUCCUUACCUUGCAGGAGCAUGUAUAAGGAAUCUAUGGAUAUGGAAAACAACCAAUGAAGCGAAAUUAUUUGAAAUGCUGUUUAUCUUACUUUUGCUUCCGUAUUGUUAUUACAUCGAUUGGAAACAGUGCUAGCAUGGGCUAAAAUGCAUUUGUUUCCCAUCUUCUUACUUAAGAUGAUCUUUCAGAUCUAAACUUGUGGUACGAGGAUGCAGCCUUGAUCCAAAGAAAACGGAUUAGUCAAUUUCGAAGAGCAAAAGUCUUUGGAAUCUGAGCUAUGGCCAAUGUGAUUAAAAGAGGCGAUACUCAUACUAUAGGAAAUGCACUAAUGCUUUUAUGUAUCUAUGAAGGUCCCCUAAGAAAGUAAUGCUGUAGCCAUGACCUAAAUCUGAGCAAAAUGAUAAAAAAUUUCUCUCUACCUGAACCAUCAAGAAAAUUAAUUACUUUGAUAGAACUACACGGAAUCAGGCAUAUUAUACAAGGAUGUGUUCCUCAAUUGAAUACCAUAGCAUUGGUUUACAACUUCAUUAAUAAAUUUAAUAUACGUAACUCAGUUGCUUCUAACACGAACUCCUCUAUCUAAGGAGUCAAAUAUUUAAUAAAUCUAAAGCUUCUGGCUUCUCUCCAUCUUCCAAGGAACCUCAAAGAAGUUAAAUUCGAGCACGAGUUUAAUGAAAUAGCAAGAUCCGAUGGGAUUACAAUGUGAAAACUGUUUCAGCCUCUCAAACAGCUUCAUUCAAGUAGUGCUUUUGCAGGAGCACUUGCCAGACCAAACACAUAAUUUGUACGGUGCAAAUAUAUGCAAAGAAAUUCAGUAUAUGAUAUGCCUGGAGCACAUGCUAUGAUUGUCAAAGUGCAAGAACUAACACACAUUCCCUAAUAGGAACACAGCAAGCAUGUUGCACCGUCUACUAGUUUUGUAGUAGGACCACUUCUAUCUUUUUCGAGCAAUAAGUGAAAAAUAAUUCAAUAAAACAGGUAAAAAAUACUAAGCAUUCGAUAUAAAAAAUCGAUACAAGAAAGCAACAUCAAUCAGAAAGAUUCGUUGCUUGACAAUAUCAACCAUUUCUUUGUUGGGGCUUGUUGACAAAGGAAUGCACUCCAAAACACUCAAUUGGGUUUAUCAUACUAAAGAAAGGAUCAUUUAACGGUAACACAGAAUGUCAAGUAAUGUCUUGUACUUAAAUUGUUUAUUAAAUGUAGUACCUCAUCAAGGAAAUUAUCAAAUCAAUACCAUCAUCAACCAUAAAAUAUUCUAAAUAAAGCCUAUUAAUCACCUAAUCAAUCAAACGGACUUCAAUAAAUUCUUGGCCUCAUGAACGAUUAUAGAUGAUAAGCCCACAUUGUAGAAAUAAGAUUAAUAAGCAUCAUCAGAAAGAAACUACAGGGCUAUAUAAAUAAAGCAGCCUGGAACAAACGACAGCAAAAGGCACUAAGAAACUUGCAAGGAAAGAGUUAAGAUGCUGAUACUGGAAUUCGGUAUCUGGGUCAUUCCAUUCACCCUCAUUCUCGCACCAUGCAGGCGCCUUGUGCUUCUGGUUGCUAAACUUCAGAAGCUCUAUCAAGGUAUUAUGUGUCCAAGAUCCACUUCUCCAGCCAUCGCGAACCGCUUGGCAAGGCUAAACACAAUGACCUUCACGUUGUAGAUAUGUAAUCCUCAAUGUAUAUCAGGUGGGGAAGUCGUUGAUAAACUCAGCUUUUUGAUAAUUUGAUUUGUAAUUUGCACGGUUAUUUCUCAAUUAUAGGAAGUUAAUAUCUAUUAAACCUUUCCUCUCCUUCCUCUCCCUGUAAAUGAGAUGGCUCGUUUCGCAUUCGAAUAUGAUUUCCAGUAUCAUUAAAUUACAUGAUGGGUGAAGUUCAUGCAGAAAAAUGGUCAAUUUCCAUUGGUGGAAAACCAGAAUGAGCUAUUUUCAGUCCUCGUAGGAUGGUCUUUGCUGUCUCCUUCUCCUGCAAAUUUGGUAUGUGAAAAGAUAUUAGAACCAAUCAAGGUAUCCCAAUAAUCUUUCUUCUCAUAUAGACCAAGAAUUAAAUUAAAGGAAGAUAUAAUAGAGCUCCAUAAAUAUUUAAGAGAGUGUAGGUCCUUCAAAUGUUUAAGAAAGUGCAGAUUUAGGAAAAAGAUCUCUCUCUUUCUAUUGAUAAGUUUCAGAAACAAAGGAUGAGAAAACAUACAGGACCAGUGUAAUCCAAGAGCCUGGUACAAUAAACUUCAGCUUCAUCAAACCGACCCACAGAUUUGUAGUGAUCAGCUAAGAAAAGAAGAGCUUCAAUCAUAUUAGGUCCCUUCCUAUCUUCUGCUUCCAUUCGCUCUAGAUCUUUCUUAUAAUAAAAUGCCGCUUGUUCAGAAUGCCCAAGUAUACUGUGCAACUUUGCUAGCUGAUGAAGUGCUAUUCCUUCCCUAUCGUUACUAUUCGCAGCCCUCAUGUAACACUUAAUAGCUUCUUCAAGCAUCUGAAGUGGAGCACUUUCAUAACAUUGAGCCAUAGCAAUCCAAAGCCGUGCAUCAUUUGGUUGUAAACAUGAUGACUUUUUAAAGUAAUAGAGUGCAUAGAAAGGCAUACCCAUCAUCUCAUAGGUUUGCCCAAGACCGUACCAGGCCCGGUAAUCCCUAGGGUUUAUAUCAACGGCCCUUCGAUAAGCAUCAAUUGCAGCUGGUGUGUUUUUCAUUUCAACAUAUUCAUGACCCAUUAGAGUCCAUGCUGAGAGGUACUUCCGGUUAAGUUUCAAAGCCCUCCUAAAAUACAAAACUGAUUUUUCAUGCAGCCCCUUCAGACUGUAGUAAUUCGCAAUGAUGCAGCAAGACUCCGGCCGAUACUUAUCCGUCAAAAAUACCCUGUGAGCUAAGAAACUUAAUGCAGAGAGGCUCUCUUUAGCAUAAAGUACAUUUGAAUAUAUAUCCAUGGAAUCAACACGAUAAGGAUCAGUUCUAAGAAGUUCUUCAAAUAUAACCUCAGCUUCAUCAAGUUCCCUCAUACUAUACUGCACUGUUGCAAUCUGAGCUUGUAUAUAGUCACUUAACCGAAAUACUCCCAUUAAAAUUUCAUAUCUUUUCAAAGCUUCAUCAUGCAUUUUAAGUUCUUGGUAUGCGCUUGCAAGAAAGAAGUCUUUCAUCCAAUGGUUUUUGAGGUUUAGAUUGUUUAAGAUAUCACUGGUGGUGCACAGAGAAAGGAGCUCAGACCAGGCAGACCAGUUCCAAGGAUAGCUGUUAACCGAGUCGACGAGGACUGAAAUAGCGAGGCUCUCAGAGCCUCUAUCUCUUAGUAUGAGGCCAUACAAAUAAAGACCGAAGGAAUCAAUAGCACCAGACCUACGAAGAGUUGAUAGCUCCCUCUCCAAAGAAACCAGUUCGCUGUUCACAGCAUUACACUUGCCCAUGGGUCCCUCCAGUUCUAUCAUCUCUUCCUCUUUCCGUUUUUCACCAGCCUAUGUUUGGAAAUAAAGAAAUUUCAUCGGUAAAACUAAGGAAUAAAUCAGCAGAAAAAUUUGCAAGCAGGUAGCGAAAUGCUUGGACAAUGUUGAUGUGCACAUAAUCAUCCAGAAUAUAAAGAGCUUCAUUUCUUUGAAACUGAGUACAGUGCCAAUGUGUCAAAAUGCUCAAACUAUGCAGCUCCUUAAGUCUAAUUGCUAGAAACCUAUCUAGUAAGGGAAAGAAAGAUUUCAAUAAGAACGGAUGCUCACCUGUGUAGACAAUGCAGAUGUGCCGACCCAACUGAUUUAUACAAAAAUGCUUGCAAUACUGCUUCAAAAUGUACUGAAUUUCAACAAUUUCUUACAAUAAGACUGCAUUCCAUUAUUCUUAUAGAUACGCUAUGUGGUUUUCCGUGAAGCAUAUUAAGACGAAAAAAAAACUCCAUCAUCAACUUCAAUCAGAAUCAACGAAAGUGCAAGCUUAUUUAGUUUCCAUUAAACUUAAUAGCUCAACCCGUUUUUCCGCCAAACUAACAAUGGAAUUUGUUUACGGUUAAUAACCUAAAACUAAAAUUAAAGAGACACCAAUCAAAAUAACAACAACAACAAUAAUAAUAAUAAAGUUGUGGUUUAUUUCAAAAUUACCAAUAGUUGAGGGAGUCUUUAUAUUUUUACCUUUCAUUUUUUAAAAUAAUUUUGCAUCAAAGUGCCGCAAUCCCCUGCUAGUCUUGAAAUCACGUUGUCAUUGCAUGUAUAUAGACUAUAGUAAGGCAAACAACCAAUUCAUUCCCAAUUAACUAGUUGUAGAAACUUCUUUCUGGAUCCCUACAUACCAGAUGCUUUUCAACAACCACAGCAGGUUUAGUAGAGGUUCUCAUAUCCAGUUAGACGACUACUCGCAACCACAUUAGCUCUAUCUUUAGAUCAAGCCGUUUCACAGAAGCAAUUCGUCGAACACCACACGGAACGUUAAAUCGAAACAACGGAGAGGAAGAUGAUUACCAUGUAGAGGGCGUAGCACCGGAGGAAGACGGCCUUCCGCCCGGCCUGGCCCCUCAGCACGUGCGCGGCGCGGCGGUACUCGCGGCAGUCGAAGUAGGACUUGGCGAGGAGGUAGGAGUCGCCGCCGCCCUCGAAUCCGCCGUCGUCGUCGGGGAUCGGCGUGCUGACGUAGGAGACGCCGCCGAGGGGGGUGGAGGUGACGUCGGCGGCGGCGCCGCCGGAGCGGAAGCGGCGGCGGAAGCUGGAUCCGUCGCGGUGGUACUGUUGGCGGUGGAGGUGGAGAGAGCGGGAGGAGGCGCCGGCGCCGGAGGAGGAGGGGGUGGCGCGGGAGGCGACGGAGGAGGCGGCGGAGGAGGGAGGGGCGUCGGGAUCGACGCUGACGAGGAGCUCCGCGGCCCUGUGGGACGAGAGAGAGAGAGAGAGAGAGAGAGAGAGAGAGAGAGAGGGGUUAGGGCUCGGGAGAGAGAUGGGGUUUACGGAUGGGGAAGGGUAGGGUAGGGGUUGGGUUGCGUACCAUUUGGCGGCGGAGUAGAGGCAGCGGUCGCCGAGGUGGCGAACGGCGGCGCGGAGCUCGUUGCGGCAGGUCUCUUUAGAACUCAUUUUCCCGGAGUGUCCGAGUUUUCUUGGGUGUGAGGGUAGUGGGACGGUCGCGGAGCUGCUCAGUUUCUAAGGAAAGAGCGCCAAGGGAAGGUUCCUGACGUAUUUCGAGUUUUUAAAAUAUUCACCCAUCCGAAGUUUCAAACUUUGAAUACUAAUAUUUAAAUAUAUAAAAUAUGAAUAAUGUGUGUGUGUGUGUGUGUGUGUGUGUGUGUGUGUGUGUGUGUUUUUUUUUUUGAACGAAGACGCCCGUACGGCCGCAGGGCGUAGGUUAUUACUAUAUGAAUAAUAGGUAAUAAAUUUGUCUAUUAACAAUCUUUUGCCUCAAAUUCUACCACAAAAUCUGGCCAGGAGUGACAUAGAGGAUUAAAAAAAAUGAAGCUUACAUUAAAAAAUUUAAAGUAUCGAUGGUAAUGCGUGUGCAACCUAGGAGUCAUCAAAUCUAUUUCCAGUGAUAAACCCAGGAAGCAAGAUAAACUUUCAAUACAGAACAAUGUACUCUAAUAUCGCACAGCCUCCUUUCAUUGAAAUAGAACACUACGCGACAUUAGACUCGCAAAACAGUUCAACGUAAACUUACCAAAUUUAUCUGACAUCAAAGUGCCGCUGAUAUCGCAUAUCAGAAUGCAAAAUUCUGAUGUCAGCAUGCCAAAAAAGAUACCCUCAUCACAAAAUCAUAUUUGCAGGAACUUCCACUGAGCUCCAGUAGAAUAUCAGCGAACUUCGUAUCUGGACCAAAUAGUCCAAGCACCUUCAAAAUUUUCAGAACACUUUUCACAUGAGUCUUGAGUCGCAUGUAAUAUUAUUUGCACAUCUAAUAAAAGAUUGCCCAUUCUAUUUCAACAUUUUCUAUUUUCUUUCCACUUCUCUUUAACAGAUGGCAACAAGACAGAUACAACAUUACAUCUUCACAUUCCUCAAAGCAGAAAAGGUGAGGAAUAGCUAUCUUACAUGCAAAUACAUGGCGAUACCCCUUAACAACAAAAACACAGCAUUAAACUACGACAUCAACUAUAUACUAUUCCCUUUCUGUAAGAGAAAAGAAAUAAUUACUCUUUCAACCAAUCAGCCCUAGGAAACUCAAUGUAGUGCUUAAUCAGCCUAAUAAGAGUAAGAAAUCCCAAGUAUCAGCAAUUCAUCCUGAUAAUUAUACUGUACAAAAGUUAGCACAAUUGGAUGCUGAUCUAAUCUGUACAAAGAACUGUUGAAAGAACUAGCUGUCUCCCACAGCCACAACUUCAUAAAUGCCUUCAGUAAAAAUGGCCCAUCUGAUUGAAUUCCAGCUGCAAAACACAAAGAUGAAACUAAUUCAGAUUCCAGAUGAAUAAAUACCAUUAAAAAAGAUAUCCAAAGACAUUCAAAACUUCAUCUAGUAUACCCAGAAUGAAGCAGAUAAGAACUAAACUUGUCUCUAUAAACUUACAUAAAUGAUCAAUCAAAUGUACAUAGGCCUUAGGCCUAGUUUGUUGCUGCACUUUCAAACACGCAAUUUUAUGCUUUGGAAAGCCCCCAAAAAAAUCCAAAAACACUUCAAAACUUCCUCUUUUAUGUUAUAAAAUUACAAUGACAACCGCCACUGGAGAAGCAUCGAGUGGCCAUUGCCACCACAAUUUAUUAGUAUGAAAUAAGGAAGAUUAGAAGCAUCUUUUGGAUUUUUUGGGACUUCCAAAGUGUAAAAUCAGGUGCUUUUGGAAAUGCAAUGCCAGACUAGGCCUUAGGAACAGUUGGAUGCUGAUUUUUCAAUCUGUACAAUUGACUGGGCAUAUUUGAUUUUGUUUGAUGUUUCAUUGCAACUAGAAGUUACAUUAUUUCUAUAGCAAGUAAUAAGAAAAUAGUGAUGAACACAACCAGCUAAGCUGGCAAAAGCAAUGAAAUCAGAAAAAGAUAAGAGUUGAACAGUGACAAUGAGAUAGGAUUAGCUAAAAGUUGUGCAUUCUCUAAGCAAAAAGAUUGUUUAUAGUCUAUUUUGAUGUUAGCACAAGUAAUCCAAUGAUCACUUAUGCUUAAAUUAUGAUUUUCUUUUGUAAUUGCAAUGUAGGAGUUUGCUUUUGGCCCAUUGCAAGACCUAGGCAGUCAUAAUUUUACAAGAUAAUACAUUCCAUCUACAAGUUAUUUAUCUUACUUUGAGAGAAUGACUAAAAGGCUAUGUAUGUUGUGUAUGGUAGACAUCUAACCAUGCUCAUCAUCCACGGGCCUUGCAUGCAUAAAAAAAAAAUACUAAACAAGAUGUUUAAGCAUUCAAACAUGCCCUUCGUAUUUAGGACUUCCUUAAUCACAUGUACCUUUGCCUUCUCAUGGGCCAUCCUCAUUCUUCGAUACUCUUGUUGUGCUCGAUAUGAACGAAACAUGGUUUGGACCCUUAUAACCGAUCUCUUCACACGUUCUUCAGCUUGCUCCCGACUGAUCCUGAAAAACUCUUCCUCUUCAGUGUUUGCAGGUUCUGUAUCCACUCUCAUCGCUUCGCUCGGUGCUUCCGUAUGAAUGCCACGUAAUCCUCUUCUCUUAAGACGCCAACGCAAGAUUGCUUUCUCAAGCACUCCAACAGACCAUAUAAUUUUGCAGUAUUGCUUCCUCACUUGAUGCCCUCGGAAUGCAGCCUGAGCAGAUAGCAUUAUUAGGAUCAAAUCAUAAAGAAAAUCAGAUAGGUAACAUGCAGCAAAAUAACGUAUGUGAUGCUAUGCAUCAAAAGAAAUAUUAGUCAUAAGAAGUUAGCAGGUAACAACAUAAUCGACGAUCCAACAGCUGUAGAUAGCAGAAAUGUCACACUAUCUUUUCCUACUUUUCUCUUUGAAGUAUUACAUAUAUAUCCUAAAAAUCAUUUAUCUGCAUGAUUAUUUCCCAGUGUAAUCCGACAUUACGUAUAUGCUCUUAAAAUAUAAAUUCCUUUAAUAUAUACCCUGAUAUUUACAAGACCUUUCUGAUACAGAACCAGCUACCCACAAAUUGGACGAAAGCCUAGACUAUGAUAGGAGUAUUUCUUUAAGAAACUACAAUUCCGAUAGUUAUAUAUGAAAAUUCAGAUUUUACAGCGGGGUAUAUGUAAAUAAAUGAUUUCCCGAGGCAUACAUGGAGACGCCCUUCUUAUUUUUUAUAUACAACAACCCUAUGAACAAUAUCCUUGUCAUUGCAUUUCAAAAGCAAUAAUUCCUUUUGACAUUUUGUGCCAUGUUGCUCCACGAGUCAGAACCUUACCUGUAUUCUGAUAACUUGCCUACGCACGUGGAGAAAGUUCUUACGCGUCUUCCAUGUUCGGAAAUGACUCUGUAUUUGUGCAGCAGCCCUCAUUAGUUUCCGUCUAUUGUGAUUGCGGAAUGCAUGCUGUAUCUUCAGAGCAGCAACUAUUUCAGAUGCUUCCAUCUCUGGUUUGGACAUCUGAACAGCCUUAGUCUGAAGCUUUAGAGACCGCUCUCUGAAUGCAGCUUGUAUACGGUCAGCUGCGUCAGCAGCAUUUCUAUAGGCUGCUAGUGACUCCUUCAAACAGAGUUCUUGCUCACUGAGAUUCUCGAUGUCUGUACUUUCAAAGUUCACUUUUUUGGUUGAGAAAGGCGCAGCAGUCGCUACAUUCCCUGACAAUGACAUGGCCUGGAAAUGUGCGGUCAAUCCUUUCUCAGCAAGGUAGGCGGCUAAGCCUUCGUACCCUUGUUUUGCUGCCAAGUCAGCAGCAGUGGAUCCACCAGGGGACUCCGGAGUAGGGUCUGUGACUAAACUUGGAUUUGCUCCAGCUGAUAAAAGUGUAGCGACCAUCCUUUCCCUGGAUUAAUAUAUUUAUGACAUGAAUCAUACCAAUAUAAAGAACUUGAAACACCUAAGAAAUUUUUAUCCACUGGAAAUUAACUUGAAUAAGCAAAUAAAUUUAGAUCUGCCAGAGCCAAACAUGCAUGAGUGCAAGCCACCGGCAUUUAAUAACAUGCUUAAAGCAUAAAACUUCACUGGUUUUAAGCAAUUAGAAGAGAACCUUCCUUUUCAUAAUAUGCUUUUGUACUAAUUGCAUCCGUAAGUUAAAAUCAUUAUGCCAAGUUCCUAGCCAGACUACAGAACACAAAGUUUCCGAUUAGAACGAAUCAACAAAGACAUCAAUGAUUACAGGAUCCUCUACAGAUGUAUCACCUAUAGAAAAUCAAAAUAUUAUAAAGAAAACGAAGUGAGACUUAAAAUUGGCUAUCAUACAUCUCAGCAUCGGCAACAUUAAAUUUUGUUUUAGGGUACUAUACCUUCCAUAAUAAGCAGCCCAAUGCAGAGCCGUCCAGCCACAUGCAUCCCGAAAAUCCAAGGAAAAUCCCGACAAAGAAAAUAGGUAAACUGCCCAAGGAUAGUCCAGGAUAGCACAAAGAUGAAUAACUCCUUGGCCUUGAAUAUCACAGGGAGUUGUUCGACGGCCUUCAGCUACUUUUUCCAAAAGCCAUUCUUGCAACUUAUUUCUCAAAACCAGCUCCAACAACUCUUCAGUAGCAGGCAUCUGAGAAUCCCUAUUGCUAUUCACUAGUUUCAGCAUAUUCAACCACUCCUUUUCCAUUAAAGAAGAGGAGAGAGAAGCAAAGUUUUUGGCUUCCUUCAAGAACUUUUGUUGUGUCCUGCCGGACAGACCAGAAACAUUGCCGCUUGUGGAAAAGAGUAAGUGAGCGAGCCUCAUUUGCAUUUGAAACUCCUUUAACUUUAGUUUCCUAUUGUCAUCUUCAGAUGAAGCCACCUCAUCCCAAACACUCAGCUUAGACCGGUAUUCGAAGGACCAAACUUGGCUGAUUGGUGUCUGACCGUCCAAGGUCAAAUAAAGAUUCACAAAGCCAGGUUCACUGGGGGCUGCAGUACAGCGGUAAACACCAGCUUGAACAAGUUCUGCAGGAACACAUUUCCUGCCAAAGCCGCAGUAGACUUGGGUUUCCAUUAGAUGUUUUUGUUGUUCAUAAAAGUAUCCAACCACUAGGACCUGCAUUAGUUAUAGUUGCAUGAAAGAACUGUGAUAGAGAUGAAAAGCAUAUUAUUAGCAACUUAAUAUUUCCAUAUAGAGCACAAUUGCAGACUUAUGAAAGUAUAUCUUAGAUUUCUACAUAAUUUAUUAGAAAAUAACUAAUAAUCAGCUUAUCCUGACCUUAUCAACAUGAAAGAGGCAUGCCUUCAUCAAGCUGCAAACCAAGGUUUGAAGUUUCUGCCUCAAUUCCAAAACCGAAAAACCAAAAUGUUUCAAACCAUUGAGUGCUAAUUUGAGACUACAGUCUGAAACCAAUCCACAUGAAAUAUCUUGAUUUAAGUCACAAUAGGGGCCUAAAGAAGGCUUAGGUUUAGAAUGUUGGUCUUAUUGGCCGGAAGCCCGGACACACUUAUAGGACGUAAUUUCAUUCAUUUUUGAAUAUUUUAUAUUGUUGUGUCAGCUUUAAUAUGUGGCAACAUCAAAGUUAGUUUUAUUACCAUUGAAAUUGUCACAUUGACUGCUGUUAGACUACUUGGACAACACACGUAUCAUAUAUUACCUUGAGAAAACAGAGGUUUUCACAAUAGAUUGCCUUAGUCUGGAUAUCCAAAUGAACCAUCACAGAAGACUAUGAAAUUCAAGCAAGUGAAAAGGCAACAAUAUAAAAGCCAGUAAGCAAACAAAGCACUACAAUGUAACUUCUUAAUUGCACACAGACAACAAAAUCAACUCGAGAAGAGAAAAAAAAAAUGCUCAGAGAAAUAUUGAGAAAGAAAGACCUUAGUUUCCUCUGUGGAAAAAAAAUGCUCAGAGAAAUAUUGAGAAAGAAAGACCUUAGUUUCCUCUGUGGAAUAUGCCCACCCAGGAGAGACAUCAGUUAUAUUGAAAAUUGGCUGUUGAUUUGAUGACUGGUCCAUCAACGUACAUGUAGCCAGUUUGUUUGCCUCUGACCUGAGUGGCUCAAGCUGCAGAUCAUCUAACAAAUUGAUAUCAUCAUUCAAGUAAUUCCAUCGUCCCAAACUGUUCUGACUUAAGAAGACAUCAUUAGUAAUAUUAUCGGGGGUUGACGUGCCAGUUAUUGCAUUUGAUGUACGGUCCUCUGUUUGAGAUUCUGAUUUUGUGGAAUUCAAUAGUUGUGACUGGCUCUCCUGAUCCUUCAUAGCUUGAAAAUAACUACCGAUUGUUUGGUCAUUCCCAGCGCCAUCAUUAUCAGUAAUGCAACUAGUAUUAUGAGGCAUGAAAAAGCUACCCUGAAGCAAACAAAAAUAGUUCUUUUAGCUGAACAGCAUACAGCGAAGAGAGUGCAGGUUGAAGACCCAAUAAGUUGUUCAUAAAAUAUCUGAUUUACUCUGGCAACAAGAGAAUAUACCUAAGAAUAAGAGCAAAAUUGUGGAGUAUAAUAAGGUAACUAAUAAAUCAAUAUGGCCACAAGCUACAGACAUGAAACAAUACAGGUCAGGAGAAGGCAUAUAUAGAUAUGCAAAUGCACAAAUCUUUUGCUUCACAGUUGAUCUAUAUACAUAUAUGAAUCUUGAGUCUGGAAAGGACACAUGGCAACUCCUCAAUCCCUCUACUCUUUCCUAUUCUCAAAUAAAAAAUUAUUGCAUGCACCAUUUCUAUAAAUAUAUCACAUGAACCAAUCUAAUUUUUUAAUAAUAAAUAUAAAUAUAGUACAAUUAAGCCACAAACUAAUAAAAUCUUGCCACAUGCCUCAUAAAAAUUUUAGAACCAAUCUAAUUUUUUAAUAAUAACUAUAGUACAAUUAAGGCAUAAACUAAUAAAAGCUUGCCACAUGUCUAAUAAAAAUUUUAGACGCACCCAUUGCGGCGCCAUAAACCAACUCUAAUAUAUGCAUCAUAUAUAAAUUUUUAUAGUACAAUAAAUCUAUAUCUAUACUCUAUAUUAAAGGGGAGUUUCAUCAUAUCAUGGGGUCUAGAGGCGAUACGUGUCCUUCCCAUUCUCCCAUAUUUACUUAUAAAGAUAACUUAUACGAUGAAGAACAACCUGCUUCAAAAAAACAUCUUACAUUAUUCAUGGACUUCGCCAACUCAUUUUGAAUUUGUUGAUCAGAUAUGAAAAAAUCACCUGUCACAUGGCAACCAUGGUUAUAUUCUCUCAUAACAAGUUAAUCAACAGUAAGGACUGGAAGCCAUACCAUCUCGAUGCUGAGUAGAAUCAUUAUUUGUAGGUGAUUCCAACAAAUCGUCCCAAUCCAAUGUGUUGAUUUCAUGAAGACUGAACUCAUGGCUCUGAAGUUCUGCAAGAUCAAAAGAGAUAACGGAAACCACAACAUAAGUUAACCUGGGAGCUCGUUGCAAAAACUUUAAGACAACAAUUAAUGAUACUAUGGAACAGUGUUUUCAUCAAAAAGUUUCCUGCAAAAAAAUGUAGAUAAUAACAUAUUCGUUCCAGAGAGAGAGAGAGAGCACUAUGGAACAACGUUUUCAUUAAACAAACAAGUACAUAAUUGCAUAUUGUCCCAGAGAGAGAGAGAGAGAGCAACCGUGGAGCAACAAAUACACGAUUGCUAAGUGAACUAAAUUAUCAAAUGAAAACUAUGAGGUACUACAAUUAAGAAAGAAAAAGAAAUAAUGGAAACUUUUUCAAGGAGAAACAAAUUUAUGUCUCACCAGCCUGUACUGUGUUAUCCUCUCCUGAGUUAAUUUCUUCUGAGGUACCUGCAGAUCCAGACACAACUGAAUGUGCAGAAGCAGAAUUUGAUUCGAUUGGGGUUGAUGGAGAAUCAUGAUGAAUCUUGCUGAUCAAAGAAAGAUUCUCUGUACAAUCAACCGGUGCAGGUAAAUACUGAGAUGCAUGAUCCUGAAAAACCAUCAAACGUUAAAAUGACAUAGGCAAUCCACACAACAAGCCUAAUUCAACUAGAGGCUAAAACAUCACACUUUCAACGAAACAAAAUAUAAGAUAAAUUUCGGCUUUAGAGAUUCACUCAUUCCCCCAAACUUAAACAAGAGGCAACAGUCGUAACAGAAAGGAGAUGCUCUUUAAUGACUGUCUCAAAUCAUAACUUGCUCAACCCUGUUCAAGUUCACAUUUGAUACCAUAAUUACUAGCUCCUUUCAUUCUCUUCCAUGUCUUAAUAACAAGUAAGCAGCAGCAAACAUUGUCUGACUAUAUCACCUUGAAACCCUAAAAAUGUCUUCAGUCUUUAGUCUACCUGUUUAGUUUCAAAGAAAUCAAUCUCCUGAGAACUGUCCAAUUAAGGUCCCUCUUUUCUAUUCAACUUGUUUGGAAGUAUCAAAUCAUUUGUCAUAUUAUUUUAUUGUCUUAAUUUCCUUCUCUUCAGACUAAGCACCAAGAUGCAGUCACAAAUUUCGCCUAUUUUAUCGGACGUCAAUCAAAUAAAAGACCUAGUCUUAAGGAGGAAAACACCAAAACCAAAUCAUUCGUUACUCUAAUUUAAUAAGCUUUCCCUGCUUCAUUACUCUCCAAAGCUGCAAUGGCCAUGCACACUGCAAACCUCUCUCUACCUUUUCCUAGAUGCCCAUUAAAUAUCCAUUUGUAAAGAACUCCGAAUGAGAAUCCACUUGUGUACUUUCAAUUUUAUUUCAUGUGCUUUAGCUAUGUAUAUCACCUCUUCUACCAGCCAUACUUAUAGAUAAGAUCCUAUUGCCUUCACAUCUACAAAAACACUAGUCAUCUCUAAAAUCUGUAUGUGCAAUAAUUCCUAUACAGCUCUUAAAUAUUUUACAAAUAGUGUGAUGUAUAUUCUCUCCAUCAUCUGUUUACUUGCCUACCCACCUAGUUUCUCAUAUAAACACACAAUGACACUUUUGUAUAAUCACCAUAGCUACUUCACUAACGAGCACAUCUGAGAAGCUGCAUUCAAAUUUUACUUCAGGUCUCAUGGACAAACUUCGCUAUCCAUUAGGUAAAACAGCAUCUAUCUAGUAGAGCAAAACUCAUGCAGUUGGUUAAUUGUAGUCUAUACAAGUAAAUGCCUGGUAUAAAAAAUAUUGUAAAUCAUCAAAAAGGAAACAGAGAAAAGAACCUCAGAUGUCUGCCGAUAAUGCACAAGAACUAUGCGCUCCAACAUCCUGAAUAAACAACAUUAACAAAAAUAUCUCAGCUUGCAAUGUCGAAUAAUAAAUACAGAUCGUGCAAAGGAAAAAGGACGUUAAAACUCUGGACAGCUAAUCACCAACUACCAAAAAGGUGAGAAAAAGAAAAUAGGAUGCAACAUUAGCGAGGCAUCUCGGUAAAAAGGAAUGGUGGUAGAACAAUGCCUGUUUAUCACAAUUAUGUUGCCAAUAAAAGUAGUGUUUCUGACAGAGUUCGGAGAACACUCAUGCGCAUGAGCCCAAUGAAUUGAUAUAGCCUGAAAAGUUAAGCUGCUCUAAAUAACAGCAAGGCCUCUUUAACCGUGACAGGUAAAACCCAAUGAAGGCCUAAAUUUUCUGGUGAGCCAAACCAAAAUGAAAAAAAAUCAAGGACAAGUUCAAGUCCUCAUUUUGUAGCUUCAAAGGAGUUUGGAUAACAUUGUUUUAAGGUCCUCUAGCCAACAUCAAUGAAGGAUUCAUAUUUCUUGAGUGAGGCCACUUGGGUUGGUUAAGUCAGCUAUUCAGCUUGACCUAUUGACACCAAACGGACAUGCGUUCUAAAAUGAAAUAUGCACCUCAGCUUGCAGAAAAACCGAUAAUGUACCUUCUUAUGACCUAGCUAAGGCCAUCGAGAAUAAGAUUGGUGUGGAGCAUAAACAAGUAACAUAACUAGAUACAGCAGUAUCUUCUUAACUUUCUUUUCGAUAGUGUUAUCAUCUUAGCUAUUAUACUAUGAUUUGCCUGCUAGGAAUUUCUACACUUCUUUAUUCAAUCGCAAGAUGACAUUCUGCCAAAUUAGGCCCUCAACUAGUCUUAUCUGUUAUUUCUUCUUCCUGACUCUCAUGACUUUCUUUUUCUGGGACACAUCUGAAAUAUGUCAUUGGUAGACUAUUAAAUAUUUCACAAUCUCUUUGGCACCCAAAAUUGCCAAGUUCUAUUACUUGCAACUGCUAUGACAUGCGUUCAGAUGGGACUAAUAUGCCAAUUUGUAUCAACGGAUGACGCAGGCCAUUUCAGAUACCAAGAAUUCUCAUUUUAUACACUUUCCCUGCCCAAUUAUAGAAAUGUUUCACCCUUCUGAGUUCACAUUAAGUCUAAAUAGCUAAAAAUCUUUACUUUAUGCCUAAUAUAUGUCAUUUAGACAAAAUCUUUUUUACUGCGCGAUGAAUAACAGCAUGUAAUAAUUUCCCUAGCUCAAAUAAAGCCACAACUAGGUCCUUAUCGCAGUAAUUGAAAGAAGUUAUAUUAUAAAAUAUAGAACAUCCCAAAGAUUGUAAACACAUCUUAUAAAAAGAGGCAUGAGGGAGAAACUUACUUAUCAAGAAGCCAGUAACUCCUACGGUAAAAAUUAGGAUCGUCCUCACAUCGUGCAUAAUAAACAUGGAUUCUUUCAACAUUUCCAAUCUAUAACAUAAGAAACAUGAAUUAUAAAUGCCAUGUUACAUAAGUAACAUGAAUUAUAAAUGCCAUUUCUCUUGGACAAUAUAUUUUGCACACAAAAGACAAAUGACGAAGGCAACAAAUUCGACAACAGCAAAACCAAAUUUAAACAAAAGAGAUAGGCUAGUCAGUUCAAAACAAUAGCACACCAUUCUCAAUAUGGCAAACAAUUAGUGAACAAGAUGAACUUAUGCAGCCAAGAAUUCCAGUUAGAUAAGAAAUUCAAAGAUCCAUUUAGCGUUGUAAUGCCUGAGCAGAAAGUCAAAUGAUCUUAAAUUUCAGACUAUUUAUUUCCUGAGAUAAUUAUCAAAAUAACAUUGGGUACCAAACUACCAAACAGUGAUAUAAAAAGUUCAGGAUGGAAGCUGAAUUUGAUAACAGCAACACAACAUACUACUUGUGAGAGCACAAAUAGUGAUAUCCAACAAUGAGUACAAGGUAAUUUCAGCAGGUCAAAAGUGUCCAAUGUCCUUAAGACUAGUAAGCAUCAUAUAUUUGCUACAUUGCAUCACCAGCACAUGACAAAUUCAUCUAUCAAUUCUGAUGCCUUUAUACAUAUUUUCACUUCUCAUAAUAUUAGUGGGAAUUGCAACUAAUAGAAAUGAUCGCUCAUUUGAUUCUUUGUGGUCAAGUUUGUUUUGUCCCUUUUAUAGUUGCAAAUACUACAAAAUAAUAAAGUUAGUCCUUACAGUUUGUCUAUCCUGUAAUAUUUAUAGGUUUAUAGAUUUCAUUCACAAAACUCAGAAAAUAAACCUUAGCCUUCUUUUCAUAUGUCAACACCAUCUGUAAACAACAAUGACCAAGGUGAACUUUUUUCAACCUUAAUAUCAUUAUGAUUCAAAAAUAAUAAUUCUACCAAGCAGCAGUUCACCACCUCUAUGCAAAAAAUAGUAAUAACAAAAACAGCAACAGCAACAACAACAACAACAACAAUAAUAAUACUAACAAGAACAAUAAUAAUACUAACAACAACAACAACAAUAAUAAUAAUACUAACAACAACAACAACAAUAAAUAUAUUCUUAAGAAUGAGAGCAGACAAAAGGCUAAAUUGCCAUAAAGUAUACUUUAUUGUAUCUCUAUAAAGUGCAUUUUCAUUUGCAGUUAAUUUCACACAUAAAGCAAUUGGAUUUUUUAUGUAUUGGGCAGUCAGGUUAUACAUACAUAAAGAGAGAUAUAGGAAAAAUGUUGAAGAACAAAAAUAACAGAAAACAAGCAUAGGUAAACAUGCAUUAGCAUUCCAAAAACACAAGGGACACAAUAUAUGAAUUGAUAUUAUACGAUUUUAAUUUGCACGCGGUCUAACUUUUAACUUUUCAUGGGCUUCUUGGACAGUCUUCCCAUCCUUUUUCUUCUUCCAGUUAUGCCCAUCUUUACGGAAGUUCCUCAGCAUUUUCCGAUCAAAUAAAAGAACCGUACCACCUAAUUUACAAGAGGUGAUCAAUUUUUUUUAAAAAAAAAGCAGAAAUAGUAUAGGGUUGGAUAUUGUAAUAACAACAGAAUCAGAUGCGAUAUAGUACGCUAACAGCCAAAAGUAGCAACAUCUCAACUAAGAUACACGAAAUGGCUAACCAAAUCCUAUAAUGUUUAAAAUGCUUUACAUGUAAGCUAGCUUACAAUGUUACAAUUCCAAACAGUAAAACUGCUAAGACACCAUGCUGUGCAAAUUACUAUAUUCCAGCAAAACUGAAUCAAAUAGCUAUAUCUAUUGUCUGAUUUGUUUCAUACUAGUAAUUAACAAUCCACAGAACGAUUAGAUAGCAAUAAGAAAAAUCGUCAUUCUAAAUUGAUUGAGAUGCAUAGUAGAACAGUUUUCUCACUGUUAAUCACAUGUAAUUUAAACAUAUGCUCCCUAUGGCAGUAGGCUAGAAAUGUCAACAUCUAAAAUUUUACUUGAAACCAUCCAUUGCUGAUAGAACGUAGUGUAGACUUUUGAACAAUAUAUUUCAGGGGAAUACUCUAAAUCAAAAGAAAACAAAUAAUAAGACUGGAAAUGUUUUGGGUGUCCGAGAAAUAGGAAAUAACAGCACGAAAAUUAAGUGUCUUUGAGUUACUAAUGUCGAUGUGGAUAGAAAAUUUUUCAUAUUCAAUGUUUCAGACAAUUAACCACCCUCAACAUAGGUUCACUGCAGCACAUCUUCACUCUUUUCUUAUGACAUUGACAAGUCACAACAGGCAGUUGAAGCACUCUCACAAUUAACAACUACAAUCACCAACAAAAGUAGAAAGCAAUGUAUGACUAAUAAUAUUAACUGCCUGGCACGAAAUGGUAUUGGGAGGCUCAUAAUAUAACUAAUAAGUAUAUUUUUCCUUCAGAAUUCAUAAAUUAAGAUAACGAUAACGAUAACAAUAACAUGAAUUUUACAGGAUGAUUAAGAAAAUUAAAUGGCUCAUGCUGUUGUCCUAAGAGGCUUUGAGGUACAAUUCUGCUAUUGUUUCUUGCACACUACCAGCAUGUUUAAGCAUUUUCACACAUUGAUAUAGCACAAGGGUAAAAGCCAAGUAUAAGUCAAAUCGCACUGACCAAGAAUGAAAGAAAAGUGACUUUCGAACCAUAUGGAUGUACCAAAAGAAUAAGCACAAAUAUUUUAUUCUACAUGCUUUAAUAUUCAGAUGGUAAGACAAGUUCAUACUUUGUGGCUUGUCGACUGGUUGGGGUUGGAUUUUAAAACGUGCAUAGUUAGAUAAUAUUGCAUGAACUUCAUUAGGACGAAACCACCUAUUUGGGGCAUCUUCCAUCAACUUCUCUACAUCCAGAUCUGUUCAUAAAGCCAAAAUAUCAGAGAUUAAAAAGGGAGUUUUGCUGAAAAAAUGAUGGAAUGUGUAAUUCAUCAGAGUCUUGAUUAAAUAUGGUAGUAAUGAGAAUAACAAAGCAAUGGUAAAACAUAAUCAUAAAAGAGAUAUUGAUAAAGAAGUUUCUACAGGAAAAUAUAUUCUAAAAAUUCAACAAAAUUUUUUUAGUCUAAUAGAUAAAGUUGAUGAAGAGAAGACUGAAUACCCAGUUUAUCGAAAAUUCAUUGUUCAGAUACUCUUGUUAUUUGAUGAACUGAUUAUAAUUUCUAACUUAAAAUAAGUGAUAAGCAAAGUCUUGACCAUUACAUGUCCUUGAAAAUCACCUUAACCAAGAGGGAAGUCUCUUAGCAAUACAAAAUCUAUGCAAACUUUAAUUAAUUGUUGUGUUGUUCUCGAAGCACUAUGAUUAAUAACAGCGUGGUCUAACUUUAAGAACAAGAUUAUCUCCUCAGAGUAACUUACAAUCCCACAAUUACAACAAUGACAAGAUCAGUCCAGCAACAAAAGCAAUAUGUUCAAGAAGAACAAAAGAUACCGAAGAGAGAAGGCAACUACACAAGCAAGACAUUAAAGAAGAGAACAAUAAAAUUUACAAAUGAACCUCAAACCCUAAUAUGAAAAGAUAGCAUUGCCAAAUGAAACCCUAAAUAGCAAAUCGAUUGAACAAAACUAAAAAAUCAAGUAUGUGUCUGAUGCGGUGCGAAAGCCGUGGAUGAGAGUGUCACCGAGGAGAUAUUUUUCAUGGCAAUGAAGCAAGAGCUCUGAGAUGCCCAAGAACGGGGAAAGUGAUUCAAAAGGGGAGUCGCGUAGUACUUGGAAACUGUACCAACUUUAGUUGAUUUUUAUAGCUAUUCUUGAAGACCUAAGAAAGUACUAUAAGGCUAUAACAGCAUGGUCUACCAUCAAGAACUACUCGAAAUCACUCGCAAUCCAACAUUUACAGCAAUAGCAACAUCAACGUCCACUCAGCAAAAGCAACAGGUUAAACAAAAACAGCAGGUAUCAAAGAACGAAGGCGACGACACGAACAACACAAAUUACGAUCAAGCUUUCAAACCCUAAAAGGAAAAGAGAGAAUCGGCGAAUGAAACCCUAGCCCCCAAAUCGAAUCGAACGAAGUCACAAACAAAGACCGUACCUGAUGCGGUGUGAAAGCCGUGGAUCUCCCCGUCGAGGAGGAGGCCCCCUUCCAUGGCGGCGAAGGGAGAGCUCGGCGAAACCCUAGCCGACGAAGUGAUCGAAAAGAGAAAGGGCAAAUACGAUCGACCUCUGAGUUUGGUAUCAGACGAGAGAGAAAAAGAGAGAGGGAGAGCCGGUAAAAAUGGCGAGGGGGCCAAAAGAGCAUGGACUGUUAUUCUCCGCCGCGGAGUAAGAUACACUGGAUAUCUGUGUACUGAUCGAGGAAUUUUGACCGUUAGCUGGAGAUUCGACGGUUCUAGUUUUGGAGUGUCAAGCGAAAGGGUGUGCAACAUUUGCUUGUUAUUCGCCUGCUUGCGGAGGGUUCACGGAUGGAUUCCACGUGGCAUUGGUAAUUGGGUUAUCAGCGCGGGGGCGGGGCAGAUAUUAUCAAAAUAGUUUUUUUAUCAUUAUUGAUAGUGUAAAAUUAUACAUAUACAAAAAAAAAAAAAUACAGAAAAAAAAUAAAAAAUAAAAUAAAAAAAGACGUAGGAAAGAAGAAUGGCAAAAUAUGCCAGAAAUAAUAAAAUAAAGAAAAUGAAUGAUAAUGACAAUAUCAGUUUAUAGAAAAAAAAUAUUUGGUGGAUAAUAAAAAUUAUUAAUUAACUGAAUUAGACAAUUAUAUUUAACAUGAUAUAGAAAAUUAAAAGAUCACUUAUAAAAUUAUAACAACAAAAACUACUUAAAUAAAAUGUUUAUAAUAAUAUCCCACUAAACUAAAGGAAAGAAAAUUAAAUUGUAGAAGGUUAAAUUAUAGGAGGCAGAUGAGGGGACAAAUUUACUAUUAAAAAAUAAAAAAAUAAAAAAAUUUGAGGUCUUACCACAUCGGCUAUAGUAUUAAGGAUUAAUAUAUAGUUAAUUAAUAGAUAUAGAAAGUUGAAAGGCUAUUUACAAAAUUAUAACAACAAAAACGGUUUAGAUACUGACCGUUUCUACAGCAAGUGGCAAAGGGCUUGGUGGUUGAUACCCGAGACCCGAGUUCGAAUCCUAGUUGAUUCACAUUUCCAGCUAAGCUUAUUUCUAAAUGAGAUAAAACGAAGCAGAUAGCGUGCUACCUAUCUCUCUCAAGAAAAAAGAAAAGAAAAAAAAAAACAACGUUUUAGAUAAAACGUUCAUAACAAUAUCUUACUAAACUAAAAGAAAGAAAAUUAAACUAUAGGAGGUUAAAUUAUAAGGGAUAGAGGAGGGGAACAAAUUUACUAUUAAAAAAAUUAAAAAAAUAAAAAAUUAAGAUUUUGCCACAUCAGCAAUAGUAUUGGAGAUUAAUAUAUAGUUAAAAUUUAAUAGAUUAGAUUAGACAAGGUCGAUGUGCAAUUUGUAAAAAUAAUCAUUAAUCCCAGCAAAUCGCGACCUGCCACGUGUCUUAAUAGUAGAUUUUGCACCAAUGAUCACUGUUGAGAAUCCUCUAAUUGAGAAUGUUUGUGGAUGAGACAGUAGAAAUAAAUAAAUUGUUAUUGUCGUUUACUAAUCCGAUAUUCCAAAGCAUGUUUUCGCUUACUUUUUAGUCCCUUGGAAUUAUACCCAAGCAAAUAACGCCUGAUAUAUACGGCUCAACCGAUCUGGUUCUUCGUUUGGGUGAUCAAAUUGAGCCAUUUUCAAUUUUGUAGGUUACACCUUAAUAGAAUCUAAAAUACACCUGCACGAAAACUACGUGCUUGGUUCUUAUUUUUUUAUUUGAUUUCGCUUUACGUUGAGAUUUUAUUACUUGACUUAAUUUAACAUAGCCAAGCCUAGUUUUGGGACUAAGCUUGAGCUUAAAAGGGUUCAGCAAUUUGCUUAUAAUUUGUUUUGAGCAAAAAUAUUUUUGGAACGAAUGAAUCUCACUCCUCAAACAAACAAAUUCUUCUGAGCUCUCUUCUCUCCUUUUUAAAACAAGUAGUACGCUUGCCCCAAUAGUAAAAUUUCUUUCUGAUUUUAUCAUGAGUUGAUAGUUUGAAUUUUGUCCGUCCUAAGAUUCCUAAUGCCACUAAAUCUUACGUAUAUCUCUACCAUCUACAAGAUUAUUUGUCGUACCUUUAAAAGUACAUUUUAUUUGGGACUUAUUUUGUCCGGUUGAGGUUUCUCCAUAAGCAUACAAAAGUCGUACCAUUUAAAAGUUAAUUAUGACAAAGCAUAUCAACAAAUUGUCCAUUCUUUACAUGACUUUACAGAUGCUAUGCGACACCACAAAUUUGGUAUUAUGGAUUUCUAGUCCUUAUUUCCAUAAUCUAUUUUGGUUCUUUCUAAAUAUUUUUCCAAUAAGAUCAAUGUUUUAAUCAAUAAAAAUAGUAUUAAAACGUUUUGCACGAGUGAUCAAUUUGGGGAGGGAUGGAUCAUUUCACGUACAGUAGAGUCAUGUUAUCUUUUUGCUGAGGAAAAGAAGUAUAAAUUGAUUUCCCUCGCCACCGCAAAUGACCAUAGUUGGGUACUAUUUUUGUCAAAUGGAUCUGUCAUUAUUUACAUUUAAUUUUAUACCCCACAACAUGUGAUGCCAAAUCUCUAUCAUUGAAAAUUUACUUACUACAGUAAAAUUAGAUCUCUGUAUGAUUGCGUUAUAAGUUUACAUUAGGAUAAGAACCAUAAGAAAAUGGUAGUGCAAAUUUUUACUAUAGUAAUUGAUUGACACCCUUUUUGAACUAAAAGAAAUUAUGAUUCACAAGUCCCUUAUAUGUGAACACAUCCUUUUUAGUUGUUAUGAAUAAUAUAAACAUGUAUGAUUAGGGAUAAACAAAGAAGGUAACAAACUUUAGUCCAAUUACGGUUUACUUCAACAACACAUUUCCAUCCUUAAUUCACUGUGAUUGAAAAACACUUGUGAAUUUAUUUAAUUAUAUCUUUAUUUGGCACGAAUUAAGCACAGUUGAGUCCUCUUUCAUAAAUAUAGAACAUAAUUUUAAAGAAUUAGUGGUUUCUAUAUAUUCACUUAAAUAUAAUAAAUACCAUUCAUUUUCCCAAUUGGAAAGGAUCAGAGGAGGAAAGGGCCAUGCCCUUGAACCCCCCAUGAAUUUGCUCUCGUGAGUUAUGGUUGUGUCCCUAAACUUAGCAAAACACUCUUGAAACAUAUUGUAAAAGUUAAUUAAUUUUUUGUGUAUAAAAACUAUCAUCGUUAUCAUUAUAUGAACAAAAGAAUGAAAGAAAAAUAAUACUAAAAAUAAUGUCCCUAUUUAAUGUCAAAUCAGUUGUACAAUUUUGCGACUGUUUUUGUGCUAUAUGUUGAUUGUCCUAUUCCUCCUUUCUUGAAAUUUCAAUUAAUGGUGGGGACUUAGAAAGGACAUGAGUUGGGUAAAGAAUUUAGGUUCCCGCAAAUUAUUUUUUAUAAAUUAUUAAUAUAUACAUGCACGAUAAGCUAAUGCUACAGAAGAUACAUAAUUUAUAAUAUAAUAUAUUAACUUACUAAUAAUUUCAAAAAUAAUAUUUUUUAGGGUUCAUAAUUAUACUUAAAUUGUAUGAAAUUUUAAAUUUUAACUUUUAAAUUUAAUAUAUAUAUAUAUAUAUAUAUAUAUAUAUAAUUGAGCUAGAAUACUUUUACAAGUAUUACCCCCAUGAUGCUAUUAGGUUUUUAGCCAUUGGAUCUAUUCCUUGAUUACUAAUAGCCAUUGGAUCAAACACUAUUCCACCUGCCACCACCUACCAUCACCUACCACCAUUAUCCUCCAACCUCACAUCUCUCCAUCCAAUGGCUAAAAACUCAAAGCACCACUCAUAUAAUACUUUACAAAUAUUCUAACUCAACUAUAUAUAUAAUAUAUAUAAUAUAUAUAUAUAUAUAUAUAUAUAUAUAUAAUUAUAUGUGGCUGGUAUGCCUAUGGAAGCGUGCUUCAGUUGUUUUUGAUGUUCGGACUUUCGAAUCGACGAUCGGCUCCGAUGGAGUUGAUCUAGAGUAUUUGAAGUAUCUAGAAAAAAAAUUUUUGAUUUUUCGAUAUCAUUUGCCUAGUGAUCGAAGAGCUCAAAAUUAAUAAUUUUAAUGGCCGUGGUGAGCCGGUUGCAGGUUUAACGGUGUAGAAAUAUCCAAAUCACAUGAAUUUUGAUAGAAUUUUUUAUACCAUAUAAAACAGAUCAAUAACUUUGAUCUAAAAUUUUAAUGUCAUAUCAUCAUAUUUUAUAAGAUUUUAUUUUCAGCCGUUGAUUUUGAGCACUCCGAUCACUAGGCAAAUGAUAUCGAAAAAUCGCCAAAUUUAUUUUCUAGAUAUUUCAAAUACUCUAGAUCAAGUCUAACGGAGCCCGAUCGUCCGAUUCGAAAAUCCGAACAACGAAAACAAAGUGAAAGCACGGAACCCUCCGUGCUUCCAUAAGCAUCCUAGCCGCACUAUAAUAUUAAUAUAUAUAUAUAUAUAUAGAUGUGAGGCUACUAUUGCUAUCGGAAGCCACGGAGCCUUCCGUGCUUCCAGCCUCGUUUUCGAUGUUGCGACUUUCGAAACGUCGAUCGGCUUCCGUUAAAUUUGAUCUAGAAGUAUUUGGAGUAUCUAGAAAAUAAAUUUUAUUGUUUUCGAUAUUAUUUGCCUAUGGAUCGAAUGACGCUCAAAUCAACAAAUUUCAAUGGCCGCAGUGGAGCCGUUUGCAAGUUUAACGGUGUAGAAAUAUCAAAUCAAAGUGAAAUUUUGAUAGAAAUUCUUUAUACUAUUAAAAACAAGAUCAAUAUCUUUGAUUUAAAAUUUUAAUGUCAUAUUAUUACAUUUUGUAAUAUUUUUAUUUUCAGCCGUUGAUUUUGAGUCUUUCGUUUACUAGGCAAAUGAUAUCGAAAAAUAAUAAAAUUUAUUUUCUAGGUACUCCAAAUACUCUAGAUCAAGUUUAACGGAGCCGAUCGACGAUUCGAAAGUCGCAACAUCGAAAACGAGCUGGAAGCACGGAAGGCUCCGUGCUUCCGAUAGCAUAGUAGUCUCACUCUAUAUAUAUAUAUAUAUAUAUAUAUAUAUAUAUUUGAGCUGUAAUACUAUCGGUAACAAACUGACUCUAUUGCCACCCAUUUGUUUUCGAUGAUGGAGCCUCCAAAUCGACGAUCGGUACCGUUGAAAAUGAUCUACAUUUCAAGUAUAUAAAAAUCAAAUUUCAUUAAUCCUUAAAAAAUUAAUAUUAUAUAAAUACUAUAUUAUUAUAUAAAUUAAUAAUAUACCAACUAUCAAAUAUUAUACCACCUAUCAAAUAUUAUAUACCAACUAUCAAAUAUUAUACUGUUGAAAAUAAUUUAUACCAACUAUUAAAUAUUAUAUUAUUAUAUAAAUUAAUUCUUAAAAAAUUGUUUGAAAACUAAAGUGAAAAACAUACAAAGUUUAGAGAUUAGGGACUAAAAUAAAAAAGUGUGAAAAUAUUGGAGCCCAAUGUGCAAUUAAUUUUUUUAAAAAUUAAUGUGGGUCCCACAUCAUCCCAAAAUAAGUGAAAAGACCAAUUUUAUUUUUGUGUUUAAUUAUAAGCAUGUUUUUAUUGAUCUAUGCAAAAUUAUAACUUUAUAACUUGACCAUAAAAAAUUAUUUGCAUGUUGGGCACAGAUAUAAUUAACUAGUAGUAAAAACGAUUGGGCUACAAUAAAUUAAACUUGACCCAAGUUUGAUCUGGGCCGGGUUUCAGGCCAAUAGCUGGGUUGGGCCGAGUUUAAAACUUUUGGUUCGGUUCGAUUAUCGAUCUGUGCUGUUUUAUCGAGCUUGUUUUAUGAAAAACAAAAGACAAAAAUAUAUUCACCUAAUCUGAACUUUAGAUCAUUUGAAAAUAAUGUAUGAAACUAACACAAGAUCGAGCUUAUUAUCAAUCUGGUAUAUUGCAGAUGCGUCCAGUGCAUUUGUACAUUCGUACAUUCGUACAUUGCACCUACAUCAUAAUAAAAUCUUAUUUCAGUAUCCGCCACAAUAAAAGCUUCAAAUGUUUUUAUCUGCUGUGACGCAUGCUUCAAUCAUUCGAAAUAGAGAAGCUGCGUAAAAGCUAGGCUGAAUUAUUACCAAUGUUUUAAAUAUUUGCAAUGUAAUUACUUAGUAGGUAAUUUUUUGGGAAAACUUCAAAAACCCCCCCUGUGGUUUCGUGCAUUCUCACUUUGCUACCCUGUGGUUUAAAACGUAUCAAUUUACCCCCCUGUGGUUUCAUUUUUAUCUUUUCGGAAGCUUUUUCGUUAAUAUUUCGUUAAAUUAUAUACAAAAAACUUCAGAUAACCAUCUAUAUUUAUCGAAUAGUCACUUUAGUAUCCUUUAAUUUUAACUUUGUCACUGAUUUAAAAAAUAAUAAUAAUAAAAUUGAUAACAAAAAGAUAAAAACGAAACCACAGGAGGGCAAAUUGAUACGUUUUAAACCACAGGGUAGCAAAGUGAAAAUGCACGAAACCACAGGGGGGGUUUUUGAAGUUUUCCCUAAUUUUUUUGGGCUCCUUGUGAAGGGCUACUACUAUCUCCCUUGGGCAAUGCUUGCUUUAGAACUGAUCUUCAACAAAUCCUUUACCCUCUCUCUGGAAAGAAGAACAUAGUACUGAAGACUCCUUUUUGGGUGUAUCCUCCCUUUUGCGUUAUUUAGUUGCACAUUUAAUUGCCAUUUUUUUUUUGAAAAAUCUAGUACAUUUUUUUUAAAAAAAAUAAAAAAUAAAAAUAACUUCGUUGAAUAUUAAUUAUGUCGUAAUUGGUAUUCGGGCUCGAAUCUGAAUUAGAAAAGGAAUUCAGAAUGGGUCGGAAUAAAAAUGGAAAUAACUAGCUAAUUGGUAUAACAUUUUCUCUGACCAAACAGAUCGCAAUUAUAAUUUUGAUUUUCAUUCCAAGAGCAAAAGCUUUUGCCAUUAUACAAGCCUUUAUUUCCAUUAAUCAUCUGUGAAUUACUGAAUCCAAUAUAAUUUUAUUUUAUUUUAUUUUUGUCCUCCUUAAUUUAUUGGUUUUUAAGAUCCAAACUUGUUGCAUUUUAGGGAGGGGCAGCUUAAAUCAACAGACCAAUAAAGCCGAUCGAACCAACACGCUGGUGUAGCACUUCGUGGACGAAGUUACCGAUUAAAUCAAUUAAAGUUUGUGAUUUGGCGUAAAAGAAGCUUAAUAGAUGAUAAUCACAAUAGUUCACUAUGGUAGUUUUUAAAAAAAUAAAAAUAAUGUUGAAUUUUACUUAUAAUAGAUUUAUCAUGCACAAAAUUAAAUUAAAUACACGCAUGUUGGUACGAUUUCAGUAGCUGAUUCUACACUAAUGGCCAGAUUUAAAGACAUCAGUUUUUAUUUUAUUUUGCUUCCGUAAUACGCAUUUUACUCUCUUUAUAUAUUCAUAUAUGAGGUUGUUGUUUUUUUUAUUAUUAAUUUUCUAUUGCCUGGGAUGGGACAUGCAUUAAAAAGCAUGUUGAAUUGGAAUAAAAUUUCAGUGGGGAGCUUUCCAACGACGUCAAUACUCUACCGCAUGUUAGCUUUUUCUCCGUCGAAUAAUUUGUUAGAUGUUUUUUAAUACUAAAAUACAAAGAAAAAGAUUAAAAUACCUGAAUACAAAUAAACGUGAUAUGUGGCAACAGAUCGGUGCUUCCUAAUAAGGCAUCGCUGGAGAGCUCCCUAUUGAAGUUUUUUCAUUAAAUUGAACAUAUAAUAACUAUAUACGGUAAGUUGCACGUUUAAUUUUUGACUCAAACUUUUAGAAUUAUUAUAAUAAGGUUUCAUAAUUUAAUUUAGAUGACUAAAUUUUAACUCAUUAUUAAUAUAAAAGUGAUAUGACGUUGUAAAUAUUGUCAUAUCAUCGAUCAAAACACUAUCACAUCACCUAAGUGAUAUAUCAAUAUUUGGUCGACUAAAUUGGGUUAUAGGACUUGAUUGUCCUAAUCAUAGUAAUUUUCCUACCUUUAAUUUAAUCGCAUUUUAAAUGAAAGAAAAAUCAAAACAGUGAUCGUAUUGGGACAACAACUUUUUAUUUGAAAUUGAAUUACACGGGUGAUAAACCAAGAUUAAUCAGGCUAUGAUUAUAAGCUGAGUUCCAGGGGACAUUAAAAAAAAGAGAUCUUCUCGAUUCCAGUAAUAUAUAACAUAUAGAGUAAAUUAUAUGCUAAUCAAUUAUUACCACAAUAUUUUGCAGUUUUAUCGAUUAUUCAUUUUUCUCUAUCUUAUCUUGCUAAUUAAUAUGCUCUUAUAUGAUUAGCAUGUGCUGCAUCUGCAGUUAUAUGCUAGAGAAUAAUUCUGCAGAUUACAGGCGUAAAAAAAAGAGAAAAGUAUAUAUAUAUAUAUAUAUAUAGAGAGAGAGAGAGAGAGAGAGAGAGAGAGAGAGAGAGAGAGAGAGAGAGAGAGAGAGAGUCCGGCUGGGAUAUUAUCGAUAGCACCAAGGCUUUGCGCUAUCGAGUUUUUCACCGUUAAAUUUAAUCCUUCGAUUAUUAUUAUUCGUUAGAUUAUACUAUUCAACCAACCACUCACUCAAUCCUAGAGGGCCCAUAUCAUCCUAACUGCACAUUUUUCAAUCCAAGAGCUAAAAAACUAAUAGCAUCAAUAGUUUGGUGCUAUUGAUAGUAUCUCAGCCUAGUUUUAUAUAUAUAUAUAUAUAUUAGUUGGGCUAGAAUACUAUUGAUAGCAAAAGUCCCUUUUUGCUAUCAAGUUUUUAGCCUUUGGAUUAAUUUCUUUCAUCAUUUUUAACCAUUGGAUUAAUUAUUAUAACCCAGUGAGGACCACUCAACCCUAAGCGACUAAUAUCAUCACUAAUAUCAUCCUAAUCCUACAAUUUCUCAUUCAAGGAUUAAAAAUUUGAUAGCAAAAAAAAUCUUUUGUUAUCAAUAGUAUUCCAAUCCAUCUCUCUCUCUCUCUCUCUCUCUCUCUAUAUAUAUAUAUAUAUAUUAUACUUCAAAUGCAUGCAUGAUUACAAUACUAAAGUAGUUCCAAACAAGUUAUAAAUCAACAUAUGGAAUAUAAAAAAGUAUGUAGAUACUGCAUAUAAGUGAAUGAGUACCAUAUUAAAUGAAAUCCAAGCAAGAUAUAUAUAGUUUGAAUAAUGAUUAGACAUAUAAAGAAGUACAUUCUACAGGUAUGACCACUAAUCAUAAGAUUUAAGAAAAUCUCAACAUGCAAAUUUAAAAUAGAGAAAAAUAAUAAUAAUAUAAGAGAGUUGAUCAUCGGCUCCACCAAAUAUUUGUACUUCUUUGAGCAAAUUUUUCUUUUUUCCAAUCCGUUUUCAUGUUAUAGCUUUUUUCCCCAAACACGAUCUUACUUAAACAGAAAAAAAUAAAAUAAAUUUAGACGGUAGAGCGAGAAAGAAUGAAUGGCAUCAAAAAAUAAAACUUGGAAUUAUAGAAAAAUCAUGAAUAGAAACGGUAAUUGAAGUAAUAUUUGGACAAUUAGAAUUAUAUGAUAAGAAAAGUUAGUUACAAACCUCUGUUUAUAUAUCAUCACCAAUAACUAAUCAUUUGAGUUGGGAUUCUACUCUCGUCUACUCGAGAAGGUGAGAUGGAAUGAGCCGCGGGGGUAAACUUGUUUCUCUGGUUGGAGAUAGUUGAGCGGCGGAGAUCGAAAAUAAAUAUGAUGGACGGUUGAUUGGCUACGGUGCAUGAGACACACCGAUGCGCCGGGCGCAUGCAACGAUUUAGUAUUCUCACAGUAGAUCCGUACGACCAACGUGCGAGCCAAAACAAUAAACCUGCGCAUUGGAUUCCCACGGCCAUUGACAAGCGUGGGUUAUGGGAAAAGUGAAAAUCGAAAAAAUAAAAAAUAAAAAACACAAAACAAAAAAGAACUCCCACGUGGGAACAAACGCACCGGAAACUCGCCCUCGGGAGGAGGGCCCCACUCGACACGUGCGACGAGGCAAUCUCUUUCCCCGCGCGUGCGCCCCGCAUCCCAACGCAGCGCGAGGCGAACGGGUCGGAUCUCAACCGUACGCGCUAAUCGGACGGUGGAAAACGCGACCGGGGCGCACACAUGCGGCCACGUAGGCGAGGAGAUUUUGUGGGAUUAUUUUAAACGAUGAUUUUAAUAAUCGCGGGGAGGGGAAACGGGGGAAACCACGCGGAAAGAGAACGGAGAGGGGAAUAGUAAUAAAUAAUAAUAAUAAUGGGGAAAUUAUUAUUUAUUUAUUUAUUUAUUUAUUAUUUUUUUGGUGGUGGGGAAUGGGGAUGCUGACCGUGGGAAUGUGGUUUGACCGGGGAGGGGGAAGGGGAGUGGGGGUGUGCGCACGUGCGGGGGUUUGGUCGUACCACUGUGCCUCGCUGUACUCGCGCUGGUGUCUCCACGUCGGCUCCACAUGGCCACGUGUAUGCAAAAUUGAAGCGCAAGUGCAUGAGUUAGCACGACCAUUUACUAAUCCCCUCAUAAUUGUCCAAAUUUACGAGAUUACUUAAAGAGCAAGAGUUCCUUAAAAAGAGCCCCUCAGCUAGGAGUGCUAUUCUUUUAGCGCUAAAAAUUUUAAAAUUUAUUAUGAUUUAAGAUAUUUGUUGUUUGAAACAUACUGUUACUGUUCUAAAUGGAGAAUUUUUUAAAAAAUAAUAAAAUAAAUAAUUAUUCUUUAUUUAAUAAAAAAUUACAGAAACAAGGUACACUAAUGUGACCGUAACAUAAAUAUUGUGAUAUGAUUGUGGACAUAGGAAAUUUUAAUAUAAUUAAUAUCGUUUUAAAAAACAUUACUUUCAUACAGUAAUUUAUUCAGUCGUAUAAUAUACUAUUCUUAGAUUUCUUUUAAAAUAAUAAAUAAUUAAUGUAUUUAAUUUUAGAAUUUAAAAUAUGCUAUGAUACUGUAGAAAUAAAGAAAAGAAGCAAAAGCGCACACCUCGCCACGAAUAUAUGCCUCCUAGCUAGAAGGGUAGAGGGAAGUAAAUUUACCACACGAAGAGGCAACGAGAAGGGCCGGGGACACGUGCGAGUCACGUGGGGAAGCGUAGCGAUCUCGUACGGACUGUUUAAAAUUUGUUCAGUCUUUUUUCAUUCUCUUCUGUAAUAAAAAAAUUCUAAAAUGUAUCAGUUAUAUUAAUGACGUGAUAAUUUUAAUCAAUAUUAGAUAAAUUUUUUGAAUUAAACUAGCAUGUUAUAAUUAUAAAAAUAUUUUUAUUAUAAUAUUUUUUAUAAAAUAUUUAUAAUUAAUUUAUUACUGUUGAUAUGGUGUAAAUAUAAUACAGUAGCCUUUUAUUUUCUCUCUCUUUCUAGUAGUACCAGUACCAGCACCAGCACCAACAGCAGCGGCAACAGCAGCAGUACAGUACACAAGAUUGCAAGGCGAGAGCAAUAUAUAUAUAUAUAAUUACGGAAUUGCCACUGGAUCUGGAUGAUGAGUGGGGUAAUUUGUCGGGUAGCGAGGUCAUAAUUGGGUGGGGGAGGGGGAACACGUGGGACAGCUAGCGCACACUCGUGGGGGCACAGCUUAAUCAUCACCACCCCCCGACACCCUGCCGGCAUUUAUAUAUUUUCACGCUUCCCGAGGACAGAUAGAUACACAGUGGGAGAGACAGAGAGGGAGGGGGAGAGAGAGAGCGAGAGAUCAUUGAGGAGAUUGAAGAGGAUCGAGACUGAGCCCACUUAAAGCAUGACUAUGACUAAUGACUAUCAUUAUUAUUAUUAUUAUUAUUAUUAUACAGCUUUGCUAGCUAGUUCAUUAAUUGCCGCUGCAUGUAAUAAUAAUACCUGAGCCCUGCGUGAAGAGGUCCCAAGUUGGGUGGAUGUACCUAAAAUUGUCCCCCCAGUUGGUACCUAUAAUAUUUUUCUGUAUUUGUUUAGAUUAGAAAAUAUUCUAAAAUGCAACCGGUAUAUAUAUUGGUGGCUUGGCGUAACAAAUUAAUCAAAUAUCUCCUUUUAAAAAUAUAUGUCCCAUCAUCAUUAUAAAAAAAUAUUUUUAUUAUACUUUUGCUCGAAAAGAAAAGAUGUGAUUGGCUUGUUAUUGACGACGGGGUGCAAGUGUGAUAGUAUAAAAUUCCUCUUAGAUUAGAAACCCGUUUGGCUCAAAAUAAAAAAUAAAAUUGGAAUUGAAUCAGAAUGAACACAAGUUGAAAACAAAAUUAUACAAUCUUUCGAUAUGUUUGGGCUAGAAUAAUAAUCGGAAUCGAUAUGGUUGAUUUGUACUUUUACUUUUAAAAAUUAUUUGAUUUAUAAAAAAUGAAUUAAAAUUAUUUAAAAUUUAAUUUGCCCUUCGAAAUAUAUAAUUAAAUUUAUAAUUUAAAUUCAGACGCUAAAAGUUAAAUAUUAAAAAUUUGCAUCAAAAUAUUGAAAUGAUAAGUCAAAAUUUUAAAUGUAAUUUUUUAAAAUUUAAAAUUAAGCGGACAAUUCAGAAUAAGAAACUAAUUUUUGAUUUGGUUCAUGUUCAAACUUACAACUAAAUUUAAAUUCAAAUUUAUAGAUCAAAUUCAAAAUGCUUAAUUGAAUUUAUACUUUAAGUUAAUUUCUAAAGCAAAAUCUAGAAUAAAAAAUUUAAUUUCUAUAUUUAAAUUUAUAUUUUAAUUUAAAAUUAAAGAUCAUAAAAAUAAAUUUAAUUUAAAUAAAAAUAUAAAAUAUAAUUGAGAUAUUUUCGUAAAGUGCAUUUUUUUCGCUUAAAUUCAACUUCCAAUUCGAUCUCCUACGCCAGAUUGAAAAAAGGAGUGAUUGGUGGAUUCUAUUCACCCAAAAAUUAGAAUCAGAAGAAAACUCCCACAUACUAAACACUCACAAGUUAAACACUCACAAGUUGAUUUGCCCGUUCCGAUUCUAAUUUUUGGGUGAAAGAGGGACGAAUGGAACCCACCCUAAAUUUAUAUCUUAUAUUUUCUUUAUCUAAUAUUAAAAACUUCAAAAAUUGUGCGAAUUCUAGGAUGCCUAAGAUGUCAGAUUUAUACCUAUAUAAGUGUGUAUAAAUAGCGUUUUCUUUUGUUAUACUCUUAUGGUUUUAAUACCGACUGUCUCUAGCAUAAGUCGUAAAGUGCUUGGUGGUUGGUAUCCGAGGUCCCAAGUCUAAAUACUAGUUGAUUUAUAUUUUCAACUAAGUUUAUUUCUUAAAAAAAUAAAUAAAAUGGGUAGCACAUGCUGUCCUUCCCUGAAAAUACUGUUAUGGCUUUAAUCAAAAAGAAAAUCGAAAUUUAGAAUCUAUUCCAAAUGCUUAUCCGAUAACUAUCUUUUUCGAUGGUUAGAUACCCGAGGAUCGACGAAAAGCAUGCAUAUGCUUUGGAUGCCUUUUGUGAAUAUUUAUACUAAAUAAAUUGAUGUGGUGGAUUAAUUGUACGUAGUUUGUACAAGUACAGACUAAAGAUAUUAUAUUAUGAUGGUGCAGUAAUACUCAGUUGAGAAAAGCUAAAACUCUCUUGUACUUGUGUGUGUCAUUUUAUCCUUCAAUUUCAAAAAAAGAAAAAGAAAAAGAAAAAGAAAACCAUUUUGUUAUAAGAACUCUAUAAUUUUCUUUUCUUUUAUCCAAAAUAUAAUAAAUUUUUUAAUGAAAAUAAAAAAUAUCAAAUUUACCUGUCCUCAAACAAAGUUCAGGGUACGUGAUUCGAUUGCCGUGCAUAAGUUUAUUUUAAAGAUGAUUGUAUUAAAGGCGCAAUAAUAAUAAUAAUAAUAAUAAUACAUAUAAUUAAUUGCUAUUUGUGGUGGGGUGAAAAGCACCUAACCUAUUCCACUCCAAAAGGUAGAUAUCGAAGUUCAAAGGAGCCCCAAUUCACGCCACAUAAAAAGGAAAAUGUCUCGCCAAAGUAAAAUUGGUUUAUACUUAAACCAACAACUAGUUAUAGUUGAGAAGAGAAUCGUAACCAAAACCUUCAUAUGUAAUGCGUAACGUUAUUUUUUCUUAUCAUUUAAUUAAGCUUUUGGAUCGGUUCAUUCUACGUUAUCAUUCGCACUCAUAAAUAAUGAAAACAGCAUCUCAAGUAGCUGAGGAAAUGCUUGCUAAUGAAGCGAAAAGCGACGGGAUAGUAGUAUAGAUAUUUUCUAUGGCCAUGAGCGUGAAACUUUUUUUGUUUGUAUUUUUUGUGUGUUUUUGGGGGAAGAUAAAUUGGUCCCCAUUUCCCUAAUAAGUGCACUAUUUUUGGGUCACGAUAUAUUCGACAAUUAGCAUCUGUUACAUUGGCUCCACGGUCCCACCAAUGAGCAAAUGUUCAUUACUAUCCUUUUCACAUGUAGUGGAUCCAUCUAGUUCCUUCCAAGGCAAGAUUGCAUCAUCUUCAAUAUAAUCCAUAUUCCGAUCAAUUAUUCGUUUGCACGGUGCAUAUUUGUACGUAUGUCAAGUAGAAGAAUUUCGAUAUUUGUUGCGGAUAAAUUAACACCGUAAAUAGCAGUAGUUAAGUUCGAAAUAUUAUGUAGUAUAGCAAGUAUUUUGGUUAAAUUCCAUCUAGUGGUGCUACAAAAAUAAAGAGCAUUUCUAUGUAUGUGUCACAAUUAUACAUUAGCAAAGCAGAACUUUCGAACAUUUCAAUCCUAGUAGUAGGACGCAGCUGGGAAUUUUGAAUGUUUUGAAUUCGAGUCCCAGUUAGAGUAGCUUAGGGCACAGUUGAAUGAGAUUUGGCUCUCGAUUCUUGAAAAAUGCAAGGGAUGACAGAGUAGCUGGAAGUUGUUGUUUGUAACUUAGCGGAGCAAAUACGCUAAAGGUACAUUCGCGUAGAGAUUCUCACAAGGGUUCUUAUAUGUACCUAUCGUGUCAAUAAGAAUACACGCCCAAUUGGCACAUGAUCGACGAAGAUAAUCGGAACGUGCUCUUAAAAUCGGAAUUUAGAAAUCAAAUUGCAAUUCUAAGAGUAUAUAUUCUCCAAUCUAGAACUUUAAGCAUAUUGCUAUUGCUCUAUACUGGAUGGCAAGUAUACUUAUAUGAAUCUUUUUCAUAUCACUGUAUUUAUAGAUUGCCAAUAUGUUAAUAUGUAAAAUACAAAAAAAAUUAAUUAAUUUUCACAUCAACUAUAUAUAAUUUAUUUGAUUCAUACAGUUAAAAAAUGCAUGUUUUAAAAAAUUUUACAUAUAUCUAUAUAUAUAUAUAUAUAUGUAUUUAUAGAUUGCCAAUAUGUUAAUAUGUAAAAUACAAAAAAAAUUAAUUAAUUUUCACAUCAACUAUAUAUAAUUUAUUUGAUUCAUACAGUUAAAAAAUGCAUGUUUUAAAAAAUUUUACAUAUAUCUAUCUAUAUAUAUAUAUAUAUAUAUAUAUAUUAAAAAAAUAUUAAGGAGUUAAGUUUAUCUUUUGUCUAAAACUGCUCGCUUGAAUCUUCUUAUACAGUUCUAAUUGCAGCAGUUGAAUUCAAAUGUAUCAAAUAGGUAUAUAGUACAGUUAAUACAAAAAAAAAAAAUCUGUGUGAUCAAUUAAUCAACCUCUCAGCAAAAUAAUAUGCGGGGUUACAUAUAUAGCAUGUACAUAUGAAGAUAUGUACGUACGUAUAUAUAUACACAUACGGUGGUGUCGACGACGAUGAUGAUGGAGAUGAUGAUGGAAAAGGCCGUUUACCCCCUCCGUUGGUCGGUUUCCUUUCCCUCAUAAUUGGCACCCAAUUGGUGCUUCUGUUAGUUGGUGUGUGUGUGUGUGUGUGUGGGUAGCUAAUCAAUCAUCUUAAUCUCAUUAGACGAGAGAGAGAGAAAGAGAGAGAGAGAGGGGGUAGAGUAGAGAGAGAAAUUAAAAUAGAGAGAGAGAGAGAGAGAGAGAGAGAGAGAGAGAGAGAGAGAGAGAGGGGGGGGGGGGNNNNNNNNNNNNNNNNNNNNNCCCGCCCGCCCCCCCACGUGAACCCCCACUCCCCGCUGUCCCCCACACCCUUUCGCCCGGCUCCGCUCGGCUUAACCUGGCUUGCUGGGCCGGUCCGGUUUACUAAUAAUGAUGGUCUUACACAUCAGGGAGUAAGAUAAUAAUAAUGAUCGACCCAGCACUUGCUCGGAAAGCAAAUAAUAAUAACAAUAAUAAUAAUAAUGAUAAUAAUAAUGAUGAUGGCAUUAUUUACUCUCGCGGUCACCCUUUCACUUUCUGUACCCCAGUGUCUUCACGUGCAUUGAUGCGUCCCGGAUUUCAAAUCCAAUAGAGUGCGGCUAGGAUGCGUUGGAAGUACGAAGCGCUCCGUAUUUUUACUUUGUUUUCGAUGUUCGAACUUUCGAAUCGAUAAUCGGUUCUGUUAGACUUGAUCUAGAGUAUUUGAAGUAUCUAGAAAAUAAAUUUAACGAUUUUUCGAUAUUAUUUGCCAAGUGAUCGAGGUGGCUCAAAAUCAACGGCUGAAAAUAAAAAUCUUAUAAAAUAUGAUGAUAUGAUAUUAAAAUUUUAGAUCAAAGUUAUUGAUCUUGUUUUAUAUGGUAUAAAGAAUUUUCUAUCAAAAUUUCAU